UAAUAUAAUUCUCUAUAGCUUUUUUUUUAUUUAAUCUACUUUAUUUUGUAGCUUUUUAUUUUUAAGAAUUGUAAUUGUUUACGAUAGUAGUAUAAAUCUAGAAAAAAACUUUAAGUUUAAUAGGCGAAUUUUUUAUCCCGAAUUUUGAAUUGAUAAACGUAUAAUUUUCGUAUAAAUUACAUAUCCGAAUAAUUACCGAAUCUAUUUUUUAAGCUGUUCAACAAAUUUAAAAAUUAGAAAACGAAUUUUAUGCAUAUUAUGCCCGUACCAAAUUUUUGUUGAAUCUGAAUUAACUAACUAUGAUAUCCACACAGCCCGACACACAUCGUGCUGUAUAUCGGUAAAUUUCCGGCACAACUCUGUAUUAUGGUACUUAAAUAUUUGUCUCCAGCAGAAUUAAAAAUACUAAACUGAGGUAUCAUAUUUUAUCAUGUUUAUUUUUUUAUUUUUAAAUAAAUAUAAUUUGAUGUGUUAGAGAUUUUUUUUUUUUUGGCUAGCUUAAUUAUAAUGUAUCCCGCUAAUAUAAUAUUACAAGUAAAUAUUUCGGUUGAAAUAGUUGUAACUAAUUUACUAUCCAUUUUUACACUUUUAAUAUACAAAAAUUUAUUUAAAAAUAUAAAAAAAAUGAACAUGAUGUUAAAUGAGUCCUAAAAUUUUUAUUUUUGAGGCCAAACUUUUUGGUACUGAAACUAAACACAAGAGACAAAUAUACUGCUAAAAGCAGAAAAAGAAGCUUUGUUAGUAUCUAUCUAAGCCACGUUUUAUCGUUACCUUUUUACUGUUCUUGUCUCCUCAAAUUAUUGAGACUAGUCAACACAGAAAUUAAAGCAUAUAUGUACUCACCUAAUUCAUACAAUGUUCAUGAAAUCAUCUACACAUGCACAGUUAAUUUGUAGGAAUUGAUAUAUCCAGAAUAAAUUGUACUAUUACUUACACGCAUAAAUAUAUUCAAAAUUAUUACCAGAUAUGAUGUAUCUGUUUCGGCAACAAACAAAACAAUGCAUUAAACCUCUGUAUGAAUCAGGGGACAAAUGCAAUGAGAACAUUAUUAGGGCCUAUUUGGAUGUUAGAAUAAAUUAUUCAGAAAUAAUUUGUGAGAUACAAAAGUUCUCUCUCACGACGGCAAGCAAAACAUUUUCUCUAGCUCUUUGCAAGUUUUUGACGGUCACGAUUUGUCGCAAGAAUGUAUUUCAUCUCCGAGGUAAUUUAUAUUAUUCGGAGAAAUGACCUAGCUAUAAAUAGCAAAAAUAAUUUUUUUUUUUACAUUUAAUCAUACUUUUCAUAUACUAUAUAUCCGUAACUUUUCGAGAAUAUAAAAAAGACAUACCGAACGGAUGUUAUUUAAAUAAGUUAUUUUUUUCUAAUGCGUAACACACACUCUAUAUUGAUUCGCUUAAGAUAAAAAUUUAUGGUUGCGCUGACCAAAAACAAUAUAUUUUUAUAUAUUUUUGGCGGAUAAAAUUAGAACCAAACGAAAUGGUCCCUAAGAUUAGGAGAGGACGAGGCAGGGAUAUGUAGGUCUCGAUCAAGUUGGAUGUGCAUGCAGCUGCCCAUACCUAACAGAUCUCUAGCUGGCCCACUCCUAGUCCCUUCCCCAUCCAAUAAUAAAUGAGCAUGCACAUGCCAGUACUCCAGACCAGGGUGUCAACGAGCCGAAUACGAGUGGGGUAUUAUUUAAAUAAACGAACCGAACACGAUCAAAAAAAUUCAGCUCAUAUUCGGCUCGUUAAUAAAUGAGUCAAACACUAGCUGACGAGCUGGCCAAUAAAUAAUAAGUUAAAUGGAUUAGAUUGAAUAUGUAUGAAAAAUAAAUUUAUAAAAUCUUACUCAUUCGACUUUAAUCUAAUGGUUGAAAUUUUAUAUAUAAAUAAGUCUUUUUAUAAUUGUGCUCGCUUUAUAUAUAUUUUUUUACUAAAAAAUACUAAUAAAACAUUAUAUAUAUAAAAAUUAAGAGUCCGGUUACGGUGCUUGUAAAAGCACCAAGUUUUUUGUGCUUAUAAAUUUUCUACCAUUAGAUCUAUGCAUUUUAUUAUUUUCACCCGUUAGAUUAUACUAUUCAACCAACCACCCACUCAACCCUAGGAGGUCCACAUCAUCCUAACCGCAUAUCCCUUAAUCCAAGGGUCAAAAGCUUACAAGCACCAAUGACUUGGUACUUUUAAAAGUAUAGGAGCUCAAUUCUAUAAAUUAAAUAAAUUAUAUAAAUAUAAAAUAUAUGUAUUUGAGCUAUUAUUGAGCCGAACACGAACGAGCUGACCCCGGCUCGUGUUCGGCUCGUUUAUUAAACAAGCUGAAAAAUUCAGCUCCUGUUCAGCUUGUUUACUAAACGAGUGAUUCGAUCUCGAACUUAUUUCGAGCCGAACACGAGUUGGCUCGCAAACAACGAGCUGAAUUGCCACCCCUACUCAAGACAUAGACAUAUAUAUUGAAGCUAGAAUAAUAUUAACUAGCAAUGUACCUACACUGUGCUGCAGAUUCGAUAAGAAUAUUCUUAAUUAUAUUUGUAACAUAUAGUAUAUAUUACUAUUAAAUAUAUGUAUUGAACACAUAUUUUAAUGACAUUCAUUAGUAAAUUUGUAUACUAGAAAUAUAAAAAAAAAAAUUUUAAACAAAAUUUAAUUAAUUAAAUUUAUUUUAUAGUAUAUUAAAUAUGACUUUGUUAAAUGUAUUUUAUGCUAUUCAAAAUAUCUAUAUAUUAAAUGUUAUAAAUUUUUAGUUUAUUAAUUGAUUAAAGUUUAUGAUAUUUGGGUGUGGUUUAUGAUGCAUCGGGUGCACCGAAUUAACUAACAUAACAUGUGUUUCCUCCUCAUCUUCUUCCAGUCACUUGGUAUGGUUGCACCGGAUGCACCGAAUUAACCAUGUACAUAUGUUCCCUCCAUAUCUUCUCCCACCCAUUUUAAAAUAUAUAUAUAUAUAUAUAUAUAUAUAUAUAUAUAUAUAUAUAUAUAUAUAUAUAUUAUUUACUAUUAAUUUUUUAUCAUUGGAUGGGUAGAGUUUAGUAGGAAUUAAUUAGUGGAAUAAUAAUACUUUAAUUAAGGAUGAAAUAAUAAAUACUAUUCAAAUACCGUCAAUAAUAUAUACUUGGUGAAUUCUCUCUCUCUCUCUCUCUCUCCAACUUAAAAGGAUAAAUAUUUUAAUAAUAUACUAGGUGAACUCUCUCCCUCUCUUUCUAAGAAUAGAUAUUUUGUAAAUGCUUUGCGGUACACUAAAGUUGGUUGUUCGAUCAUAAUUGAUAGAAACAGUUAAAUCAUUGUACCACUAAUGACCCCUCGCACCAUUAAUGAUUCGGCCAAUUAGCAAAAAUAAUUUAUUGAAUGCAAACUACUGUCCCAGAAUACUUAAAUUUAUUUAUUAUUACUAAAGUGUGUGGUCUCUUAUAUUUUCAAUUAAAAUAUUUUUCUGAUCCAAUGUGGGGUUGUUAGAAUGUUAAAAACCCUCCUCGUUUAAACCCUUACGUUCUCCUCAAGUUCAAAACGAUCAUAGAUAUAUAGAUUAGAAUUAUCAGAAGAUAUGAGAUUCUUGGUAUCUCCUGUAGGUUCAAGAAGUGGUUACCAAGCGAUAGAUUCUAGAUAUGGCUCCCACCAAACCACCGGUGUAAUACUUUACCUAAUAUAACACUUAGUUUUCACACUUUCAAUUAAUAUUCAGCUCUAAUACCAACUGUAACAAUCUGAUUCGGUAGCACUUAGCUAUUGGCUGAAAAUGCUUAACCUUAUUUGUUAUUAUUAGAGUGUGUGGCCUAUUAUUUCCCAUCAGAAUCUUGUUUUCAUUUCGCCACCGUUUAGUUCGGGGUUAAGAAAAAGUAGCUAUUCCAGGGAUAGAGUUAAGUUCAGGAUUAAAAUAGUGUUAAAAUUUUUUUGUGUUUGGUUGAAGGUUGGAGUUAGUCUAGAAUAGUGAAAAAAAGUGUUUGGUUGGAGUAGGUGGGAUAAAAAGAUAAUGAUUGAUAAAGAAGAAAAAUGUGAGGGCUCGAGAUGCGUGCGGGGUUAAAGUUGGGAGGGGGAGUGGGGUUAAUGAUUGAUAAAAAAGAAAAAUGUGAGGGCUCGGAAUGCGUGCGGGAUUAAAGUUGGGAGGGAGAUUGGGGUUAGUAAACCCCACUAACCCGGUUUAGGGUGGGGUUUACUAACCCCACCCCUUAAGAGUGGUGUUUGGAUAUAAAUUGGGGGUUAAGGGGUUAUUCCACCCCUUAACCCCCAACCAAACGGUGGCGAAGGAGAUUGAGACGUUACAAUCAUAUAUAGUUGUCUUUUACUGCGGCAAGCUACUAUGUUUUUUAUUUUGAAAUUAAAAGUAAGGGAUAGAUUCGUCUAUUCUUUAUUUUUGCAAUUAUGAUUUGAAAACUUAUGCCUUACUGUUAUACAAUGCUAAUUUUGUUUUCCUCCAAAAAAUCUAUCAUUAAAUAUAUAGGAUGAUAAAAUACUAUAUUUUAUAAAGCACAAAGAAGCAUUGUCAUCUAGUGGUUUAUAAAUUAUAACACUUUAAUGCCCCAUUUAACUACAAAUCCUUAAUAUGAUUGGACAAAUUAGUCUGUCGAGCAUCAAAGUGUAUGUGAGACCCCAAAUAGUCCUAUAUAUAAGAUAUAUAAUAAGAUUAAAACUUUUAACCCGUUUAAAUAUUUUGGAUGGUGGCUAAGCUCAAGAGGUUAAGAAAGUUAAGCGUUUUAGGACGGGAGUAGUUCUAGGAUGGGUGAUUUCUCUGAAAAGUCAGCGUCAUAAUUGGUAUCAGAGACAAUUACGAGCCAGAAGUGUGAGAUGAAUUUCGGCUAAGCCAAAAGUAUACAGCGGAAAGACCGAGCCUCUCAUACUGUUGACUGUUGUAGGUAGAGCGCAGCUCAGCAUAAGAUCGAUUAAGACUAGCGAAAUGAGUCUUACAUCACCUAAUAUACUUGUGAGUCUGAGCUCGACGAGAACGUCAAGACUUAAAGUGGGGAGAAUGUGAGACUCUAGAUAGUCCUAUAUAUAAGUUAUAAUAGAGCUAAAACUCUUAAUCCAAUUUAAAUAUUUUAGGCGGUGGCUAGGCGUAUGAGGUUAAGAGAGUUAAACGUAUUAGAACAGGAGUAGCCCUAGAAUGAAUGACCUUCCAAAAAGUGGAAUGUCACAGUAUAGCUUUUGAACCGAUAAAGUAUAAAUAGUGAAAUAGACCAAACUACUGAGAAACUACGGAUUGAUGUGAAAAACUUUUUCUAGUCAAGUUAGAAGCUCAAGGUAUAUUUUUUAUUGUCAAACACUAGUAUGUAGAAAAGCUAUACCAAAUUCGACAAGCAGUAUCUCCCACUCUAAUGAAGGAAUAAAAGAAAAAUUAGUGGCUCAGGUAUCUGGUUCCCUCUCAAUGGCUCAGUGUUUCCUUUUGCAACAUAAAAGGUAGUUGUGCUGAGCUAUUCUACCCUAAAUUCACUUCAAUGUAGAAGCAAACUAGCCGAAAAUGAUAUUGGUGUGGAUAUAUAAACUAGGUAAUUAAACUCUACAUAUCCAUGUAGGUGAAAAAUCUAGGGUUAGUUGAGAACAUUAAAUGCUGUCAAGUGAGCAAACUACUAAUUAGGUGGAAAGAUAACAAACCCAAUUUAAUUUGGUACCUCUCGUAGAAUUACUCUAACUCCUAUUUACGUACAGGUGUUGAAAAAAAAAUGCUAAGAGGCUGUUUGGUUUGGCUCUACGUAAAAUUAUAAAAAAUAAGUUUUGGCAGAAAAAAUGUUUAUAUUUUUAAUUAACAUUUAGUUUGUAGGAAAAAAAAAGAAUUUUUUUAUCCAUACUUGUUAGGUCCACAUAUUUUGAUUUUUUAUUGUUGGACCUCCUAAUUCUUUUGGCGUGCAACAUGUUUGCCACAACCUUUCGCAGCUUGAGUUUUCGUUUAAAAAAUAAUAAUAAAUUGCAUGUUUGGUCCCCAAACCAUGACGUCAGUAAUAUUUUGGUUCUCAAACUUUAAUUUAUAAUAAGUUUUUACUCGAACUUUUAGAAUUUAUUGCAAUCAAAUCCUGACUCUAAUUUUCAAAAUUACUGCAAACAAGUCCUACACUGAUGUAAAAAUAAUGUGACAUCUUAGUUGCUAGUACAUCACCAAUCAUGUCAUUGCUAUACCACUUCUACGUUAGCGAUGUGUAAAUAUUUAGGUAACUAAAUUGAAUUGCAACAAUUCUAAUAAUUUGAAUUUAAAAUUAUAAUAAAUUAAAAUUUGAGAAUCAAAAUAUUCCAGUCCUAUAGUUUGAGGACCAAACAUGCAAUGUACCCAGAAAAUGAUAAUAAUUUUUUCGGUAAAAUCCAUGCAGUACUUUCAUGCUAUGGUAGAAGGGGAAAUGUUGGUAAAACAGUUCCAAAAGUAGUAACAACUUUUCAAUAAAAUCAUUCUAAUCUCAUGCUCUAUGAGAACAUUGCUAUCGAACGACAAACAAACUUUACCGGAAUUAUACUAAUAAAAGACAAAGGAAGAUUUAAAAUUGAGGAGGCUUCAAAUCGGAAGAUCUAUCUGAUAACAAAACUGUAUUGGAAUUAUACUAAUAAAAGACAAAGAAAUUAAGAUUUAAAAUUGAUGUUACGACAAGCGUAGAAAACGAAAACGAAAACGAAAAUGGUGAAUACAAAAUAGUUAAACCACAAGCAGAAAUAAAAAAGAACACACAGAUUUACGUGAAAAAUUCUUUGUAGGGAAAAACCACAGGCGAGAGAGGAGAGAACUUCACUACCGAAAAGAGAAUACAAUGUUUGAAAUACAACCAACCACAAUCUAUCGGCCUGAGCCCUCCGCUAUCCACCAUAGACAUUCAUUUUUUCUUCAUAAUUUUAUUUUCCAAUUUAGUUGCACCGCGAAACUGUCGGCGAGUCGAAAUCUUGAACUGAAGUCGGUUAUCAAUUUCGAGUCACAUCUAACAAUUGAGGAGGCUUCAAAUCGAAAGAUCUAUCUGAUAGAAAACUGGUUUAGAAAUAGUAUUAGUAAUAACUAGAAUAUUUAAAGGCUAAAUUAUAUAAAAUCCUCAUGUCAAAACCCGAUUUUUCACUUUCUCCCCUGUCAUUUAAAAACCUACACUUUGCCCUCUUGUAAAAUGAAAAUGUUCACGGGGAGUACGGUGUGAACUGUGAUGGCAAAAUGACCAUUUUGCCAUCACCAUUUUCGUCUUCUCCCUCAUCUUGCUUAUCCGCCGUCACGAUCGACCGCGGUUCGCACCUCGAUCGGCCGCAGUUUCUCUUAAUUUUCUUCUCCACCUGCUCCCCUUCUCCUUCUGCACCCUCGUCGCCCCUUCAUUUCAGCGAUAGUAGGGAAGAAAUCGAGGUGGGCGGGAAUGGAUAGGUGGGCAAAGGCAACGAGGGCAAAGGUGAGGCGGCGGAGGAGGACGAGGGGGUGUUUGUGGGCGCAGACGGAGAUGUGGGCGAGGGCGAGGCAGUGGAGGAGGGCGAGGCGGAGGAGGGGCGAAGCAACAGUAGAGAGGGCGGAGGAUAUUUUUGGCAUAAAAAAAUAUUUUAUAAUGAAACCCUAACGGAUUACUAACAGUAGGAAGUGAAGUGAACAUUUUUUAUUUUACAAGGGGGCGAGUGUAGGAUUUUAAAUGACAGGGAGGAAAGUGAAAAAUCGGAUUUUGACAGGAGAGUUUUCUGUAAUUUAGCCAUAUUUAAAUGAAUAUUCUAUUUUUUGACUUAGCUCAAAACCUGUUUCGCCUUAACAUCACAUAAGAAAAAAUUCAUAUUUUGUAAUUCGCAAAACAUCAGAUUAUUACUUUAUUCUUUAGAUGAGAGAGGCUGUUCCAAAGUUACCCUCUUUUACACUCUCAACAUUGUAAGAAAGCUAAAUAAAAGAUUGGGUAAACUAUACUUCAUCCUCAAACUGUAAGGCGUGUGGCACUUUAAUUCUCAAGUCUUAAUUCAUUGUUAUUUCUGACUCGUAAUUGUUAGCUUUAAUGGUUCAACAUGUCCUAUGGCGGAAGGCCAAGUUGGACUGAGUCAGGUUCGCAAUGGCAUGAGGCUGGGUUGGCCGAGCCAUGUUCGCAGUGGCGUGAGGUUGGUAGGGCUGAGUCGCAAUCGAGACCCCUGAGCGUUGUGUCUGUAUGCUUUAAAUAACUGGUUGUGCAUUUCUAACAGGUCGAGCUUUUGGGAUUAAUAAUUAGCGCUAACGAUCCGACAAGUUGUAUCAGAGCCAGAGGUUACAGGUUUGAUCACGCAUGCCACGAAUUUGUGCAGGUGCUAAAAGGAGGAUUGUUGACUAAAAUGGGUCAGCAUUCUGCCCUGUGGCGGAAGGCUAGCGUAGGUUGAGUCACGUUUGAAAUAGCAUGAGGCUGGGUUUGGCCGAACCAUGUUCAAAAUGGCAUGAGGCUGGUUAGGCCGAAUUACAAUCGAAACCCGUGAGCGCUAUAUUUAUACGCUUUAAGUGAAUUUCUUACAUAUUUCUAAUAUCGUGAGUUUUGCUAGAAUAUUAUCAGUAGUAAACGAGCCGUUUUACUACAAUUUGUUUUCGAUGAUAGAACUUCCAAAUUGACGAUCGGCUCCAUUGAAUAUGAUCUAUACCACUUGAAGUGUUUAGAAAUCAAAUUUCAAAUCUUUUCGACAUCAUUUGCCUAAUGAUCAGAGGGUUUCAAAAUUUAUAAUUUUAAUGGUCGAUAAGAAGCGUUUUCUCGUUUAACGGCGUAAAGAUAUCCAAAUCAAUUGAAUUUUUAUUAGAAAAUUCUUUAAACUUUUUAAAACAAGAUCUAUACUCUUGAUCUUGAUUACAAGACUCCUAUCAUCAUUUUUUAAAGAAUAUUCAUUUUCAGCCAUUCAUUUUUUUUUCACUAGAUGGAUAAAAGAACAAUAUCGAAAGUGCGUGAAAUUUGAUUUCUAGGUAGUUUAAAUGGUUUAGAUCAUAUUUAACGGAGCCGAUCGUCAAUUUGGAAGCUCUAUCAUCGAAAACAAAUCGGUAGUAAAACGGCUCGUUUACUAACGAUAGUAUUCUAGCUCAACUCCUAAUAUCGUUUUGUAUUUCUAACAGCUCGAACUUUUAAGAUUAAUGGUUAGCGCUAACAAUCUGACAGUGCCUUCUUAAUUGUCGCAAUUAAGUCUCAAAAUUCAAUUUAGCUGACUAAAUAAUAGUAAAUUAUUGAUGAAAAACUGAUGAAAAUAUUGUGAUUAAUGAUGCGAUAAUGAUUAAAACACAUUACGUAACUUCCAUAUCAACAAUUUUGUCAAUAUUUAAUUUUUUUAUAAUAAUAAAAAAAUUAAACUAAAAAUUAUUAUAAAUUAAAAUUUGAGGAUCAAAAUAUCACACAACUCAGAAUUUGACGGCGGAAAGUGUAAUUUGGCUUAAAAGAUUCUAUUAUUUUUUUUGUGUGGAUGGAAACUAAAGAGCAACUGUUCCUAUCUUCUUAUGUUGUGCUCGAUGAAAGCUAAAGACUACCUACGUGUAUCUUCUUCUGGAUUUGUGCCUGGUGAAUGAUUCAGACAUCAUAAGAUACUGGAUGUUGACAUGGGACACACAUAAGCAUCCACUGUCCUAGGAAGCAUCUCAAACCAAAGAUCAAUGGGACUCUAACAAAUAAGUACUUUCUCAUAAAGAGAAUAUAACCAAAAUGUAGAUAACAAGGAAUAUAUAUAUAGAAUUAUACGAUUGUACUAUCGAUAGCACCAAGUGCUUGGUAUUAUUAGAUUUUCGGUCUUUAGAUGAAAGAAGGUGCAGUAAGAUAAUAGUAGUCUCAUCGGAUUGAAUGGAUGCAUGGUUGAAUAUGUAGUAUGAUCUAACGAAUGAAAAUGGUCAAAGAGGUAGAUCUAACGACAAGAACUCGAUAGCACCAAGUGUUUGAUACUAUCGAUAGUAUAGUAGCGAUAGUAGUUGGACUCUAUAUAUAUAACACUGUUAUCCAUCAAACGAUCUGAUAUAAGGACGACUUACGACAUAGGACUAUUUAGAGGCAAAGGAGCUUAGGAGAUCCUUUGGUAUCAUUUGUGCGAUCACUAAUAAUCUAAAACGUAACAUUUUUAUAAUUUGAAAUAGUCUUAUAUAUAAAAUAUAUUAGAGUUAAAAUUUUUAGUCUGGCUAUAAUAUUUUGAGUGAUGACUAGAUCCAAGAGGUUAAAACAGUUGAACCAACUUAGAGUUAGAAUAUUUCUAGAAUAGAUGACCCUCUGAAAAGUGGGGCAUUACAGUCAGUAUUAAUUAAAGCCAAUCUCCCGCUAAAAUAUAAGAUGAGACUCGACUGAGCCAAAGUCAUAAAGUGGGAUAAAGUACAGAGUGGAGUGCAAUUUCCUAUAAGAUCGGCUAAACUAGUGAGAUGGGUGUCACAUUGACUGAUAUUUGUAAGUGUGCUUGAGGGUAACAAGGAUAUUAGGACUUAAAAGAGGCCGAAGGGGUUUGGGAGGGUUGUUGGUUGGGGGGGGGGUUAUGUGACAUCCUUUUGGAAUAAUUCAAUAUGUAAUAUAUAAUAAGUCUAGCUAAUCUUUUAAUUUGACUAUAAUUUUCUAGGUGAUGGCUAGCUCCAAAAUAUUAAAAGGGUUGAGUGAGUUUAGGACUUACGUAGUUCUAGAUAGAAUGGAACCCUUCCUGAAAGUGGGGCGUCACACCAAAUGUUAAUAAGAUGCAACUAGCACCCAAAAAUAGAUAAUCAGAACUCAAAUUUAUAGUGUUUGGUCUGCAGAACAUGUCUAAAUAAGCUGUUACAAUGUUUGAAUGAGAACCAUACAUGUAAAAAUAGAAAUAAUAGAAAAAGAGAAAAAGUUGGAUAUGGUUUGCACUAAGAUAUAUAAAAUGUGGAUCAUGUUUGCAUCAUCAAGAUUUGGAACAAAUUAGUUGGCUAUAUCAGUCAUCAUGAUGUUACAAAAAAACAAGAGGAAAAAAAAAUAGAAAACGUUGUUGAUAUUUGACUACAUGUCUGAUUAAAAUUGUACAGUAUAUACCAACCGUCCCUAGCACAAGUGGCAAAGGGUUUGAUGGUUGGUAUAUUCGAAAUUCCAAGUUCGAAUCCUAAUUAAUUCACAUAUUUAUUUAAAUUUAUUUCUAAAUAAAAUAAACGAAAGGAGUAGCAUGCUAGCUUAUCUUUCAAAAAAAAAAUUGUUUUGUACAUCAAUAACUUUAGCUUUUAAUCAACACAGAUUAAAAGAUUGGAGAACAGUAGAGCUAGUUGUUCUUUUAUUUAUUAUUAGUGAAAUAUCCGCGCGAUACUGUAGUGUUCCUGAGCUUUGGAUAGGAUUGGCUUCAGUAUUAGUGACUGGUCGACAUCUCUGGAGAGUGUCGGACUGAGUCGGAGUCAAUUCUGCACGAAUUGGAUGCAGAAUUGGACUCGACGCACUCAAAUAAGCAAAACUGAAGUUUUGCCAGAUUCGGGCGCCCAGAACAUUUUUAGGGUCGCCCAGAAACGAGUGUUGAAUUUAACUGAAACUGGAAGUCAAUUCGGAUCCCAAGUUCCGGGCGCCCAGAAGUGGGUCCGGAAAUUCGACAUUGUGAAUAUCGCUUGCUUCGACGCGUGGCAGGGCGGUAGGUGAGUUCCGCCGGAGCCAUUUACGGGCGCAGCGCACCGCGAGCGGAGAGUCCGAGGAGCCCGUUUUGUGCAGGCUGGAUGUUCUGGUCGCCCAGAACAUGGUUCCGGGCGCCCAGAAACGCCCGUUUCUGCAGGGGCACUGGAUUGCGGCUAUUUUUCCUGGGGCUUAUCUGAUCUAUCCAGCAGCCUAUAAAUAGCUGAGAAGCGCCCCCUUUGAGCUCUUUUACCUGUUCUUCACAGAGGACUUAGAUUUUACUCCCAAAUCCCUCAAAUCUUUCCAAUUUGCAUCAAGAUCCACCUCUCCAAGAAUUGCAAGGUGCUGAUUUUGCAGUUCUUCAGCGACGACCUCCAGUGUUUUGGCUCGUGCGCGACGUAGGAAGGUCGGAUUUCGACGAAACUUGGUUUGCUGGAUUCUAGACUUCCAGAGGAAUCCACGAAGCCCUGAAUUGCAGAUUUUGGUUGAGGUUAGCUUGGUCGAAUUGAGGUUUUUCUGGACUGCUGUUGGCUUUGAGCUGAAAAUGGGAUUUUUGAGUUUUUCUUGAUGCUAACUUUGUAGGCAGUGGGAUUUUAGACCUGAGAUUGAUCACCCCUCAGUAUUUGCUGGAUUUGAAACUGUCCUCACCUGAUUUGGAGAUCAUUAGGUGAGUUUUGACAUUGGAGUUGAGAUGAAUUAGCUUAAGUGCUGAAAUUUUGGCUAUUUGAUGAUUUUUAUUGGAUUUUUGGGUGAAUUGUAAAUCCAGAUCUUAAGGGGCUUUGUUGCUGGUUUGGAGGGGUUUCCAGCAGUGUUGCUUGAAGAUCCGAGACCCUCUUGCUGCCAGGAAUUGCAUUAGAGGUGGGUGUAUCAUCGGUUUCGCUCCUAAGUGCAUGUUUAGUCGACGUGUAUAGUUCGAUUUUUGUAUAUCAUGCUUUAAUUCAUCGAUUAGCAUUUUGGAUGUAAUAUGAAUAUAAAAGCAUGCUGAAAUGAAUGUUUAUAUUAUACAUGUUGGACUUGAAAUUUGACUUAGGAGAAAACCUGCGUUUUGACCCGUCAUAUGCUUAAACUACCAGAUUUAGCUCUAGGAGCCGUGAUUCGAUUGUAUCGUUGCAGUAUCAGUGCGAUGGAUACCUGGGGUAGUUUAGAAGGCAUUUACGCUCGUGCUGGGGUGCCGAGCUUAUUUUUCAGCAGAGUUUAGGCUGUUUCGGGUCGUUGGGUGCCGUUCGGGUUAGCGGUGGACCCAGAUUCUUGUUUUGGUCACAGAUUGUGCCGAGGGCACGUGGGUUUGGUUUGUAGACCUGUUUUGACCCUGUUCACUUGACUUUGGCUAGUUGGAGCCUGAUUGAGCUCGACAGAGAUACGCUGCAUACUCGGUUGGGUAGCGCCCACGAGUGCGACUCCGGAGUCAGGCUUUGUGCUUUCGCGUUGGGGUCGCUCAUGCCAGUUGGACUUGCUCUCCACGGACCGGUUAGUGUGGAUAGAGCCCGAUAGUCGCAACGGGGCAGGGACGGGUGUAUUCACAGUCCCGGGGAUGGGUAUGCUUACAGUCCCGAUUGGAUUGGGUCAGGUUGGACAUUUUCUACAGUUGGUUAGUGUAGAGCAUAAUAGUGUAGUGUUUGAUAGCGGUAAACUUUAUUCUUGCAUUUUACUACUAUUCUUGCUCCCUUCUGUAGACUUAGUGGGUGGACCGAUAUUGUUUUGGACGGUACCUACUGAGGACUACUUGUUUUUACAGUAGUUCUCACGCCCAGUUGUUACCUAUGUUUUUGCAGAGCCACAGGUUCUGGUUGCUGCGCCUUCCGCGGAUCAGGAUCGAGGCAAGGGCGUCGCGAGUUAGAGCCCUACCCGACGUGCUGAGCUAGAGGUGCCCCUACUGCAGGUAGAUGUUUUGUUUCGAGUUUAUGUACAUAGUGGAUUUAACUCGCCAGUGCGAGUAGUUUUGUAUUUUGGAUUUGGACUAUGUAUAUGAAACUCAGUUUGUUUAGCUUCUGUUUUCUCUAGCAGCUCUCUACUACUGUUCGUAGUAGUGUUUGAUUUAUAGGUACAGUUAUCGCUUCGUAUACAGGGAAAAUUUCUUUGUAUACGGCGGAUUUGUCGGCGCGCCCGGGGAAAGUGUAAUCCGGCGGGGACAGAUAUACGGAUAUAAAAAAUAUUUUUAUAAUAAUUUUAUUUUUUAAUAUGUUUAUAUAGUUUUAUAAGUCUAAUUAUUAAUUAAAUAAAAGUUAUAAAAAAAUAUUAAUCGUUAAAUCUAUUUAAAUAAAAGUCAUUAAAAUCGGUAUAUGCCCAAAGUAAAUUUAUACAACAAUUUAUUUUAUAAUAUUUAUAUGAAAAUAAUUGAGAUAAAUCUAUCAAAAUAAUUUUAAAAAAUUAAUAAAUAGAAGAAAAUAAAAUUGUAAAAGAAUUGUUUAAUAACAUUAAUAUAUAUCUAUACACAGAAAUACACUAUAUUUCUAAAUUUUACUCCUAAAUUUAAAUGCUCUAUUUUUUUUUAUAUAGCGAUAUUUUUACGUGAUUUAAAUUAUAUCUAUUAGGUUAGAUUUUAUUACGCCAAUUUAUUAUGCGUAUUAUUAAUAAAAUUUAAUAACUAUAUUAUAUAUAAUGAAUUAUUAAUAAAAUUAAUUAAUUAAUUUCACAUAGUUUAGAGAUUUAAAAUUUAAAAUUUUAAAAUUUAAAAUUUGAAAAUAAAUAUUAUAAAUUAAAUUUAAAUUUUAAAAUUUAAAAUUUAAAAUUUGAAAUUUUAAAAGUUUCAAAAUUUUAAAUUUUGAUAUCAAAUAUAUAUAUAUAUUAAUUAUUAUAAUAAUAUAUAGAGGGAGAGAGAGUAAAGGGGGGUUUGGGAGGACACGUGUCACCUUUGGUCCCCAAACCCUUCUUUAAUGUAGAGAAAUAGAAAAUAGAUUUAAAUAGCAACUAGUAUACAAAAAAUCAAAGGAAAAUGCGCAAUCGAGCUCAAUGCAAGUAGCACUCCAGAGUGUACCAGAUAUGAUGGAAGAAAUCAAGAGAUUAAGUAAAAAAAAAUGUCAAGUACAUAGAAAUGCUUUGGGUGCCCCAUUUUUGAAAAUCCUAUAAUAUUUUUGUUAAAUAUGUUUCGAAUUCUAAUACCGCAAAGUUUUCUAAUUUUAUUCUGUUUUGAUUAUGCCUAAUUUUAUUAAAAUAUUUAUAAUUUUAGUGGGUUUGUAUUCCUAGUUAUAUCAGGAUUUAAUUAGCCACUAUUAUAAAUAUACCCUUUAUUCUAUUGAUUUAGUGCGAAAAAUGAGAAAGAGAAUAUAGGUGUAUUUUUGGGAUUAGGGUUUUGUGAGAGAGACAUAUUUUGUAUACCACUUUGAUUAUAAUGAAGAUCUCCGCUCCGUUUUCGCUCGUGUACGUAGGUCGAUGGCCGAACUACGUAAAUAUUGUGUGCUUUAUUUUGCUUCUCUCUUUCUCGAAUCUCUUUUUGUAUUUUCGCACCCGACGAACUAGAUCUUUUCGGUUUUAGUUCCAACAAUUAUUGAUGGAUUGGCAUAUACAUAUGGAGAGAUUAUGAUUUAGGAUUUAGAAUCUAAUAAUGACGAUGCUUGAGAUUUAAUAAUGAUGUUUGAAAUUUAGUAAAUAUUAUUUAGGGUAUAAUAAUGAUAUUGUCGUGUCAUUAAAAAUUUUAUAAGGAACACUUAGGGGUGGCCAAACAGAAUUAAUUCAAACAGAAUUAAUUAGUGAAAUUAUGGCUUAGUUCGAUUCAGUUUUGUAGUGUUUCUGGUAAUCCAAACAGAAUUAAUUCGCUAACGUAAAAAUCCAAAAGAUAGUCAAAUCAAAAUAAUUUGACUUCGUUCGGUUAAUUUUAUUCAGUUUGAGUGUUUAUUAAACCCCGUCUUGGCUUAUCCGAAACAAUUAUUAUCCAAAACAUAACAUGUAUCAUGUUCUUUUUAUUUAGGAGAAUUCAUCAUUUAUUAUAUCAUCAUUAAAUUCAGUAUUUUUUUUUUAUCAAUUAGUUUCAUUAUAUCAAUAUACGUAAUUAAACCGAAUUACUAAUUAAACUAAAUAAAUUAACAUAAUUCUGUUCAUCACAGUAUUGUACAUAAUAACGAGAAAUGCUACCGGUGUACUUCAAAGGGCGAAAAAUAGGUCCAUAUCUUGUCAUUUUUUUUUUGUUUAUAUAAGUACAAAAAAUUUAAAGGUUUUUAUGAACCUUUGAAUGAAUAAGUGUAAAUCAAACACUUCUUGUGGAUAAAUAGCAUUUUUACACAUCUUAAUAUAAGAAUGCUUUGCCGGAGAAUCUUUGCUUUCUUCAACGUGAUAAGUGGCAUCUUUGCCUUUUUCAUUUUUUUAAAAAAAUAUAAAUAUGUUGGCAAAUUUUUUUGUUUUUAUCAUAUUAGGAAAAAAAAAAGAGAUUAAAUCCACGACCUUACAGAAUAAGAGGAUUUAGUAUUACUCAAAAUAUUGAUCUAAUAAGAAAUAUAUAUUAAUAAUAUAUAACUAGGUUUUAAUAGAAAAAAGGCUGAAUGUGAAAAGACAUUUCAAAAAAAAAAAAAAAAUUAAAAAAAGUAUGAUCAAUAAAAAGCUUUAAAAUAAGGUUUUUUUUUUCUUUUUUGUUGCUACCAAACAAAUUGGUAGAUUUAUGCAUAUACUGCAAGAAUCUAUUGUCAUUUGCAAUUCAAAUAAAUAUUUUAAUUAAAAAAAAUUAAUGAAACAACAACAAGUAUCAAACAGUAAGGUCAAAUUAAUUUCAACAAUGUAAUUAUAAAUACCCACAAUUUACUCUCUCUCUCUCUUACCUAAGCACCAAAGGAUACAUAGGAUAGACUAAUCCAGUAAUCUAGUGGGUAAAACCACCGNCAAUUGACUACUGGACUAAACCCCUAACUAGUUACCGAAAAAAAAUUAUGUGCAACCUGUAUGAUAACCAGAUGCAAGACGUCCCCGCGGAGUCCUACGGCGAUGGCUCCGACCGUGGCGGUCGCAGGUCCCACGAUAAACCGCAAAGCCAUUCCGACGACCGCCAAUCUCGGCCCGCACGCGAUCAACUUCUCUUGCAGUGCCAUGAAUUGUCCUAGACACCAGGACGAUGUCAAAAUUCUUGCAUGCUUCGCAAUACAAACUUUAGUCGAAAAUUUCAUUCUUAUUAAUUUAGAGGGAUAUAUAAAACUCGAUCUGCCUACCCAUGUUAAACAUAGCCAUUCCGGCACCGCCCCUCGACAUGAUCUGCACUGAUCCUUCGAUUACGCUCGGCAUCUCAAUGUGCCAUCUACAAACUCACGAAGAAGAUAAAUAUUUGAAUGUGUGCAAAUACUGAUGCUUAUUGUGCAAAAUGAAAAACAUAUAUAAAUUGGUUUUAUGGAGUUGAAAAAUUAACCAUCUGUUUAAGUUCUUUUUUUUAAAACAAAAAAAAAAAAAAAAAAAAAAAAAAAACCCUACCUAAUCCAAAUCCCUUUCACAAGAGAAAUUAUUACCUGCACACACUACAUAUCAAAUGCCCUACAGUAUCAUAGAGAUCACAAAUUAUCAUUUAAAAGACCCAUACAUCAAAAUUCAUAAAUUUUGAACUUCACUUUUUUUUAUGUAAAUUGAACAAUAGUCAUUUCUGUAGUUCUAAUUUUCAAAGUUACGUAAAAAUUUAUAGUUUUCUUUUUUAUACGUAGACUUUUUAAAUAUUACAAAUUAUAUUUAUUAUUAGAUUAGAUUUGAUUUGAAUAAUGCACGAGACGUACAGAUACGCGCACAAUAAUUUCUCCCAUUAAAAAAUGGGGCUGAUGCUCCUUGAGCAGUCAGCACCAGAGAAAUAAACAAACUCAGGUGGCGCUUCCCCCACGCCUCAGUUGGCUGGCACGGCCCCCCAUCUCCAGCCCGCAUAAAUUCCCAAGAAUCAACCCCCACAAAACCAUCUUCCCAUUCCCUGUCCCCUCCCUCAUCCUCACUCCACCCCUUCACAAUAUUUUUUUUUUUCUUUUUUAAUCCACUAUCUCUUCAAUCCCUCUCCCCCAUUUCUUGUUAAUUUUAUCAAAUAUUAAAAACCGUUCUCUGCAAGCUUAAGCUUAUGUUUGGCUUAAAUGCCAGAGUAAGAUUUUCAAUUAUAAAUAACUUACUCGAUGCAAAAAAUUUUGUGUGAUCCAGACGUUUGAUUUUGUAUGAAAGAGCAAUAUAUUUUAUUUAAAAGAUAAUUUAUCUUUAUCCUAAAAUAAUAAUUUAAAAUUUAAAUACAGUAUUUAUUUUAAAUAUCUGAUCACGCUUCUUAUCCACCAAACAAUGCUUAAUUUUGAGUAAAUUGAAAAGAUUUACCUAGUAAAUAUUAAUAUUGACAUGGUAUACUAGGGCCGAGGAUUUUGAGUUUCAAUCCGAUUAGACUUUUAUUCGAAUUGAUUUUUUUUUCUACUUAAGUAUUGCUGAGUGUCGAAAAUGUCUCGAAUUUAGAAGUGAGAAGAUAGAAUACAUGCAUUGAGUAGCAUGUUAUGUAGCACCACUAUCCUCUAGUUUAUUCCAACUUCCUCUCCCCCACACCAACCCCACUUGAUCGUUUUCCUAAGCUAGGCCUCCAUUGACCAACACCCACACUUUCUCUCUCUCUCUCUCUCUCUCUCUCUCUCUCUCUCUCUCUCUCUCUCUCUCUCUCUAUUGCUGCAUACGAAGAAGGAGGCCAGGAGAUGAAGAUACAGUGCGACGUGUGCGGCGGCGCGUCGGCGACGGUGUUCUGCUGCGCGGACGAGGCCGCGCUGUGCGACGGGUGCGACCGGAGGGUCCACCACGCGAACAAGCUCGCGGGGAAGCACCGCAGAUUCUCGCUGAUCGACUCUCCGUCGUCUUCGCCUCCGCCACCGUCCGGCAAAGCCGACCCGCUCUGCGACGUGUGCAAGGUGAGCGGGGGGAGGCUCUCUUUCGCUGUUCGCGCCUUUCUUUUCAGAUCGACCGGAAUGCAAUUCAGUUAGUUUGCUUUCGCAGGAGCGGCGCGGCUUCGUGUUCUGCCAGGAGGACCGGGCAAUCCUGUGCCGCGACUGUGACGAUCCAAUACACAGCGCGAACGAUCUCACGAUGAGGCACAACCGGUUCCUGCUCACCGGAGUCCGGCUCUCUACGGCUCCGAUUACUCCCUCCCCUUCUUCGUCUUCGCCAGAGUCUAAUUCUAGAUCUCCGGGAGACGAGAAGGUUGUUGGUAAUACAAAUAGUAAAAAUAGCACUGCUAAUGCUAAGCAAGAUAAGAAUUUGGCCGCAGAGGGGAGCAGCAUCUCGGAGUACCUCACUAAGGUUUGCCCUGGCUGGCACGUCGAGGACCUUCUGAUCGAUGGCGACGAUAUUGUCGUCGGUGGCUUCUCGAAGGUACAUCACUUUAAAACCGAAUCACUCUUCAGAAGUUUGUGCCUGUUUGGCCUGGCUUUUUCUGUAUGCUACAUAUCUUGGUUGGCACGGCUGACAACCAUAAGCUUUGACAAUACAAGAUUGCUUCCGCUUUCAGAUCUUUCUACCACGAGUGCGGUGCAACAACUCUAGCCAUAAAAGCUAGACCAAACAGACUCUAAAUUCGAUUGGAAUUGUACUGCAAAACUGAUCGCCUUGUCGGUGCAGGAGAAAGAGCUAACGGCUUUCCAGCGGGCGGAUCCGGACGGCAGCAGCGGCAGCCUGAACUCGGCGGGGGCGACGGAGUUCCCCAAGUGGGCCCCACUGGUACCCCAGCUCCCGCCGCUUCCAUCGGAAAUUCCCGCCAUACGAAACGGCAGCGCCGGUACCGUCACGGUAUCUUCGCAGUGGACGGGCCCCAAGGAGCUGAGCCCAAGCUACGACAUCGGGGAGAGAGUCGGGCGCGAGCGGUGGAGUGUCGACGACGCCGUGACGGUGCCUCAGAUCUCCCUGGCUCCUUCCAGCAAGAGAACAAGAACACCUGUUUGGUACUACUGAGCUAGUUAAUUACAUGUUCUUUUCUAUGUCAAUUAAGAAGCUUUUACAUAUAUAUUGCAGUGUAUGGUUUUGCAACUGAUGAUUGGUGAGAGUGUUUUGGUUUCCACCUUUUCCACUGUAUAAACCCGGAGCCUCUUUUCCCUAAUAAGCUAAUGAACCUUUGUUCCCCGGUUUGUGUUCUAUAAAUAUUAUCUACCUUAAACUUGAAAUGAGAUCUAGGAGAUUUGCAUAACAAGGAGAGAAUAGAGAGGAUUUUUUUUUCUUUUUUUUUUGAAAAAAAAAUCACAUUUGACGAAAUUCUUGAUGAUUAAGGUCAAAGGGGUUCCCUCCAUUAUCUUGAUUAUUUUUGAAAAAUUAUGAUCUCUAAUAAAAGAAUCAAAGAUCUAUCUAUGGAAAAGAACCAAUGUUGAACUCCAUUUGGUACUGCUGCUGUUUUUUUUGUUACUGAAGUUUAAAAUUAUAUUUAUUUGGAGUAACAAUAACAAGUGAGUGAAAGUUCGUCCCAACACGUUGGAGUGUACACAGAAUUUAAAUUUUUUUUAAAAUAUGAGCGGUACCAAACGAGAUCUAAACUUCUGAACUUAUUAGAGUCUCCAAUACUUGCAUUUUGGAGAUGGAGAAAAUAAAAAAUGUAAAGAGAGUUGUAGAACUUUAGAAGUGAGUAGCAAUUAAACAAAUUGUGAUUAAGAUGUUUCUCUUCCCCUUUCAACACCCAAUUUAUUGAUUUCCCCCUUGUUGUAAUAGGACUGUCAUAUCACUAUUCCCUGGUACUAGUUUUUUACUUUAAAAAAGCACCAAACUUAUUAUAGGAUUAGUACCAUUGAUGAUACCAUCCUAUACAUAUUUACCCAACGAAAAAGUGAUCGGGCACCAACCGUCGCUAGAGCAAAUGGCAAAGGACUUGGUGAUUGGUACCUGAGACUCAAGUUCGAAUUCUAGUUGAUUCACAUUUCCAGCUAAAUUUAUUUAUAAAUGAAAUAAACAAAGCGGGCAGCAUGCUACCUAUCUCUCUCUCUCAAAAAAAAAAAAAGUGAUCUGGCAUAUCUCAAACUAACUUUUUUUUAUUUUAUUUUUUAUGCAAUUCAUUAAUUUUUUUUUUAAAAAAAAAGAAUAUAACCAUAUCUUGUAACCCAACAAGGCAAUAAGAAUUAAUGCAUCAUUUGUUUUGUAAUUGAACCAGUGCAAAGCUCCAAAUUGGAGUUUCUUGAUUUUUUUUAAGAUAAAAAAUAUACAUAACUUAUCUGAACUAAAAUUUUAAUCUUACUACACAAUCUGUUAAUUUAUUUGAUUUGACUUUAAAAUUUAAGCUACCUGCUUAAUCUACUGAAGCGUACUAAUUAAACCUGUAGAAAUAAACAACGCAUUUAAAUUUUUGAGUUAAAAAUAUAGUUGAUCGACUAAAAUCAAACAAAUUGUACGUCUGGAUAGUAAAAUCAAAAUUUUUAAAGAUCACAUAGAAUGACCCAUAGUUUCUAAUCUUUUUCUGAAAGUAAUUAAUCUUCAUAGUUGGAUGAUUUUUUUCUUAGAUUUUCCUACACACAUACACCAUUUUCUCCUCCCUCUCACUACAAAUCUCCUCCUUUUUCAGCAGAUAAUCCACCUCCAUCAGAACUAGGCUUUGGAACAUCACCAAUCAUCUUCCCUUGUCAAUGGCCCCUGUUGACAUGUCCUCAACUUUGCUUGCAUUGACAACCUGUGGGCCAUCAAAAUUAAAGUGUUCUCUCCCACAAGGUACCUCCCCAGACCCUAGAAAAUUGCCCACAUACUCUUGUUUUAUUUUUUUUUCUUUUCUUUUCUUUGCUUUUCACAUUAUUGGAUUCUUGGGAUCAAGAUAAUGCACCAACCAAUAAUAAGAAGACAACACAAACAAUGGUCCCCCAUCCUUUUUUUUUUAAAAAAAAAAGAUGUUCUAGACAGAUCCAAUGCUUUGUCAAUUGAUUUUAAAUAUUUUGCAAUUGAAUUAGGACUACAAACUGUUAAAAGAUUCAAUAAAUAAAUUUUAUUUUUAUAAAGUAUUUAGUUUUCUGUAUUGAAACUUCUACGACAGUAAAAAGCAGAAACAUUAUUUUGAAACUAGAAUUAGAAUCUUUAAUUUGAGGCUUCUAUUUGCGCUUUGAGCUAUCAUUCGCUAGUAGUUUUCUCUGACUAAUAAUACCUAUGAUUCUAUAUGUAAGCAAAUUUUUGUACAUGAUAAGUUACUAAAAAUAUUUUAGUAUCACUUUUCAAACGGCACUUUGUUAAAGAGCAUCACGCAAAUACCAUUCAUUUGGCACAUUUGAAGGAUACAUAAUUGAGUCUCCACCUAAACCUGAGCAAAAAAACAUAACAAAGGUUUAUUCCCCUGCAAUUGGACUCGACAAACCACAAACAAUCCAACUCUUCUUCUAACAAUAGAGAAUAAAUUAAAACCUUCAAUUAAACCAAAUUGAUCAACAAAAAAAAAAGAAAAAAGAAUAAGACCUUGUUUACAUAUGAUCCGAUUAAAUUACUCAAUAAUAACUCAAUUCAGCAUAUAUUUAUUUUUUUUACAUGAUAAAAAGCAAAAGUUUGAUUUUUUUUCAUUCUUUGAAAGAUCUUGAAAACCAUUAUUUGUUAGAAUAACAUACUUUAUCUGAAAAAAUAAUUAAAAAGUUGAGUAUAUAUAAUAUUUUUCAUCAUAAUUAUCAUCUAUGUAUCCAAUCUGGGAUCAAAUUAAUUCAACUUAUGACGAGUGCAUAAGCAGAAACUAUAAAAGACGAUUGCAAAGCAGACAAAUCAUAAAAAAAUAAUAAAACAAAAUAGAAUACAAGGAUUUACGUAGAAAAAUUUUGUACAGAAAAAAGAAAAUUCAUGGGCGAAUGAAGAGAUCACUUCACUAUGAAAAAGUGAGUACAAAACUUUGUGUGUACAAUAAGAUGUAUGAGUCUAGAGCGAAAAAAAAAAAAAAGAAGAAGAAGAAAUUUCUAAACAGAUUUCUUUACAGGCUAAAACUAGUCACCCAUUUUUUCCUUUAUAAAUAUUUUUUUUAAAUUUAUCGCACAGCAAAACUAUCGCCAAAACCAAAACACAAAAUUGAAUUUGAUAACAAAGAUUUUGCAACGCAUCUAUGACUUAGUUUAGUAUUGAGAUCUACCUACUGCUAUUAGAUAGAAUGAAAUAAAAUAAAAAUAUAUAGGAAUAUACUUCUGUGUUCUAUGAUGAAACUGUAAAAAAUAUAUCGUAACCAACAUAUUAUUUAUGAAUAAAUAGAGUAUUUUUUUACGUACGAAACCUAACACCUCUAUCCAAAUUGAAGGGAUAAAAGCACAUAUUAUCAUCAUCGUUAAUUAAUUAAUUAUCUUUUGCGUUAGAGGCCGCGGAGGAGGAGAGGCUCUUUUGGUAGGCGUCGAGCUCCUCGUAGUAGACGUCCCAAACGCAGCGCACGCACCCGCUGCCGCAGCAGUCCCCCGGAAGCGGCUUCUCCGGGGCCUGCAGCUGCUUCUGCUUCUGCUUCUGCGUCUGCGGCGAUUGCGAUUGCGAUUGCGAUUGCGAUUCCUCCGACGCGGGGGCUUUUCCCUUCUCUUUCUCCUCCCCCGCCACCUCUUCGUUUCUGUUGAGGGAUCCCAUGAUCGGCGAAGCCGUGGCGGCGGAGAGGAGACACCGAUGGAAUGCACGGCGGCGGCGGCGGAGAGGGAGAACGAAAGGGAGGCGGACGCCGGCGACGGCGACGACGACGCCGGAGACGAUCUCGCGGCGGAUUGGGGCGGCGGCGGCGCACCAACGCGGGAAGAUGGCUCGCAUAAAGGGGGAGGAGCAGGAGAGGAGAGAGAUCGAGGGAGGUCGUCGUCGUCGUCGCGGAUUGGCUUCUUUUUUUUUUCUUUUUUCUUUUUUUUUUCCUAUCUCAAAUCUCAAUGAGUGAAUGAAUAGAUGAAAAUUGAGACUUUAGAAACUGUUGGAUGCGUUUGGCCCACUAAAUAACUGCCACGUGCCCACGCGUUAGGUUCGGGAGCUCGAGGAGGCGUGUGAGCCGAAGAGUUCGAAUCAAAAUCAGAUUCGUCGUGCACCGACCAUGAAUAUUACCCAUUAUUAUUAUUAUUAUUAUUAUUAUUAUUCCACAUUUAUUUAUUAUUUAUCUUUAAUUACCAUCUAAUAAAUAGAAAAACUUUUUUCUAAUUAAAUCGCUAGCUAUUUAAAGCCAUUUAAUUGCUUUGCAUACCAACCUGGAAUUUUCAGUGCUCUACUAAAAUCAAAGUUAAUAAAAACAAUAUUUGUACUUAAUUUGUAGUGCUGAUUAGACAAUACCCCAGCAGUAUUUCUUCAAAAUCAUAUCCCCAGUAAUGGCAAAAAAUAAAAAGAAAAAAAAAAAAAUUUGCACUCUCUCGAGUUAAUUUGCUGUAUAAGUUUGAAGCAAUCAAAGCUAAACCAUCGGAAAAAAAGAAAAAAAGAAAAAUAAUGAUUUAGGCCGUGUUUGGAUUGGAUAAGGGGGUUAUCCCCCUCUUGUACCCAAACACCUUUAUGGGUGGAUGGGAAUACUUGUUCCCACCUACCCGGGGAGAGAGAAAAAUUUUUAUUUUAAACUAAAAUUUCAAAUUUAUAAUUUCAAAAUUUAAAUUUAUAAUUUAAAAUUAUAAAUUUUAAAAUUUAAAUUUUAAAUUUGAUAUUUUUAAAUUUUAAAUUUUAAAUUUGAUAUUCUACAUCUUUCAAAUUUAAAUUUGGUCUUAAAUUUAAAAUUUGAUAUUUAAAAUUAAAAUUUUAAAUUUUAAAAGUUAUAAUUUUAAAUUUUAAAUUUUAAGAUUUAAAUUAAAAAUUUAAAUUCAAAUAUAAUGAGAGGGGUAAUAUUAUUAUUUUUUAUUUAUAACCAUCAACUAUUUCUCUUAUUCCUAAUAACCAUCCAAAAUUAAUUUUUCUAGUUCCAGCUUAUACUCAUAUUUUCAUCCAAACAAAAAAACAUCUUUGUUCUUACAAAAAUUCAUAGUUGUACCUAGCUCCGGUAUAACUAGUUCCUAGUGAUUUCCGAACCAAAUGAAGCCUUAGGGUGUAUUUGGUUCCACGUAAAACUGUGGAAAAAAAAAUUUGGGUGGAAAAAAAAUUUUCAGUGGAAAAAAAUUUUUACGUCGUUUGUGUUUGGUUUGUAGGAAAAGAAAAAUAGUUUUCCAUGACGAUUAUUUGGUUGAAAGGAAAAGUAGAUAAAAACUAUUUAAUAUAUUUUUAUUAUAUAUUAUUAUUAAUAUAUAACAAUUAAUAUACUAUAUAUAUUAUUAUUAUUAUUCCACAUUUAUUUAUUAUUUAUCUUUAAUUACCAUCUAAUAAAUAGAAAAACUUUUUUCUAAUUAAAUCGCUAGCUAUUUAAAGCCAUUUAAUUGCUUUGCAUACCAACCUGGAAUUUUCAGUGCUCUACUAAAAUCAAAGUUAAUAAAAACAAUAUUUGUACUUAAUUUGUAGUGCUGAUUAGACAAUACCCCAGCAGUAUUUCUUCAAAAUCAUAUCCCCAGUAAUGGCAAAAAAUAAAAAGAAAAAAAAAAAAAUUUGCACUCUCUCGAGUUAAUUUGCUGUAUAAGUUUGAAGCAAUCAAAGCUAAACCAUCGGAAAAAAAGAAAAAAAGAAAAAUAAUGAUUUAGGCCGUGUUUGGAUUGGAUAAGGGGGUUAUCCCCCUCUUGUACCCAAACACCUUUAUGGGUGGAUGGGAAUACUUGUUCCCACCUACCCGGGGAGAGAGAAAAAUUUUUAUUUUAAACUAAAAUUUCAAAUUUAUAAUUUCAAAAUUUAAAUUUAUAAUUUAAAAUUAUAAAUUUUAAAAUUUAAAUUUUAAAUUUGAUAUUUUUAAAUUUUAAAUUUUAAAUUUGAUAUUCUACAUCUUUCAAAUUUAAAUUUGGUCUUAAAUUUAAAAUUUGAUAUUUAAAAUUAAAAUUUUANCAGUUAAAAUUAUUUUUAUUUAAAAAAAAUAAACGAAGCAACAAUAUGCAACCUUUAUCUCAAGCAAAAAUAAAAAUAAAAAUAGAACACAACGUAGUGUAGUUCCAAUUUAUUAGAUUACAUCAAACUGCGGCUAGGGAAAUAAAUUAUGCGGUGAUACCUGUCCCUAGCGAUGUAAAACGGGCCGGACAGCACUUGGGCCACCCGGCUAGUAUAUAUAUAUAUAUAUAUAUAUAUAUAUAUAUAUAUAAUUGAGCUCCUAUAUUUUUAAAAGUAUUAAGUCAUUGGUGCUUGUAAGUUUUCGUCCCUUAGAUUAAGGAAUGUGCGGUUAGGAUGAUGUGGGCGUCCUGAGGGUGAGUGGAUGAUUGGUUAAAUAAUAUAAUCUAACGGGUAAAAAUGAUCAAAGGCAUAGAUCUAACGGUAUAUAUAUAUGUAUAUAUAAUGAUUGGCAGGUCCACCGUGAACCCCGUGGACCUCCCUUUCACACGGUCCACGAGGCCACACUUUGGCCUCGUGGACUGUGCAAAGUUUUGCCUCCCAUGAGCUGCAAUUUUGGCCCUCCCUUUUCGUUUUCCGCGGCUCUCACGCGGAAAACGAAAAGCAAGUUUUUUCCAACAUAUGUAAAAUAAAUUUUUCCGAAAAAGUUUUUUACCUCCAACCAAACACGCUACAAAGUAGUUUUUCGCGGAAAAUUUUUUUCCGGCCUAUUUUUACGUGAAACUAAAUAUGGCCUUAGUGUAUUUCUACUUUGUCACUCGGUGAUGUAAAAAAUUGUAUUUAACUAUUAUAUGGUCCAGCAUGUUUUCAUCUUAUUACCCCUCAGUUCAAAAGAUUACAUUUAACUAUCUUAAAAUUUUAUUUUUGUUCAUCGUAAAAAUCUAUCAUUAACCAAAGCAUCACUACUAUAUUAAUUUUCAAAAAAAAUUGUUUUACAACCUUAUUUGACAAUAAAUUAUUUCUUUGAUAAAGUACAAGUAAUAUUAUAAAAUUAUUAAGUAUAAUAUUUUUGAACGACGGAUGGCAAGGUAAAAACGCGACAAACCACAACAGAAGAAAUUAAAGUUUACCCAAAAUAAAAGGGAAAAAAAACCAAUUCACAUGUACAAGCAAUUCAACCAAAAAAACCUUCAUCUCAUUCUGGAGGACACUCUCCAACUCUUUUUCUUAAGCUGAGAAGCCUCUCUUUUCCCUCCUUCCUCCCCCUCCUCCCCUUCCUCCUCUCCCACCUCCACCACCUCCGUUUCCCUCCUCCGCGCACCACCACUACUUUUAAGAAUCUCCACCACCUCCCUCAUCGUCGGCCGCCGCUCCGGGUCCCCGUCCGUGCACCGCAUCGCCAACUGCACCAUGUUUCUUAGUUGAUCCCUGUCGUACCUGCACAACAACUGAUUACUUAAGAACAUGUUCUGGUUCAUGAUUGGAAUAAAAAUAGAAAAUAAAUUAGAUUGCAUUGGAAUGAAAAAUAAAAUAUCGAAUCAUCCAAAGAGAAUGCCUGGUUCAUUAUUAAAUAAAAAUCAAAAUGAAUAAUUGAAAUAUCUAAAAAUUUAAAAGAGUUUUAAUCUGAGGGAGAGGUGUUUAUUAGAAGAGACUUCUUAUUUUAAAAUGAGCCAAUUAAAAAUUUAAAGUUAAAUUGAGUCAUAAAUAAUUUAGUCAUACUUCUAUUCCAGAGUGAAAUGAAAAUCGAACUUUAAUUUUUAUAAAAUAAAUAAUAAUUAGCAUUAGAUCUCAUUCGGACUUUGCAUGCCCGAAAAGAUUGAAAAUGUUCAUAUAGAGCAAAAUGAAUGGAUAGUUCCAAUAAAUCUCCAUAUAUGCUAUAAUUUGAUCCUGUACUUUCCAGGCCAAUAUUGUAGCCCCUUAUUUUAUUUUGAGCCUAAUUUUCUUUUUAAUAAAAGGAACAUUUUAUCCUUCUAAUACCACUUCCUUUUUUGGAACAAUAUGUAUUAUUCACUUAUUUUAUUUUAUUUUGAACAUGGUUAGUUAAAUAUGAUCUUACAAUAAAAAAUAUGAUUUUUUUUCCUUUUUAAAACAAUCAGGACUACUGAAGUGCAAUGAAUUUAAAAAUACUUUAGAAAAUAUUUAAGGGUAAAAUAUAUAUAGAAAACUCUCUUAUAAAUAUUAAUUCUUUUUUUUCUUUAUAAUUUUUAAAAAUCUAUAUUUUGCUAUCUUAAAGUUUUGAAAAUAUUUUCAGAAAGUUACGGCAUUAACGGAGAGGACAGAAUGACCAAAUUAUUUCAAUAUAUUUCUGGCAUUUUGAAAGACAUUUUCGUUAUAAAUUAUAAGAAAUAGAUGGAAUGGUAAUGGAACUCCGACGGGGGAAGGCUAAAUACAACAACUUUAAAUGUUGAGAGAUAAAAUAUAAAUUUUUUAAAAGUUAGGAAAAAAAAAGUAAAAAGCGAAUAUUUAUAAGAGAGUUUCUAUAAUUUAGCCAAUAUUUAAAUUGAUAUCAUGUGAAAUAAUGAGAGUACUAUUUUAAAAGUUUCUGCGCGUAGGAACAAGUACAAUAUUUUUAAUAUUUUAUAUUCAACACAGCAUGUACCUUCCGGCAAGCCUGGGGUCCACCAGGCGGUCCCAGCGGCCCUUCUCGACGAGCGGGGCUGCCCACUGGACGAUCUCGCGCUUGACCCCGCCGGGCAGCUUCUCGAUGGGUCGGCGGGCGGUGGCGGUCUCGAGGAGGAGGAUGCCGAAGCUGUAGACGUCGCAGCUCUCGGAUACCUUCCCCCACAUUGCAUACUCCGGUGCGAGGUAGCCGAGCGUGCCCUUGACGCGGGUGGUGAGGUGCGUGACGCCGUCGGGGACGAGCUUCGCGAAGCCAAAGUCGGCGACCUUCGCGGUAAAGUCGGAGUCCAGGAGCACGUUGCUGGCCUUGAUGUCCCGGUGGAUUAUGUGAGGACUUGCCUCAUGGUGCAGGUACCUGCAGUAGUAUAUACAUGCAUGUACAUUACUUGUUAUCUCUAUAUUACAAAACUAUAUAUAUAUAUAAAAAAAAAAUGCACAUUUUUCGGGAAUUUUGAAAAAUUUCUGCGCAGCCCAAAUUUCUGGCCCAACUCCGCUAACUAAAACAGGCUGUUAAAGAAGCCCAAUUUCAACAUCUUUUAUGGGAGAUGAAGGAACUCAAACUGCUACAAUCAAAGUGUCCAAAACCUUCAGUAGAUGCUCCAAGGUCAUGGGCAACUUUUGGAUUCCCUUUUAUAAUUUUUCUAGGCUUAGAGGGUGAGCUAAUAUGGGCUAGAUAGUGGAUAAAUUCAAUAUAUAUUGUGCCCAUAAGUAAGAAGGUAAGCUGAGGUCAAAGCGCAAGAGGGAAUUGUGUUUUUUUUUUUUUUUUGAGAGAGAGAUAGGUAGCACGCUACCCGCUUCGUUUAUUUCAUUUAGAAAUAGACUUAGAUGAAAAUGUGAAUCAAUUAGGAUUCGAAUUUGGGUCUCGGGUACCAACCACCUAGCCCUGCCCUUUGCCACUUGCUCUAGGGACGGUCGGUAGAGAAUUGUGUAGUAAUCCAUUUUUUCUAAGUAACAGAAUAUUUAGUUAUUUUUGAAGAACCUCUGUCUAUCUUUUUUAUCUCUUUUUUUCAUUUAGUUGUAAGAUAUGGAGGUCCAGAUUAGUAAAUAGAGAGUAAGACUUGCCCAUUUAUGAAGAGGAAGAUGGCAUCGCACGGGCUUUGCGAGCAAAAUUACUAGCCAAGUCCCAAAUAGCACGCUAGGAUAUUAUACUUUUGAAAAUACAGAGGCCUUUGUAUUUUUAAGUUAUUUUCGAUAAUAAGAUAUUCAAUUCGAUAAUCGAAAACAACCUGAGUUUUAGCACGCUAGGAUAUAAGUUUCUGAAUUUGAAUUCUACCAAAUUUAUAACGUUAUUUAAUUUUCUCUCAUUCGAACUGGGUCUAUCAAAAGUCUCAAAUUCAAGCAUGAAAAAAAGUAUUGAUUAUAAAUAUUAAAAAUAUCAUUCUCGCUCAACAUUUUAGAGCCAUGUGCUAAUGGCCUAUAACGUGUUAUAGAAAAUAAAAUAAAAAAAUUAUAGCCGAAUCAUACCACUUCCUAACUCAGUGAUUUACCAGAAUUCUUCUUUUUUUUAUAUUAAAUUUACUUAAUUGACGAAUUUGACCAGGUUUUAUAUAUAGAUUCUCUGGCCGAAUUUUGCUCUAUAUAUUAGAAUUAAUUUAUAGCCAAUCCGAUGCAAAUUCAAAUUCAAAUUCAAAAUUUGCAUGCUCGUCACAAUGAAGAGCAAAAUUUUCGUAACUUACGCGAGGCCCUCGGCAGCUCCAAUGGCGAUCUUCAUCCUGAGAGGCCAAUCGAGCACGCGAUCGGCGGCAUGGCGGCCGUGGAGGUGGCUGAUGAGGCUGUGGUUCGGCAUGUAGUCGUAGACGAUGAGCCUCUCGUCCCCGCCGGCGUAGAAUCCUCGAAGGCUCAAGAGGUUUUUAUGCCUCACCCUCCCAAGUAUCUCUACCUCGAUCGCGAAUUCCAUCUCCGCCUUUGCCGUCAUCGCCUUGAGCCUUUUUACUGCGAUCUGCAGCAAUCAAAUAUAUACUUAGUAAAAAGAUUGAGCUUACUCGUAGUUUUUUUUACUGUAACUAGCAGCAAAAGUUUCAAAAUAGAGUUUCUAUUUUUAUACGAUCUGAACUAUAAAGAAGUACUCAUCCAAACAUGAAAUAUAGGUAACAAGCAGUUCUAAUGUUACCUCCACUCCUUUCUUAGUUUUGCCCCAGUAAACAGUUCCGAACCCGCCCUCGCCGAGCUUGUUGCUCUCGUUGAAGUUAUUUGUCGCGUGCAGGAGCUCUUUCAAGGUGUAGAUCUCCCACGGAUAGUCGUGGCUAUCGUUCGAUCUAAAAGUUAUCAACACGCACAAAUUGUUAUGCCAAAAAGAGUUACGUCAUCAAAUGAGUUGAUUUUUAUAUUGACAGAUAGAUUCAUUCGAUCUGAACAGUACUUGCUAGCUAAAUUAGAUCAAAUUUAAUGAAUCUGCUCCUUACGUACCUUCGCGCUGCCUCCGAUUCGCCGGUGAUGCAACACAGGCAUCUUUUGAUCAUUUCUAUGACAAGCCAAAGUGAAAGGAACUCUAACCAAAAAAGAAAGGGCUAAUGGAAAAGAGGAGUUCUAAGGAGAGGGAGAAAUUGAGGUGAAAAAGGACAGUGAGAAAAACAAAGCUUGGGCUCUAAAACUUGCUAUAAUUUGUUCUCUUGUGGGUUGUUUGUGUACUUUGUUCUCUAUUCUCAUUGGAGGCUUCACUUUGUAAGUUUAACUUCUCUGGAAGAAGAGCUCCUUAAUUUUAAUAUUUGCAAAAACUCUACAAAUUAAAAUCUUUUCGUGUGAACGUGUGCAUUGAAAAUGUCAAAACGGGUAACAAUAAUCUAAGUUCAAAUUCCAUUUUUGAGAUUAAUUUAUUUGAGGGGGUUGAGAGAAUUGGUGCUGUUUGAAUGAGACCUUUAGCUACAUAACAACUUGAUCAAGUGAAUGUAAUGUUUAUUAAUGGCUUAUAAUGAUGAGUGGAAGCAGCUGGAGCUUAAACAAUUAAUGUUAUUUGGAGAACUAGACUAAUGAGACUAGACCAGGAAUAUACUCAUAAUAGAUGCAAGGAUACAAAGUUAAAAGUGGUUCGGAGUAUUCUCAAUGCGUUGCAUCAUAUCUCGGGCAGGGUCGCAAAUAAUUGUUACUUAAAAUAUCGAUCAUAAGAAUAACUUGAUAUCUGAAAUGUGUGCGUAUUUUCUAUCGUAAAUAUUUUUCAGAGAAGAAAGAAGUUUUAUACAACUAUUGUAGUCAGUAGUACGUUUGUAUUAGAUUUAAAAAGUAAAGUUAGAUGUCGAAAGAAAAUAGACUUAGUUAUGAAAUUUCAAGAAUUGCAGCAUAGUUUUUGUUUUUUUAAUAUAUAGUGUUUAACAAAAGGAUAGUGAUAUUAAUAGAUUUUAUUUUUUAUAAGAGCAUUUUUGGAUUCAUCAAAUUUUAUCAAAUUUAGUCAAUAAAUAAUAACCUUUUUAAGGCCUCAUUCUUUGAUGACGUCGUUGUGAGGGAAAAAAAUAAAAAAAUUCCAUAUUUAGGUAUUAUGACCUUGUCAGAAAGUGCAGGUUUGUUCUCUAGCUAAUGAAAGCAACUUUCCACCUAAUACGUAUUCAAAAAGCCCUUGAAAAGGUCUCUACGCUUCUUCCUCUUUUCUUAAUAACUUACUAGUGAAACAUUUAUGAUAAUAGAGUGAAAGGUAUUGCUUAGCGUAUAACCAAACUAACAUGGAACUACACUCCAUUGGCCAAAAAUGCCAAGCAAACUUUGUAAUAGAAAUGUUGUUAUGAAGAGAGAGAGAGAGAGAGAGAGAGAGAGAGAGUCAAAUUGUUAAUUGUUGUUGAAUAAAACAAUUAGAUUUGGAUUUUAAAUUAUUGUGCUCCGGCAACUAAAGCUUUUUGAUUUAAAACAAUCGUUUCAUAUUUAGUUAAUAUAAAAAUAUCAUUCGGCUUAAACUUUUGAAGAAAAAAAAUAAUAAUUGUUUUAUAUUAUUUAACAUAGUAGGAGAGUCGGAGAUUCUGAGUUUAACUUUUUCAAGUGAAGCGAAAUCCACAUCUUGGACUUAUUAGAAAGUCUUGAAUCAAAACGUAUGAGGAAUGUUGGGUAUAAAAGUGUGAAAAUACUGUUUUGUAGACGUUAAGCUUUCGGAGAAAAAGAUGAUUGUUUCUCUUUAUUUAACAAUUAUUAACUGCAACAUUUAGCAAAUUCUGAGUGUGGCACUCAACAUUUGAACUAUCAAGCACAAUUAGGUCACUAACAACAAACAAGGAUCUAGAUCCUUUCAUUGAAUUCCUCUAUUUAGAUGCGAUGGAGAAAUCCACUUGAUCACCAAUUAGCAACCAUUGAGACAUUUCCUUUACAAAAGUAGUAGGAUUUGUUUUGCUUACAUGGAUACAUAUUACAUGAAUAUCCUGGUACUUUUAACAGAUUACAAGGACAUGCAAAAAGUUAAAGGAUGUAUGAACUAUGAAGGUAAUGAAGAAGGGAGAAAAUUAGAACCAAAUCAGAGCCAAAAAGAGAGUUCGCAGAAACCCUCCACUUGCAUUCAACUUUCUACAUCUUCAGUCACAUAAGGUUCAAAGAGAGUCACACUGGGUUUGGGAUCGUAUUGCAGUAUAUCAGCAGCCCUCUCAAAUUCCUCCCUCAAAAUUUUGACAGUGUGUUUGUCGACUACACGACCGAGAUCGCGCGAGGUUUCGAAUGGAUCUUCAAUGCAUAUCAGGUGGCGAUCGUUUCCCACUCGAGUUGUCCAGUGCUUCUCUUGUUUGCUAAUCGAGAAGCAUAAUCAUAAGCAUUUGAAGAUUUCUAAAGCAGAAAAGUAUACAUGAAACUGCUUAAUUAGCUAGUGCAAAUUUUUUAAGAAAUAGAAAUCAUUCAAUUAAUUAGGAACUAACGGAAUAAUAACUAACGGAAUCUUGUGCGAUAUCUGCAUUAUGUGGAACACUAGGGUUUAAUAGGAAACCUGAUUAAUUUUUAGAAGGCUCGAGAUGUUGAAAAUGUCUACAAGCAGAAAAUACAGACACAAGAAAUAGCCUAAAUUAAGUGAAAUUCCUCUCUUAAGUUAUUUUCGUUGAAGCACACCAACCUAUCAGACUUACGGUACGUACCUACACAAUACAUAGAAUAAACCUAAAGCUAUAGGCAUUUAUGAAUAUAAAGAAACUAGUGAUUCGGCAUAGAGUUUACAGUACAUGUUCAACAAUAUACAUGUUUAAAACUUGCCCUUCAAUCUUUCCUAAGAGCAACUAAGGAUAUCUUUAAACAUAUGGCUCAACAAUGGUUGGGUUGUAACUAGCAGCUAAGUUUCUUUACUGUUCUACCUUAUCCAACAUAUGGCUCAACAUUGGUUCAGCUGUAAACAGUAGCUAAGUUUCUUCAGUGAUCUACCUUAUUUAGGGAGCAAACAAAGUUUUGAAAGCACAUAUCGUCUCAAUAAUUAAAAGAGCACACCACAAAGUGGGGUGUGCAUCUUACAUCUUCACCAUCCAAAGGCCAUCAAUUCUCUACUUAUCACAUCAACAAAUUUUUUUUUUAAACUAAAAACCAUUUGAAUUUUUGUGAACCCUAGGAUAGAGUGUAAGACCUACACCCCCCUUUUGGGGUGUACAAGUAGAAUUCCCUUUCUAGAACAAGCAAACUAGCAGAAAUGAGAUCAUAUUAGACAGGUAUCUUGUAUGUUUCUGCUUGCCGGUGACACAUGAUCCAAGAUUAUAAUAAUGCGAUAGAAACAGAAGUAAAAGAUAAGAGAGCACAACAUAUUUUACCUAAUAAUGCUCCCUGUUCGAACAGAUAUGACGUCAUUUUUGUAGUCAUGUUUGUACGCCCAGUAAUGAAAAAAUGCCCAAAGCAAUUGUGCAAUAUUUUCCUUAUUUUUAGCACCAAAAUUGCUGAGUUCUUGAACUUGAUCAAAGUAAUUACAUUCAACACCAUCAAUAGUCAAUGUGUAUGUUGCUUCCAUUUCCUGGCUCAUGGAAUUGCAGCAUUAGUUUGAAACAGGAUCAUGAAUAAAACAUCUAUACAUGUAUAAAGGCCAUACAAAAGCAGGUUCUCAAGCUUCUUUCUCUGAAGAGAAAGAUUUAACUUGUGCAGUAUCAUGAUGUAAUUAUUGAACUUGCUUUUGAAACUGAUAUCAAAUCCAACUUUGCAGUAAAAAAUGAACUUCAAAAUAACCAUCAGGCAAACUAAAUUAAAUUUCUAAAUGUUCAAGAGAUUUGACUUUUUGGAGUCAUGAAUGAAGCCACAUUAUACAAAUUACUUCCAAAGUGCAAUCUUGUUCUCCAACACAAAUUUAUAGCCUCAAAAGGCAAUCAUGUAGCGGCAGUUAUCUUUAACUAGUCAUGAAUUAAAUUUCCUUGAGGGAUCAACAAUAAAGAAACAGGAAGAAGUAAAAGUUAAGAAAGGAACAACGACAGACAAAAUUGGAGACGGCAAAGAGGAGAACAAGAAAGGAGAAAGGUACAAACACACCAAAGCAAUGCCCUAUAUUCAAUAAGUGCAACGGGCAGCAAAUUACAGACCUGUAAACAAGGUAGAAUAGCAGGUUUGCGCUGUUGUAGAAAGUGAAUGCACAUAAUCACAUAUCUGAAAGAUGAUAAAGAAGAAAAUAUGAUCACAUUCCAAGCAAACAAAUUUCUAGUAUGUGGAAGAGUUAUAAAUGAGGAUCAGGAAACUCACGUGUAACUAGAAAGAGUUCCUCGAUACGCUUCAUUGAUGGCCCGUGACUUCGCCCAGUGUUUCACAAUAAGAACCAAUUGAUGUAAUCUGUCAUCUAUCUGGGCAUAAUCCUUAAGGAGCUUUGUAUUGGCAACAGCCAAAAGAUUAUUUAUGCAUAUAUCACACGAAAUACCAGUUACUGGGUCUGUCAUCCUCACAAUAGGAACUCUAGCAUUGGUGAUAGCCUGUGCGAAUAAUUUCAUUAAUUAAACAGUUCGCAAGAAAUGAUCUUUAAAAAUACAAAUGCACUAAUAAAAGCUUACAAAAUAAACUUGAGAUUCUACAGCAAUUUCAAAAUACUAGAAGUCAAGAUCGAUAUUUUCCUUUCUAAAGAGUAGAAAGUACGUAGAGAAGUAAAUUAGUACUUGCAUAACAGUUUAUACUAGUCCACUCACUUAGCCAUUUCUCAACUACACGACCUAGGUUAUAUUGAAAAAAAAAAUUAUGUUUAGAUGAAAAAUGCUUAAUUAUCCUCUUAGACGUAAUCAAAUAAGAAGUGACUGAUGUAACAGAGUGAACAGUGUUAAAUAAGCACCUACCAACAAUAGAAAUCUAGUUUGACUAUCCUUGAGGACCAUGCCUAUCAGCCUGCAAGAAAUUCAAGUUUUGAAUGCCGUGCUACUGGAGAGAGAGAGAAAAAAAAAAAGAGACUGUUAUAAACAUCAGACACACAGAAAUAGAAGAAGCAAUACUGUAAAAGUUGGGGAGAAAGAUUGGCCAACUGCAUAGGGUUAGGUGCUUAAAGGAGCUUUACCAGAAUGGUAGCUAAAUACACGAGAACACACAAGGGAAAAAAAAAGAAAAGAAUGUGUCAUUACUUCAUUUCUAUUAAAAAAGAACCGAUAAUGCAUGUAUGAGGUUUCAGAUAAUGCGAUGGCUUUAACACUCGAUUUGGUGUAUAUCACAUGGUAUAAUACGUGAAACAUAUGUGCUAUAAACAUGAUAUGUAGCAAACAAAUUGAGACUUAGUACCCCAAUAUAGAACAAUAAUAAUGUAACAGCUUGUAUUCCCAAAAUAAAAAAUAAUCUAACAGCUUCAGUACAUAAAACCAGCAUAAAAAUUAAAGGUAGCUGCCGAUAUUAAAGCCAAAAAAUUGGUGAAUACUCAAGAGUAAAUGCAUGUAAAAUGGUAUCUCAGGACCUACCUGCACAUUUUGAAAAUUAUUCAACUCCAUAAUAUCUGCUACUUUGAGCAGCAUGUUGUGAUUGCUAGCAGUGCUAUCAUCAAUUGCAAUGCAUAUAUCAAUGUCGCUAUUUGAGAACCCAAAGGUAUUAGCCCAUGAACCAUAGAGGUGCAGCUGAGCUUCAGGCCACUCUUUGUUGAGUGAUUUCGCCAGUAAGGAUAAGAGAUGCUCUUGAUUAGCCUUAUCUUCUUCUGCCGGUAUUAGAGUUUCAUAUAGUGAAAAGAAAGAAGGGGUGAACGUCUCAAUGUCACAAGGGCGUUCUCUUUGGCUUUUGCGUGCUCUUGUUUGCAAGCUUGAUAUUUUGUGGCCCCUAAGAGCAUCUGAUCUUAAUUCCUGCGGACAAAAUGUUAAUGUAAUUUUCCUAGAAAAUUUAGGUAAAAUUUGAGAAUUGCAAAAGUUGUAGAAUAAGAUCAUAAGCCACCUUCAUUAAUGGAAAUAUACUCUAAAUGAAUUAGGUUCGAUGAGCCUUUACUUCCAUCAGUAUUAUGGUCGAAAAGCAGGCAAUAAAAUCAACCCAACUUUACGGUUUUACGUUUCUAAAUUCUUUGGUGACUAACCUGAGAGUCAGAAAAUUUUUGUGCUUGAUCAUAAAAUGAUCCUCUAGUAGGCAAUGGAAAUUUGUUCUACACGUUAUAACUUGAAAAACAGCACCGAGUAUAAAGGUCUACAGUGGAGAUUGGCUUUUUUUUUUUUCUUCCGUAGAUCAAUGGGGCGGUAUGCUAAUCGACCUAAAAUGAGAUAUUGUUCACUAGUGGAGCUAAAAAUGAGACUCUGAAGAGCAAACCACCUAUUGAUGGCUCCAAAUAAGUAGGGUUCGCACACUAGUGGAGCCAAAUUGAGACUUCGAACUCCAAAUAAGAAGAACUGGAUGGAAAAGAACAGGAGUCAUAUAAUACUUUCCUACGGCCACCCAAGUAUUAUGGAGAAAUUAAUUAUGGCGUAUCAGAAACCAACAAUUUUAUUUUUCUCUGAUAGAAAACAGAUUAAAAUUACCUUCCGACUCCAAGUUUUGGAGCUUAUUUCCAUCUUUCUGCAAUCAAGAUCAUCAUUAAGCUCCAAAGAAUCUAUCAUUUCUUCUUCUAGAGCAUCAUCCUCCUGAUGAGCACCUUUUCUUUCUCCCGCAGCAUCCGACGGCAAACUAUCAACGGAUUCUUCGCGAUCACCCUCUGAACCAGACCCAUUGUUGUUGCAUUCGCAAUCAAACUCAUCACCAUUGCAUUCCAAUUCACAAUUACCAACUCUCUUCCCCUUCAAAGGAACCCACUCCUUCCUCACCUUCGGCUUGUUCUCGCGGGGGGCGAUCGCCGCCGUCGGAGCCCACUCGUGGCGUCGCCGGGCCCGAUCAUCCGCACCCCAUCUCUUCGCACUACGGUCGUGGUAACGCUCGAUCGGAGCGCAUUGCCGCCGCGGCAUUCGCCUCUCCUCCCUCCGGCUCCCGCCAAAACUGCAGAGAUCGCCUUCCCCGCCGCCGCUUCCCCCGGGCCUGUUCCUGAUCCCGAUCCCGUUCCCGUUCCCGCCCCACCCACCACUCCAACUCCUCUCUCCUCGGACGCCAGAAACUGGCGCCGCCUCUCGCUGCCGAAGCCCCGGAUUCGGGAUCGGAGGAGUCGGCAAUGGCGGAGGCGGAGGAGACGGAGGAAGAAGCGCCCCGGGCUGAAACCGCCAUGAGAGCGGGAGCGCGUCGGGGAAGGCCGUCCGAGGGAGGAAGACGACGCGGCGGUCGGCGGCUUCCGCCGCCUCCGCCGGCGGCGGCGGCGCCAUCAGCUUGUGAGGAGGGACGAGGAAGCUGGAGCUCGCGGCGGAGGUGGCGGCGGGAUUCUCCGGCGGCGGCGGAGCGGCGGCGGAGGAGGACGAGGGUUGGGAAUGGUAGGGUUUUGAGAGAAGCUUGAGGAGGAGGCCACUGAAUGGGGGGUUAUCGUCAUCCCCGGUGACGUCACCGCUACCGGACAUUUGUAAGCUUCGCUGUGGCGGGGAGAGAGUGAGAGAGAGAGAGGGAGGGGGGAAAGGGGAGUAGGUACAAGGAGUGGGGAAUGUUUUUAUUAUUAUUAUUAUUAUUAUUAUUAUUAUUAUUUGUAUAAACUUUGUGAGAGUGUUUCUACUUUGUGCCUUCACUCGAAUUACAUUGUUCAUGCGAGAAAGGUUGAGCAGCCAAUUAAAGAAGAAAAAGGGCAUGGACACAGACCAAAAAAAAUAAAAACGAAGGGGUUAUAUUAUAAACUAGUUAAGGGACCCGCGCUUCGCGACGGAAAACUAAUAUAAUAAUAAAUUAUUAGUAAUAUUAAAAUUAUUUUUUGCGUAUUAUGUAUUAAUAUAUUUAAUUAUUAUUUAAAGAAUUAACUAAUUAAUAAAAUUAAAGUAUUUAACAUGUGGGUCCCACUAAGUAAUACAAAUAAUAAAAUUAAAUAAUAAACUAAAUAAAGAGUUCGUGCUACUGAAAAUGAUUGUGAUUAAAGAGUAAUAUAAUUUGGAAUAAAACAUGUACUACAUCCCAUAGUUCUUCAUAUCCAUAAAGCAUAUAAUAAAGCAAGAAACAUGCAGCUACAUCCGAUAGUUCUUCAUAUCCAUAAAGCAUAUAAUAAAGCAUGAAGCUAUAUUCUAUAGCUUGUUAUUUAAAACAGAUUGGAAGUGAUAUUAAUUAUAAAUCUUCUUAGCUAGUCUCCAUAUGUGGAAGAGUCUUCAUCGAAACUGUAAAUCAAAUAAAAAAUAAAAUAGUUGAUUAUAAUCAUAGAUAUAAAUAUUAUAUAUGUGUCAAAAAAAGAUGGAUGAUAUUCAAACGCACAUAAGCCGUUUUCUUUUGGCAGAUUGGCUUUUGCUUCCAUCGUCGGCAAAUGGUGGAGAGCUGUGGGUAAAACCAUAGACGCAUAGAUUUAUAAAGUUAAGUAGAAAUAAUAUUAAUAGAAUUAGAGGAAAGUUGGAAUAUUAUUAAUAAUCUUGGAUAUGUCUUUCUAUAUACACAUAUAUACACUAAAUAUUUAUUGAUAGUUCUAAGCACUUAUAAUAAUAUUAAACAGCAAGUAACCAACUCUAGAAUUUUCAGUAUAUAAUACGAAUUAAAUAUGACAAAAGAGUGAAAAUAUUACCUUAAAGAAAUGGUUGUACUCGGGGAUGCCUGGGCAAUUAAUUCUUUGGAAAUGUCUCUGUGAGUAGUAGCUCCAUCAACUUUUUCUUCACAUUUAAUUAAUGAAUUCUCGGUCGGAAAAGUGAUUGCUUUUGUAUCAUAGUGAUUAUUAAAGAUUUUGACAACUUUAAAAGAAGGAAUGCUUGUUCUGAAUCUUUGUAUGUCAGGUAUUAUUUGAAAGAUAUGUUUAUAUCCAAUAAUUGAUUUAAUUGCCGGAGGAAGAGUAAAUUUUUCUGAACCAAUAUAACACGAACACGUAAGAUAUUAAAUACAUUAGAAAAUGAUGUAAAUUAAAAUGUAAGUAGGUUCUGGAAAAAGUGUGAGAAAAUAAUGGACCAAUUUGAAGGACUCCCUUCAUCACUUGAGUAGGUAACAGGAACAGAAAUGCACACGGGGUUGCCUACCAACAGGCCAUCCAACCUUUCGGCAUAGUAUAUGCCCUAAAGAGUCGCCACCUUCACGCAAAGAAGCUGUAAAUCCGGAAACUGAUAAAAAAGCAAGAAUAUACAACACUGAAGGGAUGUAACAGUUCCUCACAAAUAGAAACCAUAUAAAUGUGAACAACCAAGUAAAAGCACGGGAGAAGAGAGAGGGAAAAAAAAAACUUACAAAAGCAAGAGGGAAAUGAAAAGUAUACAGUGUAGUGUGAAACCAAAAAACACAUGUUAGCCACCAGCUAAAGUCCGAAUUACAAAAGAAGGCAAAUUUUUUGGGUAAGAAGGGCGUGUGCACGCCCCACUUAAUUUGACAGCACAACAAAGCCACAUCACAACAAAGCCAGGUAGUGAGGAGAACCCGUUCCCACAUAUCAGUGCCAAGUAAAUAAGCAAAUGGGCUAGGCAAUAUAAAAAACAGGUCAGGGGGAGGGAGGAGGGGUGGGGGUACCUAGCACAGUAAGCAGGCAGCAACACAGGUGGAUAAUAUAGAUGCUUACAAUUAUGAAAUUAGUUAGCACUAUAAUUUAGGCAGUACUAUAUGUUCUAUUGUAAAUAGUGUAAUUCUACUUUCAAAUGCAGGAAGAGGACAGUGCAGAACUUUCUGCAAAAGAGUGCUAUUUAUAGACUCUACCAGAUAAAGCAAGUAGAGAGAAGAAGAGGAAAGGAGGGUAACGUAGGAAUGACAUCACUAAAUAUUGGCAUAUCUUCCCCCCCUUUUAUUCCUUUUUUUCUCUCUAGUUAAAACCAGGGACCAAAAANUUUUAUUCCUUUUUUUUUACUCUGGUUUAAACCAGGGACCAAAAAAAGAGGCAUAAGGGUCAAAUAGAUAUAGAUUUAGGGGCCACCAUAAUUUUGGAUUUCAUCGCAACCACACAUCACAGAAGCAAGCCCUGGCAUAUCUUCCCCCCCUUUUAUUCUUUUUUUUCUCUCUAGUUAAAACCAGGGACCAAAAAGUAAGGCAUAGGUGCCAAAUACAGACAACCGCACAUCACAGAAGCAAGCAUUGGCAUCUCUCCCCCCCCCCUAUUAUUCUCUUUUUUUAUCGCUGGUUAAAGCCAGGGACCAAAAAGAGAGAGGCAUAGGGGGCAAAUAGAUCUAGAUUUAGGGGCCACCAUAGUUUUGGAUUUCAUCACAACCAUACAUCACAGAAGCAAGCCCAUUAACAGUAGAGUAUAUCCAGAGAGAGAUUAGAAAUAUGAAGCAGAGAGAAGGCUCACCUGUAGGUAUAGGGGUAGAGUCAUGAGUAGAGAGAGGGCUCACCUAUACUCGAUAGGUAUAAUGGCCGAGCCAUCAGCCAGCAGAGGGGAGACCUCACCUGUAAGGCUUGUAGGUAUAGGCAUAGACCCAUGAGAGAUGGUCCAACCCGAUGACAGCUAAGGAGAGAUGGCGAGGGUAGCGCUGAGCCGCCAAACCCGAUGACUGUAAAGGAGCGAUGGCGCGGGUAACGCCGAGCCGCAAACCCGAUGAUAACUAAGGAGCGUUGGCGAGGGUAACGCCGAGCCGCCGAGGAGAGAAGAGAGUGAAAUCGUUUGGGUGAGGAGAGGGACGGCGCGAGGAGUAGAGAGAGAGGCGCGAGAGAGCGACGGGGAGAGCGAGAGCUAAAGCGAGAGAGAGAGAACGGCGGGGAGAGAGAGCGGUGGGUAGAGAGAGAAAGGGAGAGAGAGAUAGGGGAGAUAGAGAUGGCCUGAGGGAGAGAGAGAUAGAGGAGAGCAUCGGGUAGAGAGAGGGACGGUUAGAGAGAGAUAGGAGGAGACAGAGAUGGGUUGAGGGGAGGAGAGAGAGAGAGAGAGAGAGAGAGAGGAGGGAGUUUUACAGCUGUUUUAUUAAUUUUUUACUUUUAUUUUUUUUUCCAGCGUCAACUCUUGAACGCCUAGCACGUGGUUAGAGAGAGAUAGGGAGAGAUAGAGAUGGGUUGAGGGAGAGAGAGAGAGGAGAGGGGGUUCUACAGUUGUUUUUUUUUUUCUUCAUUUGUUUUUUUUGGUUCGCAGCCCCACCUCUUCAACUGCUGCCACGUGGAUUUGGCUUCCCUCCACUCUCCACGUGGCACCGUUGUACCGUCAAAUAGAAUAGUUAUAGAUUGUACUUUACAUCAAUUGUAUAAUUAUAUAAAUUGUUGUAUAUAUAUAUAUAUAAUAUAGAGAGAGAGAGAGAGAGAGAGUUGGACUGGGCUACUAUUAGUAGCAAAAUUUCAUUGUUGCUACCAGUUUUUUAGCCUUUGGAUUAACUCUUUUUAUUAUUUCUAACCAUUGCAUUAAAUACUAUAACCCAGUGGGGACCACUCAGCCUAGGGGGGCCACUCAACUCUAACUGACUAAUAUCAUCCUGACCCUACAAUUUUUCAUCCAAGGGUUAAAAAUUUGAUAGCAAAAAGAGCGUUUUACUAUUAAUAAUAUUCCAGCCUAAUAUAUAUAUAUAUAUAUNAUAUAUAUAUAUAUAUAUAUAUAUAUAUAUAUAUAUAUAUAUAUAUAUAUAUAUAUUGAGAGAGGUACGGAGGCGGCAGUAUCAAUAAUAAGUCAUCCGAUUCGACUAUCGGUUUUAUUAGACAUAAUUUACAUUAUUAAAACUAUUUAAAAAUCAAAUUUUAUAAUUUAUUGACUUUAUUUGCCUAGUAAACAACUAGCUUUAAAAUGAACAGUUGAAAAUAAAAAUCUCAUACAAAACAAAACAGUGAUAAAAAACUCAAAUUUUACGUCAAAAAUAUUAAUUUUUCUAUUAAUGUUAAGUAGAAUUUUAUAUUAAAGUUUCAUAUAAUUUAGAUUGUUCUACAUGUUAAACUUUAAAACGUACCACAUCGACCAUUAAAAUCGUCAUUUUUUAGACAUUUUGAUCACUUACUAAAUGAAAUCAAAAAAUUAUGAAAAUUUCGUUUCUAAAUAAUUCCAAUAGCGUAUUAUGCCUAGCGUAGAGUAUAAAAAAUAAAAUUUUUAUUAACAUUUUAUUAUCUGUCAGUAUUUGUAAAGUUAAAUUAUCCUAAUAAUUUUAUUUAAAAAAUCAAUCAAAUUUUUAGUUUUGAUAGUUAUUUUAUAAAUAAUUUUUUUAACUAAAAAGUUAAAGUUUGAGGAUUUAUUUCAAAUUACAGAAUAGGCGCGGAUGUUUUUUUGCUUUACUAAAAUUGAUUUGAGGAAAAAAAAACUAUUACAUGCAUCAAGCGUAUAUUAAUCCUUCGUACACCUAGAGAUGUCAAACGGGCCGGGCGGCCAGCAGGUUGUUCGGCCCGACACAAGAGUGGGUCGGGCCGAGGCACGGCAGGAGUACCGUAGCACUCGUAUCGGACCGGCCCGGCCUGGCCAGAUAAAUCGGAUCGUGUUGGGCCUUGGUGGCCCUGCACGGCACGACAUGACACGGGUCUGGGCCGUGCCGGGUCUGUUGGGAGGCCCCGGCCCGGCACGGCCCGAGUGACCCGUGUCCAAGGGUAUGCUAUGGCAGACCAUUGGGAGGUGGGCAUUUUGAUCCUUUCGGACCAAAAUACAUUUUCCAACAACCAAAAAUUUGACGAUUGGGAGAGUAUUUUGAUUCAAAAAAUAUUUAAAAUUUUUAAAUAAUUUUAAAAUUUUAAAAUUUUUAUAUAUUUUUUAAAUUUUAAAUUUUUUUCACUUAUAUAUUAUUUUUAAAAAAUAAUAUUUUUAAUUUUUAUUUUUAAAAAAAUUUAAAUAUUUUUUAAAUAAAAUUAAUAAAUAAGAGAGGCUGGCCUGAAGCCUGGCCCGACUGGCACGACCCGUACCACUUGGGCCGGGGCGCCGUGCUGGGUCGGGGUCCAAAAACUUUGGCUUAGCACGGUCGGGUCGUGCCAGGCUGGCCUUCGGCACGUUUCAGCCGGACUAAAUGUGGGCCGUACCAGCUUGGCACGGUCCACAUUACAUCUCUACAUACAUCGCAACAUAUAUUAGAUGAUUAAUAUUUUAAUAUCAAAUUUUAAUUACAUAUAUAUAUGAUCUAUAAAGUCUAAUAAUUUAAAUUAUAUUUAAUGAAUUAAUUUUAAAUUUUCAAUUAAAGAGUUUUAGGCAUGUGGUGUAUGUACAAAUAUACACUUGGUGUAGAGAAUGCUAUUAGAAUGUACUCAUAAUUUCAAGAGGGAAGAAAUCUUUACUUGCACCUAAUUUAUACCAAUACUCCAAAAUAUGUAAUAUAAAAUAUCUAAAUAAUUUAUUGUAUUAUAUAGAUUUAUCUUUGAUACGCGGCAAACUCUCAUUGGAUUUUGCCUUAAUUGGCAACAUGGCUCACUAAGAAAGCCCCCUCUUGAUUUGACUGAACUGUCUUUUUUUUUUUUUUUUUUGAGAGAGAUAGAUAGCAUGCUAUUCGCUUCGUUUAUUUCAUUUAGAAAUAAACUUAGUUGGAAAUGUGAAUCAACUAGGAUUCGAACUUGGGUCUCGGAUAUCAACCACCAAGCCCUUUGCAACUUGCUCUAGGGACGGUCGGUACUGUCAAAUAGUAUUUUUAUUAUAGAUUAUUUGCCAUGUAAAAGUUGAUUGAUAAAAAAAUAAAUUUGGCAUUUUGGAUAUAUAUGCUGCAAAUUUGCUUCUGAAAGAAAAAUGCUAUCCAUAAACCACCUUUGGAACGUAUAUCACAUACAUCAAAUUCAUUCUUUGGUUCUAAUUUGUCACUUAUUAAUGAUUAAUAAAAAGAAUUUAUCCACUAAAUAAGUAAGAUGUAUAAUUUAUACACACUUUUAAAUAUAUCGAUAGCAUUACUCCUAAUUAAAUGCACGGCCAAGAUUCAAAAUGCUUAUGUUACAGAUAAAAGGUAAUGAUUUGCAACAUUUUUAGCACUUGUUUCCUGAAGUAUACACGUCGCUUACUCAAACGUAGAUCACACAUUUCUCUCGAAAAAGAGUAUAUCACACUUUAGUGUGUUAAACAUCAUUUGUACACUAAAAGUUUAAGCUGUUAAAGAACGGUAUUUAUAUAAUUUUAUAUUUAACACUCCCCCUCAUGUCUGAGCUCGAGACUUUUUGCAAGACCGAUGACGUGGAUUUGAAUUAAAAGGAAGGAAAUUAAUCUUCCACGCAAGGCCAAUUUCUUUCGCUAAAAAUAGAAAAAAAACAAAGAUAUUUUGAUCAUACAUAUUCAUUCCUGUCAUUUAGUUAGUUGUUAAUUAAAUUUGAUUGUAACUCAAUUUUAUCAAAAUACAGCAAUUAACUUUGUUACUAUUGGUGAUGAAGUCAAUUAUAAUAGAAAAAGCGCUAGGAAAGAAUAAUAAAUAAUUAACUUUAUAACUUAAUUCUUUCUUUUUUUUUAAUGUAUGUUUUAAAAGUAGCUUAAAUUUUUCUUUUGAAAUUCAGUCAAAAUUUGAAGCACAUAGGUUAUAAAGAAAACAAUAAUUUUGAAACAUUUAUUUUUUUUUAGAGAUAGAUAGCACGCGACCCGCUUCGUUUAUUUCAUUUAGAAAUAAACUACGCUGAAAAUGUGAAUCAACUAAGAUUCAAACUUGGGUCUCGGGUACCAACCGCCAAGCCCUUUGCCACUUGCUCUAAGGACGGUCGGUAAUUUUGAAACAUUUUUAAUCUCUCUCACAGAGUAUGUAUAUCACGUAUUUAACAAUGCAUCCCACCGAUAGUCCUCAGCGCAAGUGGUAAAGGGUUUGAUAAUUGAUACCCGAGGUCUCAAGUUCGAAUUCUAGUUAAUUUAUAUUUUCAACUAAAUUUAUUUUUAAAAGAAAUGUUGGAAGCGGAUAGCAUGCUAUUUUUCUCUCUCAAAAAAAAAAAAAGAAGAAAGAAACAAUGCACAAUGCACAUCCCACUUGGCUAUUGGUUGACGAGCAAAGUUCUUUAAAACCAAAUUAAAGAAUAUUUCAUACAAAAAAGGAAUCCGCAAAUUAAUUGGCUUAUUAAAACACCUUUACUUCUAUGGUGAUUUUUGGAUCGUAAAUGCAGAUUAAUCAAUUGGCUACAUUUUUUACUUUUGCUAUUAUCAACAUUCAUGAAAACUGCUUUUUGACGCCUUCUCUUUCUCUUGAAAAAUCUGAUCCAUGUACGCAGCAUUUCAUUCGCCAAAACCACUGGUCCAAAAUAUUUAAACCCAGUUAUUAGUAUUAUAAUUUUUCAUUCUUAUAUUUUUAAUUAUAAUUUUUUUUUCUAUUCAAUGUAGGACUAUUGUAACACGUGAAGGUCAGGAUGACAAACUCGAGUUUCAGGUGAGCAACAGUUUUGACUAAAUAUGGAAAUUUCAAUAACCACUCUACUGUGUUGGGAAUAAUAUUUGGUCAAUUCGCUCUUUCGUAUUGUAAGAUCGAAGAUUAUUCGAGUGUUGCUGCGCUCUAGCGGGGAGAAGUCGAAGCAUGACUAGUUUUACUUGUUUCGGCUUUUGUACAGGUAAGCAUUUUCCUAUACUCAAAAUCAAAACAUACUUUAAUGUGCAUUUAUUUAUUAUUUAUGCUGCUCAAAUUAAAUGCUCAGGGUAUUUUUUUGGCUUACAUUUCCAUCUUAAGUUCGAGCUUUGUGCUGUAGCCAAUACCAACCAUAUUCCAGGACAUGAAAUCUGCACCUCGUCCAUUCUUAUUUGUUAAGGUGGAUGGGUUUACUUGUCCAAAGAUCACACAAAUACUCUGCAAUUUGUUGAAAUUCUUUUAAGUGAUCAUAAUUUUUUCUGAUUCUAUGUUAUUGUUUUUGGCAUUAGGCGAAAAGUGGGGGAAAAGAAUAGCUAUGUUACACAAAAAGGAAAAAAUCAUAAUAUCUUGUUGAAUCUAAAGGUGUCCAAAAUAUCCGAUAUCCCAUACCCGAUCCGGACCCUAUCCGGACCCGAACCGGACCCGAUAAAAAAUGAAUAGUAUACGGACAAAAAAAAUUACCCAUUAAAAUUUCGAGUAUAGGUCCGGAUAUUUUAUACCCAUACCCGAUUUGGACCCGACCCGAACCUAACUUUUAAAUGAGUAGGGUCCGGAAUAGUUUUCAAAUCCGGACCCGGACCCAGAUCCGAUGAAAUAUCCGAUAGUAAAUAAAAAAUAAAUAAACUUUUGAAGUUGAAGGAUCAAUUUUAAUAUGACUUAUAGAUGAUGAGUCACUAUGUAUUUUCAUCCUAAUGAAACCUUAGCCGUCUCUUUUACUCAUUACUUUUUUCUAAUUUUUUUACUCUUUGUUUUCUACUCUUUUUUUUCAUUUUAUUUCCGCCAACAAUAUUUUAUUGUCAACAAUAGUUUGUUUAUUGACUAUUUAAUAAAGUUUAUAAAAAAAUAUAUUUAUACGGAUAUCCGUACCCAAUUUAGACCCGAUCCAUAUCCGAUUUUGAACGGAUAGUAUACGGAUAGUCACUACCCAGACCCGCUCAAAUAGACCCGAUGGGUAUAUUAGAAACUUUAGUAUCCAGAUCCGGACCCGACCCGAAGUUAAAUGGGUAGGGUAUAUAUAUUUUUUUGUAACCAUUUCUUUUUAGGGUAUGGAUACAGUAUAUUAAUUACCCAGACCCGACCCGGUCCACGGACAUCUUUAACUUGAAUCAUCUCAGAUACAAGAACUUUGGUAAGUACAGGAGAUAGCCAGUUAGUUCUUUUCCUCAACAAGCUUUUACAAUCCUCUUAUCUUUGAAUUACCACAGUAGAGCCAUACCCCCUUUUCAUUGUCUCAUAAAAUGAAAUUACUCUUCGUUUUGUUGCAUACAUUCUUCCUAGCAUCUAGACUAAUAACUAAAGCAAGAAGCCGAGGAUUGAGAUCCAACUUUUCAACAAUGCCCGCGUUGGUGUCUCAAAUCGAAUCUCCAACCUCUAAGACAACACCUCGGGUAACAAUCACUGGGCUUGUAGAGCUAGAAGAAAUAGUACGACAUACCAUGUACGGCAAUUGGACAGCACUCCGCACAAAUUCACAGCAAGAUUAGGUACCAUAUACUCUGUCCCGGAUAAUUUUCCCUCGUAUAAUAUAUCAACGAAGAAAACAAAGUUACGUUCUUAUGUUGCAACUACUUAUCCAUUACAGCACUAGUUCCAUAAAAAUGUCCUCUUGAUGUCGCAUUGCAAGUGCAUAAAGGAGUAUGGUAGUGGAGAAAAUGAAAAUUAAUUGCAUUAACAUCUUAGCAUGUCAAUUUUCUUUCAACUCUACAAUGACAACAAAUGAAACAAAAAAACAUGCUACUGCAAAGAAGAAGGACAAUACAAAGUGGGAAAAAAGAAUACCUCGAGUGAAGAGAUCAAAGGGAGAACGCCACCCGAACAGCAAGUUUCUGUGGCUUUGCUUUGAUCUCCAACCAAGAAACAAUAUCUUGCGAGGAACUGUCCGAUUAGGUCUAUUUACUAAAGUCUAUUCACUUAAGUUGCAGCCAUGAACGUAAGGGUGAUCGAACUUAAUAAACUUAGUCCAAUACGGCCGGUACUUGGUCAUUGCAAGCUCUAACCAAGGCUUCAUAUUCCCAUUGUAGUGGAUUACAGCAGCAUUGUCAAUCUCCGACCGAUCGAUACUAGGGUUAUAACCCAACCCAAGAACGUGCCAUGAUUUGUCUAGAGGAUGAGUUAAUUUGUAGAAGGUCAAGAGCCCCGGCGGAAGUGUACCAAGUUUCCAGAGAACCCUGUCCUCAUUCUUCAAAGGGAAACAUCAAAAAAGUUAGAUCUCAUUAUAGUUAAAAAAUUAAAAUUCAAAAUCAAGUUUCACAAUAAUUAUAUGCAAGCAACAGUUCGCAUCAGUUGAAACCAAAAAAGAAAGUGCAAAACAACAUAGGUACUAAUUUGGUUACGAAUCAAAAUGCAUAAUAAAACGAAUAUCCAUAAUCAAGUUUAGCAAUUAGUAUAUACAAGUGCAGUGUGCAUCUAUGAAGAAAGAGUAUAACUAAUGGUUUGGUUAUGACUCAAGUGAACAAGGUCACAACUAAGAGCUAAAAAAUUACCGUACAAUGUUUAACACAACAGGUUUAUCUACUGCAAAGAUUCCAAAUAAAGUUUCUUUUCUAGGUCAGGAAUAUACAACAUUUCUAUAACAUGUAUGUCACAGAUAAUUCAAUAAAAUUCGAAUUAACUUACCAUGUUUUGCCACUUGUGGUAAAUACCAGUGAUAUCCUUUAUUUUCCACUCCUUCAAAUCAAAAAUAUUCAUUCCAUAGGCCCAACCACAUGCGUUAGGAUCAAAGUUCCGAGCAAUGUGCGGGUUCGAGAAAUUGAGAUAUUUGUCAAAACGGUGGAAACUCUCACCACAUGUCUCCACCGCACCAUUCACAUUUCCCUUAAGAUCUACAGACCACAAUCCUGUCAAAUCCUUCUGCACAACUAUGUCAUCAUCAAGGAAAAGGAUUUUAUCCAACUUGGGAUAGACCUGUGGGAGAUAGAACCUCAAAUGGUUCAACAUAGAAAGGUAUUUAGGGUUUCGAUAUUUUAGAUUAGAAGAACCAGCUGAGAGAGUCGUAGGAUGAUCAGCCUUAAAAUAAUACUCUUUCAUAGAAGCAGACUCAAGCUGUCGAAGAACUGGGCAAUAGGAAGAGUUCAGCCAUUUGAAUUCAUCCACAUUCUCAACAUGAAUGGUCGCCUUUCCAGGUGGGUUCAAAAGGAACCACAUGUUCAUGGCUCCGAAGUUCAAUUUAUCUGUCACAAGGUGAAAUACAUGCUUCUCCGGCUCCUGUAAUUUAAGCAAAAUGAAUCAGGAAGGGACUUUGACAUAUACAUCCCUGCAAUAUAUUUACUUACACAUAUGCCCCUAUCAAGCCUGAAUUUUAAUAAAUAAUUGUCAAAAGUGCAACUGCUUACAAAACCUGCCCUCAUCUUAAGUAGGGAAGUAAUCCAACUCAUCGGGCGAAGGUCGCUUUGCACUAGAGAAAUUUUCUUAUAGAUGGGUAUUUUAUUAAAUAUAAGGAUAUGCAUAUAAGAAUUCAAGUUUCUCUAAGUACAUGAAAAUUCAGGUUUUGGUUAAUUCUAAUUUGCAGGGAUGUGUGAUAAUGCUUCAGAAUAUAGACUGAUAGAAAGUACAGAAGCUACCUUUGCAUUCAUGAUGGUUGAGUUGACAACAACUGAUGCAGCCAGAACAUUGUCAGAGAAGAGCGCGUAAUGGUAAAGGUCUGGAUUUUCCAAGUUCUCACUCCUCGGAAAUUUCCUUUUCUCUGGAGGGAGGAGGUAAUAAUCUAUUGUUAAGCGCAUUGAUAAGCAGUGAAUCCCAUUGGGAAUCGUCUUUGCAGCCAAUUGACUUAAGAAUGUGCUCUGUUUCUUCAAGCUCCUGACCUGCUCAUCUGCUGACUGAAGCAUUGCUCUUAAUCUCUGGGUUAUUGCUUUGCAAUCGUACAGUUCUUCUCUGGCUUUUGACAAUAGUUGACCCAUUGCUUUGAUUCUCUCAGGGGCACUGCAGAUUAGAUGGAAAACAGUUAAGAUUGAAAAGAUUAUAAGUAGCAUAAGGGUUUUAUUUGGUGAUUAUAGUAUAGGAAUUUGACUUUGAUCCAUCACAAUGUCCCGAUUAUCAUGAUUUUCAACAUACUAUAUUCCACCUACAAGGUGAUGUAUUAUAUUGGUAAAUGUUGAGAUUACCCCUUCCUUACUACUGUAAGGACAAUGUGAAUUAAAUACUUGCCUGUGAUGAAGGUCAGCAUCAGCAUUAGCCUCUCCAACUGCACGCUGGCUUUCCUUGAGCCGAGUCAAUAGUUCUUGGUAAAGGUCAAGUUUGUUCUUCGACUUUGCAAUUACAGAGUAGACCCUCGCCAUGAUCAUUUGGUCCCGCAUUAACCUAACUGUUGAGUCUGAAUUCUCGUUCUCAUUGUCCCGCCUCCAUAUACUGUAUUUCCCAAGUAUUGCAGAAUCCACCACUUUUGAGCGUUCAAUGGCGGCAUUUUCAAGCUUAACUAAUGCUUCAUCAUCCUGUUGAACCAACUCCAUUGCCCUCUUUUCUCGCCUUUUCUCUCUCAAUUUCUACAACAAGAAUAUGAUAAUGUACCAAAACUAAUAGCAAGUGCAUAGAUUAGGCACAACGAUAAACAGAUGUAUGAACCAACAUAUAAAAACCCAUAAAUGGCGGAUUACCACUUAUUGGGCUGAAUCACAAAAAACAAUCAAACUUCUUGUGUAGUUCCAUCUUGAUCCUAACUUUUUCAAAAGUUAUAAUUUAGGUCCCUUACCUUUGCAACGUUGCAAUCUUACCCUUUCAAUUAAUUUCUCCAUAAAACUGGAUAGAGAUAUCCACGUAAUAUUUAUCUGAUUGCCAUCUAAGCAAAUUUUCAACAUCUCAUAUGGCAAUGCAUGGACAUUCCUAUCCAAUUCAACUGAGAAGGACAAUGAAAAGGAUAAGAUUGCAAAAUAAUUUGAAGAUUAGGGGCCCAACUGCAGCUAUCUAAGGAUAGGUUGCAGAUCUGAGACCCCAAAAAAGGGUGGGGAUUCCUGGUGCAAAUUACCCAGUUAUUUUACUCAAUGAUAAUGUUACACACAUUAAAGAUUGAAAAAUCUUGAGAAUGAUUAAAGAAGCAACUUACCCAAUUAUUUUAUUCAAUGAUUAUGUUAUGUACUUUUCAAGGUUCAAAUAUGUUGAGAACGAUUAAAAAGCAUUCUGGAACAUAAUAGAAGAACUCAUGGGCAAGAUAAACAGGCAGAAAUUAAGAAAAAUGAGGGGGUAAUUACCCUUCGAGCUGCAUUUGCAGGUGUAUCAGAAAGCUGUUGUCCAUCUGCAUAUAGAAAACCAUUCAGUUGUUUGCUUAUCUUCCAACCAAAUUAUGCUAAACUAUGCUCAAAAGAAAGCUUCAAGUAUUUCCAUACCAGAAUCAUCAUUAACCUCUUUAUCUGACACAUGCAAGUUACCACCUGCAGCAUUAUCUUCCAAGUUUCCUUUCACAUCCUUGGGUGCAGCAUCUGAUGCUGUUUGAAGAGGCUUCAAGAAGUCAAAGAAGAAAGGCACAUUCUCACAACUAGAUGUCAUGAAAACAUAAGUCUAGGGGGCAAAAAGUAUAUUGUUACCUCUGGCAAAGUUGCAUUAUUUUCAUCAGAAUUGACAUUAGCACCAUUAAGCCCUUCUAUUUUCCAUGAAGAAGAGAUAUGGUUCUUUCUGAAAGAGUCGAGACUCCAUGGCUUCAAUUCAUCUCGACCAGCAGCAAUUGAGUCAAUUAACUGACAACAGAAUGGCAUUAAAUGACAACAAGCAUCAGACAGUUGGUAAUGUCAUCAAGGUUGUAUAUUAAUGGUUAAGUCAGGAAACCGACUCCCAUGCUAGGUGAUUGAAAUUUGCCAACAUUAAAGUGAGCUAAAAUUGCUAUUUACACUUCUCCAUAGUGUGUGUUUAUGUGUACACAGAAAAUAUAUAGUGAAUGACAUGCAUUUAUCCAUCAAUUGUGGUUACUUCUAUGGAUUCUCGCUCUCGGUUCCCGUUAAGAAGAGGCAGAGGCUAAGUUCACAGUUCCCAUUAAGAAGAGGCAGAAGCUACGUUAACCAUAUGUAUGUACAUUUCAUAGCAUAAAUAUCUUUCUGGUUUUGAGGAUGAUCACAUGCAGAUUUUUCUUCUUUUCUCUAUCUUUUUGGGGGGGGGAGGGGAUAUAUGUCAUCUAAACUGCUAGUGAAGCCACAUUCCUACGGCUUAAGUAAACCAGUCUUCAACCCAAGCUGAUCAGUUAUGCAUAGGAAAAUGGAUCAUUCCUAACAAUAUCAUCAGUUAGAAGGUUGACAUUACUGAAAAUUUGAACAGGAUAUGACAUCAUAGAACAUCCGCUAUACCAUACCAUCUUAUUUAAAAGCCCCCAAAGGCAAAUAAUGAACCACAUGUCCAGUGUUUUCUUGCUAGCUUUUGGCAAAGACCUAGGAUAGGCUAUUGGACUGAGGAGAAGUGGAUGUCAUUUCCUCCUCAGCUGCAACAGAAAUUAUUAUAUAAGAUUUUUCCCAAACCAAGCCACGAGAACACCCAAACACCAAUAGUAAACCCACAAUUAAGUAGACAACAAAGGCUAAAUCUGUGAGCACAUAUUUCAUGACUACCACAUAGAAGAAAGUUUGAGAAGAAAACUAAAGAAAAAUUGCCCAGCAAGGAGGUAACCUCUUUAGUAAGCACAGAUUUCAGCUCUUGAAUGGCUGGCUGCUCUCUCCAAUCGAGAACCUGCAAGGCAUUUUUGGAUACAGCAUUAGCAAUAUUAUAAUAAAAAUAAGAUGAACAAAAAUAGGGAAAAAAAUGCAUAGGCUAUUGGGCCCAAAAGAUAGAAAGUAGCUAAGUAUCUUCAUAGGCAGAUGACCUGUUUGCCUGCAGAGUCAGCACUGCCUCUUUCAUCUGCACGAAAGAUAGAAGAUUAGCACAAAUAUCAAUAUAUGACUCAAAUAAUGCAAUUUCUUCCAUGUGAAGAAAUGAAAAUGAUGAAUGGCUAGCUAUUUUGGCAUAUAAACAAUCAUAUUAACCACUACCAGAAAGACUAUUUUGCGAUAAUAUCAUUCCAAGCAUGUUUAAUUCUGCUGCUUAUUUCUUAUGCCCCCAUCGAUAGGCCGACAAAUUAGCCACUACCAGUUCACUUCUGAGCAUAUAAACAAUCAUAUUGACCACACAAGCACCCGUUUGAUAACUAACAACAAUAAUCUAUUGCAAACGCAUUACAUACUCCUUAACUUCUUUCCCGUUAAAAAAAAAAUCGAUGUCAAAGAGUAUGCAAUGCUAGUGUUAUGCUCGUCAAAAACCUAACUUUCCACCAAAAAAACAUUCCAAUAACGCAGCAAACAAACAUAAAACAAUUAACACCGGAUCAUAGAAGAGAGGAACAAGGAUCCCUUCACAGAUCCACCAAACGAAGCAUCAGCAUGAUUCUUAUAGAGCCCAAUCAAUCUCCCCCAACAGAUCCCGAUUCGAAGCCAAUCAAAACACCUAAGCCCUAGAUCAAAGAGUAAAGCAACAAACCGCACGAACAUACCCGGCGAGAUUUGCGUGCGCACCCCAUUCUUCACCACCAGGAAGAGGAAUGGGGCGAGAACGAAGACGAAGAGGAGGAGCACGAGCGGCGGCGCAAACCCCCCGCCGCCGCCGCCGCGGUUCCUCGCGCUCCCCGAUGACGAAGAGACCCGCUUCGGAUGAGGCAUUGGAUUUGGGGGCGAUGGGGAUCGAUCCGAAACCCUAGAUCGCGCGAUAGAGGAGGAGGAGGAGGAGGAGGAGGAGGAGGAGGUGGUGGUGGUGAGAAAAUGGAAGAGUGAGAUCGCGAUAAGCGCGAAAAAAGUUAAAAAAAAAAAAAAAAAAAGUUGGUUUCAAAAUUUACCCGCAGAGAUCGGUGUGAGUGCGACGGUUCUCGGAAUCUCGCUUGCUUACAAAGUGACGAGAAAUGAAACAGGAGAGAUGAGUGAGUGGAUUGGUGGAGAGGGCGAGGAGCGAAGGAGAGGGAUAAGGACUUAAAAAAUAUUAAAAAAAAUAAACUUCAAAUACCACCCCGUAAUUUCGUACACUCUUAUUUUAGUAUCCUAUAAUUUAAAAUGUAUUAAGUUAGUGUCCUAUAUUUUUAUUUUUAUCUUUUCGUUUGCGCUUUCGUUAAUAUUUCGUUAUCUAGGUUUAUUAAUAUUUACUUUAGUACUCUUUAAUUUUAAUUUUAUCAUUGAUUUAACGAAAAAAAUUAUUAGAAUCAAUAAUAAAAAGAUAAAAAUAAAACCACAUAACACUAAAUUGAUACAUUUUAAAUUACAGAGUACUUAAAGUAAGAAAGUGUGAAACCACAUUAGUGGUAUUUGAAGCUUUUUCAAAAAAAAUUAAAUACUAUUUUACCUUUCUUAAAUUUACAAAUAAUUUAUAUAUCGGUCCAAAUUUUAAUCCAAUUUAAAUAUUCCUCUAAAUUUUUAGUAUCUUAAAAAUAAAUAAUAAUUAAAUCUUCGGCAACUUACGUUACAUUUUCUUAUUUAUUCUUAGGAUAGCUAAUAGGUAUGGCUAUUCAAAAUUUUAUUCGAAUUCGAAUUCGAACAGAGCGGAUUUAUUCGAUGCUAAACUGAUAUAAUUUUGGAUACGGAUAUAAAAAAUAAAAAUCCAACGAAUUUAUAUUCGAAUAUGGAUUUUGUCUAUAUCGAGACCGACCGAAUCCAAAUUGAUUUUUCAUUAUAUAAUAUAUUUGAUGUUAUAUUUAAAUUUGUAUUUAAAAAAUUUAGAUUUAAUAUAAUGAGUUAGGUUGGUAUACUAUCGGUAGCACGGAGGCCUCCGUGCUACCAAGUUGUUUUUAAUGAUGCUGCUUCUAAAUCGACGAUCGGCUCAAUUAGACUUGAUCUACACUAUUGAAAAUAUUUGAAAACUAAAUUUCAUAAUUUUUCGGUAUCAUUUACCUAUCAAACGAGUAGUUUAAAAAUGAAUGGCUGAAAAUAAAAAUUUCAUAAAAAAUGAUGAUAGAAAACUUGAAUUUAAGAUCAGAUGUACUGAGCUUACUCUAAAUAGUAAAAGAAAUUUUUUUAUAAAAAUUUCAUCUGAUUUAAAUUGUUUUACACCGUUAAAUUUACAAAUGUAUCACAUCUACUAUUAAAAUUAUCAAUUUUGAGACCUUUUGAUCACUAGCCAAAUGAUGCUGAAAAAUUAUAAAAUUUAGUUUCCAAAUAUCUUUAAAAGUGUAGAUCAAGUCUAACGAAGCCAAUCGUCGAUUUGAAAGCUGCAUCAUUGAAAACAACUUGGUAACACGGAGGUCUCCGUACUACUAAUAGUAUACCAGCCUAGCUCUAAUAUAAUAUGUUUUAAAAUACGUUAAGGAGAAAUAAUUGUUUCAGGUUCCGGUUUUGGUUUUGAAUUUUUUUGUCACGUUCAGACUUGGAUACGAGUUUUUAAAAUCGGACAGAUUCAUAUUGAGGUUCAGUUUUCAUAUUCGUAAUCGGGUUUGGGUUCCUGUUUUUGAAAAAUCCCCCUUAAAUCCCACCUGUCGACGACGUUCCUACUGUCUCUCUGUCCUCUCUUUUCUUUCUUCGCCUAAUUAAAAAAUCACUUUUUUUUUUAAUCCAGAAUCAAAUAAAAAAAAAAAAUUUCUGAGAGAUAUAGGUAACACGCUACUCGCUUCGUUUAUUUCAUUUAAAAAUAAAUCUAUGGGCUGUUUGGCUUCCCGUAAAAUGACCCCAAAAAAGAAUUUUCAGUAAAAAAAUAUAAUUCUAAGCGUCUGUUUGUUCUUAAAAAAAAUUGUUCGAAAUUUUUUUUUUUUCGAAUACAAGGAAAACAGAGGUUUUCGUUUUCCGCUCGCAACGAGCGGAAAACGAAAACGGGUUGGGAGGGGCGGGGUUCAAGGGGGCGCGGUCCACGAGGCGCACCCCACCUCAUGGACCGCGAGAGAGAGGUCCACUGGUUGCGGUGGACCUCUCUUCCCCAUCUUCUUUUUUAUAUAUAUAUAAUAUAUAUAAUAUAUAUAAAUAUAUAUAUAUAUAUAUAUUUAAAAAAUAAUAUUUUAUUUAUAACUAUAUUUAUUAUAUAAUAUUUUAUAUGUAGUAAUUUAUUACUAUUAUAUAUUAUAUUAUAUAUUUAAUUAUUGCAUAAUAUAUUUUAAAUAUAUUUUAUAAAUAUAAACUAUAUUUCUUAUUAUUUAUAUAAUGUUGUAAUAAUUAUAUAUUAAUAAUAUAAAAUAUGUAAAAUAAAAAAAAUAUAUAAUAAUUUUUAUUUAUAAUUUUUUUUCUUUCAACUAAACAACCGUCUCGAAAAAAUACUUUUCUUUUCCUACGAACCAAACAUAAACAACGUAAAACAUUUUUUCCACUAAAAAUUUUUUUUUCACGGAAAAUUUUUUUUCCACAGUUUUACGUGGAACCAAACACACCUUUAGCUGAAAAUAUGAAUCAACUAAGAUUCAAACUUGGGAUCUCGGAUACCAACCACCAAGCCCUUUACCACUUGCUCUAGGGACGGUUGGUGAAUCAAAUAAAAAUCAAAUAUGUAAUUUGGUAGGAGAUGCUCUUCUUGACUGGGACUAGUUUCUCUGAUUUGUUGGAUCGGAAGCUAAAGAAAAUUUAACCAAAAUUGAUGAAAAUAUAGAUGAAAAUUUAACCAAAAUUUGAAAAGAUAUAAAAGUUAAUUUGAAAUUUAAAAGAAUAUAUAAGUUAUUUUGUACUGGUAUUUUGUCCGAUAGAAAAAUUGAGGGAUAAAUUGGGAAAGAAAAACAAAAGCAAUGCUACUCAUACAUCUGAUUUCCACUACUCGCAUCAUAACCAGCAGAGUCAUUAAAUUGCGUGGAAAUAAAUUUGAUGAAAUUUUUAUUUUUUAUUUACUAAAAUUAUUUGUUUAAAAUUACUUAACAUUUUUAAAAAUAGUUUAAAAUUACUUUAACUUUAUUUAAUAAAUAAAAGUUAAGACAACGUCAAUAAAAAAAAAAAAAAAAUGUUGAGACAUAUUGCGGUUAAUUUUGGGCACAUUGCAAUUAGUCGAUUACAAUAUAUUUUUUACCAUUCCAUCGGAGAACGCAGAAGAAGAAUAUCUCUGUAUAAUUUUUCUCAACUCCAUUCUAUCUAAUAGCGUUAGAUAAAAUUCAAUACCAAACUAAGCCUACGAAGACUAAAUGCGAAAAAAAGUCCUACAAAAAUUUGUCUAUUGAUAUUUUUUUUAAAAGAAAUAUAUUAUGCAGAAGUUAAAAAUUACUAUUUUUUACAUGUAUAUUUUUAUAUCCAUGCACUACAUCGUGUCAACUAUUCAGCCGAUCAUCCUAUUUCAUACUUUAAUAUUUAUCAUUUCUGAUAAAUAUUUAUUUUUUAAAGUUAAAAAUCAAAGCAAGCAGAUAUUAAUUAAUUAGAUGUAGGAGAUUGUGAAUAAAUCAAAAAAAAUUAUUGUUCAAAUUAUGAUAAAAAUAAAAGAAUAAAUAAAUAAAAUUAGAGUUUGAGCAUCACUUGAUUUGACAGGUGAUGACUUUUUAAGACAGGAAGUGUAAACAAAGAAGAAAAAACAUUGAAAGGUGUUAGAGAGAGUUGUUGGAAUUAGGUGAUUUAAUGUUGAAAUAAUCAAUGAAAAUGAAGCAAAGUCAUUUUCAUUAAAAUUUGAGUUGACAAAAAAAAAAAUAAUUAAUUAACUUCCAAGAAAUUCAACUUUAAAGCAUUAAAUUUCCAUUCCAAUUUCACUGUUUUUCAAAAACAACCAUCCCAAACAAUAAAUCCUCUUUGACAAAAUAACUAUUUUUAAAAAAUUUUUAUUUACUAUUUUAUAAGAUAACUGUAAUUACAACGAAAAAUACUAUUCUAACGCUAAAUUUUUAUCCAGCUAAAUCAGCAUCGAACCAUCGCAUCUAAUUUUUAUUCACAUGUGUCUAAUUAUAGUUUCUUAAACAUAUGCACUGAACUGUAUGUUGACAUAGCAAAAUUCAAUCAUAAUUAAGCUUAAAAACUAGACAAGAUAGGCAUUAAACUAUUUAAGGACAAUAAAUCUAUUAUCUAUUAUCUAUUAUCUAUUAUUUAUUGCUAUUCAUUAUUUCUUGCCACAUGACAUUCUCUUCAAUAUUGUUGGUUGUGGGCUCCGCCGACUUCUUUUCCUUUACUUGAACCGAACCGGGUUGUCAAGUAUGAGUGCUAUCCUGAACCGACUCAAGUAGGGAUGUCAAUGGAUAUGAAUAUUCGAAAUUUUAUCCGAACCCGAAUCCGAAUGAAAUGGAUAUAUCCGAUGGAUAUGGAUAUGAAUUUGGAUAUGGAUAUAAAAAAUAAAAACCCGACGGAUAUGGAUUCGAAUAUGGAUUUUGAUUGUACCCGAACCCGAACCCGAACCCGACCCGAACCCGACCCGAACCCGAAUUUAUUUUGUAUUAUAUAUAAUAUAUAUAUAAAAAUUUGAUGUUAUAUUUGAAUUUGUAUUUUAAAAAUUUAAAUUUAAUAUAAUAUAUUUUGAAAUAUUGAAAAAAGAAAUAAUUGUUUCGGGUUCAAAUUUUCGGGUUCGGGUUCGGGUUCGGGUUCGGUUUUGGGUUUCAGAUUUUUGGUCGAGUUCGGAUUUGGAUAUGAAUUUUUAAAAUCCGUCGGGUUCGGGUUCGGAUUCGGGUCUCGGGUUUGGAGUCGGGUUCGGGUUCGGGUUUUUAAAAAUCCGCCCCGAAUCCGACCCGUUGACAUUUCUAGACUCAAGUCCUCCAAAUAAUCACCUUUCUUUACUUGAACCAAACAUGGUUUCCCUCUGUCUUUACUUACAUCAGACCGAGUAAUAUUGUUUCAUUGGGCUGAACCAAAUCAAUUGCUUUAUACGUUUUCAUUUUUGAACCGUAUUUUUCUUUUAAUUGUUUGAACAGAAUCGAUUAUAAUUGAAUAAGGCCUCGACCCUGAACUGGCUUAAGUUUCUUUUUUUUUUUUUGCCUGAGCCAAACCGGUGCCCUCUUUUUUGGCUUGAACUGGCCUGCUUUAUUAGACCGAGCCAGACCAAUUGAUUCAUACUUUCCAUCUUUCAAUCGGUUUUUUUGUUGAGCGAGGGCUUCACGUUGAAUGAUUUUAUUAAUUUGUAUAAGCACAAUACUCUAAACCGAACUCGCCCAUUUUUUCUUCUAAAUUAUUUUAUUAUCUUAAUAGUUUGCGAAUAAAAUUAUUAAGUUUCAACUACCAAUAAUAUUUUACUUUGAACGUGAACUGCGAACACUUUAUAAUUAUAUAUUCUCAAUAAUAUAAUUUUUGUCAAAUAUUAUUCUAUCUGUGAACAAAAAAAAUAUUUUUUUCUCCUUUUCUUUUACUUCUCUAUAUUGAAUUUUUUCUUGAAUACUAAUUCUGAAAUUUAUUUAGCAGUGAAAAAAAAAUAUAUUUUUAAGUAAUGACAAUUUAUUAAUAUUGUAUUAUUUAACUAAAAAUAUACUUUCUAAUAUUAAUUAUAAAUUAAAUAUAAUAUUAACUACUCAUCCCAUUGCGCGGAUACCUUAACUAGUUAAUUAAAAAGACAAAAGAUAACCUCUUCAUUUCAUAGCUGAAAAAUGACCCCAAAGAAAAAACUUCUUCAUGGGGGGGUUUUUCUAAUAGAAAACAAUAUUUUAUAGGAGAAAAUUUAAGAUUGAAUUUUCCAUUGGGCAAGUUUUGUCCUGUUAGGAACUUAGGAUAUGAGUGAUGUAUCUGAUCAGGUUGUGUCUUUAUAGGAAAGUUGACAAAUUUUACUUUUUAUUUUUUUUAAUUAUAUUAAAAAGCAUGCAAAACAAAUUUCCUGGUAGAGUGAAAUUAGUGCUAUAUAGAGAAAAAAAAAAUUUAUUUUUUUAUUUAAUAUUACUCUCUCUUAGUUUGAACUGUACUCUUGCUAAAACGCAUGCAUGUGACCAAACAGCGAAUUGAAUUUGCAUAUAAUUACAACUGUAGCGUCGUUAUAACUACGUGCAACCAAAUAUUUUCUUAUAAAAUAUAAGUUUUAAUUUAAAAUCUUAAAUCACAUAUUAAAUAGAGUAAACACGUCGUGAGAAGAUGAGUGUAUUUAAAUGAAUAUAUAAAUAAAUACAUAUAUAUAUAUAUAUAUAUAUAUAUAUAUAUAUAGUGCAGCUAGGGUGCUUUCGGAAGCACGGAGGGCUCCGUGCUUCCACUUUGUUUUCGAUGUUCGGACUUUUGAAUCGACGAUCGGCUCCGUUAGACUUGAUCUAGAGUAUUUGAAGUAUCUAGAAAAUAAAUUUUGCGAUUUUUCGAUAUCAUUUGCCUAGUGAUCGAAGUGGCUCAAAAUCAACGGCUGAAAAUAAAAAUCUUAUAAAAUAUGAUGAUAUGACAUUAAAAUUUUAGAUCAAAGUUAUUGAUCUUGUUUUAUAUGGUAUAAAGAAUUUUCUAUCAAAAUUUCACGUGAUUUGGAUAUUUUUACACCGUUAAACUUGCAACCGGCUCACCAUGGCCGUUAAAAUUAUUGAUUUUGAGCCCCUUCGAUCAUUAGGCAAAUGAUAUCGAAAAAUCGCAAAAUUUAUUUUCUAGAUACUUCAAAUACUCUAGAUCAACUCUAACGGAGCCGAUCGUCGAUUCGAAAGUCCGAACAUCAAAAACAAAGUGGAAGCACGGAGGCCUCCGUGCUUCCAAAAGCAUACCAGCACAACUCUAUAUAUAUAUAUAUAAUAUAUAUAUAUAAAAGUGAAAAAGAGAUUCUUCAAGCGUCUUCUUACUCAAGAUGGAAGGCGAAAGAAACAUUCGAUGCAAAUUUCUUGCAACCAAAUUGGUAUGCAAAAUUUCCAUGCGAAAAACAAGAUUCGAUGGUCAACAGAAAAUUUGGACCCAGAUGCUAAGAUUCAGUUCAUCUUUCCAUGGAGGGCUGUUUGAUUUUUGGAAUCUAAAACUCAAGAUUAACAACCAAUUAAAUUUAAAAUUAAAUUCAAAACUAAAAUUCUAUAUAUAUGUGUGUCAUUUUGCUCGCUAUUUGGAUGACUCGGAUAUAUAUAUUUGGCUACUAAUAAACAAUAAAAUAAUCUUCUGAGUAAAUUUGUAAAAAUUCUGCUCGCACGACUAUAAAGAAACUUCCACAUCUAUAUUAGAUCGAUAUUACGGUUAAAUAGCCUUUUAGAAUGUGAACUAUCACUGGUGCCCUUAUUAUACGUCAAGGAACGUUUAUGACUUGUGGUUUAGAGGUUUAUUUGUGAUGGAUUUAUUUAUCUAAAAUGGUAUGAACGAUAAAUUUAUAUGUUUGGGCUUUGGAGGGUUGUAAAUGAUAUUUUAAAUUUUGCAGAGGCAUUGCAUAAUAGUUUGAAGUCUCCGUAGAAGUUUACAUUUAAAAAUGUAGUAAUAUUAAGGCUGCAACUUUUUGGGUUCUAAUUUUACAACCCCUCACCGACCGUUCCUAAAGCAAGUGCCAAAGGGCUUGGUGGUUGAUACCCGAGACCCAAGUUCGAAUUCUAGUUAAUUCACAUUUCCAGCUAAGUUUAUUUCUAAAUAAAAUAAACGAAGCGGGUAGCGUGUUACCUAUCUCUCAAAAAAAAACAAAAAAAAAAAAAAUUUACAACCCCUCUCAUUCAAAGUCAUUCUUUUUUCUACUCAUCUUAUUAUUUUAUUUUUUCUAACUAAAUUUUUUUUAAAAAUGUAAAUUUUAUAACUUUUUCCAUAAGAAAUUGUACAAUUUCUUUGGAUCGUAGACUUAGUGUUUUUUAUAUUAUAAAUUAUAGAAAAUUUUUCUAUAAAUAUUCUCUUUUUUUUUUACUUUUUUCCCAUGACUUCAAAAACCUACAUUUUUACCCUCUUAAAAUUUUAAAAAUAUUUUCAGAAAAGUGCGGUGCCAAUGGAAAGGGGAAAAUGACCAAAUUAUUCUUACUUCUUUUUAAGAAAAAAAAAUGUUAAUAUAUUGCUGUUAUUUUGAAGGAUAUUUUUAGUAUAAAUUAUAAGAAAUUGACGGAAUAGUGAUGGAAUCCUCAUGGAAGAGACUAAAUGCAACAAAUUGAAAUAUUGAGAGACUGAGCUAUAGAUUUUUAAAAAUUAAAAAAAUAAAAUAAAUUUAUAAGAAAUUUUUUUGUAAUUUAAUCUAUAAUAAAUAUUAGGAUUAGUUUCAUACAGGUUCUUGCAAAUAUAGUGAAUGGCAAAUAUAUUCCUACAAAGUUCGAUUUUCAUAUGUUAUUUCUACAAAAGUUCUAAUGUUUUCAAAAAUAUCCCUCUGCUUUGUUACUGGUAGAGAACCGUUAGAGAAUUAUUUAUAUUUUUAAUUUUGCCAUCACAAAUAUAUCUCUCUAAAAAGUAUAACAGUAUAAUAUAAAAGGGGUAAAAAUAUCAAAAACUAACUUGGAUUAAGUAUUUAACCUAUAGUUAACUAAUUUUUCUAACGGAUUCUAACGACAGAGUCAUAUUUAAAAAUAUCAGAACUUUUACAGAAAAACAUAUGAAAGUUAAAUUUUAUAAAAAUAUAUUCGUUAUUCAUUAUAUUUGUAGGAAUCUGUAUAAAAUUAAGGGAAAACUUCAAAAAACCUCUCUGUGGUUUCGUAGUUUCUCACUUUGCCCCCCUGUGGUUUAAAAUGUAUCAAAUUACCCCCCUGUGGUUUCGUUUUUAUCUUUUCGGUAACUUUUUCGUUAAUAUUUCAUUAAAUUAUAUACAAAAAACUUCAGAUACCCAUCUAGAUUUAUCAAAUAUUCACUUUAGUACCCUUUAAUUUUAACUUUAUUACUGAUUUAAGAAAAAAAAAUAAUGAAAUUGAUAAGAAAAAGAGAAAAAAAAAUCACAGACGGACAAAUUGAUACAUUUUAAACCACAGGGGGACAAAGUAAGAAACUACGAAACCAUAGGGAGAGUUUUUGAAGUUUUUCCUAAAAUUAACCCUAAAUUUUAUUUUAUUCUGAUAGCCAAGCGAAAGUGAAAGAGGAAAUUAAGGUGGAACAUACGUGGUAUCUUCUCCCUCCACCUAACUAUACUUUGACCGUAUGUACGUAGAUCACCUACUAAGGACAAGUACUCUUUUUUUAGAUUCUGUGCCGUAUACUCCACAGUACCGUAUACUUGUAACUCGAUCCACAGUGUAACCACUCUCUUCACAAGCAACUACUACAUUAAUGCAUUAUCCUCUCAAUUAUCCUCCAAACCCUUCCUUUUUUUUUUAUUUUUCUUUUCCUACGUCAAUAAUCGUGCAAGUACUUCACACGUAUAUAGCAUUCUGAUCUAACACAUGAUGCAUGAUCUAUAGCAUCCUAUGGGUUUUUUUCCUUUUUUUUUUGUGGGGUUAAUUUUAAACACAUUUUCUGUAAAGAUAUCAAUUCAUUUAUAUAUGUCAUUACCGUUCAAUUUAUCGUUAGGUUUUUUUUUUAACGGUAGAUGCGUAAAAUGGCUAUUUUGUUCUUACAAAUUUAUUCUUAUAAAAAAAUAUCUUUCUUUUCCUCUCUUUUCUCACUUUCGCUGUGACAAGUGUUUCUCAUUUUUGUCGCGAUCGAGGGCAUCGCCUUCGACAUCACCGCAAUCAUAGGUCUCGUCGUCGCGAUAGAUAAAGAGUAAAAAGUGAGAAAGAUGACGAGACUUAACAUUAGAAUACAAAUUAUCUUUCUUUUCUUUUUUUUUUUUUUUACAUUUACAUUUCUCCAAUAAUUUAAUUUCUAACAAGUUCUUAUAAAACUUUGUGUAGGAUAGAUACCGAUUUACAAUUUUUAAAUUAAUUUAAUUAUUAAAAUGCUUUUAUUUAAUUUAAUUAAUAAUCAGACUAAUAAAAUUGUCUAAAAUUAUAAAAAAAAAACAAAGUUUUAUUACUAAAAUACUACAAAUCCGCAAUAUUUUUUUUUCCAUCCUUCAAAAGCUUAUUUUUAUUAUAUAUUAUUAAUGUAUGUUGACAUAAAUUAUAGGAUUGAUUGCAUGCACCAUUGACCUCUAACAAUUGUUAUUUUUUAACUUUUGUCUCUAACUUUUUUUUUUCAUUAUUAAAUCUGUAACCUUUGUGUUUUUAUUUUAGUGAGGUCUCGACUAUUUAAAUUCGCGUUAAUUUUGAUAAAAUAGGCAACAUCAACAUCGAAAAAAAAAUGUUGCAUUCUCAUAAAAACUACAAUCACGAUUAAGUAGCCUCUCAUUAUUUUCGGAUCAGUUUUUAAUUAAAAUUUUUGAAAGAGUUUGAUGACAUGCACAAUUCAAUAGUAAGAAUGCAGAAUACUAAAAAGAACAGCAAGCAUUGUGUGUGAGGUCGAAGCAGUCAUAGACAGCAGAAAAUGAUAUUCUUAGUGGUGAAAUUGGGCGUGAGGUGAUGGGCACGCCGAAGAGUGAAGAGGUUAGGGACAAAAUUGAAAAAAAAAAAAUGAAUAAAAUUUAGAAACUAAUAAUGUAAUUAAUUCUAAAAGUUAAUUAAAAUUUGAUUGGCAAAAGACCAAAAUUCGGGGGCAGAAUAUUUAGGUACAAAUUGGGGACCAAUCAUGCAAUUAACCACCAACAAUGUGGAAUCCUUAACAAAGCAUUUCUUAUUUGUUCCAGAAAUCUUUUGUCCAAUGCGGAAGCUUCUAAGCAUAAUGCAGAAGCUUCUUCUAAACAUUCAAAUAUUCGCGAAUCAUUUGCUCUACAAAAUUUCACUCUUUCGUUGUCUUAAUUUUCAAUUAAUUGGUAGUUUAGUCAAGAAGAAAAAAUGUUCAAAAACAGAGAAAAAACAGAGCAAAACAGAGUAUUGGAACUAACUGUGGAAUUUGAUGUGUACUAUCAAUCGCUUCUGUUUUGUAUUUACAUAUUAUUUCAGGACGUAGAUUAUAAAAUAACAAUUAAAAUGAUAUAGGCUAAUUUGCAUAAGAAAUUCACGAGUUUUGAGCUUUAGUAAAACUGGAUCGUUUUUUUUGAUUUUGUAAAUUCGGACCGAAUUUUCAGAAAACUAAUUAAAAUAUUCUUAUUCUUUUCUCUUUCUCAGUUUUCUGAAAAUUCGAUCCGAAUCUAUAAAAUCGAAAAAAACAGUCUAAUUUUGCAAAAACUGAAAACUUGUGAAUUUUUUAUGCAAAUUGACCAAUGAUACAUUAUACUGUUGCAUGAUUAAUAAAAUGUUUGAUAUUACCAUUCCAAUUAAUGAAAGAUCUUUUAAAUAGAAUAAUAAAAUAUAAAGGAAAAACUUCAAAAACCCUCAUUGUGGUUUCAAUUUUUUUCACUUUAGUACCCUGUGGUUUAAAGUGUAUCAAGUUAGUAUCUUGUGGUUUCUCACUUUAUUACUUUAGUAUCCUGUGGUUUUAAGUGUAUCAAGUUAGUACCCUGUGGUUUUGCACUUUAUCACUUUAGUACCAUGUGGUUUUAAUUUUGUAUCAAAUUAAUACCCUAUAGUUUUUUAAACUAUAGAGUACUAAAGUGAUAAAGUGCAAAACCACAGGGUACUAAAGUGAUAAAGUGCAAAACCAUAGGGUACUAACUUGAUACACUUUAAACCACAGAAUACUAAAGUAAUAAAGUGAAAAACCACAAGAUACUAACUUGAUACACUUUAAACCACAGAAUACUAAAGUAAUAAAGUGAAAAACCACAAGAUACUAACUUGAUACACUUUAAACUAUAGGGUAUUAAAAUGAAAAAAGUGUGAAACCACAAUAGGAGUUUUGAAGUUUUCCCAAAUAUAAAUUUAUGCACUAAUAAAUGCAAGUUUUUAAACUAUCCAAAUGGUAAAGUAAAAGUACACUAAACCAGCAUUUUUGCCCCUAUGUACACACACCUGUACAAUCUAACCAUCCAAUUCAAAGAAUCAAUCUAUGUGUCAUUUUUUCCAUUUUCAUCCCCUUUUUUGCUUUGUUUUAUUUUUUUUCUUUCUCUUUUUCCUGCAUUAAACCAUUUUGCUGCCAAUUCUGUGAUCUCAUUGCUGCUGCUGCAGCUCUUGCCCCGCGGCGGCGGCGGCGGCGGCGGCGGCUUCUGCGUCUUGCGGGCAGUUGUCGUGGAGAUUGUGCGGCCACGGGAUGAGGCUGUAGGGGGGGAAGCAGCAGUUGCACUCCGCCGGGCACGGCCGCGGCUGAUCCACAGCGGCGUCGCUGUUGCCGCCGCCGCCGCCGCGCUGCCCGACCGAUGAUGCCUCCCGGAGCGGGCCCCAGCACUCAACCCGGUUGAACUCCGGCAGGUUGGAGUGGAAGUACACCCACACCGUCGCCUCCUCCAAUUCCGGAUGGUUUCUUAAUAGAUCCUUAUCCCCGUGAACGAACGCCUUCAGCACCUGCCACAAAGAGUAACGGAUCUUAAAUUAUACGAAACAACCAUUUAUGGGUCGCCAAAUAGUUUAAACUAUUAGAUAUUAAUAUCCGUUUUGUACUUUAAAAGAUCUAAAAUUUUAAAAGUACUUUUAGAAUUUUCCUUUUUUCAAUAGCAUAAAGUUAUGACAACAACCAUAUACUUUUUUUAGUACCAACUGCAAUUAUAAUUUUGUAAUAUUGAAAGAAAUACAAUAAAAAACAGUUCGAAGGAGAUGCAGAAAUAAUAUAAAUUAAUUAAUAAAAAAUUUUCAAAUAUUAUUCAUAAGAUCUCGCUUUUUUAUUUUAGUAUCAUAUAAUUUAAAGCGUAUCAAUUUAGUAUCCAUUGAUAUAUUUUAAAUCAUAUGAUACUAAAAUAAAAAAAUACGAAAUUAUAGAAAUGGUAUUUGAAGUAUUUUUUUAAUUAAUUAACAGCACGGUGGGGGAUGUAAGGACGGAAUGGUGAAAUUGAGCAUACGACGGGGAGUUCUUUGCGAAAGAUGUAGUAGCGGAGGCUGGCGAUGAGAUCGAGGAGGAAGUGGCCGCCGCUGAUGUGGCAGUGGACGUGGAGCGACAUCUUACCCUGCACCUUCUUCCACUCCGCCACCACCUCGUCCCUCUGCAGCUUAUUAUACCACCCCUGCAACUAUUUUUUUUUUUUUGUUGGGAAAAAAAAACAAACAAAAAAUUAAUUAUAUAUAUAUAUAUAUUCAUGAUUAAUUAAUUUAGGCCUUGUUUAGCAUUAUUAUUUUUACUUUGACUUUUUAUAAUAAUAAAAAAAUAAAAAUAAAAAUAAAAAUAAUUUGUUUUAUUGUUCAAUUAUUCUUUUCAACAAUUGUCACUCCUCGAUUGGCGGAUGACAACCAAUGAAAAAAAAAAGGGAAUAAAUUAUUAUUAUUAUUAUUAUAUCAAAUCGAUGAUGUGGAAAAGGGCCUCUGAUUUUCUUUUUUUCUUUUUUUUUUACUUUCAGUUUCUUGUUUUAUUAUGUACCUGAGCGCGAUUAAUGGUGUGGGAGAUGGCGAGGGUGAGCUUGGACGUGAUGUCGCUGUGCGUGAGCGUGUAAGCCCUCGGGAGCUUCUCCGGGUGCUUCUCCCCGUCCACUCCGAGGAACAGCACUUUCAGCUUCGAAGAUUCGAAAAUCGCUGGCCCAAAAAGCCUCGCCACCUAUCGAAUCGAGAUUUCAGAUACAACCAACAACAAAAAGAGAAAAAAGCGAUAAGAAAAUUUGUUUACUUACGGGGACGAUGGAGCGCUUCAAUUUUCCGCCGCUGCUGCGGCGGCGGCGGCUGCGGAGGCAGAGCAGAUCCUUUCUCUUAAGAUCGAGAGAAGAAGAAGAAGAAGAAGAGUAUAAGUGAGGGUGGGGGAGCAGCAGAGCACCUGGGGAGGAGCCCAUCUUGAGUAACGAAGUAUGAGUAGAAGCAGAGGAUAAGUAUGAUGAUGAUGAUGAUGUGGAGGGAGAGUGCAUGCGUUGUGAGGCGAAAUUAAUUAAUUAGUGUUCAAAAUGAACAGGGAGGGAUAGACACGGCUCCUCCUCUUUCUACUCUUCUUCUUGUUCUUAUUUUUUUCUUUUUUAGGAAUUUAUUUUGAUUCUUCGUUUUUUGGAAGUAUAAAAAACAGGGAGGUUACUUGCGGAGGCGGGGAACCUUCUUCAUCCGCUCCGAGUUCUUGGGGUUAGGGAGAAGAAUUAGGAGGAGGAGGAGACGUGUGGGGAUGGAAAACGCACGUCGUGAGCGGACUCCGUGGGAUGCUUUGAAGCAAUCUUUACAGUUUUUGUCCGCUUUUGAAAAUUUGCAACUUUGAAAGCUUUCUCAGAAAAACGACCUUUACCCUCUAGAGCGCACUGUUAGGGGCUCAACGUAAUUGCUAUGCAAUUUAAGUUUUUUGCCCAACUUUGCUAGUGGAGUGGAUCGUUAAACAGAUCCGAAUCCAACUUGUUGUGGAGAAAUGAAGGGUUUUAUAAUUUUUUCCAUCAAUGAUGAAAACUCAAGGAUUAUAAAACUCCCGAGAGUUAAUAGGAUGAUUCUUGGACUUAUGGCUCAUUAUAAGGGUGAGAUAGCGGGUGUGUUGAGUGGCUAUGUUCACUGUAUCCAUAGGUCUAUAAAUAGUAUGUAUGUGUGUUGUAAUAUUUUUUUCUAAGUAGUGGAGUACUUAGUUUUUUUAAGUGAAUCCCUAUCUCUCUCUCUUUGUAAUUUCCUUUGCAUACUUAGUCAUAGGACGCGAAGGUCCGGACUAAUAAUAGAGACGAAGGUUUGCCCAUCUUCGAGCAGGAAGGCGGGCGCCACACGGACUUUGCGAACAAAACCGCUAAGGCCGUGACAGCAUGCUUAGCAGCGAAUAAAAAUUAUAAAAAUAAUUAAUAAUAAAAUAAUAUUAAAUAUUUUUUUGUGUUUUUUUUUGUUAUGGUCACGAAAGGUGCCUCACUAUCGGUAGCAGAGAUGGAAUCAACGACGCCUUCUCGGCGACGAUGAUAGUGAAAAUAACGACGAUCCCUUUGGCCGCAACAGAGAGGAGACAUAAGCGCACAUUAAUGAGAGGGGGGGAGGGAGGGAGGCAACAGUGUAUACAAAAAGAUGAGAGAGAGAGAAUUGAUAAAUUAAUUGGAGAUAAAAAAUCUGGUAGAAAAAAAGUUUGGUACUGAAAAUAUUUAGAUGUAUUAAUUAAAUAUAUUAAUUAAAAGUUUCAGGAAAAGAAAAUGGUCAAAUGCAGUAAAGGACAACUUAUCAUUGAAAGUUUGGUAAUAAUAACGUUUAUAUGUUUUAAUUAAAUAUAUUAAUUAAAAGUUUGAUGAAGGGAAUGAAAAAGAUUAAAUGAUGGUAAAGGUGAAGGACAACUUGCCACGUAGCAAAAAACAUCGGGCAUUUAUAUAAGUUAAUUAAUAGACAUUACACUUUUGGUCCUCAAAUUACAAGAAAUUCUGUUUGCAUUUAUUUAUUUAUUUAUUUAUUUAUUUGCAUAUGUAAUGCCUCACUUUACAAAGACUUACCUAAUUCUAAACUAUCCAACUUUUGGAUUUAAUAAUUAGUAACAACGAUCCAAUAAGUAGUAUAAGAGUCAAGGAUUAUUGGUUCGAUUUUUAUAUGCUGCGAAUUUGUGGUGGGAGGGAACAGAGGAUUGUUGGCUUAAAGAGGCCAGCGUCCCGCCCUGAAAUAAGGGGUUAGGUUGGGCCAAGUCACGUUCGAAAUGAUGGUGGUUUGAGUUGGGCCAUGUUCAAAGUGGUGUAAGGGUUGUUAGGACGAGUCACAAUCAAAAUAUCUAGCCAUUGUGUCUGAACGCUUUAAGUAAAUUAGUUGUGUAUUUCUAAUGGCUUAAGCUUCUGAGAUUAGUGGUUAGCGCUAACGAUCCGAUACCUUAACCUUUUUAGCCGGAUUAAGAGAUUUUAAUUUUAUUAUAUACCCCGCACCUAUAUAUAUAUAUAUAUAUAUAUAUAUAUAGAGAGAGAGAGAGAGAGAGAGAGAGAGAGAGAGAGAGAGAGAGAGAGUCCGGCUGAGAUACUAUCGAUAGCACGAAGCAUUUAGUGCUAUCAAGUUUUUUGCAGUUAGAUUAUACUAAAUUGUCAUAUCAUACAUCCCAAUUUAGGGUUCACAAAAUUCAAUCAAUUUUUACUAUGCAAGAUCCUACUUAUGCAUUCUAAAAAAAAGUUGUAAAUUUUACACCCUCCAUCAGAAAGUGCACGAAAAUCUAAAAAGGUUAUAAUAAAAUUUUCAAAAAAAUAUUGUAACAAGUAGGAAAAUAAUAGUCCUAGAAUGAAAAGAGUGUAAAGUGUACUAGUAGAAGAGCUCUUGCAGUAUUGCCAAAAAAAAACAAAAAAAAAAAAAGGACAAGGAGCCUCACUUAGCCUUUGGAUGAGAAGGUGCAAGAUAUACACUCUUUUCGACUAUACAGAUAGCAAAGCUCUCAAACCAGAAAGUAAGAAUGAUACUUUAAAUAUCCUAUACUUGAUCCAUCCAAUAAGUGAAAGUUUUUUACUAGUAACCUUACAUGAUUGGUAAACCCACCCAUAACUUUGAUGGAUUGGCUGUAUAAUAUACACUUCGAUUGGAAUGUAUAAAUAGAUAUUUCUGAUUUUAAAUUUAAGAAAUGCUCUCUAUGCACUCUAAAAAGUAUGUCUUACAUCUUUCAAUCCUAGCUAGAGUUUAGAAAACUCAUUAGGUUUAGCAUUUUUUCUAAAAAAAAUGAGACAAAAUAAGUGCCAAUUCUUAGACUUUGGAUGAGAGAAUGUAAGAUGUACACUUCCUUUUAAGGUGUAUAGAUAGCAAUGCCACUACAACAGAAUUAGGUUAUAGGGAUACAUAUUUGGGACACUUUUGAGUAAGUGUCUCAUUUAUGCUAAAACUUACAAAAACAUCUACUAAUGCCUAAAUAUAAAGCCCAAUCCAACCAAAAAUAAAAGAUUACUCUACUCAACCCACCACACCCAGUCUAUUUGGCCCGAUUACAAACAGAAAAGAAAAAAAAAGAAAAAUCAAUUACCAUAUUUUCUUCUCUCUUCACUCAAUCUACUGAAAUUCUAGACGAAGAGUCUUUCCUGUCGUCCUCCUUCGCCACCGCAGCCAACGAGAUAGAGUUUCGACGGUUGCUAAAUGCUUAAAUAAGUGUUGGUAAAUUAGUAGUACUCUUUUAGGUUAUAGCGACACUCUUUAACUGUCACUAUACACCUAGCGACCCCACAUAUAGCAACACUUUUUAAAAGUGUCGAUAAUUUUAGCUAGCAGCAGUUUUUUGAUAUGUACCUACAUUUAAAAGUAUCGCUAUAGACCGUUUUUGUUGUAGUGUGCUCUCUAAAUUUAGGACUAGUUUCUUCCAUGCUCUCCAAAAAGGUUAUAAUUCAUAGAUACCCUUCUAAAUUGGAAAAUAAUAUAAGUAUCCUCGUUUAUAUAAGAGGGCUUAGGUUUUACAGGUAUUGGUGAUAAAAUACUUUAGUUUCAGAGUAUUGGUGAUAGUUUAGUGUGGUAAGAGGUGUAUUGGUGGGUAUUAGUGAUAUUUUCAACUUUGGAGGGUUUAUCUAUAAUAUUUUAAAGUUUAAAGAAAGUUUGAAAUUGUCCCUUUAAUUUAUUAUAAUUUCUCACUCGAAUGUUUUAAAUUAUUGUAAUUUAGUUCUCAAAUUUUAAUUUAGUUGACUAAAACACUGAUUUAUUACUAAUGUAAAAGUGACAUGAUAUUUUAAUUAUAGCCAUGCCAUCAAUCACAACAUUAUCAUAUUAGUUUCAUAUUUAGUCUACAAAUUUGAAUUGUCCGAUUUGAUUGCAACAAAUUAAAAAAUAGGGCAAACCUCAAAUACCACCCCUCGUUUCACACUUUCUGACUAUAAUAUCCUAUGAUUUAAAGUGUAUCAAUUUAUUACUCUGUGGCUUUUUUUUUUUUUUUCUUUUUAUUAGCUCCUGAUCCGUUAACAUUUCGUUAAAUUAUAUAAAAAAAAACUUCAGAUAGCCUAUCUAACUUUAUCGAAUAUUUACUUUAGUGGCUUUUAGUUUUAACUUUAUCAUUGAUUUAAUGAAAAAAAUUACUGAAAGGAAUAAUAAAAAGAGAAAAAUGAAAUCACGGGGUACUAAAUCGAUACACUUUAAACCACAGAGUACCAAAGUGAGAAAGUGUGAAACCACAUGAAUGGUAUUUAAAGCUUUUUCUAAAAAAACUUUAAGCUACUAACUAUCAACAAAUUAAAAUGUGAGUACUGAAGCGUCACAUGAUCUUGAAUUUGGCAACAAAAAAUAUAUUUUUAGCCAAAAAAAGACCAUACUUUGCGUAGGUAUAGUUUUUCAAGUUAUGUUACACAGUAAUUUUAUAAAAUUUAUUAUGUUGAGAGAAUUAUUUUUAUUGCCAUAAUUGAUUAGCUUAAGAAAUAUUUUUAAAAAAUAAAUUUUUAAAAGCAGAAAAAAAAAAUUGUUUCCAAACUUUUUGGUGUCUUCAUUGCCAAACAAAAUACCUUGGAUAUAGAAGUUUCAAGCAAUUACUCCUACACCUUUUCUAUAAAAGUUUUAUUAUAAAAAUUUUAAAAAAUAAACAUGCUACCGACCUAGCACUAAAUGAGAGAACAAUUGGAACUUUUAUCCAAGUGCAAAUAGUUGCUUAAGGUUUUGAAUUUUAGUAAAUUUUAAAAUUUUGUAAUUGGUCAAAGUGCAUUUAUAUUUUAUUAAAUAAGUCAAAAUCAAAAAGCGAUAUACGUCGAAUCUAUAUUUAUCUAUUUAUCAAUACUUUUAUAUUUAUACUUACUACAACAUUAAAAAAGAGUUGUGUUAGAUUAGGGGACAAACAAGUUACACGUUCCCCCGCCUCUCCAUCUACCACUUCAAUAAUUUUACAUACACCAAGAUUUCAAGUUCGAAUUUUAAUUGAUUCAUAUUUUUAGCUAAGUUUAUUUCUAAAUGAAAUAAACAAAACGGAUAACGUGCUACCUAUCUUAAAAAAAAAAAAAAAAACAAUUUUACACACAUCCGGUCUAUAAAUAUUACAUACAACAAACUUAUUUUAAUAAUAUUUCAUGCCCUUGGCCUAUUAAAUAUUACAUACACCAAAUCUAUUUUGUUAAUAGGGAAAAUUGUUUAUUUAAUUUUGAAAAAUUUUCGAUUUUCUGAUUUAUUACUCUUAGAAGAUCAAUAUUGAAAAUACAUUUUUUACGUUCCAAUCUAUUUCAAAUAUACCUCUACACCCCGUUUGGAUCGGAUUUAAAGGGGGAUAAGGGGGUUAUCCCCCCUUUAUACCCAAAAAAAAAUUUGAUAAGGUGGGAACUAUUGUUCCCACCUUCACCGGGUUAUACCUAUACCAGGUAAUAACCCGUAAGGUGGAACAAUAGUUCCCACCCGGAGUGGAACAAGCUUGUUCUCACCCACUGGGGAGAGAGAGAGAGAAUUUGUUUUAAAAUUAGAAUUUAAAUUUUAUAAUUUUAUAAUUAAAAUUGUAAAUUGUAAAUUGUAAAUUUUAAAGUUUAAAAUUUAAAUUUGAUAUUGUAAAUUUUUAAAUUUUAAAUAUGAUAUUUAUACAUUUCAAAUUAAAUUUGGUCUUAAAUUAAAUUAAAAUUUAAAAAUUUAUAUAUUUGAAUAUUUAAAUUUUAAUUUCAAAUUUUAAAAUUUAAAAGUUAAAAUUUUCAAUUUAAAUUUAUAAGUUUAAAAUUUAAAAAUUUAAAUUCAAUUAUAGGGGUAAUAUCAUUAUUUUCUAUUAUAAUCAUUAACUAUUUUUCUUAUUCCCAAUAACCAUCCGAACACAAUUUUUUUAGUUCCAACUUAUACUCACAUUUUCAUUCAAACAAAAAAAUACCCUUAUUCUUACAAAAAUUCAUACUUGUAUCUAUCCCCGGUAUAACCAGUUCCUACUAAUUCUCGAACCAAACAAAGCCAUAGAAUUAAAAUUUGUUAAUAAACGAUUAAUAAUAGUUGUUAUCUCUAUGAAAUUAUUAUUUUUUCCUUUCAAAUAUACACUUCUACUAUUACCAACUUUUCUUAUUCGUCCUUAGGUUAAGGGCACAAAAUGUAUUUUGAUUUUUGGUCUUUUCAAAUAUACCUUUCUAAAAUAACUAACAUUUCUUAUUUACUCGUAAGUUAAGAGUAAAAUAGGCAUUUUGAAUUUUUUUUUUAACUCUGAUAAAUAUUUAACUCGUAUUUAAUCUAACUUAACUUAACGUAUGACAGCCGUUAAGGAUAUUUUGGAAUAACGGAGGAAUAUAUGAGAAAUAUAUUAGAAAAAAAAAAAACGGUAAAGAAAAAGAAGAUAUUUUUAAGGCCAAUUUGCAUAAAAGAUUUACAAGUUUUGAGCUUUUGCAAAACUGGGUCACCUUUUCCAAUUUUGCAGAUUCGGACCGAAUUUUUUGCCAUCGGACGAAAAUGCCCUUAUUCCUUUUCUUUUCUCUCUCUUCUUUUUUUUUUUCCUUCGCCAUUUUUUUCUUCCGCCUUCUCCUCAUCCGCAGCGCCCUCCCUUUUCCUCACCAAUCGUGGCCCUUCCCAAAACGCCCCUUCCCAAACUCCUCUUUUUCCUCCUCCUCUUCUCUCCCCUCUCCUCCUAUUCUUCGUCCUCCUCCCUCUCCUAUUCCGAUCUCACCCCCGACGAGUUCCGCACUGCACGCCAAGGGCUCGCCCCGGGUCUCGCCUCCGCGGCGACGCCAUGCCGCGCUGCGCCGGGGAUCGCUCCGUAUUUUGGAACCUUACUAGGAAACGAAGCUGCUUGUGCGCGAGCGCGACCUCCGCGGCAGCGGCAGCAGCGCCGAGGUACUCGCGGUCGAGGACAGCCUCGUAGAAGAAGGCCUCGGCGAGGUAGAAAGAGUCGCUGGUGCGGCGGUACUGGCCAUAGUACAGCUGGGCGAUGCGGGAUACGACCUCGCCGACUUCGAGAUCGCCGUCCGAGUCCGACUCUCCGGCGAGGGAGAUGAGAGCGUCCAAAAAAUAUAAAUUUUUAAGGUGUAAAAAAUGGUGUAAUGGUGUAAAAAGGAAGAAGAAAAAGAAUGAGAAUGAGAAGGAAAAAUUGUACAAUUUUGAACAAAAUAGUGCAAAAUUGGACAAAAUUGUGCAAAAUUGUGCAAUUCUCAUUAAAAUUGGCCUAAUUUUUUGCCCAAUUUUGCAUCAUUUUGCCCAAUUUUACACUAUUUAGGUGAAAUCUACAUUAUUUUUUUCUUCUUCUUUCUCCAAUUUACACUAUUUUUUUUCUUCCUCUUCUUCCUCCUCUCUCAUCCUCCCUGAAGCUAUACGAAGAAGGUGGGAUGCGGGCCCCAAGCGGCCGCGGCAGCGGAGCGUGGCGCGGCGGUGCGGAGAAAGUGGGAUGCGGCAACAGCAGCAGUGGCGCGGUUGGCGGCCGCGGCGUCGUGUGGGAUGCGGGCCCCUGGCAACGGCGGCAGCGUAGCGCAGCGCUGCGGAGUGGAGAAGGUGGGAUGUGGCAGCGGCAACGAUGCGGGUGGUGGCAGCGGCGCGGGUGGAGGGAUCGGGGGAAGAUCCGGGCACGGUGGGGUUCGACGAAGAGGAGGAGGAAGGAGGGGAGGCGGGGCUGGUAGUAGAGGUAGGCGAACGCAAGCACGAUGGCGGUGGCGCGGGCGAGCACGAGCGCGGCGGCGAGGGUGCGGUAGAGGGCGCAGCGGUGGGUGGCGGAAGAAAAAAAAUAGCGAAGGAAAAAAAAGAAGAGAGAGAAAGAAAAUGAAUAAGGGUAUUUUCGUCCGAUGGCGAAAAAUUCGGCCCGAAUCUGCAAAAUUGAAAAAUGUGGCCUAGUUUUACAAAAGCUCAAAAUUUAUAAAUUUUUUAUGCAAAUUGGCCUAUUUUUAAAGUUUCAAGGGGUAUAAACAAUUAUCCCUUUCUAAUAUUUGAUAUUUUUAUUUCUUUAUUUAUUAUUACUAUAUAUUAAGGAGAGUUGCGUCACGUGAAGGAACAAACACGGGACACACGUGUUCCCCACCUCUCCUUCGUGCACUUCAACAAUAUUACUUACACCCGGCCUAUUAAAUAUUGCAUGCACCAACUUUUUUUUAAUUAUUAAUAUUUUGAAAUUAAAAUAUAAUUAUGAUAUAUAUAAUCCAUAUUAUAUAAAAAAUAUGUGUAUAAAAUAUUAUAGAGUUUAAAUUCCAAUAUCCGAGAUUUACUGGUACGGUGUAUAAGAUAUAAGUAUGCACCUGGUGCGGUGCAUGAAAUGAUCACCUCCCAAUCCACUGGUCUAUUAAAAAAGUUGCCUAUACCCAGUCUAUAAAUACACUGACCAUAAUUUUUAAUAAUUAAUAUUAUAAAAUUUAAAUAUAAUUUCAUAAAUACGAGUUAUAUUAUAUAGAAAAUCUCUUUAGAAAAAAUUAUUAGGAUUUAAAUUUUUAUAUUUAAGGUUUAAUAAAAUUUACUUACACAUCCAGUACACAUGUAAUAAUAUCCUCCUCUUCAAUAUGGGUAAAAAUAUAUAGAUCACCUCAACUAUAAUUUUUCUGAAUUGAGGCCAUUCAAGUUUUAUUUUUUUUAAUUUUAAUUUUUAUACUUAGUUAAAUUAAAAUAAUUAAAAUUAAUUAAAAUUAAUAAAUUUGAUAAAAUUGCCAAUAAAUUUGAUAAAAUUUAUAAAGCUCAGCUUAUUAAGAUUCGAGCAGAAAAAUUCAACUCGGUUCGACUCGUCUAUUUAAACAAGCGAAUAAUUUCGAGCCUAUUUCGAGUCAAACACGAACUUGCUUGCGGACAGUGAGCUGAAUUUGCCGGCCAUAAUUACGGCAAACUCUAAAAUACAAAAAAAAAACUUUUUAUAAUUUUUUUUAGGAUUUAUUUUGCAUUUGGUCCCUUAAAAAAAAUUUAUUUUAAAAAUAGCCCCAGCAAAUUUAUAUUUACAAAAAUAGCUCUAUCUCUACCACGCAAGCGCCACGUCAGCGGGGCUAAGACCAGUUUAUUAAGUUGAACACGGUGAACCAUUCACCGUGUUUAAGUACGGUGAUGGUUCACAGUGUUUGGAAAAAGUAUAAUAUAUAUCUAUUGCGAAAAAAUAUAAGAAAAAUAAAAAGAAGGAAGGAGGGGAAUAUAGAUAUGGAACACGAUGAACUAUUCCUCAUGUUUCAAUUUAAAAUUAUGAUACUGAUAUGGUACCUAUGUGGCAAAAAUAGGAUCAAAUUCAUCACUAUAAAUUUAAUGGGACUAUUUAUAAAAAAAAAAAAAAUGUUUUGAGAGAGCCAGAUGCAAAAAACGUCAUUUUUUUUAGAGGUCGGAGAAGAAUCGAAUUUGAAAGCGAGGAAGGAGCGCGAAGUCGCCGAGUACACGCAUGUGCGACGCGUGUACUAGUACUGUUGGGUAGGGUGGAAGGUUACCUAUCUCGCUGGAAAUGUCUAGGAUGUGACGAAUGAGUUGGAUCGCGGGGCCCACGUGUCGGUCUCACAAGCCACAUUCCUAGUGAGUGAUGGACAAUCACUAGUGUCGUGUCCCGCGUGUUGCGGCUGAUUUUUACAAAACAAACAUAUUCUAAAUAUUAUUUUUUUUUUUAUUAUGCCUGUUAUAUAAGCAUAAUUUAUCUAGAGCUACUGUACUAUAGCUACUGUACUAUUAGAAAGAUAGAGUAAUUAAUGUUUUCGAUUUUUUGACUUUUUAGAUUAAGAAUUGAAUUGGUAUGAUGAUUACGGUUCCCUUCUCCAGAAUUGAGUGGUCCCUACAAAGUAAUAAUAUUAAUUCAAAAGUUAGAAAUGACUAAAGAGGUUAAUCUAAGUUGUAAAAAAUCGGAAGGAUCGGAUUCUCUAUAUUUUCGAUAGUAUAGUAGCUCUACUCGUAUAAUUUUUAUAUCUUAACUAAUAAUUUAAAAUCCAAUCUAAUCGGUUUGACUUCGAUCCAGUCUAUUAACUAGUUUGGUUUGCCUUUUGAACCGUUUUAAACUGUGCGAACCUACUGUUUAAUCAUCGAACUGGUGAAUUAGUCUGAUUUUAAUCAAAAUGAUCGAAUUUUUUCGAUCAAGUUAUAUUAAAAUUCAGUGGCAUCUGUUACUAGCUCUUUUACAUUUUAUUUACUAUUCUUGUCUCAUAUAGAUCUAGCGGUGUAGGUUGUCAUUGUCGUCGACUGUACCCACUAAAAAUUAUUGAUUAUAGUUCUCACACCCUCCUUUGUUAAUUCUUUUUCAGAUACUUCAGCACGAGUUUCUAAUUGAGCUAAUUAGAUAGCGAGACAAAUAACAUCUCCUACCAUCGUGUGUGGCAGCUAGAGGAGGACCUUGCAAUUAGUUUAUGUAUGUGUAGUAUUCGGUAGGUCUGUUGACAUGCCCAGUAACUUUCGCUGUAAAUUCGGGAUGUGACAUUUGAAUAGACUAUCAGUAUUGUUGAAUACGAUGUAGACCAUUGGAAGUUCGUAGAAAUCAAACUUCAUAUUUUUUCAAUAUUGUUCUCUUGUGUAUCAAGUAUACAUAAAAAUAAAUAACUAAAAAUAAAUAAAAUGAUGAUAUGAUUCUUAUAAUCGAGAUCAAGAGUAUAACUCUUGCUUUAAAUAUUUUAAAAACUUUUCCAUCCAAAAUUCAAUUGGUUUAUAUUUCUUUAUACCAUUAAACGAGCAAACGUCUCAUAUCGACCAUUAAAAUUAUAAAUUUUGCCAUACUUUGAUCAUUAGGUUAAUGAUGUUGAAAAAAUUUGAAAUUUAAUUUCUAUAUACUUUAAGUAGUAUGAAUCAUAUUCAAUAUUGAUGUUCAUCGAUUUACAAACUCUGUCAUUGAAAACAAAUCGAUAGCAAAAUAGUUUAUAUCCUACUGAUAGUAUUCUAGCCCCUCUUUCUCUCUCUUUAUAUAGAGUUAAGCUGGAAUACUAUCGGUAGUAAAAGGGCUCCAUUGCCACAAUUUAUUUUCGAUGACAGAGCUUUCAAAUUAACAAUUGGCAUCGUCAAACAUGAUAUAUAUACUAAUUGAAGUAUUUAGAAACCAAAUUUUAAACCUUUCCAAUUUGAACAUAAUCUGUACUACUUGAAGAAAAUGAUCUAUACUACAUGAAAUUUAGUUUCUAGAUGCUUCGACUAAGAUUGAUCAUAUUCAACGAUGUCAAUCGUCGAUCUGGAGACUCGAUCAUCGAAAACAAAAUAGAUGUUAACAGUGUCCAUUAGCUACUGGUAGUAUUCCAGCUCAACUCUCUCUCUCUCUCUAUAUAUAUAUUAUAAUUUUUACUAUUUAGAUUUUAGGCCAUCCAAAAUAUAAAAAGGCUUAUAUAUUUUAUAAAUUUUAAUUAUGAGGUUAAGAUUCUAAUUUUUUAAUUUUUUUUAAACUGCUCACUCAAUAAUAGGGCUGAUAAUUUAAUUUGCUCUUGGCGAGCCUACGCGAAUUCAACUCGUUAAUAAAGAAAUCCAUCACGAGAUAAAUUUUUUAAUUUAAUAUUUUAACGAGUUAAUUCAUGUUCCAUUCAUCACGAGCCGUCCCAGUUCGCUCGUGUUUCAUUAGUUGCCACCGCCCAAUACAGUGCAGGGACCCACAUGUCAGUGUCACCAACAGUGACAACAAUUUGCCAUUAAACAGAUAUUUCCAAUUUGUCGGCGCAAAACGUGCACGGCAUGCCAAAAAUUAUAAUAUUUUAUUUGUCUUUACAAUUUGUAAUAGAAAAUGUGAUUUGUGUAUAAAUUCAACUCGUGUUCGGCUCGAAAUGAGCUCGAGAUCGAAUUGCUCGUUUAGUAAACGAGCCAAACACGAGUUGGCUCGAGAACAGCGAAUUGGAUUGCCACUCCUAGACACAGGGACGAAGCUAUAUGGAGGCUCAAGGUGGCCAUGGCCCUCCUCAACUUUUCAAUAUUUGCUUAAUGGUCCUUCAAAGUUUUUUUUUUGUGGACCAUGGAUAGCUUUGGCCCCCCUAAUUUUUCAAUAUUUGCUUAAUAGUAUGGUGCCAACAUAACUCUCUCUUUCUUUCUCCUAAUCGGUAUACUCUUUUUAUGGGUGAAAAUAUAUUAAAAGCUUCUUGCUUAUAGAGUCUUUUGUAAUAUAUUUUUCUACUCUAAAAGUUUUAUUUAAUAAUUUUUUAAAACUUUUAUUUAUCUUAGGUGAGCUCUUUUAUUUGACUAAAUCAAGAAGUGUAUUAAAUCUAAUAACUAUGUUAAUUUUAUUUACUAAAAAACUAAAAAAUUAGUGUUAGAUUUAGUAAAAUUUCUAAGUGAUUUUAAUAUAAUAAUAUAAAUAAAAUAAUUAGAAGUUAAAUAUCUAAAAAUAAAAAAAAAAAUAAAGUUCAUACUUUUACAUUAUUUAUUUAAUUAAUAAUUUUUUAAUAAAAAAUUUUUAAUUAGGAAAAAUUUUGUUUAUUAUUUAUUACUAAGGUUUCUAUUUAAAUAUAUUUUGGCCCCCCUCAUAUUUGAAUCCUAGCUUCAUCCCUGCCUAGACACAUGAGACUCUCUGAGCAUAAAUUAAGGCCAUAUUUGAAUGUAUGAAUAAAUAUUCGGUAUAUUUUUUUUAAUUUAUUUAAAAAUUUAUAUAUUUGAUUGAUGACAAGUGUAAUCAAAAUGUUUAUAAUAAAUAUCGUAUUCGUACUUUAAUUUUUUUUUAGAAUAAAAUAGAUCACCUUAUAGAUAAAAUAAAUUAUCCUAUCAAAUUAUAAAUAGCAAGACCUACGAAGAAAUAAAAAUCAAACUCCUUACUCCCAAUCAUAUUAGAAAAAUUUUAUACAAACUAAUUCCGACAUCCAAACUGGACAUAAAGACCUUAAAACUUGUUGAAGGUAUCUAGUAGGACAAUUAUCUCAAGCUCCAUUUUUUAACAAGCUCUGUGUUUUUUAUUUUUAUUUUUCCUCUUCUUUCUUAGUUUUUGGAAAGCAUUGUUUCAGCAUGCUUUCCCACAUUUUACUCAAUUAUAGUUUCUGAGUUAAAUGUGGAACACAGGUUCAAAAGUCAAGAAAAACUAACACUGCCAUUUGGAAGCAUGCUGUGCUGAAGAAAAGUGUGGACAUGGAUCUUUUGUAAGGAAGAGAUUUGACUAUACUGUAACUAAUACAUUUUUCAGUGAACACAAAAGCCAAUCAUACACAUGGAAUUCAGAUUAAGAGAGAAAGGAGGAAAAUAGAAGGGGAAAAAAGAAAAGAAAAGAAAAGAAAAGAAAAGAAAGGCAUUGCAUUUGAUCUCCAAAUCUACUGUUUUUAUAGAUAUCUACUGCUUUCAUCAUUGUUUUCUUUGGUUGUGGAAUCUAUCCGGCCAUCGGAUUUAUACACAUGCUUAAAGCAACAAAGCAAACAUUAUUCAUUUUUGAGAAAUGAAUCUACUCUUAGCUUUCAUUCGAGCUACUUAUGCUGCGCAAACCGACUAAAACCAUUCAAUUGAGCUCAGACAAUACCGAUGCUGCUACACGUUUUAACGCAUCAGAAGCGUUUUGCAAAUCGGACUCGGAAUGGCCGGCGGAGACAAACAUUCGGAUGCCCACUGGGAGCGGGCAUUUGUCGAGGUUGGACCGUUUUGUGGUGACAAUAUAUACUGAAUCCUCCUCCAAGACCUGCAAAAAAAUUAGGGGCAAAAAUGCCAAUUAGUUUGCUUAUUUAAAAAAGAGUUAUUUGGGUGGCAGAAGUUCAGUGACAAUUUUAUGAUACUAACCCUCUCGACUAUUUUAUUGAGAAGCUGCAAAUCGCGCUUUUGAGAACCAGUGGAGUUCUUUAGUUUUAGUAAGACGAUAGGUGACAAAGGAUUGCUUGCGACUGUUAAUCCCGGAAUAUCUGAUAAACCUGCAUCCAACAGCAAAAAACAGUAUCAAGAAGAUGUUAGGCUUCAGCUAAAGAUUUAAGUUCACAAGCCUAUGUGGCAACUAAAAGUAAAUUAGGCAUAUUUUAUAUAAGAGACCAUUGAGGGUUUUCAACAAAUACACCCCUUUUAAACAAGUUAGUUGCCUACACGGCAUUUGAAAAGCAAACAUUGCAUCUAUACACUCAUGUGUACGUCUUUGAACUAUAAAACUGACCUUCCACCAGAGAAGCAAUAUUUCUCCUCAAAGAUGAGAGGACUGUGGGAUUCGCCUCCAAGUAAUCAACUGCAGCAAUUGCAGCACUUGCAAGAUAGGGCGGCAAAGACGCAGAAAAGACAUAACCAGAGCUACUCAAACGCUACAAAGACGAAAUAAACAGUCAAUUACCAAGUGUACAUUAUAAGAGUAAAACAUUGAAAAGGUUUAUACAUACAUAUCCCUGCAAACUGUACCCUUUCAAAAUGCAGUUUCUUAAGAAGAAUGUUCUCUUAUUUGGUAAGUCAUCCAAUUCAUGGGGAUGGAAAUUCAGAUUUUGCAAAGACAUUUGUUAACAGACAUCACUUAGGGAAUGUACAUAGAUAUCUCAAAAAUUAGUAAGAGUUCAUAUAGUUACUUGGUGAUCAAUCACUCUGACACUUCCAGUACAAAAUCCUCCAUCUGUAGCCAAAGCAUUGCCCAUUCCAGCAGUUAUAAUAUCUAUCUUUUCAAUCUGCAAAAGAUGACAUUAAUUAGGGUUUGAAACUUUCAGUAGACAUGGAGAGAGAAAGACCAUUUCAGAGUAAGAUCUUUGACAUACUGGAACCCCAAAAUGUUCGGCAAGGCCUCGUCCGGAAUUUCCAAGUACACCAAACGAAUUGCUCUCAUCCAUUAUAAGUCGAAAUCGGUAUUUCUCCUUCAGCCUCACAAUCUCAUCCAAUGGAGCUAUUUGUCCAGAAUUCUGCCAUCCACAAGAGUGCAGAAGACAAGGAAAAAUCAGUUCGAUAGAUAUGGAUAAUAUAGGACUAAGGCCAAAAAAGAUGAAAGAAUUAUCGACUUAGGAUCUGCAGAAUAGUUUCAAACGGAGCAUAACUAAAACAGAAUAUAAAGGAUAGACAUUUUAUUUUAGCAGUAACAAAGUUGCAAACAGCUUUCUAUACGUCUAUGUUAUUUGUUAUUACAUGAAUGUUGUUCCCUGUAUGAACCGGUGAACAAGUAUCAGACUUUCUAGUUCCAUGGGGACACAAAGGAAAACCCCUAGACCCAUAUGUGAAGAUAUCAAAUCUGAUGCGAGAAAGGAAGAAAGAGGAGCACCACAUACGUACUUGUGGAGGAAAAGGAUUUUAAAUUAUGAGAAGCACAGGCAUAACUAAAGUAGAUUGUAUAUAGAAAGUUUCAUCGCUAACCCCAAAAGUUUAAGCCCUUUCAUUAUGGAUCUCUAUAACAGCCCAUACAGUGGAGAUGAUGAUUCAAUUAUUUGGAAUUUAGAAAUUUCAUGCAACAAGAGAAGAGUGAAAAGGCAGAAUUGACAGUCCAGUAACCAAAGAUUCUUUUAUCAAAUGACAGCAACAAUUUUGAAUUGGCAAUAGUGUGAUAAAAAACAAUAAUGAUAAUUACCUGGUAUAGAGCUUCAACAACUAUGUAGCGUCGUAGCUUUUCUGCUUGUUUAUUUCCGCGGGUCAUUUUCUCCAAAGUCUUUUCAAGUGAUGUCAUAUCAUUGUGUUUGUAGUAGACAACCGUACUUCUGGAGAGAUAAAGCCCAUUUUGAACCGCCCAGUGGACACCUUCAUCACUUUAAAGCAACAUAUAUUAUCAUUAAUUACUGUCUAUAUAGAAAAUGACAGCACCUAAUAUAUAUAUUAGAGUUGUACAACUCAGCGACCAGCAACUAGUCGAACAGAGCGAGAAUUUAAAAUUUAACAUCAAACAACAAAUCACAACCAAAUGGGAAUUAGACGUAAGCAACCCAUCCGACCAACAAGUUUUAAAUCUCAUUUAAAAGUCAAGUUAUUCACAGGCUUUCAAAAAAAUAUUGCUAUUUCUCAACUAACGAUCAAACAUCAGGUUCAAGCCCAUGUUGCAGAACACCAAGAUAUUUGUAGGUCCAAAUUCAAUAUACCUAACUAUGAGGCAUCUAACUAAAUUAAUAUAAUUUAAUAACUACAAAUAUCAAAUAAGAUACCAUAUAUGAAAAUUGAAAACCAAACCAAGAGAACUUUAUGCUCCUUUAGCAGAAAAAUUUAUCAAAAGGAACUAACGAGCUAAAAAAAAAAUGCUCAAAUCUCUUCUAAUGUGUAUGAUCAAAAAAAAAGAAAAGAAAUACAAACAAUAAGAAACAUAACUUUCCAAAAUGCCCAUAGUAAAAUAAAAGUGACAUUAAGGACCAACAGAAAUGUACCAAGACAAAAUUACUAGGUCAGGAUAAAUGUACUAGUUUCACUAAAGAUGAACACAGUCAUAGAGAGGAAUACUGGAGUAGUCGUCAAAAUGUUUAGAGUGCAACACCUCUUUAAAAUACCAAGUCAAGGCUACAAGAUAUCAGAAUUCAGCCAUAUUAUUGAUAAUUAUAUCAUUUAGAAAUUCUUGUAGAUAAAAAGGUGAACAAAAAAAGGCAACACCAAUGUCUAUUAAAGAAAAUGGAAUAGCAUACUUACGCGACAAUGAUAUCUCCCUUCUUGCAGAAGGCUGGAAUUACACUGAAUAUUGUGGAUAUUCCAUAAGAGUACAGGAUUGAAUCUGGGGUGCCCAAGAACUUUGCAAUUCUAUUUUCACAAUCAAGAUGAGCAUCUGGAAAUGAUAUAGCUUGUUAGUGUAUUAAGCGAACAAUGAAGAAAGAUGGAUUUUACAGCAAUUGAAAGAACUCUUACCAAUUGUUCCAUAAAAUCCCCUCGGACCGCAAGAACCAACACCAUAUUUCUCCACGGAACCAACACAGGAAUCCUGAGAUUAUGCGGUACUAAGAUCAUCUUCAUGUGAUAAUGAAGAAAAUAAUACACUAAAACAGCAAAAGGUAAAUAGAUUCGCACAAUUAUCUUCUCAUGGCCUAUUAGUCCAAGAAAGUUUGCUGAUGCGAAAUUUAAGACUUCUUUCCCGUUAAUUAUGGUAUGCGGUCCUGCAGCACUGCAUGGAAAUAUCACUAUGUGAGCAUAAAUGAUCAAUAAUUCUGCUAAUCUUAAAUAUGUAUCUAAUCGGGAUAUCAUGAUCAUGAGAAUCAAAAAAUUAUGGAACUCAUAUGUUCGAAAAGAUAUGUAGAUUAAAAAAAAGGAAAAAGAAAAAUCUCAUCAUUUAGGUGAUGAACAGAGGAGAUUCUUUUUCUUUGGCACAUGAACAGAGAAGUUAUGCAAUGAAGGAACAUUUUACUUCUCAUGACUGCUGCAAACCUACAUAUAAGAAAGUUUCUGGAAAAUAAAUAUUGAGCUGAUGUGCGCAUAUUUCUCAUAUGUUUUUAUAUUUACCAUAGAGAAGGUAAUGAUAAAAAAAAUUGCUUCUUAUACAAACUAUAGAUUGGUGAAACCGUGAAAGUGAACAAAGGACUUAAACAAAUCUUUCCAAACUCAUAAAAGUAAGGAAUAAAAGAUGGUCAUAAAUCCCUAUUCAGAAUUUUCACCUUUCCAAUGCAGGAGGUUGAGCUUUCAUAUCAUCAGUAAUAGAAGGAGUAAGAGACUCCGGAACCCAUUCCUCACAAAGAUCAUCUAUCUCCUGCAGUCAAGUGAAAGAACCAACAUAUCAGACAAGGUCAAGGAUAAUAAGAAAAGGCUGCCUCAAGAAAAAGAAAGCUAGUUACAAGCAUGCUGGUUUCGUACACAAGUCUGCAUAAUAAAAUGUCAAAUUUACUAAGCCAUCAUUAACAAUGUUGAAAAGAUUAUCAAUUCAGAUUCUAUUUACGACUUAAACCAACCUUCUCGGACAGUGGCUUCUUUGGGGGCUUGUAGCUCUUCCUCGAGAGCUGGAACAAUAUGACAGCAAUGAGAAGAACUUCAACAACCAGAUGACCUUCAAAAGAAAAGGCACCAACUUCAGUUCAAUCAAAACCAAUAGCUUGAUAAACGCAGUUUGCUGCCCGGCAUGCACCCUAAAACAAGAUAGCCUGGACAACGGAUGAAUCUAAAUAUUUUUCUACUGUGCUGAAUGAAGAAAGAUAGAUCUAUUUUACCAAAUUAAGCGACACUUUUCCAAGUUUCCAACUGAAUAGUUCACUCUGACUUCUUUCAUUCUUAUUGAACAUAGGCUGUAAAGCAGAAAUACCUACUGUCGACGAAACUUAUAUGUUUUCAUUAACUUUUCUAUCAGAACAUUGCUGAACCACACAGUAUAUAGCAUGCCAGUACAAAGUUAAAUUGAUAAAAAUUCGGAAAUAGACCCAAAAAAUACAAGGUGCCCAGCACCAUGCUAAAUCAUUGCAGCACCAUAUUCAUGAAACCAUAUGAUACUUUAAUGAUCAUCUGAAACCUAAAAGAUAGAUCUUGACCUGGGAAUAUACUUCAACAUCGCCACUCAUGUGCAUAAAUAUGAAUGGCAUGCGAAAUUAAUAGAUGAGCUAAGAGGUGGGGAUUUAACCCAGAAAAUUUUAAUAUAAGGAUCAAACACAUUAAACUUGUGAUUAUCAGAAGAGGUUUAUAACCGGCUCUGAUACCAUGCAACCUAAACGAUCGAUCUAAUAGGUACAGCCUAGGAAUAUACUAAACAUAAUUGACCAAUGAUUAUCUUAUAUCUUUAGCACUCCUAUGACAAAGUUUCCAUGCGUGUAGCUCAUCGAGAGCAACCUUGCUAUUAAUCAAAUGCACAAUUAUGAUUUGCACAUAAAGAGUCGGAUAUGAUGCACGUACCAUCAAUAUGAACCCCGAAAACAACUGCUCGGGCAAGGGGAGCAUCGAACGCAAUCGAAAACCAAUCAAGCGCCUUCGUCGUCAUACCCGCUACAGGCGAAACCAUUUCCCCUUCCUUAUCCCCCCCCCAAAUCAAAUCACUUGCUUUACUUGAUCAAACAACUAUCUGAGCUGAGCUUAACAGGGCAAUGCAGAGCUGCAACAACAAUCGAUCACCCGCUUAAAGAAGCAUACAAUUCAACCAACAAUUUUUAGAGUAAAGCAUCGCAAAUCCAACCAAAUCAUUCCCUUUUUCCAAUGGCAAAUCCAAAAAAAGAAAAUUGUGAUCAAAUCCAAAUUGAAGGGGGGAAAAAACACUGGUGAAUUGUUACAAAAUUCCCGCAUUUCCUACUUGAUUCGGCACCAAAAGUUUAGAAUUUAUAAACAUACUCAGCAUCUAAUGACGCAUUACUUUCAAUUUUCGACAAAUCAAAUGCAAAAAUUAAAGGGAAUUGGGGAAAGAGAGUAUGGGAAUGAGUCCUCACCUACGAAACCCUAGCGAUGCUUCGAACACUAGAGGGGAAAUAGAGAAAUUUACACAUUUUCGAUUCAUCUUUUUACGAUGCAAUAAAUAAGUAUGGACGAAGCGAGGAUGGAAUAAAAAAUAAUUAAAAAUUAACAAACUAAUAAAAAAAAAUAAAAAGUGGAAUGAUUGGGUCAAAAUUGGGUGCUUUGCGAAAUGACCAAAAUGCCCCUCAUUUUGGAUAUAUUUGCAUUCUGACAUGUAAAAGUGUAUGCAAAAAAAAUUUUUUGAGGGGCCUAAAUGUAAAAGUGCAUGUGGGAAGUAGGGGUGGCAAUCCAGCUCGUUGUUCACGAGCCGGCUCGUGUUCGGCUCGAAAUGAGCUCGAGAUCGGCUCGCUCGUUUAGUAAACGAGCCGAAUAUGAAUUGGAUUUUUCAGCUCGUUUAAUAAACGAGCCGAACAUGAGCUGGGGUCAGCUCGAUCGUGUUCGGCUCGAUAACAGCCCGAAUACAUAUAUUUUAUAUUUAUAUAAUUUAUUUAAUUUAUAUUUUUAUAAAUAAAUAAAUAAUUAUAUAUAAUAUAUUUUUAUUAUUUAAUUUUUAGCAAAAUAAAAAUAUAAAUGCAAGCUUAAUUAUAAAAAAACUCAUUUAUAUGUAAAGUUUCAACUAUUAGAUCAAAGUAUAAUGGAUAAGAUUUUAUAAAUUUAUUUUUUAUAUAUAUUUAAUCUAUUUUUUUUUAAUUUAUUGUUCGUUGGCCAGCUCGUGAGCCAGCUCGUGAACACGAGCUGAAUUUUUCGGCUCGAUACUUUAACAAGCCAGCUCGUGUUCGACUCGUUUAUUAAACAAGCCGAACAUGAGCCGACCCUUAGCUCGCUCGUGUUCGCUCUGUUACAUCCCUAGUGGAAGUAGACUUAUUUGAGUAUGCUAGAAAAAAUUUUUUAAAUACAAAUUUUUUAUAAAAUUAUUUGGCAAACUUUUAUAAUAAUUUUAUAAAGUAAUUAAUUUUUUAUUUUAAUUAUUUUAUUUUAUUUUUUUACUUUUUAUUUUAAGUUUUAUAAAAUUACUUUAAUUAAAUUUAAACAUUUAUUUUUAUUUUUAAUUAAAUUUUUAGAAAAAAAAUAUAAUUUUUUGAACAGAAUUAAAAAAUAAAUGAUGUGCUAGUUAAUUUAGUUAUUAAAUUACCUCUUCGAAAUAUAUAAUAACUGAAUAAUAAUAGGUAAAGUAAUAUAACAGUGGAAAUAAUUAGCAAACUUAACCAACAAAAUUAUUGGAAUUUUUAAUAGUGUCCUAUUUAAAAUAAAAGUUGAAGUUCAAUCCAUUGAUUGAAACAAAUUAAAGUUUAGUGAACCAAAUAAAAUUUUGUUAAAAGUUCUGGGGCCAAUGAUAUAAUUUACCCAAACUUAUGAAAAUCCCUCAACUAUAUGGCCUCCUUUUGUUUUUUUUUUUUUCUAAGAAUCAAGUAAUUUUGGUUAAAAUAUAAAAAUAUUAUUAAAUUAAAUUAUAAUUACUUUUUAACUAAUGAAACUAAAGAAACUAACGGCUAAUAACAAAUAGAAUCAUAAAAUUUUAUAAAAGUUUUAAUUUAACUAAGUUUAAAAAGUUUUAAUAUAAACAAAAAAAUCAGAACUUGAGCACUUGAACAGCCUAAGAGGAAAAAUAGUCCAUGGGCCACUUUCAAGACAUCUUAUAGAUGAGGGGUCUCGAGACAUUAUUUUUAUUUGACUAUUUAAUUUUUAUUUAAUUUUUUAAUUUAUUUAAUUUAAAAUUAUUUAAUAAUUUUUUCAGCAUAAAAAUUUAAGUUAAUCAUUUACGUUAAUGAAUGAAUUAUAGUUGUAUAACUUGGAUCAAUAUGCUAAUUAAAUUCGCAAAAAGAAAUGACAUAUUUAAAAUUUAAAAUUAAAAAAUUAUUAACAGACUGAAACUAAAUAAAUUAAAAGAUUAGAUAGUAAAUUUAAAUAAUUUAAAUAAAGUUUACUAUAUUUCUAUUUUAUUUUAUUUUAUUUUGGUUACUACUAAAAGGGUAUUUUGGGCACCGUAAUUCACCACGACCGAGCGAUUGCUCCGUGGUAGCGAAAGCUCUUCGGUGCAACGGUUACAUUGUGAGUUAGGCCUACGUGUCACCAUACCUAUUCGUCCACGUGUCGCGUUGUCAAUCGUGCGUGCAACCGUUACACUGAGGAGCAGUCCCGUGACACACACGGUUCGGACUCUUCGUUAAGGUUUGAAUUUUUUGACCGUUGUCGUCAACGUCCAGGAAAAUAAAACCAGAGUCCAUUCGAUUAAUUCAAAGCCCACAAAGAGCUGCGGCAUUUCUUAGGAAGAGAAAAGUAGGGUUUUGAAAAAGUCUUUUAUGUAGAAUUUUCUCUUUUUUCUUUUGUUAUAAUCUACGUAAGUUACACGCGCAAAUUUCUUUCAGAAUACGGCACCGACUCGAAUUCAGAAUCUAUUUUUCGAGAAGUCGUAUUAUAAUUGAUUGUUCUAAAUCCCGAUCGGAUGUGUAAAUAUUUUGUUUGAGAUAACUUCUCGAUUUAGUUAUAUUCUAUUUGGACAUUGAAAUACGUUAUCUGACAAUAACUCGUGCAAAAUAAAAAUUUUCUGUAUAUAUAUGUGUGGUUGUAAUAAAGAAAUUUGAUUUUCUUGGAAGAUUUUGACAUCCAUAAUUAUGUAGGAUAAUAUAUUUUAACUAUAAAGUAAUGACCUGAAGGCUGAUUUAAUAUUCAAUUCUAAACACUUGAUCAUAUUCCUCACUCACUAAUGUAUAAAUUUUUCAAGUAAAUUAAGAAGAUAUAUAUUGAAUAAGAUAUUCAUAAAUGUAUCCACGUAGGGCCUUCAGUAAUUUGUAUAUUUGAUUGAUAAAGAGUGUGAUCGAANAUACGUGAUGAUUUAUCUUAUAGUGAAAAAAUGAUUUGAAGUUUGAAUAAGAUAUUCAUAAAUGUAUCCACGUAGGGCCUUCAGUAAUUUGUAUAUUUGAUUGAUAAAGAGUGUGAUCGAAAUAUAUAAGGUCCGAUAUCAUAUUCAAACUUCAAAUCAUUUUUUCACUAUAAGAUAAAUCAUCACGUAUCUUUGAAGGUGUAAAAAAUCAAAAUCCUUACUAAUUCCUGUCAUAUUAAAAAAGUUUUAUAUAAAAAAAAAUUUUAAAUAACUUACUCCGACAUUCAAACACAGACUAAAAAAUCAUAAUUCAAAAGUAGAGUCAGAGUCUCCGUCAAACUCCGGUUCACCACUGAUAUAGGUUCAAACAAAACUGGAGUUGAUCUGGAGCUAAGUUUGUAUGAUGAUUUUUUUUUUUUUGUUUGGUUGAAGUAAAAGUGCUAUUGUUCUAGUGUUGCAUGAAUGGUCUUAUAAAUAAAAAUCUUUUCAUACGAAUUAAUAUCUUAUGUUUACUUCAGAUUUGGUCUUUCAGAUCACAUGCAGCUAUAAAUAUGACAAGAUUAGAGAUGUAUAUAAUUAAAAAUACAGCAGUUGUAAUUUGUAUAUGAUCUGUUUUGCGGUAUAUCUUAUUUUCCUUUGCUUUUUUAAAUUUUUGGCUUUCCUUGAGAAUCAUAUAUAUAUAUAGAGGGUAAAAUAUAUGUAAAGAAGAGAAAUUUCUCUUUUUUGGUUUAAGCAAUGAGUGGAUCAUUAAAAUUAUCUCUUAAAAUAGAAAAACUCUCUCCAACUGUUGUAUCUCUAACUAUAUUACGCAGGCUCAAUUUCGGUAUCGAAUUAUAACUACAGCAAACCAAACUUGUUUGCAUCUACAUUGACCCCUACAUAGUGACAGUAAUAACUCUUGAAAAUAUAGUUUGGGCACUUGUUCAUGGUGAUCUCCCCAUUGAAAUACUGAUUCAAUUUGUAUUUAACACUCAAUAGUUAGAUAGGUUGUUAAUUUUAUCAGUCUCCGAUUAAAGUAUAUAAAAUAAUUAGAGUCUGGCCAUUAUACAAUCGAUAGUACCAAUCUCUUGAUACUAUCGAGCUUUUUACCGUUAGAUAUACCUUUUGAUUAUUUUCGCCUAUUGGAUACCUACUCAACUAUAAAGGACUACUAUCAUCCUAGCCGCACAUUCUUUAAUCCAACGGUCGAAAACUCGAUAGCACAAAGCGUUUAGUACUAUCGAUAGCAUGGUAGUAUGAUUUAGAUAAUUAGCUCAAUUAACUCCAUAAUAAUAAUCAAAAGUUAAGAGGUGUGAGUCAAAAGUUUUAAAGCUUAGAGCCUAUUUUCAAAAGUAGGUUACAGUUGAGGGGAAAUCUUUUUAUCUCGAGUAUCAAUUCACAAUCCUUUUUUUUUUUUUAAGAGAAAAGAAAAAAAAGUAAAAAAGAGAAAGUACACGGCAUCCCAUUUUCUUUUCUUUUAAAAUUAUUCCACAUUUUCCCCUACCCUUCUUUUUAUUUCUACUUUUAUACUUCUGUUCCAAUCGUCUACUUAUUGCGCAUUUAUUUUCCUUUUAAUCAUUAGAUAUUCUCAGUUUUGUACAUUUGUAUUGAAAGCGCAUGAACUGGUCGAUGUUUUAUUAGAAAUUUGGGAAAAAAUAUUAAAUAUAAUUCUUUAAAAAAAAAAGAAACAUAUAUAAACCUCAAAUCAUGCAAAGGUGAAGAUAGAAGAGACGGUCCUGAACUUAAUGAAUAAGAAAAAGGGGGAAAUAUAUAGAUCGGUCGCUAAAACUAAAUAUUUAAAAAUAAAAGAUUCAAGCUCAUUACAUUAAGGAAAAACUUCAAAAACUCCCCUUGUGGUUUCGUUGUUUCUCACUUUGUUCCCCUGUGGUUUAAAAUAUAUCAAUUUGUCCCCCUGUGGUUUCUUUUUUUUCUUUUUCUUAUCAAUUUUAUUAUUUUUUUCUUAAAUCAGUGAUAAAGUUAAAAUUAAAGGGUACUAAAAUGAAUAUUUGAUAAAUCUAGAUGAGUAUCUGAAGUUUUUUGUAUAUAAUUUAAUGAAAUAUUAACGAAAAAGCUACCGAAAAGAUAAAAACGAAACCACAGGGGGGCAAUUUAAUAUAUUUUAAACCACAGAGGGUCAAAGUGAGAAACUACAAAACCACAGGAGGGGUUUUUGAAGUUUUCCCCUCGCAACAACCUCGAAAUUGCCACUAGGUCCUGCACCCUGCAACUGCAACAAGAUACUCGUGAAGCUCAAAUGGGACCCAAAAAGAAGUGAGAAAAUGAAGAGGCAGUUUAGGAGUAGAGCUAUGUAAUGAUGUAUCUUAGUGGUUGCUGGAAAGAAGAGAGAGAGAAAAAAAAAAAAAAGAAAAAAAAAAAAAGAGGAAACACAACCAGAAUACCAACAUAAACCUAUAUAAUGGAGAAAAAGUGAAAAAGAUUCGGCAUCAUAUGGGUAAAACGCAAAGAUGAAUCAUCUUGAAUCGACUAUCUGACUUUUUAAAUUUUGACUUUUUUCAAGUCAACCUUCCAAUUUGUUUGAUUCGAAUCAGUCAACAGUACUUUGACUUUAAAAUUUAAGUUUAUUACUUACUUUAAUAAAUUUAUAUUUGCAAGAAUUAUAUAAAAUAUACUUAGUGGAUCUGUAUAGAUAAAUAAUAUAUCAAAUUUUAGAAGUGAAAUGCCGUUGACUGAUUCGAAUCAAACAAAUGGAAAGAUUUGAGAUAAUAAAAAUUAAAAUUUGAAAGGUUGAAUAGCUGACUCAAAAUAAUUCAUAGUUCAAACAACUUUUAUAUAUGUUAUCUUUUUAUAUUUCAUGUUUUUUUUUUCUUUUUUCAUCCAGUAGUGUUUACUGUGGUGACUGGUCUCGAUAACCCCCUUUGCCCCUUUGCGAGUACACAUGACACAAUGUUUUUUUUUAUUUAUUUUUUUGGAGAGAUAGGUAGCACGCUACCUGCUUCGUUUAUUUCAUUUAGAAAUAAAUUUAGCUGAAAAUGUGAAUCAAUUAGGAUUCGAACUUUGAUCUCAGGUACCAACCACUAAAUUCUUUGCCACUUGCUCUAGAAAUGGCCGGUACAUGACACAAUGUUAUUAGACCUUCAAGAUGAGGUUCCAUGGUGGCCUCUUCUGCCCUUCACCUGAGCCUACAUCAUGCCCUCAGUGGCGCCGAUGCGAAGCGCACAUUAAGAAGUACUUGUUAAGAUAAAAUCAUUCAAAGAAGUUUGAUAAUUUUUAUAAAGAAAAUAAAAGAGAAGCCCAACAACUAUUUCCAUUCAAAUCUUCUAAUUUUCACUCAAAGAGGAGCAGGCACAGGACUUCUUCCUUGCAAAAACAAACUUUAGGCCUAAUUUAGUAAUAUGAUGGCGAAAAAUAUUGUUUUUAUAUCAUAAAGGGGAAAAAAUAAAUAAAUAAAAGCACUAAUAAUACUCUUUUUUCUUACAUUAUAAAAUUUCAGUUACAACCGUCAACAGAAAAGAAUAAAGCAUUGAAGCAAAAAAUGAAAAAACUACUCAAAUUUUUGAACCUUCUAUAAUUUAAAAAUGAUAUUUUUUGCUGCCACGGUAGCAAAUUAGGCCUAGUAGAAAGAGCACCAGAAGCAACAGAAAAACCAAUUUACAACAGCACAAUGUAUAAUUAGAGCGUCGUAAGCUGCAAACAUACUGCAGAAUAUAGAAGAUCACACCGCAACAACAAAUCACCCCCGUCAAAAUUAUACAUAACAAGCUCUCACACCAAAACUAGGUUCAAGAGGAAAGUAAGUGAUACGAUGCAAACUCCAUGCGAUUCUGCUUCGUUAGCUUUUCUACAAUACUAUAACAUCAACCUACGAUUUUCUUUUGUGCGCGAAACUCCUUUUUGCCGUUCGGUUUUUAAGUGAUCGACUCACUCCUGUGGCUACCAGCUUCCAUACAUUGAACAAAGGCUUGGUCCCGACGAACGAAUUGUCCCUUUACACGAGGCCGCUGCUCUGCAAGUAUCUUUCUGCUCUGGUACCGGACCUGCGAGAUAAAUCUUCAUAUUAGCAACAGUACAAAUAGUUAUGGUACACAAACAGAAUUGUGGAAACCCCUCCAAAAACAGAAUUUUCGGCUUAUCCCUAUUCUAAACCAUUGGAACCAAUGAAUUAUCCUUGCAAAACUAAAGAUUUUGCAAGUUUGCCUCAUUAGUCUGUGUUUCUUCCAGCACAAUCUACAAUAUCACUCAUCGGUCGACAGUAUAUAAUACAUGUCUUACAAUUUAAAAGGCAAUGCAAAAAUUGUGAUAUUUGGGAAGGUUUCUAGCGUUUUAGCCAAUCUUAGAAAGAGAUCCAAGUAUCGUCUUGCGUCAAAUAGAAAACGAGAAGUCCUACGAUACGUAUGAACUAUUUCAGUUGAAAGAAUAGGUUCAACAAAUGACAAUAUUACGAUAACAAAAUAACUAGAAUGGGAAAUAGUACUGAAUCGAACCUUUUUCUCAAAGCAUCUAUCUUUCCUUUUCAAUCGGAAUUUGUUUAAGGCCACUUCUCUUGGGCUUAAGCAAUGAAUCUCUGCCAGCUUAUUCUCUUUGUGAGUAAAUAUACCCUCAUUAUUUGCACUUUCUGAGAUGGCUUGCCCUGCACUUUCACUGGGGUUCCUGCCACUAUUGCAGAAACUACUACCACUCUCAACAGCUGCAGAAGACAUGUGCUUCUCUACAUCCAAAUGCUGUGAGGUCUCUUCCUGAAUUUGCACUGAAUGGUGAGCCGGGCUUUUCACACUCUGAUUAUCUUUGCCUUCCACUUGUAUAGAGUUAACAUUUUUUGGUUCGGAUUGGUUUGAUGAACUUGUUGGCAUUGUUGCUUCUUGACAAAUUGAUUGGGAGUGACUCCAGAAAGGAUGAGAUGAAUGGGGAUAAAAUAGGGGCUGCAUAAGAGGGCCACAAUCAUUAACCAUGCUAUCGAGGGAGAUGCCUCCAAUUGGAAUAGGAAAGGGUAGAACUCGAAUAGGAGAGCAGCGAACUGCCUUUCCAUCUUGAACUUUUCCAUCUUGAACUUUAUGCGCUUCCUCAAAAUUUGGAUUUGAUUUUGUCCCACUACAUCCUGGAGCAUCACUGGCACUGGUUGAAGCUGCUACAUUCCUGCUACUGUACCUGCAGGAGAAUGAGAGGUACAUUGUAAUACAAAAUACAAGAGAUAUAUUAAAUAAGAUAUUGUUAGACUUAUUUAUUCUCAGAAAGACUAGCAUAUAGGACCAAACAAUCUCUUAUAACUAGUAAACAACAUACAAACUAUAUCAAUUUUAAGCUUUCAAAUGUGAUAGAAAAAAGGAUAACUGCAUAACAUAAAAAGGAUCACCACAUAAUAUGAGGGGAAUUAAACUUUGAUGAUUCUUUUCUGAUUUAUCUGUAAAAAGACCUUAUAUAUCAGGAAUUACCAACAUUAUUAUCUUUUUGGCAAGUCUCAACAGACUUGCAAUAUAUCGAAAUAAAUCAAACUUUAAAUGGUUCUUUUGCUAAUUUAUCUUUCUUUAUGCAACAACAGUAUCCACUUGGGACCUGUACAUGCAGCAGAUGCAGAACUAUACCGGCAAAGAGAAUAUCCAACCAUGAACAAAGAAAAUUCAAAUACAUGCGAGUCUAGUGUAUAAUUUCUAAAUGAACUAACUCUUUUGCUAAAAUAUUACGAGAUUAUUAAGCCGAAAAUUAGAAGUACCCUAAGGUUCUGCAUUAUACUAAGCCCACACAAAGAAGACUAGCAACUGUAAAUCUGAGUAAGCAAAGAAACACUCACAGUGAAAAGGCAGACGAAGUGGAAUGGUUCAGUGUAUUCCUUUCAUCAUUCUCCGUCUUGUUUGCGCUACUGUACUCAAAUCUUCUCAAAGACAACUCUAAAUGAGGGAAGGGGCUUGUCGCAAAAUUGAUGCAAUUCUCUUGAGUAUUUUGAAUAGAAUAUGCGUCUCUUUGUGUGUUCUUAUGUUUUGGUUGAUUGUCAAUCUCUCGAAUUAGAUCAACAACUUCUUCAGAAGCCUUCUCACAUAUGUUGUCCUUAUGAUCUGGGAAUGUGCUUCGCAUCACAUCCUCCUUUCGAGCUGCUGCUUCAUCAAAAGCACGUUUACGUAAGACAUCAUUACCAUGUAAAUACAUAUAAUUUAAUAUGCACCUUGUAAAUUCAAAUUUUCAUACCGACCACAUAAAGAUGCAGCUUCUUACAAAAUAACUGUUAUCUGAAGUUGAAGAGUUUUUGAUUAAUGAAGUUGGUUUUUUAUUAGUACAUUGGAAAAGAAUUUCCCCCUUUUUUUUUCCCCAAUACAAAGAGAAAAAAAAAUGUCAGUUGAAGGGUCUUUUUGAAAAUACAAAUUUUGAAGGGGAACAUAUGCAAGUAGACGUCUGAAUUUUCACAUAGAACCCUCUAAAUUGCAGUUUCAAACAUAAGUACCCUUAUGUUAUAUUAGAGUGUCUUCGGCUCAUGAAGUUGGUUUCGUAUUACAAAAGAUCCUUUAACCAAAUGGGGGCACAUUUUGGGGCACAUUUUAUUUAAAUACCAAAAGUAAAUACGCCAGUUGAAAGGCACAUCUGAAGAUUUACAAUUUACAAGGAAAUAUGAGUAAAUUAUCUAUUUUUCAUGAGCAUUUAGGUAAAUAUCUCAAAGAUUUAUACCUUCAACUUUAGGCCCAUACAUUGCCAAAGAGCUAUCUAAUUGAAUACGCUCUUCGCAGCUCUGAUCCACCAGAGAGGGAUCCUCAUUACUAGAUAGCUUAUGCUCCACGAAAUUUUCAACACGUCUACUCUCAGCUUCCAUGUCUGACCUUGUACAAGAGCUCUGCACAAGAGGGGUGGCAAAAGUUGCAAUGUCUACGUAAAACUCCAUGACAAAAUCUACACUAAAACACAAUUUUGUUAGUAGUAUGCAGAAUCUUGUUAAAUUUAAUCCUGUCGCUAGGAUUGUAAAGUAUAAUAUUUUCAAUGUUUCAUAUUCGAAUUGCAUAACUAACACAUAUAAACUCAACAAUGAAAAUACUGAAUUAAAUUCUAAUGUAUUCAUUUGCUCAAAAAAAUAUAGGUAAAAUUGAUUAUAUUAGAUAAAACCUUAGUCCCACCAGAAAGAAAAAGGACAAAGGAUGAACUCUGAAAGGUUGCAUCAGGAAAUAGUUUUUAACCACACAAACAAUAAGACAACUAUUCUCCCUGAGUCAGGUUAAAAAAUAACGUGUAAAUUACACUUUUGCUCCUCAAACUAUGAGGCACCUAACACUUUAGUCCUCAAACUUUAAUUUGUUCCAAUUUCUAGCUCAAACUUUGUAAAUUGUUGCAAAUGAGUCCCAUUACCCCAACUUAUUUGGCUAAAUGUUGAUAAAUCAGUGACGUGGAAGUGAUCUAGCAUAUAUUAAUUAUUGUCACAUUAUCAAUCACAACAUUGCUGCAUCGCUUCCACAUCAGCGACACAUCAAUCUUUAGCCAACUAAAUGGGAUUGUGGGAAUUGAUUGCAACAAUACAAAAAGUUCGAGCCAGUAAUUGCAAAAAUUAAAAUUCAAGGAUCAAAGUGUCACGAACCUCAUACUUUGAGGACUAAAAGUAUAAUUUACCCAAAAAUAAAUGAAAUUGACAAUUUUACAUCACGCAUACUCUUUCUUCCAGUUAUGAAGAGGACUGAAGAAGAGAAUAGAAACUAUAAAAAUAUGCCCGAAUGUGUGGCAAUACUUACUCGAGCAUCACUCCCUUGGUCACUGCAUUCCUUAUUGUCCUGCAUACAGGCAACAUUUUCUUUGGAAACUUUUCCUUUCUUAGACUCAGCUCCGAUUUCAUGCUUUGCAUGAUUUUCAUCUUGAUAUCCCAGCGUACCACUAGGCCUGCCACUUGCCUGAUAAGUCAAAGUAACAACGAGGACUUAGAGAUCACAAAAUUGAGGGAGAAAAAGGGUUAAAAUUUAUAACCCUAAAUUUGAUAUUGAUUUUGUCCUCAGUUUCAAUUAUAACAGUUCAGUCCCUAAUGUUUGUUGUACAACAACUAUUUUAAAUCCUGUUAGUCUACAGCAUAAAGAAACACUACAUCAGCAUAAGCAUAAAAGUGCUGCAAAGUGAACCUUAAAGACUGCAAUGUCAACAAACAUUAACAAUAAUAAUGACAUGGAAAACGGCAGUUUGAUGGAAGGGCUUAAUUGUCAUGCAGGACAACCAUCGAAGACAAAAUUGCUAGAAUUAAGACCUCAAAAAAUGUACUUGAAAUGGAAGCCAAACUUCAAAAUCCAAAUUUGUACUCGAAAAUAAGCCUAAAAAGGGAAUCAACUGGGUCUUACGAUUUGUCUUCUCCAAACAUGCUGCCACAAGUUCCUCAGUUCGUUCUUCCGAAUUGGCUUAACCAGAAAGUCUGACGCACCUUUCAGCAUGCAUUUGAAAACCAUGCUAACAGAAUCAUGUGAAGACAUCACUGCAUAAUCCACAAAUAAGAACAUUAGUAUUAUUCACAUGGAUACAUAAUACUCGGAAAAAUAGAAGAUACACUUUUGAGUCAUACUUAUAACGGGAAUAUUUUUGCAGGUCUCAUGUUCCAUUAUCAUGGAAAGUAAACCAAAUCCGGACAUCAAGGGAAGAUCUACUUCAGUCAAAACAAGGUCUAUACAGUAAGAUUUUUCCUUCAGCAUCUCCCACGCCUUCACGCCAUCUGAGGCUGCAGUAACUGCCCAAAUAAAGGCAACAAACAGCUAAGGUAAAAAUUCAGCUUUUACAAAAAAGGAGAAAAUUGUGCAAAAAUUGAUCGUCUAAUAUGCUAAAGCAUGAAAAGUCGUGUAAGUCAACAAGCACCCUCGCAUGCUAAACUUCUAAUGAUUGCACAGUGUUUAUCAAGCUGAACAAAGCCGGGUAGGAGCAACGUGAAAUGGCGAGUUAGUGGUUGCUCGACUCCCAAACAUUGUAUGGUAAGCUUUAUCUUCAUAACUGGACCAUAUGCAGAUCGGACAAAUAUCAAUUAUGGUAAAAUAUUAUUUUAAUGACGAGCUAUUAGCGUGACCAUCGAAAGAUUUGAUUCUUCUCUUCCUGCUUGUAUUGAAACAUAUCAUUGAAAAUGAAGGCGAUAGAGUUCCAAAUAACCAUCGAUUUAGUACAUCAGAGAAAAUAGAAAAGGAAAUCACGCUGUUCGUCGCCAAAAAUCAGUGAUCGAGCCUACAAAAGGAUGAAAUAAGAAAAAGAAGGCAGCGACGAAGAGCAAGUGUACAAGAAAGAGCAAAAUCCCGGCGAACAAAUUUGUCUCGCUCUGCAAUUUAGGGCUUAUCAAAAAAAGAAAACGAUUUACACGAAUUUUGAGCACUUCUUUAUUCUCCAACCGAUAGAUCUUUUUCUCAAAAGAAAAAUUAACAGAAAUAUUAAACCACAGAGAAAUUAAUGAAGGAAACAAGCAUCAACACCAAAUUCAUGGCAAAUUAAAACAAGAAAACACAAAGGGGGGAGAAACAAACCCCUGUAGCUACACUUCCUCAGGAGAGCGGCGAUGAUUUGCCGAGUCGAAUCGUCCCCUUCGACGAGGAGCACCCUCACCGGCAUCUUCAGCAAAAACCUCUCCAAUCUCAUCACCCCAUCUCCCUCCUCCACCACCUCCACAUCCUCCUCCUCCGCCGCCGCCGCCGGAUCCUCCAUCAACAUCACCACCUCCUCCUCCUCCUCCUUUCCCCUCUUCACCCCUUCCCCCAUCCCCAAAUCCCCUCAAAUCUCUUCGAUAUCUCCCCUAAGAUCCCCUCUCCUUCUUCGUCUCCUUCUUCGUCGUCGUCGAAGGAGACGAAGCAGCUCAAACCCUAGGGCGAGUUGCGUCGGAAAAAUCCCGCGAUCUCCUCCGCGGAAAAAUCGAGCUCUAACUUCUCACUCCCUCCUCUCCUUUUUAGGGCUCGAAAUAUCUUCGCCCCUCUCUCUCUCUCUCUCUCUCUCUUAUUAGUUUCCGGAUGGUGUGAUCGCCACGUCAACAGAUCCCGAGCCGCGCACCCAUUGGCCCUAGUGGGGCCCGUCGCUAACGUGGCACGAUCUGCGUCACUGGUUCUGAUAUUUACCUCUACAGCGCCAUUGUGGCUCCGAUGUCCUCAUCGGCCUAACAUUUCAAAAGCUAAUAUCUCGUGCACCUGGUGUAUACUUUUCCACAUCAUGCACCACUUUUGACCCUUGAAAUCAUAUAUAUAUAUAUAUAUAUAUAUAUAUAUAUAUAUAUNCCCACUUAGCCAUUUUGUAUUGGACACGGUGAACCAUUCACCGUGUCCAAUACAAAAAUUUUGUAUUGAACACGGUGAAUGGUUCACCGUGUUCAAUAUAAACACUUGGCCCAGCCCCGCCCGCGUGGCGCUGACGUGGCGCUGACGGGGCGGGGCCAGGGCCAUUUUUGCAAAUAAUUUUUACACAGGGCCAAUUUUAAAAAAAAAAUUGUCAGGGGGCUAUUUGCAAAAAAAACCCUAAAAUUACAGACAAAAUGUACAAAUUUUAAUAAUUAAUUUUUUUUUAACACCAAUGCACAGAUCACAAUUUACUUUUAUAAAUAGUAACAUAAAGUACGAACGGCGAUAAUUUAGUUUGAUAACACUAAAUUAUAUAUGUUAUAAUUUAUUUCAAUAAUAAGAAUUAUAAUUUAAUAAUCAACACCAUUAAACAUAAUUUAAAAUAUUUAUAUAUUAUAAAAAUUAAAUUCAUUAUUUCGAAGAUUACUUUCUUACUUAUCAACUCCCCAAAAUAUGAGCAGUUAAAAUUAAAUAAUUAUUUAAAAAUUCAAAAUAGAAUUUUUUUAUUUUUAAAUAUCAAAAUUGAAGAUAUUAUACUAGUGAUAGAUAAUUAAACCUUAUUAAGUCCUUAAAAAAUGAGCAGUUCAAAUUAACCAACCAUUAAAAAAUUAGAAAUAAAGUUUUUAAGUUUAAAAUCCAAAAUUUGGAUCUUGUUCUAUUCUAUUAAACAAAAAAAUUGUAUAAAAAUAUUUAAAGUAUUACUUUUUAAAUUCGUUUGAUCAUAAAAUAGAUGUUUUCAGCUAUUGGAUAAAGCAAUUUGCAGUUAGAUUGAUAGUGGUCCUUUAGAAUUGAGUGGGUAGUUUGUUGAAUAAUAUGAUCUAACGAAUAAAAAUGAUCAAAGAGGCAGAUCUAACGGCAGAAAACUUGAUAGUACCAAAUACUUGGUGCUAUCGAUAGCAUUAUAGCCAGACUUUACAACAUUAUUAAUAAUAUUAUAUUAUAGUCUAGCUCUUGUGAAUUAAUUAAAUUAUCAUAAUAAUUAGGAAAAACUUCAAAUAUCCUCAUUGUGGUUUCGCACUUUCUCACUUUAGUAUCUUAUGGUUUAAAGUGUAUCAAGUUAAUACCAUGUGGUUUCACAAUUUCUCACUUUAGUACCCUGUGGUUUAAUAUUUCAUUAAGAAAAAAAUAAAACCAUAGGGUACUAACUUGAUAUAAAAAUAAAACCACAUGAUACUAAUUUAAUACAUUUUAAACCAAAGAGUACUAAAGUGAGAAAGUACGAAACCACAGAGAACUAGCUCGAUACAUUUUAAACCAAAGGAUACUAAAAUGAAAAAGUGCGAAACCAUAUGAGGGUUUUUGAAGUUUUUUCUAACAAUUAUGAGGCCCUACAGGCCCAUAACUCUAUGAUGGGAUAUUUUAGGCCUAGGCGAUGUGAGUGCACCGGGUGCACUCACUAAUUUUUUUCUAUUCAAAUAUCAAGCACCGAAACGUGGGCCCAUCAAUGGUGGGCCCCACGUGUCAGCGUGACAGCACCGUGAUAUAUCACGGUUGAUGUAAAAAGACGCUCUCGGGCUUUCUGGGGGAUCGAGACGAGGCGUCAGCGGCACUGCACCCACCCUCGGCCGAUAUUUUUGUUGAGACGGCCACGUGGCAGUUCCUCGUCGCAAGAGGUGGGCCCCGCUCGCUAGACUCGCGCCACGUGGCCGAUGGUGGAGCGGGUGGGGAGUUAGUGGAUGUGAACGAGCCGUACAUGUCACCCCUUUUUUUUAAUUAUUAUUUUUAUUUAUUUUUUAAUUUCUUUGGAUACGCUACUCCGAGGGGACCAGUGCUUGGAAACGUUUCCUUUCCUUGUCAAAAAAAAGAAAAAAAGAAAAAAAAAAUUUAAUGCACCAUUUAAAUUUUAUUUUAUUAUUAAGAGUUUUUUUUUUUUUUUUUGCUAAAUUUACUUCAAACUACAGCAAAAUAAUAAUACUAAUAUAAUAAUAAUAAUAUAAUAAUAAUAAUAAUAAUAAUAAUAAGCAUUAAAUUUGAGUAUCUAUUUCUUACAGAUUAGAAUAUCAUUUUUUUAUUAUAAACUUUUUCAAAAUGACUAGUUAGAAAUUAGAAAUUUUAAUUUCUAUUUUCAUAUAUAUUGAAUUGAAAUUUAAUUUUAACGAAAUUUAUCACUUAAAAAUAAAUUUAGUGUAUAUAAAUCUACCUAUCUAUCUAAUACCUAAAUAAUUAUUGUGAUGAUGGGCCAUAUAAAAAUAAAAAAUAAAAAAUAUAUAUAUUUGAGGUUCGGUCACAUCAAGAAACUUCUUGGUGAAACCAGACACCAACCAAUGUAGCCAAUGAGAGUUCGCCACGUAUCCAAAUAAAAAUUGAAUGCCCAAACAACUUUAAAUAUAUAUCAAUUAUAAAUUUCNNNNNNNNNNNNNNNNNNNNNNNNNACCAAAGAGAGUACUAAAGUGAGAAAGUACGAAACCACAGAGAACUAGCUCGAUACAUUUUAACCAAAGGAUACUAAAAUGAAAAAGUGCGAAACCAUAUGAGGGUUUUGAAGUUUUUUCUAACAUUAUGAGGCCCUACAGGCCCAUAACUCUAUGAUGGAUAUUUUAGCCUAGGCGAUGUGAGUGCACGGGUGCACUCACUAAUUUUUUUCUAUUAAAAUACAAGCACCGAAACGUGGGCCAUCAAUGGUGGGCCCACGUGUCAGCGUGACAGCACCGUGAUAUAUCACGGUUGAUGUAAAAAGACGCUCUCGGGCUUUCUGGGGGAUCGGAGACGAGGCGGUCAGCGGCACUGCACCACCCUCGCGAUAUUUUUGUUGAGACGGCCACGUGGCAGUUCUCGUCGCAAGAGGUGGCCCCGCUCGCUAGACUCGCGCACGUGGCCGAUGGUGGAGCGGGUGGGGAGUUAGUGGAUGUGAACGAGCCGGACAUGUCACCCCUUUUUUUUAUAUUUAUUUUAUUAUUUUUUAAUUUCUUUGGAUACGCUACUCCGAGGGACCAGUGCUGGAAACGUUUCCUUUUCUUGUAAAGAAAAAAGAAAAAAAAAAUUUAAUGCACCAUUUAAUUUUAUUUAUUAUAAGAGUUUUUUUUUUUUGCUAAAUUUACUUCAAAAAUACAGCAAAAUAAUAUACUAAUAUAAAUAAUAAUAAAUAAUAAUAAUAAUAAUAAUAAUAAUAAGCUUAAAUUUGAGUAUCUAUUUUUACAGAUAGAAUAUAUUUUUUUAUUAUAAACUUUUCAAAAUGACUAGUUAGAAAUUAGAAAUUUUAAUUUCUAUUUUCAUUAUAUUGAUUGAAAUUUAUUUUGUUUAGAAUAUUUAUCACUUAAAAAUAAAUUUAGUGUAUAUAAAUCUACCUAUCUAUCUAUACCAAAUAUUAUUUGAUGAUUGGGCCAUAUAAAAAAUAAAAAAUAAAAAAUAUAUAUUAUUUGGAGAUUCGGUCACAUCAAGAAACUUCUUGGUGAAACCAGACACCAAGCCAAUUGUAGCCAAUGAGAGUUUGCCACGUAUCCAAAUAAAAAAUUUUGAAUGCCCAAACUAACUUUAAAAUAUAUAUCAAUUAUAAAUUUCUAUAGUAUAAUAAAUUAUUUAUAUAUUUUAUAUUAUAUUAUACUAUAUUAUAUUUACUUUAUAAUAUUAAUUAUCAGAUAUUUCACCAAUUUUGUACUGUGAAUAAAGUAUUGGUAAGCACUAGGUGUAAGCAAAAUCUUUUUUUCUUAGAAUUAUGGGUGCACCCUAUUAAUUAUUAUUUAUAGAAAGUGUAUAUUUAUACAUAUACCACAUGCCUAAAACUCUUUAAUAGAGAUUUUGAUAUUAAUUCAUAAAAUACAAUUUAAAUUAGUAGGUUUUAUAGAUCGUAUAUAUUUAAUUAAAAAUUGAUAUUAGAAUAUGGUGUAAGGAGUAUUAAUACUCUCUCUCUAAUCAAUUUUAAUAAGGCAAAGGCACUCUCACCUUUAUGUUGAAAUAAGUUCUCUAAUUUUAACUUUUAGAUUAAAAAAAAUAUUGAUAGAAUAACUAUCAAAACUAAAUUUUGAUUGAAUUUUUAAAGAAAAUUAAUAGUUUAAUAUAACUUUAUAAAUACUAAAAUUUAAAAGAACAUUUAUUAAAAAUGUUAAAAGAACAUUUUUUAAUAUUAAAUUAUUAAUAUUAUAUAUUUAAAUUAUCUGAAAUAAAUAAUAAUAUAAAGCAGUUGCAAGGAAGAGGAACAUCUUCUUCUCCGAUUGAAGGGUAGAGUUGGAAAACACAUGUUAUCUUCUGGUUUUUCCAACUGUACUUCGACUUUCAAUUUUAACUGUUAGGUAAAAAAUUAUUUUUAGAAUAACUAUCAAAAUUAGAAAUUUGGUUGAAUUUUUAAAUAAAAUUAGAAGCCUAAUAUAACUUUAUAAAUAUUAAAAAUGAUAUUUAUAAUAAUAUACUUAAUUAUAAUUUUUUAAUAUUAAAUUAUUAAUAUUAUAUAUUUGAAUGGUCUAAAAUAAAUAAUAUAUGUGAGUUCCCAGUAAAGCAGCAAGUGCGAAGAACAUCUUAUCUUAUCAGAUUGACGGGUAAACAUGUCAUUUUACGGUUCUCCCAACUCUACUUUAUUAUUAUUUUUCUCUCAUUACAAUUACACAAGUGUACACGAUUAUACUAAUUCAAUGGAUGGGGCUGCAGGACGGCGCUGGUGGAGGAGGAAAAAUGUGGUCGCCAGCCUUCCGGGAAUGAUACGGGAUUGAAACCUUCGAACGGGCGGUAGACGUGGCAGACUGGAGGUGGUGGGAAGUUGAGGAAGUCGUGAGGAGGAAGCGCGCAACCAACGGGAAACGAAAGGUACAGUCUGGACUCUGGAGUCUGGAGUGCCGUCCAUUGUGGCGAGCAGGUGUAAAAUAUCUGCUAGCAUCAAAAUAUCUACUUGUCUCUGAGUCGGUUAUGGUAUUCUUAAAAUUAAAAAAUUUUCAUCAUUACAAAUAUUCUUUCUUGAGAAAUCCCACGUCCUAGAUUGUGCUAUUCCACCGGCCAACUUCUAAAUUUCAGAGGACCACUAUUAUUCGAAUAAUAUAUUUAAUUUGAAAAAUAUUGAUGCCAUGUAAAAUAUAUUCCUUCAUAUGGUUUUAAUUAUUUUUAAGAAAGACAUGCAAGUACUUAUGCAUCUACAAAAAAUAUCAAAUAAUUAUACGAUCAUAAUAUGCUACACAAUCAUUGACGUUUGCAUCCACAUAAGAUAAAUAAAAUAAAUAAUACACGCAUGAUAUACAAAAAAUAAAAAAAUACCGCACAAGAACAUAAAAAAAAAAAAAUUGUAUUGUCGAUCUUGUUUUCCAUAUAUAUAUAUAUAUAUAUAUAUAUAUAUAUGGGAUACGAGAAAAUCGCUCACGUCAGCUAAGUUAUUGAAAAAUAAUAUAUAGUUAAUAUAUGUAAUUAUUUACUAUUUAUUCCUGCUAGUAUUUAACUCUAUCAUUCAUCGAGUUACAUUUUUCUCAGGUUAAUUGCAUACAGUUUUCUAUAAGCAUAGUGAAUUAAAAAUAUAUUCUUACAAAGUUCAAUUUUUAUCUCUUAUUCCCACAAAAGUUCGUUGAUAUUCAUAUUUGUCCCUCUGUUUUGCUACUGUUGAAAAACUGUUUAUUUUUUAACAGUAGGUAAGUGAAAUGUCAAUUUUGUCAUCACAAAUAUGUCCUCUAAAAGCCCUAACUGCUAUAAUCGUGCAUAAAUAUCCCCCAAAAAAAUUUUCAAUUGUCAUAUUUUUUCCCUUUGAAAGCCAAUCUAAUCCACCAUUAUUGCAACCUCUUCUUUCAUUUCUUUUCUCAUAAACUUUUUUCUUUAAGUAAAGCAAGAAAAAAUCAUAGAAAAAAUUGAAUGGGCAAGCAACACGCGUUCGUGGAUGAAUGAAUAUGGAGAAAUUCUUAUUAUGGGUUCGAAACUAGCAUGAAAGAGAGAGAGGAAGAGAAAGAAGAAGAGGAAGAAGAUGAAGAGUUUCCAUUACUAGAAUUUUGAUUGAGAGAAAAAGUAUAAUAUAAGAGGGAUAAAAAUAUUAAUUUACCUUAUUGACUAAUCAGGAUUAAGUAUUUUACCUAUGGUUAACUGAAUUUUUCUAACAAAUCCUAAAAGCAGGGGCAUAUUUGAAAAACAUUAAGAUUUUUACAGGCAUAACAUAAGAAAGUUGAACUUUGUAAAGAUAUAUUUGAAAGUCGCUAUAUUUAAAGAGAGUUGUGUGCAAUUAAUCUAUUUUUUUCUAUUUACAAAUUAAACUGAGAAAUUAAAAUUAUAAAGGAGGGAGAUUGAUGGAUUUGUGGGGUGUAAGCUAUAAUAUUUACUCCAAGGACUAAAUUAAUACAUUUUCAAAAGUUUAAAAACUAAAUGAGACUGCUAAAAGUUUUAAGUUUUCACGAUUUGUAAACUUAGAGGAUCAAACUAAAACUCAAGCUACAUAAAAAUUUAGAGACUAGCAGUGCAAUUUAUCAAUAUUAUUAUUGUUUUGAGAGAAAGAUAGCAUGCUAUCUGUUUCAUUUAUUUCUUUUAGAAAUAAAUUUGGCUGAAAAUAUAAAUUAAAUAAGAAUCGAACUUGGGACCUCGAGUACCAACCACCUAAAUGUAAAUGCCAAAUAUUUGUUUUUAUUUUUGUUUUGAGCCUUGUACCUCAAAAAUCAACCGAACUUCCCAAUUAGAAACUCAAUGAUAAAUUAGAGUUUUUGGAAAAGCAAAGAGAAAUGUUACUGCUACUGCCCAAUAACAAAUUAAACACCUAAACUUAAAUCAAUCAAACUUCCCAAUUUGGAGAGAAUUGGAUUGUUCCCAGCGGAGUUACAAAAGGAAAUGGUCUAAGAAAUUCAUCCAUCUCCAACAUCAGUUGAAAUGCAACAGGGUAUCCUCUUAAGCUGUGUUUGACCGUCGAAAUAAAAUAUUUAAUAAUUAUUCAUGUAGUAUAUAGAUUUUUCUUGUGCGAUUGGAAAUUAAGAGUUUGUUUUUAGCUCCUUCCAAAUUUCUCGACAUCUACACUUUGGUAGCAUAUGUAGAAUAAUUUAUCUACAAGGUCAGAUAUGGCAUCAAUUCUAAACAUUUGAUCAUAUUUUUCAUCAAUCAAAUACUAUAAAUUUAAAUAAAUAAAACAGUAUACUGAAUAAGAUAUUCAUGCAUUCAAACAUAGUCUUAAUUUGAGAGCAAUGAUUAUGCAUUUCACUUUUUACGUCCCCAUGUCCCUCCCGUGUCUUCAUAUGGUGAUUGUCACUGCUUAUGGACACGAACUUGAGUGAUCUAGAAUGGAGCUGAAGAUAUACAUGUAUAUGUAAACCCUAGAACAAAAAAUAAUACACAGAUGCCGAGUUGGGUCUCUCUCUUAUGUACAUAUCCAUCCCUACUGAUAUCAUCACAAGUGCUAACUUACUAUCAAAUUAAAGCAACACAGGCUAUUUAUGAAUGCAGGAACAUCUUUUUCGACACACAACUCUUUUAUUAACUCAAUAUCGAUACAGGUUUUUUUGAAGUAAAAAGUAAGUAGAAAGUUACAAUAUAUACUAUAUGCGGUCUCUAUAUCAUUUAUUUAGAUUGCAUGAUAAUCAUAGAAAAACACAGAAUCUUAUAUGACCUAAAACUAAGCUUGUAUAUUAUUACAAUAAUGCAGGAAAAUCUCAAUAAUACAAAGUUGUUAUUAUUAUUAAAUAACUUAUUCAGAUAUCAAAAUAUGCCCCAAUUUGUUUGUAUGCCCAAUUUAUUUGAAACUUGCUUCUCUACAAAAUAAAACAAUAUGAUCUUGGGUAUUAUUCGGGCCCAAAUUUGAGUAAUUGGGUCCGGGCCCCGUCAUCUGAACAGGCCUGGCCCGUAUUCUACGAAUUCCGUAACGCAGUUUUCCUACAAUCUCGCGUACAUGAUACGUAUUUUUUUUGCUUUUAUAAAGAUUAUGAAUACACACAUCUAAAUAUAAUCUAUCACAUUUGAAAAUUUUAUAUUCUUCUUAAAAAAAUGCUAGAUUUUGAAAAUUUAUUAGUUAAAUGCCAGAGUAAUAAAUAUGAAUACUAAAGAGAAUUGAUAUUACUAAAGUAGUUUUUAUAGUAGAGUUGCUAUGCUAUUACUAGCACCGAGGCCUUCUUGUUAUAAACUCAUUUUCAAUGAUCGGACAUUUAAUUCGAUGAUCGGCAUUGUUAAGUAUAAUUUAAAGUAUUUAAAUAUUUUAGAAAUAAAAUUUUAUAAUUUUUUUAAAAAUUAUUUUUUAUAGUACAUCAGCUUGCUAAAAAAAGGUUCAAAUUUGAACAACAACCUUCUACUAAUAUAGAAUAGUAUUUUUCAAAUUCGGAACUGGAUUUAUAGAUUUUGUUCUUAACAAUUAAUUUUGUUUAAAAAAAAUGCAAUCAAUUUGGAUUUGUCAGCAUCAUUGAGCGAGAAAACAUCUUACACGGGCCAUUAAAAUUGUUACUAUGGAAACUGUUUGAUCACAAAGUAAAUAAUUUUAAAAAAUUACAAUAUUCAGUAUCUAAGAACUUGAAAAGUGGUAGAUCAUACCUAAUAAUAUUGAUUUUCGAAAAGUAUCGUCUAUAGCACAAAGGAAUAGGCAUUAUUAGAAGUAUUUCAGCUAGCUCACAAUUUGGUAAGAAAACGUACAAAACUUACUUAAACUAUGAAUUAUUUUGAAUCGACAAUCGAAUCUUUUUGAAAUUUUAAUUUUGCAAUCCAAUCGUUCAAUUUGUUUUAUUUUAGCCAGCUAGUGAUAUUUUGACUUCAAUUUUUGAAUACAAUGCUUAUCUUUGCAGAUUUAGCUAGCAUAUUUCAUACAAUUUUCGUAACUAUACAUUUAUUAAAGUAAAAAAAAGCAGCUAAUAUUUUGAAGAUAAAGUGCCAUCGAACUAUUUAAAUCAAAUAAAUUGAAAACGGAAAUUCAAAAUUUUCCUUAGUCCAUCUGUCCAUGCAAGUUUUAUAGCGUUUUACCAUGCAACUCUUUUACUACUGCCCUUCUCGAUUCAUCACAGCCGUCCAUCGUCAUCUUCCCCGUUUUCGCAAAUCGGACGGCUGAAACAAAGAAACUCUGUUUCUGGAAGGUGUUGAAGAGGAUGCACAUAAGGUGACAGGUGCAGCAGUUUCGGAGGAUGGAGAACUGUUCUGUGUUUGUGGAGUUAACAAUAUCUAGCUUUUUAUUGCAAUGUACAAAAAGAAAUAAUAGGUCAUUAUACUUACUAAUUUAGCAAGAGUUAAUUUUUUACCAAUAUACACACACAUAAGCUUUAGGAAAUUGUGUAAUAUUUUGAGUUGUACCACCAAUUUUUUGGAAAUAAAAUAACACCUUGUUUGCUCUCUUGCAGAAUUUUCAUAUCCUCUGAUCUACUCCUUUUGUCUCAAUAGACAGAGUUUGUGCAAUAACUCUCUAAUAUAUGGACUCAAUAUGAUUUUAUAUUUACAGCUUCAAAUGAUUAUGUAUGAUAAUAUUCACCAUAACUAUUUAUCAAAAAAGAAAGCCAAGCAGCCAACUGUUCUGAGAAGCAACUUUCAUGCCUACUUUUGAAACAGGGAAAAAUAGAAGUUCCAUGGUGCUGAAAAUACAAAUGAAUUCACCAUUCAACAAAUAUAUAACAAUUACGUCACGCAAAGCAACAAUCUAUUGUAUGUUUAACUCAGCUUAGCAAACUGCAUGGACAAAAGUGGAAGUUAUAAUGUUUUACUCAAAUUGGAAGACACCCAAAAAUUGGCCCCAAAAGCACCUAAGAUAAAGCCUAAUUUGGCCUUAACAUUUCUACUCUCUCCCUAAAACACUAUCACAGCAGUAAUGUAGUGAAGUAUAAUCGAAAAAGUGAUAACAACAGAUGGUCCUAUCAGCAAGAACUUUGUUCCUGCACUGCACUGAACAUUCGCUCCGCUAAAACAGCCGCUCCUCUGCGCAAUCCCGCUCCCACCUUCGAGUACGAAAGUCGAGUUAGUUCUCCCGCUGCUAAACAAAACACACCAGAAGAAUGCCCCAUGAUGCGCUCUGUUAAACCCCACUCCGACUUCAGUGUGCUCUUUGCUGUGGAGAAGGGAGAGUGUUCUCUUGUCCCGGAAAAGAAUGGCUGAGAAUGCUUCCUCUGCUUGAAGAUACUUCUGCUGACACGCCACGAGAUGGCCGGAUAUAGUGUCGAGCGUCGGCAACUCUACCCCGCAAUUGGGAGCAUAAACUUCGGUAAUGUCGACUUCAGGCGGAUUACAGCUCACCGUGUUAUUACUGCUGCAGUUGCCCAUGCACUCUGAUAUAUACUGCAAAGCCAUGCAACCAAGUCCGGGACUGUCGUGGAGUUUCGGUAGCUUGAUUGCUGUGCGAUUCGUGUUUAUUAAAUUGACAAUUUCGUUAGCUGGAUUUCCUGAAAAAUAGAAGACGGAAUCGAAAGAUUGAUUUCUGUAUUGAAAUUUCAGUAAAUGUUAAGAUAACUGACGUGAAAUUGAUCAUUCUGCACAUCACAGAAAAAAUGUGAGCUGAAUCACUGCAUGAAAUUGAUCAUUAAUGUAUAUUUUAUGGAAAAUAAUGUUACACUGCAGUUUAUCAAUCUGGCUGGAGUUCUCUAACAUGAGAUUAGUGGGAUUGAUUGUGACAUCUGGGAUAGUAAGUAAGAUUUAGGGGAAGCUGUAGUGAUCUAAUUCGCCGUAAAGUAGUUUAAACUGCAAAAUUUGAUAAAAUUAUCAAUUGAUUUGGUAAAAUCUCCAAUUUAAUUUGGCUAACAUCACUCGAUUCCCAAAACUUAGUAUUUGAGAGGGUCUCAACCAGAAGAAAUAUAGCUAAAUAAGAGCAUUCCAAAAGACAGAUAGAAAGAGGCUUAUAAUUUCUGAAGGAUAGAAUGGCUAUACAAAUUACAGAUUCUAACAUGAUUAGAGAUUCUUUUUUUUUUUUUUUUUUUGCUGAUUAGAGAAAUUAAAUGAUAAAUAACAGAGAACCAAAUCAAAUGAAACCAUGUUUUCUAUAAAAAGCUAAAAAAAAAAAAAAAAAAAAAUNGUAGAAUUUCCAGUUUCCACACUGUCAAGUAGGAGUUCCUCCUCUUUCUCACAAUGAGAGAGAGAGAGAGAGAGAGAGAGAGUUUUUGGGAGGUGGGGGGAGGAGACAGUGGGUAUUGCUGCAGUUGGUGGGGGGGGUUACAAAAGUGCCCACUGCAGUGCUGGAGAGCUGGAGUGGAGUGGAGUGGAAAUGGGCAAAAACCCAGAUGGUCUUUUCCUCCUCCUUUUUUUUUUUUUUUUGCUUUAUUUUUUUUGGGCUGUUGCUUAUUCAUCCUCAUCCCUUAUUAAUUCAAAAUUUCUAAUUCUAAAAUAAUCAAAAUACACAUUUAAAACCGAAUACUAUUAGUAAAUUUUAGAAAAAAAAAAAAAGGGAUGUUUGAAGAAAUUUUUUAAAAUCAAUAAAAUGUUUUAGUCCUCCAGAAACAAUAAGAGAUUUUUAAAGUUUUGAAUGACAUAUUAAAUAUCUAAUAUAUUUCUGGUAGACUAAAAUGCUCUUAUUGAUUUUUAAAAAUUUCUUUAAACAUGCUCAUAACAAUAAAGUUUACUAAUAAAAUUUGAAGUUUUGAAGAAUAUUUUGAAAAUUUAAAAAUAAAUUUAAAAAUUUUGAAUAGUAGUGAGGGAUGUAUAACUUUCAUAAAGUUUACUAAUAAAAUUUGAAGUUUUGAAGAAUAUUUUGAAAAUUUAAAAAUAAAUUUAAAAAUUUUAAAUAGUAGUGAGGGAUGUAUAACUUUCAUAAAGUUUACUAAUAAAAUUUGAAGUUUUGAAGAAUAUUUUGAAAAUUUAAAAAUAAAUUUAAAAAUUUUAAAUAGUAGUGAGGGAUGUAUAACUUUCAUAAAGUUUACUAAUAAAAUUUGAAGUUUUGAAGAAUAUUUUGAAAAUUUAAAAAUAAAUUUAAAAAUUUUAAAUAGUAGUGAGGGAUGUAUAACUUUCAUAAAGUUUACUAAUAAAAUUUGAAGUUUUGAANUUUUUUUUUUUUUUUUUUAUGGUGGGUAAUCUUUUUCCCGGGAAUUGAGGGGAGUGGAAUGAUGCUGCUGCUGCUAGGGGUGCCGGGCUACAGCAGAAUUGAGAAAUGGGAUGGACAGGGCCCCUAUACACUGAUACACACAACAACAUGUGCUAGAAUAUAUAUAUUUUUUUUUAAAAAAAAAGAAAGAAAGAAAAAGGCGUCCUGCUGCCCAUCACAAUUCACAAGCACCAUGUUUGUUUAAAAAAAUUAGGGAAAACUUUAAAAAACCCCCCGUGGUUUCGUGCAUUCUCACUUUGCUACCCUGUGGUUUAAAACGUAUCAAUUUGCCCCCUGUGGUUUCGUUUUUAUCUUUUUGUUAUCAAUUUUAUUAUUAUUAUUUUUUAAAAUCAGUGACAAAGUUAAAAUUAAAGGAUACUAAAGUGACUAUUCGAUAAAUAUAGAUGGUUAUCUGAAGUUUUUUGUAUAUAAUUUAACGAAAUAUUAACGAAAAAGCUUCCGAAAAGAUAAAAAUGAAACCACAGGGGGGUAAAUUGAUACGUUUUAAACCACAGGGUAGCAAAGUGAGAAUGCAUGAAACCACAGGGAGAGUUUUGAAGUUUUCCCAAAAAAUUAUAACAUGCUAUUAAUUAGCCAGGGGUUUUUAAAAAAGGCCCAGGUUAUAAAUUAUGAGUUCGGCUAGAAUAUUAUUAACAGUAGAUAAAUAAUAUUUAACUAUUUAUUACAGUAAAUAAUAAGUUUUAGACAUGGAAGUAUUAAAAGAAUUUAUUGUUUGUACUUUUCAUACACUAUUAAUAAUUUAUAAUUCAAAUUUUUAAUGAAUUAUAACAUUCUAUUAAUGUAGGAUUUUUUUUAAAAAAAUUGUAUAUUUUAUUAUUCUAUUCAAUGGUAAAUUUUUAUGAAAAAAUAAAGAUACAGUAAUAAUAAACUGGUAAAGUUAUACUUUUCAAAUUAUAGAAUAAUAAAAUAAAAAUUGCUAAAUCAUAGAGAGCUAAUUGAGGGUAAAUUAUUAUGGUGACAACAGGGAAUUUGUACGUUGGUGAGUUAAUAAAAAUAAUAAUUACAUAAUAAAUUGUAGGGGAAAAAAAAGUACUAUUUGCUUUUGGCUGGCAUAUUAGAGUGAGAGCCAGUACUGUACUGAAAGGGGUAGUGAAAGCUUUUAAAAGUUUUUCUACAGAAUGAUCCUUAUCUUAGAUUUACCUAAUUUUCUAGGGCUUUUUUUUGCAAAUAGCCCCUGACAAAAUUUUAUUUUAAAAUUAGCCCUGUCAAAAAUUUAUUUACAAAAAUGACCCUAUCCUUGUCACGCAAGCGCCACGUCAGCGCCACGCGGGCGGGGUUGGGGCCAGGUGUUUAAGUUGAACACGGUGAACCAUUCACCGUGUUCAAACACGGUGAAUAGUUCACCGUGUCCAAUACAAAUAUCCCCAUUUAGUCAAAAAAUGGCUAAGUCGAGAUAGUUGUAUUGGACACGGUAAAUCAUUCACCGUGUCCAAUACAACUACCUAGGACUUACCUAUUUUUUGGCUAAGGCUGUAUUAGUAUUGGACACGGUGAAUGAAUGAUUCACCGUGUCCAAAUGGUCCAAUACAACUAACUCGACUUAGCCAUUUUUUGGCUAAGUGGGGAUAUUUGUAUCGGACACGGUGAACCAUUCACCGUGUUUGAACACGGUGAAUGAUUCACCGUGUUCAACUUAAACUCUUGCCCCGCCCGUGUGGCGCUGACGUGGCGCUUGCGUGGCAGGGGCAGGGCCAUUUUUGCAAAUAAAUUUUUGACAGGGCUAAUUUUUAAAAAAAAAUUUAUCAGGGGACUAUUUGUAAAAAAAGCUCAAUUUUCUAUCCACUGCCUAAAUAAAUGCCCCCUCCUUUCUAGGAAAAAAGAAAAAAAAUCUAGAAUGUACUAAAUACAUUACUAAAUGGUGUCUCCAACCAAUUAAAUUAUUUUUCUAUCUAAGAUUCGCUCGUUCCGUAAUAUUUAUUAAAAAUAUUAUUUUUAUUAUGUUUUUCUCUGAAAAGAAAAAUAUGAUUAGCUAAAUAUAGAUAAUAUGGUGUAUUUGCUAUGCAGUAGACUUCUUUCUUUUCUAGAGGAAAAUGAGACUUUUGUGAAGCCAAAAAAGCAACCAUUGUCACACAUUUAAAAUAACUUAUUAUUUGUUAAUAUUAGAGAAAUUAUUAAACAAUAUAAAUAAAUAUAAGAUAAUUAAUUUUCUUUCCUAAAUGACUCCAACUCAAAAUUACCAUGUCAAAAAAAAUUGAAAUAACCAUUUAAAAAAAAAAAAAAAAAAAAAAAAACUUCAGCUGUGGAAGAAAGGUGUUUUAAUGUUUGGGUUUAGUUAUGAAAAGCUUGCUUACACUGAAGGCCCCCUGUCUCAAUCUGUUCCCUGUAUUAAAAUUAGAUCAAUUGCAUUUUGUUAUCAUUUCAAAAUAGAACCAAAAUAUUUUUUAAAAAAUGGCAAAGAUAGUAAAAGUUUACUAAAACAUUCUAUUUAUACUUUACAAUUCAAAGAUAAGCAAAAAUUUUAGAUAAAACAAUUUUAUUCAAUUUGUACAAGUUGCAUUACUUAUUAGUAACUUCAUCUACAAAUUUAUUUUACAAAACUUUUCAACAAUUAUUUCCAAUAAUUGGAACCUUUUGAGAUAGUGGCAAGUGAAAAAAAAUAAUCAAUGUAAUUUUUAAUGCAGGAAGGUAAUUGUGACAGGAGUUUUAAGUGCAAGGAAGCUUUUCAUAAUUUAGCCUAACAUGUCAUAUUAAAACAAGUAUUAAUCCCUCUUCUCUUAUACAAAAUUAAAAAAAAGAAAAAGGGAACUCACUCAUUUUACUUGAGCAAUGUUAUAAAAAGAGCUCUUUCAAUUCUCAUCAAUGAAUGUGCCUUUGCCUGAUAAAAGAGCAGAACUUUUAAAGCAACUAGAACAAAACUAGUAGCAGAAACCAAGAGCGACUUCGUUGGGAAGCACUUCAAUGAAAACUCAAUGAGACCACCAAAACUAAACAAGAGAGGCGAAAAACUACCAAACAUCUCAAAAUAGAAGUGGAAAUCACAACUACGAUGCUGUUUCCUCGGAAAACAGGAUUCAUCAAAACAUAACACCAUGAAACACCAUUAUACCCAAGCCUUGUGUUCUAUAUAGUUCAUCCAUUGUUCUCUCAGGAUGGAACAUGCUAAAAAUGCAUACAAAAACAAAGUAACUAAAAUAACGAUAGAACAUCGACAAAAAGAGAUGAAGAUAAUCCUCAUAUUUAAUCUCUAGGUUCACGACAAAUUUUAUUCCUCUAAAAUAACAAGCUUUUAAAUUAAGCAGAUACUUUUAAGGUAGCAUUGUAUCAUUAAGGCUCUGUUUGAAAGUCCGCAUAUAUUAUUUUUGCAUAAUUUAUGCAAGUAUAAGAGUUUUUUUACUGUGAUUGUGAAAAAAAGUUUGAUUUUGACUUCCUCAAAAAUCUGAAUAUUUAUAAUUUGGUAGUAUAACAUAUAUCACUUAAAGAUGAUUUAUCUAUCUUAUCUGGAAAAAUAAUUUGAAAGCUUAAUAUAGUAUCCAAUUCUAGAUUUUGAUCUCACUCCUCUCCUACCAAACAUAUAUAAGUUUCUUAAGUAAAUUAUGGAAACAGUCCAAAAAAUAUAUUUAUGCAUCCAAAUUGUGCGUUAAUAUCUUUUGAAUAUGAUUCUUUCCAUAGAGACAAAGAACCUCUUCUUGUGCACUUACCAGAGCACAAAUCUCAUUAUGAAAGAAGGGUGACACCUUCCUACAAUAUACAGUGAUUUACAUACUUUGUUGCCAUAAACAAGUUGUCGAAGAUACCUCUUUAUUUCUCGCUGCACUGGAUUAGCUACAGAAGCACGUUUUGGGCGAUUCCUUUUCCAUUCCUUUCCCAUCAGUCUGAACCGAUCUCAACUACCGACCGGUAUUUUCCUGCGCCUCCCUGUCCAUUUUCAAGAAAUAAACAUAGAUCAUUAUCUUCACAUAGUCCUACUCAAUUUACCCAAUCUCAAGUUUAGUUUAAGCUAUAAGCGCUUCAUAUAUAUACUAGGUCAUGUUUUCUGUGAAGACAAUUGAAUUAUCAAUACGAUAAUAUUUCAGUCCUUCGAAGUUUUAUUUUCUUUGAAGAAAAACUGCGGAUGAACCACCAACAAAUAACCAAUGCCAAACUUUUAAGGAAAUAUCUGCUUAGAGGAGAGGAAAAGUUUAUAAAUGUUCUACAGCUUUUGAAAUUCAGAAACUUCAGACCUAGUGCUACUCUGUAAAAUGACCCAAGUUUUUGAAGUCCACCAAAUUACUACUUGAUCAUCCUGUAAAAUUCCCAAAUAUCGAACUUUUAAAUCUCCCUACCCUAAGUGAAGUAUUAUAUUAACAAAUACUCAUAAGGAGAUACGCAAAGCUUACCAUUAUAGCCUUUACUCCAGAGGACCUGGGAAUCAAUUGUAGAAAGAUACUCAUCAUCGAGGCGCUUCCAUGUCUUGAUUGACUUCACCCCAUCCCACUGGCCUUCUUCCGUCUUUUCUAAAUAUGCAGAAACCACCCUCGCCCUCCUUGACCACCCAGCCUUCCCAUAGGCGUGGUAGCCGAACCCACCAGCGUAGCAGAGGUAUAUACCAGUUAACUUACCGCAAAAGUCGUUCAGAUGGUCAUGCCCUGUGAAAACGGCCUUCACAUCUCCGGCCUCUACCAUGGUGGAAAAGAAACCUGAGUUGAUUGAGGCUGAGCUGAUGCCCUCCUGCUUCACUCCUGUAAAGUUAGAAGCAUCAAAGCUGCUGUAUUCGGGCAACGGGAUAUGGAAGUACACAAGACCAGGCGCCGGCUCCUUUUGUGCAUGUGGUUCGCUCAUGUACUUUCUCUGUAGUUAUUUUCAUGAAACUCAAAUUAAUCCAAACGUUUUCAAUGCCUUGAAAAGAUUCAGAAUAAGUGCAGAAUUAUAUUCGCAAAAAAAAUAUUCCAUAUUAAAAAAAGAAGCACCUGAUAAUUUAAAUCGAAAGAAAUGCUCUUAAUUUUUCAUUACAUUGUCCAACAUGCCAAGGCCGUCAUGCCACUUUACUAGGACUUCCUAUAAGACUAUCUUAUUUCUAAUCUCUUUUAAUGGUUAGUCCAACCCAACAUGUUAAAUCAUGAUUCGAAGUUGAAACAUCGAUAUUGAAACUGUUACUUUUCAGUUUCAGUCAGCAUUAAUCCAGGCUAGUCCCAAUACUAAUCUGAAACAAAACUUUUUUGUGUUGGAACGAUAGGUCAGAAAAGUAUCACUUAUAUUGGAAAAUAUUGUAAAACCAAGUCUAGAUAGGAUCAUUAUAAUGAUUCAUGUUUGUACUGAUAUUAUUGAAAAUUUGAGGGAAAAUGUAUAUUGCCAAAACUGAAACUCUAGGCCAUUCACUAUGGCAAGUUUGGUGUGCUCAACAACACCAUAAAAGUUGCAAUCAACAGUUUAAAAAGUGUCAGAACAAGAGAACAUCUUUAAUACCAGUCUAUCAUGAGGAUUAUAUACUGAAAAUUAUAGUUUCAAAAUAAAAUACCUGGUUUUCUAAGGAGGUCCUCUGGAACCAGAGCUGCUGGGAUGGCUUGAUCCAGCCGUAGCCAGGUAUGGAGGGCACAGUGGAGUAAUCACCGCUAUCAACAAAGUAGAGAUUGAGCACCGACUUGUUGGCAAGCACCGAGCCCUCAGGCCCGUGGACCUCCAAAUUGUAGUUGCCGAAGCCGUCUAUCUCCAUGCCGCCUGGGUUGAGGCGUGAUAGGGUGUAUGGCAUGCCUACGAUGUGGCGCAUCACACCCUCGCGGGACAAUGUAGACUCCUGGUCAUGGUUGCCAAGCACAGCUGCCCAGGGAAGCUUGAGAGCCACAGCCGGUGCGAAUGAUGCAUUCAACGACUUAGCCGCAUCAGUGGCAUCAAAACCGAAGAUGUUGUCGCCUGGUCCGAAGCACUUCAAAAGUGUUAUAACUUGAUAUGAAAAAUAUGACAAAACAUUCACAUUCAGGACACUACAACAGAAGAAAAGGAACAUUCUUCAAGAAGCACGAGGAAAAAAUUUUGAAAGCGAAUAUUAAGCAAUCCAAUCAAAGAAAGAAAAGUCAAACACUAUGCAGAUUGAGCACUCUAUCUUUAUACUCAAUCGUGGAUAUAAAUAAUGAACCAGAAUGCUGUCUUUUGGGAUUUAUAGCGGUGGCCCCUAAUGACUCAACACUUACAGCUUUUAAGCAAUUUCAUAAAUAGGGUCAGAGCGUCCAUCUUUUGAAAGCAAGUAUAUAGACAUCUAACUUACUAAUCAGAUGAAAACAUCUGUCUUUCUAAUUAAAUAAAAAACAAAGAUGCAUAACUAUAACAUAUAGGAAUUAGGAAACAUACUUAUAACAUCUCAUUUGCUUAAAUUAUUUUCUAUAUAUAUAUAUUUUAAGAGAUGCCAACUUAUAAGAAACACUAUAUUGCAGAAUAUUAUCUGAAAUAUCCUGGGAACCAGUGAAAGUUUUACCCAUGCUCUCUAAAUUGUUGAAACUUACUACAUUCAUCAUUUUAUUUUCUUGUUGUUGGUAGCCGAAUUUCCCGACCCUUGACCCGGUCAAAGAUCCUCCUCGGGGAGCACGUCGGGGUGAGGAACGGCUGCGGAUAGUGACCCUCGAAGUUUGCGCCCUUCGACAGAUCAAGCGAUUCGGCUGACGAGGGAUCGAGCCAGCCGGGUUCGAAAACCUUUACUAUAAAAUCGGUUCGGCUGGUAUGAGCCGAAUGUAUGAACUGUGCAGGGAUCAAUGUCGACAGAAGAGCCGAAUGGAAGAAGUACACAGUAAUUGGUCGGCUGAAAGAGCCGAAUAAAUGAAAUACACAAUGACUGGUCGGCUGAAAGAGCCGAAUGCCUAUAUAUAUAUAUUAAUAAAACAAAGUGUGCCCGAAAGGCUUACAGACUCUACGAAUAUGUAGUUUACAACAGAGCGAUGCCCGUGGGGCAGACAGACUCCAGGGUUCUACUUAAAAGCUACUCCUAGGAAAGCAGUAAAUGCGAAAAAAGAAAGAUUACAUUUAGACUACUCCUAGAAAGCAAUAAAUGCAGGAAAGGAAAGAUAUGAAAAUGCAGUGGUAUUCUUGUUCAGGGAAGAGAAAGACCCUUAUUGCAGGCUUCGAAAUUACUAUUUAUAGUAAUAUCAACCCGCAUUAUUGGUUGGUUGAAAGUAGUGGGGAGAGUGGUUGUAACCAUGAUCGUGGAAGUUACGCCCACUUCUCAUAGAAGUUACGCCACACUUCUCAACCGUUCCCGUCUAAACGCUCUCAACCUUCAGGCGUCUUAUUGCCGACUCCUGGUGUACCACGUGUCCUUAUUUUUUUGCCUCAUACGCGGGUUAGGUCGGCAUAUUAAUUUUUUGGUAUCAACAAUGACCCCCUAAUAGUCUUUCAAAUGAACAUUCAAAUGACUAUUGGUGCCAAAUCGACUGCUCAAUGACACAGCCGAGACCCAAGCUUUAAUUUCGCUAGUUUUGGUCGGCUUAAAGAAAACGGCUCUUUAUCAUCCCACCCGCAUAUACCUCGGCCUUAUCAGCCGAUUCUUUACUUUUACUCGAUUGGUUCGGUUCUUCUUGAACCGACUGUUCUUCUAUCAAGGAUUUUUCUUUGCCUUUGCUUUGAUUUUUAUAUCGGCUCCAUUGCAGCCGAUCGUCCUCACUUUCUUUCCGGAAUUGCUCAUAUUGGGCAACUCUAACACCUAGAUCAAAUAUGUUAGAAAAAUGCUUAUCUUCAAAAUGGUCUUUUAUCUUAAAAUGCAGACCAUUUAACGCCAUUUUGGCGAACUCUGAUUCCGGCAUUCUCAUAAAGCACCGGGUUUUGGCUAUUUUGAAACGGUUCAAAUACUCCGUUUCACCUGACUUUUGUCGGUUUAAAGCCAAGUCGGCAACCGAUAAUUGUGGCUCCGACCUAUAGAAUUGCUCAUGAAAUUUUCUUUCCAAUUCGUCCCAAUCUAGUACGGAAUUGCUUGAUAAACUUGUAUACCAAGUAAUCGCCGUUUUAGUUAACGACGUGUUAAAUAAUCGAAGUUUCAAAAAUGAGUCAGCGGCCGCUUCUCUACAUUGGGCCGUGAACCGGGCUAUAUGCUCGACUGUAUUCUCGGUCUCAUCGCUCGAGAACUUGUCGAACUUCGGCAUUUUCCAGUUUGCCGAAUACGGAUGCUCCACGUCGAUGUUCGUGGGAUAAGGAGAUCUAAACACAGGCCGCAUUGCCGGCCUUGUGCCUACUCCGAAAGUAUUUCGGAUGGCUUCUUCAAUUUGUGCAUAUACUUCAUUAUUGUUCCCCUGUAAGGGAACUUGUGCUUGUGCUGCAUUCGGUUCUUGUGGAGGUCCGAAGUUUUGUGCUACAUGAUUUGCUCCUUGAAUAUUUGGAGCCUGCCCCCCAGCUUUAAUCCCCGCAUUUUGGGGUUGAUAAGCUGGUAAAUGAGGUAAACUCGAUGCAAUCUCCGACCGCGGGCCGGCGUUUAUAUUCGUCGGCCUAUAAGCAACUUGGAAAGGUGCCAUUUGCGAUUGCGUCUGUGAGACCACCGGCAUGACGGGAUUUUGUUGCAUCGGCGCAUUUAGGGGCCCCUGUUGCCCCCCGUAAGUUUACUCGUUUCGGAUAAAUAACUUUCUUAUUCGAACAAUAUUUUCAUUGUAGGCCGUGAUGGCGGCCAGCACCGCGUCUAGUCUAGCGGUACUUUGAUGGAUAUUUUGAUCUAAAGUUUGCAGGACUCGGGCUAUCUGGCCGAGUGCCUAAGUUAGAUUCGGCUCUUGAUGAGCCGACUGUCCACUAGUCUCGCCUCCAACAGGUAGUACCGCCUGAUUCUCAUUCGCAUUUUCGGCGCUAUUAGCUUGGUCAUUCCUUGAAGGCCUGGGAAUGGCUCUAUUUCGGAGGUUCAUAGCGUUAUCGUCAACCAUAGAACAAAGACUAGAUUGGAAAAACCUGGAUGGGCCCCACCGGGCGUGCCAAAAAUUGUUGGUAGCUGAAUUUCCCGACCCUUGACCCGGUCAAAGAUCCUCCUCAGGGAGCACGUCGGGGUGAGGAACGGCUGCGGAUAGUGACCCUCAAAGUUUGCGCCCUUUGACAGAUCAAGCGAUUCGACUGACGAGGGAUCGAGCCAGCCGGGUUCGAAAACCUUUACUGUAGAAUCGGUUCGGCUGGUAUGAGCUGAAUGUAUGAACUGUGCAGGGAUCAAUGUCGGCAGAAGAGCCGAAUGGAAGAAGUACACAGUAACUGGUCGGCUGAAAGAGCAGAAUAAAUGAAAUACACAAUGACUGGUCGGCUGAAAGAGCCGAAUGCCUAUAUAUAUAUAUUAAUAAAACAUAGUGUGCCCGAAGGACAUACAAACUCUACGAAUAUGUAGUUUACAACAGAGUGAUGCCGUGGGGCAGACAGACUCUAGGAUUCUACUUAAAAGCUACUCCUAGGAAAGCAAUAAAUGUGAAAAAGAAAAGAUCACAUUUAGACUACUCCUAGAAAGCAAUAAAUGCAGGAAAGGAAAGAUAUGAAAAUGCGGUGGUAUUCUCGUUCAGGGGAGAGAAAGACCUUUAUUGCAUGCUUCGAAAUUACUAUUUAUAGUAAUAUCAAUCCGCAUUAUUGGUUGGUUGAAAGUAGUGGGAAGAGUGGUUGUAACCAUGAUCGUGGAAGUUACGCCCACUUCUCAUGGAAGUUACGCCCCACUUCUCAACCGUUCCCGCCUAAACGCUCUCAACCUUCAGGCGCCUUAUUGCCGACUUCUGGUGUACCACGUGUCCUUAUUUUUUUGGCUCAUACGUGGGUUAGGUCCGCAUAUUAAUUUUUUGGCAUCAACACUUGUGUAACGUUUCUUUUGGUCAAACUUCGAGACACACAAGUAUGUCGAAAGGAAUACUUUAGUAUCGAAUGAAAAUGAAGCCCAAAGAGAUAUAUAUCAAAAUUGAAAAAGGGAAAAACUAAUUAGCUAUUCUGUGAAGUGCAAAAUGAUAAUAAGAUAAAUUUAAGGUUAUUCACAAAGGAUUAAUACAAAAAGGUAGGAGUGAAUUUAAAGACCAAUUGUGACAAGCGACGCAUAAACAAAAGGAAACGAUUUAAGGAGGGUCAAAUGAAGGCAUCUUAGAUACAUUACUGACAAAGAUGUUUACGCAUCAUUUCGGUGUAACAGUAAAUAAAUAUGAGAAGAUGGUUACACGCCAUCUCUAGUAGCAUACUCAUUUUUAAUGUGCAGUUGUAAUCCUAAUUUUCAACUCAAUAAUAAGUGUGGUUAAAAUUAAUUUCCAAGGGUACAUAAUACCCUUAGCAGGACUCUGUCAAGCCAUGUUAGUACCCUACUUUUAUGAGGUAUUCUAUUCCUUUACUUGCUAUGGAUAUUUUUGGAAUUUGAUUCCUUCAAAGCAUGUUCAGUUUGGCAGCACCCUAUACAGGCUAAUUAUCUCGUUCUCCUAGGAUAACAAAGAACAUAAUCUAUUAUUCAUGAGUAAUUGCAAUUAUUAUAUAGAUCAGAGCAAUGACCGCCAAAAUAACUGGGAGUAAAGGAUAGGGCGGUUUGAUAAGACAACUUGGAUUGGCCAAACUAAAUUGACGAUCCUUAAGCUUCUUAUUCUGAGUUUAGCAGAAUGAGAGGAUCUUUGAGUUUUCCCUCAACCAAUCCUUUCAUAAAUUUAAUAAGAUUCACUUCCGAAAACAAACAUACAUUCCAGCUGCUGCCUUUAAAGUGGUUUCUUGAUACAAAUACAGUCAGUAUUUUAGAAUAAAUAUGGGCCCUCCAAUGUUCGAACUUAAGUCCAUCCCAUUGCAAACCCAUUAUCACUCUGUGUCACUGUGAAGUGUGAACAUGAUAAUUUAUCCUGAUACUCAUUAAUACUCAUUAUUACGAAGGAAAUUAAAAAACACUGGUAUAUGCUGCAUGAUUAGAGAAUAUCCCAUUUUAGUUUCUUUGUCACAGAUACAUGUCAAACAUCAUAUGAAAAUGAACACUCCCGAAAUAUCUAUAGCAUGCCAAACCUUUCUUGGCCCGGUAAAGCCCACAUUUUGGUACGGCUACAUAGAGACAAAUCCUAUCAAUAUUAAAGUCCAUGUGGUCCAAGCCUCAAUUUUAUCAAAAACAAACACGUCCACUGAACUGAAAACAAAAGAAGAUGAAAUUUAACUAUUGAACAAUGCUAUGCAGCUCACACCGAAAGAAAGGACAUCAAUUACACUAUACAACAUUGAGCUUAUCGCAGCAAUUCUACAUUCCAUUAAAAAUGAUAAAAUCUUAAACAAAACCCAAUAUUUUGAUAUGUAUGGCGCUUCUGAUACGCUGUAAACUUUCAAAAACCUAGUUUUGAUAGGUAACUUGUCCUAAGAUGCUUUUUAUCUAGUAGAAAACAAUGAGAGUAGUUUAAAAUUCAUGCAUUUCACCAUAAAUACGAUCUCUUCUGAAAUUUACCACCGAAAUUGAACCUAAAAGUUCGAAAUCUAAAAGUUUCGUCACCAAAUUUAGGUUUUUCUAUGCUUCUCAACUGAGUGGCGACUAAGAAUUUGGUUGUCGAAGAAAGUAAUUAGCAAAUCAAGUAAACAAACGCUCAAAACACUGUUAACCACACCCAACCUGAGCUACAAUUUGUGACCUGAAAAAUUCUAGCAUAGAAAUUGAAAGCACAGGUAAAUUAAGCGUAACUACUACUACGUUUCACACAGUAAAAGAUCCAAUUGCUAACAUUAGCACUUUAAACAAAUCAAACAAAAAGAUCCGAACAAAACUACGAAUAUCCCUAGGGCAAAAAAGAGAAAAAGAAAAAAGAAAAGAAAAAGAAAGGGGCAAGAGAUCGGAACCGGUGAAGACGACGAGAUCGGGGUUCUCGGCGCGGAUGACGCGGAAGAGGAACGCAGUGGUGUUGAGGUCGGAGCACGUCGCCAUCUGGGAGGCGAACACGUCGAGGCACUCCGUCGUCCUCCCAUUGGCGUAGUGCAUGUCCGCGACCUGUAGCACCUUGAACUCCCCGCUCCUCCCCCGGAACCGGAGCCUCUCCGCCGCCGCUGCCGCCGCCGCCGCCGCCGCCGGAGAUCUACCUCCGCCGCCUCCUCCGCGGCGCGGUCCCCGAGAUUCCACGGCGAUCGCCAUGGAAGAGAUGAGGAGUAGGAAGAGGAGGAGGCGGAGGAGGAGGAGGAGGAAGGGGAGGGGCGAGUGUUUGACCUCCAUUAAUGGAGUUCGAGGGGUUACUUGUGGGAGGGAGAGAGGGAGAGAGAUGGGGUAUUUUUUAUAGUACGAGAAUUGGACGGCUGUGAUUUUUCGGGUAAUGUCGUGCGGGGUUUGAUGUGCGUGUGAGAAUGAACGAGAAUGAGCUAAUACGGUUAAAUAGUAGACCCGGAGCCGGAGCGGAAUGGGGACGACGCGAGCCGGGCUGAAAUAAUUGCCUGCACCGAGUGUACAAGAAGAAGUACACCUCAUACACCGCACCUAGGAAACCCCACUACACAGAUAUCAAAAUCAAAUGUAGUGUCAAAAAUUAUAAAUUUUGUAGAUUUUUUUCUUUUUAACAAGUCAAAUAAUAUUUUGUAAUUUUAUUAUUGAUUGUCAAAAAUACUCACGCUGUAUUCGGAUGUAUUAGUACAUUACUCAAAAAACAUACAGUAUUUAAUAGAUAAAGUGUGUGAUCAAAUAUACAAAAUAAAUGUUAUAUUUGUAUAAAAAAAAUUUUAUUCGGAUUAAGAUGAAUUACCUCGUAAAAUUAUUAACUUUUUAUGGAGUAAAAAUUAAACUCCUAACUCCCAGUCAUACAAAAAAAAAAUUAUACUUAAUAAAUCAUUAUUAAAUAUUUAUUUUAGAAUCCGAAUUUUUUCAAAUAUACUCUCCCUCUCUCUAAAAUUCACUUAUGAAAUUCACUGAUAGAGGGGUAGAUUCGAUACUGAGAGAUAAAAUCUUAAAAACUUUAAUAAAUAGUGUAAUAAGGCUAUAAGAAUAGAAAAAACUUUAAUAAAUAGUGUAAUAAGGGCAGAAAAAACUUUAAUAAAUAGUGUAAUAAUUAAAGGGUAGAAAAGCAAAAGCCCCCAAAAAUUGCAUGUUGCUUGAUAUUUGCAGAUACACUGGGUGCAGGCAACAAUUUCUACGCAGGGCGGCUGAAGGGCAAGUGGGUAGACUUGGCAGGUCCGCUCCUGCCAAAUUUUGUCGCCAUCAUCUGACCACAACAACUAAAAAUUAGCUGUUUAUGAGUUAGCUUGUAUUUGGCCCGAAAUGGUACAAAUUUGAAUUGCGCGUUUAAUAAAUAAAUACUAUCGAAAAUAAACGAGUUAUGUUAUUAUCUAUUUAUUUUCGAUGAUAGAGAAUCGACGAUCGAUAUCGUUGAAUAUAAUCUAUACUACUUAAAGCGUGUGAAAAUUAAAUUUCAAAUUUUUUCGAUAUUAUUGACCUAAUGAUCAAAGGGUUUCAAAAUUUAUAAUUUUGGUGGUCGAUAUAAGAUAUUUUCUUAUUUAACGGCGUAAAGAUAUCCAAAUCAAUUGAAUUUUGAUUAGAAAAUUCUCUAAACUAUUUAGGAGAAGAUCUAUACUCUUGAUUUAGAUUAUAAGACUUUUAUCAUCAUUUUUUAAGAAUAUUUAUUUUCAGCCGUUCAUUUUUGUGCCUACUUGAUGGAUAGGAGAACAAUAUUGAAAAGAUAUAAAAUUUGAUUUUUAGAUGUUUCAAGUAGUAUAGAUAUUUCAUUUUCAAUUGUACCGAUCGUCGAUUUGGAAGCUCCAUUAUCAAAAAAUAAAUAGGUGACAACGGAAUCCGUUUGCUACCGAUAGUAUUCUAGCUAAAUUCUAUAUAUUAAACAAAUUUUUUUUAUAUAUAUAGCAAAUUUAAAUAUUAUUUUGUAGAUUUUACUUUUUCUUUGUUAGCAUAACUUUUAAAAUUUAAUACUAAUUAGUGUGUACCGACCAUUUUUAAACCAAGUGGCAAAGGGUUUGAUAGUUGAUAUCCAAGGUCCUAAGUUUGAAUCCUAGUUUGAUUCACAUUUUUAGCUAAGUUUAUUUUUAAAUGAAAUAAACAAAGUGGGUCCAAAAAAAAAAAAAACUAAUUAGUUUGUGUGUAUCAAUAAUAAUAAACUAUUAAUAAUACUAAUAAUAGUUAGUAUUAAUAUUUUAUUUAAGUUUAAUUCAAUCUGGCUUGAGAGCCAGCUCGAAUUAGUUUGAGACGAAAUAGUAAUUGUGAGAGUCGAGACCAACAUUAGACUACUUGAAUUGCAUGUAAACCUUAAAUUAUCUAAUAGUUUUUUUUUUUUUUUUUUUUUUUUUUUUUUUUUUGAGAGGAAGGUACGUAGCACGUUACCUGUUUCAUUCAUUUAGCAAAUAUAAAUAUAUAAGUUUUAAAAAUAUAACAAAAUUUAUUAUUUAAAAUAUCAUAACAUACAAUAAAAAUAUUUAGUCUUAAAGUAAAAAAUUUCGUAAUAUAAAAGACGCGAUAAGAAAUUAGGACUAAAAUUUUUAGAAUGGAUAAAUAAAAAUAUAUGUACUUUAAUUAAAAAAUAUAUUUUUUUAAUUAAAAAAUAUAUGUGGGGGACCCGUGGGUGCCCGCGGGUUACCCAAAAUACCCACAGCUUAAUGGGUACCCAUCUGUUUUUCUCGUAAUUUUUUGGAUUUGAAAAGUUGGUAUCCAUACCCGUAAAUUUGCUGGUAACCAGCGGGCACCCGUGGAUAUGGGUUGAGAUUGCCAGGUCUACCUCUACCGAUCUUUAUAGGCAGCGCGAGGUGGGGGUGGCGACUGCAGAACAUACGGUGGAAGAUGUAGAGGAUGAGGGAGAGGACACUGUAGUGAGAAAGAAAAAGAAGAAAGAGUGAAGAGAAAAAAAAAGAAUAUACAUAUAGAGAGAGAGAGAGGGAGCGAGGCUGGUGUGCUUCUAAAAGUACGGAGCUCUUCGUGCUUCCAAGUCAUUUCAAUGUUGGGACUUUCGAAUCGAGGAUCGGCUCCAUUAGAUUUGAUCUAGAAUGUGAUUUUUUUAUAUUAUUUGUCUAGUGAUCGAAGAAGCUCAAAAUCAAUGGCUGAAAAUUAAAAUCUUACAAAAUAUGAUGAUAUGACAUUAAAAUUUUAGAUCAAAGAUAUUGAUCUUAUUUUAUAUAGUAUAAAGAAAUUUCUAGUAAAAUUUUAUAUGGUUUGGAUAUUUCUACACCGUUAAACUUACAAAUGAUUCACCGAGGCUAUUAAAAUUAUUGAUUUUGAGCCCUUUCGAUCAUUCGACAAAUAAUAUUAAAAAAACACAAAAUUUAUUUUCUAUAUGCUUCAAAUACUUUAAAUUAAAUCUAAUGCAGCCGAUCAUUAAUUCGAAAGUCCCAACAUCGAAAACAACUUGGAAGCAUGAAGGGCUCCUCGCUCUCUCUCUCUCUCUCUCUCUCUCUCUCUCUCUCUCUCUCUAUAUAUAUAUAUAUGGAGCAGGACUACUGUGCUCUCAGGAGCACGGAGGCCUUCGUGCUCCUGAGCCGUUUUCGAUGAUGGAAUUUUCGAAUCAACAAUCGGCUCCGUUAAACUUGAUCUAGCGUAUUUGAAGUUUGUAGAAAAUAAUUUUUGUGAUUUUUCGAUAUCAUUUACCUAGCAAUCGAAAGGAUUCAAAAUCAAUAAUUUUUAACGGCUGAAAAUAAAAAUCCUAUAAAAAGUGGUGAUAUAGUACUAAAAUUUUCGAUCAGAAAUAUUGAUCUUGUUGUAGAUAGUAUAAAGAAUUUUAUAUCAAAAUUUCAUCUGAUUUGACUACUUCUACACCAUUAAACUUGAAAACGGCAGAUAUCAACCAUUAAAAAUUAUGAAUUUUGAAUCCUUUCGAUCACUAGGUAAAUGAUAUCAAAAAAUUGCAAAAAUUAUUUUCUAAAAACUUCAAAUGCGCUAGAUUAAGUCUAACGGAGCCGAUCGUCAAUUCGAAAAUUCCAUCAUCGAAAACGGCUUAGGAGCACGAAGGCCUCCGUGCUCCUGAGAGCACAGCAGCCCUGCUCUAUAUAUACGUAUAGAGUGGAGCUAGAAUACUUUUAGAAGUACUAAGUGGGUGGUACUUUAGAAUUUUUAGCCCUUGGAUGGUGAGAUGUGAGGUUGAGAUGAUGGUGAUAGAUGCUGGUAGGUGGAAUAAUGUUUGAUCCAAGGGAUAUUAGUAAUUAUGGAGUGGAUCCAAAGAUUAGAAAUUUAGAAGCACCAAGUGAAUGGUGCUUCUAAAAGUAUCUUAGCUCAACUCUAUAUGUAUAUAUAUAUUUCUUCUCAUGAGAAAAAUUAAGAAGUAGGUAAGAAAGAAAAAAAAAAAAAACACCAUUUGAGAUCAAGUUAUACUAUUAAAACUAAGUUGCACUAUUUGGUACUUAAGUUAUAAAUAUUUUUAUUGUGUAAAUAUCAAAUAGUUUCAAAUAGUAUAAUUUAUCCUUAAAAUAAUGCAAGUUAGUUUCAAAUAGUACAACUUAGUUGUCAUCAUCAUCUAACAGGUUUCUUCUUCACAACCAUAGUUGAGGUCAAGGCCGGCGAAUAGGUCACAUACCUCCUUUUUCCCACGGCGGAGGAGAAGAUACUAUUGAAUGUGGGUCAUGUGAUUUAUUCAAGGCAAUGUAUAAAGAUACAAUCGGUUUAUUCAAAUCAAUUUAUAAAAAUACGGUAGAUCUAACGGUUAUAAUGUAUAUGGACAAGCCCUUAACAGACAGACGUGAUUUAACAUCCUUACAUCAAGUUAUAUAUAAAUAUGUAACAUAUCGGAGUCCCGGUCUAAUCCUAAUCUUAAUUUUCUGUGACAGUCCGAUCUCCGGGGGUAAGAAAAUUAGAAUCGAAACGUCCCGCUCUUUUGCAUAUCGUGAAAGAGGACAAAUUACAAGCUAGAAUCACCGUCUACAAUUCGGAUAUAUAUAAAAAACAAAAUUAUGGCAGAAAAUACGAUUUUAAUUUCUUAUAAAGUUUUAAUAGAUGCAACCUUUAGGGGGCGUCACGCAAGCCGGAGUCGAGAAAGAGGAAUGUCGACGUUGCGCUUCCAGAGGCAGUGGGUGUCGAAGGAAAUGACAUGGAGAAGACAGGAGGAGGGUGCAUCACAUUGUCGUUGUUCCAAAACUACAUCGCCAUCGGAGAAGGAGGAAGAAAAAUCGGAAAGAUAAAGAAAGGAAGAAGCCCCGACGGGACGGACGGAGACGAACGCGAGAGAAAGAGAAAUAAGAACAAUUUUAUUAUUUUAUUAAAAAUUCAGAAUGAAUCUAUAAAAACCCAAAAAAAUACCCUAUUUUUGGCAAAAAAAUGCAAACUUAAUAAAUUUUUUUAUCUAAAUUUAAAAAAAUUAAUAAAAAGAAAAAAUAAAAUUUCCAUAUAGAAAAAAAAUUAUUAUCUAAAAUGCAUAGUUUCUAAUAUUUAUAUAUAUAUAUAUAUAUAGAAAUUAUAAAAUUAUAUGUAAUGAGUUUGAUUUUGAAUUUCAAACCACUAUGAGUUCUCGGGGUGGCUUGAUAUCCACCAGCGACCAUCCGGGUUUAUUUCCGGGUGUUUUUGGAAUAGUGCAAUUUCACACGCCAACCGUCCCAACGGUCACUUUGGUUAAUUUAAAGCCUUCUCCUCGUCACCCUCCUUCUAGAAAAAGCAGAGGCGAUCGAAAAAAACCCCCAAAUUGCCCCCUCUCCAUCAUCUACUCCCUCCGAUCCAAACCUUAAUCUCCACCCCGUCUAAUCCGAUCGAAUCCAGGCCCUAAUUCUCAGAUCCCAUCCAUGGCGUCCCUCUCCUCCCCUCCGCCGCUCCCCCCCGCGGCGGCGGCGCUCCGCCGCUCUCGCCGCCCCGCGCCGAUCGCCGCGGCGGCGAAUCCGGCGCCGGCGCCGUUGCCGUCGCCGGAGCCGACGAGGCGAUCUCCGUGGUGGGCGCCGCUGUUUCGCCCGAUCCUCGGCGACGUGGCCGGAGGGGGCGGCGGAGCGGCGGCGGCGGCGGAGAGGGAGAGGGGGAGGUUGACGGCGGAGAAGGCGAGGGUCCUGAGGAGGGAGACGAGGGCGACGGAGGGGUGGCACGACGCCAUGUAUCACUCUGCCAUCGCCUCGCGCCUCGCCUCACCCGACGAUCUCGAGGUUUGAAACGGCGAUCCUGAAUAUAAUGGGUAUGCGCUAAGUAACCCACCGCCCUUGUUUUCAUGUUUCUAAUGUAGAAGAAACCCGUGUAUGAUAUAUAUAUAUAUAUAUACUGGUCAAGUUUGUUAGAUGGACGUUGGGUUUUAUAUGUCUAUGCCCUUUUUGAUGUCCUGUAAGAAAAAAAGAAAAAAAAAAAAGUUAAAGGUAAGUUUUGUUUUGUUUGUAUUUUAUUUUUUAACUUUUUUUUUUUGUGUGUGUGUGUGAGGAUUUACUAUUGAUAAAAAUAUAAAAAACUUAACGUAAGAGGAUGGAGAUCUCACUCCUUAAUAAGUUAUUUUUUAUGAUGGACAUCUAAUUCGACUAUCAACUUUAUUAGUCAUGAUCUACACUACUAAAAUUAUUUAAAAAUUAAAUUUUAUAAUUUUUUGAUAUUAUUUAUCAAAUGAUCAAAAAAAGUCUUAAAAAUAAGUAUUUUAAUAGUCAUUGUGGCAUAUUUAUGAAUUCAACCAUUUAAAACAAUCCAAAUUAGGUAAGAUUUUAAUAAAAAUUUUUACUUAUUAUUAUAAGAGCAAUAUCAAUACUUAUAAUUUAAAAUUUAUCUUUUAUUAUUAUUGUUUAUAAAAUUUUUAUUUUCAGCCAUUUAUUUUGAAGCAACAAAUUCACUAGGAAAAUGAAGUAAAAAAGUUAUAAAAUUUAGUUUCUAAUUAGUUUAAUAUAGUAAAUCAUGUUUAACGAAAUUAAUCGCCGAAUCGAAUGUCCCAUCACCAAAAAUAACUUACAAGUACGAAGAUCUCUGUAUUUUCGAAAACAUAAUAUCCUUUCUCUCUCUCCACAAAUAUAUAGUUAUAAUAAAGCCAGAAUAUUAUUAAUAGUAUGAAAAUAAUAUUUGCUGUCAACUUUUUGAUCAUUAGAUGUUUAAUAACACUCUGUUUGGAUUAGGUACAAGAGGGGGGAUAAGGGGGUUAUCCCCCCUCCCGUACCCAAACACAAAAAUGGAGGGGUGGGAACACUUGUUCCACCCCUGGAAUGGAACAACUUGUUCCACCCCUCCCGGGUAGAGAGAGAGAGAGAGAGAGAGAUUUUGAGAGAGAUUUUUAAAUUAAAUUUAAAUUUUUAAAAUAUAUAAUUUAGUUAUUUAAAAUUUAAAUUUAUAAUUUUAAAUUAUAAAUUUUAAUGUUUAAAUUAUAAAUUUGAUUAUUAUUAAAUUUAAAUUUUUAUUAAUUUUUUAGAUUUUAAAUUAAAAUUUAAUAUUUAUAUCUUCAAAUUUAAUUUAUCUUAAAUUUAAAAUUGAUAAUUUAAAUUUAAAUUUUGAAAAUUAAAAGUUUAAUUUUAAUUUAAAUUUUAAAAUUUAAAAGUUAAAAUUUUUAAUUAAAAUUAUAACUUAAAAUUUUAAAUUCAACUAUAGAGUUAAAAUUAUUAUUUUCUAUCUACAACUACCAACUAUUCCAUCUUAUACUCACAUUUUCAUCCAACCACAAUUUUUUAGUUCCAGCUUAUACCCACAUUUUCAUCUAAUAAAAGAUACUCUUGUUCCUACGAAAAUCCCAUACUUGUACCUAUCCCCGUAUAUACUAGUUCUUGCUUAUACCCAAACCAAACGAAGCCUAGGAUUUAGUAAGGAUUGAUGGAAUAGUAAUAUCGAACGAUAAAAAAGUUGAUAGUAAAUACAUUUAUAUAUUAUUAUAGGAGUGAGGCUACUAUGCUAUCGCAAGCACGAAGCCUUUCGUGCUUCCAGUUCGUUUUCGAUGUGUCGACUUUCGAAUCGUCGAUCGCUUCGUUAAACUUGAUCUAAGUAUUUGGAGUAUCUAGAAAAUAAAUUUAUUAUUUUCGAUAUUAUUUGCCUAAUGAACGAAGGGCUCAAAAUCAACGGCUGAAAUAAAAAAUCUUACAAAAUGUAAUAAUAUGAUAUUGAAAUUUUAAAUCAAAAUAUUGAUCUUGUUUUAUAUAGUAUAAAAAUUUUCUAUCAGAAUUUUAGUGUGAUUUGGAUAUUUUCACCGUUAAACUUGCAAACGCUCUACUACGACCAUUGAAAUUUGUUGAUUUUGAGCCUAUUCGAUCACUAGGCAAUGAUAUUCGAAAAAUAAUAAAAUUUAUUUUCUAGGUACUCCAAUACUCUAGAUCAGUUUAACGAAGCUGAUCGACAACUUGAAAGUCGCAACAUCGAAAAUGAGCUGGAAGCACGGAAGGCUCCGUGCUUUCGAUAGCAUAGUAGCCUCACUCUUAUUAAUAGUAUAUUAUUUCACUAUAUAUUAUACUAUUUGACAUAUUACACUAUUCAAUAAUUUAUGCACUUAUUAAAUACCAUAAUAUAUAAUUAAAUAUUGUAAUAUUUUUAUCAGCUUUAAAAAAAAACAUUAAUAAAAAAAAAAGAAGGAAAAUAAGGAGGAGAUAUCGGCGUCCCCUUUCCAUCCCUUCUUCUUUUCCACCGCCCUUCUCCUUCUCCACCGUCCGUGUAUUGUCAUCGUUGUUGUCGUAAUCUCGGCCUCCUCAACCUCCACCUCGCCAUCGUUAAGUGGAACCUCUCGAAGAUCAUUGUCAUCGUGCUUCCAUUCUGAAUUCGCAAUGACAACGAUGAAAAAGGAGGACGACGGAAGGGGCAGAAAAGAUGCAGAGGAGGAGCAGGGAGAGGAAGGGGGCGACGAUGAAAACAUUGACAUUAAAGGAGGCGAAAAGGAUGAGAGGAAGAAAGAAGAAAGAAAAAUGAUAAUAUUUUAGUCCGAUUUAUAAAAAUCUGAAUUAAUCACCAAAAUAAAAAAAAAACAGUUAAGUUAGGGAAAAAGUACAAAAUUAAUAAAUUGUUAUACAAAUUGACUUUUUAAAAAAUAUUUAUUUAUUUAUUUAUUUCGUCCAAACAAACAAGUAGAGCUCCAGGAUUCAAAAGUUCCGCUUCACCACUCCACAUUACCGGGAGGAGGAAAAAUAAAAUAAUAAAAUAAAAUAAAAUAAAAUAAAAUAAUAUAAUAUAAUGCCUCCGCCGCCGCCGCCACCACCGGCGCCACCGCGACGUGCUUCUCCGGCGAUGAUCUCCCCGGCACGGCUGCACAAGCUGAUCGUGUCCCAGCGCGACCCCCUCCUCGCCAUGGAGAUUCUCGACCNAAGUUCUAAUAUUUUUAAAUAUAUCUUUCUAGUUUAUUACCGUUAUAGAUUAUUUAUGUUUUAACAAUAAAUAAGGGAAAUGUUAAUUUUGUCUUCAUAAAUAUAUUUCUUUAAAAGUCAUAAAAGUAUAAUAUAAGAGGGGUAAAAAUAUAUGAAAGUUGAACUUUGUAGAGAUAUAUUUGCAAUUUACUAUAUUUGUAGAGACCUGCAUGCAAUUAAUCCUAAAAUAUAAUUACAUGAUAGAUAAAGAAAGGCCAAUUUGCAUAAAAAAUCUAGUAAUUUUGGACUUUUGCAAAAGUGGGCCAUAUUUUUCGUUUUUGCAGAUUCGGUCCGAUUUUUCAGCAAAUUGAUCAAAAUACCCUUUUACCUUUUUCUCUCUUCUCUUUCUCUCUCCUCUUCGUUUCUCUCGUUCUUUUUUUUUCUCGCGGAAAAAAAUAACGUCGCCGGCGCCGUCGCCCUCUUCAACCGCCUCCCCCGCCUCGGCCUCUCCCCCGACCCCUCGUCCUACCGCGCCCUCGCCCAGGCCUUCUGCCGCCGCGGCCAGGCCCGCUCCGCCGCCUCCCUGCUCGACGACAUGCUCCACCGCGGCCUCCCCGCCGACCCCCUCGCCUACGCCUCCGUCCUCAACGCCCUCCUCCGCAAGCGCCGCCUCCGCGAUGCCUACCGCCUCCUCUGCCGCAUGCGCGCGCGCGGCUGCACCCCCGACGUCGCCCACUACAACACCGUCAUCGUCGGCCUCUGCCGCGAGGGGCGCCCCACCGACGCCUGCAAGGUGCUUGACGAUAUGCCCGCGAACGGCUGCUCCCCCAAUCUGGUCUCGUACGCCGCCGUCGUCCAGGGCCUGUGCUCGAGGGGCGUCUUUGAUCGGGCGCGCAGGUAUUUGGACGAGAUGGUGGGUAAGGGGUUCGCGCCGCACUUCUCGCUGUUCCACCUGCUCGUCAAGGGUUUUUGCUGUGUUGGGAAGGCCGAGGAGGCAUGCGAGGCAAUGAACAUAAUGCUGAGGCUGGGAGUAAAACCUCAUGUGGAGAGUUGGGAUUUGGUUGUGAGGGUCGCGUGUGACUACGACGAGGAGAAUUUGGAAGGGAUGGUUAUGAAGGUUGUGAAUGACGAGGCCUGGCGGAGAGGAACGAGAACAGUGGCCGACCUGUCGUGGUUUGGAGGAGUAUCUAAUUGCGAGGCCGCACCCGAAAAAUGGGAGUGGGGUUCGCGGCUGAGUCGACAAUAACCGAUUUCUCUUCUAUUUCCGGACAAGGCUACAAAAUAGAGCAAAAUGGGUGUUUGCAAAAUGCAAAUUCUUGGGUUGACACAAUCAUGAUAGUAGUUUAGCUGAUUCGAGGGGAGAAUGUUGAUACUCACUGAGUAGAGUUCUUGGCUGUGACGAUGGGGGGGAGAAAAAUCAUGCUGUCCAGUUGGCUUGCAUGUUCGACAUUUUGUCGAACACAUCUGUUGCCAGAAAGAAAUGCGAGUAGUUUUCCUUCAGUUUCAGGAGAGAAAACUAUAGAACAUGGCAGAAUCAGUAUUUUCGAAGUGCAAUUUCUCGUCAGUUGACCAAACAAUGAAUAGACGAUUAAGGUUUCGCUGAAGUGAGGACAAAACAUUCUCGACUGGGAUGUUCACGAAUAUAAAUCGCAUUACUCAGCAAACAUUAGUGUUCAACAUUGUCUAGAAGACAUUUGGAGUGCUGACCGCAUCAAGGUAUGUUGAUUAUGUUCUGAUGAGUAUAACUUAUUACGUUUAUUCUGAAGCAUAUACCAAACAUAUGAAAGGGCUAAUGGAGAGAAGUUGCUGUGGCAAUAUAUUAAACUUUUAAUUCCAAAUUUAUUUUAAUUAAUCUACGAUGAAAGUGGUUGAAGCCUGAAGACCCAGGAUUCCUGAAAAUGCAUUGCAUAGAUUUGUAUGCUUUCUUGUUCUUCUUUUUUUUUUCUCGUCAUAGUGUUGUUUCCUUUGUAUUCGGCGUAGUAUUCAUGAUAUUACGUGGUAACGGGAGAAAAUAGCUGAAAUAUUUUACUAACUUUACAUUAUGGAGACACUUGAAUAUGUUGUCAAUGGCGUGCUACUGCCCUAACUAACAAAGGAUUAGAACUUUUUAGACAGAACUUGGAUCUUUUUAGUUUGGAUCGAUCCACAGAGCACAAGCGCUUUCCAAGACAUCUAUAGAACUAUUUAUCGUUCUCAGAUUCAACACAACUAGAUAUGUGUUUCUUGUCUAUUGUUUCGAGCUAAAUAUAUAGGUGAGUCUAAAAAUUUAGCUGAAUGUUUCUCAAACUGUCUUUAAGGAAACUUGAUAGUUUAAUGAUUUGUAAGUGCUAUGGUAGGGGAAACCAAUUGCUUAUUUGUCUAUUUUAAGAAUUAACUCUGUCAUUUAAUGUGCAAACAUGUGUUACAGUACCAUGCCAAUCUAAAUCAUCUCAUUAUUUUUUCCUUUUGAAGAUACUAAAUAACAAAUUGCAUAAUGGUAGAAACAUUUAGAUGCCAAACAUAUCAUUGGAAUGUAAAAUGCAUAAAUUAUUUCAACUUCGCUGUAUUUAGGAGGUAAGUUCUACAAAUACUCAUUUUCUACUGAAUCAUUCAUAUCUUUUAGUUUUACUAUAUAAAGUGCAUAUUAUUACAAUGUUCGAUCCACGGACACAAUCAAAUUUCCCCAUCUGAUGCCAUUUCAUUUUUCCUGGUCUCUCAUCAGACUGAAGGAAACAACUCGUAAGUGAUAUAAAUGAUCUCAGACCAAAUAGGAGAAUAAACUGAGAACCUGCAGGGGUCUAGCAGUAGAGCUCAGGCUUUCCCAAUCUCGGAAUGGGCACCGCCACCAGCGGCUCAGCCUUCUUGAGGACGAUCCCGAACCGCUCUGACAAGUCGAGUUUCGCACCCUCUGGCAGCUUCCAGUCAAACGAAUGCAGCAGUGACGCGAGCGAGUAGCCAACCAUUCUCUCUGCCAUGGCGAUCCCUGCGCAGAUUCUCCGCCCAGACCCGAACGGGAAGUAGUCGAAAUCAUUCCCGCUAAAAUCCCACCUGUUGGCCGCCGUGCUGCCUUCGGAGAAUCUCUCCGGCCAGAAUUCCGAGGGAUCCUUCCAUAUCGAAGGGUCCCUUUGGAUCGCCCACACGUUGACGAACACUCUGCUCCCUUUGGGCACGGCAUAGCCGCCGAUGGUGGACGACGAGCUAGGGCAAUGUGGGACUAGGAGGGGGAGGGCCGGGUGGAGGCGGAGCACCUCUUUGAUUACUUGAGCAAGGUAAGGGAGCUUAGAGAUGUGCGUCUCUUCGACAAUGUUGUUCUUUCCGACUACCUCGUCGAGCUCCUGCUGAGCCUUGCGGAGGAUCUCGGGUUUCUGCAGCAUCUCUGCCAUGGCCCACUCUGUAGUGUUCGAUGUCGUCUCUGUCCCUCCGACCACCAUGUCCUGAUAUUGCCAAUCAUUUUGAUCGUGUGAGAAUCAAAAAUGUUUGUGGUUCUUCGGUUUGAUAGAAGUAAUGAUUAUACCUUUGCCUACUAGCUAUGCAACUUUAAAAAAAUUAUCUCGUUUAUAACUGCAUAUUUAUUAUAUUAUCAUUUCAUCACUAUUUAGAACAGUUGGUUGAUACCUCAGAUUGUCCAUCAAGAAGCUAGGGUGGAUUCCGUAUAGAAUUAGGAGAGAGAGUGACGCAUACCAUGAGCAGGGCCUUGACAUGAGUCAUGGUGAACGGGGUCUUGCUAUCGCCCCCCUCCGCUUCCAGCUGCAGCAUAAACUCUAAGAAAUCCUUGUCCUUCUUUUCUGCUCCUUGUUGCCUCCUCUGCUUUAUAAUAUCUGCGAAUAUUCGGUCAAACCGGUCCAGAAGCACCCCCAUCUGCUUCUGUAUCCCUUGCAGGUCGAACCGCGCCAGCGCCGGGAAAAAAUCCGACACGUUCGGCCGGCCCAACAAGUCGGUGAUCUCCGCCACCAGCUCCCGGAAUUCUCUCCCCACCGCGCUCCGCUCAUCCGCCGCCUCCACCGUGCCCCCCCACAGCGUGCUCGUGAUCACAUUCAUCACGGUCAGGAACAUCUGGGCACCGACGUCGAUCGGCGAUCCCGAUCGGGCGUAGAGGUGGCUGAUCGUCGACCGGACCUCCCGCCGGCGGAGCCCGUAGACGGUGUCGAGCCCUGCCGGGCUGAGCAUCUCGCGGACGCACAUGCGGCGGAGCAUGCGCCAUGUCGGGCCGUUGGGGUUCCAUACGAUGUCGGCGCCGCCGUAGGUGAUUACGCGCCCGGCAGCCGGAACGUCACGGUUGGCGAAUGUGGGGUCCUAAUGUUAAAUAUCUAAGGUCAUAUCGUCGUUCUCUGGUAGCUUAAGCUCUAUUAUUUUUUUUUUAAAAAAAAGUAAUAUAAUUCACGCAAUAUCAAAUUAAUUAUAUAUUUUGGAUCUAAUAAAAAUUGUCAAACCUAUAUGAGUGCGACGGAUGAAUUUUAAAUACGCAACAAAAAAAAUUUCCAAACUUUUGUGAGGGCGACAAUGAAUAUAAAACAAGUAAAAUUGUGCGGAGGCCCUCUCAACUAAUCAACCGUUCUGGAAUAAUUAUUUAUUUAUUGUGAUUUAGAUUAUUUUACACAAUUAAAUUAAAAAUGAAUUAUUUAUUAGCUAUUCGUUGUUAUUUAGUAAGAAUUUUUUUAAAAAUAAAUUAGCUAAAAUGUAAUUAAAGUCGAGAAAACUUGAUCGACAAUAAUUAAUUUAGCUAAACCUUAAAUUUAACAACUUAAAAUAAUUUAAAUUGGAAUAAAUGAAAGCUUAGUUGAUGUCAAUCAAAAGACACAAAAUUGUAGGUUUUUCUCUCUUUUGUGUUUUUGGGUAAAUAGGUAUAAAACUUAUCUGAUAUAUGGACCAAUUUGAUUCGAUUAUUCAAUCUUUCAAAAUUUUAUAUUGAAUAUCUAAUUUUUCAAUUUGUUUAGUUUAUGCCAUUCGGUGGCUCUUUUAAUGCAAAAUUUAAAUUAAUAGCUUAUUUUAACAAAUUUUAUAGUUAUAUGAAUUGUAUAAUAUAUGCUAAUUAAAUCUAUAAUAACGAUAGAUAAAUGACACAUUCAAAGUUGAGGUAAAUUCACAUUAAAAGUUAUUGCAUUUAUUUUUAUGUAUUAGAUACUCAAAACUACUAAUUCUCUUGUAAUUCUAGAGAAAAACAAUUAUUUCACACCUGAUCUUUAAGGACCUCGCGGGCGAUGGCCGGAGACGAGACCACAACGCCGAGCUUUCCACCGAGGCGGAGGGAGAAGAUCGGGCCGUAGACGCGGGCGAGGCGGGCGAAGUACGUGUGGAGUUCCGGAUCCAGAAACGGGAGGCUGCCGACGACAGGCAAGCCGGCGGGGCCCGGCGGAAGUGAUUUACCGCGGCGGCAUCGCCACCGCUGAAAUAAAAUUACAUAAAAAAGCGCCGCCGUGAUCGCAGCCACGGAGUAGAGCAGGGUGGUGCUGUAAGUGGGGAAAGAGGAAGAUUCCAUUUUGGAAUGUGCAGUUGUGCACUGGGGUAUGAGGGGCUUAAAAUGCUUGGGAAUUGGGAUUAGGCACGUAAAGGGUUUGGAUUUAGGACGGAUUUUUAAAAAUCGGAACCCGAACCCGAAUCUGAACACGAAAGUCCAAACCCGAAAUAACUAAUUUUUUUUUCAAUAUUUCAAAAUAUAUUACAUUAAAUCUAAAUUUUUAAAAUACAAAUUUAAAUACAAUAUUAAAUUUUUAUAUACAUAUUAUAUAUAAUGUAAAAUAAAUUCUGGUUCGGAUCGGGUACAGUCAAAAUUCAUAUCCGUCGAAUUUUUAUUUUUGAUAUUCAUAUUCGAAACCAUAUUUGUUUAGUAUCGAAUAAAUCCGUAUCAUGGACGGCCGUUUGGAAACUAAUAUAAAAACACUAUUAAAAAAAAGCGCAAUGUUUUUUUACAUUGUAAAAGGACUGUAAAUCUUAUACAGUAUUGUUAUUCAUGGUCCAUUAUUAUAUUCUUAUCAUGUCAACUUUUCUCCAAUAAUAUUAAAAAUUUUAAAAAAUUUGUAAAUUAUAAGAUAUGAGGGAUAAGAUCUACACUGUAUUUUUUGGCAUGCACAGCUAAUAUUUUUCUAAGAAAUUUUUUUUUUUAAUAAUGAAUAUUUUACUCAUAAAGAACUGUUUUAAUUGAUUUCAGAAAUAGAGUUUUAUACUUCAUUAGAAAUUCAUUAUUCUUAGCUAUGUAAAAACAAAAACAAGAAGUUGAAACGUCUCUAAAUAAUGCAAGAAUAUAAUAUAUUUUUUUAAGAUAAUGUUGUGUUGGAACACAUCAAAUGUAUAGUUAAAAAAAAAAAAAAAUCUGUAAUUAUUGUAGAAAUUUUUUAUAGGCCUCUGGGACGGCAGGAUAACGACAAAAUAGAAAAAAUAAAAUAAAAAAAAUUGAAGGCGUUUUAAGCAGAAACAAGGGGCAUAAGAAUUUUCUCCACGUAAUUAAAAAAGAAAAAAAAACUUUUAAAACAAUUAUAUUUUCUAUAAAAAUGGGCAUAAGAAUUUUUUUUCUUUUCAAUUCAUUAGCUCAAAAUUAAUUUCACUAUUGAUUAGUGGUGGAAUUGUUGUAGAUUGAAAAUUUUAACAUGAUUUUUAACAUGAUUUUCUAAACAUUCAUUAGUUAGGCCUUUCACAGUCUCACAUAAGUAUAUAAGAUCAAUUUUUGAUACCAAAUCUAUGCGGCUUAUUCGUUAUGAACGGAAGAACUUUUGUUAAUGAUAUUAUUAAUCUCAAAAACUCGAAAUAUCUAAUCAAUUCAGUUAAAAUGUUCAGCCACAUCGCCCAUAAGUCUCCAUCGUGAUUAGGUUUAAUCAGUCUCGUACCACUUCAAAUAUAAUUUGACCUAAACUGACCUCUCGUAAUUGGCAUGAUUCCCUUUCUUCGGAUUAUGUUACUUAGUCUUUGACGGACAAGAACACACAAGAAUGAUGAGAAAAAUCAAAAAAUCUCUUCUAAAACGAAAAACAGUUGUUAGUCCCCCAAAAACGAAAUUAGUUUUACUCACCUAAGCAAACUCAAAAUACAAAAUUAAAUCAAAUCUUAACCCAAAUAAGUUAUAUAUAGCACAAAAUUUUUGUCCAACUCGAAAUUAUAGAAGAAACAAAACAAAAUUCUUAAAAUUAAUUAAAAAGAAUCUAAAAAUUGUAAAUUCGGACGUCUAGGUGAUUGAGUUUGAAUAAAAGCUGUUCGACACGUGCGUCUCAAAAAGUUUAAAUUUCUUAUAUUAUCCUUACAAAAUUGCAUACAGCUUCCUGUAGGUAUAACGAAUUGCAAAUAUAUCCCUACCAAGUUUAAAUUUCUUAUAUUAUCCUUACAAAAGUCUAGUUAUAUUCAUAUUUGCCUUUAUGAUAUGUUAUCAUUAGAAAACUACUUAUUUUUUAACAUCAGAUAAGUAAAAUGUCAAUUUUAUCAUCACAAAUAUUUCCUUUCAAAACCUCAAUUGCUAUAAUCGUAUAGAAAUAUUUAUAUAAAAAAUUUUUAAUGGUCAUCUUCUUACUCUUUAAAAUCCAAACCAAUUCACCAUUAUUGUAAUCUAUUCUCUCACCUCUUUUUUUUUUUUUUUUUUCAGACAUGUUCCUUUGAGCAAAUAAGAAAAAAUCAAAAAAAAAAAGAAGAAUGUGGAAGCAACACGCUCCAAUAUGGACGAAGCAACGCGCGUCCUGGAUGGAUGGGGGCGAAGAAAUUCUAGUUACGAUUUCGAAACGAAGGAGAGAAAGAAAGAGAAAGAGGAAAAAGAAGAAGAGGAAAUAUCAAUUUAUCUCAUUAACUAACCAGGAUUAAUAUUCUAACUAUGGUUAAUUAAAAUUUUCUAACAAAUCCUACCGCAGAGACAUAUUUAAAAAUAUUAAGAGUUUUAUAGAAAUAAUAUAAGUAAGUUGAACUUUAUAAAAAUAUAUUUAUAAUUUGUUAUGUUUGUAGAAAACUGUACGUAAUUAAUUCAAAAUUUUUUUACAUAUAGACAUCUUUAAAAAAAGGAAAAAAAAUAAAAGAUUAAAAAAAAAAUAUUUUCGCCCAAGAUUCAAGGUGUACCGUGAACUGAUUGAUGUUCGCGAAUCUCUGUUUGUCUUUUUUUUAUGCCACCGACCGUCCCUAAAACAAGUGACAAAGGACUUGAUGGUUGGUACCUGACACCCAAGUCUUUUUUUUUUUUGAUGCCAAGAACAGUGGCAGACAAAUACAAGUGGUUAUAUUGUGGUUGGUUUAAAAAAGAAGAAAAAAUAUUUGUGGUGGGGGGAACAAUCAUAAGAUACGCUUGGACGAGGUACAGCUGUUUUUUUUAUUUUUAUUUUUAUUUUUUUUUUAAAUCUCCUGCUUAAUUUGUUGGAUGAAUUAUUAAAAUAUAAAAUUAUUUUUUAUGAUUAUAAGUAAUCUGAUUUAUAACUUUAACUAGUUCACAUAUAACAGGAUAAUAAUAAUAUAACUGUUAGAAUCAGAAAACCGCAAAAUAGAUCCAAAAAAUAAUUAAUAUAUCAGUUAUAUUACUUAUAUGACGUAGCUUUCUCCUUUAAUUAGAGCUCCAACGGAGAAAAAUUUAAAAUAUACCAGUUAUAUUACUGAUACGGCGUCCCCAAUCAGUAAAAUUUUAUUUCUUAGGCUCAUCUUGUUAGAACAAAACCGCAACGAAUAAUCCGAUUGUGAUAAAAUCUAACUAAUUUUGUGAUUAAAUAAAUAAAAUUUACUUACCGAUAAUCGCUAAAUUCUAAAAAUAAAUUGUGGAAGAAGAAUAUCAACAAAUUGAUCCGGAAGCGUGCGAGGCACUGUCCUAAGGCGUAUUUCCGUCCUUCGUGCGGAAUUAAUCGGAAACACCACCCCAAGAUACGACCGGUACUCCUCCUCCUACGGACACGAACGCGGAAGAGGUUGACGUAGCUUCUUUCAACACCCAAUGAUAGAGGAUCAAAUAAAGUGAAUUAAGCUUAAAAAUUAAAAGGGAACUCGAAAUUAUCUCUUUUCACUGUGUUCUCCUAAAUAGUGGUGUUCAUCAUCUCAAUGAACAGGUAAGGACAACAUAAAUAUCCAUAUAGGAGUACACUAUGGCUCGAACGUUGGUGUUACACCAACGUUCGGCUCCGUAGUCCGCCCCGCGUGAUCCGCAAUCGCGCGUAACGGCGCGCGCACUCGCGCGUAACGUCCGCGCCAUUCAUGGACUCCACUCCGAACGGCUAUAAAAAGUUAAUAAAAUUAAAUAAAAAUAUAUAUAAUAAAUAAAUAAUUAGAAAAUUUUGGGUUUUUCCAACAAUUCCCCAUAAAAUUCAAAAUUUUCGAAAUAAGAGUUAAACUCGAAAGCAAAUAAAAUAAAUCAAUAAAUCAAUGAAUCACUGGGUGUUUAUACUAUGCAGUAGGUAAGGUGUCUUUAAGGACUUAACCUCACUUAGUGUAAAUAGUUUUCAUCAGAAGGAAUCGGAGUGAACCAGGUCUUGAACUACGUUCCUUUGACCCUGACUUCAACUACCACACACACAGUACAGAAAUCUCCGUCGCGGGUCUGUGCGUUAAUGGCCAUGCACAGUAUCUUGAUUUUUCAUAAGAACUUCUAUGGAUAACCCACAUCUCAUAGCCGCGGCAACAUACGGAUACUCUUAUAUAGGUGGUUUCCUCCAGAGAUGUGUGUAGAGUCACAUCUCGCGAAAAUUAUCGCCUCGGAUCCCAUUAAGAGCUAUAAGCUCAACCUCAACCACUACACAGAGCACUACUCACUAUAGGGAUGGGAUUGGAGCUAAAGCUCCUCUGUAUAAACUGUAGACAGUGCUCUUUGGCCAACCUGACAGCUUGUUUUUACCACAUUGAACCUUCUUCAAGGGAUCUCCUAUCACAAAGGUUGGGUUCCCACUGCAGGAAGGCCCUUUACGGGCAAAGUCCCAUCCCCCUCGAUGACUGUUGCCUAAGGCGAUCCUUCUUCGUGCGAAUUAUAUCGAUAACAUCACCCAAGAUACAAUCCGGUACGCCCUCCUCCUACGGACACAAACGCGGAAGAGUUGACGAGCUUCUUUCAACACCCAAUAUAAGACAACAUAAAAUGAAUUAAGCUUAAAAAUUAAAAGGGAACCGAAAAUUAUCUCUUUUCAACUGGGGUCUCUAAAUAGUGGUGUCAUCACUAAUGAACAGUAAACAACAUAAAUAUCCAUAAAGGACACUAGCUCGAACUUGGUGUACAACCAACGUUCUCUCCGUAUCCGCACCCCGUGACCGCAAAUCGCGCUUAACGCGCGCCACAUCGCGCGUAAAACGCCGCGCCAUCAUGACCCACCCGACGCUCUAUAAAAAGUUAAAUAAAUAAAUAAAAAUAAUAUAAUAAAUAAAUAAUUAAAAAUUUGGGUUCCAACAAUUCCAUAAAAUCAAAAUUCGAAAUAACAAGUAAACUCGAUAACAAAAAAACAUCAAAUAAAUCAAUGAAUGAACACUGUUUUAUACUAUGCAGUAGUAAGGUGUCUUUAGACUUAACCACUUAGUUAAAUAGUUUCAUCAAAGAAUUCGAGAACCAAGGUUCUGAAACUACCGUCCUUGACCCGACCAACUACCACACACACAGUCCAGAAAUCUCCGUCGCGGUCUGCUUAAUGGCCAUGCACAUAUCUUGAUUCAUAAAGAACUUCAUGAUAACCACAUCUCAAUACCGCUCAACCGGUGCUCUCUUUUCCAGAUGGUUUAGCCGGCCAAGAUCGUUGUAGAGUCACACCUCGUGCUGAGAAGUAUAUUUGCCGCUCGUGCCGCUCUCCUGUUUCUUUUGAGUGAUUUUGGUUAUUCUGCGCGCGUCCUCCCCCCUUGUGACCCGUCGUCUCCCGACUUCCGCGGUAGUUUCGUGAUCUGGAUCCAUUAACGAGCUACUUAAGCUCAACUCUUCAACCCGCUUGUUACAUUGUUGUGUCAUUGAGGCACUUCCUGACUUAUUCUUACCUACUCGGAUGGAUGAGCGAAAGCUCUCCAUCUGAACAUAUCGGUACACGACAUGCUCUUUGGCCAAUGCUAUUCCUGACAUCUUUUUUUUAUCUUCUUGUCCACAUUGAAACGCUUCUUUCCCAAGACCCUAUCACAAAGGUUGGUUCCCACUGUCAGAAUCCCUUACGGGGCAAAUGCAUCCCCCCUGAUGACUCCAGGACCUUAGUCCUAUUACAGGCCUUUCGUCAGCAUUCAAGAAUUCUGAUCAGUAUCUGAAAAAUCCAAUAGAAUAAUAUCAUGAGACAAGUUAACCAUCUACAGACUUUUCCAACUUAAAUAUGUCUACAGCUUUAGAAUUACAGCAAUUUCUUUUAACAACAAUCAAUUGCAGCUCGAGAAUCACACCUAAGAAAAAAGGCUAGAAUAGAGAGAAAUCAACGAAUCCGAUGACAGAGAUUCUUGAGCCACUCUCUCAAGACAAGUAGUAUAAAAUAGCAACUAUUCACCUCCAUAGUACUGCUGUGUUAUUAUAGUCGUUUGUGAUUGCCUAAGAAAUGCCAUUCCUCCCACAAGAUAUAAAACAAUAACCAGAAGUUUACUUGAAUAUCCAAAGAACAGAAAUCUAAUUGCGUCGCUGACCCUCGAUACAUUCAGAUAGCCAAACAAAUGAAAAAGAAUAAAGAUAGUAACCUUAAGGUAACGAAAUACUCUUUCGAGUAACAAUUCCAAUGAUUUAUACUAGGUUACUAUAAUCUACCAAUCUCGAUAUACAAUAAGCAAUACAGGUCUAGUCCUAUGUUUAGGUACUUCAAAGGAACCAAUAAUCUGGCAAUCUCUCCUGAUUCACAAAUACAGUGUCUUCACAUUGAACACUAGAUCUAAAAGAAGUUUGGGUUUGUAAACAGGAUGCAAUCAGAAUAUCUCCAAAUUUGGUCAAACAUUUGGUUAAAGAAUGGGUCAGAAGAUAUUUAAAAAGCUAUAUCUAAAAAUUUUCAUUCCUAAAACACAUCUGCUUCACCAAGAUCUCAUAUCAAAAUAUCGAUAAAAAGAAUUUAACUUGGUUAAUCCACACAAGAUCAGGUGCAAGAUCAGAUGUCAUCAAACAUAGAGCAAAGAAAAUCACAUCGGUUCGUCAAUCCUCUGAAAUAGAGACAGUUUCUAAAUAUCGUUGUCUGAAAUCCAAUAUGACUCAAUAAUCACUUGUCGAAUUUCUCUGUGUCCGACUGCUUAGCGUUGCUUGUUUAGUUCCAAUCAAAAGUCGACUAAUUUUCACCCUUAUCUCUUGACCAGGCAAUAAAGAAACCUUCAGGCUUGAUGUCCAUUCAUAUAAUUUCUUCUUCAAAUAUCUCCAUGAAGAAAAAUCGGUUUCGACAUCCAGCUCAUGAAAUCAAAAGCUUAUGAGAUACUAAUUCAAGAAUGACUCGGAUAUAAGCAAUGCAGCAAACAGUUCAUAUGUCCAAUAAGUAAUCAACUUCAACCUCUUUGUCGAAAACCUUGAGCUACAACGCGCCUUAAUGACUAUCUCUACUGAGUCCGUCAGUUCUAACUUCUUUUAAAAGAUCCAACUUACAUCACUAAGGUUGUAUUCCAGAGUAAAUACAUGACAAUCCAAGUUUGUUGCCAAUAAUGACUCGAUCUCACGUUUAAGCCUCCUUCCAAAAGAAGUCUUCAGAAACCAUAGGCUCUUGUAUAUGAAGUGUACUUUCACUAAGAAAGUAAAGAAAUAUUCCACCAAAAGUUUUCUCACAAGCGAGCUCAUCUUAACUUAUCUUCUCAUCCUGUGUGGUAGGUUCUUACAGGAUCUAAACAUAUGAUAAAUCUAGAUGCAGGAGUAACUGAUUAAUAGAAGAUGAUCACUGAUAGCUGAAAAUCAAGUAAUCUAGAGAUAACGAUUUUGAAAAAAAAUAUUCAAAGAAAGGUCAUCUCUAAUCAAUCAAUAUCAUUGGAAAUCUCAGAAAUCUCAGAUUUGUUACAAGAAAUCUAUAGUGGCAUCUAGGGAAUAUCCAAUGAAAAGGCACUACUUUUUAGACCAAUCUUCUUUUCUUUUGCUCAAAGGAAUAGACACUUUAGCUAAGCACCCCCACCACCGAAGUAACUCAGCCUACGUGCUCUCCCUUCCAAAGUUCAUAAGUUCUGGUUCUAUCUAGAAGAAUCCUAUGAGAAUAAACAAUUCUGAUAAAAAGCCUUCCCCCCACAGUUCGAAUACCACCAAGAACUAAAAUCAUAAAGCAUAACCCAUGUCUAAUAGGUCGUUCUUUCUCAGCUACAGUCGCAUACACUAGGUAGUAAUGAGCAGUUACUUAUGAAUUAUUUCCAUGUCUCGCAGAAGCAAUUUAACUCAUUGAAAUAUACCGCCUCCUCUACUCAGACUUAGAAUUUAUCAUCUUCUCCAAUGUUUUCAGCCUCUGCUUAAAAGGCUUAACUUAUUAUGACUUACCAUCUUUGUCUUCUAAGAGAUACGGUUAACAAUAAUUUGGAGAUCGGCUACCUAAGUUACAAAGAACACUCCUCCUACAGUAGGACUCUACUUAUUUGGUAAUCACAGACACACAUAAUCACUCAAGAAUCUGGCAUCCCUAUAAAGGAUAAGAUUAAAAGGUUUCCUAGGCUGCUAUGUUUUGGAUACAAAUCUCACAUUUGACAUAAGAUCAAAAUCUUAAUUGGGACAAGUUAAAUGGAUAAUUUCAGAAUAGAUCUAAGUUCACAUGCCCAAUCUGCUAUGCCAUAUACACAAGAUCAGUAUCAAAAUAACAGUAAAAAGGAGAAAAAAAGAACUUUUAUAUCAGCAAAAGAAAGUAACCAAUUUAGUUUAAUCAAACCUCAAUACAAAACCCUUUCCAGAACAUUUUCUCCUUAAAUUGACAACUUUAUUGAUGCAAUACAAUCUUAUAUCCUAAUGCACUAACAAAGAUCCCACUAAUUAGGUUCCUGUCAGAUUUCAGGAGAAUGAUUGCAAUUGGGAAGGAUAACGUCUUUCCUAGAAUAACAUUCAGCUGACCUGUUCCGAUCCCAACACAUUGACAGCCUUCAAAUCUCCAACACUCACACAUCCUCUACACUUUGUCCUGAUAAAAGAAUAGACCUAUUAUCAAACAUGACAUUGGCUACCAGAAUCUAAACUCACCAUACUAAAUCAUGAUAGGUAAGUACAUAUACAAAAGACUGAUCCUAAAAUGGUAGUUGAAUCACUCCAAUCAAUGUUGACCUGAGUUUAGAUAAGUUGUUCUUGAUUGUUUGCUCUUCUUUGACAACCUUCUCUUUCUUUCCCAUAAAAAACAUUGAAACAAAAUGGUUCGUCACGCAGCCACAUACAUAGACAGAAACCAUUUCUUUCUAUGCCCACUAGGUUGUUGUAUUUGGUUCUGUAUAGUUCCGUUCGAUAGGUCUACCUUUAAAACCUUUACCCUUAGGUUUAAAAUUUUACCUUUGGUUUUAAGACUCCAGGUCUGUUCUGAAUCUCAUCAGAUUAUGUUCGAUCGUGUGGACUUAAACUCUUCUAAGUUCGUAUUGGUCUUCUAUUCUUACAUAGCUUGGAUACCAGAUCUAAGUUUUAAGAAUUUCGCUUGGUUCGUCUAAUAUCUUGGGCAAAUUGGUCAAGGAAGGAGUAAUUUAUCCAAUAAAACAGGUUGCCUGAAUAAAUGUUUCAUGCUAGGUUAUCACAUUCCAAUAAUCUCUUGACAAAAUUCGAAAUUGUGAAUCUGAUCGUUUAAUAGAAUGUUGUCUACAUUCUAAAAUUGUUAAAAUCGAAUGUCAAAUCUGCGACACCUUCAUUACUCUAUGUAGGCAUCCUAAGCAAACCAUAAAUCUUUGGCAUUUGAUAUUUCUAUAAGUCUUCAUAAAGUUCGUCAUAUAGGCAGCUUAAAGUAUAUCUAAACCUACACAGUGAAAUUCCAAUCCUCGGGAUAUUGUCAGUUUUAUGUCUUUAACGAGUGUACAAUUAUAAGAUCAAUGGAGAGCACAUAGAAGGACCAGAAAAGAAUUAAAUAAGUAGGAUAAGAGUGUUUUUCCCAAUGCAAGUUAAUGCCUAAGGUAAUAAGCCAAACCGUCUAACUAUUCUUGCCACCCCCCUCAUAAAAGCCUACCCCUUAAAAUUUUUCAGUUUAAGACAAAAGUGUUCAUCAAAAAGCCAUUCUAAACACUAGUUGAGAACAUAAAAAUUAAGGAUAAAAAAGAGCUGCAAAAAAGUCAAAAACCCUAGAAAAACAAACAGUUUUAAUUUCUACCCUGCAACCAGAAUAUUUUAGGGUUUAAGUUUUUAGAAUAAUCUAUUAUGAAAGUUCGUUCAAACAGCAUAAACAGAGCCCAAACAAUAAAUAUUAUUCAUUAAAUAGUUUCAAACAAUAUAACAAUCAAUCUAAUUUAUGGCAGCAAACAGAUUAUGUAUAAAUGCUUUGAAACAAAAAAUGACAAAUUUAAAUUGGCGUUUGGGGGCUGGUUUUAAAGGCCCAACUAAUUAGAGUUAACUAUCUAAGGGAUUCGAUUCUCAACUGAAGCAGAUUUAAUUUUAUUUUAUUUUUUAAAAAAAAUUUAAUAAAAUUCCGAUAGUGCAAAUAGAAAAUACAGAAGCAAUUCACCUUUUUAAAAAAAUUCGUAAUCCUAACAAGAAGCAGCAGAAUUAAAACCUUAAUUAUUACUAGACAACUCUUUUUUAUUUUUUUUUUUUAAAUANNNNNNNNNNNNNNNNNNNNNNNNNAAUAUCAAAACAGUAAAAUAUAUAUAAAUUAAACUUUAAGGAAAGGCAGUAUACUUAAAAAAUAAUAAUUUACUGUAGCAAAAGGUUUUUUUUUAAAAAAAUCCGUACAAGUUUGUUUAAAACUUAUAACAAACAGUAAUUUUUUUAAUAAUAAUCAAAAGAUUUUACUGUAGCAAGAUUAAGAUUCAGACGUACACAGGAGAGUUAAAUAAAAAAAAUCUACUGUAACAAAAAUUUUUUUUUAAUUAAUUUUUUUUUUAAUAACAGUAGAAGUCAAAUAAAAUUGCAAGUAAACUAUAUGUAAUUAAAAUUUGAAAAUGCUAAUCCCAACUUAAAUUAAUUUUGUAUGUCAAUCAUACAAGCAAGUUAUCAAACAAAUUAUAUACAAUAUGCACAAUUAUUAUUUUCGGAUUAGCACUUGUUAGAUUUAGUCACAAUCAGAUAGAAAUACGCCUUAGAGUGUUAGAACAAAACCGCAACGAAUAAUCCGAUUGUGAUAAAAUCUAACUAAUUUUGUGAUUAAAUAAAUAAAAUUUACUUACCGAUAAUUGUUAAAUUCCAAAAAUAAAUUGUGGAAAAAGAAUAUCAACAAAUUGAUCCGGAAGCGUGCGAGGCACUGUCCUAAGGCGUAUUUCCGUCCUUCGUGCGGGAUUAAUCGGAAACACCACCCCAAGAUACGACCGGUACUCCUCCUCCUACGGACACGAACGCGGAAGAGGUUGACGGAGCUUUUUUCAACACCCAAUGAUAGAGGAUCAAAUAAAGUGAAUUAAGCUUAAAAAUUAAAAGGGAACUCGAAAUUAUCUCUUUUCACUGUAUUCUCCUUAGUGGUGUUCAUCAUCUCAAUGAACAGGUAAGGACAAUAUAAAUAUCCAUGUAGGAGUACACUAUGGCUCGAACGUUGGUGUUACACCAACGUUCGGCUCCGUAGUCCGCCCCGCGUGAUCCGCAAUCGCGCGUAACGACGCGCGCACUCGCGCGUAACGUCCGCGCCAUUCACGGACUCCACUCCGAACGGCUAUAAAAAGUUAAUAAAAUUAAAUAAAAAUAUAUAUAAUAAAUAAAUGUAAAUAAAUAAAUAAUUAGAAAAUUUUGGAUUUUUCCAACACAUCUGUCUUAUCAUGAUUAAUAAAAAAAUAUUUGUAUUAUAUUUUUCUCUAAAGAAGAGUGAUGUGAUUGACUUAUUACUCGGGAUGUCAAUGGGUUUGGAUAUCCGAAAUUUUAUUUGAACCCGAACCUGAAUAAAACGGAUAUAUCCGAUGGAUAUGGAUAUGAAUUCGGAUAUGGAUAUCAAAAAUAGAAACCCGACGGAUAUGGAUUCGGAUAUGGAUUUUGAUUGUACCUGACCCAAACCCGAACCCGAACCCGACCCGAACCCGAAUUCUCUCUUUAGUAUUAUAUAUCAUAUAAUAAUAUAAUAUAGUAUAAUACUGAUUUAAUAUUUUAUUAUAUAAUAUAUAUAGUAGUAGUAUAUUAAAUAUAUAUAAGGCAGUAGGGUAGAAUACUUCUUACAAGUUAUCCACCCGUAAGUAUACUUGGUGUUUUUAGCCUGUGGAUGGCGAGAGUAUGUGGAGGUUGACGAUGGAUGGGAUACCGGUGAUGGUAGGUGAUGGCGUUAGGUUGGAUAAGUAUUUGAUCCAAGGGACUAUUUGUAAUCAAAAAGUAGGAUCAAUGGACUAAAAACGUGUAUUAUAUAUAUAUAGAGUUAUUAGGAUAACUUUGUACAGAGUAUCACUCCCCAUAUUGCUAUCAGUCUUUUUAGCAUUUGGAUUCUUACUGUUUAUUACAAAUAGUCUUGACUCAAACAAUAUUCAGCCUACGACACCUUACUAUUACAAAGGCAUCCAAGACACAAUAUUCCACCUACCCAUCAUGUCUCACUACAUCUCUCAUCCAAAGGGCUAAAGAUACAUAACUAUACACUUGCGUGGUGAUACUUGUAAGAGUAUUCUAGCCCUACCUCUAUAUAGCUAUAUUAUAUAUUUAAUAUAUUAUAUAUAAUGUAUAGCUUAAUAUAUAAAUUUGAUGUUAUAUUUGAAUUUGUAUUUUAAAAAUUUAGAUUUAAUAUAAUAGAUUUUGAAAUAUUGAAAAAAGAAAUAAUUGUUUCGGGUUUAAAUUUUCGGGUUCGGGUUCGGAUUCGGUUUCGGAUUUUUAGUCGGGUUCGGGUUUGGAUAUAGAUUUUUAAAAUCCGUCGGGUUCGGGUUCGGGUUCGGGUCUCGGGUUUGGAGUCGGGUUCGGGUUCGGGUUCGGGUUUUCAAAAAUCCGCCCCGAAUCCUACCCGUUGACAUCUCUACUUAUUACUGAUGAUAUGGUAUAAAUAUAAUACAGUAGACCACCUCCCAACAGAGACUCUCUAAAUGCGUUUGGUUCGAGUAUAAAUUAAAGGGGCAAUUGCUUAUAUACCCCUAAAAAGUUUUCGAUUUUUCGAUUUACCCCUCUUAGAAGGCUAAUAUUGAAAAUACCCCUCCUACAUUCCAUCCUAUUUCUAAUGUACCACUAGAGUUAAAAUCUGUUAAGUAAUUCUGUUAUCUCUGUAAAAUUACUAUUUUGCCCUUUCAAGUAUACCCUUCCACCAUCACUAUCUUUCUUAUUUGGGGCACAAAAAGUAUUGUCUUUUGGUCUUUUCCAAUAUACCCCUCUACCGUCACCAAUAUUUUUUAUUUUUUCUUAAGUUAAGGGCAAAAUUGGCAUUUUAUUUUUUUUUAACUGUGGUAGAUAUUUAACUCACGUUUAAUCCGGGUUAACUUAACAGGAGAUAACUGCGGGGGUAUUUUGCAAUAACGGUAGAACAUAUGAGGAGUAUUUUAGAAAAAAAAAAAAAAAUAAAUCGGAUAUUUUCAAACGUAUGAGAAGUAUAUAGACAAUUAUCCCUAAAUUAAAACGGCUUAUUUCAGAAAUAGAUACAUAAAUUUUUCUCCGGCAACAGACACCUGGCUGCCUUGUGACCGCAGGCACCAAAGAAUAGAUGGCUUGAACUUUAAUUGAGAGCUUCAUUACGCAUGGUUUGAUUUCAACUAAUGUGGCCCUACCAUGCAUCCAUACCGAUGACAGUUCCUCCUGCAUAGGUGUCCACUCCUUUCUUCUCUUCUCGUUUUAUUUUUUCUCUCUCCUCCUUGUACAUGAAAAGAGUAACAAAUUUUUCCAAAUCAAUUUUGAGAAAGAUAAUAAAUCUUUUUAAAUUAAUCUUAAAAAAUUAUCAAAUCUAUCAAAUAAUUACAUCUCGGAAAGAUACCAAAUCUUUCCAAAUCCAUCUCGAAAAGAUACCAAAUCUAUCCACAAAAAUUAUAACGAUUACGGGCCCCAUUAAUCGGACGGUGGAUAUUGCAUGAUCAUUGGUGAUGAACACUUGCGGAUUGGACGGUUUGGGUGAACUCGGUUUGAACGGUUGGAUUUAAAUGGCCUGUUAUCGGCACAGCGACGGUCCAAUCAAUAGCUGUUGUUGGGUUUAAGGAUAAGCUUUAACUAAUAAUUGUACCAAAUUAUUUUUAAGGGGGAAAAUAUAUAUAAAUUUGUCAUCACAAUUUUAAUAAUACUAAGAAUUUAUACAAAAAAAUUAUUUAUUUAUUUAUUUAUUAGAAUCUCCUUAGGAGAAGUUUUGCUGUCACAAAUUAUUAAUUAUUUGGUGAAAGGAUUUGCAUGAAUACUAAACGGAUUUGGAAUUAUCCAAAUAAUGAUAGAUUAGGAUGUUUUUGGUUUGUGGAAAUAAUAAUGUUUUUAAUUUAAUAGCAUAUUUUUUCCCCCCUGUCCACUCCUCUUUUCUUCUCUCUCAUCCCUCUCAUACCAAAUUUUUACGUUACGGGAAGGUACACGUAGAAAAGAUAACAAAUCUUCCCAAAUCAAUCCUGAAUGAGGUAAAAAAUCUUUCCAAUCUUGAAAAUGUACCAAAUCUAUCCAAUGAUUAUAUCUCAGGAAAGUACCAAAUCUUUCCAAAUCCACCUCGGAAAGACACCAAAUCUAUCCAAAUAUUUCCUUACCUCGGGAAACGACAAAAUCCUCACAUUGAUUCCGAUAUGUAUAUAGGAGAACGUGUACUCAUCAAAGUUCGAACUUUGAAAAAUUUUCCUAAUUAUUUCUUCUUCCUCUCUCCUUCAUUGUUUCUUCUUCCUCUCUUCCUCAUGCACUGAACUUUACCUAUCUUUACACUAAGUUUUAUAUUUCUAAAGAGUUUUAUAUUUCUUUUGUAUUUUUUGCUGAUCUUUGAUAGCUACUUGAAUUCGUGUUGCAUCACCCUGAAAACGUGCUGACGGAGUGGAAGGUGUCACAUGUCUCAUCUAAAUUUUUUUUCUCUAUAAUAUUUUCUACUUAAUCUGUCCUUAUAAUUUUUCGAAAAUAAAAGUUAAAAUUGUUUUAUUUUAGAAUUGUUUAAAAAUAAAUUGUUCAAACUAAAUAUAUAUUUGCAUAUUACAUAAUUACAUAGUUUGUUAUCAAUCUAAAUUACUUAUAUAUGUAUUAAAAUAAUUAGUAAUCAUUCAAGCUAAAUAUAUAUUUUGCAUAGUUCAUAAUUACAUAUUUUGUUAUUAUUCCAUCUUAUUUUUGCAUAGUAAUUUAUUUUUGUCUACUAUUCUUUUGCUUUCUCUUACAUAUAUAUGUAUUGAUAUUUAAUUUUAUUUUUUCCUCAUUUUUCGUAAUUAUUAUAUAUUAAAAUUUACAUCAAAAUAUUGGUGUUAAAACUGUCUGCGGUGAAGAGCGGGUUCAACACUAGUAUAUAAUAAUGAUAUGGUUCCAAACAUAUGUCUAAUCAUAACUCUAGUAGAAUUAGACUCAUAGUUAUGCUUCACAUGUCCCAAAUUAAAUUUAAAUUAUUUUUUGUUCUAAUUAUAUUGGAAUUUAACUCUAAUUUUGAUAACUAUAAAUUUAAACUAAAUUAUGUAAAUUUCAUAAUUUUAUUUUCUCUAUAUCAUGCAGAAUCAGGGGUAGUAAAGUACCAAUUUUAUUAUUAUUAUUUGUUAAGUCGAAGAUCAAAAUUGGGAUAUACCAGUAUACCACUUAGCUUCUCUCAGAAAAAAAGUAAAGAGAAAAUGUUAAUUGCAUAUAGCUGCCUAAAAAUAUAUCGCAGAUACAUUCCUACAAAGUACAACUUUUUAUUUUUAUGCUUAUAAAAAUCCUACCACUUUCAAACAUAUCACUACUGUUAAGAUAUGUUAGAAAGAUCUCUUAGAAAAAUAUAGUUAAUCAUUAGUAAAAUGUUUAUAGUCAUGGCUAGUGAAUGAGUUAAAUUAAUAUUUUUAUCUCUCUUAUAUUAUUGAAUAAAAUAUUUUUUUUUAAGAAUGUUUGUGCAUAAUUAUAACAGUUGGGGUUUUUGGAAAUAUAUAUUUGUACAGACAAAAAUAUCAUUUCACCUAACUAGUAUUAAAAAAUAAACAGUCUAUAACAGUGACAAAUCAGAGGGGCAAAUAUGAAUAUCACCAGACUUUUGUAGGAUAAAAAGAAAAAGUUAAAUUUUAUAGCGAUAUAUUUAUUAUUCGAUAUAUUUACGGAGAGCUAUAUGCAAUUAACAAAAAGAAAAGACAAGUAUUGCGUAUUUCAAUUUCUACUAUGUGAUGAAACUUGUGUAAAUAUUUUGUCUUGCUACAGUGAAUUAGAGAUGGGUUUUGAGUACAAAGAGUAUGUUUGACUCAUGAUUGAAUUACAUUACAGUGAAAAAUAGAAUGACGAAUUAUUUAAAAAUAUAUGGUCCAUUAUUGAAAUGAAAAUCAGAAUGAAUUAUUCAGACAUUUUAAAUUUUAAGAUAACAGUUUCGGUUAAGAGAGAAGAGGGAAAGAUAUUUGUAAGAGAGAAUGUUGAAUUAUUUAUUACGAAAUGAGCUAAUCUAAGAUUCAAAAUCGGGUUAGGUCUUAAAUAAGAGUAAAAUGAGAAUCACAAUUUAAUUCCUGUAAAAAUAAAAGUAAUUAUCCAAAUCAGUGAAUCUUAUUUUGAUUCCAUAGACUGAAAUAGUUGAACAUCGGGAAAGAGAUUGAAGUUUGCUACAUUUAGAUCAGUACUUGAUGGAAUUGAAGCCAAAUUUCUUUCUACUUAGCCUAUUACUCGUAAUUAUUUGAUAAGUUUUGCGAUCAGUCUUCAAAAUUUGUCCUUAAAAAUUAUCAAUAUAUUUUGGUUAAAAAAGAUAAAGUUGUUGAUGUGUUGGCAUAUGUAAUGAGAAUCUUAGCAUUAGUAUGAUUCAAUUUCUCUCAAUUUUUUUCUUUUUAGAAUGCCGAAAAAUUUAGAAAAUCCAAAAUCUAGAAAACCCAGUUGAGAAAAAAAAACAAAAAAAAAAAAAGAAGGUCAUACUGGAAGUAGAGCCUAAAUUGGAUCUGCUGAGUAAAACUAUUUGCCAUGAGAAUGGGCCGGGCCAACCCGAAAAAUAGCAGGUCGUGGGUUUGGCAGAUCAAUAUUUGCUACCCACUACCAAAAAUGUUACUACGAGUUUUAGUUUUAUUAUAUUUUAUAUACAUGACUAUUCUAAAUCUUGAUACGAAGAUAACGAGUCGAUACAAAUAUGAAGAGAUAAAAUGAGAUCUCAGAGUAGAUUUAUUUAAAUAAUGAGCUUGCAAAAAUUAGUUCACAAUGAAUCUAAACCUAAACCAGAUCAGACAAAACUUGAGUAGGAGGCUACGAGCUCUCCAACGAAGUCUUACUGGGGAGCCGCCCAAUCUACCAUUUUGUUAGUUUUUAUACAUAUCAUAAAGAAAUUAGUUUUGAUAUAUAUAUUCUUUUAGGCUAAAUUACAGAAAACCUCCCUAUAAUAACCCGUUUUUUUACUUUCCCUUCCUGACAUUACACUUUGCUCCUUUGUAAAAUGAAAAAUGUUCACAGGAGAGUUGCGGUGUGUAAAAUGACCAUUUUGCAUCUUGUCAUUUUCGUCUUCUUCCUCAUCUUCUUCAGCCGCCCAUUCGAUCGGCCGCGAUUCCUACCUCAAUCGGCCGCGAUUUCUCUCCAUUUCCUUCUCCACCUUCUUCCCUUCUUCUCCUGCACCCUCGCCGUCCCUCGAUUUCGACGAUAGUAGGGAGGAAAUCGAGGUGAGUGUUGAUGGAGAGGUAUGCAAGGGCAACGAGGGCGAAGGCGAGACGGCGGAAGAGGGCGAAGGCGAUGUGGGCGAGGGUGAGGCAGUGGAGGACGGCGAGACGGCGGCGAGGCGGCGAGCGGGAGGGAGGCGAAGCAACAAGAAAGAGGGCGGAGGGGUAUUUUUGGUAUAAAAAAAUAUUUUAUAACGGAACCCUAACGGUAGGGGGUGAAGUGCAUAUUUUUUAUUUUACAAGGGAGCAAAAUGUAACUUUUUAAAUAUCAGGAAGGGAAAGUAAAAAAGCGAGUAAUUACAGGAAAAUUUUCUGUAAUUUAGCCUUUUUUUUAAUUUUACUAUUGUUGGUGCUAUCUGUGCUAUCUAUACACCAACGUACAUGUAUAAAAAUCUUAUGCCUCCUCCAUCUCACGGUUCACAUGCAUUUUAGGAUUCAUAAAAUCCAUUAAAUUUUUCAUAAAAAUAUAAAUAAAAGUUGAUUAGUCAAGUAAGAAAAAAUGUUUUUGAAUAAACGGGAUGUAAGAUGUACGGCUACUGAUGCAAAAGUUGCACUCCCAAUUUGGAUCAUUUUCUUCAUAACGGGUCUAAAAUGAAUUAGAAUCUAUAAAGAAGAGAAAAUAUUGAACUUAAUUGUUUUAUGCAAAAGCUAACACUUGGAAGGUUGCUCCCCAGUAAGGUGUGCUUGACACUACAGAUGUCAAUGCAUACGGAUACCCGAAAUUUUAUCCGAAUCCAAACCCAAUAGAUUUAUUUGAUACUAAUCGGAUAUGGUUUCAAAUAUGAAUAUUAAAAAUAAAAAUCGGGCAGAUAUAGAUUCGGAUAUGAAUUUUGAUUGUACCUGAAUUGAACACGAACCCGACCCGUAUCCGAUCCGAACCCGAAUUUAUUUUACAUUAUAUAUAAUAUGUAUAUAAAUAUUUGAUGUCAUAUUUGAAUUUGUAUUUUAAAAAUUUAGAAUUAGUGUAUUAUAUUUUGAAAUAUUAAAAUGAGAAAUAGUUGUUUCAGACCCAGAUAUUUGGGUUCGGGUUUUGAAUUUUUGAGAUUGGGUUUAGAUUUGGAUAUGAAUAUUUUAAAAUCCGUCGGAUUUGAGUUCGAGUUAGAACCGAACUACCAAACUGAAUCAACCAAAAUCAGUUUGAUUCGAUUUUAGGUGAAAUUCGGUCCAAUUCAAUUUUCAAAAUCAAAAACUAAAAAAAAAAAUUGAAUUUACCAAAUUAACUAAAUUUAAGUAAUUUGAUAUACAUUAAUUUUGAAAUUAAAAAAAACAUGAAUUAAUAUUAAAUAAAGUUAAUUAUUUAUAUUUAUUUUUAUAUUUAGGUUAAUAAUUUUUAACAUAAAAAUAAUCAUAAUUAUAUCUUAUUAACAAUAAAUAAAAUGAACAAAACUGGCCGAAUAGUUUUGGUUGGGGUUCGAUUAAAAAGAAAAAAACUGCAAAAACGAAAGCUGUUCAAAAUAUCUGAUAUACCAUAUCCGACCCGGACCCUAUCCGGACCCGAACCGGACUCGAUAAAAAAUAGAUAGUACACAGGUAAAAAAAAAUUACCCAUUAAAGUUUCGGGUAUGGGUCUGGAUGUUUUAUACCCAUAUCCCAUUUGGACCCGAUCCGAACCCAACUGUUAAAUGGGUAGAGUUCGGAAUAGUUUUCAAAUCCGGACCCGGAUCCAGACCCGAUGAAAUAUCCGAUAGUAAAUAAAAAAAAUUUGAACUUUUAAAGUUGAGGGAUCAAUUUUAUAGAAUUUAUAUAUAAAGGGUCUCUAAAAAUUUUCAUCCUAGUGAAAUAAUAAAAUAUUAGCCGCUCUUUUACUCCUUUCUUUUUUCUAAUUUUUUUUUACUCUUUGUUUUUUACUUAUUAUUUUUUUUGUUUCAUUUUUGCUUAAGAGUUUUUUAUAAAAUAAUAUUUACAUCAUUAUUAUCAUCAGCGAUAUUACUCCUCGUAGGCAUGGCACAAGUAAGUUUUUACCAAAUCCCUUUUCUAAUCAAAGUCGACAACCUAGCUUUUUUUAAUAAAUAUUCUAUUUAGUAAAUUUUCAAAUUCCUCUUUAUUUUUUUUUUGUUUUUAAUGUUAGUAUGUAAUAUUAAUAAUUAAUUAUAACUUAUAUUCUCUUUAUAGGGAGAGAUUUAUCGUUUGUCCACGUACUAUUUAAUAAAGCUUAUAAAAAAAUAUAUGUAUACGGGUACCCGUACCCGAUUUAGACCCGACCAGUACCCGAUCUUAAAGGGAUAGUAUACUUAUAGUCACUACCCAGACCUGCUGAAAUAGGCCCAACGGGUAUAUUAAUAACUUAAGUAUCCAGAUCCGGACCCGACCCGAAGUUAAAUUGGUAGGGUAUAUAUAUAUUUUUUUCUAACCAAUUUUUUUUAGGGUACGGAUACAAUAUAUUAACUAUCCAGACCCGACCAGGUCCACGGACACCUUUAGCAAAAACCGAACCAAACCAACGCUUGUCUUAAUAUCAGUAAACUUUUGUCUUAAUAUCAGUAAACUUUUUAGGAAUAAUUAUCUAUAUACCUUUCAAAACUUCGAAAAUAUUUAUUUUUUUCUAUUUUUUUUUAAUUUUCAGUAUACUUUUUAUAUGUUCUUCCGUUAUUCAAAAGUACUCAGGCAAUUACUACCUGUUAAGUUAUCUCGGAUUGAACGUGAGUUAAAUAUCUAUCAGAGUUAAAAGAAAUCAAAAUACCUCUUUUGCUCUUAAUUUAAGGGCAAAUAAGAAAAGUUUGUGAUUGUAAAGAGGCAUAUUUAAAAAGACCAACUUCUUUGGCCCUCUAACUUAAGGGUAAAUAAGAAAAGUUGGUGAUAAUAGAAGGAUAUAUUUGAAAUGGCAAAAUAGUAAUUUUACAUAGGUAACGGCUAUUACUAAUAGUUCACUAACAGAAUUUAAUUCUAGGAAUAAAUUUUAAAUAACUUGGAGUGUAACAAGAGUAUUUUUAAUAUUAGCUUUCAAAGCAGAGUAAAUUAAAAAGUCGAAAACUUUUCAGACUUGUAUAAGCAAUUGCCCCAACUUUUUAAUAGUCAAAUAAGGUACUUUGCGUUUUAUAUAAUUAAAUUUACAUAUGUUGUGUUACAUAUUUCAAGUGAGAACUUUUGUGAUGGGUCAGAUUCCCGGCCCAACGGAUCUCCAGCCCAUUUGCACCGGUAGUUUUACUGAUUCAGAGGACACAAAAAAAAAAAAAAAGAAAAAGAAAAAAAAAGAAAAAGAAAAAGAAGAGUAAAUUCAAAAUUUUAUUAUAAUUGCGUGAUCAUGAGCAUAGAACGCAUCCUACACAAUUUUUGUUCUCAAGGAAAGAAAAUUAUUAGGAAUUUUGAAUAGUUUGCUUUAAAAGCUAUCAUUUUGGCGCUUUACGGAUUUAGCAUUAGCACAUGAUUUGAAGGCCAUCUAAUUAAUCACGCGGCUUUGCACAAAAUGCAUUCCAUGUGAUAAGCAACUCACAAUUAUUUGCAUUGACCUUUUCGUAUGGCUAAAUUAAAGGAAUUUUUUUUUGUCAAUAUCCGCUUUUUUUAUUUUUUCUCCUGUUAUUUAAAAAUUUACACUUUAUCCUCUUAAAAAAUAAUAAAUGUUCACUUUGGCCCCCGCCGCCGGUAUUCUGUCAGGAUUCUAUUUAUAUUCUAUUAUUAUAUAUUUCUUAUACCCAAAAUACCCUCAGCCUCCUCCCUCCCGCCUCCUUCCUCGCCGCCCAUGCUGCCUCACCCUACUCUGCCACCUCGCCCUCCUCCAACCCUCCAUCUGCGCCCACACACACAUUCUUGCGCUCCUUCGCUGUCUCGCUCUCGCUCACCUCUCCAUCCAUGUGCACCCCGAUCUCCUCCUUAUCAUCGCCAGAAUGGAGGGGUGACAAGGGUGCAGGAGAAGCGCGCGAGUAGAUGGAGGAAAUGAAAUCGUUGCUGCUGUUAAGCAAGGCGCAAAGAACAAAGGAUGAGGAGGGGAUCGCUGAGUAAGAUUGGGAAGAAGAUCGGCCAUAGUAAGGGGCGAUUUGGUUAUUUUAUCAUUAUAGUUAACACCGUACUCCCUGUGAACAUUUUUUAUUCUUCAAUAGGGCAAAAUGUAAGUUUUUAAAUGACAAUGAGAGAGUAGAAAAGCGGAUAUUGAUAAGAAGGUUUUCUGUAAUUUAGCCUUUUUCUGUGUGUGUGUGUGUGUGUGUAUAUAUAUAGUGAGGCUACUAUGCUAUCGGAAGUACGGAGCCUUCCGUACUUCCAGCUCGUUUUCGAUGUUGCGACUUUCGAAUCGUCGAUCGGCUCCGUUAAACUUGAUCUAGAGUAUUUGAAGCACCUAAAAAUAAAUUUUAUGAUUUUACGAUAUCAUUUGCCUAGUGAACGAAGGGGCUCAAAAUCAACAGCUGAAAAUAAAAAUCUUACAAAAUGUAAUAAUAUGACAUUAAAAUUUUAAAUCAAAGAUAUUGAUCUUGUUUUAUAUAGUAUAAAGAAUUUUCUAUCAAAAUUUCACGUGAUUUGGAUAUUUCUACACCGUUAAACUUGCAAACGGCUCACUACGGCCAUUGAAAUUUGUUGAUUUUGAGCCCCUUGCGUCAACUAGCUAAAUGAUAUCGAAAAUAAUAAAAUUUAUUUUACUAGAUAUCCAAAUACUUCUAGAUCAAACGUUAACGGCGGAUCGCACCCCGAUUCGACAAGCGCAACCAUCGAAAAAACGAGCUGGAAGCACGAAAGGCCUCCGUGCUAUCACGAUAGGAUAGUAGCCUCACCUAUAUAUAUAUAUAUAUACUAUAUAUACUAUAUAAUAUAAUAUAUAGAUGCUUGAAUACAUUAAUAGCACGCCAAGCGACUUGUUUGCUAUUAGUAUUCUUAACCAUUGACUGAGAAAAUAUUCGGUUAGGAUGAAUAUUGUUCCCACUAGGGUUGAGUGGGUCGUGUUGGUUGAAUAGUAUAAUAUAACGGGCAAAAAAAUCAAGAAGAGGUUAAUUCUAACGGCACGAAAACUGAAUAAGCACCAAGUGUUUGCUGCUUAUGCGAUAGCAUAGCAACGGACUCUCUCUCCUCCUCUAUCACCGGAGCGCGCCCCUCUCUCUCUCUCUCUCAGACCCUCCCGACACUCUCCUCCCACUCGAUCAUCUGCUCCUCAUCUCCGUCCUCAUCUCCGUCAUCAUCUCCUUCUUAUAUAUAACUAUACAUGCUUCGGUUAUCUUCUGGAACACGGGCGCUCUGUGCUUCCAAGUUGUUUUCGAUUGUCGACUUUCGAAUCGAUAUCGGCUCUCCGUUAGACUUGAUUAGAGUAUUUGAAGUAUCGUAGAAAAUAAACUUUUGCGAUUUUUUUUUGAUAUCAUAUUGCCUUCGUGAUCGACGUGAGCUCAAAUCAACGGCUGAAAAUAAAAUAUCUUACAAAUAUGAUCGAUAAUGACAUAUAAAAAUUUUUAGACAAAGUAUGGUGAUUUUGUUUAUACUGGUAUAAAGAAUUUCUAUCAGAAAAUUUCAUGUGAUUUAGAUAUUUCUUACAAACGUUAAACUUGCAAAGGGCCUCCCACGAUCUGUAAAAUUAUUGAUUUUGAGCCCUUCGAUCACUAGCAAUAGAUAUCGAAAAUCAAAAAAAUUUAUUUUCAGAUACUUCAAAUACUGCUAGAUCAACUCUAACGAAGGUCCGAUCAUACGAUAUCGAAAGUCCGAACAUCGAAAACAACUUGAAAAGUAAGGAGGGCUCCGUAUUCUUAAAGCAACCAGCCCACUAUCCUCUCUCCCGUCUCUCUCUCUCUCUCUCUCUCUCUCUCUCUCUAUAUAUAUGUAUAUAUAUAUAUAUAUUAUGAAUUGAGAUUUCUAUUUCUCCCUAGCUAUUUUAUGAUGACCUAUUUUUAGCAUCAUUAAUUUAGCUAUUUGAUAUCAUUAAUGUCAUGUGAAGAUAAGUUCAAUUAUGAUAAGAACAAACCUAUGGUGUACAUAUUGGGACCAAACUACAUGAAAAAGCUCAUGUCGUAAUAUAUUGUCUCCUCAAAGUGAUAUCAAAAACAAAUAACUCAACAAUACUCCUUAUUUGUAAUUCCUUUUCUUGUCCUCAAAAUGAAAUGAAAAAGUGACUCUUCUAUAACUAUGAAGUGCACAUGUCCACUAAUCCUCUCUUUUGUUAGCAUUGGUCUAAAUCUUUCACAAAGAAGACCAAUCACUUUAUGUAUAAAUUAAAUGCCUAGAAAAGGACCAUCCAACCUACUCUCCUUAUCUACUUUUAAUUUUUUUCUUAGCUUUUUCCACUCAAUUUUAAUGCGGACUCACCAAAUAUCAAAGCUGUUGGAUGACUAAUUGUUGAUUGAUGCAAGCCAAGUCCAAUUUCACCAAUUUUGUUAUCUUGUUAGCUUAAUGGGACCUGCAUUAUACCCUGUAAGGGAAAAGUCAGAUUAGGCCAAAUCAUAUUUGAAGUGACGUGAGAUUGAUUGGGUCGAAUCACAAUCGAAAUCCGUGUGUGUUAUAUCUGUACGUUUUAAGUGAAUUAAUUAUGUUUUCUAGCAACCAGAGAUUUUGAGAUUAAUGAUUAGUGCCGAUGAUCCGGCACCUCUCUCUGAAUCAUAGCUUCAAAUAUUAUGUAUGAUUACCAACUAUGACAUCAUGUUGCUUAAUAUCAAUCCCCCUAUUGUUAAUGAUUUAUGUUAUUAUCUCAGUCCUGUUUAGUCCAACUUUGAAGACCACCUAUUUCUCCUUUUCAUAUCAAUAGAUACCAUACUUCAUCCACACCCCUUUGUGUUACAACUUGUACUUUUGAGAAAUGAUCGAGCCAUCGUUCUCAGUACAAAUUUUCUUGGCACUCAUUUUAUCGAUCUCUUAUGCUACUAACUAGCCUUCGAACAUGUGGUUAGGUGAAGCAUAAAGUCAAAUCUGAGCAUCUUUGUGAGUUGUUUAAGUCAUUUGUUUAUUGUGUUUAGAACCUCUGCUGGAAUUCUAUAGACAAAUCAUAACCUCGCAAAUGAAACAACUAAAGAAAAGAGCAUAUAGUCAAUGUUGAAUUCCUAUAACUUGGAUUAAUUAUUGUUAUUAAUUUAUUUCGAAUUGUAUUGUCAGUUAGAUUUGGUAGGAUUUGGUAGGAUUUGGUAGCGAAAUCGAGUUCGAUGAAUCUACAAUUACUUGUGUAAAGAUACCAAAGUCAUAUUCAGCAAAAACAACAAGAGAUGCACCACCAUCCAAUUCUUGUUUGAUGCAACUCUUCUUACUUUCUUGGAUAAUUACUUUGGACAACUAUGUUGUUGCUUCAAGUUUUGGUUCUAGUGAUAUGGUUGAGCAAAUAAUUCAUUAUUGUGACUCAUUCAGGAACUCGGUCGACGUGUUAUCUUCGAGUAUUAGAAGAUGAUCAUAUUCUAAGUGCUGGACAUAAUUUUUUAGCCUUCUUAUUACUGAUGGUAGCACAUAAUCGCCAUCCGUCGGCGCUUAAAAUAGUAACUAUCUAUCUAGUAGGUAUUUUUGUUUUCUUUAUUGUUCGGACUAAUUCCUCCAUCUUAAAGUUUCAUACAUAUAUAUAUGCAUCUCUUAAUCGACUCGAAUAAAACAAAUAUACAAGAGUUUUGAUCAUUUGAUGGAAAUUUAGGAACUCCUAACAAUUUGAGUGUAACCAUCUUUCAACUAACAUGACUCUCUUAUAAAAAUGCAACAAGUUAAGUCAAAGACGACAACAAUAUAGAGUAUAAUUAACUAGCAAAAAUGCUCGUGUAAUCGUAAUAAUGCGACAUAAUUGCUGAGAAAGAAAUAAAUUAUAAUCGAGCUUCGAAGUUUAUCUCUUUCGAACGAAAGGAAAUAUUUUGUUUUUUUUUUUUUUUUUUCAACUUCCAAUGCAAGUGUUGUGUGUCACCAAAGAAGAAAAUCUUAUUAUGGUUAAGAGUGUGCAAAUAAUCUGAAGGAGACAUAAUUAGCAAGGACAGUGUGAAUUAAUCAUUGAAGGGACAUAAUAUUUAGCUUUAUAUCGAAAUCUCAAUCAUAGUUUCCAUUCAAAAAGCAUAAUACACAACUAGCCAUUCUGAUUAAUAAUUCAAAAAAUUUCGGUGGCAAAGCUUACUCUCUUAAGAAAGAUUAAAAGAACAUAAGAGGAGAAUAAAACAAACAAAACCAAAAGAAAAUCUGAGAGGGGCAAAUGAAAUUUAGCAGUAAUACAGAUGCAUGUUUCUGUAACUUUCGACACAAAGAUAGCAUGAACUCUAACAUAAUAAGAGUUCGAUGCCGCAAAGAAGAGAAAAUGCGGCAAAAUCUCUUAGAGAAGAGAGAGAGAGAGAGAGAGAGAGAGAGAGAGAGAGAGAGACAUUAAACUUUCAUAUUGUUCAAAUCAUGGUUUCUCCAAGAUAACAGAGUAUAUUUGUUUGGCAAGUAUGAAUAGUUCACAAAACUUCACUCAAAAAAAUGAAAAUAUUAUACUAUGUCACUAUUAUUAACUUGGUUUCUGUUCCUUUAUUUCCUAUAUUUCACACUCACUUCACAUUGGAAGAUAUAAUUUAUCUUAGAUAUAUAGGAGAGUACAUAAUACAAAUUGAAAAAUUAUAUUAUAAACAUUAUAGAUCUUAACUGUUCAUUUAGUAAAUCAAGUAUGUAAUGUGCUCAGUAUUAUAAAACUUACCCACUUGCAACAUUAUCUACCUUUGGACACACACUAAAGUUCCACAAGCAAACUCACACCCUUUUUCUUAAAGGGUACACACUACACUAUACACCACAAGAAUUGGACUCAAGAAUACAAGGAACCUUUUAAUGAGUGUUGAGCUAGGUGUCUCAUGUGAUCCAAUUCCCUUAAAUUAUUGUUUGGAAUCCAUGAUCAAACCUAGCUCUCUCAUACAAACUUAUUAGUUGAUAAUAUACACUUUGAUGGUUCUAUUCAUAUUUAUACUUAACACAAACACAACUCCACCAAUUUGCCUUGCCUUUUUUUUUAUCUUUUCUUUUUCCUACAACCUAGUGGAACACUCCUGAGUCCCCUAAGCCAAGAUCAUGAUCAAAUUCAAGUAGCCAUUCGCAGUUCCCGUCCCACGGCGACGGUCCCAUGAGACUACUAUAAUCCUCUUCACUAGGUUGAAGUAACCAUGAGUCAUCAACAAUAGGUAGAUCAUCUUCCCAUAGAGAGCUAGCUAGUUGGUCGUGGCACGUCUUCGAGCUAGCUUGAUCCGGUGGACUCGAGUGGUUUUGCGAUGAGCCGGUUCGCCCUUCAUCGCUGUGAGAAGUGGACUUUUGAUUGUCGGACUUAGAUUCGGUGGUGGCAGUCGACCGCGACGUUGUCGGGCUAGCCUUUUUGUUGAGUGGCUGGUGGGUGACAGGGUCUAUGCCCAUCUUUAUGAGCUUCUUCUUGAUGUGCGUGUUCCAGUGAUUCUUUAUUUCGUUAUCAGUUCUUCCAGGCAAUUUUGCAGCAAUUUUGGACCAUCUGCAACAAUUGACGAGAGCAACUUCGUUAGUAAAUGUCUUAGAUUUAAGAGUCAGCGAAAAACUAGUUUCUUUGAGAUAAAAUGCAACGAUCCGACCCGCCAGCAAUAAUAACUCGUUAGGUAUAAACAACCGGCCGAAAAUGCUUAAACCCAAUUAUUAUUACUAGCGUGCGAGGCCUCAUAUAAACUGAUCGGAAUCAGUAUCCCAUCCGAUAUGGCACUAUUAUAUAAACUGAUCGGAAUCAGUAUCCCAUCCGAUAUUGGAUUAUUGGGGGCGUUACAAACUUCCUCCUGUUUAGACCUUGAUUUUCGUUAGGUUCAAACCCAGACAGACAGACCAGGAUCAGAAUAACUCGGUGAUGUGAGAUUCUAGAGGUGACUUCUACGGGUUUAAGAGGUGGCUCCUACCAAACCCUUUGGUGUAGCAUUUUGCCCUGCAUAACAUUUAGCUUUCAUACUUCUAGCUGGUAUUCGGCUUUGAUACCAAAUGCAAUGACCCGACCCGCCAGCAAUAAUGACUAAUUAGGCCCGACCAACAGGCCAAAAAUACUUAAGCCCAGUUAUUAUUACUAGCAUGCAAUGCCUCAUAUAAAUUGAUCGGGAUCAGUAUUCCAUCCUCCAUCCGAUGUGGGACUAUUGGGGGUGUUACAUAAAAUUAGUAUGGUUCCUCAUAAGGGUAGUUGCAUAGGCCAAGAAGUUUACUCUAUAAGACUAAUGGAUGCUUAGCAGUGAAGAGAUUCAUAUAAAUUUGAGUUUGGGAAUCAUCACAAGCUAGAAAAAUUAUUAUAAAGAAACAAAGUCAUAUUCUUCUUUAGAAAAUGGUUGAUCAUUCAUGAAAGAAAGAUAUGUGAAUCCCUUUUCUAAAUCUUUAAGAAAGAGAAAGAAUUAACUAUAAUUUUUUACUGGACCCAUGACGCAACUCAUACGACUAAUUAAACAAGUUGUUUUACUUCCUGAUCAAGAACUUGGUUGGUAUAAUUAGUUGUCUUCGUUAUAAAGAUUCGGAAUUGCUUUUGUUGGAAUCUUUGAAUGAGUCUUAUCGCUCCAAAUGUUGGCGAAGCUCCGAUCGAACUUCGAUCACUAAAAUUUGGCGAAGAAACCGUCGUUUGGUCGAACAUCACAUCAGUUUGGUCGCUUGGUUUACAUGAUCGAUCUUCAAAUCAAUGAAUUGAUGUAUUGGUCAUUAAUUAGAGUCCAAUAUUAAUUAGUGUUACAAAUUAAUUAAGAGUGCGCAUUUGAAGCAACCAUAGACUUUAAUAUACUGGCUUAAGAUCGCAUUAAUUAAUUAAUUAGGCACCAUAUGAUGUCGAGAAACUUAAAAAAUGUGGACCAAUUUUGUUUCCUCGUAUCCAACGUCAUCAUCACGUCACAUAGCCGUAUGUGUACGAACUAUACAUGUAGAACUAUUUAGGUAACAUUAGGUUAGCUAAACCAAUCAAAAUGAAUAUGUGGUAAAGAGUUAAAUCUAUUAGAAAUCUAUCAACCCCAAAAAAAAAAGAAAAAAAGAUGCAGGUAGGCCCAGUUCACGUAUUGAUUUUCUAUGAGGUGAAAAGAAUUUUUUUUUUUAAAAAAAAAUAAAAAUGGUUAGGAUAUGUUCCCAUAAAUUACUGAAAUUCUUAGAGUAAGGCACACUCAGUGUUCUUAAAAAAAAUAUUCUAAAUUUCUAAGAAUAUAAAAUAAUUUUCAGAUCGCUAGAACUCUUUAAUACUAAUUUCUCGAUUGAUUGUAAAUGAUAUACUUUUUUUUUGAGAUACGUCAUAAACAAUACGGUAGCAAAUUUAAAAAAGUAACUUCGGUAAUACGGUAAUACGGUAGAGCUAGCACAAAAACCUUGUUAUUAUAGGAUAAUACUUGUGCGUCAACAAUCCGAUUGUACUAAAAAUACUAUCCAACUUACAAAAGCUAUGCAGAUAAGAGUCAUCUAAUACUAUCAAUAGUAUCUUUUUUUUUUUUUAGAGAAAAAAUUAGCAUGCUAUUCGCUUCGUUUAUUUUAUUUAGAAAUAAACUUAGCCAGAAAUAUGGAUCAACUAGAAUUCGAAUUUGAAUCUCGGAUAUCAAUCACCAAACCUUUUUGCCACUUGUGUUAGGGCCGGUCGGUUACUAUCAAUAGUAUCUAAUUUAUAUUACUCGUGUUAAAAGGUUCGAGCCAAUCUAAAAAUCUUGAUCUUAGUAAGCGCAAACAAAAAAGAAAACCACAAAGUGACUAAGUUGCAUUGCGAAAUCGUACGCAUCCUAUGAUCCUACUUUUACCGCACAUUACGUACGUAUCCGUAAAGAAUCAAACGUACGGAUGUAAGGAGCUGAAGGAAGGGAAAAGAAGAUGAACUGAAAUGGAAUGAAGAAUGAUGGCAUGCAAAUUCAUACUUGUUGCCGAGGCGGGCGUGGAGGUCGAUGACGAGCUGCUCCUCGGCGUCGGUGAGCAGGCCGCGCUUGAGGUCGGGCCGCAGGUAGUUGGUCCAGCGCAGGCGGCAGCUCUUCCCGCAUCGCAGCAGGCCGGCCAGCUUCGGGACGGCGCGCCAGCAGCAGUGGCCGUGGGUGAGCAGGAAGCCGAUCAGCUUCUUGUCCUCCUCCGCCGUCCACGGCCCCCGCUUCACCCCCAGCUUGUCGCAGCACGGCUGCCGCCCCAUCAAUUACGCCCUUCCAAUUAACCACUGCCCCUACUGCUUACUUCGUUUUGUAUCUUUUGUUGUUGUUGUUGUUGUUGUUGUUGUUUUCUUCGGAAUAAUAUUGCUACUACUACUACUGAUUCUCUCUUGUUCUUCCUUUCGCGCACGAACGCAUCACCACCACGACGACCACGACCACCACGACUACCUACCCGCACCCAACAACUCGAGUUUUUUAAAAAAGGGGAGAUUUCGCUAGGACAGUCCUGACAGCAAUCGGAAAGGGGUCCUGAAAGCUGCCCGGCAACCGCAACGAGCUGACUGUUGUGUUUUCUUUAUUGGUUUCCUCUGAGGAAAACCUUUUUCCUUUUUUAAAAAAAUUAAUGUAAUUAUUAGAGUACUUGGACAAAUUCAAAAAAAAGAAAAAAAAAGUUAUGUGGCUAUCGCUCACGAUUUUUUUUUUAUUUUAUUUUUUUUUUUUGGGUCGCUUGAACAAAUAAGACGAAAAAUCCUGUACGUAUUGCCGACAACUAUUGUUUAUUUUGUAAUGUAACGUGUAUUAAUUGGAUGACAAUUCCUGUUGUAAUAGUUUGCAAGCAAACUCGAAGUAAGAAAAUAAGCAAAAUAUAUAUUAUAUUUUAUAAGCAAAAAUUUAUCCUAUUUUGAGGUAUAUAAGUAACAUUGCUUAUUUUAAAGAUAUAAAUUUAAACUAGAAACACAAAAAGAAUCUAUACUAUUAAUAAAUUAUAAACUAGUGGGUAAUAAUAAGGGGCUCGUUCGGUAUCAAGAGCCAUCUAAUUAACACUGCCGGAGAAAAGAAGUUCAAGUGAGAAUAUUAUAAAUAUAUUUUCUGCAAUGAUGACUUAAUUUAGUUGACAUAUGGGUAAUAUAAAAAUAAUAUAACAAUAAUUAAAAUAAUAUAUCAUUUUAAUAUCAACUAUGCGUCAAUAUUAAUUUAGCCAGGUAAAUUAGGUUAUGGAACAAUAGCAAUUCUUAAAGUUUGUACAAUUCCAAAAGUUACAAUAAAUUAAAAGUUGCGAACUAAAACAUGAUUGGUCUCAUAAUUUGAGGACCAAAGUGCAGUCUACUGGAGCAAUAAUAAUGUUAUACGUACUAUUUUAUUUUAGAAUUAAUUUCAUACAUAUUUCUGUAAAUAUAGUAAAUUGCAAAUAUAUUUCUUAAAAGUUCAACUUCUAUACAUUGUUCCUACAAAAGUCCUAAUAUUUUUAAAUAUAUUUCUACUGUUAGGAUCUGUUAGAAAAAACUAAUUACCCAUAGGUAAAAUAUAUACUUAACCAUAGUUAGUGAAUACGGUGAAUUGACCUUUUUAUCCAUCCUUAAUUAAUAGUUCGGAUUUUAGAAAGACAUAUUUAUGAUGGCAAAAAAAUUAUUUCACUUAUAAAAUAAACAGCAUUUUAACAAUAACAAAUCAAAAAUAUAUAUAUAAAAAUAUUAAAAUUUUUGUAGGGACAAUAUAUAUAAAAUUGAACAGCAGCGGUCUGAAUGAAAUUAAUCAUUUAUUUUAUUAUAAUAAUAAAAUUAUUUAUAAUUUUGUUGUCUGUCAAAGCUUCCAGAGUCUUUGCUGUUUUCAUUUCCGACGAUGCAGGCUGGCGUCCUUGCAAAUUGCACGCUUACUCAACCAUUCCGUCAGCAGUCUCGUCAUCCCCGCCCCCAUGCUGUUCAUAUUCUCUGUGUUUUAAGAAUAAAUAAUCUACUACUCCCUGUCCGCCGCGUCAGCCGUGGACCACCCAAUGGCAUUUUUACUCCACUAUCCUUUCAGCUGGGGACGUGGAUGGUUACGGAUACAUUAAAUUUUAUACGCUUCUAAAUCGAGUAAAUUUAUUCGGUACUAAAUGAAUAUAGUUUUGAAUAUGAAUAUUAAAAAUAAAAAUUUGAUGGAUUUUCGUUUGGGUAUGGAUUUUAUCUGUGUCCAAUUCGAAUUCAAACUCGACCUUUAAUCCGAAUUGAUUUUACGUUAUAAAAUAUAUAUAUAAAUAUUUGAUGUUAUAUUUGAAUUUAUAUUCUAAAAAUUUAGAUUUAAUAUAAUAUGUUUUGAAAUAUGUUAAAGAAAUAAUUGUUUCAAGUUCGGAUUUUCAGGAUUGUGUUCAGAUUUCGAAUUUUUUCAGUUGGGUUCAGAUUUAGAUAUGAAUUUUUAAAAUUCGUCAGAUUCGGAUUUAGAUUCUGGCUUGGAAUUUAGUAAUCGGGUUAAGGUUCAGAUUUAUAAAAAUCUGUCUUGAAUCCGACACACUGACAUCCCUAUCCUCAGCCUUUGCUAGAGUUUUAUAUUUUUUACACGAAAAAUACUGUUUCUACAUUCAAAAAUAAAAUGUAAAAUUUAUAUCAACUUAUUUAAGUUGCGAGAGACACUUUUAGGUUUAAUACGAAAAAUAAAAAAUUAAUAAAAUGUGUGUAAAAAUAUUGGCUCUCUAAUAAACAAGAUGUAAGAUUUAUAAGUACUUUUUUGAAUGUAUAUGUUAGCAAUGAUUUUUUUCAUAUUUCAAUUUAACAAUCAAUAUUUCUUUAUUAGAAAAGUUAGUUAAUAUUUGAAAUAAGUUGUGAAUAAAUAGUAGUUAUGAGUUAUAACUUUAGGUAUUGUUUGGUUCGGGAAUAAGCAAAAAGUGGCUAUUUCAGGGAUAGGUAUAAAUUGAGGAAUAAGCGCGGAUUAGAUCAAUUUUGCGUUUGGAUGAAAAUUAGUUAUUCCUAGAAAUAAAAAAAAAAAUAACGUUUGGUUAGAUAAGAUGGAAUAUGAAGGAGAGUGAGUUUUUAUAAAUAAAAAAUAAUAAUAUUACCCUCUUAUUAUAUUUGAAUUUAAAUUUUUAAAUUUUUAAAUUUAUAUUUCUAAAUUUAAAAUUUUAACUUUGAAAUUUCAAAUUUAUCUAUUUUAUCCAUUUUUUUAUCUAUUUUACCUAUUUUAUCUAUUUUUUAUCUAUUUUUGAAAUUUCAAAUUUUAACUUUGAAAUUUCUAUUUUAUCUAUUUUUUAUCUAUUUUAUAUUAUUCUGGAUGAAAUAUUUUUGGAGCUUGAGAGUUGGGGCUCCAGCAAGUUCGUUGGAGUCCGGGCUCCAAUGCCACGUGGCAUGCAUCUGAAAGGAGAGCACACAUUUUCUUCUCGAGGUUAUUUUUUUAAAAAAACAACUUAAUUAAUUUAAUUUACUUUAAUUUAGGGAGGCUGAAUGGUUAGAUAUUUGACGAAAUCAUAUCCUUAUUAUUCUUUUUCUUUUUUCAGAUACAGAUUCGAAUACAAAUAUGUGUUGGAUACUAAAUUUUUAUUACUAUAUCUGCUAAAAAUGGAUUCGGAUAUAGUCGAAUAUUUUUUUCGGAUUCGAAUAUGGAUCGUAUAUGUAUUCGAAUAAUAAUAUACAUUAAUUAAUAUGCAUGUACAUAAAUUUUUUUUAUUUUUCUAUCUUAUUUUCUAACUAUAUUUUUUCACAUAAUAAAAUAUAUAAUUUUAAUAUAUAACUCAUUAUAAAAUAAAAAAAUAAUAUAUAAAAUCAAUAUGUAUUAAUCAUCUUUCCGUAUUAGCAAUGAAUUAGAUAAGUAGACAAAAAUGAUCGACUCUAGAGGAAAGAAAUUUGGGUUGACCGGACGAGCGAAAUUAUGAUGGUGAAUCCAAAAAUACAAAAAAUAUAAAAAUAAUACUAAAAGUUCAGAUAUCCGCAUCCAUAUCGGUUAUUUUUCAAUAUCCGAAAAAAAUUAACUCUCUAAAACUAUAUUCGUAUUCGUGUCCGACUGGAUCCAGAUAUUUUCUUUCCAGAUCCUGAUAUUAUCAAAUAUGAAUACGAAUAUUUUCAGAUAAUAUCCGAUCCGUUUUCACCCCUACUUUAAUUAGAAGAAAUAUAAAUAAAAAAGUAAAUAAAAAUAAAAAGUUAAUAAAUAAAAUUUAAAAAGAGAUUAUUUGAAAAAAGUUAAUGCGGAAAGAAAUUGCAUAUAUGAGAAGCUUACAUCUUGUAUAUUCUUUUUUAAAAAAUAAAAUUUAAAAAUUACACUUAAUUAUUUAAUUUAAAAAUAAUAUUUUAAAACUAUCAUUAAAAAUAUAGGACUUAACUCCAACAUAAAAAAUUGAUUAAUUAAUUAUUUGAGAGAGAUAAAACUAUUUUACUUUUAAAUAAUUAAAAGAAAUAGAGUGCAAAUUUUUCUUUUCUUGAAGGCAAAACAGUAGAGUUAGGGCUCAUUAUUUUUAUAAAUUUUAUUUUAUUUUCUUAUUUUAUCUUCUUUUUAAGUUUUUACUUAUAUUUUUUAAAAUUAAAAAUAAAAAUGAAACGUACCAUUAUUAGGGAAGGGACCACCCUCCCUUUCGAGGUUUCCUCGGAUCCCAAAAAAUUAUUUAUUGAUGCAGACCUGUGCCAAUUUUAGUGCUGCACACAUGGGGCACGCGCGAUGCCGCACUUUUUAGUGGGUCAUGUUGAAAUUUUAUAAGAAACUAAAAUCAUAUUUUCUGUAAGAAUUUUAAUUUCUGUAUUCAAUUUGUAAGCGUGAUUUUUGCUCGUGUUUUGUUCUCGUUCGCAAUCUGUAAAAAAAGUAAUGUUUCGAGCCUAAUUUUCUUAUUUCUAAAUAUGGAGCUGUCACAGAAAACGUUAUUAGAGUUAGACCGGAAUUUCUGUAUGUUAUAUAUAUUCAUUAUGUUAUAUUUAUAUAUAACUUAAUGUAAGGAUGUUUAAUUACGUCCAUACAUUAAGAACAUGUUCAGAUACAUCCUAACCGGUAGAUCUUCCGUAUCUUUAUAAAUCGAUUUGAAUAGAAAGAUUGUAUCUUUAUAGAUCGUCUUGAAUAAACCAUGUGUGCCAUAUCCAACAGAUCAUUCAUUCUAAAAUUAUUUUAUUUCCAAUCCAACUAAUUCUUUUAAUAUUAUUGUUUUAACUAUCAUUCAAAAUGUUAUAGUCAAAUUAAAAAAUUUAGUCCUAUUAUAUUUUAUAUAUAAAAAUAUUUUAAAUCUCACAAAUGUUGCAAAAUGAGUAUAGGUUGGAUAAAGAUUAGAUAUUUGUAUUAAAAUAGAAAAUGCUACAUAGCGGUGCAUCUCAAAAAAAAAGUGUAUAUUUUACCUCACUUAUUCUAAAAUUCACUAAUCUUUUAAAAUAUUUAAUAUUGUUAAAAAUAAAAAUUAGACAAGUUUAAAGAGUAAUAAUAACUUUUAGAUGAUGGCAUGUGAGAUCUACACCCGUUUUAAGUUGUACAAAUAGGAUUUCUUAUAUUUAUAUUCUAAUUAAAACGCGUGCUACAAAAUAUUCUAUACACUAGGUGCAUGGUAGACUAAUUUAGAAAAUCAUAAAAAUUUGGCUAAAUUAUACAUUUGGUUAUUUGUGCUAAUUUUGAGCUCAAACUUUAUAAAUUGUUAUUAUCAAGUCCUAUAUAUAGUCUAAUUCAGUUAACUAAAUAAUACUGUGCGCUGAAGAAAUAGUAAUGUAAUAGUAUUGUACUCAAUAAUAUAAGAAUAAUCUAGGCACCACAUAGUAUGAUAUUAACGAUUGAUAUUUCAAAAUGCAAUCAACUAAUUUGACAAACUUAAAUAUUAUAAAAAUCUAAAAUAUUUGAGUCAAAAAUUAUAAUAAAUUAAAAUAUAUAAACUAAAAUAUCACACAUUUUCUAUUUUGAGAGAUAAAGUAUAAUUUUGCACAAAUAAUUUUGUACAUAUGUUUUUGAAAUUUGUAAUUAAUAAAUGUAUCCUUUAAGGGCCCGUUUGGUUCGAGUUAUGUAAUAUUACAAAGUAUCUCGACAUAUCCAGGUAUCUUGGAUUUCGGCGUGAGAUUACUACUGAUGCUACAUUAGCGCGUUUGGUUUAAUGCAGUAAUGUAAUACUAGAUUACAGUGUUUAUAGCAUUAAUACGUUUGGUUCAGUCUAUAAAAUUUAGUAAUCCUCACAUAAAAAUAUAGUUUUUUUCAAAACUGCCCUUGUUGUGGUUAUUUGAAUAUUAUUUUUUGCAAAAAUGAUGAAUGGAGGGAAGGAGAUUGUGAUGAUUACCUGGGAGGACAACGCAAUAGAAGAUGAUACGUGUUCGUGCGAGAGAGAGAGAGAGACGUCGAGAGAGAGAGAGAGAGCGAGAGAAAGCGGUGUGCGAGAGAGAGGGGGGAAGGCGAGAGAGAGAUGAAAAUAAUGUUGUUAAUUAGAUUAAGGUUGUUGGAGGGUAAAAUUGUCAUUUUACAUAAUAUGUAGUAUUAACGGAUUUCAGUAAUGCAAGAUACACGACCCCCCUCCUAUUAAUAUUUUCGAUGUAAUCCUGCUCGAUUUGUAAUGCUACAUUAACGACUAGAUUACAUAGCGGAUUAACCAAACACAGUUAUCCUGGUAGGAUUGCCAGUAAUCCUGGCAGGAAAACUCGAACCAAACGCACCCUAAAUGCUAUCUAUCUAUAUAUAUACCAAAAAAAUAAAAUAAAAAUCGUACACUCUAUCCGUACGUACGUAGUACCGUACAAGGUCCGGUAUUUUCUCAAUAGUUUGCCUAUUUUUUAAUACUAAAAAUUUAAAAAAUAAUUUGCCUAUUUUUUAUAUGUAUAAAUAAUAUUUAUAUACCAUUUAUUAUUUAGUUACAUGUCACAUCGUCAAUGCACGAGUUUUGUAGCACCUUCCUUCUCUUUUAACUACACAUGUUUUACACGUAAAUUCUUAAAAAAUUAAAUAUUUAUAUUUAUAUCUCUUAGGCCUUUUUGUAAAAAAAAAAAAAAAGGUCCACUGGUUUUAGUUUUUUGCGAAUAUGUCCGCUUUUUUUUGGAUAUUACGGAUGUGAUCAUUUUUUAAAAAAGUACGUACAAGUUCGAAUUAUAUAUAAUUGAAGGUACUUUUAUAUUAAAAGAUGAGAAUUCUCAUCAGAAAAAAAUUAAGCAUAACAGGUAAAGAAGAAAUAAUACAACAUCCUUUUAAAUAAUAUAAUAUUUUUUAUCUUUCUUACUAAAAAUUUUAUAUUUAAAAUAUGUUUCACCAUUUAAAAUUAUAUUGCAUUAUUUAAUUAAAAAUAAAAUUGUUUAUUAAAAAUAUAAAAAUUUUAUGCCAUUUGAAAUUAUAUUACACAUGCACUUUGAUAAAUAAGUUGAACUAAUUGGUAGUUUGUUGGACAACUUAAAAAACAUGUGCAAUAUAUUUUAAAUAAAUAAAUAGUGCACUUCAAUUUAUAAUAAUAUAUAUAAAAGCUCAAGAUAUUAUAGCAUUAAAAUAAUGUGUCAAUUUUUUUUUUUAAUAAUUGACAAAUCAUAAUGUACAUAUACUUUUCCUUUGAGAGACAAAAAUUUUCGUUUAACACACAAAAAAAGAAGAAGAAGUGCAAUAUCCUCCUAAAUUGUGCAAUAUUUUUAUAAAUGGUUCAAUAUUUGUAUAAACACUAGAAAUAUUGCACAAUUUACGCAAUAUAUAGCAAACACAACAAUAUAUUAUUUAGUACAAAUAGUGUAAUAUAUUGUAAUAUAUUGUAUAAAAAAGUGAUACAAUAUUUGUAUAAAUAUUGCAGAUAUAUUGCAUGCAUAAUUUCUAUAAAUAUUAUAUAAUUUAGGAGGAUAUAUAUAUUGCACCCUUUUUUCUUUAUUUAUUUAUUUUUUUGUUUUUGCGUAAAUGAGAAUUCCUUUUCUCGAGAAUAAAUUACAUGCAUAUAUAUAUAAUGACUGUCUAAAAAAUUUGACAUUUUAUUUUAAUAUUAAAAUGCAAUAUAAUUAAUAACUAUUCUCUUAAAUUAUGCAAUAUUUAUAAAAUAGUGCAAAAUUUAUACUAUUUGUGUAAAUAUUUACAUCAUUUAUAUACAAUAUAUCAUAAAAAGUACAAUAUAUUGCAUAAAUUAUACAACAUUUAUAUAAAUAGUGUAAUAUUUUACUAUUUUUUCUGUAGUCUUUCAAAGUUCAUAAUUUUAAUCGAUUGAUUUGAAUUCUUCAAGUCGACCGACCAGGAGAAUAACGCAGAAAUCGAUUGAUUUGCAUGUACGCAUUUCGAGCGUAUCGAUCGACAUUUUAGAAAUUUAGCAUAUAUAUGUAUGAUUACUGAACAUUAUAUUAAUUGAUUAACUAUUAACUCAUUGGAAAAGUAUCAUAAUCGUCUCGGACGUAUUCCUUCCGUGUAAAUAGAUAAAAUCUACUUAUAUCAUUAUAAUUCUUACUUUUUUUAUAAGUUUUAUAUUAAAAAAAUUAUUUUGACUUUUAUAUAGAUGACACGGCCAAUUCCUAAAUUUAUGAUUAAUAGUACAAAAGGACAAGUUCCAAAAAAAAAAAAAAUAAAUAUCGGCUCGAGAUGUGUUUAGCUUGUUAAUUUGCUUGUCUAUUAAUUAAACGGUCACACAAAUUGUCCAAAAAAAUUUUAUUUAUUCUUUUCUUUUUUAUUUUUGUUUUUGCGAGUUCACUAAGUUUUCACUUUAUUUCGAUUCAGUUCGUUUCAAUUGAUUAACUCGGUUUCGAUAAAAAGUUUUUAAACAAUUGAUAUUAACAUGCUUAAUCUCAUUCUUAAAUGUUUUAUCUAAUGGUAUAUUAUCAAUCGAGACGCAACCGUAAAAUAUAUAUAAUUUGAAAGUUUAAUCACUAAUAAAUGUUUAACCGUUAAAUAUUGAAGGGAGGGAUGGGUUUAGAAUUGGCUUUACUAUUAAGGGGUAAAUACAAUUUGGGUUCUCAAACUAUAAGAUACAUGACACUUUCGUCCUUAAAUUUUAAUUUAUUUAAUUUCUGGCUCGAAUUUUUUAAAUUAUUACAAUCAAGUCUCACAAACUAAUUUUUUAAUUAAAUAUUACUGAAUUACUAAUGUAAAAGUGAUUUUAGUAAUGUCAUAAUUGAAUAAAUUAAGAUGCCACAUUAUUUCUAUAUUAAUAAUUCACUAACAUUUAGUAAAAAAGAUUAGGUUAUGUGAUUUGAUUAUACUAAUAUAGAAAAUUUUACUUAGAAAUUAUAAUAAAUUAAAGCUUGAGAACUAAAAUGUUUUCCCCUUCAUAUAUAUAUAACUUAAGAACCAAAACUAUAAUAUUAUAUUAUCUGAAAGAACAAUUUACUAUGUAAUAAAUGGAUCCGAAUAUAUACACUGUUAAAUUUACAAACACAUCACAUCUAUCAUUAAAAUUAUCAAUUUUGAGACCUUUGUUCAUCACUAGCCAAAUGAUGUCGAAAAAUUAUGAAAUUUAAUUUUUAAAUAUUUUUAAUAAUGUAAAUCAAGUCUAACGGAGCCGAUCGUCGAUUUGGGAGCCGCAUCAUUGAAAAUAACUUGGUAGCAUGGAUGCCUCUGUCCUAUCGAUAGUAUAUCAGCCUAUCUCUCUCUCUAUCUAUAUAUAUAUAGCAAGAUACAUGAUUAAUGGAAUCUUUACAUUUAUGGAAUAGUUUGUUAGUUUGUGUUUUUUUAGAUAAAAAAUUGUUUUGAAUGUUUUGCUUGGAGUUAAAUGAAAUCUUUACAUUUACGGAAUAUUUGUUAGUUAGUUUUUUUUUUUAGAAAAAAAAAAUUGUUUUGAAUAUUUUGCUUGGGAUUUGAUAUCGUCGCUAUUGCGUUGUCAACUCCAACAACGACUUCUCACCAAAGCGAGCAACGGAAAUCUCUUCCCAACGAGAGAAAAGAAAAAAAAUAUCACAGAAUCAAAUAUAAUAAUAAUAAUAAUAAAAAAAAGUAAAAGCCACUUUGUUGGAUGUUGUAGUACAACUACUUAAAGAGAGAUACGCCGACCAUCCCUAGCGCAAGUGAUAAAAGACUUAGUAAUUGAUAUCCGAGGUCCCGAAUUCGAAUUCUAAUUUAUUCAUAUUUCCAACUAAGUUUAUUUCUAAACGAAAUAAACGAAACGUGUAAUAUGCUACCUAUUUCUCAAAAAAAAAAAGAAAAAAAAAAAGAGAGAUACAACAUUUUAUUUUAUUUUGUUUCAUUUUUCUAUCGGAUGGUUGUUACUUCUGUUUGUUGUGUAAAUACUAAUUGAGUAGAAAUCUUGGUAUAGUUAAUGGGACAUCCAACUUAGUAUUUAUUUACUUUUGGGUAAAAUAUGGAUAACCUUUUUUAAUAUAUUGUAUAUAUAUAUAUUGCAUUUUACUCUUUUAUAUAUAAAACAAAUAUGCACUUAAUUUCAGUUGAACGAUGAAAAAUAUCUUAUCAGAAUAUAAUAUUAAAAAAAAAUAAUAAAUGAUUAAACAUGCCUUCAUUGUUUAUUCUUUUUCCUUCUCAAAAAGAUGAAGUGCAUAUUUUUUUAAAAGGUUAAAUACUAACUCUUCUUAUUUUUUUUAGGAGCUAGGCUGGCAUACUAUCGGUAGCACGAAAGCUUCCGUGCUACUAAGUUAUUUUUAUUGAUGCGGCUUCCAAAUCGAUGAUCGGUUCCGUUAGACUUGAUCUACACUAUUAAAAAUAUUUGGAAACUAAAUUUCAAAAUUUUUCAACAUCAUUUGGUUAGUGAUCAAAAGGUCUCAAAAUUGACAAUUUUAAUGAUAGAUGUGAUGCAUUUGUAAAUUUAACAGUGUAAAACAAUCCAAAUCAAAUGAAAUUUUUAUAGAAAAUUCUUUUUACUAUUUAGAGUAAGAUCAGUACCNUAUCAUUAUUUUUUAUGAAAUUUUUAUUUUCAGCCGUUCAUUUUUAGACUACUUGUUUGAUAGGUAAAUGAUACAAAAAAAUUAUGAAAUUUAGUUUCCAAAUUUUUUCAAUAGUAUAGAUCAAAUCUAACGGAACAGUUCGUCGAUUUGAAAGCGAUAUUAUUAAAAACAACUUGGUAGCACGGAGACCUCCGUGCUACCGAUAGUAUACCAGGCUAACUCUUUUUUUAGAAGAUUAAAUACUAACUCUUCAUAUGAUAAGAAACAAAGAAGAGAUUAUAAAAAACAAAAGUAGUAGACUGUGCCAUUAAUAAAUAAGAGGUGAAAAGAGUUGCUCUUAAAUUUUUUUUUUUAGGAAUAAUAUCUAAUACGUUCUUCAAAAUUUUAAAAAUAUUAUAUUUAUUUCUGAAGGACUAAUUUAGUUUGUUGAUUUAAAAAAGUUCCUUCAAACAAUAUCCCAAUUUUUCCUAAGGUUAAUUUACUAAUGAAAUUGAAUUUUAAAAAAAUAUUUUCGUAAUUUCAAAAUAAAUUUUAAAACUUUUGAAUAGUAAUAAAGGAAAAAGUAAGCAAAAGCCUUUUUUUUCUUUAAACACACGUAGGCGUAGGAAUAAGGGAAAAUCUAUGCACUGUAUGUGGUAGUUGUGCAAUUUGACUUUGUAGCUAUUUAUUUAUUAUGUCUCUUAUAUGCAUGCAAAUAGCCAUUAAAUUUGUGCAAUUUACUUUUAAAAAUACAUAGUCAAAAGUGACACAAACAUAAAACUAAUUAGUAAACAAGAUGAAGAUGCACCAACCCAAGAGAGACCAACAACUCUUGUGAGAAAAAAUGGUUUUGACAUAAAAACGAUGACGAAUUCGAGAAAGAUCAAUAAUGCUGCACGUUUGGACUUGAGACUUUUUUAUAAACCCGUUAUGUAGAGUUGAAUUAAACGGGAGAAACUCAACAAUGGUAAAGAUCUGACGUGACUCAAACUCAGAACCCCUUAUUUUGAUAUCAUGUUAAAGAAUAGAAAAUAAUUAUUUUCUUCAAAAUUUUAAAUUGGUUGGAGAAUGGUGUUUUUAUAUAUUCUUUUAUAUUUAACAAACGUUCCAAUAUAAUUUGAUCAGUUGCAAGUCGCAAUUGGUCAAGAUCGCGCCGCACGUAUGGCCAGUACAAGUUAUAUAUAGGCUAAAUUAUAGAAAACCUUCCUGUCAAAACUCGAUUUUUCAUUUUUUCCCCUGUCAUUUAAAAACCUACAUUUUGUUCCCUUGUAAAAUAAAAAAUGUUCACAGGGGGUACAGUGUGAACUGUAAUGAUAAAAUGAUCAUUUUGCCCCUCAUUAUUUUGUCCCUCACCAUGUUCACAGGAGAAAAGGCAGAGGGCAUUUUUGGCAUAAAAAAAAUAUAAUAAUAUUUUAUAAACGGAACCCUAACGGAGUACUAACGGUAGGGGGCGAAGUGAACAUUUUUAAUUUUACAAGAAGGUAAAGUGUAGGUUUUUAAAUGAUAGAGAGGAAAAGUAAAAAAUUGGGUUUUAAUAGGGAAGUUUUAUGUAAUUUAGCCUUAUAUAUAUUCAUCAUUUGUGGUUCAAAGUUUAUUAUAACAUCCAAAUUAAACAUUGUGGUUCUACACAUUUGAAGAAUUUGCCUAUUUUAUUUUCAAAUAAAUUUCAUGCAACAUUUAGAAAGAAAAAACAAAGAACAUGCGCCUAUUGUUGUUUGAACUUGAAUUACUUAGGCUUAUUUUGGUAUUGAAGCAUAUCAAACGCUAUUAGAUAAAAUAGAGUUGAGAAAAAAGCAUAUAAUAGGGAUAUACUUUUGCGUUCUCCGGUGGGACCGCAGAAAAUAUAUCAUAACUGACUCAUCGCGAUAUGCGGAACGCAAUAUUAUAUACGUAAACAAACAGAGUAUUUUUCCAACGUACUUUCUCACUGCACGUAAACGCUAUCUCCCUACAAUUCCAAACGAAGCUUUAAUUUAUUUAUUGGUUAUCUGUCAUUUUUUUUUAAGUUUUUUUUUUUAUCGAUAUUUAUAUAUUUAUUGAAUAAUUCAAAGAAAUAUUCAAAUAGUUGAAAAUUUGUGAACUAUUUGCGAGUUUGCAAUAAAUUGGAAAAUGUUGUGUUACCACAAUAUUUGAUUAAAGCCUUCAUAAUUAAUUCAUUUAGGCCUAUUUGGUUUCAGGGGCGUCUAAUGUUACUAAUGUUACUGAGAAAAAAUUGUUGAGGCAAAAGCUUAUCGUUAUAUGGUUCUCCAUUUUCUAAUAGAACUACAAAAGUUAUAUCUUAAUGAAAUUAUUGAAAUCUACACAAUACGAUAUCUUUUAUAGAAAUAAAUAAAAUAUUUUUCUAUUGCACUUUUUUUUUAAGUACUUAAUGCAUUCUUCCUUCAAUCCAAGGCGGAGCCUAAAUUAACGCACGAUGAAGGUAGAGAUGCAAACGGAGCGGAUCUUGGGCAGGAUCCCCGUCCCGCCUCCCGUGCUCACUAGCAAAAUCCCACCCCACCCGCCCCAAAUCUAUGACGGGUUAAAAAAUAUAUCCUAUAAUCCAUCCUGCCUCGUAACCCACCUCCCACCGGGGCCCCUGAAUCCGCCCCGCGAAUAUAUUUUUUUCAUAAAAUUUUAAUAUUACUAAGUUUCAAAUAAAUAAGAAAUGAAAGCGGAUUACGGACUUUUUUUGUAAACAUAUUAUUUUUUAGGAAUAUUUUUUAAAAAUAUAUAUAGUUUUCGGGGCAGAUUUGGGAAGAAUCAUGGUGGGGCUUAUUCGGGACAGGUCAAAAUUUCUACAGUUUUCUGCCCCGAAUCCAUUUUCGGAUCAUAAAAAUUACCCCCUUUUCCACCUCGAUUCCGUUUAUUUUUUUUUCGUUUACUGCCCCCAUUCGGGGAGGAUCGGGGCGGGAGCUCCACCAACCCAGAUCUGUUUGCAUCCCUAGAUGAAGGUGGGAUUUUCAAGCCAAGAAAACCUCAAAUCCAACUAGGCUAGUAAAAACAAAAGAGUAUCGUGUCGAAUUAUUGUCGCUAACCAUUAUUCCCAAAAAUUUAAGCUGUUAAAAAUACACAACCAAUUCUUUUAAAGCGUACAGACACAGUGCCUACUGGUUCGAAUUAUGACUCAGUCCAACUAGCCCCACACCAUUUCAAAGAUGACUCGACUUAAUCCAAUCUCUCGUCAUUCAGAACGUUAUUCGGUCUAUCGGUUCGAAUUAUGACUCGGUCCAACCAGCCCCACACCAUUUCAAAGAUGACUCGACUUUAUCCGAUCUCUCAUCAUUCAGAACGUUAUUCGGUCCAAUCUGACCUCCCUCCAUUGGGUAGGAUGCUGGCACUUUUAAGCCAACAUGUAGAGCCCAAGGGGGCCCAACAAAGCGUGUAAAUGCCCACUAGAGAGGACUGGGAAUUAACAGAUGAGCUUAAGGCCCAAGGUUUCAAAAUCCAAAUUGGUCACCUCAAAAGCUUCAAGAACAAAAAGGUCACAACAUUAAAUAAAUAAACUAAUUUUUUUUAUAAGGAGCUCCAUAUAGAAAAUGGGAUAUGAGAGGAGGGAUUGAUCUCUCAUGCUUUUAGGACAAACUUGUUUAAUAGUUAAGAUUAGAUGUAUCAAUUUGAUGAAGAGUGUCUAAUACUUUUUGCAAAUUUAUGUACUUAUAUUUAGAUGAUACAAUUUGCAACUUCCCACAUGUAUUGUGAAAGUAGAAAAGAAAUAAAAUUGUAAUUAUUUAAAUUUCGUCACUUCGAACAUGAUUUUCAGAAUAAUUCGGAAAAAGAAAAGUUAAAAUUUAAUGUACAUGAUACCGAAAAUAUGAAGCAAUUAGGUGCUGAACUUAAAAUUUCAUAUGCCAACUAUUAAAUUCUUUGCUAUCUACGCUAGAAACGAUCAGUAUGUACGAUAAAAUUUUUAUUGUUUAUUUUGGUUGAAAGUAGAAUAAGAAAUAAAGUCAACUCGCUGUAACUAAAAUUCACUUUUUUUUCUUUUUUUUUUCUUUUUUUUUUUUUUUUUUACAAUAUUUUUAAAGAUUUUUAGAAUUAAAAAAUUUAAAAAAUAAAUAGGAGAAUGUAGAUCUUUGGAUGAAUUAGGUGUAAAUUUUGUACCUAUCUGUAGAUGCACAAGUAGCAUUGCUCUUGUGGUGUAAAAUAAAUUAUAGUAAAUUAACCAAUCGUUUAAGAAAUUUAAGUUUAAAAAUGUUUAAUUGCCAAUACACUUGCAUUAUAUUUAGUUUCUUCAAGCUGAACCUGUCAUUAUUAUUAUUAUUUAAAAAAUAAAAUUAAUAUACUUAUAUUUUUUUCACAAUAAAAAAAAAAUUAACUGAGGAGUUCUCCAAUAAAUAAGACAUCACUAAGUAGCCCCGUUUCUAGGGGUGGAACUGGGCCCGGGCCUAACCAAGGCCCGGCCCGAUGGGCCAUGUUUGGGCCGGGCUUUGGGUAUUAAAAAGAUAAUUUUAGGUUCGGGUCGGGCUUAAAAAUUUAGGCCCGAAUAAAAUUUGGGCCUAUUUGGGCAUGCCCAAGCCCGGCCCGAGUCCGACCCAAAAGCCUGAUAUAUUAAUUAUCAAAAUAAAAUAUUUAAUUAUAUAUAUUAUUUAUCUAGUAAAAGAAAUAAAUGAUAUAAUAUAUCAUAUAUAGUAUAUAUUGUUAUUAAUGAUAUGUACUUAUAUAUAUGAGGAUAUGUUAUAUAUUAACAAAAUAUUUAGUUCUAUAUUAUGAUAUAUUUGAUGUUAGAUAUUAAUUUCUUUGAUGUGAUAAAACUAAAAAUAGGUAUUUUAUUUUAAUUUUAUACAAAUAAAAGUAUUUAUGUAUUAUAUGAUAAAUGCAUAAAAUGGGCCUCCACAAAGCCCGAUGGGUAUUGGGCAUUGGGCUUGGGCUUGGGCUUGGGCCGGGCCUUGAUUUUUAAAAAAUUGGGUAAAAGCCCGACCCGAAGCCCAACAUUUUUUUUUGGGCCGGGCUUCGGGCAUAGUAUUGCCCGACCAAAACCCGGCCCAGUUCCACCCUACCCGUUUCGCUGUGAUGUAUUAAUUUUAUUUUUUAUAUAAAAUUAUAAUUUUCCCUCUAAAUUUAAUUUUAAAAAAAUAUUAAUAUUAAAAAUAUUUAGCGAGCUCCUCUCCGGCGCGCGGACCGGCUCGGCGCGGCGGGCGGGAGGUGGGCCGGCUCGGCCGGACGGGGCGCGCCGGGUCGGAUGUCACUGUGAGCGCGGAGCGCGCCGGGUGCGCGCCAGCGCUCGCCGCCGAGCGGCACGUGCCUCGCCUAGGAGGACUCGCACGUGGUGGGGACGCGGCGGCUCGGAGGAGGGUGGCGGACGCGGCCCGGGUCGCGAGCGUCGCCAUGGCGCUCCUGAACCGGGUCGGACCGGGUAAGUGUUGCGCUCCUUAAAAUUUUGUAAAAAAAAUGCAAGGAGGACCCUCUACUAUAACGUUAACUCUACAAACUGCGAGGUAUUAAUCAAAAAGUUAAAUUUGAGGGUGCCCAUUUCAUAACUCGCUAUAGUUGAGGGGGUCUCCAUAUAUUUAUGUCUUGGAUGGUUAGGGUGCCAGGUGGAAAUUUUGAUGGUUGGGUAAAUUAUUUGCGGCUAAAGUGAUGAUGAUGUAAUGAAUAAAUUGAAUUUGAUACAUUGUUAUAGUUUUUUUUUAAAUAAUUAUUUUAAAUUUUUGGAGAGAUUUUGUACAAUUAUUUUAAGGGGCAAUUGCCUAUAUACCCCUGAAAAGUUUCCGUUUUUCUUAUUUACCCCUCUUAGAAGGUUAAUAUUGAAAAUACCAUUCUUAUAUUCCAAAUCUUUCUAAUAUAUCCUUGGAGUUAAGUUCAGUCAGUGAGCUGUUGUUAUUUCUGAAAAAUUACCAUUUUGCCUAUUCCAAUAUACCCUUCUUAUGUUCCAAGUCUUUUUAAUAUACCCCUGGUGGUGGCUGUGGCCGUGCGACACCGCAUUCGCGCGCAUCGCGACGAUGUGCACCGCGUCGCCGCCCUUGGCGGAGCCCUCGUCCUCGUCCUCGUCCACGGGUGGCUCCGGCGCCGCCGUGAUGAUGGAGCGCUCCUCGUCGUCCUCCGCCGCGCUCGUAGAACUGGGCCCUCAAGCUGUGGGGCGCCCCCGACACCGUCGCCCGCUGCGGCCUUCCACUCCGCCUACGCCAACUCCUGCAUCAACCUCGCCAUCUUCGACCCCGAGAGCGCCUCCCGCGCUCGCGUCGCCGCCCUUGUCGGCGCCCCCGCCGAGCGCCUUGUCCACCUCUUCUGCGUCGUCCUGCGCCAGCUCCUCAUCCACGACGCCCUCUUCUUCCGCUACUCCGACCGCGACCUCCUCGACCACCUCGCCCGCUCUUGCGCCUCCCUCCGCGCUACCCGCGAGGGCGCAGCGUCCGACCCCUUCGAGCCCUGGCGCCGGCGGGUCCGAUCUCUCCUCCCCGCCGAAGGAACCACGGUGAAGCACAUAAAGACCGGGGACGACGUCGCCGUCUCACGGUGGCUGGCGGUGACGUUCCUGAUGAUGACGAUGGCGGACUUCGGCGACCAGCUGUUCGACUAGCAGGACAAGGUCUUUCGCAACGAGGACAGGCGGCUCGAGUUCGCCGGCGAUAACCAGGCCGCGCUGUGGCCUGGGGAAGGGAAGUCCGGGCUUUGGAUGAAUUCGAUAUCGCGGAUGGCUGCGCUCUACUCGCUCAUCGCCAGAGAGGAGGAGAUCUAAUUGCUGGAAAGGAAGAGCCGAGAAGGAGCAGACUAUUUGAAUUGGUGGUUCCGCCGGUGUUCGACUACUGCACCAGUCUUAGACGCAAAUGAUCAAAUAGUUGGCAGGGAUCUGUACUGGGAGGCAGUAUGCGGCGGCAACGACGAAGACAAAGAUAAAGAUAAAGCAGGGGAUACAUGGGGGAGGGUGGAGAAGCUGUUGAAGGAGAGCUGCGAGAAGAACCCGUUUGUGGGGGAGCCGCAUUUGGUGCUAGCGCAGGAGGCUCCACCGUUUCCGCCCUGACGCCAGCGGGAUCGCCACGCCCACCACCCUCGCCACCAGGAUCGCCGCCAUCGCCACCAGCUUCAGCCAUAGCGCCGCCGCGUCGUCGCGGCACCCCUUCUCCUCCGUCGUGCCCCCGUGGAGGAGCCGGGGAGGUGGAGGAGGAGGAGCUCGCGAUCAAGUUGGGAGAUAAAGAGGAUAACUUAAGACAUUAGCAUAAUAAGGUAGGGGUAAAAUAGGUAUUUUAUAUAGGUUUUAACUCUAGCGUACAUUAAACCCAUGUUUAACCUGAGUUAAGCUAACAGGGGAUAACUGCGGUGGUAUUUUAGAAUAACGGUGGAACAUAUGAGGGGCAUUUUAGAAAGAAAAAAAAAGUAGGAGUAUAUCGAAUAUUUCUAAACGCAUGAGAGGUAUAUAGAUAAUUAUCCCUUAUUUGAAACUUCUGUUGUGCCGCAUAUGCAGGUAGGAUGUCAAAGUGUUGGGUAGAAUUCUGGACAAAUGUUUAAAAAAUUUUAUAUCCCGAUUCCGUCAAUAUUUUAUUUUUUAUUUUUUUUAUUAAAAAAUAUAUUUAUUUUUAUAUUCAGGUACGGAUUUUAAAAGGUUAUUUUUAUUUAAGAACUUUUUUGUCGGAAAAUUAUAGGGAGUAAAAAUAAAUGAGAUGUUGUGGCGUUGUCAUUUUUUUUUAUUUUUUAUUAUUGUUAUUUUUUUAAUAUAAAGAAUUGUCACGCACUAUUUCCCAUGUGAAUGCUUGUCGGAUAAAUAAUAAAUAAAUAAAUAAAAUAUCUUUUACAUUAAUUGUAACCGGAGUCGCAAAUCUCAAUUGCAUCCGUGCAUAAUGUUUUUUUUUUUAAAUCAAACGCUAACAUUUUAAUAUUAGCUAUCUGAAUAAUUGAACGUAUAUCUAGUUUACGACUCGUAUAAUAUCUCUUUUAAUAAUUUAUCCCUUGAAUUAACCUUUAAGCAUGUGUUCACAAAUGAAACAACGUUGCAUGGUUCCGUGUACAGCAUCACAUAGGUUACAAUGAUGAUUGAUGCCGAAUUAAAACAACAGCCCCAGAUUUUGACACCCUUUGAUCAAGUUAACAGCGUACAAAUGAAUGCGGGCGAAGACGUCGCGCAGAUCGGAUCUCUUUUAACUUUGGGACGGCUUCUCGUCGGGCUUUGUCUCCUCCUUGACGCCGUCUUUGUCGUUUCCUCCUUCUGCAUUGGGGGUGUCCUUCGUAGUCUCGGGCUUCUGCUCGCUGGCCUCGACGGUGGCCACCUCAAUCUUCGACUCGGAGGGCUCCACCGGUGCCUCCUCUUUGUUCUCCUGCUCUACGUUCUCGCUAUGCUCGGCCACCUCAUUGUUCUCCUUCUCUACGUUCUCAUUUGACUCGAUCGCAGCCUACAGGCAUCAACAUAGAAAUUACACAUCGCUUUUAUGAUUUUACUUUUGAGUUUCAAAAACUUAUUUCGUUCCGACUGAAACUGAAAACAUAGAAUUCAAUAGAUGUCAUACUCCUAACGAGCUACAAUAAACCAAAACUAGGAGCUUGUACGUGAGUUUGCAUGCAAAACAAACCUACAUCUCAAGUUAAGUUCUAAAAUCUUACGACAGUGGUCGUGGCGACAACAGCAGUGGCAUCAGAGGGGGCUACUUGUUCGGCAGUAAAAUCGUCAGGAGCCUUGCCGUCAAGCUCCUUGGGUCUGCUCGCACACCCACCCAUGGAUUCUAGCUGGCGCUGUAUAAGACUGGUGGGCGGCGAGGGCUUUCGGAGAGAGCAGAAAGAAUUGUUAUUACAAUGCGAUGAAAAGUUAAGAGAUGAAGAACUCUUUAUAUAAGGUGUGAGGAGCUUGUUUAGGUAAAUGGAUUGAGGGCACUGAGUUGGUAUCUAAAUUUAGGGUAAAAAUGAAUGGAUAGUAGGGUGCGAAAAAUAAGAUGCAAAAUGACUGAAAGAGGAGACAUGUUGACCAUUUCAAACAGUUGCUAAAAGUUUUAGGUUAGGGUCAAUAGUGGUUGUUACUUUGAAUGCUUUUGACCAAUCAAAUUAAAAGGUUAGAUAGUGCGUAAAAUACUUUGCUCGUUUUAAGUUCAAGUCGUAAGUUCAAAUUUGGAUUCGAAUUUUGGAUUAUAAAUUUGAAUAAUACAAUUUAAUUUUAAGGCUAAAUUACAUAAAAGCCCCCUGUCAAAACCCGAUUUUUCACUUUUCCUUCAUGUCAUUUAAAAACCUACACUUUGCCUCCUUGUAAAAUAAAAAAUGUUCAUAGGGGGAUACGGUGUGUAAAAUGACCAUUUUGCCACUUACCAUUUUCGUCUCUUCCAUUAUCUUCCUCAACCGCCGCCUCGAUCGGCCGCGAUUUCUCUCCAUUUUCUUCUCCACCUGCUCCCCUUCUCCUCCUGCAGCCUCGCCGCCCCUCGAUUUCAGCGACAGUAGGGAGGAAAUCGAUGUGGGCAUUGAUGGAGAGGUAGGCAAGGGCAACGAGGGCGAAGGCGAGGUGGCGGAGGAGGGCGAAAGGGAUGUGGGCGAGGGCGAGGCAGUGGAGGAAGGCGAGGCGGCGAGGCGGCGAGUCGGAAAGAGGCGAAGUAGCAGGGAAGAGGGCGGAUAGGUAUUUUUGGCAUAAAAAAAAUUUUAUAACUGAACCCUAAUGGUAGGGGGUGAAGUGCACAUUUUUUAUUUUAUAAGGGGGCAAAGUGUAGGUUUUUAAAUGACAGGAGGAAAAAGUGGAAAAUCGAUUUUUGACAGGGGGGUUUUCUAUAAUUUAGCCUAAUUUUAAUCCAAAUUCAUUGUUUUGUAUUUUAAGUUGAAUAUGAUUAUACUUCUGAUUUCUCUUAUGAGCCAAACAAAUUAGAAUUUUAUCAUUCUCUUUUUCAAUUCGGAUUUUGAUUUCUUUUGAACCAAACAUGCUCUAAUAUUUUUUGUUCCUUGCAAAAAAAAAAAAAGGUUUGAAAUUGAAAUAUUUUUGGUUUUUUGGGCUUCAAAUUUCUCUCUACUUUAACACAGAAAUAGAAAAUUCCAACAUUUCAAAGUAUUAAAUAUUUUACUAAAAAUUAUUGCAACUAAAAUAAAAAUGGAAGUGAAAUAAACACCCGAGGUAGAUUACAUUGAUUCAAUUAAAAUAUAAUUCUUAUGCAUUGUACCUAAAUUCGAAAGCAUAUAUAGUAACCGAUUGCAGAAUCGGAUGUUCCAUUAUUGAAAACAACUUAUAAGCACGGAGGCCUCCGUACUUUUGAAAGUAUAGAAGCCUAACUAUAUAUAUAUAUCGGUAGCACGGAGACCUCCGUGCUAUCAAAUUUAUUUUUAAUGAUGCGGCUUCUAAAUCGACAAUCGGCUCCUUUAGGCUUGAUUUACACUAUUGCAAGUAUUUGAAAUCUAAAUUUUAUAAUUUUUCGACAUUAUUUGGCUAGUGAUCAAAAUAUCUCAAAAUUAACAAAGAUUUCAAAAUUUAUAAUUUUGGCGGUCGAUAUAAGACGUUUUCUUAUUUAACGGCGUAAAGAUAUCCAAAUCAAUUAAAUUUUAGUUAAAAAUUUUUCUAAACUAUUUAGAAGAAGAUCUAUACUCAUGAUCUGGAUUUUAAGGCUUUAAUCAUCACUUUUUAAAAAAUAUUUAUUUUCAACCGUUUAAUUUUGCGUCUACUUGAUGGACAAAAGAACAAUGUCCGUUCAUUUACUCGUUUCCCGGAUUACUCGUUCUCCGGACACGCCCGGACACGCCCAGCCGUUCCCCGGACACUGUCAAGAGGAACGAGUAAUCUGGGGCGUGACAAUAUUUUAUAUAAUUAUUUUGUACUUUGAACUAUUAGACAUAUUUUUGUAUCAAAUUAUAGAUAAUAUUUUAUACAAAUUAAACUAUUGAUCGUAUGAUGUUGAGAAUUUCAAGCGGCUCGUUUAGGACUCGUGCUCGCUCGAUUCGAAAUUAGGCUCGCUCGAGCUUGGCUCGAAUUAAUUUCAAACCAAGCUUGAGCUUAAAUUUAGGCUCAAAAUUAAUUUCAAGCCGAAUUUGAGCUGAGAUAAGCUCGCUCAAGCUCGGCUCGAGCUCGGCUCGUUUCCACCCCUACCCUCCAUCUGGUUUGUUAUAAUUAUAAUAUAAUUCGGCCGGAAUGCAGCAAAAUUUUUUUAGAGUUCAAAAUAUAAUAAAUUUUUAAAACUUUAGUUAUAUUAUCGUCUACUGACUAAACUACAGUUUGGCUGCUACAUUACAACUAAUCAAUUUUAGAAAAUAGAUACCAAUAAGAAGAAAUAUCAAAGUUGAAAAUAAAUUUGAAAGAAUUCAAAAUUCUUUAUCUUCUUUUUAAUAUUAUAUCUAAAAAACACCUUAAAAAUACUAAAAAUAGUAAAGUAUUUAGAAAAAUAAAAAAAAAAGCAGACCCAACUCCAACCAUCUGCAGAGACUAACUGAUCCAACUACAGUUCUCUCUAAUAUAGAAACCAACUAGAAGAAAAUGUCAAAGUUGGAAAUGAAUUUAAAAGUAGGUAAGAACGCACAAAGCUUAUCUGAAAUAUGAAUCAUUCUAAAUCUGUUAUCCAACGUUUCAAAAUUUUGGUUUUACUAUCCGACCUUUCGAUUUAUUUGAUUUGAGUCAGUUAUCCGUACUUUGAGUUCAAAAUUAAAGCUAAUUACUUAUUUAAAUAAAUUUAUAGUUGGGAUAACUCAUUACCCUUUUUUUCUAACAUUUUAUUUUAUUAGACGGGAAGUCGUUGAAAGAGAAUUCGGCUAUAAUGGCAUCCCACUUUUCUGGAAAAAAAGAGAUACGAUCAAUCAUUUUUUAACUAAAUAAUCAAACAAAUUCAGUUUUUAAAAGUUUCAUUUUUUUAUACUUUACUUUUCAUCAAUCAAACAUGUCCCCCCAAAAAAUUCUAAGAUCAUAAUCUUUUAUCUUAUAUUAUUUGAAAAAAAAUCUUAAAAAAAUUAUAAAAAGUAUGAAAAAAAAGGCAGAACCUAACACAAUCCACAAAGAAACUCACUUAUCCAAGUCCACUCCUCCCCACUUCCAAGUCAACCCCCCUCUCCUCUUUCACUUCACUUCUCCUCCUCCUUUCCACCAUAACCAACCCACUUCCCAAAUAUAACACUGACACAACAAAAGCUACAAACCACAAUAAAAAGUUAUAAAAGAUCAGCUACAAAUAAAAGAACCCAACACCUGCAAGAGUAAAAACAAAGAAUAGCAGAUGAUAAGAAAAGAUUCAGACUUUUUUAAGGCCCCAAAUAAAUUACCAUUACUUUUUGAGUUUGAAUUGAACCGACAAUCUCAUGGAUAAAUCAGCCAUCCCUACUGCCCAACAACAACACACAACAACAGAUCUUGGGCUCUCUUAAUUACUCCUCUAUUACUACUACUACUACUACUACUAAUACUAAUACUAAUAUUAUUAUUAUUGCUGCUGCUGCUGCUGCUGCUACUAGUGCUUUUUUUGGGGGAAGAAAUGGCUUUGGCUUCUGCUUCUCAGAACACUAUUUUUGGCCUCCUUCUGCUACAGCUUCUGCUUCUUGGGACAUCUUCUGGCAGUAAUGUAAGGUUAUCUCACUGCCCAUUUUCUGAUUUUCUGUACUGAUGUUAUGUAAUGCUUAAACAUGGGGUUUUGCUGUUGUUGUUGUUGUUGUUGUUGUUAUUGUUGUUCUCAUGGUUAGGUGUACAUUGUGUACAUGGGGGAGAAACCCCAGAUGCAGCCACAGCUUGUUCAUGAACUCCACCAUGGGAUCCUCACCAGUGUGCUUGGGAGGUCUCUCUUAAUUUCCUUCUUUAGUUUUUCCUGUUAAAUCACUUUGUUUAAUCUGCAAGAUUGACAGUAACUGUUCCUUUGAAUUUAGCCACACAAAUUUGCUGCAAUAAAGGCUUAUUAUUUUGCUGUUUCUAGUGAAGAAGAGGCGAAAACAUCAAUUCUUUAUAGCUACAAGCAUGGGUUCUCAGGAUUUGCUGCUGUGCUCUCGGAAUCUCAGGCGGCCCGCCUUGUCGGUGUGUAUUUGGAGGAUGACAAGUUGAUUUGAAUUGUUCUUGUUCUUCUUCUCUUUUUUUUCUGGGUAUCAUUGUUUCUGAGAAUUAUUUAUUUUCAUUUUGUUGCAUAAUGAAUUAAUUCAGACUGGCCCGGAGUUGUUCGGGUUGUCCCAAACCGGAUUCUCGAAUUGCACACCACCAGGAGUUGGGAUUUUCUGCAUCUGAGUCCAGAGCCCUCAAAUGGGCUCCUCUCAUUGAGUAGAUUCGGCGAGAGGUCGAUUAUUGGUGUGUUGGAUACUGGUGAGUCUAAUGUUUUAAUGAUUCAUCACAAAAAUUGUAGGUUGGAGCUUCAUAUUUGUUGAAGUUUGUCCAUGUACUUUUACUCAAAGGAAUAUGGCCAGAAUCCGAAAGCUUUAAAGACGAUGGCAUGGGAGAAGUUCCGUCACGGUGGAGAGGGAAAUGCGUCGAAGGCGAGAAGUUUCAUGCUUCAAACUGCAAUAGGUUGGCUACUUUCAUCCUCACGCCUGCUUCGUCGAUGAAGCAGAAUAUGAUACUCUUCAUUUAUUUAGGACUAUCUCUUGAUGUCAAUUGUAUCUCUCUUAGUUUGUACCAGAUAUGUCCCAUUUCACCUUUUCAACUCAUAUUUUAGAAAGCUUUUUUUGUCCGAGCUCUAUCAUAAAUCGACAAAUAUUAUUAUCUUACUGAACAUUCUAAACAAAGCCUAAGGAUUUCUUUCAGAUUCGAAGUAAAUUUACUCGCCAUUUCGAUUGCUCUAAGAGUCGUGAUAUUUCUUUUCUUGGGUUUCAUUCAACUACUUGUCGAUUAACAAUGUUACUGCAUGAGGUGUUGUCCUACUAAAUAUCCUACUACAUCUGACCAAAUGAUGUAUGAGUUUCAAUGCUGAGGUCUCCUAUUUCGUUGUAACAUACUUACCCUCUAAUUAGAUUACCCUUUUCCUAGAGAGUCUUGCUUGCUUAUGUCGAAAAAUGUGAAACUCAAACCCUUCGAGAACUUGCAAUUAUCACGGUGGCAACUUGAAAGCUUCAUGGUAGGUUUCUUUCCGCAGGAAAAUAAUCGGAGCACGGUGGUACAUCAAAGGAUAUGAAGCUGAAAACGGUAAACUAAACACGAGUGAAGUGUUUGAAUUCCUGUCCCCCCGCGAUGCUGUCGGCCACGGCACGCACACGUCAUCGACUGCCGCUGGUGCCUUAGUGGCCAACGCGAGCUUCAAUGGGCUUGCUCAAGGCUUAGCGAGAGGAGGAGCCUCACGGGCCCGACUUGCUAUCUAUAAAGUAUGCUGGGCCACAGGAGACUGCAGCUCUGCAGACAUUCUCGCCGCUUUCGACGAUGCCAUACAUGAUGGCGUGGAUGUUCUAUCAGUUUCUUUGGGCCAAGCGCCACCUCUCCCUACUUAUGUCGAGGAUGUUUUGGCGAUCGGCUCCUUUCAUGCCGCGGGCAGAGGAAUUUCUGUUGUUUGUUCUGCAGGGAAUUCCGGGCCGUACUCGCAGACAGUGAUCAAUACCGCUCCGUGGAUUAUAACUGUCGCAGCAAGCACGAUUGACUGGACUUUUAUUUCGAGGAUCACCCUCGGGAAUAACAGUACUUUUGUGGUAAGUUUUCAACUUCUUAUUUCUUGUUUCAUGUUUGUUUUGUUUUAUGUUUGUUUAGCACUGGGCAUAUGAAUAUGUGUUCUAAAUUCAGGGUCAAACUCUAUACCCUGGAAAGCAUCAUAAGAGGAACUACCAAAUUGUUAAUGCCGAAGAUAUCGCCUCCAGUGAUGCAGAAGAUAGUGAUGCAAGGUAACAUUUAUUCCUCGCCACAGUCCCAAUUUAAUCGAAAUCGGGGUGAAAUAUCCUUCUAUUCAAGUUAAUGCCCUCGUAGAAGUUGCAAUACAGGAUCUCUUAAUGCUACUCUAGCAAGAGGAAAAAUUGUACUUUGUUUCCAAACACGGGGCCAAAGGGUGGCUUCUGUCGCGGCAGACACAGUCAGAAAAGCACUCGGUGUUGGUGUCAUCUUCGCUCAGUUCAUGACGAAGGAUAUUGCAUCUUCAUACGAUAUUCCGUGCAUCCAAGUAGACCUUGAAACCGGAAGUACUAUACUAAAUUACAUCGGCGACACAAGGUACAUGUAUAUAUGUGUCCUUCGAACUUCGAAGUCCUUUGUUUUCUAAUUUGGUACAAAUUUGGUUGUGGAGAGUAAAGCAGCAAUCUUCUCCUGACACUUUUCCGCAGAAAACCAGUUGUGAAAUUUAGCUCUGCAAAGACAAUUCUUGGGAAACUGAUUGCUCCUGAAGUGGCAUACUUCUCGUCUCGAGGCCCGAGUUCAUUAUCUCCCUCUGUACUGAAGGUAAUUCUCCGUAAGUUUCAUUUAAGUACGUACCGGUCAGAAGUGAUAAGGCCACGACUUUUGCUGUUAAAGUAAUGUCGGCUUUUCUGUGGUUAACUCAUGGAUACACUCUGCAGCCUGACAUUGCUGCACCUGGUGUGAACAUUUUGGCAGCAUGGCCCCCAGCUUCCAUGUUAUCUCCCACUAGCAGGCCGGUUAAUUUCAGGAUUGAUUCCGGAACGUCGAUGUCGUGCCCGCACAUCUCAGCUGUUGUAGCGCUUCUCAAAUCGAUCCAUCCUGAUUGGAGCCCCACCGCGAUUAAAUCCGCGCUGGUCACAACAGGUCUGCUGCAGGAAAAUCUACUGCCUCAAUCUUUCUUAAUUCAUUGAUUCAAAAAGUGUUAAAUACACAAGUAGCUCCAAACUAGUUCCCUGGCUAUCUGAAAUUGCACAAUAACCAUUUCAAGCCUAUCAUUAAUAAAAUGAGAUCGAUUUCUCUCACUACUUGAUUCUGAAAUUGCUUUUCAUUUCUUCGACAGCUAACGCACGUGACGAAUAUGGCCUCAGUAUAGUAGCUGAAGGAGCUCCUUACAAGCAAGCCGACGCAUUCGAUCACGGAGGUGGCCACGUAGACCCAAACAAGGCUUUAGAUCCUGGUCUAGUUUACGACACGGGUGUUUCCGAUUAUAUCCGUUUUCUUUGCUCCAUGGGAUACAAUAACUCCGCUAUAAGCUCAAUGACGCAGCACAACACAGCGUGCAAAAGCUCCCGUCAAUCGAAGAAGGACUUGAAUCUCCCUUCCAUAUCCAUUCCUGAGCUAAGAAAGACCCUGACAGUAUCAAGAACAGUUACAAAUGUAGGUCCGGUUAAUGCGGUGUAUCGAGCUCGCAUAGAAGCUCCGAAAGGAGUACAUGUAAAUGUCGAGCCCAAAGUCUUGUUGUUUAACAUGACUGCGAAGAUGUUGUCAUUCAAGGUAACUUUUCGGCCGAAGCUAGACGUGCGAGGGCGGUAUAUGUUCGGAAGUUUGUUGUGGGAGGAUGGAGUUCACUCGGUGAGGAUUCCGUUGGUGGUUCGGACGGUGAUCGACGACUUCUACACGGUUGCAUGAUGGAAACAUGAUCAUGAUUCCAGUGGAAAUCAACUUCUUGUUUCUCUUUCCUUAUUUUGUUUUCCCUUUAAAAUUUAAACGCCAUUUGUGCACAUCAUAUGUUUUGUUCUCCGAAAUCUUGUUAUUGUCACUAGUUGACUGACAUUGUAAUGACAUUCUCAUAUGAUUUCUCGUUCGCCGAUUUUAUAUUUGUUAAAUCUUAUUCACAUCUGAAAUAAUAGAGGAUUUUAAACAAAAUCUGAAUGAUUCAAAGGUUGGGUUGUGAUUUCUGAAUGAACCAUUAUUGCUCGAAGUGUUGCGGUUCUUAAAGAAAGAUAAAGUUUUCGUAAAUAAUUGUGCAUGAAACUCAUAAUUUGUUGUUCAGAAUCUUAAGCUAUUAUUUAACAAAGAGUAGCUCAUGGUCUGAGAGGAUUUGUUUGAGAUAACUAAUUACUUCAUCCAAGAUAAUGGGAUCAAUAAUUUCAUCAAAGAUAAUGCGAAUCAAUUCUAAGUUUGUUGCUUUGUUUGUUCAUUUAUUUAUCAUAAAUGUGGGUGCUUAACUAAUGGGACCAAUUCUUUACUUGUUACUUUCAAAUUAUUUUUUAUUAUUCAUUGGUAACAGAUGCUAAAUCCACAAGGAUGCUCUUUCUUUAAGUUGUGUUGGUUAAAGUGUUGGAUCCACUAUUGUUUUGGCUCUAACACUUGUUGCUGCCAUGGUAGCUGCAGGAAAUUUUUUUUUUUUUUUUUUAUAAAUCUAGGUUUUUUUUUUUUUCCUUUAGUUUUUCAAUAGUCAUGCCAUAUAUUAAGAAUUGAUAAAAAGGUACAAAGCUUUCGUGAACUAUAGAUCAUUUUGAUUCGACUGCCUAAUCUUUUAAAAUUUUAAUUUUACUGCCAAAUCUUUCAAUUGUUUGAUUUGAAUCAGUCAACAACACUUUGACUUCAAAAUUUAAGCUAAUUACUUACUCUAAAAAUUUAUAGUUGCGAGAAUUGUAUGGAAUGUGCUAACUAAACUGUUAAAGAUAGACAAUAUAUUUAAAUUUUUGAAAUCAAAGUGUUGUUUAUUGAUUCAAAUCAAAUAAAUUGAAAAGUUGGAUAAUAAAAUAAGAACUUUAGGUUGGAUAGUAUUUGAUUUAAUAUUUAAAAAUUAUUAUAAUCAAGUUCUAUAAUAACAAGAGUUUUUGUUACCAAUGAAAGCGACUUUCUCGACAGAAAUAUCUAAUAACUUUUUUUUUACGAAAAUUUUGUGGUGUUAUUUCAACACAAUUAGAAAUAGGAAUACGUGUUUCAAAUUGAAACUUGUUAGAUGUGACUCGAAAUUAAUAAUCGACUUCAGUUCGAGAUUUCGACUCGCUAACAGUUUCGCGGUGCGACCAAUUUGAAAAGUAAAAUUGUGAAGGAAAAAUGAAUGUUUGUGGUUAGUUGUACUCGAACAUUGUAUUUUUCUUUUUCGAUAGUGAAGUUUUCUCCCCCUCGCCCGUAGUUUUUUCCUGCAAAAAAUUUUUCACGUAAAUCUGUAUAUUCUUUUUUAUUUCUACUUGUGGUUUGAUUAUUUCGUAUUCGUCAUUUUCAUUUUCGUUUGUGCUUUUGCCGUAAUAAAACUCCUCCAUUUUUUUGAAAUACUUAACUUCUAACCUUGUACAACUCUAGAAUCCUUUUGACUUUUUGAUUGUCAAACUAUUUUUUCUUUUUUUGCAAUGCUUUUAUUAAAAUUGGCUACAUUUCCUUCACUUCUAAAUAUUCUUCCUAAUCUUUUCCAAAUUCAGUGGCUAUUGGUGUUCUAAGUAACUUAGCCUUUGGAAAGAAGAGAGUAGCUAGAGUUAGUAAAUUCAUUGUAUUUAAGGUGGGGGUCACUUUUAUCUUUGAAUAUAUCCUAAUCUUUUUCAAUUUUAUAAAUUAAUUUUAUGAUCAAAAUUAGUUAAGACUAAAAGCUAAGGAGUCAAAAUAUGUGGGUAAAAUAUUAAGGCACGUUUCAAUAUUGAAUGUAUAUAUUGAGAUAUAUCGUUCCAUACUUUAAAGUUUUUGGAAAAAAUUAUUACUUGUCGGAUCGUUGACGCUAACCAUUAAUCUCAAAAACUUGAACGAUUAGAAAUACGCAACCAAUUCACUUAAAGCGUAGCGUACACACACAGUGCCUAUGAGUCUUAAUUGUGAUUCAACCCAAUCACCAGUUUCACGCCAUUUCUAGCAUAACUCGACUUAAUGCGACUUCCUGUUUUGGCCCAACCUAGCCUCUUGCCACCGAGCAGGAUCCAGGCCCUUUUAAACCAAGGGUAUUAAGUGCGAGUCUUACCAGACUCCUAGUGUAAUUAAUUUUUUCUCAUUUAAUUUAAGCUGUGUCUUAAACCUAUCAAAAAGUAUAUAAAUAGUAAAAGCACCACAUUAUACAAUUUAAAACUAGGUAUAAUUCUAAUGUCAACUUGUACAUAUAAUAAGAAAUUGAUAAAAAGGAUGGAUUGAAAAUGAUAAGAAGCGGCAAAUCAAAAAUGAAAAUUUGAUGGAAUAUAAAACUUUUGUUUUUUUAAAAAAAAAAAAAAUUUGGAAUUAUGCUUAUCUUUUACUCUCUAUGUUGUAACACAUCUAAUUCUUUGCUUGGAUAGAGAAAAUUGAGAAUAAUUGUUUCGCAUCUCUUUGCAAUUAAUGGAUAAAAAUAAUUUUCUUUCUCUUUCUUUCUCUCUUUCUCUUUUUUUUCUCUUUUUUUUUUUUGAAGAGUAAAUAAAAUGUUCAUAUCGAAAUAUUAUAACUUGAAUUAUUUUUGUUUACGAAAAUAGUACGGAAUUGAAAAUUCUAAUUUUUCUAGCAACCAAAAGUAAAACUUCUCUUCAAGCUCAAAUUAAAAGCCAAUGUUUUCCUCAAAAUACUCCAAAUAUUCCGUUGAUGAAUACUCCAAAUUUGAGAAACGAGUUCUCCUAUUAAAUAAUUUGCAUAGAAAAUUAACUUGUAUUUUAAAAGAGAGGAAAAAAGGAAAAAAAAAAAAAAAGAAGAAAAAGUUUAGGGGUGGAAUUCAAUCAGCUCUUCAGUUAAAGCCAAUGUUAAGUUAAAUUGCUUCUACAAAAAUGUUAUUUCAAAAACCCCCCUUAUGGUUUCAAUUUUUUUCACUUUAGUACCAUGUGGUUUAAAAUGUAUCAAGUUAGUACCAUGUAGUUUCUCACUUUAUCACUUUUCUCACUUUAUCACUUUAGUACCCUGUGGUUUAAAGUGUAUCAAGUUAGUACCCUAUAGUUUUGCACUUUAUUUAAACCACAGGAUACUAACUUGAUACAAAAUUAAAACCACAGGGUUCUAAAGUGAUAAAGUGCAAAACCACAGAGUACUAACUUGAUACACUUUAAACCACAGGGUACUAAAGUGAUAAAGUGAGAUACCACAGGGUACUAACUUGAUACACUUUAAACCACAGGAUAUUAAAAUGAAAAAGUGUGAUACCACAGGGAGGGUUUUUGAAGUUUUUUCUUAAAAAUAUUUUAUUUCGAUCGUCAAAUAUCAAUGAGGUGACGAAUAACGCAGAACCGACAAAUAUUGACGAACCCGAACUCGAAAGGAUGCACACUGAUAGCAUGAUUCGAAUCUGAGACGUAUAGUUUUCGCAACCACAAAUUUUCACAAUUGAAAAAAACCAAAUAAAGAAGAAAAUUAUCAAGUUUUCCUUUCUUUUUUUUUUGGUUAAAGCACGCAACUAUGAGUAAUUUCUUAUAUGAUUUAGUCUAAAAUGCUUGCGUUGUUGCUUAUUGUGAAUAGAAAUCCAAGUACAUACAUUGGCCCAAAACAAAAAUGAACGCUUUAUCUGCUGCAGUUUCAUUAUUUCCUUUCAACCCAAUAAAUAUAAAAUAAAAAACUAUUUUUUUUCUUACAAACCAAACACUAUAAAACAUAAAACUUUUUUUCACCAAUUUUUUUUUUUUUUCACAAUAAAUUACUUUUUACAAUUUUAUGUUGAACCAAACGGGCCCUUAAUUUAACUAGACUGGUACGGUUCCUAACUAUCUAAAUGAAUUCACCCGGAUAUUGAUCUUUCCAGUCCAAAACCAAACCGCCUCGGAUCUAGGGUUUACUACUCCUGCCUCCGACGCUGCGUCUCCCCCCGCACGAUUGCUACUCCGAUUAGCAGGGAUCACCGCAGGGACAGGGAACUCCACGGGGCCACAGCCAGGUAUGGUUUUGCCCGGCGGAGACAGGGAAGAGCCCCUGCCACGGCCCCAGCCUCGCCCCGUUGCCAUCCCUAGUCAAUAAAGAUUGAGACGAUUUUAACAGAACUGCCCUAACCGAGAGCUCACCGUCAAUCAGGGUGUGGACGCAAACGGAUUCAAGGGGCUAAGCUCUCUGACUCUAAACUGCAACUGUUCCAACCUGGGCCACAUAAGCUCGACACAAGACGCAAAAGUAGACUCUCACUAAAAUUAAUGAAAUAUAUACCACUUCAUAUAGAUACUGUAUAAUCCAAAAACACAUCUGGCAAUCCUGUUUGAGUUCAUCAAGUACACAAAAUUUCUCACUAUUGAGUGGCAUUACUUUCCAGCAAUUCAAAGGUCAGAGAGGGUAGCAGGGCAGAACUUAAGACCACAAUCUUUUUUUUUUUUUUUGAGAGAUAGGUAGCACGCUACCCGCUUCGUUUAUUUCAUUUAGAAAUAAACUUAGCUGGAAAUGUGAAUCAACUAGGAUUCGAACUUGGAUCUCAGGUACCAACUAUUAAAUUCUUUGCCGCUUGCUCUAGGGACGGUCGGUAACUUAAGACCACAAUUGAUCUCAAAUCAUUGUUGUUUCUGCUUGUAUCAAAAAUACUCACUACAGCAACAGUAGUGUUCAGGGAAACCUGAGACAUUUUGAAACAGAGUUGAAAUCUUCUUGCAGCCACAUUCUGCAAACAUUCUAACAAAAAACUGGAACCACUUAAAUGUCAAGAAAAGAGAUAGCACGCACACACACACACAUAUAUAUAUACAUAUACACACAAUUUUCACCAAAACAGAACUAGGGGGAUUGAAAUUAUCGUGUGUUCAUAGGAAGCACAUGCACACACUGCAUUGACCAAAAAGACUUACAUGUUUUAGGAAAGAGAAACAAGUCGUCGUGAAGAUAAAGCCUUACAAAUGUACCACAAUAAAUAAAAAAUAUGGCACGCUAGAAGGCUCAACUUGGAAAAAGGAAAACAAAUACAACACAAUUUUUUUAAAAAAAGUAAACUUCAAAUACCACCCCUAUGGUUUCGCACUUUCUCACUUUAGAACCUUGUGGUUUAAAGUUGUAUCAAGCUAGUGCCAUGUAAUUUCAUUUUUAUUUUUUCAUUAGUUUCUCCGUUAAUAUUUCGUUAAAUUAUAUACAAAAAACCUCAGAUACACUACCUAGGUUUAUCGAAUAUUCACUUUAGUACCCUUUAGUUUUAACUUUGUCACUGAUUUAACGAAAAAAAUUAAUGAAAUAAAUAAUAAAAAGAUAAAAAUGAAAACACAGGAUACUAAAGUGAGAAAGUGUGAAACCACAAUGAUGGUAUUUGAAGUUAUCCCAAAAAAAAAAAAAAAAAACUGCAACAUCCAACUGUUCACAAGUACUGUAUCUACGGGGCUCUACGCAAAGCCACUAAAAUAGGGCUCAAUUAUUGUGUCACAAUCUAUGCCAAAUUGGUCAAAAGGUGGAAUUGCAUUUAGAAUUAACUAUGGAUACUCCACUACUUCGUGGGGUCUACAUAUUCUAUGUUGCAGAGAGCAACAGUGGGGUUUACACCGUACCCUCAAAAUUCCAAAAGAAAGCAAAGCUUCCGGACCAGCCAAUUAUAUCCGCAUUUUUACACCCUAAUGUUCGAAAGCCUCACCAUAGCACUUGGAAUCACAAGGUUCUUGAUAAAGUUCAAAAGCAACCAAUUGCCUGUAAAGAAGCAUAUGUUCUUUACACAACAUUUUUUUUAUUACAGCACAAAGGGCCACCAUGCACUUUCUCCCCUACCUAAAACUAUUUACUAUUGAGUAUCAAGCUACCAGCAUCACAUUCUAAAAGUUACCUAAUAAUCAACAAUGCAAGAAGAAAGCUUACGUGAAAAAUUCCAAGAAUCAUACAGAGGCAAAUUGUUAAAAAGAGGCAUUUGAAAAGCAAUACCAGCAUCACAUUCUAAAAGUUACCUAAUAAUCAACAAUUCAAGAAGAAAGCUUACUUGAAAAAUUCCAAGAAUCAUACAGAGGCAAAUUGUUAAAAAGAGGCAUUUGAAAAGCAAGUAACUGAGCAACCUUCUACCAAACAGUAGAAAAAUACAGCUGAAAUUUCAUUGCUAACUCUACAAAUCUAUUUUCAUAAACUACACCAUGAACGAAGUAAGACCAAACUCUACUAUUCAGCAUUUAUCACUGACUACGAGAGUCUAUACUCAUCUACAAUGCAAGUCCUAUUAUCUUCACAUUUCUUAUAAUAAACAAAUAUUGGCGGAACUUCAUAGGCCUAUCUUUAUAGAAGAUAAACUUUCAAUAAAGAAACACGGAAUUUAAACCUUCAGAAACUACACAAAUCUAAAUAACUUAUGCCAGCUUAUAUUUCCCUUUUUCUAUAACUUCAGAAAAAAAAAAAAAUCGAACAACAUCAAUAAAAUUUAGGUUUGAUUAACACUUCUCCACACUUUCAACUUGAUCACUUAGCAAUGUAUUUAGCACUCGACCAUGUGAAUCCGACAACCAAACCACAUUCUUAUAACGUUGUAAAAGGAUACGAAAUCCAGAUAUAACUUGAAAAAUGAAAUCACUACAAGAUAACACAAAGUUUCCCUUUUUACCUCCAAGCUAUGUUCGGUAUAAAUUUCAAAAUUUAAAACAACAAGGUCAUUGAACAAAGCACUAAUCUCUUCCUUAUGAAGGAAAGUGCCGAGCAACUGGCAUUACUUCAUUAAGAAACUUCUAUAAACAGCCAUAACAUCCUUCAAAAAGCAGUUCCAUUACUCACCUUGCAAUAAAAAUCACGGCCCACAUUUACUAAUAUCGAAGAGCAUGCGAAUGAUACAACAUAGAAAUAGAGGAAACUCACUACAAAAACAUAAAUGGCCAACAGAAGAAAUUGCCAUGGAAAGAGAAGUGCUCUUUACAUGUCAUCUUAGUAGGAACAUGGACGAGUCCCUAGGCCAAAAUCAAAAUCGGAUGCGUCGAGCCUGCAGCAGUUAAUCCCUCACCGAUCGAGAGCACAUUAUUUUUACCAUAUUGCAGAGAUUCACCAUAGCAACAACUUGCUACGGAUACAAUCAUGCACCAUUAGAUAACAUGAGGCAAAAUAAUUGAGCCUAGAACCAUUUGUAUAACGAGAAAAGAGAGUUGAUACAGCUUAUCAAAUAGUGCAUACACCAUCUGAUCUAUGUACCCAUCUCCCCCAAACACAAAGCCCAACCCUUAACAUCAAACCACAGUCCAUUGAAACCAAAACACUCGAAAGAAGAUGAUAUAGAAGAUAAUCCCAAAAUUAAUAAGACAAAAAACGAGCAACCCAUUAAAUAAAGCAUCAACCAUCAUCAUCCUAAAACUCCAAACUACUAGAUAACCAAAACAUUAGAACUGCUAAAGAGAGAGGAUUUAGGAUCGAACACUUCACUUACGGCAAUCCCUCGCGAUGUGCCCGGUCUCGCCGCAGUUGUAGCAGGACCCGCCGCCUCCUCCGCCACCGUAACCACCGCCGCCACCGCCGCCGCCGCGGUAGCCGCCGCCGCCCCCGCCUCUCCCGCCGCCGCCCCUCCCGCCGUCGAACCCGUAGCCCCCCCUGCUGUAGCCCCCGCCGCGGCUCCCGCCGCCGCGGCCUCCGCCACCGCCGUACCCGUCCCUCCGGCCUCCGCCGCCUCCUCCGCCGCCGCCGGAGCCGCCCUGGACCGGUAGUCCGUCGGGCCCGGUGACGUCCACGGCCUUGGUGCGCCCGUCGUCGCCCUCGGCGACCGAGAACUCCACGGCCUCGCCCUCGACGAGGCUGCGGAAGCCCUCGGCCUUGAUGGAGGACUGGUGCACGAAGAGGUCCUCGCCCCCGUCGUCCGGGGCGAUGAAUCCGAACCCCUUGGUGUCGUUGAACCACUUCACGGUCCCCUUCAAUCGCGUGUUGUCCUGCGCCAUGGGAGAGGGGAAAGGGGGCCAAACCGAGCAAAACCCUAACCCUAACCCUAGCCGACGAAGGAGAUCGAGAGAGGGAGAGAACUGCGGAGGAAACCCUAAUUCUCGCCCCCUCGGCUCCUCGUGUGGCGAUAUUUAUCGAUGCAGCGCGGGUUCUACGAGGUAAUGCAUCGGACGGUCGCGAUUUCAUAUGAUUAGGAAAUGGACGGCUGAGAUGUUUCUUAGUUAAGGCGACCAUAUUUUAUCGAGAUUUAUUUAUUUAUUGAAGUAAUUAAUGCGCACGGAUUUCGAGGGCUGGGAUUACUUUGACUGAUUUGGGUAUUUAUUCCAAAGAUGCAACUCGUUGGACGGCUAUUAUUAUAAUUAUUAAUACUUAAUUUAUACUUAAUUAUGAUAAAAUAAAAUUAAUUAAAUCAACCGGGGUAUAAUUUGGACCGCACGAUCGCUGCAAUUGUUUAUGAUCGGACGGCGCAUACUGAAGGAAGGGUGUUUGGAUAUUCGCAAAAGCAUAAAAUCUAUUUUUUAAAAAAAAAUUAUAAAAAGUUUGUGUUGCCUUUUUACACUUUUUAUUUUUUUUGAUAAAUAUUUUAAAAAAUAAGAAUACUAUUUUUUAUAAAAUCUAAAAUUAAUUCAGAUAAACUUGUUUUUUCCUAAAAAUUAAAUGGCCAGAAAAUAUUUUAAUAGCUAGAAAAUUAUUUUUGAGAUAUUUGUCGGAAAAUCAAACUCCCAUUUUAAUCAAACUGGAAAUUUUAUUAAGAAAAUUCGUCAUAAAUUAGGUGUUCAAUUAUUUCGCUCACGCGUAACUUGAAAACUUAAUUAAUAAUAAAUAUCUUGUUAUUUUAAUUAUCAUGAUAAAUAUUUUAAAUUAUGAACAUCAUAAAUUUUAGACAAGUGGCUUUAUAUAUGCCAUUGAUUUUUAAAAACUAAUUAAUGUACGGAAAAUAACUAUCUAGAAUAGAUGGUUAUUUAUGUAUGGAAAUCUUAGAUGUUAUAGAUUAAAUUUUGAUUAUAAAAUGUUGAUCAUCAAAAUAUUAGGUGUGGUGUAUAGAAUAUAUGUUAUAAUUUUUUUUUUAAAAAAAAAGGUAAGUUUCAAAGAUCAUUAAGUUUUUAUAUUUUGUUAAUGAUUUUUAUGUUUAUACUAAUUAUUUGAAAUAUCUCAAUUAUUAAAAAAGCAAUUAAGCCAAAAAAUAUAUCACUAUCAAAUAUUAACCAAAGGUGAUAAUUUUAUCAACUAAAAAUGGUAAAGUUACUAGAUUUAUAAAUCAUUACUAAAUUUAUAUUUAUUUUCAUUUAUCUACUGUAAGAACUUGAAUUAAUUUAAAACAAUUAAGAUUUUAGAAAGUUUGAAAUCAAAACAAAAAAAAUUAAAUUUUGUGGAACUACUUUAGGAUGGCUAGUCCCCAAAUAAUUUUAUCUUUUUAAAAAUAUCAUGUCUAAAUCCAACACAUUCAGAGAUACUAGAAUUUUGAGACAUCAAAUUCCUAGUUUUUUGAAAAUAUAAUUUUGGAAUCAUUAUUUGGGUAUUUUUGAAUAAUUUUCUUUCAAAUAUACAAUAUUAGGUUUCUAUUAAUUAAAUCUGAAGUUAGGGACACAAUGCCAAAUUUAAAACACAUGUAUGGUUUCAGUUGUUGAUGAAGAGCAUGUUCGACAAAACAGAGUUGAAACGAAAGUAUGCAAAAUAUGUUUCUCUAUUUUUCGAUAGAACUGUAGAAAAUAUAUCAUAGCCAAUUCAUUACUAUAUAUAAAACGUGAUAUAACAUAUAUGAAUCAAACUAAUUAUUUUCUAUCCUAUAUUUUGAUCGCAUGUAGCACAAUCUUUAUACAAGUUCGAACAAAGCUUAUAUUCUAAGCAAUUCCAUAUCAAGAGCUGGAUCCGAUCCACCCAAUAACUAUUUUCGGGACAUGUUUGGCUCAUAAUUGAAAUAGGAAUAAGAAAUGAAAUUGAAUUGUAUUAGAAUGAACAAUAGAAUGACGAAUCAUUCUAAAAUAUUUUGUUAGAGAAUGUUUUGAAUGAUUUAUUCUGAAAUUGGCCAAUUCGGGAUUCAAAGUCAUGUUGCACCAUAAAUGAAUUAGGAAAUUUCUAUUUUAGAAUGAACUAAAAAUCGAAAUUCGAUUUAUAUAAAUAAAAAAUUACUAUCGGAAUCAAUAAAUUUUAUUCCGAUUACAUUAUCUAAAAUAGGUGGACAAUCUAAACCAUUAAAAGCAAACUUUUUAAUUUUUAUAACAAAGCGUACGUAGCAAGUUAAUUUCACGGAUUGAAUUGAAAAUACUAAUUGAAUGAAUCCAAUUCUUUGUCACACAAAAUUUCGUAAGAAGCUUUUCGUAGAAUUUUAUUUAGAGAUGAUAAUUUUUAAUAUGCUUUAAAUUUAAAUAAAUAUUUUACACAUAUUUGUUUUUCUUGCAAAUAUUAGUUAAACAAUAUUUGAUUGCCAUAAAGUCGUCAUACAAAUUAAUAAUUUGACAUCCAAAAAAUAAACUUAAUAAUUAAUUAAAAUUUAAGCUACUUCGAAUCAAAAUUAAAUUAAAUUUUAUUAUUUUUUUAAAAUAAUUAUUUGUAUUUUAAAAAAUCCGUAGGGUUUCCGCAGGGAUGGAGAUCCCCAUGGGGAGUAGGGAUUCGGCAGAGUCGAAAAUUCUAAGAACAGACGGAGACGGAGAAGGGGCUCCUGUCCCGUCCGAACCCGGUUGCCGGUCCUAAAUUCUUGAGGAUAUUUUGAAGGCAGGGGAUCGAAUCUCAUACGUGCAUAUUUACGGAGUUUUGAUCUUCUUCUCGGAGUUUCGGGUGACGUUGGGUUGUGGUACCUACCCGCAACAUUUGCGAAAAAUAAAAAAAUAAAAAAUAAAAGAAAGAGAGAAAAAAAAAAGUUUUGAGUCUACAAAAAGGUGUACAUGUGGUCACAAUAUGUAUUGUAUUCCAAUAUUCAUAUAUGAAAGCCCAAGUUUAAAGCCCAGGAAGAUUCAACAUGGGCAGUUUCACCCCAAUGUGCCUAAAUGGGCUAUUGGGUUCUUUUUUUCAAAAACUCUUCUAAGAAAAAGAACACAAAACAAAAAAAGUUUUAAAAAUAACACACAUUCUUCAAACAUUUCUGCGACGGUAGGGUUUGUUUGUUUCACCGAAGAGUAAAUUCAGAUUGAAGUAGACUUUCCGGUAAAUUAGAAUUUAAGGAAAUUUUUUUUUUCCUUACUUGUCUUUAUAGUUGUGAAAUUGAAAUUUCUACAGUUAUGUUAUUUGUUUAGCAGGAAGUAAAUGAUAUAAGAACUGGAGGUGUGAACCAGGGUAAUAUUUUAUUUUUCCACUUUCUUCUUUUACUUUCUUUUGAGAGAGAAUGAUAUCAUACUUUGUUUAUUUUUUUUAAAAAAAAAUGUACCUGAAAAUGUGAAAUAAUUAGUUUUUGAAGUUUGAAUUUUCGAUACCAACUAUCAGACUCUUUGCUACCUACAUUAGGAACGGUUGUUUUUAUUUUUUUUCUGUAAUUGACCUCGGUUUAGAAUAGGUCGAAGUCAAUCACGAUUAUUUUGAAGAGUUUGAAUUUUGACGAAAGAUAAAGUUACAGCAAUUCAAACAAUAAGUGUUGACAUUUAUGCCCAAGAACUAUUUCAUUCUUUUUUACUUUAGGUUAAAAAAAAAAAAGAAAAUCACAUACCUUUUGCGUUUUGGAGUUAAAAACGUCACUUUAAUUUUUUUACUACAACAAAAACUUAAAAGAGUCAUCACUAUAAUAAUGACAAAUUUUAAAUUUAGAUUAUGGUAUUUAAAGAUAUUUUUUAAAACCUAUUUAUAUGUCCUAAAAAAUGGACUAGUCGAUUCAUGCAAUUUGUUAUGAAUAUAUUCCACAUCAAAUGCUGUGGCAGUGACAUACUACUAGAGCUCUAAUCUUAGCAAGAAUAUAUAUAACUCCGAAUUUUAGGUAACAUGUAUUUCAUACUUCACUUGUGUAAUAAAAAAUAUAUAUAAAUAGUUUACUUCAAUCACUUUUGUUUUAAAAUAUUUUAUAUUGUUUUUACUUUCUAAAUUCACAUUGGAUCUCUUUGAUACUUAUUAGGGCUAUCUAAUGCUACUAAGCCAAAAAAAAAAAAAAAGAAAAAAAAGAAAGAAAGAACAACAAGUCAACAACGUAUAUGUGAAGUUAUCUUUCUCAGUAUUUCAGUAGAAUACAAAAAUAUAUCGUACAAGAAUUAAUACAAUUUACGCAACGUACGUAACACAUUUUACAUUCACUUUUUCACGUUCAUAAUACACGGUCUCAACGAUUCUAUUCUGAACGAUUCUAAAACUAGCCAUUGCAUGCUACAGUUGAUACAGUACAAGUCUCAUAUGAAAAUUGUGCGCAUAAAAAAUUUUGAGCAUUGUCAUUUGCAUACCUUAAGAUGUAAACAGGGCGGAUCCGAGGGCGGAAGAGUUUCCUCACCUUCCACUCCAUUUCUUGUCGGGACGAGACGGAUUCAAAACAGAUUAUUUUUUAUUUUAAUUUUGGCUCACACUUACCGUCCCAUUCGGAGCGGUUCGAAAUGAGAGCAAAUUUUUGACGAAUCGAGACGGGCUGAAGGAAGAAAAAAAUUUUCCGUCUUUCGCUCCAUUUAUUUGGCGAAUCAAAACAGAUUCGAAAUAGAUUAUAUUUUUCUAUAUUUUAUGUUUCUACUUACCAUCCCAUUCGUAGUGGAUCAGGACGGAAGCUCCACCAAUCAGGAUCCAUUUGCAUCCCUAUUCAUACCCAUAAGUUGGAUCUCAAUCUAAAAUUCUAUCCAUCUAAAAGCCAAAUUUAUUUUAGUAAUUUUAUCAAAUUUUUUACCGGAAAAAAAAAAUCUAAACAAUUUAAUUUUUUUUUUGAGAGAUAGGUAGCACGCUACCCGCUUCAUUUAUUUUAUUUAAAAAUAAAUUUAGCUGGAAAUGUGAAUCAAGUAGAAUUUGAACUUAGGUUUUGAGCACCAACCACCAAAUUCUUUGCCACUUACUUUAGACACGGUCGGUAUCUAAACAAUUUAAUUGAUUAAACAAGUAGCAUCUUUUUCCUACAAACAUUAACAUCAGGUCCCAGCUAGUUGCCAAUACACAAAUGAAUUGUUAUUCACUUUAUGGCCCCCACGAGAGACUCCUUGAACUUUGUGUGCUAGGUUUCACAUGUGUUCUUCUCCACUUGGAUUUGACAUCUACAAUGAUUUUCACCUAAAACACAUUUUAAAAAUUAUUAUAAUUAGGGUGCGUUUGAUUUGUACUAUCUUUUUAAGAUUCCUAAUAAUCCAACAGAAUAAAAAAAUAUGAUCGUGUUUGGCUAAACGCACUAAAUAAUCUAGUUGGUAAUACUGGAUUUAUUUGAGAAUGAGAUGCAUCCCAAAAUACUAAUCUCAUUACUUUGAGGAAGGGUGGGUAUCCUUAUAUUAAUGGAUUGGAGUAAUUAUAAUAUGUCUAAUAUCUUUUUUGUUCCCACCCGCCAGCUAAUUGGUAUUAUUUUUCUUUACACUCUAACCUCAUAUCUUUCUCUAAACUUAUCUUUUUUUUUCUCUCUCUAUAUUUCAACUCUUUUUCUCUCUCUAAAUUAAACUAUUUCUCUCCCGCUUUUUCUAAAAUCUCAACCCUUCAUUCUUUCUAACCUCGAUUCUAUUUCUCUUCUUACUCUUUAAUUAUGCUUUCUCUUUCUAACAAAUAUUCUCUCUCUUUUUUUAAAAAAGAUGUUGAAAUUAUUUAUAGUAUUAUUUAAAAUUAAUUAAUUAAAUUAAUUAAUUAAUUGUAUAUUUUUCAUAAUCUUAAAUAAUAUGAAUAAAUAAUAUAACUGUACGAAUCAAACACGGAAAUACUACAUUCUUAGUAAUAGAAUGAAUAGGAAUAAGAUUCUCGGAUUUUUUUACUCCUAUUAAUAUUUCAUAGUGCGAACCAAACGCGCCCUUAGAGUAAUGCUUCUAUACUUUUUUUUUUUUUCGUUACCGUUCAUUUAUUCCUAUUCAACGGCUUAGAUUUAAUUUUUUUUAAAUUGUGAUCUGCAAGAGCAGGUCACUUUGGGAGAGGUAUCGGUUACCAGGUACCUUAAAAAAAGGGUAUUUUUGUCUUUUAAUAUAUGAGCAAUUUAGUUAUUUUUUCUCUACUAUAUUAUCAAAAUUUUUAUUCUCUUUUUGUUUUCUUUUCCUCUCUCUUCUUUCCUCUUAUAUUUUUAAAUUUUGAAUCUGACCCGAAUAAUAUAUAAAGUUUAAUAUUAUAUUCAAAUUUAAGUUUUAAAAUUUUAAAUUUAAUAUAAAUAUUUUGAAAUAUGGUAAAGAGAAAUAAUUAUUUCGGCUUCUGAUCUUUGGGUUCGGAUUUUAGGUUUUGAAAAAUUGGUCAUAUUCGGGUUUGGAUAUGGAUUUUUGAAAUCCGUCGAGUUCGGAAAUAAGUUUUGUGAUUAUUAGUCGAGUUCGAAUUCAAAUUCCUAACUUUUUUUUUUUUCUGACCAAUAAUCCUAUUUUUUAAAUUUUUAUAUUUAAAAUUAUGUUUAAAAUAUUUAUUAGCUCUAACAGCUAAAAUGCCAAUCUUUUUAAAAUGUUUAUUAUCUUUAACAGUUCCAGAUUGUUUUUAAUUUUAUUUAUUUCAAUAGGUUGAAAUCAGAUUCUUAAUAGAAUAGAUUGAGCUUUGAUCAGUCGAAUCAAUCGGUUCAAUCUGAUUUUGAAUCAUUGAUGCUAAUUUAAUUAAAAUGAAUAAUAAAAGUUACGAAGCUAAGUGUAAACAAAAAGUUAAGGAACUAAAAUUUAAAAAAUCAACUAAAAACUAAAAAAAUUUAAAUGUAAGAGUCAAAAUCAAUUUAAUAAAUUAAAUUAAUUAGACCGAUCAAAUUGAUAAAAUAUACAAAUAGUCUAGAUAUGUUCAAUAUAAAUUUAUUUGAUUUAUCUAAAUUUCUAAUUUUGUUUACUCUAGUAAAACUUUAUGAUGGAGAUUUAUUAUAAGCUUAAAAUUUAAAUUAUACAAUCUAAAUUUAUUUAUUGGUAACUUUAAAUUGCACUAUACUAUUUAGAUUUGUUAGAGUUUUCUGUAUGCUUUUUAGGUUCUAAACUUCAAAUUUAGUUUAUUUUCGGCUUAUAUUUUAAAUUACAAUACAUGAUUUUUCUAUUUUAAAAGAUCAAUUUUUGGUAUUAAUUUUGUCCAUAAAAUUCUAUUUUAAAAAUAAUUUUGAAUUAUACCCAAUAUUUCUAAUCAAUUAUCCAUAUUAAAUUUUUAAAUAGUGAUAAAGAAUUAAUAUCUAAAUUAAAAAAAUUCUUAAAUUUUUUUAAACAUAUUAAAUAUGUUGAAUUUAAAUAUUUGCCCAUAUUCAAUUUUGUAAAACUAGUAAUACAAAAUUUAUGCCUAAGAUGAAUUCAUAAUUUUGUUAAACAUAUUAAAUAUGUUAAAUUUAAAUAUUUACCAAUAUUACAAUUUUUUUNAUUUAAAUAUUUACCAAUAUUACAAAUUUUUUAAAUAGUGAUACAAAAUUAAUCUUUAAAGUAGAACAAUUCUAAUUUUUUUAAAUAGUAAUACAUAUUAAAUAUGUUGAAUUAAAAUAUUUACCAACAUUAUAAAUUUUUUAAAUAGUAAUACAAAAUUCCUCUAGCUUAAAUUUAAAAUUUUUAAUUUUAAAUAUUUAAUAUUUAAUAUUUAAAUUCAACGCAUUUAGAAUUAGAACUAUUUCUCAAAUUCUUAUAAUUUAAAUUAAUGCCUAAAUUUUAAAAACACUAAAAUUUUUAAAGUAAAUGCCUAAAUUAAUGCCUAAAUUUGUGUAAUCAAUCAAUUUCCCAAUUAGUGCAAAUUAAUGCGUUAAUUUAGAAUAUCAAUUAGAAAUUUCUUUAAAUAUUGUAUAGUUUAAUUACCAAAAUAAUCUCAAAUAAAUAACACCUUUACCUGCUAAAUGUUAAAAUUACAUCUUUACCCUCUCUUAAUCAAUGGUUAAGAUCUUUUUUAUUUUUUUAAAAAUAAAAUACUGAAUCAUUUCUCUUAUAAUUAUACUUUGAAUCUAAGGAGAGUGGUAUCUUAAAAAGGAAAACCAAAGAACCAAUUUGAACUUGGCAUUCUCAAAUCUCAAACAAUCAUGUUUCAUAUGAUUGAGGUUGGCAUGUUAGGGCCAAUCCCCCUCAACAACUAGUCCUUUACAGCAAAUUAGGGAGACAAAUUUUUGAUUGAGACAUAUAUAUAUAUAUAUAUAUAUAGAGUUGGACUGGGCUACUAUUACUAGCAAAAUUCUAUUGUUGCUACCAGUUUUUUAGCCUUUGGAUUAACUCUUUUCAUUAUUUCUAACCAUUGGAUUAAAUACUAUAACCUAGUGGGGACCACUCAACCCUAGGGGGACCACUCAACUCUAACCGACUAAUAUCAUCCUGACCCUACAAUUUUUCAUCCAAGNGAGCUGUUUUCGAUGAUGGAGCUUCCGAAUCGACGAUCGGCUCCGUUAGACUUGAUCUAGUAUAUUUGAAGUAUCUAGAAAAUAAAUUUUGUGACUUUUCGAUAUCAUUUACCUAACGGUUGAAUGGGUUCAAAAUCAACGGCUGAAAAUAAAAAUCUCACAAAAAGUAGUGAUAUAGUAUUAAAAUUUUUGAUCAAACAUAUUGAUCUUAUUGUAAAUAGUAUAAAGAAUUUUCUAUCAAAAUUUCAUCUGAUUUAAAUACUUCUACACCGUUAAAUUUGCAAACGGUGUAUAUCAACCAUUAAAAAUUAUUGAUUUUGAACCCUUUUGAUCGCUAGGAAAAUGAUAUCGAAAAAUCACAAAAAUUAUUUUCUAGAUAGCUUAAAUACGCUAGAUCAAGUCUAACGGAGCCGAUCGUUAAUUCGGAAGCUCUAUCAUCGAAAACGGUUUAGGAGCACGGAGGCCUCUGUGCUCCUAAUAGCACAUAAGACCUACUAUAUAUAUAUAUAUAUAUAUAUAUAUAUAGUCCGGCUAUGGUGCUUGUAAAAGUACAAAGCACUUGGUACUUGUAAAUUUUUUAUCGUUAGAUCUAUGCCUUUGAUUAUUUUCACCCAUUAGAAUUAUGCAAUUCAAGCCAAACCACCCACCUCCCAAACUCCCUAGGGUGCCAACAUCAUCCUUUAAAAGGUCCGCACAUUUCUAAUCAAAGGCCAAAAACUUACAAGCAAAGAACUUGAAUACUUUUAAAACAUAGAGCUCAAUAUACUAUAUAUAUAAUAUAUAUAUAUAUAUACUAUUAAUAUAUAUAUAAUAUAUAUACAUAUAUAUAUAUAUAUAUAGAAUAAUUAACACACUGGACCUGUACAAAUUGCGAGAUUCGAGUGUUUGAUAUGGAUUCCGAACUUUUCUACACUUGGUGGAAGGUCGUAGAUGGUAUUCCGACCUAAAAGUUCGAUUUCUGGAGUUUUGGCAAUGUCCUAAGAGUUUUCACUCUCGAGGACCGGUCCCUGAUAGGAGAGACCGGUCCCCUCGGAGCAGUGUUGCGGCAGCCUGCGAGGCAACCGGCCUCUGGCAGAUGAGACCAGUCCCCAAGCGCGACUACGCGAGGAGAGACCAGUCCCAUGCAGGGAGAGACCGGUUCCCAAACGAUGGAUUUUCGGGGCAGGCUGAGAGACCGGUCCCAGGUCGGGGAGACCGGUCCCUCAGUCCGAAAACUGCCCAGAUCCGAGCAGUGCACAGGUUGCUUUGUUGGAGGGCCUAGGUGGAUAUUGUUGCAAUAGAGGGCUUUUAGGCCAUUUCCCUUCUCUCUUUCCCUCACUUCCUACUCUCUCACACUCUCUAGAAAGAGAAGAAAAAGGAAAAGAAAGAGAAGAAGAAGGAGAAGGAGAAGGAGGAGAGCUUGCUUGGUGGACUUUGGACUUCUUCCUCAACCUCUUCUUUCACCAUUGGAGACUUGGGGCUUGCUUUUGGAGCUUGAUAGUGGAUUAAUCUUCAACCCUAGAGAAUUUUGAGCUUGGUUUGGAACAUCCUAGAUGUUAGUUGAUGAUUUUCUUCCUCUAGAUUCUAGCUUUGGUACUUUUGUUGGUAGAAACCCUAGAUUUUGGGAUUUAGGGUUUAUUUUGAAGAUUUUCAAUUUGAGGGGUUUGAAACCUAAUUGAUGGAUUUAGAACCUUUAUUUAGAUUGGAUUUGAAGAACUCUAACUCCCAUUUGAAACUUGAGAGAGGAUUUCUUCACUUGAGGUGAGUUUCUCCACCUUAGCUUGAGAUGGUUAAUGAUUGAGCUUAAUAUUGUUCGUAAGGUUCGUUUAACUCUUGUUCCUACAUCUUUAGGGUGCUAGGAGGCUAGUGGACACCUUCGUCAGAGCAAACGAAGGAUCGCAAAAGUUGUGGUGGGUUUGGCUUCAUGAAAACGGGGCAAAAUGACCCUAUGCUUUCUAUACUUGUCGUAACGUCCUUUUGAAUGCAAAUCCAUGCUAGAUAAGAUUUAUGGAAAUUUUAGAAUACUUAAAAUGCAUGCCUUAUGUAUCAUGAAAAUUUCACUCUAUAUAGUAGGGUAUUCUGGGCAUUUUGCAUACAUAUGGGAAGUGUUCGUGUUAGUGACUUAGAAACAUGUCUCUUAUGUUAGAAUUUGCUCAAAUUAUGCCUUUGUAAACAAUAAACUCAUGUUUGGACUUAGUGGACAAAAAUGCCAUAAUUGGCACUUGACAUAGUAAACUGUGAAACUGCAACUUAGAGACAUAGUGAUAGACCAUUGAAUAUCUGCUAUAUCCCAUGUUAGAGACAUGAUGAUAUAGAGAUAGGCCUUUUAGUCAUUCGACGUAUAUUCCGUGAUUUUAGACAUAAGGACAUGGUACUUGAGACAGAUCUUUCGCUUGCUUGCCAGUGUGCUCAUUCGCACAUGCUUGUGAGGGUCGCUCCCUACAAGCCGGCACUCCGGAGAUAGCCAUCGCGACAUAUGCUCGCUUGUGCGGGAUUGGGCACCGAAAUGCGAUGCCGUGGGGGAGGCUCAUUUCUAGAGUGAGGAUGUUGACUACCACAGGGCCAUUAGGCAGAGCGCAGGCCGGACUACCCACGAGUAGGUCCUACAGGAUUGGAUCAUUGAUGAUUUAGCAUACCGACUGGACAUCGACUAGAAUAGUAAACAAGACAUUUUACUAUCUAGCUUGUCGACAUCAUGCUAGUGAUACUUUGGUACAUUCAUGUUAGAAUAGUCUUUUAUUACUUAUACAAAUUCAUGCUAAGUAGAGAUAUCAUGUUGUAGUAAGUUUACAUUUUUACUUACAUGUCGGUUAUAUUACUUUUAUUGUUACUUACCUAUUUAGCUCUUUUGGGCCUAAUAGUGCUUUCACUGAAGUCAAUAAUUGCCCACUGGGAAUUAUUAUUUAAUAGUUCUCACGCCCCAUGUUUAUGGUUUUUCUUUUAGAGCCCUCUCCACCGGCGGAGGCACGGGAUCGCGGCAAGGGGAUCGCUAGCUAGAUAGCGAGGAUUUACUGCUGCUUAGGUGGUUUUCUCUCUUUUUGUUAUUGUUGAGAGAGAAUGAGGUUUUGUAUCCAUGUAUAAAGACCACCUAUGUAUUUGCUUAUAGCACUGGUUUUGGAAUUUCUAUUGUGCUACCUUUGAUUUACUUAUGGCGGAUGUUAGCUCCUUUACUUGUUUCCUCUUAUAGAAUUUAGAUACUGUACUAUGCUCUGAUACUUCUAAAUGUCUUUUAUUAUUGCUUUAUUUACCGUUAUUUUAUAGACACCUUAUAUGUUUUAUACGUAUGACGAGUCUGGGCACGUGCCGGGCGGGUUUCUGCUGGGUCCCGGGGCGUGACAAUAUAAUACAAAUAUAUAUAUACAAUCUAUAUCUAAAUAUUCAAAAUUAUAAAAUUAAAAAUUAUAUUUAAUACAAAUAGUCUAAGCUAUGUAAAAAUUAUUUAUAUAUUUUAAAAUUUAUAGUAAUAAAUAAAAAAAUAAAUUGGACUUAAAAUAUUAUAAAUUUUUUUUUAUAUGAAGAGAGAAAAAAUUGAAGAGAGAGAAAAAAAUAAAAAAUUGAAGAGAGAGAGGGAUUAAAAAAAUUGAAGAAAGAGAAAAAAAUAAAAAAAAAAUAUUUGAAGAAAGAGAUAAAAAAAUAAAGAGAGAGAGAGAGAAAAAAUAAUAAAAAUUGAAAAGAGGAAAAAAAAAUGAAGAGAAAGGAAAAAAAAUUUGAGAGAGAGAAAAUAAAUUUGAAGAGAGAGUAAAAAAAAACAAAAUUUCCCUCCUCUCUCCCCCGCUGGGCCCCACUCACACGGGGCCCACCUUGCGGCGCGCCCGUGUCGGCUCGCGCUAGCGCCGGCUCGCGCCCACGUGCGCCGCGCACCACGCGCCCACCCGCGCCCGCUCGCGUCCGGCACCUGCGCCCGCUCGCGCCACGCGACUUCGCUCGAGCGCGCCUGCGCCGGCGCCUCGCUCGCGCGCGCGCCUGCGCCAGCGCCUCGCUCUCCCGCGCGCUAAUAUAAUAACCCUACCUUGUUUAAUGUUUCUCAUCUCUCUCUCUCUUUUUCUCUCUCUCUCUCUCUCUCUCUCUCUCUAUCUCUCUUCCGAUCGAUCCAAAGGCUCACCAUUUCUCUCUCUCUCUCUCUUCCGAUCGAUCCAAAGGCUCAUUAAUGGUGAGCAGCUACCCCUCUAUCUCUCUCUCUCUCUCUCUCUCUCUCCCUCGCUAUCUCAUCUGAAACCCUGCUUACACAUACACAUCAGCUUCAGGAAAUUGUGUAAUACUUUUGAGUUGUACCACCAAUUUUUUGGAAAUAAAAUAACACCUUGUUUGCUCUCUUUUACAGAAUUUUCAUAUCCUCUGAUCUACUCCUUUUGUCUCAGUAGACACAGCUUGUGCAAUAACUCUCUAAUAUAUGGACUCAAUAUGAUUUUAUAUUUACAGCUUCAGAUGAUCAUGUAUGAUAAUAUUCACCAUAACUAUUUAUCAAUGUGAACUAUACACCUAUUUGAGAAAAGAAAGCCAAGCGGCCAACUGUUCUGAGAAGCAACUUUCAUGCCUACUUUUGAAACAGGGAAAAAUAGAAGUUCCAUGGUACUGAAAAUACAAAUGAAUUCACCAUUCAACAAAUAUAUAACAAUUACGUCACGCAAAGCAACAAUCUAUUGUAUGUUUAACUCAGCUUAGCAAACUGCAUGGACAAAAGUGGAAGUUACAAUGUUUUACUUCAAAUUGGAAGACACCCAAAAAUUGGCCCCAAAAGCACCUAAGAUAAAGCCUAAUUUGGCCUCAACAUUUCUACUCUCUCCCUAAAACACUAUCACAGCAGUAAUGUAGUGAAGUAUAAUCGAAAAAGUGAUAACAACAGAUGGUCCUAUCAGCAAGAACUUUGUUCCUGCACUGCACUGAACAUUCGCUCCGCUAGAACAGCCGCUUCUUUGCGGUUACAUAUAUAUCAUGUAAUGCCAAAAGAGAAAUGAUUCGGUACUUUUUUAAAAAAAUAAAAUAAAAAAGAUCUUAACCGUUGAUUAAUAGAGGGUAAAAAUGUAACUUUAAUACUUAGCAGGUAAAAGGAUUAUUUUAUUCAAGGUUAGUUUGGUAAUUAAAUAAUACAAUAUUUAAAGAAAUUUUUAAUUAAUUGAGGUCCUAAAUUUAUGCAUUAAUUAGCACUAAUUUAGGAAAUUAAUUGAUUAACCAAAUUUAUGCAAUUAUUAGGCAUUAAUUUAGGAAUCUACUUUAAAUAUUUUAAUGUUUCUCAAAUUAUGCAUUAAUUUAAAUUAUAGAAAUUUUAGAAAUAGUUUUAUUUCUAAAUACGAUGAAUUUAAAUUUUAAAAAUUAAAUACUUAAAAUUUAAAAGUGAAAUUUAAAUUAGAGGAAUUUCAUAUUACUAUUUAAAAACUAAAUUUCUACCAAGAUUUAAAAUACAGUUUAUUCGCACCAGUUUAAAACGUAAUGCAUAAAAAACUUAGAGAGUAAGAUUUCUACAACUAGAUUUCUCUAGAGGAAUUUCAUAUUACUAUUUAAAUUUUAAAUUCAAUGAUUUAAAAACUAGAUUGAACCGAUUGAUUUGACUGAUCAGACUUUGACCUAUUCUAUCAAGAAUCUGAUUUUAACCUAUUGAACCGAAUAACAUUAAGAACAAUUUGGAACCGGUAAAGAUAAUAAAUAUUUUAAACAGAAUGAUAAUUUAACUGUUAGAGCUAAUAAAUAUUUUAAAUAUAAUUUUAAACAUAUAAAUUAAAAAGAUUAGAAUUAUUGGUGAGAAAAAAAAUAGUUAGGAAUUUGAAUUCGAAUCUAACUAUAAAUCACAAAACUUAUUUCCGAACUCGACGAAUUUUAAAAAUCCAUAUCCAAAUUCAAAACUGACCAAUUUUUCGAAAUCCAAAACCAAAUCUAAACCAGAAGACUAGAAUUCAAACAAUUAUUUCUGUUUACCAUAUUUCAAAGUAUUUAUAUGAAACUUAAAUUUUUAAAAUAUAAAUUUGAAUAUAAUAUUAAAUUUUAAAUUUAAAAGUGAAAUUUAAAUUAGAGGAAUUUUAUAUUACUAUUUAAAGUUUAAAUUCAAUGAUCAUAUUGUCAAAUCAUUUGAAAAUUUUCUUAUAUGAAAUGCCAAAUUAUGAAAGGAAAGAUAGAGAGAGAAAAAGGAAACAAAGAAAAAAUAAAAAUUUUAAAAAUAUAGUAGAUGUAAAAUGACUAAAUUACCUAUGUAUUAAAAGACAAAAAUAUCCCUUUUUGAGGUACCUGAUAACCGGUACCUCUCUCAAAGUGACCUGCUAUUGCAGGUCACAAUUUUAAAAAAACUAAAUCUGAGCCGUUGAAUACGGGUGAAUCAACGGUAACAAAAAAAAAAAGUAUAGAAGCAUUACUCAUGCCAAAAACACUCCCUAAUAAAUGUUUUGGUCGGCAAACACAAAUCUAUUUUGAGAUAAUGAAUGAAAGACAUCAACUUUUUAAAGUAUAAGGCUUGCUUACUAAGUGUUCAUCAGCUUAAGCUGUCAUAGAAGUUAGGGGUCGAAUUGCUGCUUAAUGCAUUUCAAAAUUAGGGAUAAGAGUCAUUGACUCUUGUGUAUUAAGUUACUAUAAAUUCUUGGUAUACUUUUGGAAUGAUAGAGCAGUGUAAAAGUCUUUAUUUAUAUUGGUAUAUUAGAUUAAAAGAUUUGAAACAGAAAAAAAGAAAAGCAGUAUUUCUAUAAAUACAUGUCUGAAUUUUUAAUUUUGAUAAGUAAAUCUUCUAAACUUCAUAUUUUAAAUUUACUGUUUAAAUUCAGUAUCAGAUUUUAAAUUCUGCUUAAGACUUCAAAUUUAUGAUUCUAAAAUUUUAAAAUACAAUAUAGUCAAAAAAAUAUUAUUUGAAAAUAGUAAAAAAAAAAUUGACAAAACGACUUCAUAAAAAUUAUUUUAGAAAAAACGCUUUCCUGCUAAAUUCAGCCAAAUACUGCAUAAUAUUUAACCAAAAUUAACUUUUUAUAUGGAAAUUAAUUCUGCAGAAUUAUUUUUUUUCAAGAUCUAGGCUAAACGGCCCCAUUAUUGUCCAAAAUGAUCUGAACCGCUCAAUUUUUUAAAAUAAAAUAAAAAACUCUCUACCAAUAGAAAUGCGCCACAUUGUAUUGUCCCUCUAAAAAUCUAAUUAUUAAUGAGUAGAUCACCGAAUCGGUGAGCACCGCAUAACCUGAGACCCCACCUUAAUGUAUGGUGUGGUGGCCCUCCUAACCUAAACACGCUUCGCGGAUUCAGCGAGCCAAUUUAGUUCUUAGAAUCUGCAAAAUAAAUAAAUAAAUAAAUAGAUUGAUAAAAUUUUUAUUUUGAGAAUCUUGAUAGGGCUGAUUAGUUAAGCAACAAAAAAUAAUUCACUAGACUAGAUUUGGCUUAUGACCUGCAUGUGGACGGUGCAGUUAAUAGAGCCAUAUCCAAUGGAUCUUCAAUUAUUAUUAUUAUUAUUAUUAUUAUUAUUAUUCUUUUUCAACCCUAAAAAAGAGCUCUAAGCAUUCACAUUAUCCGAGAAGCCACGCACAGUAUUUGACUCUCCGACAAUUUGGACAACAUUACUGACCAUCCCUAGAGCAAGUGGCAAAGAGCUCGGCGGUUGGUACCCGAGACCUAAAUUCGAAUUCUAAUUGAUUCAUAUUUCCAGCUAAGUUUAUUUCUAAAUGAAAUAAACGAAACGGAUAGCGUGUUACCUAUUUCUCAAAAAAAAAAAAAAAAAAAAACAAUUUGGACAACAUUGAAUUAGUGAAAGAUGAAGCAAAAUAUAUAAAUUUGAUGAAGAGUAAUAUUACGUUUAAGGCACUGUUUGGUUGCAUAUAGUUAUAACUGUUUUACAAUUAUAACUAACUACAUGAAAAGAUCUGAAUUUGAUGUUGGUUGUAAUAAACUUAAAUUUAACUGUUGGUGUUAAAAUUGUAUCAGAAGGUCCAACUGUAAUAAUUGAAAUUAUAUCCAAAUUAAUGUACCUAAAUUAGCCGCAAUUUUGCCUGCAGCAGCAGCAGUUAGCAGUUGGAGGGAGCAACUUUAUAGUAAGCACCCGUACCUCUCUAAUUACUGUUUAAACAGAAAAUAUCUUUCUUUUCCACAAUAGAAAUAAUCUCAUCAUCACCUACAAAAAGUAGAAAAAUUUUAAACAAAUUAUUUACCAUUACAAUACUAUCUACUAAAUCCAACUAAAUAAGAUAUAUAUAGUUAUAACUCUUAUACUUUUAACUGUAUGUAUUUUUAAUUAUAUUAAACUGAGCAGUCCCAAAAAUCCAUGGGGAUAACUAAAGCUGUAUUAUCCAAGGUUCGGCACAAAUGCAAUGAACUUCAUUACCAUCCAAAAAAUUAAUUUAAUCUUAAUUUAAUUUGUCUAGAGCUACUGUACUUUCGAAAGCUAUAUUACCGAAGGUUCUGCACAAAUGCAAUGAACUCCAUGUACCAUCCCAAAAAAAUUAAUCACUUUAAUCUAAAUUUAAUUUGCGUAAAGCUACAAUACUUUCGAAAGUAUAAGAGAGUGGUGCUUCCGACUUUUUUGACUUUGGAUCAAGAAUUAUACGGUCGAAAUGAUAGUAGUCCCUCUAGAGUUGAGUAGCCCUCCUAGAGCAAUAGUAUUAAUGCAAAGAUCAAAAAUUAUUAAAGAAGUUGAUCCAAGGGUCAAAAAGUUAGAAGCACUAAUCUAUUAUAUUUUCAAAAGUAUAAUAUUUUUAAAACUAGGCUGGAAUACUAUCAAUAACACCAAACUAUUAUUAUUAUUAUUAUUAUUAUUUUUUUCGCUUCGCUCCGGAAGCCGAGUUGCUUCCCACGUUUGCUAAAUUCAACUACUCUAUAAAUGAAACGGUAGCAUGCUGCCUUUUCUCAAAAAAAAAUAUCCCAGCCGGACUAAUAGCUCUACUCAUUUAAUUUUUAUUGUUUUAUGCGAGUACACACAGCAUUAUUUUUUUAAUGAAAGGCUAAGGGCAUGUUUGUUUCAACAUAAGUAGACUUGGAGUGGAAGUGGACUUUGGUUGAAGUGGAGUUUAGGUGAAAAUUAAUUCACUUUCGCUGUUUGUUUCUAACUGUGGAAGGGCAAUUUUGUGAGUUCUGUUGUUUGUUUGGUAGGAAGUAGAUGACGUAAAAAGUGUAGCUCUCCACCCCCAAUAUACUUACCUCCGAAGUGAUAUUAUUGUCUAUUUUGUAACUUAGUGAAUAAUAAAUUAUAAUAAAUAAAAAUUAAUGUAAUUAUAUAUGUAUAUAAUUAUAUAUAUGUAUAAUUAUAAAAUAAAAUUUUAAAAAAUUAUAUUAUUUGUUUGCAUAUAAAUUAUAAUAAUGCAACAAAUAAAAUUCUAAAGUUAAAAAUUUAUUAACAUUUAACAAAUUCAUUUUUCAUCAUUUUCUAAAUAUACAAAUUAGACAAAAAAUAUAUUAAAACUUACCUAUCCAAAUUUGAUCGCAUUACCUAACCAAAUUUAACAAACUCCUUUGCCUCUUUGCACUUCACCACCGGAAUUGACUUCGCUCCGUGGGAAGGCGAAGUCAAUUGCCUUAUUUUGGGUGAACUCGACUUUCGGCUGUAAUAAAAUUACGGCAAAACAAACAACGAAAGUGAUAGCUUACGGCGUAAACAACUUCCCUCCUCUCCACUUCCCCCUCACUUUUAUCCAAACAAACACACCCUAAGAUGCUCUUAAGAAAUGUCCUUGCUGAUAGAAAAUUUUGAAAAAAUCAACAAUUCUUGAAAAUCAUUGCGUCCAUGAUCCUGCUCUCUCUCUCUCUCUCUCUCUCUCUCUCUCUCUUUUGCAGUUGGCAUGCAGUUUAGGGGGACUCGUGGUUUUCUGCUUUAUGAAAAACUGUGGGAGUUUUUCUUAAAAAUAAAAAGAAAAAAGAAGAAGAAAAACUGUGGGAGGCGCCGUUAGGUUAACAAAUCGCGUGGCGCGACAAUUUUGGAUUUCUAAGCGGGCGUUUGAUUCUUUAAAAAAAUAUAGAAAUUUUUUAGGAAAACAGUGAAACGGUGUUUUUUUUUAUGAUUUUUGUGCUUUGAUUUUUCGCAUGUUCAGUUUUGAAGAAAAUUAUACUUUUAGAAAAACAUUUUCACAUUUUAUAAAAAUCAGUAUUUUUAAUUUUUUUAAUAAAAUCUAGUAAUUUUUUUGAAAAAAAGUAAUUUUUAACUAAAUAGAUGAAAAAAAAAAAAAUUUCCAUGUAUAUUUUUUCGAAAAAUAAUUUAUUAAACUUUGACUGAAGAAUCCAAACAAAACCUAAUGCUAAAUUCAAGAGAGCAUUUAUCCAGAGCAAAACAAUUAAAGAUCCCAAAAAGUUGAGGGAAAGAAAGAAAGGUAAAAAAAAAAAGUAAAAAAGAGAGAGGGCGCCGCGCAAGAAGAUGAAACUAAGAUCAUAAUUCCAUUAAUUCGAUUUCUACAAGGUUACACAAAAAGAAAAGAAAAGAAAAAAAAAAAGAGAGUUAUAAUUAGAACACCACAAGAUCAGCGUAUGAUGAGGAGGGUUGUGUCUACUAAUAUGCACAUAAACCCUCCUCCUCCUCCUCCUCCUCCGUCCACUAAUCCACCUCUCAGAAUAAUAAUUGCAUAUAGUACAGUAAAAUCAUCCAUCCAGAUCCUUCUAUAAUGUUCUUCUGAGAUCGGAAUCGAAAGAUCGGAUCAUCGUGUACCCUUUUUCGAAUCGAUCGCCGUCGAUCCCUGUCCUCUUCGCGAGGCGCGGAAAAACCCUAAGAUCGGAUCAGGAUGCUGACGAUAACCCCCCACCCCCCGGCCUACCAGCACUGAUCCGUUUCCCACGUCCUGCGCCCGGAUCUGGCAAAGCUCGGGGCCGCGUAGGAGGAGGAGGAGGAGGAGGAGAAGGGCCUCCGAUCGCCGCGCGGUGGCGCCGCGGCGGCGGCGGCGGCGGCGGCGGCGGCGGCGGCGGCGGCGGCGGCGGAGGAGAGGGACGUGGAGCGGUCGUAGCGGGCGCGCUGGUCGGGGUCGGAGAGGGUGGCGUAGGCGGCGUGGAUGCGGAUGAACUCGUCGGCGGAGGCGCCGCGGACGACGUCGGGGUGGCGCUCGCGCGCGAGGCGCCGGUACGCGGCCUUGAUCUCGCGCCCCGUCGCCGCCGCGCCGAUCCCGAGCACGUCGUACAGCGUUCCGCCGGCUGCGGCGGAGGGUGCGGCGGCGGCGGCGGAGGCGCGGAGGCGGAGGCGACGGGGGAGAGGAGGGGGACGGGGAGGGUUCCGAAGCCCGAGAAGGGAGUUCGGAGAGGAGAGGGAGAGCGAUGCAACAGCAACCAUGGAGAAUACGGAGAUGGGGAGAGAUUGGAGAGGUUGAAGACGAUGGUUUGGGGGGAUUACCAUUAUUAUAAGCAGGGGGAGGGGGAGGCGAUAUCCGCGCCUCUCUAUCUAUGGACGGAGAUACUCUUUGACUCUUGAGGGUACAGAAGAUCAUUGCGUAGACCUGCUGCACUCUUUUUAUUUUUGGACCGCUCCCUCUUUUUCCGGCAUCUUCCCGAAUGAUUCAAGAACUUUUCUCUCUGCUGGCCAAGUGAAAAGAAAAUCUAGAAUAAGAUGCUGUACAAUGCUGUUCGAUAAAUAUACUGUAAUUCAUUCAUUCAUGUCUCUCCGAACAAAAUAUAUUGUAUUUAGGAGCAAAGCUUGUGUGCUUCUAAAAGCACGGUAGUUUCUGUGCCAUUAAAUCGUUUUUGUUGUUGAAACUUUCGAAUCAACGAUCGAUUUUCUUAGAUUUGAUCUAGAGUACUGAAAAUAUGUAGAAUAUAAAUUCUAUAAUUUUUCAUUAUCAUCUGUCGAAAAAAUUCAAAAUUAAAAAUUUUAAUGAUUGUAGUGAGUUAUUCUUAAAUUUAAUAAUGUAGAAAUAUUUAAAAUAAAUGAAAUUCUAAUAGAAAAUUAUUUAUACUUAUAAGGCAAAAUAAAUAUAAACUUUAGUAUUAUAUUUUGUUACAUUUUUAUUUUUUGAAAAUAUUCCAAAUUAAAUUCAAACAAAACUAAUCGCUGAUUUAAAAAUUCUAAAUAUUAUAAAUCCUGUUAUAGUACGGAGGCCACCGUACCUUCAAAAAUAAAAAUACACAAAUAAGGUCCGAUAUUUAAUCUUUAAACUAAAAAGUAUUUUGAAUGAGAUAAAAUAUUUAAUACUAAGUAAAAUAUAAAUUAUCUGAACAAAUUAAUUACAACAGCAUCAAGACAGUCUCCUUCCUUGGGGUGAUAAAAAUAAGCAGUCGACAACUGAAGAUCGAAGGAAGUCUGGGUAGAAAAGUUUCCAAUUUGGCCGGGGGUGCUUAUCCGCUGGGGACGGCGGGGUGAGUCAGCGAGGGGUCGGAUUGGCUGUCACGGAACGGAGAGUGCAGUCUGGAGUCUGGACCGCGCAAAAAACAAAUCACACGCAAGAGCCAGCGGAAGACUGGCAUCGGGUUGGAAAACUCGGAAGCGGGGAUAGCGAGGGUGUCGCCUUAGUCAUGCUCGAGCUGGACUGGUACGAUGUCACCGGAUUGGAUUGGCCCCACACCCCUCCCCCACCACAACCGGGUCCGGAUAGGGUUGGCCCCACACCGGACGUGGCAGUGGAUAGAUUAAUUCCAAUAAGUCAUGUCUCUUCUUUUUUUUCUUUUUUUUUUUUGAAAAAAUUUUUCUCAAUAUAAAUUUUAAUAUUUGGUGGGGCACAUAACUCUAAUGUGAAGUUGAGGAUGAUCUCAUAAGAGGAUGGGAUCCGAAAUGAGAGGUUCGGGGGGAUGAACUUUAAUGAAAUAUGGUAAUGUUCCUUGCGAAAAAAGACGCUCUUAAAAAAAGAUCUAUAAAGUUACGGUUAUGUAUUAUUAUUGAUGUAUUGACAAUUUAUGUCGCACAUGCAUGAAUCAAUCAAAAGCCUUCAAAUCAUAUAUUAAGAGCAAUAUCGUACGAAGUACAAAGAAGUUUUCUCUAGAAAAUGAAUUUGAAAGAGAAUUGCUUUAGAUCCACCAUAAUUUUGUCCUUCUAUAUAGUUUUUGUGUUGAAAUUUUAUGUGGUAUUUUUGGAGUGCAUUAAUCAACCAAUCAUCUCUCUUCAUAUUAUAAUAACAAUAAAUCUAUUAAAUAUAAAAGCUAAUAAUGAAAUGGACCAGCAGCAGCAGGGUUCAAGAAAACAAUGUAUGAUAAUCUGCAGUAUUAUAGAACAUUUUAAAAUAGACGUCUCAAUGUUACUUUUUGUUAGUCAAUAUUUUCUUAAUUUCUAACUCUUCUUAUUUAAGAUAUUUUAUUUUUUAAAAGUUAUCAUUUUCAUAUGUUAUGACUCAAUUAGCUGGUAGUCAACAAUUUUUUUUUAUUUUUUUACUAAAAUAUAAUUAUAAAUAUUAAUUUGACGAAAUUAGUAAUGUAUUUGAGAGAUUCAACUUAGUUGCCUAAAAUUAUUUGAUUCAAAAAAAAAAAAUAAAACUAAAAAAAAUUAACUGAAACGCCUAUUUCAAAAUGUGUAUGUACAGUUAAGAGGUCUUCAUAUGCAUAAAUAUAUAUAGAGAGAGAGUGUUCGUCUAGUAUACUACUGAUAGUAAAUGAAUAAUAUUGCGAUCAACUUUUUCACCUUUAAAUUAUAUAUAUAUAUAUAUAUAUAUAUAUAUAUAUAUAUAUAUAUAUAUAUUCCGACUAUUAUAUUAUCAAUAUCACCAAGCGUUUGGUGUUAUCAAGUUUUCCGCCGUUAGUUAGAUGUAUUCCUUUGAUCAUUUCUAUCCGUUAAAUCAUACUAUAUAUUCAACUAACCAUCCACUUAACUCUAGAGGAUCACUAUCAUUCUAACCAUAUAUCCUUUCAUCUAAGGUUGCUAUUAAUAGUAUAGUAACAUAAUUCUAUAUAUAUAUAUAGUGUGACACCACAUUGCUAUCCAAAUCAUAUCCAUUCUAAUCUUUAGUGACCGAACCAAAGCCAAAUUCAAACUAAACUAGUAAAUCUAAAUUUGGACAUUUAAAUUUACAGAUUAAUUUUAAAUUUUAUUUCAGAACACCCGGAAAAUUUACUGUGUCCAAACGACCUUACUGGGUCGAGCCAAAUAUAAAAAGACCAUAUCAGUAACAGAAAUCAGAAGUCGGUCUGAAUCCGACCCGACUUUUCACGGGCCUGAACUUUUGAGACAUGAGCUGGUCCAGUGAACUAGCUUAGUCCNUAUAUAUAUAUAUAUAUAUAGUCCGGCUGCUAUACUAUCGAUAGCACCAAGUAGUUGGUGCUAUCAAGUUUUCUGCCGUUAGAUUAACCCCUUUGAUUAUUUUUAUCCGUUAGAUUAUACUAUUCAACCAACCACCUACUCAACCCUACGGGGCCCACAUCAUCCUAACCGCACAUCUUUUAAUCCAAGGGGGGAAAACUUAAUAGCACAAAGUCAUUGGUGCUAUUAAUAGUAUUCCAGCCUAGUUCUAUAUAUAUAUAUAAAAAUAGAGUCCGGCUACUAUACUCUUAUGAGUAUAGAGCUUUUUGUACUCAUAAAUUUUUUACCGUUUGAUCUACCCUUUAAUCAUUUUCAUCCGUUAGAUUAUAGUAUUCAACCAACCACUCACUCAACCCAAAUGGGGCCACUAUCAAUCUAACCGUAACCACUCUCAUCCCAACCACACAUUUUUUCAUCUGAACGGCCGAAAAUUUAUGAAUACAAAAGACUCUAUACUCAUAAGAGUAUAGUAGCCCCAGCCUAUAUAUAUAUGUAUAUAUGAGUAUAGUAGCCCCAGCAUAUAUAUAUAUAUUAUAUAUAUAUAUUAUAUAUAUACUAUGGUAGAAAGAGAGAGAGAGAGAGAGAGAGAGAGAGAGAGAGAGAGCGCGCGCUAGGCUGGUAUGCUAUCGGUAGCACGAAGGCCUCCGUGCUACCAAGUUGUUUUCAAUGUUGCGGCUUCCAAAUUGACGAUUGGCUCCGUUAGACUUGAUCUACACUACUAAAAGUAUUUGGAAACUAAAUUUCAUGAUUUUUCAACGUCAUUUACCUAUCAAACGAGUAGUCUAAAAAUGAACAACUGAAAAUAAAAAUUUCAUACAAAAUGAUGAUAAAAGACUUGAAUUACAGAUCAGAGGUAGUGAUCUUACUCUAAAUAGUGAAAAAAAAAUUUAUAAAAAAUUCAUCAGAUUUGGAUUGUUUUAAAUCGUUAAAUUCACAGAUGCAUCACAUCUACCAUUAAAAUUGUCGAUUUUGAGACCUUUUGAUCACUAGCCAAAUGAUGUCGAAAAAUUAUAAAAUUUAGUUUUCAAAUACUUUCAAUAGUGUAGAUCAAGUCUAACGGAGCCGAUCGUUAAUUUGAAAGCCGCAUCAUUGAAAACAACUUGGUAGCACGGAGGCCUCCGUGCUAGCUCUCUCUCUCUCUCUCUCUCUCUCUCUCUCUCUCUCUAUAUAUAUAUAUAUAUAUAAUUCUUAUAUUUUAUUUUUGACAAAAUUAUUUAUGCAAAUCUUGUAGAAUAUUCUUUUUUUAUGUUAUUAGUAUGUUGAAUUUAUGUGCAUAUUUUACUGUAUAACUUUGUAAAUAUUAAUAAUAUAUAAAAAUAAUAUUACAACAAAACUUAGUAAGAUUUCACAAAUUAAAAAUUAGGAUAGGAUAAUGUGUUAUUAUUUCCUACAGAGUAAUUCUAUAAAUAAGGAUGCAAAUGAGGCACAUCCGGAGGUGGGAUGGGUCUUCCACCUCCCGCCCUACUUUUUUCGUGGGUGGACGGGUUAAAAAAAAUUUUAUUUUAAAGUUUACUGUCAUUUAUCACUCCAUUUGGAAAAAGACGGAAAAAAAGCAAAUUUUUAAUAUAUUUUUAGCGAAACAGAACAGAUGAAGGAAAAGAAAAAGAAAAUUCCGCCUCUCGCUUCAUUCCUUAUUUGAUGGGAGUAGAUUUGAGAUGAAACCUUUUUUCUUUAUGUUUGAUCACACUCAAAAGGAUUUAUUUUUUUUUUUCCUUUUAUUUUUGGAAUUGGGUUUGUGGUGCGAAUUAGUGAUGCAGUGGGGCUUCUUUCCCAUGAGAGGAAACUUACUAUGACCAGGACCACAGAAUAGAAAUUGAGUGGUCCAGUUUUGGGCAUAGUUUUAUUGAUACACUCCAAUUAUUAUGGGAUGAAGAGCACCAAGGGAUAAGGAGGAAGACUUGGAAGAAGUGCAAGAGACAUUAUUUCCACGGUUGUGGAUAAGGUUAGUGGUUAAAUUUUUCAGAAAAUACGUACGGAAUAUAAAAUUAUUUUGAGUUGACUAUCCAAUCUUUUAAAAAUUUUAAUUUUAUCAUCUAAUUUUAUAAUUUGUUUGAUUUGAGUAGGUAAAUAGUACUCUGACUUUAAAAUUUGAACGUAUCGUUUAUUUUUAUAGAUUUAAUUAGUUAUUUCGUAUAAUUUUUAUAACUAUAAAUUUAUUAAAUAGAUAAUUAGUUUAAAUUUAGAUGUUAAAAUACUACCGACUGAUUCAAAUCAAAUAAAUUAGAAUGUUAGAUAGUAAAAUCAAAAUUUUGAAAAAUUGGAUAGCUUGGUCCGGUUCACAGAACUUCUGUAUGUUUUUAUCUAACUUUUCUUUUUAACCAUGGAUAAAGAUUUCUGUUUGAAUAUGUUUUGUAAUAGCUUAAUUUUUAUUAGGUAUUGUUUUGAUGUAUAGACAUCAUUUCAGUAAAUUUUUUUAAUUUAUUUAAAAAAUUUAUAGUAUUUUAUAGAUGAGGAGUGAAAUUUGAUUUUCUAGAACGACAUUUAACAUUUAGCAUUCAGGUCAUUAAGAAAAUUCUCAUGCUUAACAAAUUAUUUCCCAAUAAUCUAAAUUAGGCUUUACAUUAAUAAAUUGAAAAUACUAGUAAUUACGGUAAUCCCAAAAGUUUGGGCAAAUUACAGAGUAAAAUGAUACUGUUAUCUCUGAAUUCUUGUGGGAUAGAUUACAUGCCAUCCAAAUCUAAACUCCUAUCGAAUUUGAAUUUAAAUUCACUUAAAUAUUGGCGUACAUACAUUACAGCUGUUUAAGAUUAUUUUUUCCAUUUCAAACUAAUCAAAACAAAAGCACUCAGAAAUGGACAGGAUUUACUGUUAUUUACAGCAAUAAAAAUUCUGCGCACUGAAUAAUCCUGCCAAUCAGUCAUGUCAGUAUGUCCCAGUAUACUGGGUCGGGCUGGAUUUGCUUUCAUUCGUCCCUUUCAAUCGACAUCAAUUAACCUCAAGGACAGUUUUUUCUCCGGUGCACUACGACUUCCCUCGCCACUUCCACGCCCCAGAAAGGCUACGAAAGGCCAAAAUGUCCCAGCUCCGCUAGGGAUGUCAACAGAUUGGAUUCGGGGUGAACUUUCAAAAAUCCAGACCCGAAUUCGACUACCAAAUCCGAAAUCGAACCAAGUUAGAGCCCGAACUAGAAUCCGACGGAUUUUAAAAUUCCAUAUCCAAACUCGAACCGACCGACGGAUUUUAAAAAUCCAUAUCCAAACUCGAACCCGACCAAAAAUACGAAAACCCAAAUUUGAGCCUGAAGCAAUUAUUUUUUUUUACAAUAUUUCAAAAUAUAUUACAAUUAUAUAUAUUAUAUAUAAUCUAAAACAAUUUCGGGUUCAGGUGGGGUUUGAGUUUGGGUUUAGGUCGGAUACAAUCUGAAUCCACACCCGAAUCCAAAUUCGUCGGAUUUUCAUUUCUGAUAUCUAUAUCCAAAACUAUAUCUAUUUAGUAUCGGAUAAAUCCACUCCGUCAAGUUCGGAUAAAAUUUUAGGUAUCCAUAUCCAUUGACAUCCCUAAGCCGGGCAGCGCAGCAUGAACCCGGAGAAAGCCCAAAACAAUUUCAAUUGGGCCUUAGUCAUUUGAGCCCAUACCAUAGAGAAAAGCCCAAAACAAUUUUGUUCUUUUUUUAACCUUUUGAGGAAGAGGAAAGGGCAUGUUAUCCAUUCCUUCCACUUUUCUAAUACACCUGCAUUUUCCGUGCUUAUAUAAAAUACUUUUUUUUUUACCCCAAAAGGCACUAACUAUUUAUUUUCAAUUCCUACUCAAUAAGCAAUAAAUUUAUAAUUUUAUAUAAAAUCUGUUAAAAUUUACUAUUUAAAAUUGGAGAGCAUAUAUUCAACUCACUUUCAAUAUAGGGCAUAUUUGGUUGCCCGUAAGUGUAACAAUAAAAGUGGUAUUUUGGCGAAUUGGGACUAUUUCGGUUGUUUGGAUUAUAAAAGUAAAAAUAUAAGUGACUUUUGAAAAGUGAAACCAUGAAGUGGAUUAUAAUUAAAAUCUACUUUUUUGACUUCGGCAAAAAAAUUUCCUAAGCCUACUCCACACGACUUACGAACCACAUGUAAAAACCUUCUUUCAUACCAUUUACAAAAAAAAAAACUAUGCAUCUAAAAAAAAUUAUUUUAUUUUUUUAUUUUCUUAUAUAGAACCAAAUAAUAGAAAUCAUAAAAAUUAUAUUUAUUUUCUUUCACUUUUUUGAAACCAAACACUUGAGCUAAAAAGUGACUUUUAUAAAAGUCACUCUAAAAUAACAGAUUUGUUAACAGUAAUAUAAAGAUUUGUAAGAAAAAGGUUUAACACUAUUUAUGAAAAAAAUGCAAAAUAAAAAAAUAAAAAUAUAUCUAAAAUACAAUAUAAAAAUUAAUAUAAUAUAAUAAAAUAAUAAUAUAUUUGAGAAAAUUUUGAUAGUUGAUAUUCGAAGCUGAAACCUAAAUGUUUAAUGUGAUGGUGGUAUCUGCAGUUUAAUCCGGCCAAUAAUAUAUUCCGGAUAAUAUGAAGGGCAUGCUUGGUUCACUCACCUUAGAUUUUGAAAUCAGAAUAAAAUUUGAAUCAAUAAUUGGUGUUUAUUUUACACGAAUCGAAUUUCGAUUUUCAUUUCACUCUGGAUUAUAAAUAGUCUAAUCUAUUUAUAACUCAAUCUAGUUUUGAAUCUCGAAUCGACUUAUUUCAAAGUACACUACUCAAAGACCUCUCUUAGAAAAUAUCUAUCCGUUCUCUUUUUUCAGCACACUUUUCUCCCUUAACGGAAAAUCUUUUUCAAAAUUUUAGAUAUCUUUUCUCAUUUUCAUGUCAAUAAUAAAAUAAAUAUCCUUAAAUAAUUUAUUAUUCUAUAAAUUAUUUCAAUAUAAUUUUUUUAAAAAUUUCUAUUUCAAUCAGGAAUAAAACAUGCCCUAAUUGUGGAAGAAGCUUCGCGAAUGCAACUUGCGAUGACCAACCACAUCAUAUAUAUCCAGUCCCAAAUAAGACAACACAUCCGCGAAUAGCGACUAUCCACGUGUCCCACUUCCAAUUAUAAUUAUUUUAUUUUAUUUUCCACCAUACACGUCACCCCCUCUCUCUCUCUCUCUCUCUCUCUCUCUCUCUCUCUCGUGUCCCCCACAAAGUUUAUAUACACCAACAAAAAAAAAAAAAAAAAAAAAAAAAAAUCGCCGGCCCCCACCAACCGCGCCAACUCCGCCCUCUUCAAUCACUAAUCAAUUACCCAACACCCCAACAAACACCACAAAACAAUCACACCAAUAAUUAAUUAAAAAAAAAACAUUACCCAAUUCCUAAUAAUAUAUAUAACAAUACAAGGAGCUAGUAUGUGUCAUCCAAAUCCUCCAACAUCACCACCGUUGUUGCCACCAUUGCAACACCCGCGGCCGCUGCCGCCGCGAUGGGCGCCCAAUUCUCGAAGCAGGUCGAGCGCCGCAAGGCGGUGGCGGCCGAGCGGCGGGCGCUGGCCGACCUUCUGGAGUCGGCGGGCGACCAAUUCCCGGGCUCUGACUUCCGGCCCGCCGACCGCAAGGCGUGGAUGUCGGCCCUCGGCCCCGACAAGCUCCGGAUCAGCCAGAUCGUCUGGCCGGGCACCCACGACUCCGCCACCAACAAGAUCGGCGUCCGCUUCGUCUCCCGGCCCUUCGCCCGAUGCCAGGACUGCUCCGUCUACCGCCAGCUCGUCAACGGCGCCCGCCUCCUCGACAUCCGCGUCCAGGAGGACCGCCGCAUCUGCCACGGCAUCCUCGUCGGCUACUCCGUCGACGUCGUCAUCAAGAACCUCAAAAAGUACGUGACACGGCCGUUUCGCAUGCAUCGUCAUAAAUAAAAGCUUAAGCUGCUAGAGAAUAGCGGUGCAAUACUAUACUAAUCUUAAUAUUUUAUGUUGGCGGAAGCUAGGUUUCUCGCGGAGACCGAGAAGGAGAUCGUGGUGCUCGAGAUCCGCACGGAGUUCGGGCAUGAAGACCCGCCGGAGUUCGACAAGUACCUGGCGGAGCAGCUCGGAGAGGUGCUGAUCCCGCAGGACGAGGCGGUGUUCGGGAAGACGGUGGCGGAGGUGCUGCCGAGGAGGGUGAUCUGCGUGUGGAAGCCGCGGAAGUCGCCGGCGCCGAAGCACGGCGACCCGCUGUGGAGCAGCGGGUAUUUGAGGGACAAUUGGAUCGACACCGAUCUCCCCAAGACCAAAUUCGAUAGCAACAUGAGGUGCGUAGCACAAUUGUUAUUUCUGUUUGUUAAUGUUUAAGCUGUUAGAGAACGAUAUUUUUAAUAAUUAAUGUUGCUGAGUAGGCAUUUGGGUGAGCAGCCGCCCGUGUCGGAGAGGAGGUACUUCUACCGGGUGGAGAACACGGUGACGCCGCAGGCGGACAAUCCGGUGGUGUGCGUGAAGCCGGUGACGGGGCGGAUCCACGGCUAUGCGCGGCUGUUCAUAUCGCAGGCGUUCGCGAAGGGGAUCGGCGACCGGCUGCAGGUGUUCUCCACGGAUUUCAUCGACGACAACUUCGUCGACGCCUGCGUGGGGCUGACGCAUGCAAGAAGUGAAGGGAAGGCAUGAGAGAUCCGGCACAGGAAAGGAAGGUAGUGUAAGGGCGUGUAUGUAGAAUGUUUUUUUUUUUUUUUUCUCUCUCUUUGGGUGUAUAUUGUGGGCUUUGUUAAGUUCUUAAUCAGUUAUUUUUAAAUGGGUUAAUUUGUAAUUAUCGUGGGUUAAUAAUGAGUCGUUUUGUUUAGUCAGAGUAGCAAUUUGCACUAUUGCUUGCACGUUGAAGGAAGCUAGGUUUGUUUUCAUGAUUUUUAUGAACGUAUAUAUGGUAGUAAAAUUUAGGUAAAAACGCAUAGAAGUUAUAAAAAUUAUAGAUAAUUUUAAAUUGGCUAUCAAAUAUUUUAAAAUUUUAAUUUUACUAUCUAAUUUUUAAUUUGUUUGAUUUGAGUUAAUCAACGAUGCUUUUAUUUACAAAUUUGAAUGCGUUAUUUAUUUUUACAGAUUUUAUUAGUUAGUAUACUUUAUACAAUUUUUACAGUAAUAGAUUUAUUAAAAUAAUCAAUUUGUUUAAAUUUUGAAUUUAAAAUACCAUAGAAUCACCCAAACCAAACAAAUUGAAACGUUCGUUAGUAAAAUAAUUUUUUUUUGAAAGACUAGGUAACUAAUUCAAAAUGAUUCAUAGUUCAAAUAAGUUUUGUAUAUUUUUAUCUAAAACUUAUCAAAUUUGAAAGGAAUUCACAGUACUGCAACAAGUACUGAGAAUUCGCAACUUAUUAUAAUUCUAUUGAUGAAAGUUUUAUCAACAUUUUAACAUUAAAUUUUAAAAGCUUAUAACAGAAUCAAUAUUUUGCCUUUACCUUGUUAACUACAAAACAAAUAAUUAUCUAUUUUCUGGCAUCUUAAUUUUUACCGGUAAACAAUCGUUUUACAUUAUUUUGUAUGAUAUUAGAACACAAGGUCUUGAACUCGAAAUUUAUCCUACUUCUAAUAGCUUAAAAUUUAUCUAAUUUCUUCUAACUUUUUUUUAUCAUUUUCUAGAAACUCAAGCUGCUUAAAAAAAUUAAACUUUUAAUAUAAAAACAAUGCUAUCUGUAUAUAUAUUUAUAGGAUGUAUAUCUCACACUCUAUCUAUUCAAUGACUAAUAUUCUUUUACAAUUCUUAUUAAAUUUUUUUUAAUACUAAAAUUUUAAAAAUUAUUUGGUAGGUGAUUAUAAAAUAUACAGUAUAUUUAUAGAGUGUAUAGAUAGUAUUGUUUUUGUAAUGUUAGAAUUGAGAUAACAAGAAUCCAAAAGUUGCUUGGAAAUUUCUCCCCUGGCAUCUUCAUUUGGUCAUCUCUCCUCCUCACUCUAUGUUAAGUGGGGGACAACACACAUGGACAGGGACAUGUGACAUUUGACCUAAUACCAAUAAUUGUUCUCCCAUGGAAUAUAUAUACAACUCUUGUGAUGGUCAUUUAACAUGCCAUGUGCAUAAAUAUUGGCCAACAGUUGGGAGGGUACUAGGAGCUUGUUUGUUUGCAUGGAUUAAAUGAUAGAGUUUGAAUUCAAAUAUUUGAAACUUGAGGGAGCUUAGGGUCUACUAUGAUUAGGGGUGGCAAUCCAGCUCGCCGUUCGCCAGCCAACCCGUGUUCGACUUGAAAUGAGCUCGAGAUCGAAUCGCUCGUUUAGUAANUUAUUUAAUUUAUAUUUAUAUAUAUAAAUAAAUAAUUAUAUAUAUAAUAUAUAUUUUUAUUAUUUAAUUUUUAGCAAAAUAAAAAUAUAAAGAUGAGCUCAAUUAUAAAAAGACUUAUUUAUAUGUAAAAUUUCAACUAUUAGAUCAAAGUCUAAUGAAUAAGAUUUUGUAAAUUUAUUUUUUAUGUAUAUUCAAUAUAAUCCUUUUAACUUAUUGUUCGUUGGCCAGCUCGUGAGCCGGCUCGUGUUCGGCUCGUUUACACCCCUAACUAUGGUACAUGCAUGUUAUUUAACAAAGAUAAAUUUUAUUAGAAUAACUCACUAAACUAGUCUUAAUAAGGAGAAGGUGAGUAGCUUUGCCUUCUCACGAUCCACAUUCAAGCGGCAAAGGACUUGAUGAUUAAUUCACAUUUUUAGCUAAAUUUAUUUUUAAAUAAAAGAAACGAAACGAGUAACGUACGUGCUACCUAUCUCUCAAAAAAUGAUUCACAUCCAAGACUUCAAAUUCAAGACUUCAUACUUUAAAAAUCGUUUCAUUUUAUUUUCUUAUUUCCGAUAGAAAAUUAUUACCUGCAGUUGGUUCAUCCACACUUUACGUUCAAUGACGCUCCGACUAUAAAGGACUGUUUGGUUCCUCGAAAAAGUGAGGAAAAAAAAUUUUCGAGAAAAAUUUUUUCGAUGAAAUUUUUUCUUUAGUUUUUUUGUGUCUAGUUUCAAAGAAAACUAGUUUUUUGGAAAAUAUUUUGACGUUUUGAGUGGUAUAUAGACAAUUAUACCUAAUAUCAACUAAAUAUAUGUUUUUCAUGCUGAAUAAACCACCAUACAUAAAUUGAUUAGUUUUUUUAGCUAAACAGUACUUAAUAAUAUAUGACACAAGUCCAACAUACAUGUUAGACACAUACCAUGUUAAAAACUCAAAAUCAAUUCAAACUUUAUAUGCAGUAGAUGGAAACGCCCCUGAGCAUUUUAUGCAACCUAAGAUUCACAUUAAUUUAAGCAAUGUUCGACAAUUAGUGCGCGUACGUGUACAGUUCACCUACUAUACUAUUGAUAUAUAAUAAAAGAAUAAUUAGUACUUAUUAUUUAUUUUUUAAUUCUUAGAUCAAUACUAUUUCACCUACCUCUACUAAACCCAAGACGUCCUCCGAGUUCUAGUCCAAAGCCACUAAGAAUUGAGGGUAUUUUGAAAUUUUGGGAUCCAUAUUUUGAGCAUUAUUAUUAUUUUUUUCUUUUAUUAUUGAUAUGUAGUAAAAGAAAAAAAAAAUAUUCAAAUUAGCUCUUAAUUAAAUAUUCAAUACACGCACAACAAAGUCAAACCCAGCUCAAACCUAUCUUUUCCCUCGGAAUUUUCUACUAACAAUGUGGAUAUUCAAAAGAUUCUUCCUUUUUCCUUUUUUUUUUUAGUUGAAGUUACAUAAUAAUAUGCAUAUAUUGUGCAGUUAAAUAUUGGAUGUGGAAUAAUUAAAUAAGAUUCGACUUUUCUAAUUAAUUGGCGAAAUAUGAUCUCUUGAAAUCAUGCUUCUAAUUUUAAACUUCAAAAAUCACCCCGCAGUUUCGCACUUUCUUAUUUUAAUACCCUAUAGUUUAAAGUGUAUCAAGUUAGUGUCCUUAAUUUGGUUUCAUUUUUAUCUUUUCAUCAGUUUCUCUGUUAAUAUUUCGUUAAAUUAUAUACAAAAAAAAUUCAGAUAUUCUAUUUAGAUUUAUCGAAUAUUCACUCUAGUAUCCUUUAGUUUUAACUCUGUCACUGAUUUAACAAAAAAAAUUAAUAAAAUCGAUGAUAGAAAGAUAAAAAUGAAACCGCAUGAUACUAAAUUGAUAUACUUUAAAAUAUAGGGUACUAAAAUGAGAAAGUGUGAAACUGGUGGUAUUUGAAGUUUUUCAUUAAAAUUAAUAUGCUCAAAAGUCAAAUAUAAUUUGGCCCACCUGUCACGGGAUAAUUUUUUUUAUUUUUUAAAUAAUAUAUAUUAUGUUUUUUUAACUCAAAUUCAUGUUCUCACCGUGCGUUUCGAGCAGAUUAAUUAAAACUGUGUUUUAGAAAAGCUACCCUUUCUCAAUUGUGCAAAGGUGGAUUAAUUGUGAACGUUUUGGGAAUAUAUAAGAAUAAUUUUUAAAAUAAUGGAUAAAAUUAUCCUCAAACUAUUACUAAUUUAAUUUUAAGAGUUCUUCAAUUUUUUUAUUUUUAAAAUUAAUUUUUAACCAACUGAAUUAACUAGCUAGUUUAUUUAUCAGAUUUAUUAGCGAUUCCAAAAUUUCCAUUAAAAUGCUCUACUUUAAUCACCGUUUAGCAAAUAUAAGUUAAGAACAUGUCAAUUACAAAAAGAAUUUUGAAAUCAUGAGUAACUUACCUAUAAAAAUUUUUAUUUAAUUAUCUGAUUUUAAAAUAUAUUUGAUAUAAAUAUAUCUUACGAAAAUUUUACCAGUUACUUUAAUUUGAUUUCUUCUAAUGAAAAAUUUUGCAAUCUAAUAUAAUAUUCUUAGCUUAUAGGAAUAUUCUCCUAUCUUUUUACUAUAAGAGUCUAAAUUAUAAUAUAUUUUAACAGCUUGUUCUCUCAAAAAAAUAUAUAUUUUAACAGCUUAUAAAAUUUUGAAAUUAUUAGAAAUAUAAAGUUAGAUAAUAAAAUCAAAAUUUUAAAACCUUAGGUACAAAUCUCAAAAUGCUCUUAUGGUUUAGAUAGGUCAACAGUUUUUAUAAUUCCUACUCACUUAAUUUGUACACCCUUUAUAGAGGGUUUAUAUUUUACACCUUUGAUCCAGGAGUUAAUAUGUAACCUCUUAAUUUGGAUAUUAGUUAAGGAAAAAAAAAAUGCAAGUAAAUUAAUAUAGGUCACAAGAUGAUUAUUGCUGUAAAAUUGACACUAUACAUACAUAGGGUGUAUGGAUAAUAUUGCUCUUUUAUUAACGUUUUGACUAGAUCUAUUUAUUAUGUACUACUUGUAUUCUUACCAUUUUAGUUAAUAAAAUUGUAUGUAAAUAAAUAAUUAUCAUAUAUAACUCUUUGUCAUUUGGUGAUUCAAAACAAGUUUUUUAUUUUUUUUAUCAAACGUGUUACGAAUCACUUUUAAAUAUGCCUAGUAGUAAUUUUUGAUAUUUCGUAGUCAAACACUAAUUGUAAUAAAACUGUUUUAUUUAGAAUUAAUUUUAAUCGAAAAAAUCAAUUUCUAUCUGGUGAAAUAUAAAAAUAUAAAAAUAGUGUUCUCUACAAGCUUAAAAUUUUGAAGAUAAAUGAUUAUUUUAUAGAAUUUAAUAUGAUAUCAAAAUAAAAAGUCAGCCACUCUAGAAUCUUCGUAGGUUUUGAUUCUGAUAUGUUCUAAAAAAAUUUCUUACGUAAAAUGGAGAAUUUUGUUUUAUUUUUCUAAAAUUAUAGAGAUUUUUCACUUCAAUCACAAGAUAUUAUUACGAAAGCAUCUAAAUAUUUAUUUAGAAAACUUUACUUUCAAAACAUAGAAAAAAAUAAAAAAUAAAAGGCCUUACAAAAUUUGGGGCCAUUCCAACAUGCUUAAGAUGUAAAAUUUAUAUCUACAUUAUAAAGAGUACCAUAGAAAUUUCUGAAUAUUAGAGAUGUGUUGAUAUAUUCAUCAUCAUUAAACUCUAAAUUUUAAACCUCACAUCUCGAAAGCAAUAAUUAAAUACAAAAUUUUAAAUCCUAAACCCUCUAUAUAUAUACCGACACAUCAACAAUAUGAUGUAAAGAUACUAUGCUAUCAGAAGUAUAGAGAAUUCGAUACUUUCAAUUUUUUGACCUUCAAAUUAAGAAUUCUAUAGUUGGAAUAAUUGCGGUCCCUUAUUGAAUUGAGCGGUCUAUAUAAAAUAAUAAAUUAAUUCAAAAAUUAGAAAUGACAAAAAAAGUUGAUUUAAGAAUUAAAAAAUCAAAAAUAUUAUAUCCUAUAUACUUUCAAUAGUAUAGUAACUCUGCUCAACAAUACGCUACCAACAACAUGUUGUGCAAAAUCAUGUAAAAAUAAAUAAAUAAAUAAUAUUGCUGGAGCUAAUCAGAAGCCUUUCCUAUAGUAGAAACUUCUACAAACAUUGUACUCUCUCUCUCUCUCUCUCUCUCUCUCUCGGUUACUAAUUAUUCCGAGACAAAGAACCUUCCAAGAUGUUCCUCCUCGUACCAAAUCCCCUUAAAAUUCCCUUCCCAAUUCUCCACGUACUCACAACAACAACAACAACAACAACAACAACAACACGCCCUUCUCUCUCAAUUCGUCUUCCUCCUCCUCCGCCAUGAGCGGCCGCAUCCUCCUCCUCCUCCCUCCGCCGCCCUCCGCCGCCGCCGCCGCGGCGGUCGAUCGCCGACACUCCCACCUCGAUGGAGUGCUUGCUGUCUCCUUCGCCGCCCUCUUCUCCCUCUCCCUCGCCUACCUCCUCCUCAGCUCCCUCCACCACUGCCGCCGCCGCCGUCGCGGGACGUCGUCGGACCGAAUCCCUGACAAAACGCAGGCCCCCGACGCCGCGUGCUCGGCCCAGCUCCAGGCUAUCCCCAUCACGACCGUCCGCAAGAAUGUGGCGGCGGCGGCAGCAACUACCCACGGCGACACACAGGCACAGUAACAAUAUUUCCUCUCUUACGCAUCACUUACUAAGCUAAAAAUGUAUAGAACUUAGGAAUCCGACUACCUUUUAAAAACUUACAAUAACAAAGUAUCUGUAAAUUUUCUAUGUUAGUUCUAUGUUUUUGACUAUUUUUAUUUAUUAAAUUAUAUUAUUUAAUUAAUUAUAUAUUUAAUUUUUAAAAAAAUGUUAUUAUUCUAAUCGCUUAUUUCUUAAUUCAAGAUUUAUACUUUUAAAAUUAGUAGUCGAAUUGUGAACCUUUCGAAUCAGUCAAUAAUAUUUUUAUUUUAAAAUUUAUAUUAAUUAUUUAUUUUAAUAAAUUUAUAAGUUAUGAAAAUUAUAUAAGAUAUACUAAUCAAAUCUAUAAAAUUUAAAUAAUAAAUCAAAAGUUUAAAUUUUUGAAAAUUUAAAUUCGUGACGUUGCAAUAUUUUUGGCUUAAUAGGAGGAGGAGAGCACGUGUGCGGUGUGCUUGGGGCAGUACAACGAGGGUGAGGAGAUCCGUACGAUGCCACGUUGUGGACACGUGUUCCACAGGGAGUGCAUCGACAGGUGGUUGAUCCGACGGUCCUCCUUCUGCCCCGUGUGCCGCGGCCGCGUGAUCCGACGGUCGGCGGAGCCCACGAUCACGAGUUGUUGGGUUGAGACCGGGCGAGUGGGGCCGGUUCCGCUUCCGAGCGCGAGCGCGGUUUCGACUCCGAUCGCGUCGGUUUUGUGAAAUAAAAAAUUGGCUAAAAUAAUAAAAUAUCGCAUCGAUUCCAAAAAAAAAAAAAAAAAAAAAAAAAAAAAAAAAAAAAAAAAAAAAAAAGCAGUUUUGAGACUCAAAUAUUUGUCGCAUGCGUUACUCGUUAUGCACUUCGAGAGGUCUCAAACUGAUGAAUCUGCAUGUAUUAUUCUAUCUCAUGAUUCACAUCAUCAUAAAUUCAUUUACAUGUAUCAGAUAUUUUAGUCUCAAAUUACUUUAGUUUGAGACAUAAAUAAAUGUGGUUUUGAGAGAGGGGACAUUGCAUGUGGUUAGGUGUAGGUUUAGGGGGGGUAUUUUUUGUUUUAUUUUUUCUGAAUUUCUUAGUUACUAGAAGAAACGACUGAAAAUAAAAAUAUUAUUUAUUAUUGUGCCCACUUGAGGAGUAGAUAGGAGUAUGAUCAAGGAUGUGACAUUAUUUUGUUUGGAAAUUUUACCCAAAUUAAGAAAUAUUGGGGUAAAUAAAUGUAUGAAAUUUUUCUCAAUUAUAACUUAUCUUUAUCUGGCUAUUCGGCUUUUAAAAAUUUUGAUCUUACUAUCUAACCUUUCGAUUUAUUUGAUUGGAGCCGAUUAGUGAUUCUUUAAAUUUAAAUUUUGAAUGCUUCGUUUAUUUUUACAGGUUUAAUCAAUAUAUUUUAUACAAUUUACACAACUGUAAAUUUAUUAAAAUAAAUAAUUAACUUAAUUUUAUAUUAGAAGAAGCAUCAAAUUAUUUAAAUCAAACAAAUUAAAAGUUUAGAUACUAAAAUUAAAAUUUUAAAAGGCUGGACAAUUGAAUCAAAAUAAGUAGAAGAUAAUAAUCCUUGGAUGAAAAAGAUGUAAGAUAUACAUGCAGCAUUGCUCUUCUAAGAUUUGCCUACCAAAUGCCGUAACGAAACAAUGACAUACUUUUUGGUUCUUCCGCACUUUGCACGGAAAAUGUUUACUGAGCAACGAAAUCUCAGAAUUCAACAUUUCAAUUGUCUGCAAGAUCUAAGAGUGAAAACUAAACAAACCAUUCAUGCAGUCAAUUUACCGUUUAAGACCAAAUCUUCUAUUGGAAAUGUUUGAAUACCAUUUAAAUAGCACGGUCGCCGCUACAAUUGAAAUCUUUUACAAUAAGACAUAUGUACAAAACAAAAAGGCUGUAUUACAUUGCGACUCUCAUCUACAAAACUAAUCCGCGUCCGACGGUAGUUCCGCUGAUUCAGUUUCAAGGGGACUUAUGGACAAACUCCGUCUUUAAAGCUUCCUCCAAUUGUGAGAACAAUGACGAGAAUAAUCCUGUUGAGAAAAGUAGGCUGUAUAAGAUUAACACGACGUACAAGAACAUGGUAAAAAGUACCAGUUUGAGAUUGAAAAUGCCACGGAAAAUGCAAUUUGAUCGAAGCAUCCAUAUGAUUUUAGAAACAAUGGCGAAAGCAGCAAACCUACAGGACAACUUGUCUCGAGAUAAAGCUGGAAAUUUUGCUCGGCAUUCAUACAUUCAGCACAAGAUCUUACAACAGUUUACCGAUUUAGAAACUUCACAACCAUGAGGGUUUCAGGCUUAUAAUUUCCGCGUACUACGUAAAGGAACAAUGCAGUAGAUGAUCUGAGGGAUACACAUUUGUUUAACCUCAAAUACCGAUUGUAUUUAAGUAGAAAAAUACAAUUUCUACUCUUAUGGCAUUAACUAUUCCUUCUGCAUCAACAAGAAGGGUGAUGAUAUUAGGGCUCAUAUUCCGGUCGAAUCAGGAGAAGUCCAUAUCCACAACUAAAAGAAUGACGAAGAGCAAGUACUUGUUACAUUUUAGAUCCCCUUCCUAUUCUCGUGCUGAAUAUGAAAGGAUUCUUAUCACCAUAGAACAGAGUAGCUCUACCCUCAUCUUAAAGCACAUCUAUUGAAUCAUGUGAAAAAAAAAAAGAAUGUAAACCUACAACGGACCCUCCCUCAAGCAGCAGCUGGAAAAAAAGCAGCACUAUGACAGAAAAUCCAUAGAAAAGUAAUUAAAUCAAACAAAAUAAUCCUGUCUAACGGGACAUUCAGUAAAUAUUCCUAUGGAACAUUUUUAAUUUCAAAAUAUUAAAAUAAGCAGAGAAGUACCAGAAGGUAAAUUCUCUUUCUGCAGUGAUGAUCCUUUCACUAGAAGUGUGCCAGGAAUUUGCUCAAAUACCUACAGAUAAAAAAUAAAACCAUGUAAGCCAAGUCAAAAGACUCACAACAUGCAUUACACUAAAAAGUUAAAAAAUAAAAAUAAAAAAUUCAAAGAAUAAGAAUUUACAUACUGAAACUCGGAAGGAGAUUCCAUUAGUUGCGCAAUCUGAUUUGUUUGAUACAUCACUGUUAGAAAGAUUACAAGUCUGCUCAUCUGAUAUUGUGACCUAUGAAAAUACCAUAGACUUCCAGAUUAGAUAAUGGCAAAUAAUGACAUUUUGAAUGGCCAUAAACAUAAAAAAUAUGUGACCUUACAUUAACACAAAAUGUCGACAAAUCAGAUUUACAAGACGCACCAAUAGCUAUGAAAAAGGACUCCACUGACUUCAAUAUUUGAAAUGCACCAAUCUGGCGUUGGAGGCCCUGAAGCAUGAGAACAGUCAAAGUUAGCAGGAAACAAAGUAACAAAGAGAAAUUUUACUCAGAAAAGAAUAAUUUUGCUCAUUAGAAAGUUCACAUGUAAAGUCCAGAUGACAAGGAUCAUGCUUACAAUUUCAUUAUGGCCAAAAGGUGAUAUUAAUCAAAAAAAAAAAAUGGAUAGCUCAAACUCAUAUUGAUUAGAGAUUGGGGUUUGUAUGAGAUCAUUAGGUUACAGCAGAAAAGGAACAAGCAAGUAACCAUAAAAGGACCAAACACAUACAAUGGGUUGCAAGAUAUGAGAACAUAAAGCUCCACCAAACCAUUCACACGGCACACUAAUAAUAGAACAUAUGUUCUGUUGGUCAAUGGUACAUGAUAUAUCAGUUGCAGUAGGAGCAUACUAACAGGGCAAAGAUGUUGGAACACUGCAGGACACUAAAAUAGUUCAACUCUCAUGCACUCAGCUCAAACAUCAAAAGCUACUACAUGAUCAAGAAUCCAACUUUUAACAGGAUAUAUUUAGGUGCAGUCAAUUCAUCCUAUGUAACCACACCUUUCAUAAUCAAUGUUACACAUUGGAUGAAUUAAUUCAAGUCCAAUUGACAAAUCAAAGCUAGUAGUUAGCUGCAAAUAUACUUCGAAAUGGAAGACAGCAAAGUAUUACAGGAUGAGAUGAAGAAGAAAAAACAGAGCAACCUCAAGCAUGAAAGAACUAUGAUUCUUCACUUGUGCACUUGCUGCAAUAAACUUUUUGGUUGGAGGGAGAAAAGACCAUGCAAGACCCCAUCGAGCCGUUUGGCCUUGAACAAAUUCUGUAGUCUUUACAACGGAGGCCCCAACUUCAUGAGCUUUCGACACUAAGAAUUUUAAGUUCACUUUCCUCCCAACCAUUGAUGUAAACCACCUAAUAGCCACAAUGAACAUCAAUUUAAUGAUACACUAAGAGCAACAUCAAAUAAUUACCAAAUUCCGUUUGUGAAGUUCCACCUAGACUUCUAUUUCGCUAUUAAGUUUCAAUUCUAAUAGCUUAAUCCUUGUAGUUUUAUCAUGAUUAUGAAUUUUCUUCAAAGUUUCAAUUUUGACAAAGCAAAAUAUAGCUACGAUGUUGACAUGUUGCCUUGUCAAAUAGUAAAGCAACAAAAGGACAAAAAAUGUUAUGAAGAACGAAUUUCAGGGACUAAAUUAUUACAGUUUAAACUAUCACUAAGUUGAAAUCAGAGACAAACUUCAGGGACUAAAUUUGACCCCAAAAAAUGUAGAAAUGCUCAAAUCACACCUGAAAGAAUGCUUUAAAGAAACACUAUCUUUGAUGAUUCGAGUGAUGAAAGCCCGCUCUCCACCAGAGCAAACCAUCUCAGCAGCAGUUCCCCCACAUGAAGUCUUUGGGUUAAGUCCUGCUACUUCUAUGCUCUCAAAAAAUGGAGGAUUGCACAUGCAAAAGUCGAAACUUUCACCAUCUUUGACAACACCCAGAAGGAUAGGUGGCCCACAAUAGCAAUCCUUCUUCGAUUCCAACUCCAGUGAUUCAGUGUUGUCUAUGACAGAAGAAGAUGAAUCAUUCGCAUUUCUGACUUCGAUUAGUUCUGCAAGAUGAGGAUUGCUCUCCACAUUCCUCUUAGCCCAUUCGAGAGCCACAUCAGUCACAUCUACAAAACAAAAGCCGCCGCAAUUCUCUUGUCAUACUGCGAUUCAAAAGGCACUAUGCUAAUUACAUCACAAUAAUUUUAGGAUUUCCUAUGCAGAAAACUCAAAGGAUUACCUGAUCCAACAAAGCUCCAACCGAGCAAAGAUGCACCUAAGAGCGGGUAAAUACAAUUGGCUCCGGUCCCAAUAUCAAAUCCCCUAACCCUACCAUCCGAGACCGAGCUCUCUGGGAUGAGAUCAGAGGCAAGGAGAUCCUCGAUCCAGUGGAUGUAGUUAGAUCGGUUCGGCACGGUGGGACAUAACUGCCCAUCAGGUAUCCACCUGAAAACCUAGUUAGUGAAUUCGCAAAUAACUCGCAAACUUUACCCUCACAUUUGUAUAAAUGAAUAGUUCGUUACAUUUUUGUAUUUUCCCAAAAGGCCCUAAAAAAUUUCGUUGCAUAUAGUAAACUCCGACCGUAUAAUUGGUCCUUGAUAAAAACCCACUUUUUCUUCAAUAAAAAAAAUAAAUAGUUUUUUUAGGUGAUUAUAUAAGUUCAUAGAUUCAUUAGGAUAAAAUUAUACUACUGUUCAUCGCAUAUCACUCCAUCAUCAAUGCAUAUUAACAUGUUGCGCAGUAACUAUCAUAUAUAUAUAUAUAUAUAUAUAUAUAUAUAUUGCUGAAAUUUUAACAUCAAUUUCCAACUAUUUCCGUGUGAUUCCGCUGUCGUAUUAUUGCCGAAUCGUGUUAACUAACAAUUUGUCCGAAACCCUAUUAGAUGUUCAACUACGAAGUAACGAAGAACGGAACGAGGCGAAGGGCGAGGGGAUCGGGGAGAGGGUGCUCACCAGUGGACGCCAUGGUCGUGGAGGAGGAGGACGCGGCUGAGCUCGCGGGUGGCGGCGGGGUCGGUCCAGUCGAUGGAGGCCCGGGACGAGGAGGAGGAGGAGGAGGAGGGGGAGGAGACGAAGGGGCGGAGGGAGGGGUAGAGGGAGGCGAGAAGGGCGAAGUCCGGGGGCGACUCCGUGUACCUGUUGCGGGGGUGCAUCGCCGGGGGCUGGCCCACCCCCCGCCGCCGCGGCCGCGGCCGCGGCCGCUUCUUGCUCGGCAUCGCGGCGGCGGCGGCUCCGCCCGGUGUCGCUAGGGUUUUGAGGAGGACGACGAUGAAGAAGAAACCGCAAGUUAAAUUAUGAAUUCUAUUACUAAAUAAAAAAUUAAAAAAAUUAAAACUUUUUCCUCAUAAUUUGAAAUUUUUAAUUAGUAAAAUUUUAUUUUAUAUACGCAAACUGACUCACCAAGAACGAGCUAGAUUGUUCCCCUUAGAUUUUACUGAUGUGAGUUAGGACUGGAAACGAGCCGAGAACGGAUUGACUUGUUAAAAUAUCACGGACUAGCUUAUGAACAACAAAUUAAAUUGUAAGCUUCGUUAUUGAGUGAAAAAAUUAAAAAAAAAUAAAUAAUUAAAAUCUUUUCCUAAUAAUUGAAAAUUUCAACUAGUAAAAAUUUAUUUUAUAUAGAUGAACUAUAUCAUGCCGAAUAUGAGUUAGCUUAUCCCAACCAUAUUCAAUUUUUGGAUCAUGUUCGGCUCAUUUAUUAAAUUAGCGAUCUCGAACUCAUUUCAAGUCGAACACCAGCCGGCUGGUGAGCAAAAGAUAAAAAGUUGAGAAAAUAAGCAAAAAUAAUGCCACCUCCACUGCAUUUGUACGGUUGUAUACAACACAUUUAUCAGCCUUUUAUCCAUCUUAUGUUGCAAAAAUUAAUUAUGCAGUUUUGAAGUGUGGAUAAAAUUACAAUUCAAUGAUAGUCCGAAGUUAAGGGUCCAUUUAGUAUUAAAGUUUAUCUAACACUAAUAUGCAAAACAAAUUUAAGUGAAAGUAUAUAAAAAUAUACUCUUUUACUUCUCUACGAGACUACAGAAAAUAUAUUAUAAUCGACUUAUUAUUAUAUAUGGAACGUAAUAUUAUAUAUGAAAAUAAAUAUGAUAUUUUGAACUCGAUUAUAAUAUAUUUUCUGUAGUCUCGUAGAGANAUUUUUCGUUAUUAGAUCUAUCCCUUUAACAAUUUUUACCCCUUAAAUCAUAUUAUUUCACUAACCAACCACUUAACUCUAGGGGGCCAUUAUCAUCCUAAUUGUAUAUUUUUUCAUUCAAAAAUCGAAAAUCUAAUAGCACUAAUGACUGAAUACUAUUAACAGUAUAGUAGUCUAAUUUAGAUAUUUUUAUAUUAUACUUUCUCUCUGCAUAUAAUAUAGUCCUUCAGUAAUUAAUUCCAAACAAAGCCUAAAUAUAAGACACGAUGAUGGGACGAAUAAACUUUUAUAAAGAAAAAAAAAAAGAUAACGUGAAUAAAUGAAACAAAAAAUACUUUUAAAAGUUGAUUUUUUUUUUUUUUUUUUGAAAGAGAGAAAGGUAGAAUGCUAUACAUCUGUUUUGUUUAUUUCUUUUAAAAAUAAAUUUUGUUGAAAAUAUAAAUUAAUUAAAAUUUAAACUUGAGAUUUCGAGUACCAACCAAUCUGUCUUUAGCCAGAAAAGUUGAAUGUUGAAUGAGAAAGAUGAGUAACAAAGUGAAACUUCACUCAAGAUUCUACAACCAUCAAACACUGUCCAAGAAUUUGUUACAUAUGGUUAAACUUAGGCUGAUCAAAUUGGAAAGGUAAUUGGAACAAAUAUGCAAAGAGGGCUGUGUUUGUGUAGUUAAAUAGAUCACCUAUGUCAAUAUGCAUCUCUUGCUUUAAAGUUCAAAAUUUUCCAUUCAAAGUGAAAAAGGAUCACUUGGUUUUCAAACCAAAUCUCAACUUUUUAGUGACCUACCAUCACCACAACAUCAAACCAAUCAACCACAAUUUCUUUCUUUGGCCAUCUCCUCAACCACAUAGCCCCCAAAGCCCAAGCCUCCUUAGUCCUUACUAUAUAGUAACAAAAUAAUUUCAAAUGUAUAGGCAUAUAAAUUCAAUAUUUUAAUACCUUAUACAUGUUACCAACUAAUGCUUUGUAGUCACAAAGGGCAUCAAGAUGGCUAAGACUAUCAUAGCUUUCCUCGCCAUCCUCCAUCUCGCGGUCGUCGGUCGAACCCACGAUUUCGAGGCCUGGAGUCAGGGGCUCCGCCUGACCGGCAUAAAGUCAGAGCAGGUAACAGAUCUCCACUUCUACUUCCAGGACACCGUGAGCGGGACUGACCCGACUGCGGUCCGCGUGGCCCAGGCGACGGGCACGGACCGGUCGCCGACUCUUUUCGGUAUGGUGAUGAUGGCGGAUGAUCCGCUAACCGAGGGGCCCGACCCGACAUCUAACGUUGUGGGCCGGGCCCAGGGGAUUUACGGGUCGGCGGGCCAAAAUGAGGUGGGCCUUAUUAUGUCGAUGAGUUUUGCGUUCACCAACAGGGAGUACAACGGGAGCUCGAUAAGUGUGUUGGGCCGGAACCUAGCGCUACACCCGGUCCGCGAGAUUCCGGUCGUCGGCGGCACGGGUGCGUUCCGGUUGGCCCACGGAGUGGCGUUGGCCCAAACUUAUUCUCUGAAUCCUGUAACUGGGGAUGCUGUUGUAGAGUACAAUGUGACCGUGGUGCAUUAGUACUCUUUGUUUUGUAAGUACCUUUUAAAUUAGGUUAUUAUGCAUGAGUAUCCGAUAAAAAUUGUUGAGAAUAACUGACCAUCCCCAGCGCAAAUGGCAAAAAACUUGGUGGUUGGUAUCCGAGAUUGCAAGUUCGAAGCCUAAUUUCUUUAUAUUUUCAGCUAAGUUUGUUUCUAAAAGAAAUGAAUAAACCGGGUAGCAUGCUAUCUUCCCCCCCCCCAAAAAAAAGUAGAGAAUAUGCAGUUGCCUUGAGAUGUGUGCAAACAUAUUAUAAUGAUCCAGAUUGCUAGUACUAACAACUCGUUGGGCUCAAAUUAUCGGUCCAAAAUAAUUAAAUUCGAGUAUUUGUAAUAGAAUUUUAGUCCCUGUAUAUCCCAAUUACCCUUGGCAUAAAGGGACUAGCAUCCUUCCGUGUAGUGGAAGGUCAGGGUGCGCCGAGUCACGUCCAAAAUGGCGGGAGUUCCAGCCGGACCAAGUGAUGUUUGAAGUGGCAAGAGACUAAUUGGACCGAAUCACAAUUGAAAUUUAGACAUUGUGCCGGUACGCUUUAAGUAAAUUAAUUAUAUAUUUUUAAUAUUUUAAGCUUUUAAAAUUAAUGAUUAGCAUACUUUUUUUCUGACAAUUUUGUCAGGGAAUAGUUGGUUUUAAAAUCUGAAAUUAUUUUUUUCAUUUAAGCAUUGAAAAUUAGAGUAAAAUUCAAGGAGCAACAGAUUAACUUAUCAUGAGCAAUAAAGCUGAUUUCAUAUAUCUUUGUCACACAUGAAGAAUAAAAAAAUUUAGGCUAAAUUACAAAAUCCUCUUUUGCAUUUUGUUUCGUGCCACUAUCAUCACCUUGCAUAAAAUUUUACUUCAAUUUAAACUCUGUAUUUUACCACUAUUACAAAUAAGGUCGAAAAUUUAAAAUGAUUAUUAAAUUCGAAUGUAAAAACUUCACCGAAAUGAUCAAUAUUUGACGUGUACUAAUUCCAUAAUUAAGCAAUUAUUUAGGUUACAACUUAUAUAAUAUAUCUAAAACUUAAAUAAAGGAAACGUUCUGCAUAAUUAAAGUUAUGAAAAUGAGCUACUUAUCGAGUUACUUAUUUAAUUUAGAUGAUUAUUGAAUAUAAUAAUGGAUAUCAAUCAACUCAUGUUUAUAAAAUUUUACGGUCCAAUUCAACGACCAUCACAAAUCUUUGAGCCCAUUCGAUACAGUGAUAAAAUAGUCGAAUCGUUAGCACUAAUCAUUAAUUUUAAGAACUCAAAUUAUAAAAAAAAUACAAUUAAUUUACUUAAAUCGUACAUAUAGUGCCAUGGGUCUCAAUUUGAGAUGUACGUGGCCGAACUACAAAUAUAAUUCGGCUCAACAUGAUCCCCUGUCAUUUCAAACAUGACUUAGUCGGUCGGUCCUAUCUAACUUUUCGACACAAGACAGAAUGCUGGUCCUUUUAAGUCAAUAAAAAAUUCAAAUUAGGGCAAAAUUUUAUACAAGGUAAUUAAGAAAGAAAAUAAAGUGCAUGCAAGAAGGGAGUUUGUAAAUUUAUCCACAAACAAGAGGGAAUAUAAGAUGAAAAACGCAAUAAAUUUAAAAUGCAAUAAACAUAUAAUUAAUAUAUAUGAUUUGCUUCACUUAUAAUUGAAGAAGCAUAUAUGCACGUAGUACAAUUCGCUACUUAAUUAGUAGCAAAAACAAAUGAUAAGCUCAUAAGCAACAUGAUGAUCAUAAAAACCCAAUGCUAACCAAUAAUCGCGUACGUAAACAACAUAUAUAUAUAUAUAAUACAUAAAACACAUCAACCAUGCAUAAAACAUCACACCAUCAUAUAUAUAAGAACACCACAAACGAACACAGCAUCAUAACCACUCCCUCUCUGAUUCUCUCACACCCACUGUCGUAAGGAGUGUUAUCCACCAACGGUAAUUGGCUCCCUCCGUUCAACCCCUGCAGCUGCUGCUGCUGCUGCUGCUGCUGCUGUUGCCCGAAGCCCGAUAACGGAUGCUGCUGCUGCUGCUGCUGCGGUUGCCCGAAGCCGUUCGACGUCGGUUGCCCGAACGGAAGCGCAGUUCCUGAUCCGCUCCCGCCGAUAGUCGGAGGGAGAACGCCAAAUGGCGAUGGCGGCGGGGGCAGGUCGAUACCGGAGGGUGCGGAGAAUGGAGGGGUGUAUUCGAUUUGUUCCGACGGCGGCAGCGGCGGCGGGGGAAGUAGCUGAGUUGUGUCGCCAUUGUCGCUGCCGUCGCCGCCGUCGUCGGUUGGUGGAGAUUCUGCGGUGUCGGGGAUGGGCGGGGGGAGCGGCGGCGGUUGGUCGAGCGGGAGGCCGGUGUCGCCGCCCGCGAAGUCGUCGAAGUGGUUGUAACUGGUAAUGGUGGUGGCUUUGGAGAGUGGGGAGAGGAGGAGGAGGAGGAGGAGGAGGAGAGAAGAGGAGUGCUUCAUGGUUGGUUAGUUUUGUUUCUUGGUUCUUGAGUUGGGGUAUAUGAAUAAUGGAGCAUGUCACACACACACACACACAUAUAUAUAUAUAUAACUACACACAUAUGUAUAUGGGGAUUAAGAGGAGGUUUGGUGCAUGUUUCUGAUGCUCUAUAGUGGAGUAGGAGGUUUCUGUUGUAAAGGAGAAAUUGUUGCUUAUACCCAGUGUGCUCGUAUAUCCUGUGCACCAUAUGAAAAAAAAUAUAUGAAACAAUUAGCUUAAGUUAUCGUGUACACCUGCUCAUAUAUAUUUUCCAUAUUAAUAUUCAAUGCUUCAUCUUACGUCAAGACGUGAACUUGAAUCAGAUAAGAUUGCAGAUCUAAUAGAAUUCGAAUUUAGAAUCUUUAACUCUGACAUAUUAUAAAAAAAUGUAAAACAAUCGAUAAUUUUCAAAAGCUUAAGCUAUGAGGGAAUCAUGCCUUUUACAUACAUAUUGAGUCAUUCAUUAUAUCUCGCGCUUUAAUCUCUAUUGUCCAACCACAAUCAAAUUAUAUUGAUUUUUUUUUUAAAAAAAGGAUAUAUUUUAGAUGGUUGAGAUUGAAGUGUAAGAUUAAUUAGGCAGAUAGAGCUGCAUCUGGUGCAGGAAAUAGUUUUAUCUUCUGAAAGAGACAUUAGUAAUGGGAGAGGUGCAUAUUGGUGGGAUGGAUUUAGUGGGGCUUUAAGUGGAUCUGUUGAGAAAGGGGGUACAUGGCAUGUAUGUAUUUGUGUGAUUGGAGUGAAAAACCUGUCCCAUUAGCUAAGGGGAUUAGGAGAUAAUUAAGAAGCCCUUAUCUUAAGUAUUUUAAUGUGUGUAUAUAUAUAUAUAUAUAUAUAUAUAUAUAUAUAUAUAUAUAUAUAUAUAUAUAUAUAUAUAUAUAUUAUAGUGGGCUGGCAUGCUUCAGGAAGCACCGAGCUCUCCAUGCUUCCAAGUUGUUUUCGAUGUUCAGACUUUCGAAUCGACGAUCGGUUCCUUAGAGUUGAUCUAGAGUAUUUGAAGUAUCUAGAAAAUAAUUUUUGUAAUUUUUCGAUAUCAUUUGCCUAGUGAUCGAAGGGGCUCAAAUCAAUAAUUUUAAUGGCCGUAGUAAGCCGUUUGCAAGUUAACGGUGUGUAGAAAUAUCCAAAUCACAUGAAAUUUUGAUAGAAAAUCUUUAUACCAUAUAAAACAAGAUCAAUAACUUUGAUCUAAAAUUUUAAUGUAUAUCAUAUUUUUGUAAGAUUUUUAUUUUCAACCGUUAAUUGAGCACUUCGGUAUCACUAGGCAAAUGAUAUUUGAAAAAUUACAAAAUUUAUUUUCUAGAUAUUUCAAAUACUCUAGAUCAAGUCUAACGGAAGCGAUCGUUGAUUUGAAGUCCGAACAUCGAAACAACUUGGAGCACGGAGGCUCCAUGCUUCCAGAAGCACUACCGGAUGCACUAAUAUAUAUAUAUAUAUAUAUAUAUAUAUAUAUAUAUAUAUAUAUCAUCAUGGGAAUGAUUAACUAGACCUGCACAAAUCCAGCCCCAUGCAUCUCCCAAUAUAUGAUUGCGCAGGUUUAGUUGAGAUAUAAUUUUUUCUAUUUAUGUUCGAUAAAUUAUGCAGGUUCAGCUAUAAUAUAAUUUUUACGAUCUUAAGAAAAUGAUAAAUUAUAUCUUUACGUGCCGUUUUGACAUUUUAUUUGACUAUGACCCUACAUUUAUUUAGAAAUUAGGGUUCAAUCCAUUAUAAAUCUCACUUUUGACUCGGUUUUGUUUAUACGCGCUCAAAAAAUAAAAUUGGAGACUCAAAUCUCAGUAAUCCAUUAGUUAUUAAAUAAAGAAAAGUAAUAAACUGUGGCAUGAAUGGUUAUAAAAGAAUAUAAAAUUUCUCAGAAACGUAGAUGCUGCAUUUUAGCCUUGUCCUGCUUGGGUAUUUGAAUUUCUUGGUUCCUGCAAUAAUUUCUUUUAUUCGGAGUGUAUACUUGGUACAAGGUCAUUAAUUGCACACACUAAGAACAUCUAGGGCAUUUUUGUUAACUUAUUUUAAACUAUAGAAUCAGAAUAUAAUUCAUUGAUUCUGAUAAUUGUUGUUUAUUUUACAAAAAUUGAAUUUCGACUUUUAUUCUAGUCUGAAAUGAAAAUGGCCAAAUCCAUUAUGACCCAAUCUUUCUUUAAAUUUCAUAUUAAUCCAUUCCCAAAAAAAACUACCGAAAAUUCUCUAUCACAAACGUCUCCCCCUGCACUUCCUUUAUCACUAUUCUUUCUCCUAAUCAAAAUCAUCUUUCAAAACUUCGAAUUUUCAUUCUGAUAAUGGACCAAAUAUUUUUCAAUGAUUCAUCAUUCCAUUUCUCAUUCCAAAACAAUCUAGCCCCCUAAUUCUCUUCCCUAUAAAAAAGAAAUAAAAAAUAAAAAAUCUAUUUCGUUAAUUUUGGAUUAUCCAAACUAGUCACAUCCAUAUGGUGCUGCUGCAAAAGAGCUAAAUUGCUAUUUACAAAACAGAUUCAUCAGAAUCUUAAUCAAAUUUAUAGUAUAUAUACACACUCUAAUCAGACUCAAUGUAUCCUCGGAUAAAUACUCAACAAUUUCAUAAUAACACUUUCAUUAGAGAGGGCUGUAGAAAGAAAGGUGUUGCACACAAACAAAAGCAGUGAUCCAACAAUUCAGAGCUUAAUUGGUAUGUCAUCAUUAGAUCGAAAAAACUUAUUGCACACACCAAAUCAAAUUUAAAUCAUUCGAAAUGUUAUAUCUGAUAAAUACUGCACAGAGAAUUCUGAUAAACGUCCUCCGAUCAAUCGAGGAAAAAUUAUUAUUGAUUGUCCCUCAGUUAUAGAAAUAAUAAUGAGUACAAAAUGUCUUAUUCUAUAGAUGGCUACAAAAUUAGCAAAAAUAAUAAUGACCGAUAAUACAGAAAUGCUCGCAAACAUUCAGAUUGCCUGCUUUUUCGAUCUUAUUCAUGGUAUUCACAGAUCAGGAGGAUCAUCAAGCAGCAAUUUUCUUUGAGGUCACCGAGUUCACAAUAGUGGCAAACUCCGGGCCCUGCACAAACGCAGGAAGACAUUUGAAUAGGUGAACUUCUAGGUGUCAAAUUUCUGGUAUUAUGGCAUAAUCUCAUGGGAAAAAUGAAUCAAUUAUGGCACCAAACUCAACAGGAACACUAUAAAAACAAAGGAAAUUAGUAAUACAGAUGGCGAGAUUUUGACAAUAAUUAGUUCCAAUUUGUGAGACAAAAGGUAACACAAAAACAUUGGAAGUAAGUGUUCUUCUUUUUUAAAUAAGAGAGCUGAGCAUCAUUAAAAUCUUGUUUAUAUCUAACUUAUUAAUAUCUUAGUCUUAAUAAAACUAUAUUAAUGUGGAAUAAAACUAUAUUAAAGAAGAUGUUGUGCUUCUCAGAGUGCUAAAUUCUAGUGAACUGAAGGCCACUUUCAAAUUUCCAGAAUUUGAGUGUGCUCUGAAGUCUAUGAAGUCACAUUCUAACUUAAUUAAGCUGUGAAUCACUAUAAAGGACGAGGUAAGAUCAUGAUUAAUUUGGUGCUACAUUACAAUACCUUCAAUGAGGCCCCUCCGACAAGAAAUCCAUCAAUAUCUUCUUGUUUUGCAAGCUCUGCACAAUUGCUCCCAUUUACUGAACCUGUUAAUAGAAGCAUAAAUUAUCGCUCGGUUCAUUAUACAAUUAUAAUGUUAGCAUAGCAUAGAAAGCAAGCAAAGAAGAUACAUAUCACACUAUUCACUCAGGUUUACAUGCAUCGUGAAUUUCAACGUAGGUUUGGAAAGGGAAAGGUUGAUGAACAUUCCUUUCAUAUUCCUUUGAAUAGUAAUACUUUAGUAACAUGAAAUCUCCCAUAUGCAACUGAUAAGUUACUUUUCCAUUGGCUUGUGUAUCGUGCCUUGAAAGUAAGAUGUUUCAGUGAGCGAAUAAGUAUCACUAAAGGCUUUUUGGGUGAAUGACACUGAUAAUCAUGCUUGCUAAAAAAUGGUACUCAAAAAGCUUCUGGAUCGUUUCUGACAUUACAAUUAACAAACUAACAUGAAUACCUAAAAUUUUAGAAUAAAGUGGGUAUUCUAAAUAUAACUUUCUCACCUUAUAGAAUAUGCACCGACGGAGAUAGAGAAAGAGAGAUGGUAGACUUACCUCCAUAGAUAAUACGAGUAGCAGAAGCAACCUCAGGCGAAAUGUUCUUUUUCAGCCAAUCGCGGACAGCAACAUGCACUUCCUGAGCCUGCAGGGGAGUGGCCACUUUUCCGGUGCCAAUAGCCCAAACUGGCUCGUACGCAAUAACAACAUCUGUCCAGCUUGAGAUACUAUCUGAACAAUAACUCAAAAGGCGUGUAUGAGAAUUGAUUUUCAUUAAAAAAAAUUUCUUCACUAAAGACAAGCUACUUCACAAUAAAAUUACAAAAUCAUUACCUGCAAAAGCCUUCAACUGCUGAAAACAGACCUCAAAAGUUUUCCCGGCUUCCCUUUCUUCGAGCUUCUCUCCUAUACACGCAAUAACCUUAAGAUUCUGACUCAAGGCAUACGCAGCCUUCUUACCAAUAAACUGCACAUAGAAAAGGCCACACCAUAUUAUGACCACUUCAAAUAUCUUAGCACCUAACCGUAUUGAUAUGUUUAGAUUGCUACAAUGUGGGCUGUAUAUGAGAAAAGAGUAGUGUUCAGGAUAGUGUACCUCAUUAUCUUCACCAAUAAUAUGCCUGCGCUCAGAAUGCCCCAGAAUAACCCACUUGCAGCCAACAUCAAUCAGUUGCUCAGCACUGGAAGUAAAAAAGAUUGCAUAUGGAUAAACUAUAAGUAAUUCAAGAAAUCGAAAGUCAAUGUUGUUGUUUCAGGUAAAAGAAGAGGAAAAAAAAAAAUUUCGAAUCUAGUGUUAGUUCGCAAAUUACAGAUAGUUUGAUGAAUAAAAAAUAUGUUAGAACCUAUAGAUAGAAAUUAUGGACUACAUAUCAAUAAGUAGGUGCAAUACUGGGAUAUAAUUAAGAAAGAGCAAAGUAAAAACUUAAUUCUUGGUGCAUUCCAGUAAAAGCUCCAGUAGAAAUACAAUUUAGAUAAGUUUAACAGGUUUUUACCUGAUUUCUCCAGUAAAAGCUCCACCUUUUCCAACCCAAGCAUUUUGACCAGAUAUCUCAACACGAUCAGUCAGUGAAGACUUGACCUGGUCAAUAUAUACGAAUGGAGGUGCUACGACAACAUCUGCAUUUCCACCGUAAAACAGAGACCUAAGAAAUCUUGUAAAACCAAGCAUGCAAAUGAACAAAGGAAAAAAAAAAAGCAGAACGCAAAUAACUCUUUCUUGGUACAAUCGAGAGCUUUAAAGACCAAAUUUUGAGAUCCAGAUAAUAAUAUGAACAUACUAUAUCUAACGUAUGUAGCCUACAACGAAAAAAAGCUAAAAAAGAUGGAGAGUCAACUGGAGAGUUUGAAACGAAGUAAUGCUCUGUUCAGUCAUAUGCAGUGGGAUGAUAGACCUGGAAUGUGCUUAUAAAAGUUGAACAAUUGGGGGUCAUAGAAAGCAAUGCAUUCAAGAGGUGGGGGGAGGGGGGAGGAGGAGGGGAGGGACGCUACAUUCCCCAAGGUUCCCGCCCCCCCCUUCAAAACACAAAUCUCUGUUUGUAGGGUAUUUUGCUGUUAUACGGUGACAAUGUGUCCAUGUGCGUACGCACCUGAGAAGUCAAGAAUGUUUUUUAAUUUUUCAUAUGCUACAAAAGAAAUAAAGCGAUGCAGAUGAAAAUAGGAACUUCAUUUGAUAGGGACAACAAGAAGCAGCUGAUAAUCAUACCAACAUCAUUUUCCAAUGUAGCUCCAUUCAAAUCAGAGACAAGUUUGCUGAUAGAGUCCUUUGUUCCAUUCUAAACACACAAUAUAUCAACAAUAUAUCAACUAGUCAAUUAGGUAUAUACAAAAAAAUUAAAGAAAAGGGUACGACAAACGAUCAACAAUUUGAAAGAUGAAAGCAUAAACAUAACGUCACAGUUCAACAGCCUUUAUGAUCGCUUUACCAGGUUCCAAAGUGUGAACAGGGAAAGAACAAUAUGAAAAUGAUGUGAAAUGUAGUAAUACCGGCACUAAAAGCGGUCAAAGGUAACCAUGCAAUGAAGUCUGCAUAUUCUCAUUCUUAUGGCAUAAUGGAAAAUCCAUUGUCAUUCGUUGAAGAGUUAGCUUUCUUCAGUUGCCCUAUAACAUAAAACAUACUGAACAGUCUCUCCCCCCACCCCCAUGUGUGUCUAUCAUGUGUGUGUGUAUAAACCCGCCUACGGGUGUCCCCUAUUUACUCUCUCCCUCUCUCCCUCCUUCCCCCGCCCAGGUAUUCUCUUUCUCUUUCUCCAUGUGUGUCUAUGCGGUGUGUGUGUAUAAACCCGUCUAUGGGUGUUCCAUGUAUGUUUAUAUACAAGCACCAUAUGAUAUUAGCGUAACCUAAAGAAAGGACCAAUAACAGAAAGAACAUCAAUCUUCAUACAUAAAGCUAAGCAUAUCUGCUGAGCAUUUCAGAGUUAACUUGCAAAAAAGCUUCAACUCUUUCAGUUAACAAGCUGGUUUCUUGCUCCUACUGUCACAAAAUCCACAAUAUCCCUUCCCUACCCGCGCCCUCGUGAUGAGACCGUAUCAUUGGCACUUAGAGAAGUACAAAGAGAAAAUAUUGUAAAGCAAGACAAAGUACUCACGCAUUUCCAGUUGCCUCCAACAAAAAACUGCAAAAAAAAGGGAAUAAGAGAGGCAUUAGAGAGCAUACAACAGAGAAAAAUCAGACAAGUCAUCUAUAUUAGUACAUGAGAACCAAGAUGUAAAUAUUGCUCCAGAGGAGAGCACAUGUUCAACAUGGGCAGCAUUGAAACAGGGCAAAAGACAGCCUCUCAAGCACAAUCUCAUUCAAAAGGCCGAACACAAUAGUCAAAUAACUGAAGUAAGACCCAACAAAAAACAUGAUCCGCAUCUCCUGCUACAAGAAGAAGUAAAUUACAUAUAAGUUUUUAGUUCAUUAUUAUCAGAUCUCCUGUUGGGCCUCUACUGUUUGUUGUUAAUGGCCAAGUAUACUUAUAUCUUAAACACUGCAGAAAGGUUAUCUUACUUUUAACAGUUUUCACCAACUUUAACAGUAAGUAAGAUAUCAGAUUUAUAACCAAUUCAUUUAGACAAUGUUGGCUUUGCCAGGAAAUCAGAAAAUUUGUGGUUAUUGAUCAAGAACCAGGGUGAUGGAGCAAAGGAAAGAACUCUCGGUAAUUCACCAAGACCCCAAACAUGCUUUAUAAGUGGAGAAAUAGCAGAUAUUGUUACAAGAUACAUUUUUUCCCCCCUAAAACAAACAAGACAAAAGGAAGAUAAAAUGUAGUCUCUUUUCGCAUGCACUAAUUAAUCAAGCCCCAGCCAGAUGAAGUGCCUUGCUUAAGCUUUCAAAGAUUAAACCAUAAGGUAAGCAACACAAAAGUAUCUGACAAGAUAUUUUAAAAGGAAAAAACCAACAUUGAUAAACUAUUAAACUGAGACACAUUCUAUUACAGUUUUCUACUAAAAAAUGUGAUUUUGAUCUGGGAAAAACAAAGAAAGGAAAGAAAAUCAGUUAAUAUAGUGGUUUGGAUAAAUCGAUAACAGCAAACAAUGUAGAAUUUUUAGGCUUUAAGAGGAAUAAUGGAAAAAAAAUCACUAGCUUUUCUUUCUAAAUACUAUAGUUGAUAUGUUGUAUUAACUUAAACUCAUACAUUAUACUACACAUAUCUUCCUAAUCAGAUCCAAGUUUUCAAAUUUAUCAUAAAAUCUCCAAUAUCCAUCUAUCUAUUCGCCAAAUUCCCAAACAAUAUACACUAAUAUCCACCAAAAAUCGACCUUAAAAGAUCAAAAAGAAAGCAAAAAUCGCGAAAAAAAAGGAGCCACCUUUCCCGAUCCGGCCAUGGCGACGACCCCUCUCGGAGGCCUCCGAGAAGAAGAAGCGACGCGGAGACGAGACGCCGCGCGAUCGAAGAAGAGGGCGUUGGUGGAGGGAGACGACGCCGACGAGGGCUCGCCCUUGGAGCCUCCUCCGCGGCGGAGCCCCGCGAAGUUGUGGGAGAUGUGCGACGCGAGCGAGGACGACGACGCCGCCAUUGUUGUCGCCCUCGAUCUCCUCCUCCUCCUCCUCCUCCUCCUCCUUGCCCUAGAAAAGCUCCGCCCCUCUUUUUUACCUCGCUCUGAGCUACUUCUUUGUGUUUGAAGGUAGAGGAUAAAGAGGAGAGCCCUUCUCCUUCGGACACGUGUCCGUCGUAGAUCGCGAGGGGUGGUGGUUGGGUCGGAUGGUUUGGUGGGGUCGGUGAUCGGUACAUAACAGCGAACAGCCACGUGGUUCCUGCGUCGUGGCGCAUUUUUAGUGGUGGUCGUACGGAUUUUCCUGUUCGGAGAUUACGCUGAAUCUUGGUGGUAGUUGGAAUUUGAUUGGAAAGAGAUUUAAGAGGUGGCGAUGAGAACCAUGAGAUAGAUCAUAGGAUCAGAGUGAUUCUUAACAACACCCUCUUGGAUAAGGUUAAGAUACCAUAUUUACUUUUUUUUUUUAAUAAAAAAUGAAUUGUAUUUUUGGUCCUCAAAUUUUUUAAAAAAAUGCAUAAUUGUUUCUUUGGUUUAAAUUUUUUUAAUUAUUAUAAUUAAUUUAUAAAAUCCAAUUUAAUUAACUGUAUAUUAAUAUUUUACUAAUGUAGUAGAGAUAUAGUAUUUUAAUGAAUAUCAUAUUAUCCGUUACAACAUUAUUGUAUUAGCGCCACAUUAUUAUUUACACAAUUAGAUUGGACUGUAGAAAUUAUUUAGAAUAAUUUAGUUAAAAAUUAUAUAAAAUUAAAGUUUGAUAACCAAAAAUAGAAUUUAAUCUUUAAAGAUGGAAAAAUAUUAAGUUUGCAACUCAGAGAUUGUAAUACCUAUAACUCCUUAUCUAAGAGAUUGUAGAGUUUACCAUCGACUAGUAAAAAAAAAAGGGUCAUUGGUUGAGCAAGAUUGUAAGAUUAUAAUCCAAAAUAGGUGUAGACUUAACAUUGUCCUUAAUAUAUAGAGAGAGAGAGAGUGCGCGCUAGGGUCUUAAACUAUUUAUAGUAUCAAGACUUUGAUACUAUAGUCUCAUUUUUGAUCUUAGGGUGUUCAAAUUAAUGAUUCAUACUGUUCAAACUGAUUUAAGGUAUUUAAAAUUUUUUGGAAUAAACUUUUAUACUUUUUCGACAUGGUUUACUUUAUGAUAAAAAAUUUUCAAAAUUAUUAAUUUUCAAUAACUACUAUAGCGAGUCUUUUUUUUUUUUUUGGAGAGAUUACUAUAGCGAGUUUGUAAUUUAACAAUAUAGAAAAAUUUAAAUUUACUCAAAUUUUGCUAGAAAAUACUUUAAACUAUCUAGAUCAAGAACAGUAUUUUUUUUAUCUUAAAUUCAAAAGUCCUAUCAUCAAAUUUUAAAAAUUGUUUAAUUUUUUUUUGAGAAAAAAGUAGCGCUACCCGCUUCGUUUAUUCAAAAGAUAAAUUAAGCUACAAGAAUGAGGCAUCACAGGCCUCGUUUGUGGCAAAACGAAACAGAAAAAAAAAAAAAAAAGCUAUUACAUUGGUGUCUCCUCUCCACUGAGCUAAGUUUCUCCUACUAAUUCGUCAACUGUUUAAUCUUGUAGAUUCCAAGACUUGGGUCUGGGUUGUCAUCCGAAAGAUGGCCCUAGUCUUGGUCUCCCAAAUGAUCCACCAAUAAUCUAUUAGUCCAAUAUGACCGUUACUCAUCAAUUUUAUAGUGUGAAUCCUAAAUCUGAAAAUUUGUUCAAUUUUUACUGUUCAAUUUGAUAUGAUACACUUACUAAGUAAACGACAUCGAAAAAAAUUAAAAUUUUAUUUCUAAAAAUUUCAUAUACUUCAGAUUAUAUUUAACAGUGUGAAUUACUAAUUUGAACACUCUAAAAUCAAAAACAAAACUAUAGUAUUUAAACUCUGAUACUCUUGAUAGUAUAGUAGCCUGAUUCUCUCUCUCUCUCUAUAUAUAUAUAUAUAUAUAAAAGAUACCCUAGUUUUCUUUCGGGUUAUUUGGAUAAAUUACAUAGGAGUUCUCCCAUCUUUUACCCAAGUUUCAAUUGUAUUUGUAUCUCUAAUACUCCAAUUGUUUUGUUUUUUUUAAACGAAAGAUAAUAUACCUAAGAUUUUAAGUGCCCGUCGACACGGACCGUAUCAACUGUACCAUGCCAACAAGAUACUGAGACGAUACAGACCUUAUGCUGAUCACAGUUCAAAAUUCUCUAUUCUUUAAAUUAGUAAAUAAUUUUUUUAAUAAAAUUCAAAAAAUAUGAUAAAAAAAUAUAAUAAAUAAUUAAAAUAUUUUGUUGCUAAAGAAAAUAAAUAUUUCAUUCUAUUAUGUGUCAACAUAUAAAAAAUUUUUUGACCGGCACGCAUUGGCACAGCUCGGCACGCACCGUGCCGGCAAAUUUCCGACACGACCCUAUACCACGGUACUUAAAUCCUUGAAUAUACUAUUCCCUGCAUUUAUUUUUUAGAAAUAAACUUAGCCAAAAAUAUAAAACAACUAAAUUUCAAACUUAGAACCUCUGAUAUCAAUCACCAAACUAUUUACCAUUUGCACUGAGAACAGUCGGUCUAAUGCUCUAAACAGCCUUAAAAAUAGAGGAAAACAGGAAAUACACGAAAACUAAACACCAGAUUCUUUCAUAUUUCAACUGGCAAAACUGAAUGAUCCAGUUCCCAAUUCAAAUUCAAUUAAAUUUUGUCAAAAAAAUCAAAUCAAAUUCGGAAAGAUUCAGAAAAUGUUCGGAAGUUUUAGCGGAAUUGAGGGUUAAAAAAUGUCCUUACGGUAAGACAUAAAAAUAAGGACCACAAGCAAGAACUUGAAUUAUCUUCUUCUUCCCCUAUUUUUUUUCAAGUUUUAAACAUAUGGAACAUAGAUCUUCUUUGAUAGUAGUGUUAUCGACUCGGAAACGCCUCCGUUGAACACAAGGCCACCUUUGAGUUUAGCCCAUAUCGUUCACUUAAACAGAUUCCAGUUUCCCAACAGGCCUAAUGAAGCGAUGGUUUCAUAGCAAUCUUUCGACGCCACUCCGUCUAAUUCGGGCUCGAAGGUCCAGGUCGGUAAAAGUACAAAUUUACAUCGGCCCGUUGGAAUCAUAAGAAAAGAAUUUGAAAUUAAUCUAUCACGUGGUGAAGUGCAGUACCGCCUUCGAGGACAAAUUCAAAUUUCUGAAUCAUUCUGCUGAAUAUUCUGACAACCUCCUCAGGGGGUGCAGAGGUUCUUUAAGUCUUCCUCCUUCGCGUAAGAGGCCGGAAUGAUCCUCGAUGCGUAGGGAUAGAGAUCUUUGUAAGAGUUUCUAAUGGUGCCUUCGGCGACUCCAGUGGCCACGGAUAUAUCUGCGAAUUAUAGCGAUGUUAGUGCAAGGAAUAAAGCAACUGAACCAAACAGGAGAUUCAUAAUUGUAGAACCUUUGAGGGGCUUCUUGUCAUCAGAUAGCUGAGUUAUCAUGUAAAUUAUAGCUGCCGCAAUCGAUAUUGGACUCCGCCUGCAUAAGUGUGCAAAGAGCAGAAUGUAAAAACAUUUUCUCCGAACUAAUGUUCAGGAAAGAAUCAUAAGAACUGCUGAUACUUUACAUCGUUUUUCGAAUUUCAAAGAAAAAAUGUACACUUUCUAGUAAUGAUGCAAAACAAUGUACAAGCAAUUUACGUCACCCAAACACUUGCUCGAUGGUAAGGGGUGCAACUCUGACAGGUUGGGCCAGUUGAAGGACGAACCCGUACCCAGCUAACAUAUCACAGUUCCAACCACAAUUCAACCCAACCCACCCGUCUCAAGAUGAAAUAAUCAAUUAUUAUACUUUGAUGACAAGAUAAAAAACCCUUUGUCAGGGCACUGCCAACAGUACCGUAUAUCAAGUUCUUCAGACUUUUGAACUGCUUCUUGAGCUGCUUUAACUGCUUGGUUUGUCAUGCCAAGAUGUGAACAGAAACGUCUCUGCAAAUUCAAGAAAGCCAAAAUAAGAAAAGGAAGUCAGAGACCAAUAUACUUUAACAUACCAUAUAGAAUACGAAAGCAAAAAAAAUCGAUUCCAAAACAAUAUGGAAAAAUAGAAAGAGAUGUAGAAUGAAUGCUUGAAACUAACCAGGAAAUCUCCUGCAUGUAUGGUGCCCAUCUCCAUCGAUUGGCCCAUCUCACCUUCAAGCUGCUUUACUAUGAACUCCUUUGCUCUCCCAAUUUCUUUCUUUGUUGCUCCAUUAGCAACAGAACAGAUUUCUGGUUUGGAGUGAAAUAAAAAAGAAAUACUUAUGGGGAACAAGUAAGAAAAGUGACAUAUAUCCAGAGUUUAGAUUAGCUAUAUACAUCUACCUUUCACAGUGCGGGGCCUAUCUUCUUGCCUACAAGCGAUGUAUAGACAAGCAGCUAAGAUCGCAUCUUGGUUUCUCCCUCUAAUGGACUUGAGAUCUUCCACUUUCUUAUAAAUCUCAUUCGCUCGAUCCUUGAGAAAAGAAAUAGGAAUUCUUGUUAAGUACACAACAAUUAAUUCAAAGCAUUAUAUUAAAUGGAAGCUCAGACACCUGGGUCCAGCAUGAUCACCCAGGAACCAACUUAAAUUGGCUCAUUUACAACAUAAGUACAAACUCCAUAGUACUCAUGAAACAAAUUGUUGCCCACAUAUAUGACACUCAAUAGGACCAAAUCCAAGGUGUUGUGUCCAAAUAUAAAGCAUUUUUAAUAGAAACUACUGAGAUCUCGCAGAUUAGGAAUGAAUUGUAAAAUUACAUUCCAAACAAAUUUCACAGUUAAGAUGUCUUUAUAGGGAUUGCAUCUUUCAAUCAAGUUGCAUUAGAAAGUGUUAGCUCGCAUAUCACAAAAGGAAUAGCAUGUUACAUCUGGUUGUAUUUGAUCAUAACGUUGUAUGCGUGGGUUUGGUAGGAGAUUACAAGACCUACUGACCAAAUAAAACGAGAACUUGAUGAAUAGAACAACAUUAGCAGGCACAAUAGAUGCUUUCCUUCCAUUUAGAGGUUGAAUGCUAUCACAGAUACAACGAAAAGUUGUAUAUUUUUUUAACAGUCUUAAACUUUAAUAAAAGAUGACAUUCGAGAAGAGGAGAAUCUUAGUGGAACUUAUAUGAUUUCAAAGAGAAUUAUAACCCCUAAUUUGUGGUUACCAAAAAAAAAAAAAAAAAAAAAAAACUUAAAAUAUAGUUAUUGUAUGAAGAGAAUUGUGAUAUUUUCUCAUAACUAAUGGUGAAACUUGAAAUUUCGAUACCUUUUACAUUUACAAUUAACUGCUAGUCGAUCAUUAACUUAGACGGAAAAUGGAAGAAACCUAGUCAGAAUCAGCAUCUCAUACUAGUUUAUGUCAAGUGAUAAAAAUUCACGCAAUACUUACAGUUCAGAAUGAUUGAAGUGCAAAUUUCUUACCUUAAUAGUGGCAACAAGACCCAACCUGGAACAAGAAAAGGUACAAGAUAAGUAUUUGCUUUAUAAACAACAUUAUUUGGAAAGAACGAAAAAGACAACGAGGGGUUACAGCUUCUACACCUUCUAUCAUAUAUGUAUAUAAUCGUUCUUAAUCUCUCUCAUUUGGAAAUGUAUUUCAUCAUUCGACUAUCAAAUAACCGCUUGACGAAACGAGGAGAACUAUGUAGCAAGCAGAGCACUGAGGUGCUAUAAAUACAAACCGCCACACCUCAAUAAUGUUUUAAAUCAUCUACCACAAAUUCGACAAUACUUCACCAGGAAGCUCCGCGAAAUACUAAAGCAGCAAAGGAAACAUUUUUCUUUUCCUAUUCCCAAAACUUAUAUAAAAAAAAAAAAAAAAAAACAUCUUUAACACUAACGAUAUGCUGAAACCCUAAAUCCUGCGAUCAUAGAAAGCGCUCAUCCUAAGCUCGCUAAAAUCCCAAUCAGAUCAAACCCAAAACCAAACCCCUCAACCCCCUAUCCCUAAUUCUGAAUCACGAGCACCGUGAAACGACUUUAGACGCCCAAAUCGAAUCGAAAAUCGACCGCGUUCCGACCAAACCCUAACCCUAGUACAGCGCAUUGCGCACGAAAUCGAGCCGCGAUUGAAGCACGGGAGAGGGCCGAGGGAGAGCUCACCGAUCGGCCAUGGUGGCGAUGGUGCGGAAGGCGAGGAUGAGGGAGCGGUCGGGGUUGGCGCCGCGGUUCUGCCAGCGGCCGAGGGAGGAGGUGAGGAACUCGCCCUGGGUGCCGUUGGGCUUGGCGAUGACGGUGGAGAGGCCGCCGUCGGUGAGGAGGGGGUUGGCGGGGCCGCCGACGCGGACGGGGUCGUUGUCGCCGGACUCGUUGGCGAAGGUGCGCCACUCCGAGGUCUCGUCGAUGGAGUGCGCCUCGAGCACGAGCCCGCACUCGUAGCACACCGUGUCCCCCGCCGAGUGGUCGAACACCACCUCCGUGCUCCGCUUGCAAUCCGGGCAAAACGCGUCCCCCAUUGUUGCCCCCGCACCUCCCCCCCGAGCUCCGUGGGAGAGGAGAAGAGGAAGAGAGAGAGAGAGAGAGAGAGAGAGAGGAAGAGGAAGAGGAAGUAGAGGAUCGAGGAGUUAUUAUUGUCGUGUAGUAAACCAGUAAAAAGAGUAGAGAAGAGUUGUGAAAUUUUAUGGAAAAGCCCCUGUUCUACCACUUUAUUUGACUUCGACUAUUUGAAUUUUCAAUUUGCUCCUGCAGUUUCUGGAAAUUUUUAACUUGUUGUCCAGGGAACUUCCAAAUGUUGCACCUAGUUAGUUAACUAUUAUCUGCUUUUGGCAUUGCUUCACUGUUAAGAAGAUAGAAGCCAUUAUCCUAUCAAAUUAUUUUAAAUGAUCGGAAUUUCAAAUUGAUAAUCAGCACCGUUGAAAUUGAUCUAUACUAUUAGAAUCAUUUAGAAACCGAAUUUUAUAAUUUUUAAAAAUUAUUAUCAAGUCCAUCAAAGAGUCGAAAGAUGAACAGCAAAAUCAAAUAACCUUUUGAAAACAGAGCUUGGACUUUCUCAAUUUACGAUCAGAGUUAUUGAACAUUAUUUAAAUAGUAUAAAGAAUUUUCUAUCAAAAAUUCAACCGGUUUGGAUUACUCUAUAUCGUUAAACAAGCAAACGGCUCAUAUAGGUUGUCAAAAACUGUCAAUUUUGCAACCCUUUGAUCACUAUGUAAAUAAAUUUUAAAAUUUAUAAAAUUUAGUUUUUAGAUAAUUCAAAUACUCUAGAUCAACUUCAACGGUUCCGAUCAUCGAUUCAAAUUCUUUAUCAUAAAAAACGAUUUGAUAGGACGAAGGUCCCUAUUAUCCUAAAAGAAUAGCAUCUGGAUUAUAUAUAUAUAUAUAUAUAGAGUGAGGCUACUAUGCUUCUGGAAACACGGAGCCUUCCGUUAGCCUCACUCUAUAUAUAUAUAUAUAUAUAUAUAUAUGUAUAUAUAUAUAUAUAUAUAUAUAUAGAGGGCUGGUAUACUUCUGGAAGCAUGGAGCCCUCCGUGCUUCCAAGUUGUUUUCGAUGUUCGGACUUUCGAAUCGACGAUCGCUCCGUUAGAGUUGAUCUAGAGUAUUUGAAGUACCUAGAAAUAAAUUUCGCGUUUUUCGAUAUCAUUUGCCUAGUCAUCGAAGGGGGCUCAAAAUCAAUAAUUUUAACGGCCGUGUGAGCCGUUUGCAAGUUUAACGGUGUAGAAAUAUCUAAAUCACAUGAAAUUUUGAUAGAAAAUUAUUAUUACCAUAUAAAACAAGAUCAAUAACUUUGAUCUAAAAUUUUAAUAUCAUAUCAUCAUAUUUUGUAAGAUUUUUAUUUUCAGCCGUUGAUUUUGAGCCCCUUCGAUCACUAGGCAAAUGAUAUCGAAAAUUCGCGAAAUUAUUUUCUAGAUACUUCAAAUACUCUAGAUCAAGUCUAACGAGCGAUCGUCGAUUCGAAAGUCCCAACAUCGAAAACAACUUGAAGCACAGAGUGCUCCGUGCUUCCAAAAGCACCCCCAGUACACCCACUAGUUAUAUAUAUAUAUAUAUAUAUAUAGAGUCCGGCUACUAUACUCUUAUGAGUACGUUCAUCUUCGUACUCAUAAGUCGUUUUUGAUGAUAGAACUUCCGAAUCGACGAUCCAUACCGUUAAACGUUAUCUACAGCAUUUAAAACUUCUAGAAAUCAAAUUUUAUAAUUUUUUGACAUCAUUUAUCUUACGAUCAAAAGGUCACAAAAUUGACAAUUUUUAACGGUCGGUAUGAAAUACUUGCUAGUUUAACAGUGUAAAAGAAUCAGAAUUGGUUGAAUUUUUGAUAAAAAAUUCUAUUCACUAUCUAGAUAAAGAUCAAUAACUCCAAUCUUAAAUUAAAGGAUCCGAUCAUGUAUUUUUAGGACAUCGUUCGAUUUUAACCGUUCAUUUUAUGCCCGCUUGAUGGACUUUAUUAUGAUUUCAAAAAUUUACGAAAUUUAUUUUCCAGAAGUCUCAAAUACUCUAGAUCAUUUUUAACGGAGUGGAUCAUCAAUUCGGAAGCUCCAUCAUUGAAAACAACUUAUGAGUACGAAGGUUUCAAUACUCAUAAGAGUAUAGUAGCCCUACUAUAUAUAUAUAUAUAUAUAUAUAUAUAUAUAUAUAUAACAUGAUAGCUAGGUUGCACCUUCUGCAAACUACACGGUGGUAUAAUACAUCAAUCUAUAAUUUUAUUUCUGUGAUUUGUAAAAAAUAUCGUGUUGUGUUCAAUAGUAGGUUUAAACAUAACAUUUUAAACCACAAAACAGCAAAGUAAAAUUAUUUUAAAGUAAGUCCGCUAAAGUUUACAUAGUAAUAAUGCAAUAAUUUUUAACUCAUUUCUACAUUUGACUCUAGAUGGAAUAGAUAAGAUAGAGUUAGAAUACUCUUAUAAGCACUAAAAAAAUUGAUACUUUCGAUUUUCUAAUGCAUGCAUGCAAAGAUCAAAAAGUUAAAAAGACCCAAGAUAUUUCUUCUGAACUAAAUCCAUAAAUCACAAUCAUCACUUAUGAAAUGAAAGAGUUGUUUGAUCAUCGGCACACAACACCCUACACAUUCCAAGGCGUAGUUAAUUUGAAAAUAAGCAGCCAAAUACAAUGAAAAAUUUUAAAAAUACUCUUUAAAUUUGUUUCCUUCAAUAUUACAGAGAUAAAGAUCACUAUGGAAAAAACUCCUUAUUUUGGCUGAGAAAAAGAGCGAAAUAAUAAUAAAUAAUAAUAAUAAUUCUUUUUCAUAGCUUUUGUUAAAAUGACAGGUUUUUUACUGUAAGCUCGAGCCCAUUAACUAGAGCAUGCAUGAAUAAUGAAACUAAUAAAGUCACCCGCGUAUUGCCGCGAACUAAUAUUACAAAAUACAAAGGAUUGAUGAGGUAAAAAAUUUUAACAUUUUUUAACUUGUCAUAAAAUAUUAAUAAAUAUAAAUAAUAUAAGAAAUAUAUAUAAGAAGAUCUUAUUUUAAUCUUUUUUUUUUGUGAAAGUGAAUAGACUAUGCAAACGCAUUAAUUUGAAAGUGAGCGAGUAGAAAGACGAAAUAUCAUAUAAAGAUGCGAGGUGAAAAGACGAAACAUUAGAGUGGAAAGAAGAAAAAAAGUUAAAAAUAAAAAACUGUAAUGCUGCAAAUUUUAUAGGACAUAAUAUAUUGAGAGGCAUAGAUUGUGUGAGGUACACACUUGGUACAUGAAACAACUACUUUGGUAAGCAUUAAAACAAUAUUUAAUGAGAAAACAAACUUGUUCCAACCUCUAUCUAGGCAUGCAAACGGCCGGAUCUGAGUCGGACAAAAUCCCGUCCAGCCUCUCGCCUCGAAUCCAUGGCAAGUUAAAAAAUAUAUCUCAUAAUCCGUCCCGUCUUGUAACCUAUCUUUCGCCAGCGCCCUGAAUCCGCCCCGCCAACUAAUAUUUUUUAUAAAAUUAUAAUAUUAUUUAUAUUUUGUAAAAUAUAAAUUAAUAAUUUUUAAUAACAUUAUAUAUAUAAUUAACAACAUCAAUUAUAAAAAUUAAAAAUAUCAACCACAAUUCAAAGCAAAAUUCAAAAGUAUUAAAUUAUUUAUAUUUUAGAUUUUUUUUUGAAAAUACAUUAUUUUUUAAAAGAUAUUUUUUAAAAUAUAAAUAAUUUUUGGGACGGAUUCAGAACGAAUCAUGGUGGGAUAGAUUUGGAGCGGGUCAAAAUUUCUUCUGUUUCCUGUCCUGAAUCCGUUUCGGAUCAUAAAAAUUACUCUAUUUUCCGUCCCGAAUCCGUUUAUUUUCUCCCAUUUACUGUCCUAUUCAAGACAAAUCCACCAACCGUUAUCCAUUUGCAUCCCUACCUUCAUCUACAUAAAUGAUUUUGUGUGGUAUUUAUUAAAGGGAAAAAAGAAACUAUUUCCCAACACUAACAUUGAUAUUUCACUCCCUAAUGUCCCUUGCACUAAAAAUUCAAAAUCUAAUUAUUUUAUAUAAAAAAAUAAUAUACUAUUUUUCUCCCAGAAUAAAAAAAAUAAAAAAUCAUAUUCCAUACUCAGGGCGAUAUUUCAAAUUUAAUUUUGAAUUCGAGAGAAUAAUUAAAACCCAUAAAAAGAAAAUUUAUUUUAUCUUGAAAACUUAGAUUUUACCUAGUAGCUAUGAAUAUAUAAAAAUAAGUUAUCCCCAUUGUCACUUCAAUUUGUAAGUUGUUAUCAUGGAUCAUGAUCUAUUAAAUACCCUUCUUGGGAAGACAAAAAAUUUACUAACUAAUACUAUUGAUGAAAUGGGCGCCAAAAGUCAUACAUAUAUAUCAGAACAAAAAUUAUAUGAGCAUCGUCUCCAAACUUCUAGUUCAGGGACGAUGCGAAUGGGCGCCGCGUGGUGAGCGCCCCGCGUUUUUCUUUAGGGGCUGUUUGAUUUGACGUAAAAUUGGAAAAAAAAAAUUUCGGUGGAAAAAAUUUUUUCGGAGGAAAAUAAAUUUUACGCUCUCUAGCAUUUGGUUUGUAGAAAAAAAAAAAAAAUAGUUUUCCGUUACGGUUGUUUGAUUGUUAAUUGAAAGAAAAAAAAUUUAUAAAUAAAAAUUAUCAUAUAUAUAUAUAUAUAUAUAUAUAUAUGAUCAUAUUACAUAUAUUAGAAUUAUAAUUUAUACUUAUAAAAAAUAUUUAAAAUAUAUUAUACAUUAAUUAAAUAUAUAAUAUAAUAUAUAAUAAUAUAUAUUNAAUAAUAUAUUUAAAAAAAUAAAAUUAUAUAUAUAUAUAUAUAUAUAUAUAUAUAUAUAAUGAAAGAGAGAGAGAGCACGGGUCUGCUUCCCGGACUCUCUCUCUCUCAUGCGGUCCACGAGGUGAAGGGCACCUCAUAGACCGCGCGCAAAAAAGCCUCCUGAGCCGCGAUUUUUUGUGCGGUGGUUUUCAUUUUUCGCUCACAGCGAAAAACAAAAACUUCGGAUUUUCUGAGAAUGCGUAAAAAAAAAUUUUCGUGUAAAAUUUUUUACUGACCACCAAACAUCAAAAAAUAAAAUUUUACAUGAAAAAAAAAUUUUCGACUAGUUUUACAGAGUACCAAACACGCCCUUACUUUUUUUUUUUUUUUUUUUUUCCUCGUAGGGGAGGCUGAGGAUGGGCGACGUCGUUCCCAAACUUUUAGUUUGGAGACGAUACCCGUAUAACUUUUGCCGAUAUCAUGUCUAAAAACUUUUCGCUCCGACAGUAAGUACAUAUUCUCCGACAAUAGUACAUAUUGGUUUAUUGCUUUAUCAACAUUAAAUGGCAACGCAACAAAAGAGAAUAGACAUGUAAAAAAUAAACGAAGUAAUGUACUACACUACGAAUUUUGCUCCAAAAUACAUUGAGAAAUUUGACAAUAGGGAGACCUAAUAAUUCCUCAUCAGAUAAAAAUAAAAUUAUCAUUAAAUAUAUAAAAAAAUUUUACUCUUUUAGUAAUAACUAAACUUAAACAUUUUAGGACGGUAAUUUUGACCCAACGAAUUAUUAUUGCUAGCGAUCGGAUCGUAGACCCAUCUGAGCCAGGAUCGAUGAAUGGCAGACUAAGUCAGGAUCAAAAUGACAAAACUAACAAAAACGAGUCUCACAUCGCCGACUGUGUGCGCGUUUAGGAAAGAUUGAUAAGAACGUCAAGAUCCAAACAAAAAGCAUCUGUAACACCUUAAUAGUUCAACAUCGGAUGAAAAUAAAAUUAUCAUUGGAUAUAUAAAAAAACUCCACCAUAAUAAUAAUAACUAAGCUCUUUUUGGGUCGAUGAUUUUGACCCAACGAGUUAUUAUUGCUAGCGGUCGGAUCGUUACAACAAUUCUGACCAUUUUAUGAACAUAUUCAUAUCCAAUCCGGCCAAAAUCAUACAAUAGAAAUCUUAGAAACUUCAUUUAUCAAUGGAUUCUGCCGUUUGUCGAAAUUUGUUUAAAUACAAACUUGUUUAAAUGCAUCUCCCCUCAAAGCGUAACAACUACAGCAACCAAAGUUUGUUUUCGAUAUCCACGAGAAUAAACAUCAAAUAGAAUGCUGAAUGACCACCAAUAUUUAUUAAAAAAAAAAAUUGAAAUCUCAGAAACUCAUGAUAUGAACAUGACAAACAGUGGUUAAUUAACCAACCAAACAACCAGGAGAUUUUCAUUAAGAGAGCAACGGCACGCAGAGAGCGAUACCGCAUUCCAUGGAAGUUUUGCAGUCCUAGGGCGACCGUCGGGUAAAAGAUUCUUCUGUGAAAACUACAUUUUACGAUUAUUUUCACUACAAUCUGAUACGAGAAAACAGAUCAGAAAAACAUAUCAGGCCUUAUCAUGGUGAGAAGACGAUCAAAAGGUCAAGCAUUUGAGUUAAAUUAGUUAACCGAGUAAAUCCGAGAAGUUUCCACGCCGCGCUUUAUUUUACACCACUCCGGAAGGAAGGCGUAGCACCAGUUGCCCACCUACAAGACUGUAGUGGAGGGGCAAAAAAUGAAUACAAAUUUCAGUAAGAUUUUAAAAUUAUUUAUAAGGAGCAUGACGAUACCUCUUCACGUAAUAGUAGCAGAAGUCUGCGAGGAUGAAAGUCUGAACAAUCUCCGAGAGAAGAACCAUAGAAGGCCACCAACCAUAGCCCAAAGCUGUCAAUAAGCGCCCGCGAGUAUCCAAAACCUAUAACAAAAAGGUUUCACUUAAACUAUAAAGCACACUAACGUAGUUCGUAGUUCAAGAAUUUGCUAUAUUUUCUAAAUGAAUGAUAAGAACAACAGUGAUAGAAAGAAUAUUAUAAAAAGCCCUAGUUUAGCAUACGUAAAGUUGUUUGGUCAAAAAUAUAUUUGUUGCAAAAAUGCAUAAUUUGUACACUAUAGGAAAGUAAAAAAAAGAGGCCCAGUUGCUACAAAAUAUUUUAUGUUGCAGACCAAAUCAGCUCAUAACAGUGGCAGGAUAAGUUUCAUUGGCUUGAUGCUGGUAAACCAGAAAAUGUCCAAAAGACAAAACAGAAUGCCUUAUCCAGUAAUGUUUAAAACCUCGACUUUAGUCACGUAACCAGCAGGCCAAUUUUCCUCCGUAAUCCUGGAGGGAUUGCAUUAUUCCCCUGUAACUUUUACUACAAAGGCUGUCUGCUUCACUUAUUCUACCUAGUUUAGUGUUCAUGCAAAUUGACCUUUUCUAGAACUAGUAAGAGAACUCAAAAUCAUUGCUAUAAGCUCCUAAAUGAAUAUCAAGACGUUUUUAUCAUACACGUGCACAACCAAUCAGAUUCCGUGACAGCCUAAACUAAAUAGCAAAAGACAAAUAAAAGCGGGAAAGUUGCUUACCAGUUUCUUGUCACUAAUAUCUAAAGAUAAAUGGUCCGUAAAUUCAAAAGUAGAAGGCAAUCUUCAAAGUUGUAGAAAGUCAUGGCAUGAAGUAAGGAACCAGCAUAAAGUCAGGUUUGCUAAUAUGCAUUUAUAUAUGAAUGAGAGCAUGGAAAAUCAUGCAAAUCAUAAAUUUGACAUGAAAAGAAAAGUUUCUCAGCAAAUACACACUUUGAAAAGUUACUUCAAAAGAAGAACCAACCUGAAGGACCCAGUGCGCACAACUCAAAAACCUAGCUACUCCCAAGGCGAAAACAUAAUGAGCUGUGAAGGGCUCAACAAUCUGCGAAAAGAAUAAAAAAAAAAACACUAAAUUGAGGAAAAUCAGCUCCUAACUACACAAGGGUUUGUGCUUUCAGAUAUACCUUCGUGUUUUGCAUCAGUCGCAAUUGAGGUAACACUGAAACAGCUUCUAGGUAAACACAGAAAGCCCAACAAAUCCUGUUCACAAUAUUAUGUGAUGUGGAAGGAUGAAUAAGUACUGCUAGUAAAGCACAAGGCAAGACCUGAAAACGAUACAAAGACCAGUAAGUCAAUGCUGUUAAGACCUCAUUAUUAGUUCAAACUUUUGGUGUAUAAAUAUAAUCAAGAAAUACUUCAGAUUUUAACCACCAAACUUGAAGGUUUUUCUUGAAAACAUAUGGUGAAAGUAAUUUUCUUCUCCAUAAAUUAAUCACUGCACUAAAAUGUAAGUAUCUAAAUACCAACAAGUGUGGAAUAUUGAUAAUGCCUCCUUUCUUGAUUCGAUUCACCAUUUACCAGUUUUUACGGCAUACACAAAAAUUUUGCACUAAGAUCAUAUCAUGAGACAUAAUAUGAGACGAAGGGCCUGCACAGAUGCAUGAAUAACUAGUCCAGCAAAUCUCCUUCGUGUAUUCAAUAGGCAUGCCGUACUUUGUUUACAGGGGCCAUGGAAAAAUGCUUUUAUCCGCAUAGGACAAAAUGCCUCUAAAUCAUUUUUCUUGAAAUAUAAUAAAUCACCUCAAAUGUGGAAACAUACUGAAAAUUCAGGACUAUCAUUUCCCACUAACUACUAUCCUAAAAUAAUUCAAACAAUCAAAUAUACUCAAUGGUCAUCAUUUCAUUCUAAACAUGUAUUUUCUUUCAUCAUCAAACAAAAAUUGCAGGAAAAAAGAAAAAGAUAAGACUCCGAAAGGUAACUCAAUUUAGGUGAAACAGAUGAUAGCUCUGAAACUGUGAGCUUUGCCUACUAUGGCAGGGUUCAAGAAACUUAGAGAUGCUUUACCACAUAAUGGAUUGCAAAGUUGUCCUUGUCCUCCAUAUAAGAUGACUUUAGCUUAAAUCGAAUCAUAUAUAUAACCCAAAGAGUAGUCACAAGUGUAGCGGUGUCCAGCAGUGUGUGGAUGUCAUACUCCAUGACAAAACUACAAUACAAUCUAACAGCAAGAAAUAAAGCUGUUAAAUCCUGAGAUUUGAGGGACAAUCCUGCAAAUAUUUAAAACGCAAAUGAAGAACAAAUUCGAAUUAGAACAAUUGAUAGAAAGCAGAAAUUUGAGCAGAUUUGAAUAAGAAAAAUCAAACACACCUAAAAGCCAAAUCACUGAAUCCUGAUGUCAUGGUACUAAAUCAUAGCUUAAAAGUCGAUAUUAUUACUUCAUUAAAUCAAAAGAGACUAUUUGAACAGACAGGUAACUUAAAUUCUGUGUUUCCUUCAUCGGUAGAAGAAGUGUGUAUGUUGAUAUUCAGAUUAACUAUUUGAUGAUAUUCAGGCUUACAAUUUUUGCAUCUCAAUCGACUGCCUGGAAUUGAUAAAUCACCUUCUUUAACGUUGAAAACUCAAAAUUCAGAUGCCUACAGUAUCUGCAAUCAUGGAUCCCAGUUGCAGAGUCUUUCAGCACAGGUUCAUUAACCAGAUAAUAUGGUCCUAUCUCACUAUCUUCAAGAGGAUUUGGCAUAUAGGUAAUAUCUUUUAGUUCCCAAGCUGAAAACUAUGAACAGCUUUCCAUUCUCAUUGCAGACUUGUAGAUGGUGGUAUUAAGAUUAAUUUGGUUGCAAAGUGAAGUUUCAAUAGUACAGCAAGGUUAUGCUUGUAAGAAGAAGCUACACCACGCGUAUUGUCCACUUAAAAUCCUCUUGCCCACAGAAGUCCAAAAAAAAGAAGAGAUAAAACAAAUCGAACACAUCAAAGUGGGGAUGCAGUGGAGCUUCGAAGGAAUAACAACUAUGCAUGACUUGCAGUGUAAUCGUUCAAACCUUCUGAACAACACAAGGAAAUUUUUUGCUUAGGCCAACUGUGCUCGUCAUGGCUGAAUAGAGUCUCCUCGAAAAGUAUGCUUACUGUUUGGUAUCUAGUAAUUACGUCCCAGCAGUAAAGCUUAAAGAACACUAGAAGGCAUGGUCUGGGCAGUAGAAGCACUAAAGCUUCCAAAUUUAUGAGUUAAGGGAAAUUUGGCUGUCACACUUGACAUCUUUCAUCAAUGAGCAAACAGAAGUAUAAGGAGGAUGAUCAGUUUUUUGCAUUCAUAAAUUAAGGCAGACAACAUCUGAGAAAUUUCCCAUUAUCAAUUGACUGACAAUGAUAGGAAAAGAAUAGAGAGGAGAUACAGCUUUUUAUUUUGUCACAUAAAGAAUCCAAUGACUGUGUAUCUUCCGGGCAACACAAAGUUUUUUUACAACGACAUAUAUGGAAAGGUGGACUUAAUCCUCCUAAACAACUCUCUAUGCUGAAAGACAAAGGUGAAUUAGAUCUAGAACAAAUGUGAACUCAAUCAACUAGAUCUACUAUAUUCUACUUUCAAGAGCCAAUAUCAACUUCCAACCAACUACUUUAUUGUUGCUAAACAACUCAAAAAUCGACAAUAACAAUUUACUUCCCUGCUUUUCUUUCAUGUCUCCUGUCUAUGCUACUCUACUUGUUGAAGGUGGAUCUCUGGCAAGAUUACCAAAGGGCUGGAACAAGGAUCGCCAUGCCAUUGACACAGGAUGUGCCAGUAUGCAAUUGGCACAGCACGGCAUGGCAUACCAGCACGUCAUACCAUGGUACACACCCUCUUCUAUAUGUUGGCACGGGCAGUACAGCCUUCUCGGCAUAGGCAGUAUGUGAUUGCUGCGCUAGACCAUGCCAAUUAUCACAACAAUCCUUGGGUGGGAACAUUUCAAGGGACAAUAUAAUGAAGACUUCAAGCUUACUUCGCUUGAAUGUACCUUAAAAUGCUCCUAUUCCACUCAUGCACUGUAACACCUACAGUACUCAAAUUGGUACUUAAAAAAGCGCGCCUUAGGUGCCUAGACGCUAGGCUCGUCGGCCAGCGCCUAGGUGGGUGAUAUUGCCUAGGCACGCGCCUAGGCAGCCUAGGAGCAUGCCUAGAGCUAGGCGCAAGAAACGCUCAAGGCACGCCUUCUUCAUAUCUAUCCUAACGGGUUUGGAUUUAGAUCUAUAUGCUCUAAUGGGUUUGGAUCCAUAUAUUUAUUGGUCUAUUGGGUUGAAACAUCUAAAAAUAAUCCGAAAUCCUAAACUAACAUAAUCUAAAACCUUAAACGAUCAUCAAAUGACAAAUCUGGCAAAGGAGAGGAGUAUUCUUCAUCAAGUGAUGAAGAUGAUGACUGAUGAUUGAUGAUUGAUGACUGAUGACUGAUGACUGAUGAUUGAUGAUUGAGGAAUUAGGACUAAUUAACAUUUCUUGUGUGACAUAUUUUGGCUUGGAGUCUUGGACACUUCGCUUUCAUAUGAUGCCUUUUUAAUGACUUUUGGCUUGAAACUUUAAACUUUUAUGCAUGUUACUUUUUUAUGAUCUUGUGCUUAUAAUUACAUAUUUUUUAAAUCAAAGUUUGGUAUAUGUUUGUGAAUUACUAGUUUACCUUUAUGAUGGCCUUUAUUUGAAGACAAAAAGGUAAUUUGUUCUUUAUUUUUAUUUGUGUUAUUUUAUUUUCUUUAAUUAUCAUAUAUGCUACUUGGAUUCUUUUCUUUUCCUCAUUUUUUUUCUUCCGAAAACAUGGUUAUUUGGUUAGUUAUAGAAUAUUUAUUGUGAUAAUAUGAUUUUAAAAAGUAUUUAGUGCUACUUAACAAUUAUUAGAAAGCAUAGUAAAGAACUUAUUGGAUAUUUCAAAAUUCUAUUCAAGUGUGCGUCUUACCUCUCUCGGGCGCGUGCCUGCGCCUUGUGCCUUGGGUUUUUGUAAACACUAUACUCAAUUUAAUGGUUAAUGCAAGUAUCAAAAAAAUUAAAAACUGAAUUGAAAUAUAUUGACUCAAUCGUUGUUUAGUCAUUUGAUUUCAUUGAGAGCCCUAUUGCAAGUUGCCAACAAACAGAUCUAUCCUGACAAGCUGGCUUGGAGAAGAUAAUCUUGUAGUAGAUUUCUUUACAUUAAGAUGUUUUCUGUACGAUUCAUGGUCUUUUGCAUCAAUUACUCCAAUGUGAAGAUAAAUUUUGUUCAGCUUUCAUCAUUUUGCUCUGGGAAGAAACAACAUUUUGCUCUGGGAAGAAACAACACUUUGCUCGCAUCUCUUUGUACGCAUCAAGAAGUAAGCCACCGAACUCGACUAGAUAUACAGAUUUCAAUAGAUUUGCAACCCAAACCAAACAUUCCGAUGCAUUUUUUGUGUUAGCAUAAAUAACAACAUUUCAACAAACUCCUUAGGUAGGUCAUUCAAAGCUUUUCCCCUAUUUACGGGUUUACCCAAGAAGGCAUGAAUUCUCCUACUUUUGACUCAAGGUCUGCAAAUUUUCCUGAUUUUGAAUCACAGGAUUCCACAGAGGAAGUUCCAAAAGAAGACUACUUUAUCCCAUAAAUAUAUCUAAAAAGUAAAAUACACCUAAUAGAACCAAGAAACUAAGAAAUAUAACUUAAAGACCAUCUAUCUAGAUGGCCAAAAUCUCUAUUAUGAUCUACUGCAUCCACCAUUUUACCUUUGCAUUAAAAAAACAAAACUCCCGAGCCGUCUGAAUUUUGACCCAAUUACAGAUCACCAUUCAAAAUUUCAAAAGUUGAAAUUUAUCACAUGCACAAUCAAUUUGUUUCAACUAAGCACUCGGCUUAAAUUUCUAUCAAAUACUCAAACUGCCAUCAGCACGUGACUAUCACAUAACAAAAAAUAAUUUGUAAAAGCUUUCCAGUGGCAUCCAAAGAUUAAAUUUCAAACAGUGACCAGCAACCUGUCUGAAGAUCUAUAAUCAGGCUGAAGUUUAGAUGUAUUUCGGCAUAUUUCCUUCGUCAAGUGACAGUCACGUGCUAACAGCAGUUAGAAAACUUAAUAAAAAUUCAAACAAAAUAAUUGAUUAAAAUAAAUCGAUUAUUCACAUAAUAAGUUCCAAAUUUUAAACUUUAUGUGGCGACUUGAAAUCAGGAAAAAGUUCACACGGAUCUGAGGCUUCUUUCCAAAGGGAAAAAAAACCCUAAUUUCUUACCUACCUACUUUCAACUUUCUAAAAGCGCAUAAAAAUUUAACUUUUAGCUUCCUGACGCUCAUCUUCUAACGAAUCCAGCAACGAAACAGCGCGAUAACCCUAGGAUCUCACCCGAAACCCACGAACACAACGAAUUCAACAUCGAAACGACUCAAAAUAGAGGAAAAGGAGAGAGAGGGAUCGAGGAGGGGCAUUUGGGUGGGGGGGGAUCGGAUGGCGAACCGGCGCAGGUCUUCUCCUUGGUGAGCUUGUAGAUGAGGACGGAGAUGCCGAGGGCGUGCGCGGCCUCCGCGGCGACGAAGAGGUUGUCGUGGUCGUGGACGAUGAAGCGGAUGAAGGCGAGCGCCGCCAUGCCCGCGACCACGGCGAGGAACGCCUUCACCUUCGGCGGCUGCCGCCGCACCCACCCCGCCACCACGCUCAGCGGCCGCCGCGGCCCCCGCAUCGCUUCUCCCCGCGGCGAUUUGCGCGCCCGCGAUCGCUAUAUACCCUGGGACGAGGAAGAGGACGAGGACGAGGACGAGGGAGAGAGCACAAAGAUCUCUACUUUUUCUCUUUUGGCCUUUUGGGGUCGCAGCGGAGCGAGAAAGCUCUUUUGGGAACUGGGGCGUACAUAGUGGGUUUUGGAUUCCUAAUUAUUUUGGACUCGGAAUGUGACGAGGACACGGGGUUUUGUUUUUGGUGCGAGCAGGUGAUCGGCUCGUAGCUGCCGUAGACACUGAGGAGCGUUUUAGUUGGGCUGAAUUAAUAUAAUUCGAUUAAGACUUAGUUUGCGUUAAGUGCGGUCAGAAAUGGCUAUAAAAAAAUACUCUAUUUAUUUUCAUAUAUAAAUUAUAUUUAGUCUGUUAUGAUAUAUUUUUUAUGAUCCCACCGGAGAACGCAAAAGGAAUAUGCUUUUUCUCAACUCCAUUCUAUCUAAUAGCGUUAGAUAAACAUUAAUACCAAACUAAGCCUAAUUACAUACAGCUACCUAUAAAUAUAUUUAGUUAUUAUCAAUAUAUUUUUUAAGAUUAAAUUAUAGAAACUUUUUUAUAAAUAUUUAUUUUUUACUUUUUCUUCCUAACUUUUAAAAAUUUAUAUUUUACCACAUCAAUAUUUAGUUGGUGCAAUCAACCCCCUCCCUCCCAUUAGGGUUUCAUUACUAUUCCGUCUAUUUUUUAUAAUUUAUACUGAAGAUACCCUUCAAAAUAAUAGAAAUAUAUUAAAAAUUAAUUUUUUCUUAUAGAAUAAAUAGGAGUAAUUUGAUUAUUUUUUUCUCUUCAUUAAUGCCAUAUUUUUCUAAAAAUAUUUUUGAAAAUUUAAAGGGACAAAAUGUAGCUUUUUGAAAGUCAGAAAAGAAUAGUAAAAAAUAAAUAUUUAUAAAAAAUUUUCUAUAAUUUAGCCAUUUUUUAAAUUUUAAAUGAUUAAAUAUAUUCCUACAACCUCUAAUUUAGAGUAGUUAUUACUUAUUUUUAAUGGUUAAUAAGUAAAAUGACAAUAUUAUCUUUUACAAAUAUGUCCUCCAAAUAUUGCUAACACGUUGAGAUCUAUAUAGGGAUGUCAAUGGAUAUGGAUAUCCAAAAUUUUAUCCGAAUCUGAAUCCGGAUGAAACGGAUAUAUCCGAUGCUAAAUGAAUUUGGAUUCGGAUAUGGAUAUCAAAAAUAGAAACCCGACGGAUAUGAAUUUUAACUGUACCUGACCCGAAUCCGAACCCGAAUUUAUUUUGUAUUAUAUAUAAUAUAUAUAAAAAUUUGAUGUUAUAUUUGAAUUUGUAUUUUAAAAAUUUAGAUUUAAUAUAAUAUAUUUUGAAAUAUUGAAAAAAGAAAUAAUUGUUUCGGAUUCAAAUUUUCAGGUUCGGAUUCGUGUUCGGGUUUCGGAUUUUUGGUCGGGUUCGGAUUUGGAUAUGAAUUUUUAAAAUCCGUUAGGUUCGGGUUCGAGUUCGGGUCUCGGGUCUCGGGUUUGGAGUCAGGUUCGGGUUCGGAUUUUUGAAAAUCCGCCCCGAAUCCGACCCAUUGACAUCUCUAGACGUAUAUGAAUGUUCUAUCCUAAAAGCACAAUAAUUAUCUUUGCAAAUAUUUCCAUCCAAAUGCUAGAAUUAUGUAAAAAUGUCCCUCCAAAUGUUGAGUUAGUGAUCACUUUUACAAAUAUGUCUGUUCUUAAAUGUUGAAAUUAUAUAAAAAUGUUCUUUUCGAUGGCCUUCUUCUUCCUUCUUCAAAUGUGUUCCUAUCUAAUUUUUUCUUUUGUUUUCUCUCAAACUAAGAGUACAUAUUGGUAACAUUUAUAAUACUUUUAUUAUACUCAUAGCGCAAUGGCAAUUUUAUUCAUUUGCCACUCAUACAUUAAAAAAAAAAAGCAAAGUUAAAUGGUGCAACAUUUGUCUUAAAGAGUGUAACCUCUAUUUUAUAUGGUACAGCUUAAUUUUAAAUAGUUUUAAAUUGUGCAAUUUUCAUUUUAAAGAGUACAAUUUUUAUCCAAACAGUGCAAAAUUCAACUUUCGUCUCAAAUAGUAUAAUUUUGUUUUUUCCUUUCUUUUCUACCUUUUUAUUUUGUCUAUAAAGGCCAAGACACAUAUUGGUCUUUUCUAGAGAAAAAAAUAUUUAUUUAUUUAUUUAUUUAUUUAUUCUUUCUUUUUUUUUCUUUCAUCCUCUAUUUUUUUUUUUUCGCUAUCACACACCCUCCCUCGCUCUCUGCCGUAGCCACCGCCCCCGUCCGACAUGUUCUUGCUCCUUAUCGUCCUCAAAUCAUGCGCCCCCCUCGUUGUCUUGACUAUCUGUGGCCAUACGCUCCACUACAGCCUUAUCUUUAUGAGCCAUGCUAAAUCUGAACUGCCGUUGGCGGAGAUAUGGGCAUAAUAAAAGAAUGAAAAGCAACAUUGAUGUGGGGCCGUGGAGAAGGAGAAAAGAGAAAAAACAAAAAUGAGAGGAAGAAAUAAAGUGGAGGAAGAUGAACCAAAAGCAAAAGAGGGAAAACGAAAGAGCGAAAAAAAAGGAGAGAAAAAAAAAAAUAUUGACUUCAGUCGUCUAAAAAUGGGCAUCAACAAGCAUAUUAUAGAAAUAUUGAAUAAAAAAGCUAACUAUACAUUGUAUUACUAAGAUAUAAAUCUUACACCAUAGCAAUUCAGGAUUUUAAAAUUUUAUUCACAUUUUUAGUGUUAGCAAAAUUAAUAAGACUAAUAAAAGAGUAUCAACCAUUUUAUAGGUGGAGCAUAUAAUUAACAUCCUACUAGCAAGCAUUAAUGAGAAGGUAUCACUCAUUAAAUAAAUCUAUCAAUAUAUAUACAUAAACAAAUAAAUAUUAAAACAUAUAAAAUUUACGUGAGCUAUAAAUUAUUUUGAUUCGACUAUUUGGUCUUUCAAAAAUUUUAUUUUAUUAUCCCAAACUUUCAAUUUAUUUGAUUUUAGUUAGUCAACAACACUUUGACUUCAAAUUUUGAAUGCAUAAUUUAUUUUACAAAUUUAGUUAGUAUAUUUUAUGCAAUUCUCGUAAUUAUAAAUUUAUUAAAAUAAAUAAAUAAUUUAAAUUUUUAAAGUCGAUGUGUCUUUGACUGGCUCAAACUAAAUAAAUAAAAAAAUUGGAUAGCAAAAUUAAAAUUUUAAAAAGUCGAAUAAUCACUUCAAAAUCGUCUAUAAAGUAGAUAAAUUCUAUCAGUGUUAAAUUGGUGUGGUAAAAAUGUACAAAAGUUAUAUGAACUAUUGACUAUUUUGAAUCAACAAUCCAAACUUUCAAAUUUUAAGUUUAUUAUCCGACCUUUCAAUUGAGUUGCUUUGAGUCACCAAAUGAUAUUUGACUUCAAAAUUUAAGCUAAUUAUUUAUUUUAAUAAAUUCAUAGUUGCGAGAAUUAUAUAAGUGAAGAGAUAUGCUAAUUAAAUAUGUAAGUUAAGGAAUGUAUUUAAAUUUUAAAUUAAAACUAGUGAAGAGGCUCGCGUUUUGCAGCGAAUAAAAACUAUAGAAAUAAUUAAUAAUAAAAGAAUAUCAAAUACUUUUUGUGUAUAUCAUUUGCCACAUCUGCCAAAGGUUCUUCGUUGUUGGCGGUGGGGAUGGAACCGGUGAUGCCUUCUCUGGCGACAAUGAUAGUGAUGAUGACGACGAUCCCUUUGGCUGCAGCGGAGAGGGAAGGUGCGCGCACACAUUAGUGAGGGAGAGGGAGGAAGGGAAGGAGGCAAUAAUUUAAGGAAACGAUGAGAGAUGGAGAGGUGAGGAUUGUAGAUGACGACAAAUCGUUUAGAUGGAUUAAUUGAAAGUUUGAUGAAGUAAAGGGAAAGGUCGUGAUGAAUUAAUAAGAAAUAGAAAUGUGAGGAUCAUAAAUGACAGUGAAAGGUGGAAGAAGGGGAAAGGGUCAUGAUGAAUUAAUUAAAAAUAGAAAUGUGAGAAUUAUAGAUGGCUAGGAGAAGGUUAUAAUGAAUUAAUUAGAAAUAGAAAUAUAAGGAUUAUAAAUGGUGGUGGGAGGUGGAGGAAAGGGGAAGGGGAAGAGUUACGAUGAAUUAAUUAGAAAUAAAAAAGUGAGAAUCAUAGGAAUGUUUAAGGGAAAUUAAAUACAUUAAUUGAAGUUUUAAUAGUAGAAUCAUUUAUAUGUAUCAAUUAGAUAUAUUAAUUAAAAACUUGAUAGAGGGAAGGGUAAAGAUCAAUACGGUUGAGCGUUAAGAAAAACUUGACACUUAGACAAAGAAAUAUUGAAAAUUCAUAUAAAUAAAUUAAUAAUAAUUAAUUAAUUGAUAAUUAAUAAUAAUAAUAAUAAUAAUAAUAGAUUAAUAGAUAGAUUAAUAGAUAAUAGAUAUUAUUAUUGCCUGAUUUAUAAAUAAAUUUAAAAAUUAAAUAGUAAAAUUAAUUUUUUUAAAAAAAAUUAAUUAGCCAAAUUAAAAUUGUUAAAAUUCAGAUGAACUCUGUGCCGAUUAGUACCCGGUCCCCUGCCCAGUUGCUUGUUCCGCCACGUCUCCUCUUCCCCUUCUCCCUGCCCACGACUUUCUCCUGAAUCCCAUGACCCGCCUCUUCCUCCUCUCCUCCUCCUCCUCAUCACCCUCGAGUACCCUUCCUCUCCCAUGGAACCCUCCGACCCCGAUCCCGACCCCUUCUUCGACGCCAUGGACGACCCCGACCCCGAACCCUUCUUCGACGCCCCCGACGAGCUCCCUCCCUCCGACCCCUCCGAAACCCUCGCCCCCGCCACCCCCUCCGCCGCCGUAGCCGAUACCCCCCCGCCUCCCUCCACCCUCCGCCGCCGCAGGUCCCGACUCGAUGGCGGCGGAGAGCGGCGGCGGAGCGGGAUCCUGCGCCUCGUUAAUGUCGACGGCGCCUCCGAUUAUACCGCCGAUCAUGCUCCGGCGCCGAGCUCGACCCUCACUUCGGAGCGGCUCAGCUCCGCGAGAGAUCGCUUUCCCCGGACUCCGCUUGAAUCGGCGGCCACGAGCGCUCUCCGCGACGCGGAGCCCUCGCCCGACGCCGCCGCGGCGGCUCCGCCGCGGACCCUGCUGGAGUGUGUCGCAGGUUUCGUGAUCAGAGCUGUUCUUUUUCAGCUCAAUUUAGUCGUUAACUGCAUCACAUUUCCAAUUUGUUUGCUGCAUUGCUCUUUCCUGCUUGUAAUCGACCCUUUCGGUAGCAUAAGACGAUAUAAGGAUCAUAUGAGAGCUAGGGUUUCAUCAGCGUGGAAGAUUUUAUUGGAUAAAGCGGCUUCUUUUGCGCACGAGAGGCUCGGGAGCCAGCGCGAGUUGUGGGGAUUGGCGGUGAGAUUGAUCAUCGGGGGCGUCUGGGCGUUCUACAUUUGCUUUGUUUUAUGCGGGCUCCUAGCGACCGCGUUCUUGGGCGGGAGUUGGCUUGCGGGGAAAGUUCUGGAGAAGCCGAUCCAGUUGACGGAGGAACUGAAUUUUGAUUACACGAAGGCUAGCCCGGUCGCGUUGGUGCCGGUGAUAUCAUGCAGUAACGUUUUUGGUUCCGAGGGAAAGGGCAGAGCUGGGGCCUUCUUGGAUAGAAGGAUGGUGCCUGCGAAUCACAAAUUGCAGCUUACCAUUUCGUUGACGUUGCCAGAGUCCGAUUACAAUCGGAAUCUUGGGGUUUUCCAGGUAUCUUUUGUCCCCCCUUUUUAUGCUCGAGGUAUUAUAGCUUGGAUAGUUAACUGUGAAAUGUUUUUUCAAUUCUAUAAGAUUUAGGAUGUUUGCCCUAAUUUUAUUUGUGCUUUGUUCCGUUAAUGUUGGCAUUAUAUAAAUAUGUAGGUGGAGAUGUGAAAAUGUUCAAUUUUUUCGUGCUAUUACAUAUCUUUUUGAUGUCGAUAGUUAGGUUUUGCAAGCAACACCGGAUAGUUGUUGUUUUUCGUUAAAAAAGAAAAAAUAAAAUUUCCCAUACCAUUCUAUUAUUGUGGGUUCGUGCUCGUUAUUCUAGUGUUUUUCUUUGACAAUUUGUGUGUUUUCUUUUCCCUGAGUUUAGGUCAGGGUGGAGUUUCUAUCUGCAGAAGGCAAAGUAAUCUUCAGUUCGCGCCAACCAUGCAUGUUACGGUUUAAGAGCUCUCAUAUGCACAUCAUUGAGACCUUUCUCAAAAGUGGUUCUUUACUAGCAGGCUAUUCGUCAGAGUCGCAGACUCUCAGAUUAAAAAUGAGGGGAUUUACUGAAAAACCCGAGCCAACUGCAUGCAUCAGGGUCAUUCUUGAACAAAGGGCCGAGUUCAAGCCCGGUGCUGGCAUUCCCGAGAUUUACACUGCUUCUUUGAAGCUCGAGUCCGAACUUCCUCUGUUUAAGAGGAUAAUUUGGAACUGGAGAAGGACACUGCUUAUGUGGUUAAGCAUGGGAAUUUUCAUCUUUGAAUUGCUGAUUCUUCUGGUUUGCUGUAGGCCUGUUAUAAUUCCAAGGACUAGGUCUCCUAUAGCUGCAACAGGGAGGAGUUAGUCUCAAACCAUCGAAUAUUGCAGAAUUUUAUGUGUAGACAUGGUUUAAUUAAGCGUAGAGCACCACAACAGCACAGACUUCCUCAUUUCAGGUAGGUCUUCCAAUCUUUCCUAACUUUGGGAGGCACAAGUGAUGCAUCUUUUACUUGGAUAAAAGAUGCAAUGAAGUACGUACAAUUUACUGCUUUCAGUGCACUCGACAAAAUAGUAUUUUGAGGUAUUGGUGAGUAAUGACAAGGACGGUCACCGUUAUCUCAUCAAGAUAUCUGCGAUAUCUUCAAUAGAUAAAUUAAUUGAGUUCAUAGCUGAGGAAACAGUAAACCUUACAGAGGAAACAGGUCUGCGCAUGUAUAUUUUUCUGAGCAGAGAAGCAUCAUCCGGUAAGAACACACAACAGAGAGUUCCUCAAUUCUCUUAUAUUGCGAGACACUACCUGCACGAAACUGUCUUAUGUUGCUAAAAAUAGUAGAAGUCUAAUAAAAUUAGCAUUUUAAGGUUUGUAAAGUUGUAUCAAAUUCUUUGUUGUUGUUUGGGGAAAAAAAAAAGAAGAGUGAAUGAGCAACCCUUAGAUUCUUUUUCUAAAGGUUGCGACUAGUAUGACAGCUAGAAAAUUGCAACUUGACUUUUAACCUUGUAGUGCAAGCUUUAGAACUGAACUAAGUAUGAGAUGGGUUUUAUCAGCAUUGCUUGUUGUUGGGUUAGGUGUCAUUAUCAGUGAACAAGUUUACAUAUGGAGGAUAGUUUGUGCUUAUUUCUUUCUAGGUAUGCAUUCUAAAAAGCUCUAUAGAUUGCUUUGUGAAGAUAUAUCAAUUCUCUGCUACUUCAACUUUUGCCCUUUCAGAGUAAUUAGGCCUUGUGUGAAUUUACAGUUUGCCAGUACCAGAUCUUUGGAUGCAUCAUAGAUUUUAUUAAAGAUCUUAGUAGGAGGAAUAUAUGGAAUGGAGAAGAUGGAUAGAAAAUUGUUGUUGCUUAUGAUUAUCAGAUUUUGGGAUUAUUAUCAUGGAGUCUAAAAGAGGAGCAUUAAUAUUUUCAUGAAAUUAAAAAGAUCAAUAAUAUUCCCCUCGUUGUUAGGAGAUAACAAUCUUAAAAGGUUUGAGAAGAGAUAGAAAAGAUUUCAUGAUGUCUUAUGAAAGAACUACCAGGUUUUUUGUUUUUGGAACUUUUUCCAGUUAUAGUCCAUUAUUAUGUUGAUAAUAAAGGUAUAUGCGCAAUUGUACCAUGUCACAUGUAAAUGAUUUUCGAAUAGCUUGAGAUUUUGGAAUGGGUCGACAUUCUGUCCCGUGGCAGAUGCCGGGUUGGGCCGACUCAUAAUCAAAGUCCACGAACGCUAUAUGUUUAUACACUUUAAGUGAGUGGAUUGCAUUCUUUCUAAUAGCCCGAAUUUUUAGAAUUAGUAGUUAGCGCCUUCGAUCUACGAGUAGUAUCAGAGUCAAUCGCGCGGGUUUGGUUUCGGCAUGCUGUAUAUGUGUUCAGGUGCUGGGAGGGAAGGGGGGAUUAUUGGCUGAAAUGGGUUUGAUUUGCUCAUGUUCAGAUUUUUCGGUGUAUUAAAAUUUAGGAUCUUUAGAAAUGACCUAGAGGGCAGAGUGUGUUUCGGAGCAAUGGUUUUGGAGAAUCUAAUGCUUAACAUAGAGUCAAUACAACACAUUGUACAGUUCACUUUCUGGCAUAUUGUUUGUGAUAUUGUAUUCAAUUCAACACCAUGAUGGAAUGUUUGGUGGUAGAAAAUGAUUCAUUGCAGGUCACAGUGAAAGUUGUUGUGAAGUUGUGAGCCGAAGUGUGGAGAACGGGUUACUCGGAGAAACCAUCCGCUUAGAGUUGAAUCAGUGGAGUUGCAUCGGAACUUCGCAGAUCAGUAGGUCCCAUGUGUGAUUUCUCUCAAGAGGUCGCAAAGGGGCGGCCUCUCGAGGCAGCAAGCUUCGGGCACUUCCUGCGGCAGCGACGUGUAAGUCGAGUUCUACUAACUCAUCAAAUCCGUAGACUGCUUUUCCAAUAUAUCAAAACAUGUCGUUGUCUGGUUACGAGGCUCCAUGCUAGUUGAAAGCAAAAGUUGUAGGGCUUAUAGCUUUCUAUUCAGUUUUUUCCAGUAGCUUGCUAUUGCCUGCUUGUUUCUCCUUAGUUGCCGUAAAUAAAAAGAUGAGGACAAAUAGGCACUUCAUUUGCAUUUAAGGACAAAUAGGCACUUGGCUAAUUGAAUAACACGAGUUUAUGAUUUUCCAAACAUCACCUCUAAAUAUAUCUAUAUCUAUAUCUAUAUCUAUCUGUCUAUCUAUAUCUAUAUCUAUACCUCUAUACCUAUAUAUUAUUCUUCUUAAAUUUGCCACAAGGCAAGAUUCCUUUUAUUGUUGGGAGUGGGCUCGAUUCCGAACCGAUUCAAAUCCUCCAUAUAUUUUUCUAUUUUUCUCUUUCUUUGGUUAAACUCAAUUGAAUUUUUCUCUUUCUUUGCUUAAACCGAACUAAUCAUUGGUGAUUGUGGGCUCCCUGAACCGGCUCAAGUUCUCCAUAUGGUUUUCUCUUUUUUUGUUUGAACCAAACUAGUUUUUUAUUUUUUUGCUCGAACUGGAUCGGGUCACACCUCUGCAUUGGGCCGGACUAUUCCUCUUUCACUUCCUUCGGCUGUUGCCUUCCCUCAUCGGCAUGAUGAAUUUCACCCAUUAUCGUCGCUUUUUCUACUGUUGUUUUCUUUUUCCUGUCGCCGUUUUUUAAUUUUUUUUAAAAUUAUCUACUCGUCGCAUUGCGCGAAUUACUACAUUACUAUUCAUAAAAAACAGAAGGUGUUGGAAAACAAUGCCAACCAACAGUCCCCUUGGUCUUCCUCUCUUAAUUUUGGAGUUAGAUUAGACCGUUUGAUGGAAGAAAAUCACAUUUCCAAUCCUAUCAUAAUAAUGCGGAAAGAGUCUAAUCUCCCAAUAUUGAUUCUAGUCCUAAAGAAUCCGGUGUGGCAUUUAGGGCUUAUUUGUUUCACAUAUUUUAAACUCUAGAUUUGAAAUUGGGUAUAGGAUUUACUGAUUUGUUUUACGAUUAUGAUUCUUAUUUCACUCUCAAAUAGGAAUGAUCCAAUUUAUUUAUAGUCCAAUCUGACUUUAAAUUUUGGAUUGGUUCAUUUCAGAAUAAAUCAUUCAAAAUUUUCUCUCACAAAUAUCUCUACAUCCUCUUCCCUCGUCACUUUUCUUUUUCUCAAUUAAAAUCUCUUUCUAAAAAUUCUAAACGUCUAUUCCAAUUUUCAUUUUAGUGAUGAACCAAAUAUUCUUAAAUGAUUCCAUUUUUUAUUUCAAUGCAAUCUAAUUCGUUUCCUAUUUCUAUUUCGCUCAUGAACUAAACAUAUCCUUCUUACUUUCAUGCCGAAUUGGAAAGAAAUUGUACAUAGAAAUACUAGGACUAAGGAUUCUAUUAGUAAUAACUGAACUUAAACAGUUGCACUAAUGUUUUAGACUCAAUGAGUUAUCGGUAUUAGCGGAUUGGAUUAUUAAAGCAGAAUUGCCAGUCGAACAUGUAAUUAGGACUGGUGAGAGUUUUGGAAGAAAAAUGUAUUAAGGAAUAAGGAUUCUACAAGCAAUAAUUAGAUACUAGUAUAGUAGCCCGUACGAUGCGACGGAUAGAGAAUUGGAGAAAAAAUAAAAGACGAUGACAAAGGAGAGAAAACAGUAAUAAAAGAAAUGAUGAUAAAAGGUGAGAUUCAUCUUGCCGAUGAAAGAGAUUGAAGAAAGAUGAAGAAGAACAGUUCGGCUCAAUAUAGAGGUGUGGCUCAGUUCGGUUCAAGCCAAAAAAAAAAAGGUUGAUCUGGUUCGAUUCAAGUAAAGAAAGAGAGAAAUCAAGUUCAUUUCACGCAAAGAAAGAGAAAAAUAUGUAGAAAACUUGAGCCGGUUCGAGAGAGCCCAUACUUAACAAUAAUCAAGUCGGUUUAAGCAAAGAAAGAGAAAAAUUCGAUCUGAUUCAAGCAAAAAAAGAAGAAAACAUGUGGAGAAUCUGAGCCCAUUCUAAUUAAAGCCCACACUAUUGCCAUGUGGCAAAUUUAAGAAAAAUAAUGUAUAGGUAUAGGUAUAGGUAUAGAGGUACAGAUAUAAAUCAGUAUUUUGGAUGGGUGAUUCGGUCCAACAAGUUAUUAAAUUCUAGUAGGCUGGAUCAUUAUAAUGCUAAUCCCUUCGGAACGCAUUUUCAAUUCCAAUUCCAAUUGCGAACCAAGCAUUCAGGGGAUCAGGAGAAUCCUUUUAUCUUCACAUAAUAAUAGAGUAUUAAUGGUGGGUGGUUGAGGGAGAGAGGUUGGUGGGUUGGUGUGCUUUAACAAUCAAGGAUAUAUUUUCUACCUGCAGUGAGUUAGAUAUUGACAUUUAAACCUGCGAUCUGCAUUGAGUUUGAAAUUUAGCUUAGGACGUGUUUGGUUCCCGAAAAUUUUAAAAAAUAUUUUUUCUAGAAAAAUUCUUUCUUUUUUAAGACUUCAUAGAAGAGUCUUCUUUUUGUUUUCGGAAUUUUUUUUUUUUACCAAGAAACUGAAUACUAUGGAAAGAUUCUUUUUUUAGAGAUUGAUACUCAAAUCCUUGGGGGAUUAAAUUAGCGAUUUGGAUCUCGUCCAAUUUGGAGCUAAUCUCUAUACAUAUUUUAUUUUCGGUGAUACUAAUGCGUCACAAAACGUAAUUCUUGCAUCUCCACUUAAAGAGUAAGGCAAUCCUACCUCAAGUAAAGAAUCUCCACGUAAUAGAAACCGAAACAAACAUUCGCCAUCCUAGUUCAGUGAUUGUUAUCAAAUUGUUUUUUUUUUUUUUUUUUUUUUGAGAGAUAGAUAGCACGCUACCUGCUUCGUUUAUUUCAUUUAGAAAUAAACUUAGCUGGAAAUGUGAAUCAACUAGGAUUCGAACUUAGAUCUCGGGUACCAACCAUCAAGCUCUUUGCCACUUGCUCUAGGGACGAUCGGUUAUUGUUAUCGAAUUGUUAUUCUAAAGAUCGCAUUCCUACUUGUACUUUUACUUAAAGAGAUUUGUACCUCCAACUUUUUGAGUAUUAGAAUAGUAUAUGUAGAAAGGAUAGGAUAGGAGUCUAGGAGCAAACUUGAAUACUAUAUGAAUGAAGCUGAUAGCUACGUUUUUCUCAAAAAAAAAAAAAAAAAAGAAUCUUUCAAGUGUAGAAAUAGAAAGGUUAAAUCAUAUAUCUUGUUUCUAAAAGUAAUAUUCUACAAUAAUAAUAAAAGCUUUGCUAAGUUUCUCAAUGCUUUUUUUAAAAAAAUAAGCUUUAUUCCGAAAAGUUUAACUAUUCAUUUUAUUAAAUUAUAAGUUUUAAUUCAUGUCUUUUGUAUAUAUUUGGAGGCCAUUUUCACCAAUAAAAUCAACGUCCGGUGAUUGAAUGAGCCAAUUUGACGUAUUUAUAGAAGUUUAGAUAGCAUUAAUUUAUUUUAAAAGUGAACUUUGAUAAAAGUUUACGAACUACCGAUGCGAUUAAUCCUUUCGAAAAUAGAGAGGUAAGUUUUAGGAGACGACAAAAUAAUACUCAGAGCCUAAGAUUCCGAUAGCGAGCUCAGGUUGAUGCUACAAUGCCAUAAUUUAUCUCUUUAAGAAGAUUAGGUUGGAAUUUACUAGAGAGUGAGGGGGAGCGCGAAAGCAAUGUCAUAGUAAAAAUUUUAUAAUUUAGUUUAGCUUGAUAAUGGACAAGGCUCAAGAGAAUAAUAAUAAACAUAAGGGCAUGAUUGGAAGCAUGGUACGAAUAAAAUAAAAUAAUGUACGGUUAAGUUUAAAGUAACCCAAAGUGCUCCGUGAUUCGUUCAUGUAACGCACAUUUCCUAUUUUGAUGGGCCCCACAAAUCUAAUUAUAGAUCAGGAUAAAUGAUACGUUUGGUCAUCAAACUAUGGUGUAUUGGUGUUCACGGUUUAGUUCUCAAAAUUUAAUUUACUUUAAUUUUAAAUUUAAAUUUUUAGAAUUAUUUCAAUUAAAGUUCUCAAAUCUAAUUUAUUAACUAAAUAUUAAUAUACUGCUAAUAUAGAAGUGAUAUAACAGUAUUGCAAUUGAUAAGACCCUAAUAAUUAAGUUAUCGUAUCACGCCAAUAUUUAGUCAAUUAAAAUAGUUUAUAAAAUUUAGUUACAAUAAUUUUCAAAGUUUAUAAAUUAUAACAAACUGAAGUUUAAGAAUUAAAGUGUCAUCGACUCAUAGUUCGAGAACUAAGCGAGCAAUUUACUCUAGAUAUAAGAGGUACUUUCAUCAUUUUGUGAUUAUUCUUGGUUUUUAUAGUAGCAUUAAUAAAUAUUUUUUAAUUUUAAAGGAGUAUUAAUAGAAUGGUUAAAUUAUAGAAACUUUCUAUUAAUAUCCUUUUUUUUUUACUUCUUUUUCUGUCAUUCAAAAAUUUAUAUUUUAUUCCCUAAAAAAAUAAAAAAUAUUUACAGAGAGGUACGCCGUAACAAAAUGACUAAAUUACCCCUCAUGUUCUUUGGAAUGGGCGAAGGAGGAGGGUUUUAGAGGUAUUUUGGAUAUAAAAAAUAGUAUAUAAACGAAAUCCUAACGAAACACUGACGACAGAGUCAAAGUUAAUACUUUUUUAUUUUUUAAAAGAACAAGAUGUAUGUUUUUGAAUGAUACGUGAAAAAGUUAAAAGUGGGUAUUGAUAGAAAGAAUUAUUUGAAACGAUGAAAUUAUCUUUACAGUAAGAAAUAUAUUUUUAGUUUAAACAUAAUUAAAAAAUAUACUUAUAUAAUUUUCUCAAAUUAUUUUUUUAAUUAUUAUAUGUAAGAUAAAAUUGCGACAAAUUUGAAUGGAGUUAUUUGUACCUACUGAGCAUCAAAUUUAGAUCGCCAUACCGUGAGCUACAAUUAUUUGCUUUGACCCCACCACCGUCACCACGUGGCAGCAGACGAUUCGUACCGUAAUUACCAAGCAAAGAAAAAGCCCCAUUGGCUUUUACCCCGACACGUCACUUCAGUUGCGGGCCCCACGCGAUGUUACCGUUUACCUUGCGGGUACCGCUCCGUUACUCGCCACGUCAUUUGCGCGCGAGCGUCCGCGCCGACCGACCCAAGCCACCUCGUCGUCGUCGUAUUACCGUAAACGCUUUUUGACUCAAUAAUGUGCGCAACCACCCGAGUCCGACGAUUCCAUCCUCGGCCUAAACACCAAACACCGGAUCUUUCUCCACAGUCACGCCACGUGUCCCCCCCGUUUCCACCGAGGUCCACUCCGAUGAUUGCUGUGCGAUGCAACUGUACAGUUGAUGCGAACGGAUGUUGCCUGGACCCGGUGUAUCGGCACUUUCCAUGCACCACACCUCUAAUUAUUUUUGUAGUAGAAAUUUUUUUAAAAAUUAAUUUACUGAGACCUUUCAAUUAAGAGUUCUAUAUAUAUAUAUAUAUAUAUAUAUAUAUAUGAAAUCGUACACUUUGGAUUGCCUAUAAUAGAUCGUUGAUGUGUUAGUAUAAUUAUAAAAUAUUUUAUUUUAUUUGAUGAGUAGUUUUUUAAAAAUUUAUUGGUGUUUAGAUAUAAUUAUGAUCAAUUUAAUGAAAUAUACUUAUCAAAUUAAAGUUAAAUUUUUAAAUAUUGAUUAAUUAAUUAAUUAAUCAACAAAUAGCAAAUACAAACACGUGGUAGAUGUGGUACACGUAGUCCAGGGGCAGGCCACAAUUUUCUCGCUCCCCUUGUGUCGGUUGCUAUUUUAAUAACUGUGGUGAGGGCAUUUUCGUAAUUUCGCGACCUAUGAACAGCACAAAAAUGUAGAGAGAGAGAGAGAGAAAGAUCUGUCCCGCCUCACAUUCCCCGGAGCUCGCUCUCUCUCUCUCUCUCUCUCUCUCUCUCCCCCCUCCGUCUCUCGCAGAUCCGGAGGAGGAGGACGAGGCAAAACCCUAUUCCCUCCGAUCUUCGAUCCCAAUCACCUCAAACCCUACAAACCCUAGGCUUCGAUCUCGAACGGAUUCGGUAUCGACAUCCCCGGGCAUCGCCAUUGACGUCACCCCCGAGCUCCGCUCCCUCCGACCCUCUCCUUCCCCCCAAUGCCGUCGUAAUCUCCGCCCCCGGACCCCCUAGGUAUCUUCUAUCUCCUCGUAUACGGUCGAUUUGAGGUGCCCGCUGAGAUUUUCGUGGGGUUUUGGGGGGGAUCUGUGCUGUAGAACUCGCGUUCUAGGGUUUUCUAUUGGUAAUGCGGCGGGUGUAGCUCGUGGAUCUGAGAAUGGGAGUUGCGAAGUACACCAAGGGGUGUUGCGGGUGGUUGAUAGUGCUUAUUGUCGCCGCGCUUGUGGUCACUGCAGCGGUCGUAGCCAUUAAGAAGAGGAAGCCCCACCAUGCCGAGGUCCUUCCGGUCCCCGGCCCACCGGGGGCCAUUAAUCAGAAGUACGCCGAUGCCCUCGGCAUAGCUCUGCAGUUCUUUCAAGUGCAAAAAUGUACCUUCCCUGCUUAUCACUGUUCCAUUUCCUCUCUAAUUGCAAUGAUUAAUUCCAAAAGAUGGGUCUUUUUAGCUCUUUCAGUAUGUUCCUCAUUUUUUCUUUUUUUAAUCUGUUAAUGGCACUCGCAUAAAUGUCCCUGCAAAAUUUGAAAAUUAGAUAUUUGUGUCUCUUUAAAAUUGAUAUUUGGUGUCAUUUUACUGUUUAAUUUUUUUUGUAUUUAGUAGGAAAGCAGAUAUUAUGUUAUAGGAAUUGGAUGGGACGGCAUGGGUGUCGGAACAGCGGAAAAAGUUUAAAUGAAAAACUAUCAAAUUAACAUUCAACGAAUGGUAGUUAAUUGGGAGCUCUAGAUGAAUUACUUAUUGAGUUUUAGCCUAAGAAAUUAAAUAUUACCAGAUCCACUUUCGAAGUUUAAUAUGCAAGUGACUCUUGUUAAGGGGUUUACUAGUUCCCAUUAUUAUUUAUUUAUUUAUUUUCAUUCUAUGCAGCGGGGAAGUUGGUUAAUAACAAGAUUUCGUGGAGAGGGGAUUCUGCCCUGGAUGACGGGAGGGAAGCAGGAUUGGACCUGUCAAAGGGGAUGUAUGAUGCAGGGGAUCACAUGAAAUUUGGUUUUCCUAUGGCUUACACUGCAACAGUGUUAUCAUGGUCUAUUCUUGAAUACGGGGAUCAGAUGAGUGCCGUGAAGCAGCUAAAUCCUGCUCUGGACGCUCUUAAGUGGAUCACGGAUUAUCUGAUCAAUGCCCAUCCUUCUGAUAAUGUUCUGUAUAUUCAGGUAGUUUUUGUGGGAAUUUUUCUUUUUUUCUUUUUUUAAGGUUCAUAAGACAAAGGUGGGCUCUAUGUUAAAAUUAAGAUCUUUCAAGUUUUCUUCUUUAGUUGAGCCAGAUUCCACUAUUUGUUUUUUUCAUUGAACCCUAUUUGCCAUAAUUAUGUGCUUUUCUUCAUCCUUUGUCAGGUUAUGCGAUGUGUUUUUCUAAUUAGUUUGACAUUAUACUGCAUUGUCAUCACUCUAGUACCAGAUUUAUCCAUCUUCUUGUGGCAUAGGAAAUAACGCUUUUAGAGUUUAUCCAGAGACCAGAUUUAGAGGGCAUUUAUUCCUCUUUAGGUAGAUCAACCUAACUGGAAGUAAAUGUUCACUACAUACUAUUUAUGAAAAAUCUACUAUCUUAAUGACUCUUGUUAUUAUUUGUCCUUGCCAUUUGUUCCUUAAUGAUAAGAAUGUAAUGGAAGUUCAUUUUUAAAUUGCUAUUUGUCCCUUCUCUUUUGAAGUUAAUUAUACAUUGUCUUGUUUUUAUCUAUAUCAUGACAAAUGAACAAGCAGCUAGCAGUCCCUCUGAGAUGUAGGCAAGUAAAUAGAUUCUCUGUUGCUUGCCUUCAUAUCUAAUUGUAGAUUCGCUGUUACAUUUAUUUCUUUAUAUCUAAAAUGUAUGAUUGGAAGCAUGUGGAUCUUAUAAAACACUACAGUUUCAAGGAAAAAAGUCUGUAGUAACCAUUACCCCGUUUAUAUAUAUAUAUAUAUAUAUAUAUAUAUAUAUAUAUAUAUAUAUAUAUACAGAUCAGAGCUGUUAUGCUCUCAGGAGCACGGAGGCCUUCGUGCUCUUGAGCCGUUUUCGAUGAUAAAAUUUUCGAAUCAACGAUCGGCUCCGUUAGACUUGAUCUAGCGUAUUUGAAGUUUCUAGAAAAUAAUUUUUGCAAUUUUUUGAUAUCAUUUACCUAGUGAUCGAAAGAUUCAAAAUCAAUAAUUUUUAAUGGUUGAUAUCUGCCGUUUUCAAGUUUAACGGUAUAGAAGUAUUCAAAUCAGAUGAAAUUUUGAUACAAAAUUCUUUAUACUAUCUACAACAAGAUCAAUAUUUCUGAUCGAAAAUUUUAGUGCUAUGUGACCACUUUUUAUAGGAUUUUUAUUUUCAGCCGUUAAAAAUUAUUGAUUUUGAAUCCUUUCGAUUGCUAGGUAAAUGAUAUUGAAAAAUCGCAAAAAUUAUUUUCUAGAAACUUCAAAUACGCUAGAUCAAGUCUAACGGAGCGGAUCGUCGAUUCGAAAAUUCCAUCAUCGAAAACGGCUCAGCUCCUGAGAGCAUGGCAGUCCUGCUAUAUAUAUAUAUAUAUAUUAAUAACCUCUCUGAAAAGUUAUGAUCUGAUUGGUAGGUGGGUGAUCCUGAGAUAGACCAUAAAUGUUGGGAAAGGCCGGAAACAAUGGCAGAGAAAAGGCCGCUAACAAAGAUCGACCAGAAAACUCACGGGACAGAGGUGGCUGCGGAGACAGCAGCGGCUCUGGCCGCAGCUUCCUUGGUUUUCAAAUCCAUUAAUACCACCUAUUCCGAUUUGCUUCUUCACCAUGCCCAGCAGUUAUUCACUUUUGCUGACACUUACAGAGGUUCCUAUAGUGUUAGUUAUCCUCAGCUUCAGAACUACUACAAUUCCACAGGUUAUGUAGAUGAGCUCUUGUGGGCAGCUAGCUGGCUCUAUCAUGCUACUGGUGAUCAAACAUAUCUCAGCUAUGUAACUGUGGAAAAUGGAAAAGCUUUUGCCGACUGGGGAAGACCGACUUGGUUUAGUUGGGAUGACAAACGUGCAGGAACCCAGGUACAUAUCUAGAUCAUGAAGUGAAAAGUUUGCCCUCUCAGUUAGCUUCUCUUCUUCAUAAAAUGAUAUGCCAUGUUAUUAUGAUUGUGUACACUAAAGUAUGAAUUUUUGGUUCAUAUCAAAACAAUAAUGUGAUUUCAACACGUCAACUCAAGGUACCCAUAUCCUUAAAUCAUUGUAGCUAACAAGAGCAAGUCUGCGGAAAAGCUGGGAACUUAAAUGACCUGCCUUCUAAGGAAUUACUUUGAAUAAAUGUUACGGUGAAAGUAAAUUAGUUAUGCCUCACUGGAGCCGAUUCAAACUUUUUUGCAGGUUCUUUUGUCCAGGAUAAACAUUUUUGGUUCUAAACAAUCCUCGAAUGCAGAGAAUGUGGGCCUCCAAAUGUAUAGAAAAACAGCUGAAGCCGUCAUGUGUGGUCUUUUGCCAGAUUCCCCAACAGCAACCUCUAGUAGAACAGAAAGUACACCUAAAUACCUUUCUCAGUUGAUUUAGUAUUAUGAUUUUCUCAGUUGAUUUAGUAUUAUCAUUAUUAUUAAGAGUAUCUUGCCUGUUUGUUCAUAGGUUCGCUAGUUUUCUUGACAGUGCUCCAUGAAAUCAGCGAUUUCUUGUUCUAAUUCGAAGUGCAUUCUCAUACAUUCUUAAUGACUUGGUUAUCAUGUUCUAUCUCAUAUGCACCAUUGAUAGUCUAGUUUUGUUUUUCAGUGUCAUGUAGCUGAAUGUUUUGACUUCGUUGGUUGGACAGUUUGUUCCCUGCACUGGGGUGUGAAUAUGACCAGAUUUUUUAGCGUAACUUCCUCGAAUCUAGCCACAAGAAAUUAAGCCAUUUAUUUUGGCACUUCUAUAGUUAAUUUUUAUGGAGAAAUUGUAAAAGAACAUCCCAUUUAGAAUCAAAGCAGUAUGGAUAAACUGGACAAACUUGGCAUGUUGUGUCAUCUUUUAAAUAUUCAUUUCGUCAAAAGGAGAUUUUGUAGAAUGUCUGACUGCUUCAUGGUUGGAAAAUCAUGACAUUAAGAUGCAACAUAUGGACACUGUGUGAUCCAGAGGUAAUUGAUCCAUUUUUUUUCUUCCAUGCGUCUUCCUUCAUUAAGAUUCAGAGAACAUAACCAAGAUUUAUGGAAGACUCAUGCAAUCCCAGCCUUAUUGCUCUUGUUUACCAUUAGCUUUUACUGCUUUUGAUCAACCAGUUUUUAACUCCAGUUCAUCCUUGAUUUUGUUUGUUCCAUGCCAUAGAAUAUAUCUGAAUAAUUUUAGUUGAAUAAUAUUGAUCAGUGGUAUUAUUUUUCUAAUGCUUUUUAAUUUCACUCUUCCUAUCUAGAUUUAGGCAUACAUGCGACUAUAUUCUGAAUUACAGAGGACUAUUUUGAACUGUAAAUUGUAAAGUUAUUAUGAGCUUUCGGUAUUUAAUGGGUUUUGCCUUAUUUUUAUCGUCUUAACCCAGGUGGGUUGUUAUGGAUAGACGAGUGGAAUGCUCUUCAGCACCCUGUUGCUGCUUCUUUCCUCGCUGUUGUUUACAGCGACUAUAUGCUCACAUCGCAGACUCCAGAAGUGCACUGCAAUGGGGACUCCUACACACCCAUUGAUCUGCGGAAAUUCGCAAUGUCACAGGUAACAUCCUUGGAGGGCUUCAACUCCUGUUUGUACUACUUUUACUAACUUUGCUUGCUAUGGCCAUGUCCUGAAAUGAUUCUGAGAAAAAGCUUUCCUUAGGCCUGCUUGGCUAGGCUGGAGAUUUUGCAUUAGUGCUGAGUGAGUGUGUUGGGAAAAGUGGUAUGUCUUUCCUUACAAAACACCCACAAUAACCUUGUGCAACAGCCAAGGACGUCAUCUAGCUUAGUGCUUCGCCCUGAAGCUUUAAGCAUCUUGCCUGAUAAACAUCUCGCUUUUGCAUAUCGAGUAGAGAAGCUAUUGCUAAGGUCAGAUCAAAUAGGCACUUGAGGCCUAUAUGGUUUCAUCAAAACCUCCUGUAUUUCUUCUUCCUAGAAUUGAAGCAUAAGCUUCUAAUCGAAGCUCCUACUUGUGGGGUCCAAAAUCCCAUUUCAGCUUCUCAUAACAGCAAAAGCUCCAGAUUAUUAGCCAAGCACGUGAUUUUUAGAAGCUUCUGCUUUCUCGGUGGACAAGCUGUUCCGGAAGCCAAGAACAGUAUCUCAGCUCAUCAUUUUAAGGAUGGAAAAAAAAAGAGAAUAAGAUAAAGUAAUUGACCAAAAAAAAAAAAAACAAAUAAGCUGAGUGCUCUUUCCUCUUUUUUCUUUCCCUCCAAUUUUUUCAAAAAAACCAGGCCGACUACAUCUUGGGCGACAACCCGAUGAAGCUCAGCUACCUCGUAGGCUAUGGUAGUAGCUACCCGCAGCAGGUGCACCACAGAGGAGCCUCAAUCCCCACAGAAGCAAACACAGGCUGCAAGGGCUUCCAGUGGCUUACAUCAACUGAACCGAACCCAAAUGUAGCCACUGGAGCGCUCGUCGGAGGUCCAUUCAAGAACGACUCCUACAUCGACCUGAGGAACAACUCGAUGCAGGCCGAGCCGAGCACAUACAACAGCGCGGUUCUCGUCGGCUUGCUCUCCGGCCUCGUCACCACUUCCUCUGUCGCACAGUCUUUCACGUAAAUACUCUCUUCGUGCUCUUUGAUGGUUUCUGUUGGCAUAUGAAUGAUGUACAUGAGCAAGCAUCGUUGUUUGCGGUCGAGUGAAAGUAUGCUGUAUUGUGGCUAUGCCGGGGGUCUAUGAGAAGCCAUUUUUUGUUGUUGUACUUGUUUACUAUAUCAUGGGAAGCUUUCUUGUACUUGAGUGUGUGCAAUAUCCAUCGAAAGCAAUUAGAGGUGUAUGUGUAAUUGAGAGAGAGACCUACUAUGUUUUUUAGUACAUAUGAUUUAUGGAAUGUGAGAUGCAAAUAUGCAGUAAUGAGUAAUGAAUGAUACUCGACUACAUUCUCAUAGUUGAACAAAUUUGAGUUAAACAAACAUUUACAUUGUGAUUAUAAUGUCGCCGGACAAACAAUGCAAAGUAUGCAUUGUUAUUGUCAUUGAAAGGCAAACAGUUUAUAGUUUUAGGCUAAUCUCACGUAGUUGUCAUUUAACACUCUACUCUGCAUUCGAUCUAUUUGAAAGGAGCAUUAUGGAUGGAUACAUUUUAUAAUUCAAGAACAUUAUUAAUCAUCUAUUCAAUUUAUCCACUGCCUGAGCACAUUCAUGAGGGGCAAUUAACCAACCUGUCUCAGUGGUUGCAUCUUUAUUCUUAUUUUCCUUCUUUGUUCCAGCAUCUUAGGAAACAUUUUUUUUGGGUGCUCCCAUGAAUUAAAGCAACCUUUUUGAUCAAGCAAGCAAUGCCUGGCAGCAGAGCAUGUGGCUAUGAACCUGUCAAGAAAUUCCUUCAAGCAGAGAAAGAAAAAGGAGUUGAUUGCUUUUUGUAAGUUUACCAUCCAUCCCCAAAGUAAGGAUUUCACCCAUGAUUACAAACUUUCUUUCUCUUCAGGUAAAGCAUCCUCUAAAGAACAUCAUGAGACUCAAUACCAACAGCUAUGAAACUUUUUCUGUUCAUCUUCAUCACAAACAAUAAUAAUUCCUGACAUUUUUUGGUGCAUUAAUUCCCAAGGAAUGCAGGGAAGAAGACAUUCAUGACACAUCACACAGCCAAUAAUGCAGUGGACCCUUUGUCUUCAAUAAAUAUCAUUUUUAUCUCAAUGCUGCACAGAUCCAACAGCUUCUUAUGGCGGAAUGAGAGAGCGCGGAAUGAGAGAGCUAUGCUCGAGGAGACGAAGGGUUCAGUGACUCAGAGAUAUUUAGAGCCGUGAUAGUAAGAGGUGGGACUUGAUGGUAUACGUUGUGAUUCUCCAAAUCGAAAUCCACUAAGUUCGUAAUUGUCGGGUAGGUAGGAUUCAAUAAUCCCACUCUACUGAAAUUAUUAUCUGGCUCACUUGUGCGCAAAAGCACCAUAUUAGACAUUAUUUUCAAUUUGACAUUCCGACAAGCUGUAGCUCAUCCAUCCAAAAAGCCACAUGACAAGCCAUCCAAUUGAAACACUUCGAAUUUUUCAAAAUAUUAUUUUUAUAAAUUAUGAUCAUGUUGGCAAAUACGUAUUAUAUUUUGAACUGCAUGCAUGAAUAAAUCAAAAUGUAUGAUAUCAUUAAGUGCUGACACAUUAAAUAAUAUAUAAAAACAACAUAAUAAGGAAUCUGCAAUAGUACUCUGAAUUCAUAGAUGUAGUUUUUUUUUUUCCAUACAAUCCUGUGAUGUGUUGAAUCUAAAGUCACCCACUUUAGAGACAAUGUGCCAAAGAUACAGCAGAGAAUUUGGUCCUCUAAUAGUUUUAUGGUACCACCACCACCACCACUGCACCUUUUACAACCCCAUGACCCUAUGCAUUUUUUGUAAUCAAUGUGUGGAGCCCCUCUCCACAUGGCUAUCUUGUGGCUGUAUUAAUUUUGAAGGACCCUUCUCUUUUACCAAAUAUGUGGAAAUAGAAAACUUUAACUAUUUUCACAUAUGUGGAAGCACCAUUAUUACCUUUCACCUUAAACAGUAACAUGUCUCUUACCAGUUUCUACCAUAGAAUUUCCAAAAGAGAGUUUAACUUUUUGAACAUCCAUGCAUAAGAUCCCUCUCUUUUACUUCUCAUUUAUAUCUUUUCUAUUUUGGGUAACUUUUUUUUUUUUUUGCCAACAAACAAGUUAUGAUAAUAGAAGAGGGACGAGAAGGGGUAAUAGACUGCUUAGAACCGACUCUGAUAUCAUACUAUCCAAAAGAUCAAUAUGACAAUCGAUAUUAGAUAAAUAACUCGGCAAACCUCCUAUUUUACAAUCAUUGUGAGAUACAUAGUGUUUCAAAUAUCUCACGCGCAAUGUAUCCCUAAAGAUAACGAUUCUAUAAUUAGCCAAAAAGCAUCUAGUACUCGAUAGAUGAUGAGUGUGAUUAAAUAUUUAGAAUGAAUUUUAUUUUCGAUCUUUAAAUUAUUUUCUCAACAUAAAAUAAGUCACUUUGCAGAUGAGAUAUAUUAUCUUAACUUCGAAGUACACAAAAAAAUAUUUUGUUCAGAAUAAGUUAUUAUUGGAUUUCUAAUUUCAAAACACAUAAAAUGAAUGUCUAGACUUUUCAAAAACAUCGUACAGAAGAAGUUAUUAUAUGCUAUCCUAUCAAAUCAUAGAUGCCAACAUUUUUCGAGGAGCAAAAAGCGAACUCCUAACUUUGAAUUAUAUAAAAAAUAUUUAUACAAAAUGACUUACAAUCUAAAUUCUAAAAAAGAAUAGGGCAAAAAAAUUUUUAGAAUAAAAGAAACAAAUCCUUUAUCUUAAUUAUUCGCACAUUGAUCUUUUUUUUUAUUUCACAUUCUAUCUCUCCGUUUUGUUACCAUCACUUAUUUUCCUCUUCAUUCUCCCCUCAAAAAAACAAAAAAAAAACCAAAAAAUUUUAGUUGGCAAUUCAGAUAAUAAUUACUACACUAGUUUAAUAUUUGUUAGUUUUCGCGUAUUUCUUGUUCAUUAACAAAUGAAAUUAUUUAACCCUAUUUAUGAAAAAUUUUAAGUCAAAACAAAACAUUUCCCCCAUUUUGAUCCAUGUUUCCACUUCCACUCCAACUAUACAUUCACUCUUUUAAAAAAAAAAAAAAAAAACCUGCAAAACCAGCGGUUGAGAUUAUACAAAUAUGGACACGUGUCAUGCAUCAAGAUCCCCAUCCAAUGGUUAUUAAUUAAUUGAUUAAAAUGCGUGAAGACCCCUGACCUAUACUCCUAUCUACAAAUGCCUCCAACGCUUAAAAUUUUUAAGAUAAAAACUUACAAAACUUAUCUAAACUAUGAAUCAUUUUGAAUUAGCUAUCCAAACUUUCAAAAUUUUGAUUUUACUAUCUUCAAUUUAUUUGAUUUGAAUCGGUCAGUGAUACUUUGACUUCAAAAUUUAAACUAAUUUCUUAUUUUGAUGAGUUUAUAGUUGCGAAUACUAUAUGAAAUAUGAUAACUAAAUCUAUAAAGAUAAGUGACGCAUUCAAAUUUUGAAGUCAAAGUGCCAGUUACUAACUCAAAUCAAGCAAAUUGAAAAUAUUGGAGAGUAAAAUCAGAAUUUUGAAAGAUUUGAUAGGUAAUUCGAAAUAGUCCAUAGUUUGAGUAAAUUCUAUAUAUUUUUACCAUUUUUUAAAUUGACACACUCUUAACUUUUGUUUUUUACAAUUAAGUAAUUUUUGUUAACUAAAUUAGAGAUUUUAUCAAAUUUAAUAAUUUUGAUAACUUUUUUUAGCAAAAUAAAAUAAAAUAAAAGCAAAUAACAAUUAAUAAAUAAAAGAACCAUAAAUUUAAUAAAAUUAUCUGACUUAACUAACCGGGAAGAAAAAAAAUCUAAUAAAAGGAAUUUAAAGUUGGGGGAUGUCACUAAAAAAAAAAAAGUUGAGGGGGCUAUUUCAAGUAGUUUUAUAGUUGAGAGGGUCUCCAUACAUUUUUACCUAUUAAAUAAAUAAAUAAUUAAUUAAUUAACUUUCCCCGCAUAGGAAUUUUUGUGCGGAUAACGCUUGCAACAAAUUACCGUUUCGCAUAUCGAAUCUUGGAUUAUCCGUCUAACGGGCGCAUCCAAAGAAAAUUAUUUUAAUUUUUAUGGGGCAAAAAUGUGGAAAGAGCUCCCUGACAUUUAGCAUAUUUGCAACUCACUACUAAAUUUUUAAUUUUGAUAAUUACACUCUUUUUAAUCGAAGUUAGUAAAUACUCAGUAUUUUGGUCACAUGUAUUUCAUAUAUAAUCUUGUAAAACUUAAAAUUGCAAAAUAUUUUUUUUUUGUUUUGAUAUACAAAACAGUAAUAAAAAUUAGAAAUAAUUCACUCUAUUAUUUAAUCAUGAUGUUUGAUUAUUGUAAUUAGAAGACACAAUAAUUUUUGUUGUGUCCUAAAGUUACGUAAAAUUAUGUGUAAAAUAUUUAUGCAGUAACUUUGUUGAAGAAGAGGAGCAUAUUAAAUUACACACUAAGUUACAAAAUAUCCUCUUAUAAAUAUCUAUUUUUUUACCUCUUUCUUCUAAACUUUUAAAAAUCUAUAUUUUACCCUCUUAAUAUUUUAAAUUAUUGCAUUUAGCCCCCUCCAUCAGGGUUCAAGCACUAUUCCAUCAAUUUUUUAUAAUUUAUACUGAAAAUAUCUUUUAAAAUAAUCAAAAUUAUAAUAAAAAUUAUUCUUUUUUAAUAGAAAAAGUAAGAAUAAUUUGAUUAUUUUGUCCUCUCUAUUAAUCCUGUAACGCUCUGAAAUUAUUUCUAAAUUUUAAGAGGGCAAAAUAUAGAUUCUUGAUAGUUAGAGAGCGAAGGUGAAAAAGCGAGUAUUCAUAGAAAUUUUUUUAUAAUUUAGUCUAAGACUAUAUGGUGAAAUAUAAAGAUCUAAUUAUCAAAAUUAGAAGCUUAGGCACCUAUUUGAAAAAGUGAUAAAGAUCAGGGGGUUCUUUGUAUAUUUUUCCCAAUUUUUACCCAACUCGAUCCCUAAUGUCCCCAAAUCCCAAAUCCGUCCAUUUUAGAGAGAGAGAGAGAGAGAGAGAGAGAGAGUGCGAAUUCAAAACGACCCCUCCCCCCCUCUCUCCUCUUCGUCGUCUUCGUUCUCUCUCUCCUCUCUCUCUCUCUCUCUCUCUCUUCGUUCCCACACGGAGGUGGCGGCGCUUCGUAGGGUUUCGCUCCCCCCACGCCGAAGCGACACCGCGACCCUUCUCUCUCUACAUAUAGACGCAUCCGUACGCGAUCGGUCUCUCCCUCUUUGAUCGCUUCCUCGUUCAAGAAUCGAAGGUAUCGCGAUCGUUUCCGCAAACCCUACCUUUUCUUUACAAUUCACGUCACCAUUCGAGAAUCGGAUCAUCCGUUUCUUGUAAUUGUGCUAAGCAAUUGUCGAGUUUAUUAGAUUUUUAGGUAUCUGAAAUAGUACUUUGAGUUCUUGGAAUAGGAUUUUAAUUGCAUACUUGUGAAAUUCUUACUGUUCUAAUCCUGUAUGUUGGAUUCCAAUAAUGGACAUUUGCUUUGCUGCAGAGGGACCAGGGACAAAGUUGAUUUUUUUUCUUCUGUGCAGUGAGCUUCUAAAAGAUGAUAGGUUCAUUUCUUACUAGAGCUCUAAUGUAAGCAAAUAUUCCAUGUAUCGAGAUUUUGUGGAUAGAAAGGGUGUGGUUGAAGACAAUGAACUGAUAUUUUACUCUCCUUUUGUAUACAGCCUUGCUCUUGGAUAUGCUUAUCCAGCAUAUGAUUGCUAUAAGACAGUGGAACUGAACAAGCCAGAAAUUGAGAAGUUGCGCUUUUGGUGCCAAUAUUGGUUAGUUGCAUCACUUAUUUGUGGGAAAAAUGUUUUCGACUCUUUUGGUGCGAUAUAUAUUUCUAAAACAAAGAAUACCAUAAUGGCAUUUUGCAGGAUCUUAGUUGCACUUCUGACAGUUUGUGAGAGGGUUGCAGAUAAUUUUAUAUCAUGGUAAUGAAUUUUUCUUUAUGUAGCCAAAAUAUUUGUCCUUGGAAUUAUGAAUUAUUUUAUGCUAUUCCAUUUUUAUUUUGAUUUGAUCUAAUGGCUGCCCUUUCCAUCUUAAAGGUUGCCAAUGUAUAGUGAAGCAAAGUUGGCUUUCAUUGUGUACCUCUGGUAUCCUAAAACAAAGGUAAGAUAUUCAUUAUUGGGAAGUGGGAAUAUAAGUUAUUCUUUGUGUUUAGAAGCCUACUUAUGUUGGAUGAUUGCAGGGGACAACAUAUGUCUAUGACACGUUCUUCCGGCCAUAUGUCGCGAAGCAUGAAACGGAGAUAGAUCGUAAUUUGCUUGAAUUGAGAACAAGGGCUAGUGAUAUUACUGUGCUAUAUUUUCAGAGAGUUGCGAGUUAUGGCCAGACAAGGUUUUUUGAAAUUUUGCAGUAUGUUGCUUCACAAUCUCAGGCGCCAAGAACUCGAAUGGUUCAGGUAUUCUUUAGUCCAUGAUAAAUUGGAAUAUGUUGUAUCUUAGCCUUGUGAGUGUUUUUUCCCCUCAUUUUAAUUACAUUUAUUAUCUAUAUUUACCUAUAUUACAUCUAUGUGAAAGUGCGUGACCUUUUAGUUGCAUUAACGAAAUGAGUAUACCCUACUUUUCAUAGAACGAAUGUUCUUGCGAUGGUUUUUGUUAAGUCCUUCUAAUUGUGGCAUGGCUGGUUGCAUCCUACUUUUUUCACAAAGCAUUCUUAUCUUGUUUACUGAUUUACUUUAUGUUUAUUUGCUAAACUUCUAGCUGCAAUUAAUUGGUGGUGGCAUUGUAGUUUUCUUUUAAUUGUUAGAGGCUCACUACUAUGAAUACAGAGACUGAUUUUUUGUCUCUCACUGGUAUGCAACACUAGAAAAGGAUAUUCUUUGACAUUGAUGAGUGCUGGCUAUGUGCAUUGAUAUUCUUGGAAAUCCCCCUAUCUAUACGUGUAUAGAUAAAGAGAGGGAAAGGGAGAGAGAUUUCAUGUUAACUGACUCGAGUGAUUUCAUGUUGAUAAUCUCCUUUUUUUUCGGAAAGAUGAAAUGCAUUGUGUGAAUGAAUUCUGUGAGGCAGAAGUAUGUAGCUUAGAUGUAUAAUGUGAUCUAACUAGUGUGCUAUGGUUAAUGUUCCAUCAUCCUGAGUUUCUAUAAGUGGGCUAGAAAACUAUUCAAAGAUAAUUUCAGUAUGGAUACUGUGGUUGAUAAUAUUGACAUCAGUAAGAUAGAGUUGUCCAUGUGAAAUUUGGAUAAUAUUGAAGCUUUUGGAUAAUAUUGAAGCUUUUGAAUGAUGUCUAUUCCUAAAUUUUCAAGUGCUUCAGUUGUUCUUAACUAGCUCUGGCUGGUGAGUUUGCUAUGAUAGUUGAAGUAGUUGAGGUUUUAGGAUUUUUAUUUAUGUUUAUAUUUAUAUAUGUACUUGCAGAAUUAAUUAUAUGGUGGAAAUUUGGGUGGAGAUUAAAGGUUGUGUAAUUUAAAGCCCCUUAAAAUCAAGAGCAUUGGAAAUCAGGAUAUUGGUUGUUUUGGAUUCUUGGAAUCGUAAUUCUGUAGAAUGUCGUACGACUUCUUUGUAGUUGGUUCUUUUACCGCCUCUUCUUCUGUUUCCCUCCUCUUCUCUGCAGUCCUCUCUCUUCUGUUUAUGUUAUCUUUGGUGAUUAAUUAAGAAUCAAUUUUGUCUUUUUGAGCCAAGGCAAAUUUCAGACUGGUAAAUCGGCUAUGCAAUUUAACUGUUAAUAUUAACAGCACUGAAAUUGAUGUAUUUUGCAAUGUAUGGUGGAUAGUCAACUAUGCCAUUCACAGUAUUGCAAUAUUUGGUGGAUAAAUUAUCAUUGGUAUACUUUGGAGAAGAUCAUGAUAUUUUGUACUCUUUUGAUGAUGAGUUUAUGCAACGCAUUGAAUAAUAGAACUGCCACCAGAAGUAGACUCUUGAUAGUUCAAUAUGGCAGUUGAACAGAAAAAUUAUCUUUUGAUGUACUUUAAAGGCAUAAAUCUCUUCAAAGGUAAUAUUGAAUUUGAUUGAUAUGUAGAAUCACAUCAUUAGAUCUCUAAGAAAGGUCAAUAUAAGAGUUGAUCGACAUGAAUACUCGAAGUUCUUUGAUAUGUAGAAUCACAGUAUUAGAUUUCUAGAAAGGUCAGCGUAGAAGUUGAUCAAUAUGAAUACUCACGUCAGAUCUCUAGGAAAGAGUUAUCAAUUGGAUCUUCAGGCUUAGUUGCCUUAAUAUUGUGUCUCUCUGUUUGAUCUCUUCGUAGGAAAACAAAACAAAAAUGAAAGAGUAGAAAACAAGUCUGCGAAAUGGAAAGACUAAUUAUUAGGUUUCCACAUUAUUCUUCUCAGUCUUCUUGUUCUAGCGACAACCAAUUAAAUAGGAAUAUCAGCAAAUGGGGAGAAAAUACAUAUGAGAAGAGGCUGACCGUUAGUUAUAUAAUAAUCUCUUACUUCAAGAAGUCUAGGAAGUUAAUAGCAUCUGAAUGUUCAGCAUUUCAUUUUAGGACGAGCCAUAUACAAAAAGUACCAUGAAUAUCGGCUAAAACUAUUAUAUCGAAAAAUUGUAGGUAUAGGUGAUUGAUUUUGCUGAUAGCUAUCCAUUACCCUUUUGUGCCUGUUUAUCUUCAAUGUAACAGAAGAUUUCUAUUGCUUUAAAGUCUCAACAUAACGUAGCAUCCUUAUAUACUUUAGUUUCAAGUGCUUCUGCUUAAAAAGCUAUAAUUCUACUAGUCAGUUGUUCUGACAUAUUUGUUUCGACUCACAGAGGCGGCAACCGCCAGAAGUUCGGCAACAGCCUCCUGCCGAGCCACCCGCCCACCCACCCUCAUCCUCUCCGCAGCAACAGCAGCCAACAGCACCACCUCCUCCUCCUGGACCCACCAGGAACCUGAUGCAAGAACAGCCCUCAAUUGCUGCCGCUCCUGCCCAUCCGCAAGCCUCAUCAAAUCCCACCCGUACCCUCCCAUCCACUUCAGGGCCUGCCAGCCUCAGCUCUGCAUCUGAGGAACCAAUGCAGGUUGACAACACCGACAACCCCUCGGCAAAUGGAGAACUACAGAGUCCUGCCUCUGAAGAGACAGUCCUGGAGGAGGCUAUCCGUGUAACUCGAGCCCGGCUGAGGAAACGUGCAGCUGCUGCUGCACCCUCUACUCAACCCUCUUCUCAUUAGUACCCUCUCUCUCUCUCUCUCUCUCUCCCUCUCUCUCUCUCUCUCUCUUAUUUUAGCCAUUCUUUAGCUUUUGCUUAGUAAUACUAUUAGCUAGUUCUAGUUAGUAGUUGUCGCAGUAGUUGUAACAAUGUAAAUAAAUGACCUCAAGUGGAACUUUAUUGAUGAUGAUGAUGGUGGUGAUAACCUUUUAUUGAUGAUGAUGAUGAUGAUGAUGAUGAUGAUGGUGAAAGAAAAAAAGAAAAAGAAAACUCAAGGUGAGCCCUUGAAAAUGGAGGAGGGGGAGAGGGGAGCCGAGUCGAGCUGGUAGAGGCCAAGGGAGGGGCCGACGAAGCGGAAGAGGACCCAUCCGCCGAUGACAAUAAAGAUGGAGGCGUAGGCGAACUUGUUGAGCCAGAAGAGGAGGCCCUUCUCCCCCACAUAGAGCUCCACAGCCUUCUCCCCCAGCGUCAUCGCAUCCCACUCCUUUUUCGGCGGCGGUGACGGCGGCGCCUCUGCCGCUGCCUUUCUCUGCUUGGCCUGGUUUUUGGAACGUACCCGAUACUUGAUGUUGAGUGUGGUCCGCGGCGUUUUGGUUGUGGUGUCGUUGUUUGUGCCGUCGACGGUGAUUGGUGGUUGUUGUUGUUGUUGUUCUUCUCCUUUGUUAUCGUCGUUGGCGGUGGCCGGGCCAGUUGCUCGGAGUAUGACUAGGGGUCGGCGGCGGCGAGGAGCGAGGAAUAGGGAGGGGGAUUUGUGUGUGGUGUGGGUAGAGUUGGGAGGAGGGAAGAGGGGAGAGGGGAACGCCAUUUUCGCAUUCAUCGUUUUGGCUAGCUUCUUGAAUUCUUGCUUGCUAUUGCUACUAUUGCUAUUGCUAUUUGGUGGUGUGUGUUUGGUUCUCUCUCUCUGUCAGCUUUGGUUUACCUGUGCUCGUCGUGUAUAUGCUUGGUUGGGGACUUGAUGGUUCUCGUUAUCCGAUUCAUGUGUUUAUCUUUUAAGCUGGUUUUCUUUGUGAAAUGACUGUUUUGCUCUUGGAGGAGGAAAGGGCUUUAGCAGGAACUAGGAAUCGGUUCAUUGCACCCUUGCCUUUUCACUUUCUUAUAAAUAUAUGUCAAAAUAUCUGUAUUUCUGCAGUUAAUUUUUCUUAAUCUAUUAUAAAUUUUUAUAAUUAUAUAAAGAUCUUUUUACUUCUGCAUCUGCGGUUAAAAUAAAAACUAGGUAAGCAUUUUCUAUAUCUAUGCAUAUGUUUAAGAUCCGAUGUGGAAGCGUCCAUUUUUUUUUUUUUUUUUUCGAAAGUCUUGACCUCAAGGGAUGUUAGAUUUGUUACAAAUAUACAAUUUUACACGGAUAGAAAAUUUACUGUUCAUACGGACAGAAUUUUUUCUGUAUUUAUAUGGCGUCGCACAAGUACAAGAUACAACUACAGUGUAUAUAUAUAUAUAUAUACACACACACACACACACACACACACACACACACACACACACACACACACACACACACGACCAUAUAUACUCACCACAUCACCACAUUACAUAAUUGGAAGAAAAAAGAAGAAGCAACGUGUUUUCUUGUUGAAGAAAAAUUCACGCAGGAAGCGGAGGGCUAGAACUAAAAGUGCGAACCACAUAAGCAUAAAAAUUGAAGAAGUAAUUUUAGUUAGUAAAAUUUUUUUAAAAAAAUUGAUGAGAUAAGUAAAAAAUGAUGAUCCUUAGAUGUGCAUCUUAUUUAGAGUGUGUGCCACUACAAUUAAAGAAUUGGAAUUACUCUUCUUUCUUAUACAAAAAUAAAUAAAUAAACAAACAAACAAAGGAGGACUAGUUCAUUCUUUCAAAUUUUCAGAGGGGGAAACCUCGGUCGCAUCGCAUGUAAACAAAGCCUCGGGCCGGAGUUCGACCCACGGCCCACAUUAAAUUGAUACGCUCACCCACCUUUUAACAUCAAUCUACGCCCUCCUUUUACCCCUCAUUAUUAUUAUUAUUUUAUUAAUUCUUAAAAAGUUCGAGAGGGGGUUCACCAAAUCGGAGCGAAAGGGGAGAGACGCGAUGAUCUACCGGAAGUGGUCUCUGCUCUCAUCGACGAUCGUGAUUUGGGGCGGCGCCGCCACCGUCGGCCUCGCCGGGUUCUUCCUCUUCGGUGGCAAGGUCAGAUUUUUGUUUUUUCUUUUGUUUUUUUGUUUUUUUUUUUAAUGAUCUCGUUUACGGGUUUUGAUGCGGAUGCGAGGAUCUGCGGUUACUCUCAGCUUGAGACCUGUUGGGAAUCAGUAUCUGUUGAAUCAGUGUGUUUGAUUGUCGAAAAUCGAGUGUUUGUUUAGUUAUUUGCCCGGUUUGAUCUCUUUCUUACGAGUAUCUCCGUAGAUCCUCUUUUUUUUUUUAAUAUAUAUAUUAAUGUUCCUGAAUAUAUGAUGCUUAAUCUGAUAUAUUGGAUGAAUUUACUUAAUUUAUCUCAAAGUUUCUCAAAGUUUCUGUAUUUUCAUAUAUCUGAACUUCAAUUUGUUGGAAAUGUGACACGCUUCAAAUUAAACUUAUAGAGCCUAGCCCCUAUAACUUUUUUUGGAAGACAAAGAAAAUAAUAAGAGAAGAAGAAGAAUAAGAGAUGAUACGGUGAUGAUGUGGAAGUUGACUCAACUCUCAUAUCAUCUUCAUUUUUUUUAAGAAUGAGGUGGUAGUGGAAUUAGUUUUCAUAUUUCUUCAUAUUAUAUAAAACAAAUGAUGUGAUAAUCGAGUCAGCUGUCGUAUCCACCCUCCAUCAGAGAAAUUGAAGAGAUUCUGAUGACGUGACUUGAUUUAAAUAAAGAUUGAAGUUUGGCAGUUCGAUUGCCACGAACUAUAGUUAUGAAUUUUAAACUUUGCAAUAAGUCAAUUACCACCAUUGGUGUAAUUUACCCCUGAAAUAUCUUGUGUAGGUUUCUUUUAGAGCUACCGUUCGGUACGUUUUGAUCUUUUGGUUAGAAAUCCGCAUUUAUGAGAUGAUAUGGUGAUGAUGUGGGAGUUAAUUCAACUAGCAUAUCAUUUUCAAGAAUGAGGUGGUAGCUGAAUUAGCUGUCACAUUAUCUCCAUGCCAUCUCAAGUAGAUGAUGCCGCAGUUGACUGGGCUGUCCCGUCAGCCCUUCAUUAGAGAAAUUAGACAGAGCCCGACAACGUGACGAUUGAAAGAAAUAUUGAAGUUUGGUGGUUCGAUUGCGACAAAAUGGAGUUUCACAACCAAAACUUUGCGAUAAGUCAGUGACAAACGGUGUAAUUUACCCCUAAAUUAUCAUGCAUAGCUUCCCUUCACAGUUAGCAUUUGGUGGGUUUCAAUCUUUGGUUUGAAAUCCGUAUUUUUGGAUCACAAUUUCCUAUUCAUUUUUGGGUGUAGUAUAAAACAUUCACAGUAUAAUAGAGAACAGUAGACGGUAUCUGAAGCGGAAGUGCGUCAAUGGCAUAAAAUGUCUUCCAGAAAGGAGAGUUAGUUGAAGAUUAGGUUAGAAAAUCUGGUGAUGUGACAACAAAGAAUUGGUUUUCUUAACCUUGUUGCUCACAUCUAAACUAGAUGCUGCUUAUUAGACAAGAAAUUUUUGGGUCAAAAAAAAAUAUUAUUGAUAGUGUUUUUAAGAGGUGAGAAAUGGUGUUUGUACGUGAUAACUAUAAAAUUUCAUGUGAUAGCAUAACACAACUAAUGGUUGAAGCACCUCUGUCUUUAUGCAUCAAAAUUGUGUGAAGAAUGAAUAGAUGCAAGAAAGUGGAUAAGCAAUAGCAUCUGGGGGACUAUCAUUGCUUGCUGGCUACUGAUUAUUGAUGGAUGGAGCUGAGAUAGGGAGUAGAGGGAAGUGAUACGGGGCAGUGGAAGCAUGAAGAUAACAUUAAUCGAGUAUUUUAGAGGGAAAGAGAUCUUAUAGUAGUGUUUGGCAUAUCUUUGGGAAAAGAUUUGAAAAGCUAAGUUAACGGUGGUACUAUUUACUUUAAGCAUAAAUGACAAAGAUUCUGAUUACUUGUUUUCAAGAAUGUAUUGGCUUUUAUGAUGUAGAGGAGCAAGGAUUUAGGAUUAGGUAACUAGGGAAUUGUGUUGUGCUUUAGACGCUCGGUAGCAGACUUUUUUUUAUCACCAAGCGAGUCUAGAUCCAUUACUAUAAUUAGUUUAUGCGUUUGAAGAGGUAUAAUUAGAAAUAGCUAUGUUAUUGAUGCAAUUUUCCAUGUUGCAAGGUAGCCAACUUACUAACUGGAUAGCCAAAGCCGAUCAAUCCUUCUGUUGCAACUAGUGAUAUUUAUAUAAUCAACAUUAUUGAGCUGGAAAAUGAAUUGUUAACUUUUUUUUUUUUUCCAGUCAGCAGUAUAAGAAUCUGUUUAGUUCUCCUUGAAUUAGUGGAUUAGGAAACUCCAUUCCUAGUCCUAUUGUGAGAUAUGGUAAUGAAUUUUCUUUCAAGCCAUGUUAACUUUUUUCCUUAGAAUUCUUCAUAUUCCCUUGUUUAUCUUUAGAAACAUUAUCUCGUGAAACUGGGCUAGUCGAGCUUUUCUACUUUUGCUGCAGUACCUUUCUACUGAUCCUAUCCCCCAACCUUCCGAAGAUUAACUCAUGAGCCGUUGGUGUCAAAAGAGGAGAUAUCAAUCCUUCUCUUCCUUACCCCCUCCCCCUCGAGCUAAGCUUCCUUCACUGACCCCAUUGGAUGAGCUGAGGCCUUUGGCUCUGAACGUGCAAUGUAGAUGCAACAAUUAUAGUUGUGGUAGAGAGUAUAUUUGCACUAGAUUGUGUAUGGUUAAUAGAGAUUGGGAUGGCCCCAAGAUAUGAUGUUCCAAGAAUUGCUUUCUCAUUGGUGCUAUUUUGCCCUUUUAUCUUUUGGUCUCUAAAUUUCUUGUUUAAUCUCUUUUUGUUUACGUUAUAUAAUGUUAUUUUUCCUUUCUUUUUCUUUAGUCUCAAGAUUACAUAAUUCAAUGUUCAAAACAUGUUUCUUUGCUUUUUUCGCCCCUAUAUUUUUUAUAUAAUUACCAUACUUCUCUUUAUGGUUUCUUGAAACGAAGAAAACAAAUAUGCAAGCGAUGCCAAACAAGUUUAUGAAAGUAUGAGACAAAUGGGACAAAACGGUUAAGUCAAAGAAAGAAGUGGCGGAAAAGCACAGCAUAAGCAGUGAAUCCCUAGCUUUUUCGCAUUAGGAUGUUGUUGAUUGUUUUGUGACAUGUAAAUUUUACUAGUCAGAGACCUUAAAAGGAAUAAUGUUUCAUCUGCAGGAGAAGUUCCAAGAUUAUCUGAUCCGUGAGGGUGAGCGGCUCCGGCAGCAGGAUAGGGCCAUGAUGGCUAAAACUAGCAAAGCCUAAAUGAGUCCAUAAGAAGGCGAUUCGGCCAUGACUAUGCCCUUGUUUUAUUUGAACCACUUGGCAUGGUGGGAAUCAGUCUUGUACGUUCAUGUUAAUAAUCGUCGCUUCGGUGACUCUUAAAUCUGUUUGCUUUGUUACUUUGCUUGCAAACUAGUCGCUAUUGAAUGCCAAAUAUGGAUUUUUCAUAUGCUUAUGACAAAUCUGAGUAUGAUUCUACUUAAUUCAGCUCAUCUCCGCAUUCAUCCCAAUUUAGGUCUAAAAUUGUGCAGGUACAGUUAAUUUAGUUAACCAUAGGUUAAAGUCCUAAUGUUUUCAGAUAUGUUCCUGCUGUUAGAAUCUGUGAGAAAAAUUUAGUUAGCUAUAGGUUAAAUACUUUGCCCUAGUUAAUUUUUGACAUUUUUACACCUCUUAUAUUAUACUGUUAUAAUAUUUGGAGGGGUAUAUUUGUGAUGGCAAAAUUGAAAAUAUAAACAGUUUUUAAACGGUUCUCUAACGGUAACAAACCAGAGGGGCAUAUUUGAAAAUUUUAGGAUUUUUGUAAGAAUAAUUUAUGAAAGUUGAAUUUGAUAGGAAUAUAUUUGUAAUUCACUAUAUUUGUAGAAACUUAUAUGCAAUUAACCUCCUUUUUUUUUUUAACUAGACUUCUGAAAAGAUUUUGUCAACCAUUGGAUGUACAUCUCUGUACGGAUAGUAUAUUUCAAUCACAAUCAUAUUAAGACGUAGUAAUGUAGUGGCUAAAAGCAUUAUUUUUAUACUAUAAAAGGCUUAACAGUUCAAAAUCGAUUAUAUUCUUUUCUUUUUGUUGCUUUUAAAAAUAGACAUACUUUUUUGGUGGCAAUUGCAAUCUUUAUUUAAGAUUGCAACUAUUUUUCAAAUUUUUAGGCCUUCUAUAACAUAAAAAAUAGUAUCUUUAGUCAGCAUAAGUUUUAGUAAUUCGAGAACAUCUCUCGUGCUUUCGAAAGUACAGAGGUUUCCGUACUUGUAAGUUGUUUUCGAUGAUAGGACAUCCGAUUUGACGAUCGGCUCCGCAAUGCAUAAUCUAUACUAUUGGAACUAUUUAGAAACCAAAUUUUAUAAUUUUUCGACAUUAUUUACCAAGCGAUCACAGGGUCUCAAAAAUGACUAUUUUAACGACCGAUGUGGUACGUUUUUAAGUUCAAAGGUGUAGAAAUAUCUAAAUUACAUGAAACUUUAAUAGAAAAUUCUAAACAAUCUUCCGAUUUGAAAUUUGAAUCAUUUAUCACUAUUUUUUAUGAGAUUUUUAUUAUCAGCCGUUCAUUUUGAGGCUACUCGUUCACUAGGCAAAUAAAGUCAAAAAAUUAUGAAAUUUGGUUUCUAGAUAGUUCCAAUAGCGUAGAUCAUGUUUAACGGAACCGAUCACCGAAUCGGACGUCGCAUCAUUGAAAAUAAUUUACAAGCACGGACGCCUCCGUACUUUCAAAAGCAUAGGAGCCUAGCUCUUAGAAAUUCUACAUUUCGAAAAGUGCUCCUUGUGGAAUUUUUUGUUCAUUGGGUUCACCCAUUCACUCAAUGCAUCGAGGUUGGGUUGAGCUUAUUUUGACUAAAGCAGCAAUUUGGGUCAACCUAUUUUACUUGGAAAUUAAGUUCGAUCGAUCGAGCUUCCUUCACCACAAUCGAGUCAAAUCAGACUAGUCAACACCUUGUGGCCUUUUUUCCCAACUUCUAAUCAACCUAAAACGAACUGAUCAAUAUUAUUAAUUUAUUGUUCUCUAUUAAUCUAAUAUUAUUAUUACCAUAAUUUAUCUAGAAGGGUAAAGAAAAAAAGCUUAAACAAAACAAAUGGCUAAAGUAUAGAAAACCUCUUUGAAUAUAUUGGUAUUUUCAAUAAAGAUGAUCACUUAACAUCUCUUCCUUUUUCUGGUAAUACCUGUAGCAUAUUAAAUAUAAAAAUAUAUAAACACCGUUCUUUAAUAGUUUAAAUUUUUAGAGUACAACGGUUGUUUCAUGAAACCCUAGAUCUCAAACAAUCAUUAUAUUUUAAACGCUUAAGCUAUUAGAGGGUGGUCUUUAUAUAUUUUUAUAUUUAACACAGCACAUUCAAUAUUCUCCACUUUGCGAAUAACAUGUAGCUAAAUUUUUUUUUUUUAAAAAAAAGUUAUAACUCAGCAUGUCUGAAUACUAAUUUUCCUACCAUACAAGACAUAUAAUUAUCAUCAUCAUUAUUGGAUGAUAUUUUAGAAUUAUUUAGUAUUUUACGAUAAGAAACUUUUCUCAAUCAUAAAUUCUUUUUAUAAUUGAAAAAGAAGAAGAAGAAGACUCAACUUAGAGACUAAGAAAGGUAUACUUAUCAUCAAUGUACUAUUAUUUUUUUAAUUAGACUUUUUCGUUGCGUUGUUUUUUUUAUGACAUAGUGAUGAUCAUUUAGCAUGUUACUAGUAACUAUAAACAACGGUCAAUGCUAAGCUUGGGUCGAAAUUUCGCAUGCGACUCGUAGACGAUGUGUUUGUUUGCUUCCUCUAAUUUUCUCCAUCCAGAAUUUGAAUUUUCGUCCGAGCCAACUGCAGGUUUGAGCAUCUGCUGUCGUCGGGCUGCAUGGGAUAAUGCAGCUGACGCAGGUGCAGAAAUUUAUGCUAACUGCAGAGAAAAUUCCAUCCCCAAUUGCCGACUGGAAUAUUUUGGGAUGACAAUUUUCUCCGCCGAUUCUGACAUCCACAGAAAUUUGCUCUGGAUGGGGCUGGACUUGCAGGUAAUAGGGCAGGAACAGGGAUAUUACUUUUCGUCCUGCAAAAAUUUCGAUUCUCUAAAAUAAUAUAAUAUAAUAAUAAUAAUAAUAUGAGUGGGCUGGUAUGCUUAUGGAAGCACAUAGCCCUCCGUGCUUCCAAGUUGUUUUCAAUGUUCGGACUUUCGAAUCGACGAUCGGCUCCGUUAGAAUUGAUCUAUAGUAUUUGAAGUACCUAGAAAAUAAAUUUUGUGAUUUUUCGAUUUCAUUUGCCUAGUGAUCAAAGUGGCUCAAAAUCAAUAAUUUUAACGGCCGUUGUGAGCCGGUUGCAAGUUUAACGAUGUAGAAAUAUUCAAAUCAUAUGAAAUUUUGAUAGAAAAUUCUUUAUACUAUAUAAAAUAAGAUCAAUAACUUUGAUCUAAAAUUUUAAUGUCAUAUCAUCAUAUUUUGUAAGAUUUUUAUUUUCAGCCGUUGAUUUGAGCCACUUCGAUCACUAGGCAAAUGAUAUUGAAAAAUCGCAAAAUUUAUUUUCUAGAUACUUCAAAUACUCUAGAUCAAGUCUAACGGAGCCGAUCGUCGAUUCGAAAGUCCAAACAUCGAAAACAAAGUGGAAGCACGGAGCCCAUAAGCAUCCUAGCCGCACUCUAAUAAUAAUAUGAAUUGAAAUAGAAUAUAUCUAAAAGUACUGAAUCUAUUAGUGCUUUAAGAUUUCUAACCCUUAGACGAAGGUAUUGUAGGGUUAGAAUGAUAGUAAUCCAUUUGGGUUGAGUAGUGGUAGAUGGAAUAGUAUUUGAUUCAAAUGUCACUAAUAGUCAAAGAAUAAAUCUAAAGACUAAAAACCUAAAAGUACCAAUGGCUCAGUGCUUUUAGAUGUAUUCUAGCUUAACUCAUAAUAAUAUUAUGAGUUGAGCUGAAAUGCUAUUAGUAGCAAACGGGCUCUGUUGCCAUCCAUUUGUUUUCGAUAAUGGAGCUUACAAAUUGACGAUUGGCACCGUUAAACAUGAUCUAUACCACCAUGUGAAGUAUUUAGAAAUCAAAAUUUAAAUAUUUUCGACUUUAGUGGCCUAAUGAUCAAAAGAUUUUAAAUUUUGUAAUUUUAAUUGUCGAUAUGAGACGUUUUCUAGUUUAACGGCGUAAAGAUAUCCAAAUCAAUUGAAUUUUAGUUGGAAAGUUUUUUAAACUAUUUAGAACAAGAUCUUGAUCUUGAUUACAAGAUUCCUAUCAUCACUUUUUAAAAAAAAUUUAUUUUCAGCCGUUCAUUUUUGUGUCCACUUGAUGGAUAAGAGAAUAAUGUUAGAAAAGUAUGAAAUGUGGUUUCUAGAUGCUUCAAGUUGUAUAGAUCAUAUUCAAUAGUGUCGAUCGUUGAUUCGGAGACUCCAUCACCGAAAAUAAAUGGGUGGCAACGAAGCUCGUUUGUUACUUAUAGCUUUCUAGCUCACCACAUAAUAUUAUAUAGUUCUUAGUUAUUUAUAAUCUAAUUAAAUAUUUGAUUAAUGUAUAUUUUUAUUAAUUUAAUUUGUCAUACUUGAUACUUGAUAAUUUGACAACAAGGCCCUGUUUGGAUGCAUAGUUAAAAAACUCCAUAGAAUUUUUAUUCUAUAGUUUUGGCCUAAAUGAAAUACGGAAUCCUGUAACUACAAAAAUAUUCCACAGCUUCAUUUUUAAGAUGUUUGGAUACAGAUCAUACAAUUCCACAGUAUUUAUAACAAUUAAAUUUCUAAAAUUUUAAAAUUCAAAAUUCAAAACAAAUUCAAAUUUUCAAAUUCAAUUUUAAUAAAUAAAAUUCAAAAUUCAAAAUUAUAAAUUAAAAUUAAAAUUAAAAUUUAAAAAUUUAAAUUAGUUUAUGUCUUAAUUUGAAAUUGAAAUUUGGAAUUUUGAAAUUUAAAAUUUGAAAUUGAAACUUUAAAUUUUAAAAUUUAAAGUAUACCAUUUAAAUUUAAAAUUUGAAAAUUAAAAAAUCUAUAAUUAAAAUUUUAAAUUUUAAUUUAAUAAUUUAUAAUAUUUAAAAAAUUAAAAUUUAAAAUUUAAGUUUAAAUUUAAAUUUUGAAAUUGAAAAUUUAAAAUUAAAUUAAAAUUAUAAAUUUGAAAUUUGAAAUUUGAAAUUUGAACUUUUUGAAAUCUGAAAUUUGAAAUUUGAAAUUUGAACUUUUUGAAAUUUGAAAUUUGAAAUUUGAAAUUUAAAAGUUGAAAUUUGAAAUUUGAAAUUUGAAAUUUGAACUUUUUGAAAUUUAAAAUUUGAAAUUUGAAAAUUGAAAUCAAAAUUAAAAUGAAAUUUAAAAUUUUAAAAAUUUGAAAUUUAAAAUUUUAUGUUGAAAUUUAAAAUUUAGAAAUUAAUACAUCUUUGGGAGCCCAAAAUGGUGUAAUUUUUUUCCUUUGGUUAAAGUGGAUUGUAGGUUUACUCCAUUUUUUGAAGUAUAGUAUAACUAUACUUCAAAAAUUAUGUUAUUUUCUUUUCUUCCAAACACUUCAUAGGAUUAUUUUCCUACCGGCGUAGCAUAGUUUAACUAUGCUACGUUUUUAGAGGUAUCCAAACGGGGCCUAAAUAAAAUUGAUAUCCGAACCCGAAUCAAUGGGUUUCCGUCUUUUACACCCGUAUUCGAAAUUAUAUAUAUUUAGCAUUAGAUAAAUAAACUCCGUUUAGAUUUGAAUUCGGAUAAAAUUUAUAGUAUUUGUACUCGUUGACAUCCCCAUCCCUGCAACGUCCCGCACCGUUGCCAUCCCUAACGACAUUGGCUGGUCAACAGAUUGCAUUGCAAUACUUACACACGAAGGAUACAUACUUAGCAGACUAUAUCUUUAUAUCUAUUCAAGAUCAUUGAAGACUGUCAAGAAGCUUAAUUAAUGGAUUGCCAGGCUGUACAUCUUGGCAAGAAAAUAAGCCCAUAAUUUACUGACUUCCAAGCCCAUAAUUUACCUAAGUUGGCAAGUAGACUUGAACAAGGAUCCAUGCUUACUAGAACUCCUCAGUACCAGAAUUGUUCUGAACUACUUUUUUUUUUAGGGGCAAUUGCUUAUAUACCUCUGAAAAGUAUCUGACUUUUCGAUUUACCCCUCUUAGAAGACUAAUAUUGAAAAUACUCCUCCUACGUUCCAACCUAUUUCUAAUAUACCCCUAAAGUUAAAAUCUGUUAAUUAACUCUGUUAUCUCUGUAAAAUUACUAUUUUGCCCUUUCAAAUAUACCCUUCCACAAUCACUUUCUUUCUUAUUUGCCUUUAAAGUCAAGGGUAUAAAAAGUAUUUUGACUUUUGGUCUUUUCCAAUAUACCUCUCUACCGUCACUAACCUUUUUUAUUUGCCCUUAAGUUAAGGGCAAAAUUAGCAUUUUAAUUUUUUUAACUGUGGUAGAUAUUUAACUCACGUUUAACCCAGGUUAACUUAACAGGAAAUAACUGCGGAGGUAUUUUGCAAUAACGGUGAAACAUAUGAGGAGUAUUUUAGAAAAAAAAAAAUAGACGUAAAUCGGAUAUUUCCAAACGUAUGAGGAGUAUAUAGGCAAUUAUCCCUUUUUUUUUAUAGGAACAAAGAUGCAUGUUGACUGGAACUCAGUUCCAGAAUUGUUCUGAACUACUUUAAAUACCACCUUUAUAAUUUUAUAUUUUUUCACUUUAGUAUCAUAUAAUUUAAAAUGUAUUACUUUAGUACUUAUAUUUUUUUUUUUUUUCUCUUUCUAUUAUUCUCUCUGUUAAUUCUUUCGUUAAAAGAGUAGCUCUAAACGAUACAUCCCUUCCCUUGGCACUUUCCCCGUUUUACUCUGAUCACAGAAGGAGCUCUUUGCCUGUUAGCAAUUGAAUCAGAAUAAGUUUUUGGAGUGAUAAAAUUAAAACCGCAAGAUACUAAAGUAAAAAUUCAGUAAAUUACAUGAUAGUAAAGUGAAAUAUUCGAUAAAUCAGAGGUGGGGUAUCUGAAAUUUUUUUGUAUAUAAUUUAAGAAAAAAUUAACGGCUUGAAAUCAUAGAGUACUAAAAUGAGUAAGGAUGAAACCACAUGGGUGCUAUUUGAAGUUUACUCUUUCUAAUACAAAUGAUAGCAAAAUGAUAGUUAUUUAAUUAGUCUAUGGACAAUUUCUUCGGUGGAAAAAAAGGUUUAAUAUUCUACUUGACUUUAUUAACCUACGUAUUCAACUUAAAUAUGUCUUAUAAAAACGUGGGAAUUAAAAAAUUAGUUUAUUUGAUGUUGAACCUAAAAAAAUUCUGCUUGACUUUACAGUUUAAGCUGUUUUGUAUAAACUCCAUUAAUUUUGCGUCACCGUGUAUUACAUCAAUGGCUGACAUUUUAGUACUUAAAUUUUAAUUUACUAUAAUAAUUUUUAUUUAAAAUUUUUAAAUUAUUAUAAUCAAGUCUUAUAAUUUAAUUUAGUUAGCUAAAUAUUAAAAAAUUAUUAAUAUAGAAGUAAUAUAAUAUUUCAAUUAUUAUUGCAUUAUGAAUCAUAAUAUGUUUACAUUAUUUUUAUAUAAAUAAUUUGUCAAUAUUUAGUCAACUAAUUUAAAAAGUUUGAGCUAAAACUUAUAACAAAUUAAAGUUUGAGAACCAAAUUAAGCAUCAUGUUCCUUACAGUUUGAGAAACCAAAUAUGCAAUUUACGUACCCAUGGUUUAUGCAAAAAUAUAACCUUUUUUUUUUAAUAAAAGAACAUUUAUAUCUUUUGAAAGAAAAAAAGAAAUUUUAUCAUAAAUUGAAAAGCCAUAUUACUUUAGUCGUAAGGUGUACCAAAAAAAGUAGCAAAAAGUUUGAGAGUUGUUCGCAAAAACUUUAGAACUUUAGCUCUUUUAUAAAUAGGCAUUUUGAAAUUUUAAAUUUUGGCGAUUAAAUUUCGUAAAUUUUAUCAAAUAAUUUAAUAGUCUCUCUCUUCAAUCUAACUUAUAAUCAAGUGUAAAACUGUUUUAAUCAUGUGCGUAUAGUCUUAUAAGAGUUUAAAGAUAUUUAAACAUGUAUCUUUUUUAUUCCAAAUUUAAUAAUCAAGCAUGAGAAUUGAGGAAUAGGAUUAACCUAUCUUAAAUUUUUGUUUCUUUUUUUCUUAUAUAUAAUAAAAUAGAAGAAAUAAAUUUAUUUGUGUUUUGAAGCUUAAAUGCAAAACAUAGGGCAUUAAAAAACAAAAAAAGUUUCUAGCUAGAGAUCAAAUAUAUAUAGAAUGAAAGGCAAAUAUAAAGCAUUAAAAAAAUAAUUAAUAAAUACAAUUGCUAAAAAAUAUUACAUGAAAAAUAAACAUGUACAAUUUUGAUGCAUCCAUGGCAUAAUUAGUGAUAUUGUAAAAUACAUCAUUUUUUAUAUAUGUCAUCAAAUAGUUAUUCAUUAAUUGAUCAUAAAUUUAAAAAAAUUAAAUUUACAAUUACUAAAAAGUAAACAGAAUAAGUGAUGCACAUAUCUUAAGCAAUUAAAAAAAAUUAUGUAUGAAGUGUCUUGAUGCACACCAAAGUAAGGUUAGAUUUGGGAUUGGGGGCCUUAAUAACUUUAUAAUUAGAUGAUAAAGGGAGAGAUUAAGAGAAAAAUAAUGUGGAUAUAUAGGUUUGAAAGAAGAAAAGGAAUGAGAUUAUUAUUUUUAUAAAAUAAAUUAUUAACUCCGGUCUACUGUCACAUAUUAAUUUUACCUUAAUUCAAUAAUUUGUUAUGUAUUUUUUUUAAUACUAAAAUUUUUUUAAAAAAAAUUAAAUUUUGAAAAAAAAAUUACAAUUCUUAGACAGAAAUAAAAGUGACACGUGGUAAUAGAUUAGGGAUCCCAAAUGUGGCAUCAUUGGGGAGCUCUCCGCUAAAUUUUUUUUUUUUCCUUAAUUGACCUCUGGACACACAAUAGGUAAAAUUUAAAAAACUUAAUUGCUAAAAUUAAAAAUUUUGGCUUCUUUUUUAUUAUUGUCUUUCUUUUUAUUUUUUUAAAGACUAAUUUUACAUAAUUUAAUUUGUCUGAGUACAAGCAUUUUACAUAAGGCUAAGUAAUAAAUAAUAAUUUGUUAAAAAAUAAAAAAUAAUAAUUUUAAGUUCUUUUUUAAUGUUGUCAAGUAAAAGUCUUAAAUGGAAGGAUGAUGCUAACUAUUAAUCUCAAAAGUUCGAGAUAUUAAAAAAACACAAUGAUUUAUUUAAAGUGUACAAACAAAAUAUCUACUGAUCUGGAUUGUGCCUCGGCCCAACAAAAUAUAGCGCUAAAAUAUCUCUUUAGAAACGAGUUAUAAUUGGGGAGCUCUUUCUGUAAUGGAUAAAAUUUUAGUGGAAUACUUCCCAGUAACACCUCGCUUGUUGGGAAGCAUCUGAUCCACUGACAAGUCUUAAUUUUGCAUCUAUCCAUUGGCUAGCUCAUCGAAUAUUUUUUAUAUUGAAAUCUAAAAAUUUUAAAUUAAAAAAAAAAGAUAAUGAGGUAUUAAGGUUUAGUUUGUUAUUGAGAUGGAUCUAACGUUAGUAGAUAGAAUGGAGUUGAGAAAAAACAUAUAGGAAUAUGAUUCUACGUUCUCCGAUAGAACCGCAUAAAAUAUAUCGUAACCGACUAAUCGUAAUAUGCGGAACGCAAUAUUACGUACGAAAAUAAAUAAAGUAUAUUUUCAUCGUCCUUUCUCACCGCACAUAACGCAAUCUCCUUUAUCGCCCUUUCUCACUGUUCAUAACGCAAUCUCCCCGCAAUUUCAAAUGAAAUCUAAGAUUCCGUGUAGGAGACGUGGUUAGGAGGAAUUCUAUACUGUCACACUUGCACCACGUCAUUAAUAACAAGCCAAUCACAUUCUUUCUUUUCAAAUAAAAAUACAAUAAAAAUAUUUUUUUAAAAUCAUGAUGGGACAUAUAUUCCUAAAAAAAAAUUAAUUAGUUUAUUAUGUCACAUCAUUAAUAUAUUCUUUGCAUUCUAGGAUUUUUCGUGGUUCAGAGCUCUCUCUUUUUCAUGUACAUUUUUUUCCAAAAGAAAAAGGGAAAAGUUUAAUCGAGACAGAUUCGUACGAGAGAAUUUGAAGCCGAGAAGAGUGCCACGUGGCAGUGGGCGGCGCGCGCGGAUUAGUCCGUACACGGUCGGCGACGUACUUUGCGGUGGGCCCCGCGUUCUAGAAACGCAGGCUAAUUACGCCACGCACACCAAAUUUGAUCUAAAAAUGAUUAAUACGUUUUUUUUGGGUUACGGAGGAACGCGACAGCACUACUUUAAAAUUAAUUAUAUAAAAAAAAUUAUAUUUUAAUUUUUAAUUUAUUUACUGCCACAUCACAAAUGUAAUAUUCAAUACCAAAAUAAAUAAGUAAAUUAUACUUUUAUCAUACUUUUGUGAUAUGUAAUGCAAUUCUGUCUCAAAAAUAAAGUCUAACAGUGUGUGUGUGUAUGCACCAAUAAUUUAGUACUUUUAAAAAUAUACAAGCUCAAUUAUAUAUAUAUUUUUUGUCAUUGAAUUAAGGAAUGUGCGGUUAUGAUGAUGUAGAACUCUUAGGGUUGAGUGGGUGUUGGUUAAAUAGUAUGAUCUAAUGAAUAAAAAUGAUCAAAAGAGUAGAUUUAACGGUAAACAAUUUACAAGCACCAAAUACUUGGUGUUUGUAAAUAUAAAAAGCACCGAGCACUUGAUGCUUGUAAAUUUUUUACCGUUAGAUCUAUUUUUUGAUCAUUUCCACCCAUUAGAUCAUAUUAUUCAAUCGAACGAGUAAAUAAAACAAAAAUAAAAUAAAAUAAAAUAAAAAAUAUUGUAUGUUGUGUAACCCGUUCAACUCUUCUAAAGCAUUUUUUAACCCCUUUUUUUAAUUUUUCGGAAAAAAAAAGUUGUUAAUUACCCCUAUGAAUUUUGUGUAAUUGGUGAGAGGAAUGCAUGCAUUUAUUUUUUCACAAAUAUUUUUUUUUCGUAGGCUCUCAUAAUUUUAAAAAUUAUUUAAUAUGUUAGAACCAAAUUAUUUCUUCGGCGGCAAAAAAUAAAUGUAUUUUUAUUUUUUAUUUACAAAAUUUUUUAAACAAAUUAUCAUUUUUUAUUAAGUCAGAAUGCACUGUAUUUAAACGGAAAAAAAACUAAGUGCAUCCAAACAGUCAGAUUUUUUAAAAUUUUUGCGCAUAAUAUUUUUAUUAUGGGUGAUUAUUUAUGAUGAACUCAUAUUAUUUAGAAUAUCUUUAUAUUAUUUUUUAAGUUGGGAAAGUGAUCUAAAAUUGUAUUGAAGUGUAGAUGGUCUCGGACAAAAAUUUUAUGGGCACAGUUCUCAAACAACUUGUUUGGGGACGAUGACGGUGGGCGCCGUGUGGUGUGCGGGUGUCCAUCACGACCCUAAAAAAUAAAAAUAAACAAAAUUUGUCGGCUCCCAUUGUUUAGAGAGAGAAAGAAGCAGGUGAGAGAAAGGGACGGUCGCGAUGGGCGCCCGCACACUACGCAACGCCCAUUUCACGAUCGCAUACCACGCGGCGCUCAUCUGCUCCGUCUCCAAACAAUUUGUUUGGGGACGGGUGCCCACAAAAUUUUUGUGCGGUGGCCUCACACCUUUAAUCAUUUAUCCUUUUGAUUUAUCAUGUUUUAUUAAAUUACGUAUCUAAAAUUUUUGUGCUCGAGGUGAUCGCAUACGAAACUCGUGUAAAUAAGGAGGCCCGCCUUUCACGUCAAUCGUACAACACCAAACACUGCUCAUAUCCGUAGGAAUCCAACACGUGUACAAUAAUUUGUGGUAGGUGUAACGGUGAAAAUGGUACGGAUAAUUUCGGAUUCAAUAUGAUGCUGAUCGAUGAUAAAAUUUAGUAUUCCACUCAUAUUUGUAUUUGAAUUCAUAUUCAAAAAAAAUAAGUUAAAUAUAAAUUAAAUAUAAUUUUUUAAAAAAUUCGAAUGCAAUCGACCAAUUCAUCCUCAGGAGAUAAAAGAAAUAUUAGUAUAUAUUAUAGAGAGAUAAAAUGAUUCUUUAUCUUUUUUUCUUCGUUUACUUUAUUAUGAGUUUUAUAUUAAAGUUGCAUUUAUAUUCGUCAAAUAUUAAAUUUUAUUAAAUAAAUAUAGGUAUACAAAGUUUGAACUUGAAUGUGAACCUUUAAAUGCAUUGUGCGUCUAAUCCGUACUAAUUUCAUUUCAUAUCGAUUUAUGCAUAUAAGUGUGUAUUAUUAUCUGAAUACAAAUUCGAGCCAUAUCUGAAUACGAAUAUGUUUUUAGUAGGCAUAGUAAUGAAAAUUUGACAUCCAACACAUAUCAGCAUCCGAAUUCGCAUCUAUAAAGUAUGGAUGUGAAUAUGGUUUUGUCAAAAAAUUUGACCGUAUUCAAUUGUUUUCAUCCCCAGGUGGGUGAUCCUUUACUUAUCAAUCUUUUAGUUUAUUAUAAACUUUAAUUUAAAAUUUAUUGAUUGUUGUAAUUAAGUUCUAUGGUAUAAUAUAAUUGGUUGAAUGAUAAUAUAUUAUUGAUGUGGCAAUGAUGCGACAUAUUAGUUAUUAUAUCAUUAUCACAUCAGCGGUACAUCACUAUCUAUCUAGCCAACUAAAUUAUAUUGUAUAAUUUAAUUACAGUGAUUUAUAAAAUUUAAAUUAGAAAUUGUAAUAAAUUAAAGUUUGAAAAUCAAAAUAUCACAUAUCGCUUAGUUUGCAAACGAAUAGUGUAAAUUUAGCGUUUACAUAAUUGGCACUCUUUUAUCUUAUAAUUUUUAACUAAAUUUGUAUGGUUAAUUAAUUUAAAUAUUUUAUUAAAUUUUGUAGCUCAAUUAUCUAUUGAACAUAAUUAAUCUCCUUUUACCCACUAUAAAGUAGUUUAUUAAGGUCUUGUUUGGCAGCAUUAAUUAUUAUUAUUUUUUGUAUAAAUAUAAUUCAUGCAUGAAAUAAUAAAGAAGAAGACAAUUGAUUGUUUGCCCUCAUUUCAUUCAAAAUAUUUGUUAACAAUAAAAAGUAAAAUUUUGAAGGCAAUUUUUCCUCUUAAAACUUUUUAAAUAAUAAGUUAUCAUUCAUCAUUUGAUCAAAAUGUAUUAGCAUGCUAACCAAUAACAACAACAAGUGAGAUUUUUUUUUUUUUUUUUCAGUUGAUAAUCAAAUUAUAUAUACUAACAAAAUAAAAAAUUACCUUAUAUUUUAUUAUAGCUAGAGUGAACAUCUUACACCCUAUUAUUCUUCUACUAGGAUAUGAAAAACUAUUUUUCGAAAUUUUGUACUUAAAAAAAUAAUAUGACAAGUAAAAAAAAUCUUAGCCUUUUUAAAGGCUAAGGUAAAAGUUUUACAAAUACUAUAGAUGUUCAUGUAGCAUUGCUCUUUAUAAUUAUAAAUGAAAUUGCUAAAGUUUCUAAUUUAUUAAAUAAAAAUUAUUGGGUCAAUUUCAUUUGUGUCCCUCUAAACUUCAAAAAUAUCAUAGAUGCCCCUAUAAAUUUGAUUACAUCACAAAUAGCCCUACAAAUACUUACUAUUUUUCAAAUAUGUCCUUAUCCUUACUAUUCAUCUUUUUAUAGAAUGAUAAAAUAUUUAGAUUAUUAUAAAUAUGGUCGAAAUGUCCAUUUUGUCCUUAACUUCUAAAAUUUUUUACAAAAAUAUUUAGCAUGAUAAUAUUUAUUUUAAAAUAUUAAAAUAAAGAGUAAUAUAUAUUAUUUUACCACUGUGUGGUUUGUAAAAUAAGAUACUUUACAUCAUUUAUUUUAAAAUUCUAGAUGCUAAAGCACAGAAAUUUGUGCUAGUUCAAAUAACUUAAUUUACAUCAUGCAUAUAUAUUUAAAUUAUAUUUUGAAUGAGCUGUUUAACCUUAUUUUAAUGAGUCAAUUGAUAUUUUAAAUAAUUUUUUGCUAAAUUUUUUUCAAAUUUUUUUAUUUUUUUAGCUUAACUUGUCAGGAUUAUAUAUAUAUAUAUAUAUAUAUAUAUNGUUAUUAAAAAAUUGAUAAUAAAUUAGUGUAAAGGUUAGUUUUGAAAGUUUCUCUCUUUUAAAAGAUUAUUUAUGAUAUUUUAAUUUUUAUAGGGGCAUUCAUGAUAUUAGAUUUAUUUGGAAGGGUAGUAAUGAAAUUUUUCCAAAAUUAUUUGGUUUUAAACAGAAGUCUAUACAAUUGGUGUAAAUCUUGCAGUAGUCUUGAGCUUUAAAUCUUGAGGUACUCUUGAGGUUUCUAUGUCUCACAUUUGCUUAUUUGUUUUAUCAAUUUAAUUUUAUAUUAAAAAUUUAAGAAAAAAUUUUAAAUGUUAAAAUGUAUAAAACUUAUUUCAACUAUCAUUUAUUUUGAUCUAACUAUCUUAUUUUAAAAAUUUUAAUUUUACUACAUAAACCCUUUAAUUAAUUUUUAUUUGGGCUUGUUGGUUAUUGUUUAACUUCAAAAUUUGAAUUCGCCGUUUAUCUUUAUGGAUUUAGUUAGUACAUUAUAUAUAAUUCAUAUAAUAAUAAAUUUAUUAAAGUAAAUUAUUAAUUUACAUUUUGUAUUCAAAAUAUUAUCAAAUUAAAUAAAUUAAAAAAAUAGAUAUUAAAAAUAAAAUUUUAAAAUAUUGGCUACUCAAAUUAAAAUAGUCUGUAGAGAGAGAGAGAGAGAGAGUUGAGCUGAAAUGUCAUUAAUAGCAAACGGGUUCGUUGCUACUCAUUUGUUUUCGAUGAUAGAGCCUCCAAAUCAAUGAUCGGCAUCGUUAAACAUGAUUUAUACCACCUGAAUCAUCUAGAAAUUAAAUUUUAUAUUUUUUCGAUAUUAUUUUCUUAUCCAUCAGGUUGACAAAAAAUAAACGGCUGAAAAUAAAUAUAUUUUAAAAAGUAAUAAUAAAAAUAUUUUAAUUGAGAUCAAGAGUAUAGAUCUUUGUUUUAAACAGCUUAAAGAAUUUUUUAACCAAAAUUCAAUUGAUUUGAAUAUCUUUACGCCGUUAAAUGAGAAAAUGUCUUAUAUUGACGAGUAAACUUACAAUUUUUGAUAUUAUUUGAUAAUUAGGUCAAUAAUGUCGAAAAAAUUUAAACUUUAGUUUUUAUAUGUUUCAAAUAGUAUAGAUUAUAUUCAACGGUGCCGAUCGUCAAUUUGGAAGCUCCAUCAUAAAAAAAUAAAUAGAUGACAAUAAAAUCCGUUUGCUACUGAUAACAUUUCAGCUCAACUUUCUGAUUCAAAAUCGUGGUAUAACAUGUAUCUCCCUUUGUUCCGGCCAUGGAAUAGAUGAAAUAAAUCAAAAAAUGGAUUCUUGUUCACAAUAAAAAAUAAACCCUAUCCCAUAGGUAUAGGGUUUGAUUCAAUAGAGAGCCUUUUCUUCUGUUAUAUAGUUGGUUCUCAUCCUUCAGAGAUUACGAGUGUAAUAGGAGCAUCUGUUGACAAAAGGAUCAUCCUAAGAUGAUCAUCUCAUGACUAUUGAGAACGAAUCAAAUCAGGUAGUUUUUUUUCUGUCCGAAAAAUUUAUCGAAAUAAUGAGUCGCCCCUUCCAUUGAUAUGAACAAAAUUGAGAUCAACAAAUGGUCGGGAGUAUUUUUAUAUAUAUAAAAUUUAGAAUUAUAAGUUAGUAAAAGAUGUGAACUUAAAAUAGAGUUAACGGCGGAGUUUUCAAAUUAGCCUGUGGUUGGAGAUAAAUUAAUUAGUGCAGUUAAGUAUGAAUGUGUGUCGGACACGUGGCAGCUUAAGAAGAGGAAUUUUGGACCCGCACGCCGAGGACCGGUGGGGCCCACCCCAGUGCGGGUAUACGUGGCCGUCCGAACGGUUUCGGUUGCUUGGGCAAGUUAAAAAAAAAAAAAAAAUCAAAUCCACUCGUGGUUCCACACUUUCUUACUUCAGUACUCUAUAAUUUAAAAUAUAUCAAAUUAGUAUUCUAUAAUUUUAUUUUUAUAUUUUCGUCAAUUUUUUUAUUAAUAUUUUGUUAAAUUAUAUACAAAAUUCUUCAGAUAUUCUAUUUAGGUUUACCGAAUAUUUACUUUAAUACCUUUUUUUAUUUUGAGAGAGAAAGGUAUCACGCUAUCUUCUUCAUUCAUUAAGAAAAUGAAAUUAGUUAUAUAAAGUAAGACAGCUAGGGCCUCAAGGAAGGGGGCUCGAUAAAAAUAAAAAUAAAAAUAAAAAUAAAGAUGAAAUUAAAAAUAAAAAUAAGAAAUAGCUUUCACCCUACUCUACAAGACUCGGCCCACUCUUUUGCAAACACUCUAAUAAUUCAGACGUCGCCCUGCUCUACAGGACUCGGCCCACUCUUUUGCCAACACUCCAAUAAGAUUAGCUGUUCGGGAAACGCCGCUGGGUAGAUUUCUGAAGAUGAUGUUAUUUUUAUCGCGCCAGACCAACCACCAAGUGGCCACAACCAAGGUCAGAGCCUUCGAAGCGUCGCACUGCGGGUGUCUCUCUAGUAGCCCCUCCCAGACGAUGUUGGUAUCUUCAAAACACGGGUAUCCGAGAUACUUUAAUAUCUUUUAGUUUUAACUUUGUCACUGAUGUAACGAAAAAAAUUAGUGGAAUCGAAUAAAAGAUAAAAAUAAAUCACAGAGCACUAAAUUGAUAUAUUUUAAACUAUAGGGUAAUAAAAUGAGAAAGUGUGAAACCACAAAAGUGGUAUUUGAAGUUUUUCCGAAAAAAAAGAUUGAGUGGGAAUUAUUGUACCAUUAUUAAGUGAAGUUAUCCGAUCAUUGCGAUGGGCUAAUACUAUAAGAGAAAAAAAAUUAAUAAAUUAAAAUCUUAAAAUUUUAAUUUAUUAUAAAAUAUUAAUAAAUAUAAAUUGUAGGAGAAAAAAAUAUAAAAAAAUUUUAUUUUAUUUGUUUUUUUAUAAAAAUGAUUUGUUUAGGCUAUAAUAAACUAUAUGAAGACAUUAAUUAAAAGAUGGGUAGGUGAGAAAAUAAAGUAUCGAACGGAGAUAAGGAUGGAAAGAUAAAUUAUCAAAAAGUGAGGAGAGGAGAAAAGAUAAGGAUGAAAAAAGAACUGUUAAAUGAUAAAUUUUAUAAAAAAUAAUAUAUAGAUAUGUGUAAAUAAUUCGUUUCUAAGUGUUAAUUUUUUUAAUUAUUUUUAAAAAUAAAGUUUUAAAAUUUUAGUAUUUAAAAAUAUUUAAUAAAAUUAUUAAAUGGAAAUAAAAUUAAUACUCAAUGGGCCCCGGAGCAAGACGUAAAUGAGCAGUCGUCAACGACGGCGUGGCAUCACCCGUUCACCACCACCAACCGCCUUAUCCGAGUCCGAUCGGACGGCGCACGAUGUUCGGACGCGGAUCGCCAACCCGCAAUGAUUAGCUCACGCCGUAAAAAAUAAUUAUUGUAGUAAUAUGUAUAUUUAUUUAUUAUAGCUAAAAAUGAAAAGGAGGUAAAAUUGUAGGUAAAAUGCUUUUUGGGUUCCUCCCACUUGUGGAUAAUGCUGUUAAUAUUAAUAAUAAAUAACUCUUUUUUUUUUGAUAUCGCUAAAAAAGAGGAAGAAAAAUUGGACCUGUACACUUUAUUCUGCAGUAUUAAUUAUUCUUCCAAAAAUUUAAAUUUAUUUAAAAAUAUCUUGCACCGAAAAAAAUUUAAGAAGAAACAUUCUGAUAUAGAAUUUGUAUUUUAUUGGCUCACCACCUAUUUUAGACGAUUAUUUGUUUAAAAGGAAUUAAUUUUCGAUUUCCAUUUCACUCUGGAAUGGAAAUGAGCAAAUUCAUUUAUGGCCAAAUCCAGUUUUGAAUUUCGGAUUUGCCCAUUUCAAUGUAAACUGCUCAAAAUUUUUUCUUACAUUUCACCUCCGCCUCCUCUCCUUUUACCACUCUCUUUUUUCUUAAUCAAAACUCUCUUUAAAAAAUAUUGGAUUCUUAUUCCGAUUUUCAUUCUAAUAAUGAAUCAGAUAUUUUUGAUGAUUCGUCAUUCUAUUUAUUAUUUCAAAGCAUUUAAAUUUUAUUUAUCAUUUCUAUUCUAAUCAUGAAUCAAACAUGCUCAUACGUAGGCAUAAAAUGAACCAAACAUGUUCUAUACGUACGUCUAAAACUAGUAUUACUCAAACUUGAGCAAUGUUAUUUGUAUUUACACCCCACCAAUUUAAAGGUCGAUAAUUUUUUACUAAUUUUAUUAAUUAUUUUUUUUUUUACUUCAAUACUAAUAGUUUUAUAAAUCUUCGACAAUUUUAAAAUUAUUUUAAACACAAAAAUAAUGCAUUUAGCCAUCGUAUUAUCAAUAUAAUUUUGAAAAAUGCUAUCUACAUCCUUAUUUAUAGGUAUAAAUCUUACAAUUCUUGUAUCUCAGGCUUCAUAAAAAUUCAAAUUGGUUUUAAUAAUAAUAAUAAUAAUAAUAAUAAUAAUAAUAAGAUAAGUAGGGAGUGAGAGUCCCAAUUUUUUACUCCUACUUAAUUCGAGAUUAAGAUGUAGUAAUACACCUGAAAGUGCACAAAAAGCAUUUACGUAAAGAUAUGUUCACAUUAGACUAAAAAAAAAUCUCUCAGUAACAUACAUGAGUCCUUCAAAAUUUGUUAUUUGCAUAGUGGUUUCUUAAAUCACAAUAAUAAUUUGUGCUCGCUAGUUCUUUCAUAAAGUUUUUGUAAUUUAACUGGAUUACAUAUUUUUUUAGCACUAAUUACCACUAUAAUUUUAUAGUAGAAAAAUAGAAUAAAAGGUGCUUUUGUAAACUAAGGCUUAAUAAGUUAGUAGAAAAAAAAAUCAGUAGAAAAUAUCAAGCAAUUUAGUCCCUUUUUAAUGUUGGCUUCUUUUAAUUAGUAAUACAAUUAUUAUCUCCAAAUGUAUAAGAAUCAAUUAGAAAGUUUUAAAAGGUAUAAAUAUACUAAUUAACAAUUGGCAUUAUAAAGUAUAAACUAACAUUGUUAAGGUGUAUAUCCAAAAUAUUCUUCUUAAAUACUACUAAAAAUAAUGAUCUGACCAAAUUGCGAUAUACAGGUGUGUCAGGGACUGAUGAUAUUUUUUACCCAAUGAUUAAGAUAGACAUCGUAAAAUCCUCGAGGGUGGACCUUUCAACGGGGUUUGGGUUGGGGGGCGGGGGCUGAUCACUGCUUAUUAAAUCCUCUCUCCCUCGCCUCCUUUCCCCGUCUCUCUUCAUUCUCUCCCUCUUUCUGCUUUGGACUUUGGAGUCGACAAGCCAUGGCGGAAUCGAUGGAGCUCCCGAGUCGACUCGCGAUCCUCCCCUUCAGGAACAAGGUCCUCCUCCCCGGCGCCAUCGUCCGGAUCCGGUGCACCUCCCCGAGCAGGUGUGGAUUCCUCGAUCCCUUUCGAUCGAAUUCGACCCCUCCCCUUUAAUCCUCGGCUCGCAGAACCUAGGGUUCUGGACGAAUUUCGCUUUGAUUGAGCUUCGAUUCUUGAGAUUGGGCUUGUUUUUGGCAAAGAAUUGGUCUUUUUUUUUCUUUUUGUGGGUUUCUUCGAGGGUGAUGGUGAGGUUUUGCGGGUUUUUCUGGGCUUUAAUUUGGCUUUCUUAGGUAGUUUUGAUCAAGUGGGAUGAUUUGGGAUGCUUUGGUGUGCUGUGCUUGUUGAUUUUUUGUUUUUGUUUUGAGCUUUGUCUAUACGCAAAUUUUCGAAAUUAAAAUAGAAUUUGGGUGCAGUGUGAAGUUGGUGGAGCAAGAACUAUGGCAAAGAGAAGAGAAGGGUUUGAUUGGGGUGCUCCCGGUGAGGGACUCGGAAGCUGCUGCAGUGGGUUCCUUGUUGGCUCCAGGUAAUUGGAGAGCUAGGGUUUACGGUGAUUUGGGUAGAGAAUACGUGAUUUCGAAGGGAAAAUUGAGGGAAUUGGUGCUUUUCUUGUAGGUAUGGGAAGUGAUUCUGGGGAAAGAGGUCUUAAAGUGCCGUCCGAGGUUGUGGGGGACUCACAGAAGCAGGAUACGAAGAACCAGCAGGAACUCAUCCAAUGGCACAACAGGUGCAUUUUCUCAAUUCGUGUUCUUGUUUCAAUUCCUGUGGUUAUUGCAUCAAAUUUUUGUGUGAAACUGAAAGAAGAAGCUAUUUGAAGAAACGGCUCCAUUGAAGUGGUAGUUAGAGAGAGUGGAAUUCAGAGAGGUUUUUCAUUUCACGUCUUUUACCUAGAUAUAUUAUAAACUGGUCGGAAUGGAAAGAAAUUUCAAGACAUAUAUCGAGCAUGAUUUCACUAGAUAACUCUUGUGUGGAGUAAUCUUUCCAUAACAUCACUUCGGGAGACUAUAUCUAGCUCAAGUAUCUUACUUUCAGGGGAGUUGCUGCUAGAGCUUUGCACCUCUCAAGAGGAGUGGAAAAACCAAGUGGAAGGGUCACAUAUAUAGUUGUUCUCGAGGGCUUGUGUAGGUUUAACGUUCAAGAACUCAGUGCUAGAGGGACAUAUCACGUCGCCCGCAUUUCACGUCUUGACAUGACAAAAGCUGGUAAGAUUUUGUUUGCUUUAUUAUCUGCUAGUUUUUUUUUGGUUUCUCCAAUCUCUACUUGUACUGCGUUCUUAUGAUUUUUUUUUUUUUCUCAACAGAGAUAACUCUUCCUUAUGUUUUGAUUCUUUUAAAUUGUAUUCAUUGGUCGUGGGUGUAUCUUAGUUGAUUGCUGCCCACCGGCCAACUGGGGUCACAUAUAGGUCGACUACACCUGACUAUGAAAGGCAGAAAAAGUCUCUGUUGAAACUAGUUGACUAACUGAUUGACCAGACUAUUGGACUGUUCGUCCAACGUUGCAGUGUAUGGCGGCCUAGGUGAAGGGUUGUUUGGAUCUACAACACCCUGACCAAGCCAAUGAAGUAUAGCACUCGACUCAGCUUGCUAAAAAUUAUGCCUUAGCCUCUAAUAUUGAAUCAAGCCGACAAUCUUUGCAAUGUAGUCAUUUUUAUUUUUCUUCUUUUGCUUGUUUUGUCCUAGCAUUGGCAAGGUGGUUAUGUAAAUUUUAAUGUUGUUAUUUUUUUUGGAUAAAAAAAAUACUUGCACAAAAAUGAGAAGGAUACUAUUUGUUGAAUCUUGAUCUUUUUUGGCUGUUAGAGGCUUAUAAUUUAAUAAACUUUAUUCAACAAAUAUGAUGUGUCAAUGGAGCCAUCUGAUGUCGCCAUGUAUGUUGGAAGUUGUGUAUGCUUUACUGAGGAAAGUCCAAAAUUUUAUUCUUCUGAUUUACUUUUAUACAACUAAGUCCUUUGCUAUUCGUAUAGCUUUGCAGCUGAAAACCUUAAUGAGAAAAUCAUAUAGAAACUUUUGGUCUAUCAUCAAUCUGCAAAUGAUGUCAUGAUAUCCUCUUAACUACAUGCUUUGUACUUCUCAUUUAAUCAAGCUGAGUACUCAAAUUACCUCAAUGCUGUUGUAAUUUGUCAGAGUUGGAGCAAGCAGAGCAAGAUCCAGAUCUUAUUUUGCUAUCUCGCCAAUUCAAAGCUACUGCCAUGGAGCUAAUUUCUGUCCUUGAGCAGGUAAAAUAUUGAUAGAAUUUCAGUGAGUCCCAUUCGACAUUGCUGUUGUUUAUUCCAGACAUUGUGAUGCUAAAUAGUCGGUCCUGCAAUAAAACAAUUAGGAAGAAGACGCGGCAGGAAAGAAUGUAUUAUUGUUGGAAAUAUUGUGUACUGUUUAGUUACCUAGCUGAAGUAUUGGGUUUUCUAAUGUUUGAGAAGAUCUCGAAAUUUCAAGCAUUGCUUAUAUCUGUACUUUCUUUUUUAUGGUCUCCAUAUGUAUUAUGAGUCAUGCUCCUGCUUUUGCUUCUGUUUCUUAUGUUGACACAUCGCUUUUUUAUGUGUAAUUAAUUAAUCAGUUAUAUAUAUUCCAUUGCCUAUCCAAGUAAGUUUGAUAGUCUGUAGAAGUAUUUGACAUAAAAUGAGUUGCUUCAUGUUUCUAAUUGCAGAAGCAAAAAACUGUUGGUAGGACAAAGGUUCUCCUUGAGACAGUUCCUGUGCACAGGCUAGCUGAUAUAUUUGUUGCUAGCUUUGAAAUAAGCUUUGAGGAACAGCUAUCCAUGUUAGAUUCAGUUGACCUGAAAGUUAGGCUUUCAAAGGCAACGGAACUCGUAGACAGGCACUUACAGGUAAAAAUGUUCUCAAAUGGCCUUAUUUAGUAGUUAUCGUUUAUUUCCAACCUGUCCUGAUCUUACUGUGAUGUUAUGUACUUGUUGCACUCUUUCGGUGUUGAGCAGUCAAUUCGUGUAGCUGAGAAAAUAACUCAAAAGGUCGAGGGGCAGUUAUCAAAAUCACAGAAAGAAUUUCUUCUGCGUCAGCAGGUUCGUCCUCCCACUUGUGUCAUUCUUGCAUUAUGUACUGAGCCUAGGAACAUUGCAACAGUGAAUAGGAAAGAUCUGUCUCAUUGUACAUGAUAUGAUAAGAUUUUUUUUUUUUUUUCAUGCCUUUUCAAUUCUGUUAAUCAUGCAUAGGAAUAUAUGCAGCAAUGCCUUUUCUUGCCUCUUGACAGAUAGUUUAUUAAAUUUGACUACUAGAUCCUCUUAUUUCAAACUGCUAACACACAUUUCCAAGAUUAUGCAAAGUUUGACUAAAUUAAGCGAGAAAAGACUUGAGUUUGAUUCUACUUGCUCACGUUUACUCUGCAGAUGAGGGCUAUUAAGGAGGAACUUGGUGACAAUGAUGAUGAUGAGGAUGAUGUAGCUGCUUUGGAAAGAAAGAUGCAGAGUGCAGGGAUGCCUCCUAAUAUUUGGAAACAUGCUCAAAGGGAAUUGAGGUAACUUUCAUUCUGUAAUUUACAAAACCACUUGUCAUGACAAGAACAAAAUAUAUUCUUGGACUAUGUAUUAAUCAGUUUCUAUCAACAGACGAUUAAAAAAAAUGCAGCCUCAGCAGCCUGGGUAUAGUAGUUCCCGUGUGUACCUGGAACUUCUGGCCGAUCUCCCUUGGCAGAAGGUGAGUGAAGAACCUGAACUCGACCUAAGGGCUGCCAAGGAGAGCCUUGACCGUGAUCAUUAUGGAUUAACCAAAGUCAAGCAACGGAUUAUCGAAUAUUUGGCUGUUCGCAAGGUUGUCUUUUAACUCAUCUGUGGCAUCUCUGCACGUCCUUUAAAGUUACUACAUUUACUAUUUUGACUGAAAUAGGCCAAUCAAAUUGCAGCUUAAACCUGAUGCCAGAGGCCCAGUUCUUUGUUUUGUUGGCCCGCCAGGUGUUGGGAAGACAUCGUUGGCUUCGUCAAUAGCAGCUGCUUUAAAUAGAAAGUUCAUAAGGAUUUCUCUUGGUGGUGUGAAGGACGAGGCUGAUAUUAGGGGCCAUCGAAGGACCUAUAUUGGAAGCAUGCCAGGACGGCUUAUUGAUGGGUUGAAGGUCUCUUAUUGCAUGAUAUCUUUUUUGUUCUGGUGUUUUUCUAGCUUCCAUAUAACUCAUAGUUUAUAUUAUAGCAUGCCAGGACGGCUUAUUGAUGGGUUGAAGGUCUCUUAUUGCAUGAUAUCUUUUUUGUUCUGGUGUUUUUCUAGCUUCCCUAUAACUCAUAGUUUAUAUUAUAUUGCUUGCUUGAGAGUACUUUUUUGCUAUCUAUUGUUACUUGACCUUUCAAUAGAAAGCUAUCUUUAGAUCUCUUAUGAGAUGUCUCAAAUUGUUUGGUUCUUUUUCCAACUAAUGUUAUGCUAUAUUUUGCCUCCAAUUGCUUGACCAAAUAUUUGCUCUCUAGUAGGUUACAAACCUAAAAUUACCGAUACAUGAGAAUAUCCUAUCCACGGAAUAUGCAUCUAAAGCUUUUAAAUAUAAGCCUUUUGGUGCUUGGAAAGUCCCACCACAUUUUAGUUUUUGGGCUCAAUUUGCAGUAAUGCAGGUUGCUUUAUUGGACACUAUUUUUCUUAUUGAAAGAUGAAUUGGAAAAUUUAAUUUUUUCCAGAGCAAGAAUAUCGGGCCUCUUAAAGUCAUUGGAUUAAGAAACUGGUGGUAGUAUAAUGGUUAAGCACAUGGCUUAGCCUUUCAAUUGGAUAGUGACUAAAUCAAUGUUUGGACCCUCAUAAGAACUCUUUUCUGCCUUUGCUGCCUCUUUUGCUGCUUCUGAAACUGUCAAAUCACCUUGAAAGAGUUCUUGGCAUAGAGUUAGCAUCAUCUACUAGGAUUACUGUCAUGACGAUUUAAAUUCUACCAAAAAGACAUGUCUCAAGUAUAAAUGGGUGCUGAAAUUUUUAAACUUGGAUCCACUAUUCACGUCUUUUGUACUUGUAAAUGCAGAGGGUGGGUGUUGGCAAUCCUGUCAUGCUUCUUGAUGAAGUUGAUAAGACAGGUUCUGAUGUUCGUGGGGAUCCAGCAUCAGCACUAUUGGAAGUUCUUGACCCAGAGCAGAAUAAUACAUUCAAUGACCAGUAUCCUUUUCUUUUACUGAUAAAACGUUCUCAUUUAAGUGCUGGCUACUUUAAAUUUGUUCUUUCAGUUAUUGAUUAUUGAGCUUACAAUUACCUCCUGUUAUUUUGGCAACAUUUAUUCAUGUUUUUCCAUAUACUUAAGACUGUUUGUUUGUUGAGACAGUCAGCCUGGAGUACUUCAGUAUUGUGGGCUUAUGUCCCGAACCCUGUGGCCUCAUUUGAGCAAGCCUCCAUGUCUACCCCCUCUUCAAACAGGGUGAAUCCCUGUUUAAUCAAAAAAAUAUUGUGGAUUUAAAUAUUUGAAUAGAAAGUCACUGUGUACUUGCAUCUGCCUUUUGUAUAUUGAUAUUUUCCUCAAGUCUUUAGAAUCGACAUAUCAAUUCUUUCAGCUUCUGUUAUAAAGCAAACCUUACAUUAUGUAAAUGCAAUCAGAAAUAAGAUACCAUUAGUAUUAAAUUCUUUAAUCUUUUUGAGUACAAAUAAUUAAGUGGUAAGAAUAGAAGCAGUUUAAAAAAUGAUAAAUUGAUAGGGAGAUAAGUCAUUCACUAUCAGAUUUCAGAGGGAAUACUGAGGGUUGAGUGUAUAGAUGAUGAUGUGACAGGUAAGGGAGCUCUUCACUUGCUGCGAGAGGGGAAUAGGUAUUAGGGAGUAGAUUGGUUGUGAUAUAACACGGACCACAUUCUUAUGCCUUUGGAGGGUGGAGGAUCAAGAUAUGAGAUUUAAUUAUUGUUGUUUCGGGAGUAUUAGUAGGAGUGUUGUUGAGCAAGAGGGUGAUGAGAUUAGCUGAAGCAGUGCAAAUCAAAUAGGGUAUGUGUCGAAGGAGAGCAAUUUCCAUACACAUUUCCACCUUCAUGAGUUUAGCCGUCAGUUGGCUAUCUGCUAUAAUCCUAUAAUUUUGAAAAGAGAAACCUAAUUUUCAUGUUAUAGGAGCCUUUAUCCAGAGAUUUCUUUCGGAAAAUGUAAUUAGUGUGAAAGAUUAUGGUGCGAAGUACGUUAAAUCAAAGUUCUUUCCGGACAAGGUUAAAAAAUCUUUACAUUUAGUAACCUGUAAUAUGUAGUCUUUUGUCAUCAUGACAGUUUUAAUCAUAUAACUAGCUGAACUCUUGAUUCGCCAUGUUCCUUAACUUGUGAUACAGCUAUUUGAAUGUUCCAUUUGACUUGUCGAAGGUGAUAUUUGUUGCAAUGGCAAACAGGGUGCAACCUAUUCCACCACCCCUUUUGGAUCGGAUGGAAGUCAUUGAGCUUCCUGGUUAUACACCUGAAGAGAAGCUAAAAAUGGCAAUGAAACAUCUUAUACCAAGAGUCCUAGAUCAACAUGGUUUGAGCUCUGAAUUUCUUCAGAUUCCUGAGGUAUGUUCCGAUACACCUUUGCAGAUUUUCUCCUCUUGAGUUGCAGCUGAUAUUUGCUUUCGAUUUCUCUAAUCUUUUUCUAUGCUGUCAUCCUGUCUAUCAGUGAAAUUGCUCCUAAAAUUUCUAGGCUAGUUUGAUAAAACAUCUAAUAGCAAUAUGUUAGUUAAAAGUACACAGGUCUCUAAUGACGAGUGGUGAUUAUUCCCUUCCUUUUCAUUCUAUGAUAAGGAUUUUCCAAAGGUGAGAAUUGUCUUGUGGCUCAAUUGGAACAUCAAAAGAUCAAAAACUGUGAAGUCUGGAAGUUACAAAUCAUCAUUAUGACAAAGUUUCAAUAUCUUCCCUGAAUGAGGACUUGAAACUUUAAACUGGACUGCCUUGUUUUCUUGGUUGGUUGUUUAUAUGGCUUAUAAAGGGCAAAGAAGUGCGUGAUCCUUGGUAUUUGGGUAAGCAGACAUCACAUAUUCGCCCUUGCGUUUGUCACAUUUGUCUAAUACCAUAGAAAACUGAGGAAUGUUGUCGAGUCUUGUUGAGCCACUUAAAACUUGGAUCAGGAUAAUGAUACUACUUUCAUUGUUUGUUGUUAGGUUGUCAGCUGUCUAUAUAUGAACUUGUAUUUCUCUCUAGAGCCUUGGUGAAUUUGAGUUGUCUUCUUUCUGGCCCUAAAUAGGGAAAGGGCCAUAAUGCUUAUCUAUUGACACUUUAAGUAAUUUAUUCUUUCCAUCCAAACAAUAAUAUUCUCACUAUCAUCGUUUACAAUUAGCAUGACCACAAUUUGUUCUAACUGUAUCUUUAUAUAGGCCAUGGUAAAACUCAUUAUCCAAAGAUACACUCGAGAAGCUGGUGUGCGUAACCUUGAGAGGAACUUGGCUGCUCUGGCCCGUUCAGCUGCUGUCAAGUUUGCAGAGCAAGAGAGUGCAGUUCAAGUUGGCAAAGACGUACAACCAAUGACAACGUCCCUUCUUGACACCAGGCUUGCAGAUGGUGCUGAAGUUGAGAUGGAAGUUAUUCCUAUGGGCGUCAACAGCCAGGAGAUAUCAAAUUCUUUUGAAAGUGCCUCACCUAUUAUCGUAGAUGAAGCUAUGCUGGAAAAAGUGCUUGGGGUAUUCGCUUGUAUUUCACUUUUCAAGCUCAAAACACUUUCCUCUCGGCUGUUUAAUUUGCAUUUUGUUAAUCAAAUAUUUCAAUGUUAAUUGUUUAUUUGCGAUAUUGCAGCCUCCUAGGUUUGACGACAGAGAAACUGCAGAACGAGUGGCAACUCCUGGAGUAUCAGUUGGACUAGUCUGGACUUCCUUUGGUGGGGAGGUUCAGUUUGUCGAAGCCACAGCAAUGGUGGGAAAGGGUGACUUGCAUUUGACUGGACAGCUUGGUGAUGUUAUCAAAGAAUCUGCACAAAUAGCUCUCACAUGGGUAUGUCUCUUUGCACACUUAUUUGGUUUAUCUUGCAGGUAAAUGAUCAAGUUCUCAUUAUGUUCCAACCUGUCUCCUCUAGUCCCUACUAAAUUGGUUUUGCUUGUUUGGGCUUUCCCAUUUAGUUGGUUGGAGGUCAAUCUUAGCUGUCCCUCUAUGCACAACUCUGUUAGAAGGGGUUAGUUCCUUUUGGAGAAAAUAAUAGGCUGCUUAGUUUGUUCGUUUAGGCAUGUUACACUUAGUUGUAUAAUCUUUCAACUUUAGAUGGAAUGUAUAUUCAGAAUAUAGUUGCAAGCAUAUCCAAAAAUUUAAAUGUGCAGUAGUGAGAUAAUUGGAUAUCUGUUGUUGUUCAUAACUUUAUUUUAUUAUUAUUAUUAUUAUUAUUAUUAUUAUUUGUUUCCUCAGGUAAGAGCAAAAGCAGCAGAGCUGAAUUUGUCAGCUUCUUCGGGGAUUAAUUUAUUGGAGAGUCGUGACGUUCAUAUUCAUUUUCCUGCUGGUGCCGUGCCAAAGGAUGGACCAUCGGCAGGAGUUACUUUGGUGACAUCGCUUGUUUCACUAUUCAGUCAGAGGAAAGUUAGAGCAGACACUGCAAUGACCGGAGAAAUGACUCUGAGGGGCCUUGUAUUACUAGUUGGUGGCAUCAAGGAUAAGGUAGGUUUUUUUGCAUGGUAUACUAUGUUGUGGAAAUAAUGCGAGAGAUACUCCAUUAGGAAUACGUUCCUUGUAAAUUAUGUAUCUUUUAAUUUAUUUAUACUUUAAUUUGCUCCUUCAGGUAUUGGCAGCUCAUCGUUAUGGCAUCAAGAGAGUAAUCUUGCCGGAACGGAAUUUGAAGGACCUAACUGAAGUCCCAUCGGCCAUUCUAUCUGGCAUGGAGGUAUUUUUUCUGCUUUUUUGCUUGGAACUUUUUUAAUGUAGAUUCUCUUGUAAUUAUUUUAAUAACGUUUGAAGAAUUUGAUAAUAGAUGACAGCACUUACUGUACUCACCGACUGAUCAUCAUCUUGUCAAAAUGCUCACUAAUUUGACGAACCAGUUCUGGAUCUGAGCACUGAGAAAAUUUGAAUAUUGAUGAUCUAAUGAAACUAUUAUCUCUCAUAACAGUCAUAACUAAGAAUCAUAUCUUCUGUUUGAAUAUACAGUCGUUGAAUUAUCGAAGUGCUUUUUCUGUUUGAGUUAAUAGAUACUGGCUCCUCGAGUUAAAAAUAUUUUUUCUUGGAGUAAUUUGUUUGAUAAAAGCAUCAAAUUCCUGAAAUAGAUGGUUUAGGUAUGUGGUGAAAGAUUGUAUGCUAACUGGCUAGUUUGGAGAUAUCUUCCAACCUAGCUAAAAUCUUCAAAUAUCUGUUAAAAUCUGCAUUUAUUGUAAUUUAUUGGUACAUCAAAAUCAAGUGAAGCCCUUACAGCAAACGGCUAGAAUAUUUAAUGAUGAUUGAUCCCUAGUCCUGUGGUUUUUCUUUUCUGGUUAGAUUUCUUGUUAGAUCUUCUGUACUUGUAAUAUUACGUCUUACACUUUGAGAUUGUACGAUUUCUUAUCCACUUUGAGAUGAUAGUUUCUCUUAUGGUGUCCAAAAACACAUUAAACUACUGCCGAUGCGCUAAAGAAAUUAGUUAAAAUUUAAUGAGAACCAUUGAACCAAAAAAAUAUCAUGUUUAAUCUCCUGCUUGAAUGAUCUUUCCAUAUAUUCCUGCUUAGUUUCUGACUACCAGUUAUCUUAACUCUUCUGUGGUUCCUAUUUUUAACAGAUUUUGCUUGUGAAGCGUAUUGAGGAAGUACUGGAACACGCAUUUGAAGGUGGAUGCCCCUGGAGGAAACAUGCUAAGUUAUAGCAUUCUCCAGUGUUCUCCAAUCGUGGAGUAAAUAUCGAUGGAAUUGCCGUUUUCGACCAGAUUUAGGGCAACCUGAUUGACAAUAGCAGAUGCGAUCGUAUCAGCACGCAUCCAAUAUGCGGAACCGAGCCAUUGGAUAAGAUAUCUACUGGAAAUAUAAAAUACGGGCUCAGUAUUAGCCAGUGUAAUGUCUUCGAAAGAUUGACCUGAAUGAGUUAUAUAAUCCCCGCUUUAGAGCAUUAGCCGUUUCUAGCCGAUCCUAUAAUUAUAUUUGGGAUCAAAGGCUUAGUUAUCGUUGUUAUUGCUGCCGCUGCGGCCACAGAGCAUGUGGCUAUCGUUGUGCUACGAACUCCCGAUUUGGCUCAGCAAUUUGUGUAAGGCUAGUCUCUCUGAUUCUGUAUUAUGUAUAAUUUCAAACUGGAAGCGAAAGUCUCUCCUAUUUAACAUAAAUUGUCUCAAAAACAUUGAUGUGUAUGCCACUGAGGGAUAGGAGCGUUAGUCUCAAACAAAUGAGGCUAACUUUGCCUUGCUCUGUUUCAAUCUUCUCCCUUGGUGGUGGUUGUGUGUAUUCAUAUUUCUUAUUCUUUUCCUUUUUAUGUUCGGAUUCUCUCUCGCUUUCCUUCCUAAAAAAUUUGGCUUCUCUCUUACGAGUUUGGAAUCAAGUUUGUAGUUUAGCGGUGGUUUCCACUGCCACUUUGUAGAAUCAAAGGGGGGGAAUUUAAAUGGUUGUUUGAAUUUUCUUGGAUCCUUCAAAGCAUCCAGGGUCGCGAAACGGGUCGAAAGGGAGAUUUUUGUUAGUCACUAGAGAUGUCAACGGGUCGGAUUCGGGUGAAUUUUUAAAAACCCGAAUCCGAACCCAACUCCAAACCCGAGACCCGAAUCCGAACCCGACGGAUUUUAAAAAUCCAUAUCCAAACCCGAACCCGACCAAAAAUCCGAAACCCGAAGCCGAAUUCGAAAAUUUGAAUCCGAAACAAUUAUUUUUUUUUUCAAUAUUUCAAAAUAAAUUAUAUUAAAUCUAAAUUUUUAAAAUACAAAUUUAAAUAUAACAUCAAAUUUUUAUAUAUAUAUUAUAUAUAAUACAAAAUAAAUUUGGGUUCGGGUCGGGUUUGGGUCGGGUACAAUCAAAAUUCAUAUCCGAAUCCAUAUCCGUCAGGUUUCUAUUUUAAAUAUCCAUAUUCGAAUCCAUAUCCAUCGAAUAUAUCCGUUUCAUUCGGGUUCGGGCUCGGAUAAAAUUUCGGGUAUCCAUACCCAUUGACAUCCCUAGUCACGCUUAGCAGCAAAACCGAGGUAAGCUCAGUGAGCUAAAGUAAGUUCGAUUUUAACUCAAAAUUGUAGAUAUAAAAUGGUUUAGUUCAUAAGAAUUAUAGAUACCGAAAAUUAAUGAUUUAUAUUAUAUAUAAUUUGUAAAUUUUUCAGAUAUCAUGAAACAUGUUUAAUCAAUUAAAUUUUAAUUAUUAUUAGAUCUCUAUGCUAGAAUUUUCACAAUGGACAGAACUUUGAAUAGUCGAGACCAGGAGUGCACUAGGUUCAUGCAACAAUUUCGGAGUUGGAAUCUUAUAAUCCACUAUUGUAAGGUUUUGGCUGUUUAGCCAACCAAAAUGAUAAAAUUAAUGUGAAAAAAAUAGUCCCGAUAAAAUUAGAGGAUUGCAAAUCAAAACGAAUUGCCAUAGGAUGGCAAACAAUAUAAAGAAUACCUCUACAAAAUUAUGAAAUUUGGUUUCUAAAUAAUUCCAAUAGCAUAAAUCAUGUCUAACGGAGUCGAUCGCAGGAUCGGAUGCUCUAUUAUCGAAAACAACUUACAAGCACGGAUGCUUCCGUAUUUUCGAAAGCAUAAGAGCCUAGCUCUCUCUCUCUCUCUCUCUCUCUCUCUAUAUAUAUAUAUAGGGAAAAUUUCAUAGGUACUCCUAUAGGAGACUGAAAUUUCAUUAAUAACCUUCUAAAAUUGAAAAAAUCACGAAUGACCUUCUCAAUUCAAAAAUACUCAUGAAUGCCCUUACAGGUAAAGUGUCGUUAAAAUCUAACCGAACAGAUUAUAAAUGACAUUUCUAUUCCUGUACGGUUCAUUAAGUAUAGGAAGCCGUAAUGGUAUAUUAGCACUAUUCACAAAUGCCCUCUUAUUCUCUCCACAUAGCAAUGAGCCCACUAAGUUGUCGAUAUUUUACAACACCUCAUAACACAACUCCUAAUUGUGAUUGUCGUAAACCAUGCCGAAUUUAGAUGUCAAAACAACCACACAAUAAAGGUCGAUGAUUUUAUUGAUGUCCAAAUUGGAGGGUAAGUUGAUGUGAUACAUUAGUGUGCAUAUAAAGGCUAAGUUACAUAAAACCUUCAUGUCAAAAUUCGAUUUUUCACUUUCCUCCUCUGUCAUUUGAAAACCUACACUUUGCCCUCUUGUAAAAUGAAAAUUGUUCACUUCGCCUCUUGCCGUUAGUAAUCUGUUAGAGUUCCGUUUAUAAAAUAUUAUUAUAUAUUUUUUUAUGCCAAAAAUGCCAUCAACCUUCUCUCCUGUGAACAUGAUGAGAGGCAAAAUAGUGAAGGGCAAAAUGGUUAUUUUAUCAUCACAGUUCACACCGUACUCCUGUGAACAUUUUUUAUUUUAUAAGAAGGCAAAAUGUAGGUUUUUAAAUGAUAAGAGGGAAAGUGAAAAAUUAGAUUUUGAUAGGGGAGUUUUCUGUAAUUUAGCCUUAAUUAAAUUUCAAAUAUAUAAUGCUGUAUAUUUUCUAUAGAUUUAGGAAUAAAGAUAAUGCAACUUUGGGUAUUUACUUUUCAAUGCAGCACAGUUAACCUUGAGUACCAAAUACAUAUGCUGAAAAUAAUAUAGGCCGAAGAAUUAUGAAAUUGGAGGAGAAAAUCCUCCUGUGUACUUUAUAUACUAGUUUUUAAAUUUUUUUAUCUUAGCAUUAAUUAGUUAUUUCCCGCCAAAUAUAUCAUUCUAACUUUUGGGGAAAAACUUAUCAUUCUAUAUUUUAACUUUCAUUUAACUACAUUUUAAUUCAGGUAGAGCGACGUAUCCUUAACAGCAAGGAUAGUUAUGAUAAUUUUAUAUGUUUGAAGAGGUGUUUAUUAUAUUUGAAAGUUUAGAGGAGUAUUCAUGAAAUUUACAAGUUUGAUAAGCUUACUAAUGAAAUUGCCCUUUUCUUUAUAUCAAUAAUUAAUUAUAUCAAUAAUUGCAUAUAAUUUAGGGUAAACUUCAAAUACUAAUCCUGUGGUUUCGUACUUUUUUACUUUAAUAUCAUGUAGUUUAAAAAGUUUCACUUUAGUACCCUAUGAUUUUAUUUUUCUCUUUCCACCAGCAUCUCCCUUAACUCUCCAUUAAAUUAUAUACAGAAAAAUUUCAGAUACCCCGCCCUAUGAUUUAUUGAAUAUUCACUUUAGUAUCCUGUGGUUUACCGAAUUUUUACUUUAGUACUCUAUGGUUUUAAUUUUAUCACUGAUAUAAUAGAAAAUUAAUGGAGAGGAUAACAGAAAGAGAAAUUUAUUAAAUUUAUUAAAAUUAAUAAUGAAAUAAUAUAAAAGCUCAAAUAAAAAAAUAGAGGUUAAAGGGNAUUCAUUUUCCUGCUGGUGCCGUGCCAAAGGAUGGACCAUCGGCAGGAGUUACUUUGGUGACAUCGCUUGUUUCACUAUUCAGUCAAAGGAAAGUUAGAGCAGACACUGCAAUGACCGGAGAAAUGACUCUGAGGGGCCUUGUAUUACCAGUUGGUGGCAUCAAGGAUAAGGUAGGUUUUUUUGACCGGUAUACUAUGUUGUGGAAAUAAUGCGAGAGAUACUUCAUUAGGAAUACGUCCCUUGUAAUUAUGUAUCUUUUAAUUUAUACUUUUAAUUUGCUCCUAAAGGUAUUGGCAGCUCAUCGUUAUGGCAUCAAGAGAGUAAUCUUGCCGGAACGGAAUUUGAAGGACCUAACUGAAGUCCCAUCGGCCAUUCUAUCUGGCAUGGAGGUAUUUUUUUCUGCUUUUUUGCUCGGAACUUUUUUAAUGUAGAUUCUUUUGUAAUUAUUUUAAUAACGUUUGAAGAAUUUGAUAAUAGAUGACAACACUUACUAUACUCACUGACUGAUCAUCAUCUUGUCAAAAUGCUCACUAGUUUGACGAAACAGUUCUGGAUCUGAGCACUGAGAAAAUUUGAAUAUUGAUGAUCUAAUGAAACUAUUAUCUCUCGUAACAGUCAUAACUAAUAAUCAUAUCUUCUGUUUGAAUAUGUAGUGGUUGAAUUAUCGAAGUGAUUUUUCUGUUUGAGUUAAAAAUAAUUUUUCUUGGAGUAAUUUGUUUGAUAAAAGCAUCAAAUUCCUGAAAUAGUUGGUUUAGGUAUGUAGUGAAAGAUUGUAUGCUAACUGGCUAGUUUGGAGAUUUCUUCCAACCUAGCUAAAAUCUUCAAAUAUCUGUUAAAAUCUGCAUUUAUUGUAAUUUAUUGGUAUAUCAAAAUCAAGUGAAGCCCUUACAGCAAACGACUAGAAUAUUUAAUGAUGAUUGAUCCCUAGUCCUGUGGUUUUUCUUUUCCAGUUAGAUUUCUUGUUAGAUUGUAAUUGUAGGAUUUCUUAUCCACUUUGAGAUGAUAGUUUCUCUUAUGGUGUCCAAAAACACAUUAAACUACUGCCGAUGCACUAAAGAAAUUAGUUAAAAUUUAAUGAGAACCAUUGAACCCAAAAAAUAUCAUGUUUAAUCUCCUGCUUGAAUGAUCUUUCCAUAUAUUCCUGCUUAGUUUUUGACUACCAGUUAUCUUAACUCUUAUGUGGUUCCUAUUUUUAACAGAUUUUGCUUGUGAAGCGUAUUGAGGAAGUACUGGAACACGCAUUUGAAGGUGGAUGCCCCUGGAGGAAACAUGCUAAGUUAUAGCAUUCUCCAGUGUUCUCCAUUCGUGGAGUAAAUAUUGAUGGAACUGCCGUUUUCGACCAGAUUUAGGGCAUCCUGAUUGACAAUGGCAGAUGCGAUCGUAUCAGCACGCAUCCAACAUGCGGAACCGAGCCAUUGGAUAAGAUAUCUACAGAAAAUAUAAAAUAUGGGCUCAGUAUUAGCCAGUGUAAUGUCCUCGAAAGAUUGACCUGAAUGAGUUAUAUAAUCCCCGCUUUAGAGCAUUAGCCGUUUCUAGCCGAUCCUAUAAUUAUAUUUGGGAUCAAAGGUUUAGUUAUCGUUGUUAUUGCUGCCGCUGCUGCCACAGAGCAUGUAGCUAUCGUUGUGCUACGAACUCCCGAUUUGGCUCAGCAGCUUGUGUAAGGCUAGUCUCUCUGAUUCUGUAUUAUGUAUAAUUUCAAACUGGAAGCGAAAGUCUUAAAUUGUCUCAAAAACAUUGAUGCGUAUGCCAUUGUGGGAUAGGAGCGGUAGUCUCAAACAAAUGAGGCUAACUUUCCCUUGCUCUGUUUCAAUCUUCUCCCUUGUGGUGGUUGUGUGUAUUCAUAUUUCUUAUUCUUUUCCUUUUUAUGUUCGGAUUCUCUCUCGCUUUCCUUCCUAAAAAAAUUUGGCUUCUCUCUUACGAGUUUGGAAUCAAGUUUGUAGUUUAGCGGUGGUUUCCACUGCCACUUUGUAGAAUCAAAGUGGGGGAAUUUAAAUGCUUGUUUGAAUUUUUCCUUCAAAGCAUCCAGGAUCGCGAAACGGGUCGCAAGAGAGAAAUUUGUUAGUCACGCUUAGCAGCAAAAACGAGGUAAGCUCAUUGAGCUAAAGUAAGUUCGAUUUUAACUCAAAAUUGUAGAUAUAAAAUGGUUUAGUUCAAAAGAAUUAUAGAUACCGAAAAUUAAUAAUUUAUUUAUAUUAUAUAUAAUUUGUAAAUUUUUCAGAUAUCAUGAAACAUGUUUAAUCAAUUAAAUUUUAAUUAUUAUUAGAUCUCUAUGCUAGAAUUUUCAGAUUGUGGUCCACAGUGCACUAGGUUCAUGCAACAAUUUCGUAGUUGGAAUCUUAUAAUUCACCAUUGUAAGGUUUAGGCCGUUUAGCCAACCAAAAUGAUAAAAUUAAUGUGAAAAAAAAUGGUCCCGAUAAAAUUAGAGGAUUGCAAAUCAAAAUGAAUUGCCAUAGGAUGGCAAACAAUAUAAAGAAUACCUCUACAAAAUUAUGAAAUUUGGUUUCUAAAUAAUUCCAAUAGCAUAGAUCAUGUGUAACGGAGUCGAUCGUAGGAUCGGAUGCUCUAUUAUCGAAAACAACUUACAAGCACGGAUGCUUCCGUAUUUUCGAAAGCAUAAGAGCCCAGCUCUCUCUCUCUAUAUAUAUAUAUAGGAAAAAUUUCAUAGAUAUUCCUAUAGGAGACUGAAAUUUCAUUAAUAAUCCUCUAAAAUUGAAAAUAUCACGAAUGACCUUCUCAAUUCAAAAAAUACUCAUGAAUGCCCUUACAGGUAAAGUGUUGUUAAAAUCUAACCGAGCAGAUUAUAAAUGGCAUUUCUAUCCCUGUACGGUUCAUUAAGUAUAGGAAGCUGUAAUUGGUAUAUUAGCACUAUUCACAAAUGCCCUCUUAUUCUCUCCACAUAGCAACGAGCCCACUAAGUUGUCGAUAUUUUACAACACCUCAUAACACAACUCCUAAUUGUGAUUGUCGUAAACCAUGCCGAAUUUAGAUGUCAAAACAACCACAUAAUAAAGAUCGAUGAUUUUAUUGAUGCCCAAAUUGGAAGGUAAGUUGAUGUGAUACAUUAGUGUGCAUAUAAAGACUAAAUUACAUAAAACCUCCAUGUCAAAAUCUGAUUUUUCACUUUCCUCCCCUGUCAUUUAAAAACCUACACUUUGCCCUCUUGUAAAAUGAAAAUUGUUCACUUCGGCCCCUGCCGUUAGUAAUCUGUUAGGGUUCCGUUUAUAAAAUAUUAUUAUAUAUUUUUUUAUGCCAAAAAUGCCAUCAGCCUUCUCUUCUGUGAAUGUGAUGAGGGGCAUAAUAGUGAAGGGCAAAAUGGUCAUUUUAUCAUCACAAUUCACACCGUACCCCCUGUGAACAUUUUUCAUUUUAUAAGGAGGCAAAAUGUAGGUUUUUAAAUGACAAGAGGGAAAGUGAAAAAUUAAGUUUUGACAGGGGGUUUUCUGUAAUUUAGCCUUAAUUAAAUUUCAAAUAUAUAAUGCUGUAUAUUUUCUAUAGAUUUAGGAAUAAAGAUAAUGCAACUAAUUUGUUUGGGUAAUUACCUUUCAACAUAGCACAGUUAACCUUAAGUACCAAAUACAUAUGCUGAAAAUAAUAUAGGCUGGAGAAUUAUGAAAUUGGAGGAGGAAAUCCUCCUGUGUACUUUAUAUACUAGUUUUUAAAAUUUUUUAUCUUAGCAUUAAUUAGUUAUUUCCCGCCAAAUAUAUCAUUCUAACUUUUGGGGGAAAACUUAUCAUUCUAUAUUUUAACUUUCAUUUAACUACAUUUUAACCUGGGUAGAGUGACGUAUCCUUAACAGUAAGGAUAGUUAUGAUAAUUUUAUAUGUUUGAAGAGGUGUUUAUUAUAUUUGAAAGUUUAGAGGAGUAUUCACGAAAUUUACAAAUUUGAUAAGCUUACUAAUGAAAUUGCCCUUUUCUUUAUAUCAAUAAUUGCAUAUAAUUUGGGGUAAACUUCAAAUACUAAUCCAGUGGUUUCGCACUUUUUUACUUUAAUAUCAUAUAGUUUAAAAAGUAUCACUUUAGUAUCCUAUGAUUUUAUUUUUCUCUUUUCGCCAGCACCUCCCAUAACUCUCCGUUAAAUUAUAUACAAAAAAAUUUCAGAUACCCCACCUAUGAUUUAUUGAAUAUUCACUUUAGUAUCCUGUGGUUUACCGAAUUUUUACUUUAGUACUCUAUGGUUUUAAUUUUAUCACUGAUAUAAUAGAAAAAUUAAUGGAGAGGAUAACGGAAAGAGAAAUUUAUUAAAUUUAUUAAAAUUAAUAAUGAAAUAAUAUAAAAGCUCAAAUGAAAAAAUAUAGGUUAAAGGGGGUGUCAACAAAAAAAAAAAAAAGUUGAUGGGCCUAUAUCAAAAUCGUUUAUAGUUGAGGGGGUCUCCAUACAUUUUACCUAUUGAAAUUAAAUUAUUUUAGUUAUUUCAACUGAAAAGUUGUGUUAAAUUUAAUAAUUUUUUUUUAUACUAUAUCUCUUAAUUUUAAAAAACUAAAAUGUAAGGGGUCUUAAUAAAAAACUGCAUAGUUAAAGAAAUUACUUCAAAAUAGAAUAUAGUCGAGGAAUCUCCGGUACAUUUCUCAAAUAGUAAUAUAGUACCAAGCAAUUAGGGGUAAAUUCGUCAUUUUAUUACUUAACCCCUUAUUAAUUAAGGUAAAUUGACGGUAUUUUAAUAGUAAGAAUAUUUAUGAUAAUUUUUUAUAAUUUAAUUAGGGGUAUGCAUGAUAUUUUAACUUUUGUAGGGGUAUCUACAAAAUUUAAAAAUUUUAGAGGGUCCGGAUGAAAUUGCCCCAUAUAUCUAUAUAUAUAUCACCCCACCCCCACUUCUCUUUUUCCGCUACCUCUCUUCCUCGUCCUCGUCCUCUUCCCCUGCCCCACCUCUCUCUCUCUCGCGCGCGCGCUCUCUCUCUCUUCCUUCAUUUUCCGAUCGGUCAUUGAUGAGGCUUCGUGAGCACAAGUGGUACUCCAAUCCUCGUCCUGAUCGUACGUUCACGUAAGCAAAUCUCCCUCUUUCCCUCUAUCUCUCUCUCUAUCUCAACCUUAAAAAUAUAUAAAUUUCGGGACUAAAAUUGGCAUGUAAGAGAAAACUAAAUAGACGAUGGUAUGAUAAUAUUGUUAAUUCUAAAACCUUCUUUUAGCAGUGUCAUUUUAUCGCGAUUAAAUCCAGAGAUUUAAAAUUUUAAUUUCAAAAAAAAGAUUAUAGACCAAAAUAAAAAUAGUGAAAAAGUCGGGGAGUAGUGUGCAAUUAUUUUUUAAAAUAUGGUAUGUGGCCCCACCCUUUUUUCAAAACGGUCAGGGUUCAUAUAUUGAAAACUAGUGAAGGACCCGGACGUUGCCGCGGGACGAUUCUGUAAAAAUAAAUAAAAUAAAAUAAAAAGAGUUAAGGAAUUAUGUAUUAAAAAAUUUGAGAGAUAAACUACUAUUACUGUAAUAAAAAAAUAAAAAAAUAAAAAGGAUUAAAAAAAUAGGGUAAAAAUCAUACAAAUAAUAAAUUAUAUUUAUAGCAACAAUAAAGGUUGAUGACUAAAAUGAUAUAUCUCAUAUUUCAAGUCAGAAAUUAUAACUAAUUAAAGUUUGAUGAUGAAAGUAUCACAUGCCUCAUAGUUUAAAUCAUAAUGUAAAGUCCGAUGAUUAAAGUCUCACUCGAGUUAUAGUUUUAAGAAUGAAAAAUAUAAAUCUAAUCUUUCAAAAUUUACUUAUAUAUAUGAGAUUUGAGUCAAUCAAUAAUACUUUAACUCUCUCUUUCUCUUCCCUCCAGUAAUGUGGGGUUCGAAAUUCAAACCAAUUCUCUUCUUUCUCAUAGAAAAUUAAAAUUUAUAUUUAAUACAUACAAUCUAAAUAUUUCAAAAUACACAUAUAUUUUAAAUUUUAAUAAUAAUUGAAAAAAUUAUAUUAAUUUUUUAAAAAAAUUUGCUUUUCAAAAUUAAUAGAAGAGAAUUAAAAAUAAAAAUUAAAAAUAUAAAAAGGGGUGGGCCCACGCUGGGCCACCCCCUCUGCCUUCCGCUUUCACGCUGCCCGGCCCCCCGCUGCAGCCGCUGCCACGCCACGGCGCUCGGCGUCGCCCGCCGCGCACUCCGGCGUCGCCUCAGUUGUCCAAUUAAGGAUUCGUGUUAUAUAUAUAUAUAGUAAUAUAGAGAGAGAGAGAUGAGAGAGGAGAGAGAGAGUGUGAGUGAUGCCUACUAUGCUAUCGAGCACAGAUUUCGUGCUUCAGCUGGUUUUCGAUGUUGGGACUUUCGACUCGGUCGAUCAGCGGUAUAUAUAAUUAUAUAUUAUUAUAUAUUACUUAUAUUAGAGAGAAGGAGAGAGGAGAGAGGAGAGGGGAGAGAGAGUGAGUGAUGUACUAUAGCUAUGGAGAUGGUACUUCCUGCUUCGUCGUUUUCGAUUGUUGAUGAUUUAGAUCGUCGAUCGCUCCGUUUAAACUUGAUUCAUAGAGUAUUUGAAGUACCUAGAAAAAUAAAUUUUUUCGAUUUUUCGAUAUCAUUUGCCUAGAAUGAAGGGGCUCAAAAUCAAGGCAUCUAAUAGAAAUAUUACAAUAAUGUAUAAUCAUGACAUUUAAAUUUUAAAGAUCGAAAAUUGAUCUUGUUUAUAUAGUAUAAGAUUUUCUAUUCAAGUUUCGUGAUUGGUAUUUGCACGUUAAUUUGCAACGGCUCACACGGCAUUGAAAUUUGUUGAUUUGGACCCAUUCGUCACUAGGCAAAUGAUAUCGAAAUAAUAAAAUUUUUUUUAGGUCUGCCAAUACUUCCGAUCAAGUAACGGAGCACCGAGCGACGAUUCGAAUGUAAAUCGAAAACGAGGUGAAGCCGAAGGCUCGUGCUUCGAUAGCAUUGUAGCCUAAACUAUUUAUAUAUGUAUAAUAUAUAAAUUAUCCUAUAUAUUUAUAUAUCUCUUAUAGUUAUAUAUUAUUGGAGCUCUAUUUAUUUUAAGUAUCAAGGCAUUGUACUUGUAGUUUGGGAUCUUGGGAUUAAAGUCAUGUGCGGUUAGGAUGAUGUGGCCUUAGGAUUAGUGGGGUGUGUUGGGUUGAAAGUAUAUUUAAGGGUGAAAUGAUCAAAGGCAGAAAUCCUAACAGUAAUUUACAGCACAAGUGUUGGGUAUAUUUUCAAGCCAUGCGGAUAUAUUGUAAUAUAUUAUAUAUAUAUAUAUAUAUAUAUGUAAGAUUAAAUGUGUAUAAUGGUAUCACAGAAUUAUUUUUAAAAUCAAUUUUUUAAUAAUAAAGAUAAAUCUCUUGAAGGUGAAAAAAUAAAAAAUACUCUUCUACUAAAUUAUAAGUUCCAAAAUCCUUUUAAAAAAGGAUAACUUAUUCAAACAUUCAAAUAAAAAGAUGUAGAUUAAUGAGUUCAAAUCAAUCAACCAGAGCUUUUCGGGUGCAUUCAUUUUAUUAGAUUUGCCGCACUUUAGGAUGCACAAGUUUAUGUUAGGGCUGUCUAUGAAUUGAACACGAGCGAUGAUUAAUAAAUAUCAAGCUAAAAAAUCUAGUUUAUGCUUGACUUGUUUAUUAAUGAGUCGAACAAGGACUGCCUUGUGAAAGGCAAGUUAGAUUAUCAAUCCUACUAUAUUUUUAAUCUAAUAAUUAAAAUUCACAAAAUAUAGGUCUUCUGAAAUUUGGAUUGGCCUAAAAUUCAAUGAGUAGAAAUUUCUAAUAUAUAUAUAUAUAUAUAUGAUUUGAGCUACAAUACUAUUAAUAGUAUUUGNUAUAUAUAUUUAUAUAUGAUUUGAGCUACAAUACUAUUAAUAGUAUUUGUCAUUUAUUGCUAUUAAAUUUUUUACUUUUGGAUCAAUUCCGUUGAUUAUUUCUAACCAUUUUAAAUAUUAUAACUCAGUGGGAACCACUCAACCCUAGGGGGACCACUCAAUCCUAGGUAAGAGACUAAUAUCAUCCUAACCCUGCAAUUUCUCAUUCAAGAGUUAAAUAUUUGAUAGCAAAAAAGACCAAAUAUUAUCAAUAGUAUUUCAGCCCAACUCUCUCUAUAUAAAUAUAUAACUCUCUCUCUCUCUCUCUCUCUCUCUCUCUCUCUCUCUCUCUCUCUAUAUAUAUAUAUAUAUAGUUGAGCUAGAAUACUAUCGAUAGCAAACGGGUUCGUUGCCACCCAUUUAUUUUCGAUGAUGGAGCUUGCAAAUUGACGAUCAGCACCGUUAAACAUGAUCUAUACCACUUGAAGUAUUUAGAAAUCAAAUUUCAUAUAUUUUUGAUAUUGUUCUCUUAUCUAUCGAGUGGACACAAAAAAUGAACGGCUGAAAAUGAUUAUUUUUUAAAAAAUGAUAAAAGGAGUCAUGUAAUCAAGAUCAAGAGUAUAGAUCUUGUUUUAAAUAGUUUAAAGAAUUUUCUAACAAAAAUUUAAUUGAUUUGAAUAUCUUUACGCCGUUAAACGAGAAAACGCCUCAUAUCGACCAUUAAAAUUACAAAAUUUGAAACUCUUUGAUCAUUAGGCAAAUGAUGUUAAAAAGAUUUUAAAUUUGAUUUCUAAACACUUCAAAUGGUAUAGAUCAUGUUCAACGGUGCCGAUUGUCGAUUUGGAGGCUCUAUUAUCGAAAACAAAUGGAUGGCAACGGAAUGGAAUACUUGCUAAUUUAAAGGUGUAAAAGAAUCGAAAUCGAUUAAAUUUAAUAUAAAAAAUUCUAUUCACUAUCUAGAUAAUGAUAAAUAAUUUUGAUUUUAAAUUAAAGUAUCUGAUCAUUCAUUUUUAGGAUAUCGUUCGAUUUUGACUUUUCAUUUUAUACUCACUUAAUGGACUUUAUUAUAAUUUUGAAAAAUGAUUAAAUUUAUUUUCUAGAAGUUUGAAAUACUCUACAUCAUAUUUAACAGUAUGGAUCAUCGAUUCGGAAGCUCAAUCAUUGAAAAUAAUUUAUGACUACGACGGGUUCUAUACUCACAAGACUGUAGAAGUCAGAUGUGUGUGUGUGUGUGUGUGUGUGUGUGUGUAGACAAGGUUUUAAGUGCCCGUCGGCAUAGGCCAUAUCCAUCGUGUCGUACUGUGUCAACAAGAUAUCGGCACGAUACAGAUCCUGUGCUGAUGGCACAGCUCAAAAUCCUCUAUUCUUUAAAUUAGUAAGUAGUUUUCUCAAUAAAGUUCAAAAGAUGUGAUAAAAAGAUAUAGUAAACAGUUAGAAUAUUUUGUUGCUAAAGAAAAUAAAUAUUUCAUGCUAUUAUGUGUCGGCAUACAAGAAUUUAUUUAACUGGCACGGCUCGGCACGCACCGUGCCGUACCGUGCCGACAAGUUUUCGGCGUGAUCCCGUGCCACGGCACUUAAAUCCUUGUGUGUAGAGCUACUAUGCUAUCGGAAGCAUAAAGUAGUUGGUACUUCCAAUUUUUAGCCCUUAGAUCAAAAUUCUACGGUUGGGAUGAUAGCGGUCCCCAUUGGUUAAUAAUAUUAAUCUUAUUGUUAGAAAUGAUCAAUGGGAUUAAUCUAGGGCUAAAAAAUUGGAAGCACCAACUACUUUAUGCUUCUGAUAGCAUAGUAGCUACACACGACUACUAUAUAUAUUAUGAUAAGUACGAUCGCCUUCAUCUUCGUAAGUCAUUUUCAAUGAUAGAGCUUCCAAAUCGAUGAUCCAUACUGUUAAACAUUAUCUUGAGCAUUUAAAGUUUCUAGAAAUCAAAUUUUAUAAUUUUUUAGCAUCAUUUAUAUUACGAUCAAAAGAUCUCAAAAUUAAUAAUUUUUAAUGGCCGAUAUGGAAUACUUGCUAGUUUAACAGUGUAAAAAAAUCGGAAUCAGUUGAACUUUUGAUAAAAAAUUCUAUUCACUAUCUAGAUAAAAAUUAAUAACUCUAAUCUUAAAUUGAAGGAUAUGAUCAUCCAUUUUUAGGACGUCGUUCAAUUUUGACCAUUUAUUUUAUGCCCGCUUGAUAAAUUUUAUUAUGAUUUUUACGAAAUUUAUUUUUUAAAAGUUUCAAAUACUCUAAAUUAUAUUUAUCGGAGUGAAUUGUCGAUUCGGAAGAUCCAUUAUCAAAAAUAACUUAUGAGUCCGAACUCUCCCCCCCCCCGCCCUCCGUCUAUAUGUUCUCAGCGCUCGUUCUCCUCGGCGUCUCGUCGCCCGCUCCUUGUUUCGCCGGUCUCUCGUCGUCUAUUAUAAGUAUAUAUAUAUAGUAUAAUAGUAGUAAUAUGAGACUUCAGCUCAUGUGCGUUGUUAAAAGUACUGAAACACUUUGGUACUUGUAUUUUUAUCUUUAGAUUAUCCCUUGAUCAUUCAACCGUUUGAUUAUACUAUUAACUCACCGCCACUCAAGUUCUACUAUCGGACCACGCAACAGUAUCCUAACCAUAUCAUCCUCCUAAUCCACAUGUCAAAAUCUACAAGCACCAACACUUGGUAGCUUUUAAAAAUCAUAGGAGCUCAAUUCGAUAUAUACAAUAUUAAAAUAGUAUACCUAAUAUAUAUAUAUAUAUAUAUAUAAAGCUGGGGCUAUACUAUAAUUUUAUGAGCUAUAGAUCCGUUGUAAAUCAUAAAUGUUUUAACGCGUUGCAUUGAUGGAUGUGUGGGUUUAAGGAUGGAUGGUGUCCCACCCUUUAAAAUGAUAGUAGUCCUACGGGUUGAGUGGGUUUUGGUCAAAUAGUAUGAUCUAACGGAUGAAAAAAUGAUUAAUGGAUGAUAAAUGUAAGGCCCGGAAAAUUUAUGAGUUAAGGAGUAUAUCAAUACCGAACGAACACCGUGGACAGGUUCCCGCUUUCGGCCUUUCGUACAGCCAAUGGGCUCAUACUACACGACAUCGCUCAGCCCCGGCCCUCAGCACGGACUUCGCCGCGACUCCGCUUCCGCUGAGCACAUCUCAGCAGCCCCCCUCUCUACCGGAUCUUCUUCCUCAUAUCGUCUUCUCCCGUCUCCUCACCCAUUACCUCGUGUCCUUCGUCACCUCUGCUCUCUUCCUCCCAGGUCUACUCUCGUGCUUCUCCGUCCUCCUCAUCCGCUCACUUCUCCCUCUCCCUUCUCCCCUUGUGGACCUGGCCCGGCGCGCGCGGGACCGGCUGCGGGCACUGCUCUACUGCUCCUUUCUCCUACGCCUCCGCGAACCUCCUGCGUCGGCGCACUCCGCUCUCUCCCCACCGUCGUCCUUUCUCCUCUCGGCCGCCCUUUUUCCUCUGUCUCUCUCUCUCGUCUCUCGCCCACCGCGCCCUCCUCUCUUCGUCCUCGUCUCUUCUCCUGCCCUCAGCUCCGUCUUCGGCUUCUCCUCUCCCCGCGCAGGCUCCCGCCUCCGUGGCCCCCUUCGACUCUCGCAUCCUCCCUCGCUCAGCCUCUCUUUCGUUCCGCCGGUCUCCCUUCCGAUCGCUCGUCCCCUCCGCCUCUCCUCUCCCUCGUCGUCCUCGUCUUCCCUCCGCUCCUCCUCUCUUCCUCGCUAUAUAUAAUAAUAAUAUAUAUAUAAUAUAGGUUAAUAAUAUUAUAUAUAUAUAUUAAUAGAUAGAGCUAGGCUGGUAUACUAUCCGGAUAGCUACGGAGGCCCUCCGUGCUACAAGUUUGUUUUCAAUGAUGGCUGGCUUUCAAAUCAGACAAUCGGCUUCGUUAACUUGAUCUACACUAUUAAAAGUUUUGGAAACUAAAAUUUCAUAAAUAUUUUCAGACAUCAUAUUGCUAGUGAUCAAAAGGCUUCCAAAAUUUUAACAAUUUUCAAUGUAGAUAUGAUGCAUUUUUAAUGAUUCAACGGAUGUAAGGAAGUAUCAAAUUAGAUGAAAAUUUAAUAGAAAUUCUACAAUUUAAAUCAAUACACGAAACCAAUACUUUUGAUUUGAAUUUUGAAUUCUUUAUCACUAUUUUUAUGAGAUUUUCAUUUUCAGCCGUUUAUUUUUAAACUACUCGUUUGAUAGGUAUAUAGCCGGAAAAAUUAUGAAAUUUAGUUUCCAAAUACUUUUAAUAGUGUAGAUCAAGUCUAACGGAGCCGAUCGUCGUUUAGAGCCGCAUCAUUGAAAAAAACUUGGUAGCACGGAGGCCUCCCGUGCUACCGAUAGUAUACCAGCCUAGCUCUAUAUAUAUAUAUAUUAUAUAUAUAUUAUAUAUAUAAUAUAUUAUAUAUAUAUAUAUAUAUUAUAAUAGUCAACUGUGAUACUAUCGAUAGUACUAAAGAUUUGGUUUAUCAAGUUUUUCACCGUUAGAUUUAACCCUCUGAUAUUUUUACUAGUUAGAAUUAUACUAUUCAACCAACACACUCGCUCAAUCCUAGAGGGCCACCAUCAUCCUAACCAUCCAUUCUCAUCUAAGGGCUAAAAAAUCAAUAGCACCAAUAGCUUGGUGCUAUUGAUAGUAUUCCAGCCUAGUUCUAUAUAUAUAUAUAUAUUAUAUAUAUAUAUAUAUAUAUAUAUAUAUAGAGAGAGAGAGAGAGAGAGAGAGAGAGAGAGAGAGAGAGAGAGAAUUGAGCUCCUAUGCUUUUAAAAGUACCAAAUUAUUGGUGCUUGUAAGUUUUCUGCCCAUGGUUUAAGGAAUGUGCGGUUAGGAUGAUAUGGGCCCCGUAAGGUUGAGUGGGUGGUUGGUUGAAUAGUAUAAUCUAAUGGGUGAAAAUGAUCAAAGGUAUAGAUCUAACGGUAAAAAAUUUACAAACACCAAAUAGUUGGUGCUUUUACAAGCACCAUAGCUGGACUCUAUAUAUAUAUAUAAUAGAGCUACUAUACUCUUAUGAGUAUAGAGCCCUUCGUACUUAUAAGUUGUUUUCGAUGUUGGGGCUUUCGAAUCGACGAUCCACAUCGUUAAACAUGAUCUAUAGUACUUGAAACUUCUAGAAAAUAAAUUUCGUAAUUUUUCGAAAUCAUAAUAAAGUCCAUCAAACAGGUAUAAAAUGAACGGUCAAAAUCGAACGUCGUCCUAAAAAUGAAUGAUCGGAUCCUUCAAUUAAAGAUCGGAGUUAUUGAUCUUUAUUUAAGUAGUGAAUAAAAUUUUCUAUAAAAAAUUUAACCUAUUCCGAUUCUUUUUAACCAUUAAACUAGCAAAUAUUUCAUACUGGCCGUUAAAAAUUGUCAAUUUUGUGAGCUUUUGAUCGUAAGGUAAAUGAUAUCGAAAAAUUAUAAAAUUUAAUUUCUAAAAGUUUUAAAUGCUCUAAAUAACAUUUAACGAUAUAGAUCGUCGAUUCGGAGGCUCUAUCAUCGAAAAUAACUUGUGAGUACGAAGGCGAUCGUACUCAUAAGAGUAUAGUAGCCGGACUAUAUAUAUAUAUAUAUAUAUAUAUAUAUAUAUAUAUAUAUAUAUAGAGAGAGAGAGAGAGAGAGAGAGAGAGAGAGAGAGAGAGAGAGAGCUAGGUUGGUAUACUAUCGUUAGUACGGAAGCCUUCGUGCUAACAAGUUGUUUUCAAUAAUGCGGUUUCCAAAUCGACGAUCGGCUCCUAUAUACUUGAUCCACACUAUUAAAGAUGUUUGAAAACUAAAUUUUAUAAUUUUUGACAUCAAUUAUCUAUCAAAUGAGUAGUCUAAAAAUGAACGACUGAAAAUAAAAAUUUCAUAAAAAAGAUGAUAAAAGACUUGAAUUUAAGAGCAGAGAUGCUGUUCUUACUCUAAAUAGUGAAAAGAAUUUUCUAUAAAAAUAUCAUCAGAUUUGAAUUGGUUUACACCGUCAAAUUCACAAACGCAUCACAUUUAUCAUUAAAAUUAUCAAUUUUGAGACCUUUUGAUCAUUAGUCAGAUUAUGGAAAAGAGAUGAGAAUUAUAAAUGUGAGUAAUUCGAUGCUAAAUUGACUGAGUUGUUUAACAUUCUCUGCUUGAGCUUAUAAUUUAAACUUUUAAUUAUGUACUAGUUAUUUAAUCUAUCAAAUAUUCUUUAUACUUCAAAUAAAUAUCUUGGUAUACAUUAUGUACAUUUCACAUUUUUUGAACCAAAUUACUUCUCAUUCAUAAUAAAAGGGGGCCCUUUUUUUUUUUUAAAACAAAAUAGUCCUCUAAAACGCGGGAACUAGAAGUGGUAAAAAUGCAACGAUCACUAAAAAUAUAAAGGGAAAACUUCAAAACCCCCCCUGUGGUUUCGUGCAUUCUCACUUUGCUACCCUGUGAUUUAAAACGUAUCAAUUUGCCCCCCUGUGGUUUCGUUUUUAUCUUUUUAUUAUCAAUUUUAUUAUUAUUUUUUUUUAAAAUCAGUGACAAAGUUAAAAUUAAAGGAUACUAAAGUGACUAUUCGAUAAAUAUAGAUGGUUAUCUGAAGUUUUUUGUAUAUAAUUUAACGAAAUAUUAACGAAAAAGCUUCCGAAAAGAUAAAAAUGAAACCACAGGGGGGUAAAUUGAUACGUUUUAAACCACAGGGUAGCAAAGUGAGAAUGCACGAAACCACAGGGGGGGUUUUUGAAAUUUUCCCAAAUAUAAAAGAAAAUAUAAGCAAAAGAAAAUUAAAGCAUCAAAUAGUAAUUUUAAUUUCUAACUACAUAUAUAUAUAUAUUUGCGUGAUGAACGUGAAAAUACUAAAAAAAAAACUCAAAAAUCUAUGAUAUAUAAUUAAUUGGUAACUUUCCUUUCAAAGAGUUCAUGAAUAUACCACAAUGAAAUUUUAUUACAAGGACCAAAUUAAAAUCAUCAUUGCGCCAAAAAAAAAUAAAAAAAAUAAAAAAAUAAAAAAAUCCUUGCAUUAAAGCAUGCAUAAAAAAGGUUUUUUGAGUUAGGUUGUUGUACUCGUAGCAGGUAUUAAUGGUUCAUUGUAACAAAACUUUAAAGGAAAAAAAAUAAUUGCUUGGACUUUAAGUAUUUGUACGUCUCAUGUACUAUAAUAAAUAAUUAAAUAAUAAUUAAUUAUUUAUUUUUGAAAAUUUAAAUUUAUUUUAGAAAAAAUAUAAUUAUAAUAUAUUUAGAGUCAAAACUAUAAAAAAAAUUUAUUAUAAAGAUGAUUUUUAGGCUAAUAUGGCAUAUACUUGCGCUUCAAAAAAUGUCGUCCUACCAAGCUGUAUCAAAUUAAUUUAUUGAAUAAUAAAUUUUAUUAUUAUUUUUUAUUUUUUGCUAUUUUAAAAUAGGAAAAACUUCAAAAAUUUUUCUGUGGUUUCGUAGUUUUUUACUUUGCCCCCUGUGGUUUAAAAUGUAUCAAUUUGCCCCCAUGUGGUUUCUUUUUUUUCUUUUUCUUAUCAAUUUCAUUAUUUUUUUUUCUUAAAUCAGUGAUAAAGUUAAUUUAUCUCAAGUGAAUAUUUAAAGGGUACUAAAGUGAAUAUUUGAUAAAUCUAGAUAGCUAUCUCAAGUUUUUUAUAUAUAAUUUAAUAAAAUAUUAACGAAAAAGCUACCGAAAAGAUAAAAAAUGAAAUCACAUGGGGACAAUUUGAUAUAUUUUAAACCACAUGGGGGGGGGGAGAAAUGAGAAACUACGAAACCACAUGGGAUUUUUUUAAAGUUUUUCCAUUUUAAAAUAUCAGGAUUUUAAAAAAUUCUAUCAUUUUAAAAUAUCGGAAUACAUUUUACAGACAUUUGGUAUAAGUGUUGAUAUAUACUUUGCAACUUUUUAUUUACCAACGUUUGUACUGCGGCUUUUGAAUACAACGAUAAACUAUUUUAAAAUGCUUUUAAGUAUCUUUAAGUGCUAACAAUUAUCUGAGCAUUCAUUAGUCCUACAUUAAACACCGAUUGAUUUAUAAAAAUUAAGUGUUUAAAAUUUAUAAUUUCGAUUUAUAGAUAAAUUGCAUCUGGGGAAACAUUCAUCGAACAAUGCAUGAUGCAAAGGUACAUGCGAUAGUUUCUUUUAUUUUUUUUAUAUUUUUUAUUUUUAAAUGAGUUGUUAAGCCGUCCAUCUAAAUUCCCACCAACCCCCCUCAAUUUUUAAUAUUUCGAAACUAGUACGGUAAAGAUAUUGCUAUUUUAUACAAAGGACGAGAGUAAUAAUUAAACAAAAUGGAUUUAAUUAGUAGUCGGCGUGUAUUGUUUCAGUGAACUCGGCAACCAAUAAUAAUAAUACACGUUGCCCAUUACUCCAUGUACAUACAUGGAAAGUAAUUAUUUUAAUUAAUUAAGUGCAUUAAAUAUUUCUAAUUUCUAGAUAUUUACCAUGCAUUGUUGGGUUGUACUCGCAUUAAAAACUAGGGAGUAAUGAGUUGUUUUAUUAGUCGGUGCAAUGAUGUGAACAAUAAUAUAAUUUGUAGAUAAAAUAAUAAUUAUGAUAAUUAAAAAUUAAAUAAAAAUCUACGAUAUAAUUAUACUAAAACUAUUGAGGAAUUAUCUUAAGUGGGAAAAACUUUAAUUAACUUUUGAGCGAUUUAGCAUAUUUAUAUUUUGUUACUGGGCAAUACAAUUUAUUUACUAAUAAUAUAAUAAAGUAAAGUGAAAUUAAUAUUAUCUUAUAUUUUGUAAGUUAUAAUAUUUUAUGAUCUAUUUAUAUUUCUCAUAAAAGUAUUUUUUUAAAAAAUACAAAAUUUAUAAAAUAAAAAUAAAAUAAACCACACAAAAGCUGAUUAAUAAAGUUUCCCUAUUUUAUAUUCCAUAACUUCUAAAAAAGCGAUUUUACCUUUUCAAACUCUCUCUCUCUCAUCUCUCUGUUUCUCCACGUGGUCUCUUCUCCAUAUCCCUGUAAAUUUGAACGUUAUGCUUAUUUUUGGACGAGUAGUGUACUUGGAAUAGGACUCUGCAUUAAAUACGUACACAACACCAAAUAUGCCGUUUGGUUCGGGUAUAAAUAGGAACUAGCUAUUACAGAAAUAGGUACAAGUAUAGAGAUAAAAAAAAAUAAUGUUUGGAUGAAAAUUGGGUUGUUUUUGGGGAUAAGAACAAUUUUAGAUAGUUUUAUAUAGAAAAUGAAAGUGUUGGUGGGGAUAACCGAGAACUACUAUUCUCGGAUAAAAAAUUAGCAUUUGGAUAACCGAGAACUAUAUAUAUAUAUAUAUAUAGAGUGAGGCUACUAUGCUAUCGGAAGCACGGAGCCUUCCGUGCUUCCACCUCGUUUUCGAUGUUGCGACUUUCGAAUUGUCGAUCGGCUCCGUUAAACUUGAUCUAGAGUAUUUGAAGUACCUAGAAAAUAAAUUUUAUGAUUUUACGAUAUCAUUUGCCUAGUGAACGAAGGGGCUCAAAAUCAACGGCUGAAAAUAAAAAUAUUACAAAAUGUAAUAAUAUGACAUUAAAAUUUUAAAUCAAAGAUAUUGAUCUUAUUUUAUAUAGUAUAAAGAAUUUUCUAUCAAAAUUUCACGUGAUUUGGAUAUUUCUACACCGUUAAACUUGCAAACGGCUCACUACGGCCAUUGANUAUAUAUAUAUAUAUAUAUAUAUAUAUAGUAAGGCUACUAUGCUAUCGGAAGCACGAAGCCUUCCGUGCUUCCAGCUCGUUUUCGAUGUUGCAACUUUCGAAUCGUCGAUCGGCUCCGUUAAACUUGAUCUAGAGUAUUUGAAGUACCUAGAAAAUAAAUUAUGCAAUUUUUUGAUAUUAUUUAUUUAGUGAACGAAGGGGCUCAAAAUCAACAGUUGAAAAUAAAAAUCUUACAAAACGUGAUAAUAUGACGUUAAAAUUUUAGAUCAAAGAUGUUGAUCUUGUUUUAUAUAGCAUAAAAAAUUUUCUAUCAAAAUUUCACGUGAUUUGGAUAUUCUACACCGUUAAACUUGUAAACGGCUCACUGCGACCAUUAAAAUUAUUGAUUUUGAGCCCCUUCGAUCACUAGGCAAAUGAUAUCAAAAAAUCAAAAAAAUUAUUUUCUAGAUAUUUCAAAUACUCUAGAUCAAGUUUAACGGAGCCGAUCGACGAUUUGAAAGUCGCAACAUCGAAAAUGAACUGGAAGCACGAAAGGCUCCGUGUUUCCGAUAGCAUAGUAGUCUCACACUAUAUAUAUAUAUAGAGUAGGGCUACUGUGUUAUUAGGACCACAGUAACCCUUGUGCUCCUAAGUUCUUAACCGCUCAUCAAAUUUGAUGGGUUGUUAGGAUGAAAGGGAAAAAAGUAAUUGGAGAGAAAUUGGAUUUCUCAAUUUCUCUUCUCUUUAAAUUUCUCUUCAAUAUCUUUUCUCUCUCAUUCACCCUAACCAUCCAUCAAAUUUGAUGGGCGGUUAAGAAUUUAGGAGCACAAGAACUGCUGUGCUCCUAAUAGCACAAUAGCCUUACUCUCUCUCUCUCUCUCUCUCUCUCUCUCUCUCUCUCUCUCUAUAUAUAUAUAUAUAUAUAUAUUUUACUAUAUAUAAUAAUACAAUCCUCCUUAAUCUAUCUUCUCUUUCCUUUCCUUCUUUUAAAUUUAUAUUUAUACAUCUCCACACCCUUCACCCACCUCCCAAAACUUAAACACUAAUCUCUCUCUCUCUCUCUCUCUCUCUCUCUCUCUCUUUCUCUCUCUUCAUUAGUUCCCAGAUCCUCUUCAAUGGCCUCGUUAAUGCUGUUGCUGCUCCUGCUCCAAUCUCUUCUCCCUCUACUAAUAUUCUCCCUAUUCUCAGGUAUAUAACUCUUCGUUUCGUAUUCAUGAUUUUCUCAGUAACAUGCGUGAUUCGCCUUACGUUCAUUCACGUCAUUAGUUAUAACUUAAAACUUGUGUGAUGAUUAUUUUUGGGUUAUUUUCUAUGACUGCGCAUUGAUGGGGUGGUCCAGGGGUGUCGGCGGUGGCGACGUUCACGAUCGCGAACAAUUGCAGGUACGCAGUGUGGCCGGGGAUUCUGUCGAGCGCCGGCGCUGCGCCGCUGGCGACGACGGGGUUCGCGCUCGCGCCGGGCGAGGCGCGCGCCGUCGACGCGCCGGCCGGGUGGUCGGGGCGCAUCUGGGGCCGAACGCUCUGCGGCGGCGGCGGCGGCGGCGGGGCCUUCUCUUGCGCCACGGGCGACUGCGGCUCCGGCGCCAUCGAGUGCUCUGGCGGCGGCGCCGCGCCGCCCGCCACGCUCGCCGAGUUCACCCUCGACGGCAGCGGCAGCAACGACUUCUACGACGUCAGCCUCGUCGACGGGUAAAUGCUUAAGCUACCAAAAAACAGUAAUAUCUUUUUGGUAGUAUUGAUUUUAUAUCAUGCAAAUAUAUAAAUCAUUGUUUUACCUAAUGCACAGAUUUUAAAAUUUAAUAAACAUUAUUUUUAAGUAUUUAAUAGUUACUAUAUUUUUGUUUGUACUUUGAAAAAUGAUUGUGAAUAAUUAUAAUAUAUAUAUAAUGCAACAGAUCAUAAAGUAAUGAUUAGGUAAUCGAUUAUUAUCAUCGCUCAUCUGAAGGUUUACUUUUUAAUGUAACUUUUGUUCCUCUCCCCAAGUUCAAACAACAAAUUCAAUUAUACUUUACCUUGAAAGAGCGACAAUUUAGGCAAUUAUUUUUAUAUAUAUAAUACAUAAAUUUUAAAAUAGUAAUACAUAAUAAAUAAUUUGUCAUUGAGUUUUCGUGUCGGCAGAUGAUUUUAAUAUUUUAUAUUCAACAGGUACAACAUCCCGAUGCUGGUGGCCCCGCAGGGCGGCAGUGGGCCCAAUUGCAGGCCCACCGGGUGCCUAGCGGAUCUGAACGGGGUGUGCCCAUCGGAUCUGAAGGUGGUGGUGGGCGGCGAGGGGGUCGCGUGCCGGAGCGCCUGCGACGCGUUCGGGGCGCCGCAGUACUGCUGCAGCGGUGCGUACGGUAGCCCCAGCACCUGCGGGCCGACGUCGUACUCGCUCUUCUUCAAGAACGCGUGCCCGCGGGCUUACAGCUACGCCUACGACGACGCCACCUCGACGUUCACCUGCGCUGCCGCGACCGCCUCCUCGUACAUCAUCACAUUUUGCCCCAGCACAUCCAGGUAGCUGAUCGAUUGACUUAGCGAGCAACUUCAACUAUCUUUAGUUUUGACGUACAUGCAAUCAAAGUGGUCGGAGAUUUAAUAUCUUAAUUUGAUCCUCUCCUUUGUAUUUUUUUUUUUAAUCUGGAGUUGUUUUUUUAUAUAGAAUAAUUGAUACAAGCAAGACUUUCUCAUUACGUGGAAAAUCAUUUUUCGUUUGCUUUUGAUUUACUUUUUUAAACGUGGCCACGCAAUAAGUAAGUUGGAUGCUGGGACUUUUCAAUGGGGCUCUGCUUAUGUUGGCUUCGGGUCCCAGUUUAUCUAAAUGACAAAUUAAAAAGCGUAAUUAACGCGUUACGAGCCAACUUUAGCUGUAAUGCGUGUCUUGUCCUUUAUAAUUAUGUGUUUAAUUAUGGUUUUAAUUAACAACGAGCUAAGUUUAGAGUAAUAAUCGUGCCUCUUCGGUGUAAACCCACCUCAUCAUGUGUCAGGUCGACGCGGCAACACAUUACUUUUUAGCUGUUUGCAUUUAAUAUACAUCAAUAUGAUAGAUUCAAGAAUAAGGCUUUUUUAGUUUGUUUAUUAAAAUUAUUUAUUCUGGAUAUAAAUCAAAAUAUAUUACUUUGUUUAUGAAUGUUUUCUUAAAAAAUCAUAUUUAAUGCAAAUUAUCUUUACAAAAUAGUGAGACGGUAAAAUUAAUGCUUGUGCGCUUCAAAUGAUGCCAAAUAGUUUAUAUAUAAAAGUCGAGCCAAAUCAAACGUAGGUUUGAUUCUGAUAUAAGCUUAUUAUGGCGGCAAAAAAUAGACUUUUUAGUAUAGACACAUUCUUUAAAUCGUCAAAUCUAAAUUGAAUCAAAAAUGUAGUGCAUGCCGAGAUAAGAAAAGCUUGUGUUUUUGCUGCAGCUUGAAGUCGUCGAGCGCGAACCCGGAGGCCGCGGGGCUGCCGCUGAUCAACAACACCAUGGUCUUUGUGAGUGGUGCUGCUGUGCCGGGCCGUGCCGAUCGCCGUAGUGGGCUCCACCUCUCCCUCCUCCUCGUCGUCUCUGUACAUAUGCUGACGUGGCACUUUUUCCUAUUCUCACGCCCCUUUUAGUUAGAUCCACACGUGCUCCUCCCCACGUGCGCGCGGGUUGCUAUUCUCACGCCGCUCUCCACGCCAUUCGUAGUGCGGAACCCCUCAAUUACAAGCAAUUUUGAACUAGGCCCUUCACUUUUUUUUUUUUUUUUUUUUUUACUUUUAUUAGUUGUAUUUUCUUAGCUUCUAAUUUUUUUGACUUUAAACAAUUGUCAUUAAAUCUAGUGACUUUGUUUCAAUAUUAUUUGCAAUAAAAUUUCUAAAUUUAGUUGCACCGAAAUAAAUUAUUUAUGGAUUUAAUAGGCUAAAAUUGUUUCAUUUCGAAAAAAAAUCAAGUAAAAAAAAAAGGAGUAAUGGGCCGAUUUCAAAAUAUCCUCACUAGUUGAGGAGGUAAUAGUUUUUUAUUUUUAAACUGAGAAUAUAACUUUUAUAUUAUUUUAUAUUUAUUUUUUUUUUUUUGGAAUGAGUAAAUGAUGUGGUGUGGGGCGGCAUGGAUUUGCACGGUGUAGGCACGCCGCUAUAUCCAGGCCUUUUCCGCGCGAUUGUUAAAUGAGAUACGUCGACGUCGAGCCACGUGGACUUUGGAAGUUGUGACGUAGGAUCUCUUGAUUUGAUCGAUCAGUUGAUGUGAUUAUAAUAGUACUAAAUUGUUCGUACAAAAUAUUUUAAAAAAUAGAUAAAGUCGUCCUAAAUUUUCAAUUUUGAAAAUUAAUUAUUUUUAAACUAUAUCAAAUAAUUUAAUGUCUUUUUUUUACGGGUAAAUUUUAAAUAUCACACCUGUAAUUUUGUACAUUCUUAUUUUAGUACCUUAUGAUUUAAAGUGUAUGAAGUUAGUGUCAUGUUGUUUUAUUUUUCUCUUUUCGUCAGCUUUUUCGUUAAUAUUUUCUUAAAUUAUAUAUAAAAAAACUUCAGAUAUUCCACAUAGAUUUAUCGAAUACUCUUUAGUUUUAAUUUUGUCAGUGAUUUAACGAAAAAAAUUAGUGAAAUCGAUACUAAAAAGAUAAAAAUGAAACCGUAAGGCACUAAAUUGAUACACUUUAAACCACAUACUACUAAAGUGAGAAAGUGUGAAACUAUAAGGCACUACAACAAAAACGGUCUAUAGCGACACUUUUAAAUGUAGGUACAUGUCAAAAAAGUGCUGCUAGCUAAAAUUACCGACACUUUUAAAAAAUGUUGCUAUAUGUGGGGUCGCUAGGUAUAUAGUGACAGUUAAAGAGUGUCGCUAUAACCUAAAAGAGUGCUGCUAAUUUACGAACACUUAUUUAAGCAUUUAGCAACCGCCGAAACUUUAUCUCGUUGGCUGCGGUGGCGGAGGAGGACGACAGGAAAGACUCUUCGUCUAGAAUUUCAGUGGAUUGAGUGAAGAGAGAAGAAAAGAUGGCAAUUGAUUUUUCAUUUUUUUUUCUUUUCUGUUUGUAAUCGGGCCAAAUGGACUGGGUGUGGUGGGGUGAGUAGAGUAAUCUUUUAUUUUUGGUUGGAUUGAGCUUUAUAUUUAGGCAUUAGCAGAUAUUUUUUUAAGUUUUAGCAUAAAUGGGACACUUACUCAAAAGUGUCCCAAAUAUGUGUCCCUAUAACCUAAUUCUGUUGUAGUGAGGGUGGUGUUUGAAAUUUUUCCAGUUUUUAUUAAUUAUAUAAUUAUUUUGAUCACAUAUGGUGCGCGUAAUUUUGCAAAGCUUCAAAUUAUAAAAUUUUGUUUUUUUCCUCUUAUUUUGAUAAUUACGCAUAAAAUUUGAAGAAUAAGUUAGAUUUUUAUUAUUUUUAUUUGUAUUUUAGAAUAUAAUUUUUUUUUUUUACAACAUAAUUUUAGCCAUGACAAACUAUUUGAUAUAAUUUUAAAAAAAAAUUAAUUGUCAAAUUGAAAGUUCAAGCUCUUUUUGCAAAAACGCCCUGAACUUUAGGGAGUUUAUACUUCUUUAUUUAAAUUUUGUUCUUGAGAUGUCUAUAUCAGUUGGAAUUUGGGCCUAUGAAAUGGUAUUUUUGUCGCGAUAAAUGCAAGUUUACGUAUAUUUUUUAAAAUUUUAUGCGUAGAAUUUUUAUGUACACAGUAUAAUUGAUAUAUCCCACCGAUUAAAAAGGCUACACAAUAUAUAACGAGAUCGAGCAGAGUAAAAUAUUUUAUACAAAACUUGCAUUUAUCGCGACAAAAAUACCAUUUCAUAGGCCCAAAUUCCAACUGAUAUAGACAUCUCAAGAACAAAAUUUAAAUAAAGAAGUAUAAACUCCCUAAAGUUCAGGGCGUUUUUGCAAAAAGAGCUUGAACUUUCAAUUUGACAAUUAAUUUUUUUUUAAAAUUAUAUCAAAUAGUUUGUCAUGGCUAAAAUUAUGUUGUAAAAAAAAAAAAUUAUAUUCUAAAAUACAAAUAAAAAUAAUAAAAAUCUAACUUAUUCUUCAAAUUUUAUGCGUAAUUAUCAAAAUAAGAGGAAAAAAACAAAAUUUUAUAAUUUGAAGCUUUGCAAAAUUACGCGCACCAUAUGUGAUCAAAAUAAUUAUAUAAUUAAUAAAAACUGGAAAAAUUUCAAACACCACCCUCACUACAACAGAAUUAGGUUAUAGGGACACAUAUUUGGGACACUUUUGAGUAAGUGUCCCAUUUAUGCUAAAACUUAAAAAAAUAUCUGCUAAUGCCUAAAUAUAAAGCUCAAUCCAACCAAAAAUAAAAGAUUACUCUACUCACCCCACCACACCCAGUCCAUUUGGCCCGAUUACAAACAGAAAAGAAAAAAAAAUGAAAAAUCAAUUGCCAUCUUUUCUUCUCUCUUCACUCAAUCCACUGAAAUUCUAGACGAAGAGUCUUUCCUGUCGUCCUCCUCCGCCACCGCAGCCAACGAGAUAAAGUUUCGGCGGUUGCUAAAUGCUUAAAUAAGUGUUCGUAAAUUAGCAGCACUCUUUUAGGUUAUAGCGACACUCUUUAACUGUCACUAUAUACCUAGCGACCCCACAUAUAGCAACACUUUUUAAAAGUGUCGGUAAUUUUAGCUAGCAGCACUUUUUUGACAUGUACCUACAUUUAAAAGUGUCGCUAUAGACCGUUUUUGUUGUAGUGACAGCCGAUCUUUUCAAAUUUUUUCACUUUGGCUCCUAAUUUUACUUUUUAUUAUCAUUAGGUACCUAACAAGGAUAAAUAUAAAAAGGCGAAAACACGAAUAAUAACACGAAGGCCCAAACAUUGGCAGUAUCUGAUCAAUCUCAACACCGAGGAUUGAAAUUCCAAACAUUAUAAAAGGAUUGACAGUUUGUUAAACAGAUACCGACUAUAUCAUCUGAAGUUCGAAACACAGUCGCUUUAUAUUUCUAGUUGAGCUCAUUACCGCUUUUUGCAGAACUAACUUUUUGGCCUUAAGAUUUUCGGGGGGCGCCCAAGUGUUGCAUGCUCAAGCCAACCUCUUCAAGUCUUUAGCACUGACACCUCUCCAAACUUAAAAUCUAAGCCAGCCUCUUCAAGUCCUUAGCAUGGACAUAUCUCCAAAUCUAACAGCGAAAGACCAAUUUGAACAUUUUAACCAAGCAUGAUUCCUCGUGAGCCUUACUGGUCAGCGCCACACUUUACAUUGAAUCUCUCGUCGGACUCCACAAGUUCCCAAUAAACAACCCCACUAUUGAGGUUGGCUACUAAGCUGAAUACAUUAUCUCAUCAAAUAAACUCUUCUUGAAAGUGUUACACAACUGAAUGCCUCGUUGCCCUCCGAGCUAGCCAUAAGGACACACAAGUUUUCCCCAACUUAGCCCUAUUCGAGUAUAGCCUAGUAUCUCGCCCCUACCCGUCUCGCUUUCACUGUUAAAUAUAAAAAUAUUUAAACACUGUUCCCUACCAGCUUAAGUUUUUAGGGUAUAACGAUUGUUUCGUAUUAUUUCACAUGGUGUCAGAGUAGAAAGUGUUGAGUUCGAAUCACGUCAGACUCCUAGUAUUACUAAUUUUCUCCUAUUUAAUUCAAAUUCACGUCACGGGCCUAGCGAAAAGUCUCGAGUCCAAAUAUGAGGAAAAAAUAUUAAAUAUAAAAAUAUCUAAACAUCUUUCUCUAACAUGUUAAGCUUUUAGAGUACAACGGUUGUUUCAUAUUAUUUUCACGCUCACGACUUGGUCCGCAUACUAAAAAUGCCCAAGCUCUGCAGCAUCGCAUGCUACGAACAACUUAAAAGAUAAAACCGAAUGAUAGUGAUUUCGCAAAGCGCAUAAUUUUUCUACAUAUGUACGUACUAAACAUCAGGAAAAUCUAACACCAAAACAAGAAUGGCUACUUAAUUAAGUAACACGGCAAGGAUCAAAUGGAUUGGGACACACCUCUUUUUGAACAAAAGUAGCAUGCAUGCAUGUUCCAUAUAUAUCUACAAUGAAAAGAAAAAGCAGCAAUUAAUUAAUUAACUGUCUCAGCAGAUAAUGAAAAUAAUUCUCAAGGAUGGCCAUUAGACCACAUAUAUGUAAAGUUUUAAUUUAAUCUCCACUAAAGGAUCGAGACACAUGGUUCAGAGAAUAUGAAAUUAAUAAACACGUAAUACUAGCAAUGUCACCCUUCAUAUCUACGUGUAGUCUACGUUGCACUUUUGGUCCUCAAAUUUGUGGUGCUAUUUUGGUCUUUAAAUUUAAUUUCUAGUAAAUUUUAGCUUAAGUUUUCUAAAUUGUUACAAUUAAAUUUUACAGUCUUAUUUAGUUGAUUAAAUAAUAAUGCUUUGCCGGCAUGAUAGUUAUGUAAUAUUUUAAUAAUUAACAAUAGCUAUAUUUAACCCAAUUGUAUUAUGAGAUUGACUUAUAAUAAUUUUAAAAAUUCAAGCUGGAGUUAGUAAAUUAAAGUCCGAGCACUAAAAUAUUAUAGGUCUAAAAAAUCGAGGGCAAAAUUAAAGCGCAUUUUAGCCUAUCUUGUUAGUAGCUUUCUCAUUUCUCUGGAGAGGUUUGUGGAUUAUUGCUUCAGCGAAAAGUGCUAUUUGUGAGAGUUUCCACAAAAAGCACUUAAUUUAGCUAGUGGUCUAAUUAAGAGCUUGUUUCUUUCUCCUCUUUGGCAAGCAAAGAUCAUGCAAAUUAAGGUCGCACGUUAAGCCUAUCAUGCUGCUUCUCCAUGCAUGCAUGGUUGGUAAAAGUGCUUAUGAGAUAAGCGGUAUAAGGGAGAAGCAGAAGCUGAUCCAUUAAUUGCUCUAUAUAUACAUGAUAUAUAUAUUUUGCUUUUCUUGGGUGGACUCUGCAUGGGCUUUUUCCAAUUCAGUGGUAGAAGAGUGGGGAGUGACAAAACGGCUUUUGCAAAAGAAGGUCAUGAGAUAAAAAGAUGGAGAAAGAGAGAGAGAGAAAAGAAGCCACAGCAGCAGCAGCUUAAUCCAACUUAUCCAAAACCUACGUGGGCGCUUUACACCGCAUCCUUAUGUUGCAUAGAUUGCUUCGUUGAUCCAUUUUGCUUUCCUAGGAAGAAUCACUUAUUAAUAAACUCAAGCUAUAUAUAUAUAUAUAUAUAUAUAGAGAGAGAGAGAGAGAGAGAGAGAGAGAGAGAGUUGAGGUAGAAUACUAUCGAUAGCAAACCGGCACUUUUGCCACCCAUUUAUUUUCGAUGAUUGAACCUCCAAAUCAACGAUCGGCACCGUUGAACAUGAUCUAUACUACUCGAAGUGUUUAGAAAUCAAAUUUUAAAUCUUUUCGACAUCAUUUGCCUAAUGAUCAAAGGGUUUCAAAAUUUAUAAUUGUAAUGGUCGAUAUGAGGCGUUUUCUCGUUUAACGGCGUAAAGAUAUCCAAAAUCAAUUGCAUUUUUGUUAGAAAAUUCUUUAAACUAUUUAAAACAAGAUCUAUACUCUUAAUCUUGAUUACAAGACUCCUAUCAUCAUUUUUUUAAGAAUAUUCAUUUUCAGCCGUUCAUUUUUGUGUCCACUCGAUGGAUAAGAGAGCAAUAUCGAAAAUGUAUGAAAUUUAAUUUCUAAAUACUUCAAAUGGUAUAGAUCAUAUUCAACGGUACCGAUCAUCAAUUUGAAGGCUCCAUCAUCGGAAACAAAUGGGUGGCAAAAGUGCCGAUUUGCUAUCGAUAGUAUUCUAGCUCAACUAUAUAUAUAUAUAUAUAUAUAUAUAUAUAUAUAUAUAUAUAUAUAUAUAUAUAUAUAUAUAUAUAUAUAUAAAGAGAGAGAAAGAGUUAUGUUAUUAUGUUUUAGAAAGUACCGAGAUAUCAAAUUUGACGAUUAGUUCUGUUAGACAUGAUUCAUAGUGUUAAAGUAAGUUAUUUAGAAAUCAGAUUUCAUAACUUUUUGACUUCGUUUGUGAACAAGUAGUUUCAAAAUGAGCGACAAAAAAUAAGAAUUUUAUAAAAAAUACUGAUAAAUAAUUUAAAUUUCAAAUUGAAAGUAGUGAUCUUGCUCUCAUAAAUUUCGUAAUUUAUCAAUAUAAUUUACCUUAAUAAUCGAUUGACUUUUUGGCCACAUACACUCUUACUUAAGUGUGAGGAGAUGACGUCGCACAUUGCUUUGAAAAUAUUACUUCUAUGCAUACUCGUACUCUCACACACACACACACACACACAAAACAUAUAUAUAUAUAUAUAUAUAUAUAUAUAGUCCGGCUACUAUACUUUUAUGAGUAUUGGCUCCCUUAUACUUAUAAAUUUUCGACCCUUAGAUUUAUUUUAUGAUCAUUUCCAUCCGUUAGAUCAUACAAUUCAACCAACUACCCACUCAAUACUAGGGGACCACUAUCAUUCUAAGUGGGGACCAUCAUCAUCCUAACCACACAUCCAAUCAAUCAACGGUUAAAAAUUUAUGAGUACAAAGGGUUCUAUACUCAUAAGAGUAUAGUAGCCCUAGGCUAUAUAUAUAUAUAUAUAUAUAUAUAUAACACAAGGCACAGAUACAUUAAUAUUAAACAAGUUUUUAAAGGCUAUCUAAGGUAAAUAUCAACAAUACAAGAGCAUCUUCGUAACUUUACUACGUUGGUAGGAGUAUGCAUGCAAAAUCAAUCUCUAUUAUUAUUAAUUAUUUUUCCAGCGAUGAACGCAACGCUAUUUUACUCGUAUACUAAAUUGUGAAUAUCAAGGUAAUUUGAGGUAUUAAUUUGUGUACAUAAAUGAAUGAGAAAUGCUACAAUAAGCUACUUUAUUUUCUUUUUAAUAAAUAUAUAUACAAUUGUGCAUGAAAAUUAAUUCAUUCUAUAUUAUAAUUUCAAUAUUAUUAAAAGAAAAAAGUAAUGGUGCGCAAAAAAAUGAACACAUGCUGCUGUCUCUAGUGGGCCAAGAGCAACAGGUGAUAUCCUGCUGCAGAUCAUAGAAUCUGAUAUGUAGGAUAUGCAAAAAAAGCAUUGAGAAUCUUGCCCCCUGUUCGGCGGAUUUGGGAUAAUUAACUUAGAAAAAAAAAGAAAAUCUAGCAAAUUAUUAAGAAACUGUAUGCUUUUUUUGGGAUCACAGGGUUAUCAAAGUUCUCCAUGGAUCCAAAUUUUAAGAUUGAAUUUGUUGACAAAUUUAAGAAGCCCCUAGCAAGCUUGAAUUAGGUUCUUCGCAUUCUUUCUUUUUUCCCCCCUACCAUUGACGGGCUUAGGGCUAUCAAUCAUGCUUGUUGUUCACGAGUCAGCUCGUGUUCGAAUUAAAAAUGACUUGUACUCAGCUCGUUCAUUUAACAUGUAAGCCAAUCAUGAGCUAAUUCUAACCUGCUCUUGUUUGGCUCGAUAUAACAUAUGAAUUGUAUUUUUGGAUUGAUAUACAACAAAUUUAAAUGCUGUUUUAAAGUUUUUUUUGGGUUAAUUAAUUAGCUUUACUUUUUAAUUUAAUACUAAUUAAUAAUAUUAACAAGCAUCAAUGGUAUUAAUAAUAAUGCUAAUUAUAGUUAGUAUUAAUAUGUUAUUAAAGUUUAUUUUAAGCUAAUUAGAAAUAAUUUUGAGUCGGCUCGAAUUAAUCUUAAGCACGAAAACGAGCUAGAUUAUCCCAACUUAUUGAAAUUUCGAGCUGACUCGAAUUAUAUUUUUCGAGCCGAUCUCGAACCGUUCAAGCUCGUUCGUGUUCGGCUCGCUGACAGACCUACUGAUACACCUAUAACUGCUGCCAAUGCACUGUAAAAUUCUUUAACUAACUUUAAUAUUUUAAUAUGAGACUUACAAAGGAGGGUUUCAUAUAGCUGGUCUCCUCUACCACACUUUACCUCCCUACACAAGUCAAAAAUAUGAUGGUGUUAGUUAUAAGGUGCAUUUGGUAGUGGAGAAUAAUGGGAAUGAUACAUAUCGUUUAAAGUUGCACCAAAAGUUAUUCUUUUCCAAAAUUGACCAAUGUGAGAUUCCUUAAGAAACGACACGUGGAAAACUACGCGUGACACUUGGCCCUUUCAGGGGCCGUUUAGUUAAAUGUAAAUAUAAAUGCAGUAUAGAUUAAAAUACAUUCAGUUAAAAAUACAGUAGUUAUAAUUACAUAUAUUUACUGUGCUUGGUUAUGUACGGUUAGCAAACGUAUUUAUACUAUUUUUUGUGUUUUAUAUAUGAGAUAUAUAGUGAGAUUAUCUCUUAUGUGGAAAAAAAAAAUUAUUUUUUUAUUUGAAAGAUUAUUAGGAAGGUAAGCGUAUCUUUAUUUAAUGUUACUUUCUCCAACCACUGCAGUUAGUCAAUUUGGGCAUGGUUUCAAUUACUACAAUUGAGCAUCCUCGUGUAGUUUCAACUGCAGCAAUUGAAUUCAAAUGUACAAAAUCAAACUACGAAUUUGAAUUUAUAUGCAGAUGCAAUUACAGUAUAGUUACAAUUACGUUCAACCAAACAGCGCCAAAUCAUUUUGGUAGUGCAGUUCUAUUUUCUUUCCAAAUUGUUUCAUGCAUGCUAAAGCAUACAUGCUGCACAGCCGACCAAAUAAUGUCAUUUUGCAGUGACCCGUCACCAAAGAAGCCACCAACUUUGAAAGCUCUGACUGACUGUCCCUAGAGCAAGUGGCAAAGGACUUGGUGGUUGGUACCCGAGACCCAAGUUCGAAUUUUAGUUGAUUCACAUUUCCAGCUAAGUUUAUUUCUAAAUAAAAUAAACGAAGCGGGUAGCAUGCUACCUUUCUCUCAAAUAAAAAACUUUGAAAGCUCUGGUUCCAAUUGUGUUCAACGGUCAAAUACUGAAUUCAAGGCGGGGCUCCAAAACUUGUAUAGAAAAGAGCCGCGCACAUUGAAUGCAACUUCGUGCACAAAAAAAUUCUAUAAAUGAGAAAAUAUUAUAAUUUAUUAGUGUUCGAAUGUAUCCCGUAUGAUCGGAUGAUCUAUGUACAAAAUUUUUCUAUGCACAAAAUUGUAGAGAUAUAAGAUCAUCUUUGUCUUUGCUUUUAUUUUCCUCUGUAGUUAUAACUGUUUAAAGAACUGAGAUCGAAUCCGUAAAAGAUUAAUAAAUGCACCUUAGAAUUGAACCUGCUACUAUAUUAUUUAAAAAAUUAAUUAAAAAAUAAUUUAAAAACAUUAUUUUAUAUAAUUUUAUUCAACAAAACUAUAUAUAUAUAUAUUCCAUCCCAAUAAAAAAGACAAAUAAAACAUGGUAAUUUAAUAAGAGCGGCAUACUAUUUGUAUACCUAUAGCUAAAGUAUAAUUCUUACAUCUUAAUCAUCUGAGGACUAAUAAUUUACUCUCUUGUCUUUCCAGGUUAUAUUUUAAUACAAAAUUUUCUUUUAAAAAAAGUUAAACUCUUGGAUGUAUAAAUAUAAAUUUCUUUGUCAUAUCAGCUAUUUUUUUUAGGUAAAAAAUAUAUAGAACUUAUAUAUUGGAGCAUUUAGAUCUAGCUACUCAAUAUGUCAAAAUUUGGAGUUUACUAUCGAUUCUUUCGAUUUGUUUGAUUUGAGUCAGUCAAGUAUUUUGACCUCAAAAUUUGAAUACAUUGUUAAUCUUUACAGUUUUAAUUAGUAUAUCUCAUACAAUUUUCACAACUAUAAGUUCAUUAACAUAAAUAAUUAGCUUAAAUUUUAAAAUCAAAGUAUUGUUGACUAAAUCAAAUCCAACCAAUUGAAAGGUUGGUCGCUAAAAUCAAACAUUUGAUUUGGCUACUCAACCUUUCAAAAUUUUGAUUUGAAUCGGUCGAUGCGUCGAUAGUUCGACUUCAAAUUUUAAACUAAUUUCUUAGAUGAAAAUAUAGUUAUGAGAAUAUAUUGCAUGAAGUGUACUAUCUGAACCUAUAAAGAUAAAGAUAAACAACGUGUUCAAAAUUUUUAAGUCAUUGAUUGAUUCAAAUCAAGCAAAUUGAAAAGUUAAAUAGUAAAAUCAAAAUUUUAAAAAAUUGAAUACGUAGCUAACUCCGAGUAGUCUAUAAUUCAGAUAAGUUCUGUUCCUUUGUAUUUUUUUGCCCGCGUUGAGAAUGCAAUUCAACAGCUGCAUGCAAACUUCUUGCCCAAGUUUGGUUAAAGAAACAAAGUUCGUCUCCUUUGUGGAAGAACUUCAUCUCCUUCGUGAAUCAAAAAGGAAAAGAGAAAAGGCAAAGUGAGAGAGAGAUACGAAGUUUAAUUUUGAGCCAUGCUCUAGUGUGAGAAAAUAAUGUGUAAAAUUAUUCAAACCGUCUAAUUUAUUGCAUAUAUACAAUUACUCUUCCUAGGUGUUUUUUAUGAUAUAGCUGUUCCGUUAACGUGUGAUAAUUUUAUGCUAUUUUUUAAAAAUCAAGAGGUGAUUUUUUUUUUUUUUUUCUGUUUUGAAAACCUAUACAGGAUGGAUUAAUUGUCACAUAAGAUGAUUUAAAAUACAUGGGCUGUGACACUUUUUUUUUAGAAGGGUGAUCUUAAAUUAUACACGCUGAAUUUACAUAUAUGCAUUUAAUAUAAAAUGAAAAUAGAGGCUAAUGUGGAAAAAGAGACGGGCUUUUUUAUAAAAUGAUCCUCCAGAAAUUUGAAUUUGGCAAAAUAACCCUACCAAAAUUUUAUUUGUAAAACUAAUCCUACUUUCGCAACGUGGGCGUCACGUCAGGAAUUCCUCAAAAAUACGAUGAAUCGUUCACCGCCUUUAUAAUAUUUAUUGUGAAGACAAUGAAUGGUUUACCGCCAAUCCUUACUCUAAUAUUAAUAGAUAAAAUAAAGUUAAAAAAUAUAUAUAUAUAUAAAAAAUUAUAUUUCUUUGUUUUUUUAUGAGAUCGUAGAAAAUAUAUAUAUUAUAACUGUCUCGUUACGAUAAAAAAAUCUUAAUAUUAUGUAUACAAAUAAAUAGCAUAUUAUUAAUACUCAAUGUAAUCUCCGCAUAAUUUCAAACGAGAUCUUAAUAAAAUAUUUGCCAUUAUACAGGGCACUUCAAGAUUUAGACAAAAUAAAUAAAUAAUAUCCAAAAAAUGAGGCAUGUGAUAAAAGCUUAACUCAGUCAUGUAGAUCAAAAGGAGAGAGAGAAUGUGGACCCAAACCAUGCAUGGACCCAAAAAAGAGAGAGACCUAGAGAGAGAGAGAGGAAGACCAAUAUUGACCCAAAAAGAAGAGAGAGAGAGAGAGGGGGGGUUAGAGAGAGAGAGAGAGAGAGAGAGAGCACUCCUCUAUAAAAGGUCCAAAGAUGAGAAGCAUUGAAUUAAGUCAAUCCCCUUCUAACUUAUGGGUUGUGGUGACAAUUACCUUCUCCUCCAUUUCUCCUCCCUUAUCAUAUGUUAUCACCUUCACCACUAUUCCUCUUAUAAUUCCCUCGCCUCCUCCUCUUCUCUCACUUCUCAAACCCCUUCUCACCACCAACCUAAACACAUACUAUGUUAUAACCAGUUCUAACUUAGCACAUCUUAAGCAGUAGUAGUAGUAGUAGUAGUAGUAAACAAUUUAUCUCCUCUUCAACUGAUCCGAGUUUCAUGGAUUAUUCUUGUUAUUCUUUCUCGCUUCUCCUCCUCUUCUUAUUUGGAUCAGGUACAAUUAAUUAUACACUUUACUUAUCAUUUGAGUUGGAUUUUAAUUGCGAUAUGUAUUUACGUACGUGCGUGUUGUUGCAGGGUCCGUGAGUUGCACCACGUUCACGUUCGUGAACCGGUGCGGCGACACGGUGUGGCCGGGCAUGCUAUCAAACUCUGGGAGGUCGCCGCUCGAGACCACCGGGUUCGCCCUCCCCGCCGGCGGGUCCCGCUCGCUUCUCGCCCCGACCGGCUGGUCCGGCCGCUUCUGGGGGCGGACCGGGUGCUCCUUCGACCCGGCCGGGCGCGGCUCGUGCUCGACGGGGGACUGCGGCUCCGGCCAGGUCGAGUGCAACGGCGCGGGCGCCGACCCUCCGGUGACGCUCAUCGAAUUCACGCUUGCAGGUACCGAAUAUAAAAUAUCCAAAUGCCAUUCUCUGAUAGUUUAAGUCUAGAAUGUCAAAGGAAUAUAAGAUUUGUAUUAAGACAUGUUGGGGAGAAUUUUUAUCUUUUUAGAUAAUAUGGUAUCAAGAGGUUCUGAAUUUGAUUUCGUUAUUUUUAUGAUGUGACAUAAUUUAGUGAAGUGACUAGCUAUUAAUGUGUGGAAAAUGAAAAUGUUAUUGGUAAUUUAAGUUUUUAGAGUAAACGAUUAUUCGCUGGUCAGAAGGCUCCGACGGAAAAGACUUCUACGACGUGAGCCUGGUGGACGGCUACAACCUGCCGGUGGUGGUGGAGGCGACCACCACCGCCAUCAAUACAGCCUCCACCACCGCCGACACUGACACCGUCGGGUGUGCGGCGACGGGGUGCGCAGCCGACCUGAACCAGCGGUGCCCGGCUGAGCUGAAGGUGGGGGACGGGGAGGCGUGCCGGAGCGCGUGCGAGGCGUUCGGGACGCCCGAGUACUGCUGCAGCGGCGAGUUCGGCAGCCCGGACACCUGCCGGCCGUCAGUGUACUCGCAGAUGUUCAAGUCGGCGUGCCCGCGGUCGUACAGCUACGCCUACGACGACGCCACCUCUACCUUCACCUGCGCUACAGCCGCCGCCGCCGACUACGUCAUCACCUUCUGCCCUGACUCCACAGUCAGGUGAGAAAUAAAAACAAUCCCAUGACUCAUAUUUCUUCACUAGUCUUAUCAUUUUUUUAUUUUUUUUCCGCUAGUCUUCUGAGGGGUCUUCUUUUUUUUUAAAAAAAAAAAAAAAUUUUACUCUGAAGGGAUUUGAUGGAAAGGUUCUAAAUUUGGAUCAUUUUGUACUUAAGCUAAUUUGUUUUUGUUUGGUUUUAAUAUCUUAUAAUUUUUUUUUUUUUUUACUUUUGGUCAGUAUAAGUUUGACAAAUAAAAGAUUAAUAAUUAAUGAUGUAUAAGACAUACAUGACUCAUUUCAGGAACAAAAAAGAAAAAAAAAUGUUUGUGAACUUCUUAACUAUAUUUCAAUAAUUUAUUGGUAAAUGUUAUAAAAAAAAAAUCCCAUACUUUUAUGAGUUUUGUGAGUUAUAUUGUUCCCACCAAUAGGUGAAUAUGAGAUCUACUACUACUCUUGGCAAAAUCAAUGCUCAUCCAUUAGCUAUUACUUUCCUUUUUUUUUAGAUGCAUGCUAGUUGUACAUGUCAUGAUGCAUGUUUCACUUAAUUAAUAAAUAAGAGAAGUUUAAAAUAAAUAAAUAAAUAAAGAAAGAAAAGAAAGCCUGAAUAAUUGGAAAAGAUGGUGCAUGUAUGAUUUGGCCUAGCUCUUUUUUAUUUUUUGUUUUUUUAUUUGCUAUCAUGGAAUCUGCUUCUUCUGCCUCUACUUUCAAAUUGAGUAGUAGCAAAACAAGGGGAGGAUAAGAAGAACAAAAGAAGCUUUAUUCUCUCCCCCUUUAUUUCUUUUGCUUUGUUCUUUUCCCACCAUUUAUGAUGGUGCAUUGGUGCAUGGUUCUUGAAGCUAGUGGAUAUUGGUGGUUGGGAUAAAAAGUAUCUAUCUAAAGUUGGGAAAAAAAAAAAAAAAAGAAAAGAAGCUAAAAUGUGAUUUUUCUCUUCUUUUUUUUUUUCUUAAUUUUGUGAUCUAGUAACUUAGUUGAAAGUGGAGAGGGGCAAAAUAAUUUUCGACCGUAAACUUAUUUGCGUUGUCAGAUUCGCUGUAAAUUAAUUAAGUUCGGUCCUAACUCAACCUUUUCAAAAUGUUGCAAUCGGCUUUACUUUGAUUAACAGCAGAGUCAGUUAUUGGGAGCAAAGAAAAAGGAAAAUAAAAAAAAAAAUUAAUUGUUGUAACUUUUUAUAACUCUCUUGUGUGUUACUGUGAAAAUUUUGGGCGAACCAUCUAUAGGAAGUGGGAACACAUGUUUCAAAAGCCAUUGACUUGUAAACUAAUUUUCACGUAAACUUUAGUUCAUCUGAAAGUGAAUUUCAGUUACAAAAGCAGUUAUGAACUAAAUAUAGGCCCCUAAUUAAUGAUCUAACCUUCUAAAAUGGCAUUUAUAGUUUGAUAAAUGAGAAUCAAAUAUCAAAUGACUACUUUUAAAAGUCUCCACAAAAGCUGAUGUGCUUGUAAUCACAUGUGAUGUGUGCUAAUUAGUUCAUACGUAUCCUCUAAGAUACUCCUAAUACAUUAGCGGUAUCGGAGAAACCAUAUAAGAGUAUCUGAGCAGUUCUCUUAUUAAUUUAGCAGAUUAAUUUUUUAACUAAAUAGUAUAAUUAACCAUAAAUUUUUCCCUGAAUAUUGGCAGCCAAAAAUCAACAAAAAGUAGUUCACCAUCAAAACCAUCAGAAGCAGUGUUUGAUGAUGAUUCAUGGAUCGCAAGUUUGGCCACAGGGGGAGUAAGCGCAGCUACGAGGAGAAGAACAUUCUCAAUAGUGGAAGCUUCAUUAACCAUUGCAGCUAUUAUUUGUUUCCUACUCCAUUAAUUUACUUCUUAAUUUUCUUGGGGGGAAAGUUUGUUUGUAGUUUGCAUUAGAUAACUCUGUUUAAUAUAUAAAUAUAGUAACUUAGUGCACAAAGGUGCUAUAUUUGUGGUAAAAGUUUAUGGACUUCAAUCAUUUCAGCGCAAAAUUUGAAGGUUUAAUCUCAGUCGUUCAUCCUUAUUUUAGAAAACAAAAAAAAAAAUUAAAAUGAAAUGAUCGUAUGAAUGAUGAAGAUUAGUAACUUAUGGUCUCUGGAUCGAAUCGUGCCACAAGCUAGAAUUGGUUUCGCAAAAGUCAAUGUAAAUAAAGUGUUAACGGCUGACAUUAAGUCUUCAAUCUUUAUUUUGUUAAUGCGCAUUUUUAUAUUGAGCUGGACUUAGCGCCUUCAAGUACCGCUCCCUUUGGGGUUACGAACAGAUUGCAUUACUCGUGCCCGUAAAUAAUUAUACGUCCUCAUAUCGUACUAAUUCGGUAUUUAAUACGUAGUUCCGUUGAAAAACCAAAAAAGCAUAUUUCUGUACGCUCCUUCCUCAAUACCAAAUUGGCCCCACUUGUGCACAAGGAUUGGGGAAUCCCUGCAGUCUCUUUAUUUUCAGAGUUUGAUGCUUUCACAAAACAAUCUGACAGAUGCUUUUGUUCACAUUUGCUCCGCAGAGCGCUUCCAAAUGAAGCAUCUGAAUGAUGCACCCAGAGAUACAAAGAGGAAAGGGAGCAUAUAUUCCUGAAGCCUGUAUCGAAGCGCAAUUUGAUUCAGUCUUUCACUUCAACAUAUUAGUCUCUGUCCUCGCAAAUCAGAAUUCAUGUGGAUCUUAACUUUCAGUGCAUUUUUCUACCGAAAUCGCUAACUUUUGACAGGAGUCGAGCAAUUUAAACCAAACAAAUCAGAUUAAGAUUGCCAAAAUUUCAAUACACCACAGCAAACAACCCAGCAAAAGAUAAGAGAAAUUCAACAUACAACCAGUUUAGUUCUGAGAACAACAUCUUCAUUGAUAAAGCAUGCCUAAAAACAAUUUCUCUUCGAUCUGAUGACGAAUCUCAACAACCAAAGAUUAGACAAUUAAAUAAAGAAAAGUGAAUCAAUUAUAUAUAAUGUUUUCCCCAAAAACUUUAUGUGAAUAACUUGAUUUGUAUACACCAAAAGAUUAUUCGGCAAAAUACGUCAAGGGAAUCUCCUAUUUGCUUCGCGUACAAACAUUCUCCGGCAUCUCUGCCCAGGCCUCUUUAGACCAAACGGGCGGCUAAUUAAUUGCUAGAUAUAUUUAGAUCAAAUCUUUGGGGAAUCUCUUGCUGUGUCAAAAGUUGAGAGUGCACUAAUUAAGUUGAUACAAAAGUCAUAAAGCUACUAAUAAAACAAAUAAGAAGAGUAUCAUAUUGGUAGAUAAUGUACCAAUGGAGACCCAAUAUGAAGCACUCUUUAGAUGGAGAAAGAUAAGAUGAGAUUCCGAGAAGUUCACAACUCAUGAUUAAGCAUCUAAUAAUUGUCUAAGAUGACAAGAGGUUCCGAGAGCCGGUACUAAAUUCACAACUCAUGAUUAAGCAUCUAAUAAUUGUUUAAGAUGACCUUAGGGUAUUAAAGAUUAAGAGCUAACAAAACUUAAAAGCUCAUUCUAGAACGUAAUAAACAAAUCAAGAGACAAAGUUAAUCUUAUACUGUCGCACCGCUCUGACGAUAAAAGCCAGAAAUCUCACAAAAAAUUGGAAAAUAAAAAAAAAAAGUCAGGAAAAAUUAACAAUGUGCUGCUGCUUCCUUUCACAAGUUUCAAUUGGUCUCCCUGUGAUUCGACUUGGUAAUAGUGUCGUGGAAUUCAUUGUUAGUGCUCCAAAAUAUUAACCUACUGCAGCAAGAUGUAAUCAGCAAUCACUAUCCUUAAUACAUUCAUGCUCAGUUUUCAAUAUUUUAUCAAAAAAGAAAAAUACGUUCCUCUCCUGCUAAUCUACCGAAAUAAGCUUAGAAAGGAACCUAAUUCAUGGUUCUUUAUAACAUGAUUCCGGUCAAUAUCUUAAUACAAAUGCUUUCUUUCCCAGUAAUAUAUGUUCUCACUAUAGCGCAUUAAAGCAACAAAUGGAUAACAGACCGGAAUCAAUGGUCGGACAAAGAUAGUAGUUCAUAAACAACAUGCAGGCAUGAAGUGAUAUGUUACUGAGAUGAACACAAACAAAGUACGCAUGCUCUACGAUGGUCAGCAGUGGAAUCAACAUGCAAAAUAAGCUCAGAAGUGAUAUGUUAUUGAGAAGAACACAAACAAAGAACGAUCGGCUGCUUUUAAGAGCUUGAAAUGAAAAGCUUGUUUUGAUAAGCAACAACCAGAGUUGUUCGUCCAAUUACAUGCUGUUCGAAGAGUGCUGUGCAGUCUCCUUGAAUAACCAAGAGAGUUUAGCUACUCACUCAUUCAAAACUAGAGAAAACUAAGAAAAACAAUAUUUGGUUUCUUAGGUGUUUGGUUCCUCAGUAAUGUCACUCAAAUUUCCGGAGAUAAGAUGUUAAUGUGUUUGGUUCGACAACCUCUUGAUGAUAAUCGUGGCAAUACUACAGAAAAUUUCCCAAUAAUAAGCAUGACUAUUCAUAUCCUCGCACUGAAGCUAGAAUUCAAUAACAAACACACUAUUUACCCUCAUGACUAAAAAAUUUCAAAUAUUUUACCCAAAAUCAAACAAUUACAAAUGAAAAUUGACUUGAUACAAAAGUUCAAGGAAGUGAAUCUAGAGAUCUGAAAUAUUACAUAUAACAGAUUUCAACAGCAUGAAAAUCACAUAUAAUAGAAUGAACGUUACACCUUGCCAACAAGUGAAACAAUCAAAAUUACCAUCGAAAACAAACAAGCCAAACAAAUGGAAAAAAAAAAACACAUUAAAGUUUAAAAUAAUCAAUAAUAAACUUCAUUUCAAUAUAGAAAAAUCACACAACACAACAAGUCCAUGCAAUCGGUAACGCCAUCAAGAAACAAUAAGCCAAAACAAUAUCAUGCAGUGGUAGCAAGUUGAAACUAAGCACAAUGAUAUCCAAAAUUAGCAAGUCCAAGUAAAAAUAUUUACCUACAUCCACCUAUAACCUGAAGAACAAGUAGCCGAAAAGAUCAAAGAGCUUAAACAGUACCGUUAAUCAUUAUUCUAGCAAAUACUUUCACCUACGCGCACGCAGGAUUCGACUAACAUAUAACUUCCUAAGCUCCACGGGCACUAAGUAGAACACAUUCAUUUUGCUUGUGUCGCUCGAUAGGAUUACAACAGCAUCCAUGAGAUCCUCACGCGAAAGUCCAUCAAUCUUCGAAAGCUCAUCGAACAGCCUCUGCCCUCUACUCGCUUCAUCUGCCAUGUAUUGGAAACAGCUAGCUAACUUGGAGAUGCUUUCGGUAAACUUUGCAAAACUCCCUACAAUUGAGCGCAAAGUUGAGAUCAUGGUCCUGUCGACAUCAACAGAUUUCCGCUUCGUUCCUCUACGUGUACCAGACCCUCUACCUUGAGAUCGCGGGUUUGAGCAGGCUGCCGUGUUAGGCUUCGUCCCCGAGCAUGCAGAACUCUGCUCUGCACUCGCGCCAUCACUUUCAUCCGCGCCAAGGACAUCCUCCAUCUCAACCUGCAGACCGGAAGCACGCGCAGCCAAUUCUUCUUGCGCUGUGGCUACCACAGCAUUUGCCAAGGGUUCUACUGCAGCUUCAGUUGCAUGGUCCUUGCCGAAAACUACAGAUAACUCCACGUAGGGGAAGGAUUUCCCUCUUAAUCCCGCAGCACUAGGAUGACUCUGCAUAUGUUCGUGUAAUCAAACAACUUAGAGUUAACAUUUAUGUAGUUACAAUAAUAUAGUAGAGAAAUGUAAUACUAGCAUACCACGACCCAAUCGUCAUAAACGCUCCUCUCGCAUGUAAUCGUCUUAUCCUUGCCGUCCCAACCAAAGCCAUUCACGGCUGCUCCAAGCAUUUCUGCUAUAGCGUUAUACUGCCUUUUCCAAAGUUUUAUUCGCGAGGUAAUGUGGGGUCGCGCUGUAAGCCCGCAACCCGGCAAUUUCUCGCUCAUCAAUUUCUCCAACUGUUGCAAGAACCCACAUCGAAAGUUGCCGUUAUCGGCCCUCCAGUGACCUGAAUUUGUGAGACCCAAUAAGCACUCGAUAAGCUUAUCGUCUUCCUCCUUAGUCCACUGAUGUUUGAUGCCUCUAUUCCUUGGCUUUCCUUGCGGAUUUCUUCGAGCCGCCAUCCUAUCAAUGAAAAUGGCAUAAAGUAGACAUCCGAAAAAAAAUUCUGAGACAUGAACUGAAUUCUAAUUCUUUAAAACCAAAUAUUCGGCGACAUAAUCCCCGCAAUUGGAAACAACUGAUCAACGCACAGCGGUUGAUCUCAAAAUCGAACGGGUAUUCCUGCAACAUCAAACGUCAAGUAGCCACCGCGUAUUCGGAGAAUGUAUGACGGCGAUCUUACCGACUUAUGCAACAUUGAUCGAAUUACCAAACAAACAUGUUAACAUGUAAAACAACAACAACCUGUAGUUCACAUGUUUAAGCAGCUGACGAAGGAGUGGGACCUGCUUAAUCCAGCAAGGCGAACCUCGGUUUAAGCAGAUCACAUGUUUUUUUUUUCUUUUUUCUUUUUUUUUUCUUUUUUUUUUUUUUAUCUCGCCCCCCGGCCCCCCAAGGCCUUUACUGCCUCACCUCUGUAGCCUAGUUCAUAUUCCCAAUGAAUGAAGCGGGUAGCGUGCUACCUCUUUCUCAAAAAAAAAACAACAACCUGUAGCAGGAUUCGAACCGACGAGUUCUCGUGCGAGCACGCCAGUAAUGACUGCAAAAAUUACGGGCUAGGUUUAUAGCAAAACCCAACAUAUUCUAAAUUAGAACAAUGCAUAAUCUACAUAGUUAUGGACAUAACAAAAGGAGAAUUACUAUGCAUCUAUAUAUUAGGAUUUGAAGCACCAUCACAAACAUAUAUGCAUCUUUUAGUUCGCAACUUGGAUCGAACAUAGAUCUUGCAUCAAACGGAUACCUGCGACAGGAGAAAGCGCUUUCGCCUACCGAGCUCGCUCUCGGGUUCGCCUUUGUACUGUGCCCUAGCUCCCGCCCAAAUACGAAAUAGAAUUAAUGAAUUACGCAAAAAUGUGCGGAUGGUCCCUGUACUAUUCCGGAAUUGUUAUUUCGUUCCUGAACUUUCGCAACGGGCCGUGUGGCUUAGUGUGAUAUAUAUUCGUGAGGGAAUGGGUAUCGGCCCAAUAUCGGCCCAUUAUUAGCCCAAAAUUGCUUUCCUUUGUUACUCAUUUUUUGCUUCUAUAUUUUAAAUAUUGCUCCUAUAUAUUAUUUUGAGCCUCUUCGGUAUAGCGUAGCGUGUCUCUCUAAAUUCGCCGUAACUUUUCUUUCAUUUUUAGGAGUGGGCUCCAUCCCAAAACAGCGCAAGUCCACAUACUUUUUUUUUAUUUCGCUCGAACCGAAUCGAAUUUUUCUUUCUUUGCUUAAAUCGAACCAAUCAUUUAAAUGCGGGCUCCCCCGACCCAGCUCAAGUCCUCCAUAUAUAUAUAUAUAUAUUUUUGCUUGAACCAAAUUGGGUUUUCCUCUUUUUUUUUCCUUGAAAAGAAUCAAGUCACACCUCUGCAUUGCAUUGGACCAAACUGUUCUUCUUCCAUUCCCUAUUUUUUUCUCUUAUUAUCUAACCGUCGAAUCACAUGGAUUACUAUAGUAGUAUAUCAUAUAAGCUGUAGAAUGAGAAGGUUGUUGCAUAUUAGAGUAAGGCUCUAUUUGGGAUUAUAAAAAAUUACGUUACGGAUAGUUAGAAAGUGCGAUAAAAAAUAAUAUUUAUUUUUGUAGCGUAAUAUUACUUUCUGCAUAACAAAUGAAUUGAUUAAUAUAUACUUUCUGUAAUCCCAUUGAAGAAAGAAGUAUGUUCUUAUAUAUUUUUAUUCUAAUUCUGUUUUUCCUACUAAGCACACUAAUACAUACCUAUAUAUUUAAGUUUCGAGCAUGUUAAAUUAUACAAAACAGACGGUGUUCUUCAAAAUAUUAAACUAUCAGAAAAUAAUAUUAUUAAUAUUUAUAUUUAACAGAGUAGUACUAUAGAAUUAUCAUUGAUCUGUGACUCAGUAAAUAUCAUUGAUGAGUUAAUAGUUUCACAUAAUUUUGACUGAUUAGUGCUUUACCUUUAAACUUAUGAUCUUAUUAAGGUGCCACAAGAAAAUGCUCAAUCAUCAGCAACAGUUCGAAAUUUUCAAGCAUAAAAUUAUUCCAUAUAUGGCUAUUGAUAGCUUCAGCAAUUGUUUUAUAUAAAACACAUGGCAUCAGUAGCAUCGUACAAGAUAUUCUACAAAGAGAUAAAAGAGCUUUUUUCUAAAUAGUUAUUUUUAUUUUAUGUAGAAAAAGCAUAAUUCACAAAAAUAUUUUCAUAUUCCUUGCUCAAAUUAUGCAUACCCACUGUCACAUCAUGGCAAAAUAAAAUUAGUUUGCUUUAUACAUUUUGUGUGAAUAUGCUAAAAUGGAUGUGGUAACAUCAAUUACAAGAACUCAAACUUGUACAUAUCUUCUAUGCGACCCCACCUUGCUGAUCCACCCAUCCGAGGAAGAGAUUGAAAAAAAAAGAAAAAGAAAAAAAAAAGUGUAAACUUAUUUUGGCUCUCAUAACCAAACUUAUUUCACAAUCCAAUCCCACUUCACCUCUAAACUAAUUUAUUACUAGCAUUCGAAAAGGUUGAAAAAUUAAGGGGCAAUUGUUUGUAUACUCUUGAAAAGUUUUCAACUUUCUAAUUUAAUUUUCUUAGAAGGUUAAUAUUGAAAAAAAAAAAUUUACGUUCAAACCUAUUUCAAAUAUGCCUCUAGAGUUAAAUUUUAUUAAUAAAUUAUUAAUAAUAGCUGUUAUCUAUAUAAAAUUACUAUUUUGUCCAUUCAAAUAUACCCUUUUAUCAUCACUGACUUUUCUUAUUUGCCAUUUAGUUAGGGGCAUAAAAGGUAUUUUGAUUUUUGCUCUUUUCAAAUAUAUCCUUCUACUAUUACUAAUAUUUCUUAUUUGCUCUUAAGUUAAGGGCAAAAGAGGUAUUUUAAUUUUUUAACUCUAAUAGAUAUUUAACUCACGUUUAACUCAAAUUAACUUAACGAGUAGCAACUGCUGAUGUUUUUUAUUUGCAUUCACGCCUUUUGGAAAGAGCCGCUAACUUCGAUCCAAGCAGUUUAUGUACCUGCGGAUAACGGAGGGUAUAUAUGAGAAGUAUAUUGGAAAGGAAAAAAAAAAAAAAGAAAGAUAUUUUCAAAAUUUUGAGAGAUAUACAGGUAAUUAUUCUAAAAUUAAAAAAAUGUAGAUAUGCACGUGAGGGAUUAGAAUCUUGACCUAUAUAAAAACCUCUCGAAAUAAGAAUUAGUGUACUAGGAAAUGGUUAUGAACCAAACAUUGCUUUGAUGUAGACCCAUUCAUCAAAUGUUUCUAAUUUUAUAAGUUAGGUAAUUGGACAACUCAAUCCAAAAAUAGAAGUGUGAGAAAAGCACAUCAGUAACUUAAAUUCCUUUUGUUAUGUGGUCCCAUCAAUUAUUCAUUUGUUGGGUUCUUUAUAGUUGCAUGGUAGUAGUGAUUCCUUGCACUAUAACUUGGGAAAUUCCUUCCCCCAUCACUUCCCUCUUCUGGAGAAUAUGAUUAUUCUUAAGAAAACACCAAAUACAUAUAAAAUAGCACUUUUGGUACACCAAAUAACUAAUUCUAUUUAAGCCCCUAUAUUUUAAGUAAAUUAUUUUGAGCUCUUGGUUUCUCAAGAUCUCAUUAUAAAUGUGGCAAAAAUUAAGGGGUAGUAUGUAAACUGUUUAAUUUUUAUUUAAUUAAAUUAAGCCUCUAUAUUUAAUUUUUUUUUAUUUGAGCAUAUGAUUUCUCGACCUAACACUCAAGACGCGGAAUGCUUCAACACAAACAUUCUAUAUUGUGCAUGGGAUGAAAGUGACGACAUUGAAUAUGAUGAGAUUAAGCCUAACACAAUGAAUAAGUAUAAAAAACAAAAGACUUGAGAAAAAGCAAAUUAUCCUAAAAAUUAAAAAUGUGAUAAUAAAAAUAAAUUCAGAAUUUAAAAUCUUAAAAAAAUCAGAUAAGAGUUAGCAACUAACUGUAUAAUUAUCCGUUUUUUGAAAAUGUGACGUGGAAGAAUGUUAGCUAUUUUGACAUUUUUGUCCCUAUCCAUCUCGUACCUUACGUGGAACAGAAACACCACCUUUUCCCUCUCCCUCAACUCCUCGAUUCCUCUCUCUCUCUCUCUGUUUUAUAUCGCUAAUCCGUGGACUCGAAGCGAAGGCACAUCGUGAGAAGCACGAGAAAUAAAAAGAGAGGGGGGAGAAGAGAGAGAGGAGAUGGACUUGUACCAGGAGUUUCUCCUCACCGCGCUCGUCUCGCUCCUCCUCGCCUUCCUCCUCGGCAAGCUCGCCGGCGCCGGCGAACCCGAGAAGGUCCCCGCCGUCGCCGCCGACGGAGGGCUCGACCGGGUCGAGGAGAGCUCUCCUUCCCUCGACGAGGCAGGCGACGAAGCUACCGAACUCAGAUUGGGGGGAACCCUUGCGAAGGCGAUGGAUUCGGUGGUGGAGAUCGAGAGGAUCGGCGCGGAUCCCGCCGCGGAUGAGAUCAAAGAGGUGGUGGCGGAGGAGGAGGAGGAGGAGGAGGAGGUUCGGGAGGAGAAGGGGCGGUCUCUGCUCCACGGGGAGGACGAGUGGGAGGGGAUCGAGAGGAGCGAGCUCGAGUUGCUCUUCGAUUUCGCCGUCAAGUAUGCGAGUAGCGAGAGCGGUGCGGAGGCGGUGGCGAAGCUCGGCAAUGGCGCUCGGAUGCGGUUGUACGGGCUUUGCAAGGUCGCGACGGAGGGGCCGUGCUACGAGCCGCAGCCCAUGGCGUUGAAGGUCGCCUCCCGUGCCAAAUGGUUGUGCUUCUCCCUAUCCUUUAACAAAUUCCUCAUUAUGUUUACAAGGUUCAUUGUUUUGCUCUGAUUUGAUUUGAAUCUUCUGUUCAUGCUUGAUUCAUUUUUGUCUCUGAGCUUGUUUGGUGUUUAAUUGAGGUUUUGAUUUAAAAUUUUAAGCAUUGUUUGCCAUUUGGAUCAUCUCCAAUAGAAACAGCUGAACACAAAAAUCAGAAAGCGUUUCUGAAGAAUGAACAGUUAUUAGAGAUGUACAUGAUGAGGCAUCUAGAAAAGGAAAGCACAAAAAAUAAUAUAGUGAAUUUCAAUUUGACCCGUACGUGUAGGGAUGUCGAUGGAUAUAGAUACCCGAAAUUUUAUCCAAACCCGAACCCGAACGGGGUGGAUUUACCCGAUGCUAAAUGGAUAUAGUUUUGGAUAUGGAUAUAAAAAACAAAAAUCCGACGGAUUUAGAUUCGGCUAUGGAUUUUGAUUGUAUCCGACCCGAACCCGAACUCGAAGUUAUUUUACAUUAUUUAUAAUAUAUAUGUUUGAUAUUGUACUUAAAUUUGUAUUUUGAAAUUUUGAUUUAAUGUAAUAUAUUUUGAAAUAUUGUAAAGAGAAAUAAUUGUUUCUGAGUUCCGAUUUUCAUGUUUGGACUCGGGGUCGGAUUUUAGAUUUUUGGUCGAGUUCGAGUUUGGAUAUGGAUUUUUUUAAUUCGUCGGAUUCGGGUUCGGUUUCAGGUUUCGGGUUUGGUAGUUGGGUUCGGGUUCGGGUUUUUGAAAUCCGCCCCGAAUCCGACCCGUUGACAUCCCUACCUUGUGAUUUAGCGCAUUUUACUUGUCAUACUUGGUUUGAAAAUUUGCACUAGCUACUUUGUAAUUUUUUUUUUAUUUCACCAAAAAACCCUUGCCAUCAAAUUGGAUAGUAAAUUGAAAUUUCUUGAAAUCCACCGGUAUCAUUUUUUCCAAUAGAUCCUUACAGUGAAAUAAAAAUAAAACAAAAAAAUAGUUAAAUGUAACUUUUGAACCAUCAGGGUAUCAAAAUGAAACCGUGCUAGAUCAUAGAAUAGUUAAGUAUAACUUUUUGAAUUACAGAAUGAUAAAGUAAAAAUAUGUCAAAACCAUAGUGGGAUAAAUCAAAGUUCACCCAAAAAGAAAAAAGAGUAUUAGGGGACAUCUAGGAUGGAUAAUGUCAAUAAGAUGAAUCUAGGAAAAACAAAAAAAUGUAGCUAUAGUUUGACGAUAAUCGUUCAUGAUGCUUUGUAACUCAUAUUUCUUGCUGCUUUCGAUAUGAGACUUCCCUAUUUUUGCUUUCCCGGCAUGAGCGAAGACUAUCCGUGAUCCAUGUUCUAUCAAGUGCUAAAGGCUUCACGCAUCUACUACAAGGUGCCAUGCUGUGUAAAUUUGAAAAAAAAUGCAAAACAGGACGGAGCAAUGAUUCUGUGUAGAUCUAUACUGUUAUCAGAUAAGCAGAGUAUGUACUGUUGUUGACGACUUAACCGAAGGCUCUCUUUGGUCUCUAGGAAUGCUUGGCAGAGACUGGGUAACAUGAAUCCAGAGACGGCUAUGGAGCAAUAUGUCACUCUUCUUUCUGAAAGCAUUCCUGGAUGGACGGGUGAAAAAAUCAGAGUAGGUUUAUUCAAAUUCUUGUUCAUAGCUUUGAGAUGGAAAAAUGUUUAACUUUCUAGCAACACUUGUUAGGAGGAUGCCACAAACUCUGAUGGCAAUGAUUCUUUGUUUACGGUGGUCUCUGCAACAGAGACACCUGUUACAAGUUCAACUAUCCACCACCAUCCAGAGCCUGCUGUUGAAAGGUAACUAACAACGGAACAAAUGUUUAAACGAACUUAAUGGCCAGUUGACUAGCGAAAUGCCUUACAGAUUACUAGAAGAUUCUUCUUCCAUUGGAAUUGAUAAUGCAGGCAUUGGUCAGAAAUUUUCCGACCAAGGUAUGGUGACUUCUUUUUUUUUUUUUUUUAUCUGUUUUGGUUUUAUAUACCAUAUUUCAUAUUUCAUAUUUCAUAUUGCAUGUAUGUAUUUCCUAUUGUAUGUACCUGAUAUGAUGUUUUAGUACAUUUCAUUUGCAAAUGCCAGAUUAGGUUAAACACAUUGCGUUAUCUGGGAGUUAUUCUCUACAUUGUGACAACACUUAUGGUGUAUAACAAAUUUUUAUAACAAAUUCUUAUUUACCCCUAUGCAUUAAAAAUUGCGCUAAUUAUCUCCCUACAUUUUGCCUUUGUAGAUUUGGGAUAAAUGGUGACUUAUGUUGAAAAACUUCACUAAAGAGAGUUUGUUUAUCAUAUUAUUCUACAUCUCAAAAAAUUAUAAAAUAUUAAAUAAAAUAGAUAUUUUAUUUUGCUAAUAUUAUCAAAAUCAAUAGUUUAUCUAAUAAUUUUAUUAAAUUUAUAUGAUUCUACUGCAUUAAUUAAAGCUAUGUCUGUUUCGACAAAGUUUUACAGUUGAAUUCAAUAAUUAUCUUAAUUUUUUUGAAUCUAUUUAAAGGAAUGGUAAAGUGCAGACCGGCACCGGCACGACCACCGGCCAGCACGACCACAGUACGGAUGCUAUAGUACCCGUGCCGGUUAGGCCCGAUCCGGCCCGUUACACUUGGCUGUGCUGGACCGCUGCUCUUGGGCCCGUCGGCCCAGCAUGGCCCCGCCGGAAACAGGCCUAGGUUGUGCUGUGCUGGGCCAAGGGAGCGUCCUGCGGCCCAGCACGACAUGGCCCACUUGGGUCUUGCCAACUGGGCCGUCAGGGGCCUGGGCCCUAAGGCUUGCAUUGGGCCUCGGGGUGUAAUCUCCUUGUGAGAAGGGCUUGGCUCCAAGCCCUUUUCCCAAGGAGCUCUCUUUGAGUAGUUUUGGUCCAAUGGACCAAACCUCUUUUGGUCCAUCGGACCAAAACCCUCCCAAUUCACCUUCUUUAAAAAACAAAAAUAAAAAUUUAUAAUUUUUUUUAAAAAUUAAAUAUUUGUUAUUUUAUAAUUAUUUUUAUAAAUUGUAAAUUCUUUUGAUCAAAAUAUCAAUUUAAAUAUGAAUAAUUUAAAUUUUCAUAUUUCUAAAUUUUAUAUAUUUUUAAAAAAAUAAAAAAUUAAAGUGGCCGGGGUGGGCCAGGCUAGCCGCUAGCCCAUUUUGGCCUCGAGUAAUUGACAUAAUUUUUAAUACAGGGAGGUGAUUGAGACAAAGGGCUAAAGUGCAACGGGUUUGUUUAAAAUUUAUUCAAGUGUUAACCACUUCAAGUCUUUAGAAUAUUCUUUGUUUCCAACUUAUAUCUUCCAGAGGGCUGGUUUUGUGCAUGCCAACAUGUGUGUGCGCAUUUUCCUUCUUGCUCUUUUUUCUUUUUUUAAAUUCUCAGCUUCAAAGUCAUUACAUGUCAGACAUAUUAUUAUUCAGCAUAGAAUUUCUUCACCUGAAUGUUGUCUGGAGUUAUAGAUGAUACAUUAUAUACAUUUGCAUAGGGCUGUACUUGGUUCAAUUUGGUUUAGUUUACGGGAAAUGUUUAAACCUAACCAAAAUUUUCAGUGUGGAGAAAUGCAGAACCUAAUCAAAUCCUAAAUGCUACUUCGUCUGGCGCAGGAGGAAUUGCAUAAUUAAUUGAAAGCAUGUUUUCUUUUCGAGUAAACAAUUAACCGAAAAUAUCACAUGCUCGCCUAUGCUUCUAUGUUAUUGAGAAAAAACUGAAACAAAAUUUUGAUUUGGAAAUCUGCUUCAAAUACUGUGCUAUGCAACCAUUGAUUUUACACCCCUGAUGUUUGAUGUGUGUCUCAUGACUUCCAUAUACGUCAAUUGUAACCACUUCUUUACGUAAGCAGAUGGUCUUUUUCUUCCUUUGCUUUUAACUGUACAAAAUUUCAUACUUCAUCUCAUUUUUUCCUUCUUUUAACUCAAAUAUGCUAUGCAUCAUCCACUUCCUUUUGUUUCUUUUGCUUUAUGGGCCUACAUUUUGUUGCAGGACACUCAAAAAUUUCCUGUUUAACCUGCACUCUCCGACAAGAGCUACAUUCUUAACUUUUCGUCCGUAAGAUGGACUUGUCCUGCUUCUGAGGAUUCGGAUAAACUGUGCUGCAGCUUUCCUUAGAAGAAGCACUUCCUAAUUAUAUCAUUGCAAUGCUUGUUCGGCAUGUAAAUUAUAUAGCAUUUUAGAUGCAUGUACAUAAAAUGUUCCCCCGUGCGUAUUGCAUUCUUCAUUUUACUGUGUCCAGCUUCUCUCAUUAGAGAAAUUAUCUCAGAUGAUUUCUACGAGUUCUGUGAAAUAAAAAAGAAGAAAUGCUUCUUAACUUACAAUGCAAGUGAUUUUUCCUGCUUCAAUGCUAUUUCUCUCUGCAAUGUAAGAAGCUUGGCCUUGUGCAUUAUUAUUUAUUCCAUCAAUAGUGUCUUAUCAAGUAACACGAAAAAAUCCUUCAAGAAUCAACACAUGCAGGUGAAGAAAGUAUAUGUAGUUACAGAAGCCGUAAACCAAGAUUAGCUCUUAACCGUCUGAUCUCCCGCCGCCGCCGCCGCCGCCGCCGCCGCCGACCUCUUUGAAUUCUUGUUCAUGUGGAUUCUCAGAUACACCUUCUUUGUCCGGACCGUCAAGAGCACGUCCAAUCCGAACCCGACGAGGCACGCGAACGCCAUGACGAAGAACACCAGGCGGUAGCAGUGGGCGCCGACGCAUGUGUUGCCGCCGCCGGCCGUCUUGGUGGCCUCUGCGUCAUAGAGGAGGCCCGCGAGGAGGCCGGAGAAGAGGAAGGAGCCGAGGGGGAGGUUGAGGAUGAGGAUGUUGUAGAUGAGGCCGUAGUACUUGAGGCCGAAGAGCUCGGAUGCAGCUGGGACCGUGAUGGCGAGGCGGAAGCCGUAGCAUACUCCGACGAUGACCGAGCCGAUGUAUAGAGAGCCCGGCAGGGCCAGGGCCAUCACGACGUACCCGACGGCCAUCAGGAUCUGCGAGGCUGCGUUCCAUAACGGCCGCGGAAUUGCGUUCUUCCUGAGAAGAGGUGGAAAAGGUGAGAGAGGUUAGGAGGAAAAAAUUCUUGACCAACUACAAUGCAAUCAAGAGAUAAGCUGCAGUUUUUCUUAAAACCUUCUCAAAAGACAAAAAAAAAAAAAAAAAAGGAAUCAUAAAAUUGAAACUAGUAUUCUCAAUAUUUGUAGAAAUAAGGAAUACGCACUUGAGGAAGUACUCGGAGAGGGUUCCCGAGCCGAUGCGGCCGAAGAAGCCCCAGAUGCUUAUCAAAGAUAUGAAGACGGAGACGUCGGCGUAGCCCAUCGCCGCGCCGAUCUGGCCCAUAUUGUUCAUCACCGUCAGCCCCGUCCCGACGCCGCAUAGGAACGAGAUGAACAGCACCCAGAAAUCCGUCGUACUCAGCGCCUCCGCUAUCGUGUGCUCAUCGCCAAUCCUUGGCCCCCUCCUCUUCCCCUCUGCCUCUGCCUCUGCCGCCGCCGCCGCCGCCGCCGCUGCCGCCGCCACCGCCAAUACUACCGCCUCGUCUCCCGCUACAGCCACCACCUCCUCCUUCUCCUUCUCCACCUCCUCCUCCUCCUCCUCUGCAUGCAGGAGUGGCUCCGAACGUUCUUCCAAAUCCAACUUACUCUGCUGAAUAUAAAAUAUUAAUUCAAGUACACGUCUUAGAUUUUAUUAAACAGUGUCAGAAUAUGAAAUAGUUAAGUAACGGCAUAACUCCUCAGCAUUAUGAAACAAGAGAUUUUCAAAUUAUGCCCUUUCAUGCUUUUAUUAGAUAUUAGAAUCUUUUAAAAAGUUAUUUUGAAAUAUAAACAUUGAGAAAAGAUGUUAAAUAUAACCGUUAGCUUAAGUUUUUAGAGAAAUUGGUACGCACAUUCCGUGCAAUUCUCGCCUUAACCGCCACGUAGACGGGCACCGCCGCCGGCGCCGCCAGGAGCAGGAAAAGCACGGCCACGAAUGCGGAGAUGGCGGCAACACCGGCCCCUCUCACCACCCCAGGGGCGAGGUCGAAGGCGAGGAGGUACACCGCGAUCACCACCGCGAUGGUGUUGAUCGCUGCGAAGCACCGCCCUUCCUCCUCCUCCUCCUCAUCGCGACCGCUGUCGCCAUCGGCGGGGGGAAAAUCGCGUAGGAAGAGCAUGGCAGCGGCGCAGAUGGCGGCAGGGGCAAUGGCGAGGAGCAAGAGGAAGGCGGCGGGGUUGUCGGGAAAGAGGGCAGCGGAGAUGUCGGUGAAGAUGGCAGUGCUGAGCCCGACGUAGCCCUUGAGGAUGCCCGACACCGGGCCGCGGUUGCGCCGGAAGUUGCGUAUGCACGUGACCAGCACCGCCGUGUUCAUCCACGUCGAGCUGUUCCCCCCCAUGCACAAGAACACGCACAUCUGCAUAGAGUUCGGAUAAAAAUUACUUUCUUUUCGCUAUAACUUUUUGUAUAAUUGUGAGGCUGAAGUUCCUAAGAUUUUACUCUUAUUCGGUAAAAAAAUAAACAACGUAAAAUUGAAAGCGUAAAAGAUGAGUUAAUAUUUAGCAUGUUCGAGGAAAUGCCUCAAAGAAAGAAACAGAGAAUGGAGACAAGUGAAGCGAAGCAUCUUCUCAGGUGUAGCUAGAUUGCACUUUUUCUGUUAUCUAAUUUAUGAUUAGCAUUUUCUCCUUUCUAUGAUUGCUAUUUUGUUCUUGCUGCAUGCAAUGAUGAGUUUUUCAUAGCAAGUAGUAAAAUAAUAUAUUUUAUAAACUGCAUAAUACUAAAAUAAUAAUAAGUUCAACUCAAAUUAAACAGUAAUAAUAUAAAGGGAAAUUGUCGUAAUUUUUUAAAAAAAUUAAACCGUUAUACCAUAAAAUUCAAAUUUAAAAUACCAUCGAGCAAUAUAGCACAAGAGUAUGUAAUUCAACGAGAGGCUAUGCUUAAUUUGAAAAUAAAUCGGAGACAAUAAAAUUUAUUCGUGCUAUUCUGCACGGUCUUUAAAAAUGGUCCCGACAAUUUUUUCAGUCAAAUCGGAUUAUUCUAAAUAAUCCUUCAAUAAUCAAAAAUAAUUAUUUUUAUUUUUUUUAGUGGAGUAACUAUUCUCAUGCUUAUAUCUGGCUAAUUUAAAAUACAAAUAAAUAAUAAUAAUUUUUAAGUUUAUAAUAAUAAUAAUGAUAAUAAUAACUGUUGUUAUUAUUAGUAGCAAUUGUACCACAACUAUUAUUAUUAUAAAUAAAAUAGGAUGUAUUAUAACCUAUAAUAAUAUGUUAAAAUAAUUAUUUUGUAUUAUUUAUAGGUAGGAGCAAUGUCAAAAGGACCCCUCAAAAGUUAUAAAAUAUUGUGGGUACCACAUCAAAAUUGUGAAUAUCACUAUCACUUUUGCCCCUGUAAAGUAAUAAAUUAUAUUAGAAAUACAUUUCAUCACAUCGACUAAAAAUUUUGGACUAAUUUACCCUUAGCUACACCUAAUUAUAAAUAAUUGUUUAGCAUCAUGUAGGGCUAUAUAAUAAAUUUAUUUUUUAACAGAAAAUAACUUGGUUUUCUUUUAUGAUUCAAUUUAUGAACAUGUUUUUUGCACACUUAAACUAAUUUAUUUUUUUAUCAACAUCAUAUAGGUCUUAUGUUAAUCAUAAUAAACAAUUAACUAUAACUAAAAAUAUUUCUACUUUUUAGUGAAUCUAAUUUCUUCUUUUGUAUAAAUUAAUAUGAUUUUUUAAUUCACUAUUUGUAUAGUAUAAUUUGCUGCAAUUAAUUACUUUUAAUAUGGUAUACAUUCAAUUGUACUUACAAUAUUUUCAAACAAAAUAAUAUUUAACUUAAUUAAAAAGGUAUUUACAAUAGAUGAUGGGCAAAAUAAAAUUUUAUUUAGUUUUUUAUGAAUUAUUGUUGAUCUAGAUAUUUACGAUAGUUUUUCUCAAUUAGAAGGGUAUUUUCUAUAUUGACACUUUUAUAAGGGAAUCUAUAUAAUUCAAGAUUGGAAGAAGAGUAUAUAUAAAAUUUGCUCUAUUUAUAUAUAUUUUGUUUAUUAUUUUAUAAUAUCUUUGAGAAAACUACCAAAUAAAUUUUUAAUUAUUCUUAAAUAAAAUAAAUCUUUAAUCAAAAAUAAUUUUAAAACUUAUUUUUCUAUAUUUCAGAAUAGUGAUAAUAUCUAAUAUGUCCUUUAAAAUUUUCAAAAAUAUCUUAUUUAUUUUCGGAGGACCAAAAUACCGGUAUUGAUUUUAAAAAAUUCUUUUCAAAUAUCUCUAUUUCUUUUAGAAUUUAAUGAUAAAAUUGAAUUCUACAAAGAUAUUUUGAUAAUUUCAGUUUAAAUUUAAAAAUUUUGAAUAGUUAUAAAAAGUAAGUAAGCAUAAGUGCUUUAAGAAUAACUAGUUAUUCCAAAAAAUUAAAAAAAGAAAAUAUUUUUAUGAAUAUUAACCCCCAACGAAACAUAAGUCAAAAAUUUUACAUCUUUAUGUAGGGGUAGUAUAUCUAAUAUAUCCUACAAAACUUUAAAAUACCUUAUUUAUUCUUAAAAGACCAAAAUAUCCUCCAUGAUUUUANUUUUUUUGAGAAAGAGAUAGGUAACACGCUACCUGCUUCGCUUAUUUCAUUUAAAAAUAAACUUAGCUGGAAAUAUGAAUCAACUAGAAUUCGAACUUGAGAGUUUGCGUACCAACCACAAAACCUUUUGCCACUUGCUCUAAGGAUGGUCGAUUUUUUUUUUUUUUUUUAGUUUGGAAAAAUAUUUUGAUAAUUUCAGAAUAAAUUUAAAAAUUUUGAAUAGUAGUGAGGGAUAAAUAAGCAAAAGCUAGCUCUCCUACCUGCCAGUAGGGGAGCGGCGCGAUGGCUCGGCGGACGACGAGCCACUGGGCGCCGUAACCGAUGAGGCCUUCGAGGGAUCCGAUGAGGAGUAUGGCGGGCAUGGGCAGGCGGUCGGAGGCGAGCCCCGCGAGCAGGCCGAACGCCUUGCCGACGUCCUUCGCCACCGACAGGUUGUUCAGCUGCAGCUGCGUCAGCCCCAUCAGCGACUUGAGCGCGUCCGAGUAGUUCGAGAACGUGUAGUUGUUCCCCGACACGCACUGCACCCACACCGCCGUCACGAACCCCAGCCACUUCCACCACGUCCCCCGCGACAACGACGACGUCACCGUCGCGGACGCGGUCGCCGCAUUCUUCGCCAUUUUCGACGUUGAUAACUUUGCUUAGAAGACGAAGAGGAAAGAGUUGUGGGGUGGGAACGAAAAGUGAGAGAGAUAGGAGAGAGGUAUUUAUAGACACUCUCACGAAACAAAUAUCUUUGAUGAUCACCAAGGGAAUCUAUCUAUAUUCUAAUAAUUAUACUGCAUCGUUAAUAACCAGACAAUUAUAUAUUUUUUUUUUAAUAAAUAAAAAUAAAAAUAUUUUUUAAUAGUCAUAGCGUGAUGGGUGUUGAACUCAAUAAAAUAAUCUUAUUAGUUGGAAACGCUACAUCAAUAAUAUAACUGUUGCAUUCUAAACUUUUUUCAUUGUAUAUGAAUAAAAUUAUACAAAACUUAUCUGAAUUUCGGACUAUUUUAAAUCGGCCUGGUAAAUUUUUUAAAUUUUAAUUUAGCUACUCAAAUUUUUAAUUCAUUUAAUUUUAACGAGUCAACGGCUUUCUAAUUUUUAAAGUUAAGCUAAUUAUGUACCUUACGAAUUAAGUAUACUAAUGAAAUUUGUAAAGAGAAAUACAAUAUUUAAAUUUUGAAGUCAAUAAAAAAAAAUUGAAGGAUUUGAUAGUAAAAUAAAAAUUAUAAAACGUUGGGCAACCAAAUUAAAGUAAUCCAUGAAUGAUUUGACUCCAAAUCCAUUAUUUGCGCCCCUAAAACUAUAUACUUGAUUAAAAAAUAGGUAAGAAUUGUGAGAAAGUCCCCUAAAUAAUAGAUUAUUUUUGAAUAUUUCUCUAAAUUUAUUACUUAUUCAUAAAUAUUUGUUUUAGUCAAAUUAUUCAACAAAAUUACUGCUUUUCAGCAAAAAAAAAAAAAAAUGUAAAACUCAUAAUAUAGUUAAUGAUCAAUAAUAAAUUUAAAAUCAAUUAUAUGCCCAACUAAGUAAUGUAAUUUAAAUUUAAGAAAAAUAAAAAUAUUUUAAAAAUAUUAAUAAAAAUAUCUCUAUUUUUUUACCUAAAUUUAGAUAAUUUUUGUAGAAUUCUGAAACAGUUAAAAAGACAUGAAUUAAGGAAGAAAGGAACAAAAAUUUGCGUGAAUACAGGAUCGGAAAAAGACCUUUUUUUUCUUUUCUUUUUCUUUUUUUUCCGCUACUGUAAAAAUCGUGCUCAGAGAGAAAAGGAUAGAGAGGGAUUAAAUAAAAAAUAUUACAAAAAGUAAGGAACCAAAAAAGAAAAAAAUGAGGAAAAAAGGGGGGUUAUGGUGGGGACAAAAUAAUGGUGGAAAAGCGUGUGAGAUUUGCUUCGGCCGUUGCUUCUCAGCUUCCCACCGCAGCGGUUUACUUAAGCCACUGAAACUUUGCCUACAUAGCCGGCGCAGAAAUUCGUGCUUGUUCAUGGUCCCAUUUUCCUAAAAAUGGGACACAUUGAAUGUACGUACAUUGACCAAAAGCGUGAUUUUUUCUGAUAUUAAUUUUUAAAAUCAUUAUUUAUACUGGUACCGAUAUUAAUUAUGUGAAAGAUACAUUGAAGGAGAAGGAUACCUAAACUAAUAUUUUAUCUAUUUUAUUAACAAAAUGUAUCUAAUUACAUCUUCGUUGACACCCUUAGCCAUAUACCGUCAUGUCUAUUGUGGCUAAUUCAUCUAAUUAAUUGACGUCUAGCUAUAUAUAUAGCUACGAAGUGAUAACUGAUGAUAACUUCAAUUUUUAUUUUAGCUAAUUAUAAAUUUUACUCUAAUUACAUAAAUUCUUAAACAUAAUCGAAUCUAUAAUUUGGAUAAGUUCUAUCUUCGGCUAAAUUUUUUAAUAUUGAAUUAAGAUGAAAAUGCAAUGUAACUAUGUCUUAAACUUGAGAUCUAAGAUAUCAAUCAUCAAAGACGAUUGAUGAUGAUAAAUAAUUUAAGAGUCCAUUAAGUUGCUAAUAACUCAGAAUGGUUAUAGAAUGAAUGGUUAAAUUUCUGCACCAGUGUGGUCAUCUCAAUCUACCCUUUGAACUUGUCUCUUUUGGAAAAAAAAACACACAUUUUAAACUAAGAAAAGCUUCCCAUGGUGGUGUUUGGGAAUUUCAUCGUUUAGUUAGGCUUCGUUUGGUUCGGAUAUAAGUAAGAACUAGCUGAUAUAAGAUUAGAACUGCUCGAACAAUAGUUCUUCUUUUUCUAGAACAAGUUGAUAAAAGAUUAGAACUGCUAUUCCAUUUCUUUCUAGAACAAGCUUAUUCGGGAAGAAGGUUAAUUAAAAGCUAAAUUUAAUUUUAAAUAUGAUAUUAAAAAUUAUUAAUUAAUCAAAUUAAUGUCUAUAAAUCAUUAUCUACUGCUUAAAUAAUAAAGGAGUUAAUUAAUUUAUUAUUUAUAAUUAAUUAGCUCAUUAAAAAUUAGUAAUUUAAUAUAUUUAUUCAUAAACUAAUAUUUAUAUUUAUCAACACUACUCUGGUUAAUUUUUUUACUAAUAAUCUAACUAAAAUAAUUUACUAACUACUUAAAAAUUAAAUUAUUUUUUAUAAUCAAUUAAUUAAUUAAUAUAUUUUCAUGAUCUUAUACAAUAUUCAUAGCUAAUAAAUUGAUUAAUUUAUUAAAUUAUUUUUAAUUUAAGAUUAUAACUUUUAUUCCUUCUAUUCCAAUUUAACCAUUCAAAUACUAUUUUAUCUUAUUCUCGGAAACAAUUCAAUUUUCAUCCAAAUAGAAAAUUGGUCUAAUUUCUACUUAUGGCUGAGCUGUACUUAUCUCUGAAAUAAGCAGUUUUUAUUUAUACCCGAACAAAACGCAGUCGUAAGAUACAAUUACAUUUCUUUUCUAUUAGAAUAACACUAUCCAUACGCUCUGUAGUUAGGUAUAAAAUUUACACCCCAAUUUCUUUGUAGCCUUUAUUUUCUCACUUAUUUUAUCAACUUUUUUAAACUCAAAAUAAAAAAAAAAUGUAAAUCUUUGAAUUUAAGGGUGUAGGACUUAUUCCCUAUAAAAAGUGUAUAAGUAAUAAUUUUCUUUCAGUUAUGGUUACUUCAAGUGAUAAUACCAACAUUCCAUAAAGUUCCCAACAUUACACACAAGUGCAAAACAUAUAAUACAAAUUUUUAAAAAAAACUGUAUCAAUUGCCAUAUAACCUAAGUUUAGACCUACUGCCACCUUACAUGGCCCAAAAACAUUGAUUUAAAGUUUAAAUGUGUUUUGGGCACCUGCUGUUUUUCAAUUGUGAACUUUUUAUUAUCAUUAUCAUAAAAAUGUUAAUGGCUAAAAAAAAAUUAAAAAUUAAUUCAGCAAUAAAUUUUUUUACAUUAUAUUUUUACUAGCAUGGCUAUAACUGUUGUGGUGGAUAGGAAUACAAAUAGCCUGACUUUAUCAGUUAUAACUGAUCGGCACAUAUUUAAAAGUUUAGUAAAUUAAUUCAGUCCCGAUCAGUUCCAAAUAGGGUUACAAGUAAGAACUAAAUAAUAAGAAAAAAAAAAAUCAUUCCGAAUUUAUUCCGAUCUGUUAAGAAAAAUGAGUGGGCAGUAAAAGACCUCUAUCUUUUCUUUAUUUGUCCUCGUCCACAAAAAAUUUAUCAAACGUUUCUUCCAUCACAACCCACCCUGAAGGACAAAAGACAUGAUAAGAAUCGACUCAUUCUGAAUCAACCCCGACCUGCAGAAGACACUAUUGGCUAUUUACACUACAACAGAAUUAGGUUAUAGGGACACAUGUUUGGGAUAUUUUUAUGUAAGUAUCUCAUUUAUGUCAAAACUUAAAAAAAAAAUCUAAUAAGGCCUAAAUAUAGAGCACAAUCCAAUCAAAAAUAAAAGGUUACUCUACUCAACCCACCCCAUCCAGUCCAUUCAGUCCGAUUACAAAUAAAAAAGGAAAAAAAAAAUCGAUCACCAUCUUCCCUUCUCCCCUCAUUCAAUCCACCGAAACUUUAGAGGAAGAGCCCUUCGCUCUCCUCCUCUUCCGCCAGUGCAGCCAACAAGGUAAAGUUCCGGUGAUUGCUAAAAGUUUAAAUAAGUGUUGGUAAAUUAGCAGUACUUUUUUUAGCUUAUACCGACACUCUUAAACUGUCACUAUAUGCCUAGUGAUCCCACAUAUAGCAACAAUUUUAAAAGUGUCGAUAAUUUAGCAAGCAGCAUUUUUUUUGACCUAUACCGACAUUUAAAAGUGUCGCUAUACACUGUUUUUUUUUGUAGAGUUAUCAUUUGGCUAAAAUAUGUCCAAUAUUUUGCUCCAUAAUAAUAGAUCCAAGAGACUAAUAAGUUGAACUGAUGAGUGUAAUAAAUUGAGUGGGAUUACGAUCCAACAGUGGACCUAAUAUCCAGAUAUGUUUAAUCAGGUCGAAACUUGUGAAGUGUUAUAACUAAGCCUUUAAAUACAAUAUAAAUACACUUAUUUUAUCAGCACGUAUUUUUUGAAUAAUUAUUCAGCAGUAAUAAUCCACAGGUAAGAAGGAAUCCAUUGGCCAUCAGAGCUGCCCUACUUUUCUUCCUUGUGUAAGCAAUAAUUUUCCCCCAUUAAAAGGCAAAAAUUGACAUGCCGUGGAAGAAUCACCUUUGGUGCCCACUUGCAAGUUGCAAGUGCUCGACCUUGUCACCCUGCUUUAUUUAUUUUUUCUUUUUUAAAGUCUUGCUUCUUUUGAAUUUUGAUUGGGUGUGGAAUUUCGAAAAUGAUGCACUCAAAUUAUGACACAGUAAAUAAAUUAGAGAUAAUUGCCCACGAUUAUCUCUAAAGUUAUUAAAUAACAAGUAUAUUCCGACCACACUUAAGUUAUCAUAUUUAUUUCUCUAAAAAUCGUUCCGUCUGUAAAUAUAUCAUUCUGUCAGCAAAAUUUAGAUAACUAUAAAUUAAAAAAUAUAACCACGGUUAGUUAAGAAGUAAAAUAAACUUUUUAUCCCUUACAUUUAUAAUUUGUAUUUCAAUAUUGAGUCAAGUUAUCUUUCUCAUCCUCUCCUCUUUAUACAUGGUGACGGCGAGAUAAACAUGAGAUACGUCGCAUGUACUGCAAAAAAUGCGAGGAGAGAGAGAGAAAAAAAACUUUUUGCAAGAAUAAACUUAUAAGAGUAAAAUAGUUAUUUUAUGCAUCCAUCGUUAAAAAAUUAACGGUGAAUCAAACGACAUGAACAUAAAUGAAUGAAUCAGAAUUUUUGAAAAAAUAUAGUUGCAAAAAAAAAAAAAAUUAAAAGAUAAAUAUGAUAAUAUAAAUUUUAUAAGAAUAUAUUUACUAUUUCAUAUGUUUGCAUCAGCAUGUAGGAAAUUAACCCAAUAAAUUAAGUGGCUAAUCCAAACAUUGACAAAAUCACAUAUGCAAUUAAUUUAAUAGUUAACAUCCAUGUCUCAAUCAAAGUGAAUUAUAACCUUGUUUUUAUUGCAGAGUGAAUAUAUAAAUCAAUAGUCACAUCCAUGUCUAAAUCAAAGUUAAUUAUAACUUUGUUUUUUCUGCAGCGCAAAAACAUAUAAAUUUAAUGAUUUGUGCUAGUUUAAAUGAGUCAGUAUUUUGUUCUUUGACGAAAGGUCAAGUGGGCUAAGUUAUUUCGAAAUAGCAUUAGACUGGGUUGGGUCGAAUCAUAUUCAAAGUGACAUGAGGCUAGUUGGACCGAGUCACAAUCGAGAUCUGUGGAUGCUGUAUUUAUACGCUUUAAGUGAAUUGGAUGUGUAUUUCUAACAGCUCAAGUUUUUGGAAUUAAUGGUUAGCGCUAACGACCUGACAGCUUGUUUUAUAGCUUCAUGUUGAUUUUAUUUUAUUUUAUUGGAAUCAUGUUAAGAGAUUUUAACUCUAAUAAGGCUUCAUGCAACCUGUUAUAUAGAUGAAUAGAACUCGUGUGUUAUAUAAUAAUACACUUGGAAUUUUGGCUAUGCAAUGUACAAGUUAAAUUAAUUCGAAUAACAAUAAUAAAAAAUUGACCUUUUAAAAUUAUUUGAGCAAUUUAAAAAAGAUUCCUGCAGAAUAUAUCUAGUUGGUAGAAAAUAAUCUAAAUUUUAAAUUUAGAAUAAAUCUGGAUCACAAACUUUUAAUAAUGGAAUAUAAUUUAAAUUUUAAGUUUAGAAUAUUUAUGAAUUAACCAUCACGAGACACUACUUUAGUAUAAUACGAUUAUGUGACCUAUUUUAGCAAUUUUUGAGGUAUUUAAUAACCUGUUUAAACACAACCUAGGGGUAAAUUGGGAUGUUUCGAAUUUAAGUUUUUUUUUUUUUUGAAACAAAAUUAUUUAAGGAAUCAUAGAAAUUUAACAACAAACCAAAUAACUGAACUAGUUGUUUAAAAUUGGCAACUAAUAUACUGAGUUGAAUUAAAAAAUAAUUGAAUUAAAAGGCUCAUGUUUAACGCAAAAGCUUAAACUAAUAGAUGAAAAACUUCUUAUGUUCUAUAAAUAAUGCCAAAAUUUUAGUUUAUAUUUAAUACAGGGUGAUUUUUUUUAACACUAGCAAGGUAAAAGGGAAAAAAUAAAAAUAAAAACAAAUAUUUUUUGUUAGCACGAAAGAUUUUUUUUGAGAGAUAGGUAGCACGCUACCCGCUUCGUUUAUUUUAUUUAGAAAUAAACUUAGCUGGAAAUGUAAAUCAAUUAGAAUUCGAACUUGGGUCUCGGGUACCAACCACCAAAUCCUUUGCCAUUUGCUCCAUGGACGGUCGAUUGUUAGCAUGAAAGAUGAAUCAAUAUUUGUUCGAUUUGAGAGGUUGGGGGCAAUAAUUAAGUUAAUUUCAUGAGUGUUCCUACAAAAAUAUCGAAUAUCAGAUAUAUUAUUAUAAAGUUUAAGUUAUCACAUUUGUUCUUUUAAAAAUUCUAGCACAUUCAUAUUUGUCUCCAUGAUUUGCUGCUAUUAGUUUACUGUUUGUAUUCAUAAUUCGUAAGUGAAAUGAUAAUUUUAUUAUUAUAAAUUUAUCUCUUCAAACAUUUCAAUAGUUAUAAGUGUGGUCCUUUUCUCUAUUAAAAUCAACUCAACUCUUGAUGGGAGGGCUCCGCGGGACGAUAGAAAGCUUUGUCUACGAGCAGCAUAUAUCCUUUUUGUCGCACCUUUUGAGUUUACAGGUCGCUUAGAGCACAUUAGUUAGUUAAUAAGAUUUUUUAUAAGAGGGAUGAAAAUAUGAUUUUAUUUCUUAAGUAACUAUUGUUAAGUAUUUUAUUCAUGAUUAAUUAAAUAUUUUCUAAUAAAGACUAACGGUAGGAAUAUACUUGCAACAAUAUUAAAUAUUGAAGGAGAAAAUCUAAUAUCUUUGUAAAAACAUAUAUGAAUUAUUACCAUAUAUAUAUAUAUAUAUAUAGAGAGAGAGAGAGAGAGAGAGAGUUGAACUGGGCUACUAUUAAAAACAAAAUUCUAUUGUUGCUACCAGUUUUUUAGUCUUUGGAUCAACUCUUUUCAUUAUUUCUAACCAUUGGAUUAAAUACUAUAACCCAGUGGGGACCACUCAACUCUAACCGACUAAUAUCAUUCUGAUCCUACAAUUUUUCAUCUAAGGGUUAAAAACUUGAUAGCAAAAAAAGCGUUUUACUAUUAAUAGUAUUCCAGACUAAUUUUAUAUAUAUAUAUAUAUAUAUAUAUAGAGAGAGAGAGAGAGAGAGAGAGAAAGAGGAGAGGCUAGGCCUGGUAUACUAUCGGUAGCACAGAGGCUCCGUGCUAAAGUGUUUUCAAUGAUGCGGCUUUCAAAUCGACAAUGCGCUUUAUUAGACUUGAUCUACACUAUAAAAGGUAUUUGGAAACUAAAAUUUCAUAAUUUUCGACAUCAUUCUGCUAGUGAUCAAAAGGUUUGCAAAAUAACAAUUUUAAUUGGUAGAUAUGAUGCGUUUUUUAAGUUCAGCGGUGUAGAAGUAUUCAAAUUAGAUGAAAUUAUAAUAGAAAUUCUACUUAAACAUCAAUAGCAAGACAUACUUCCGAUCUGAAAUUUGAAUUCUUUAUCAUUGUUUUUUAUGAGAUUUUCAUUUUCAGCCGUUCAUUUUAAACUACUCGUUUGAAUUGGUAAAUGACGCCGAAAAAUCAUGAAAUUUAGUUUUCAAAUAUUUUCAAUAAUGUAGAUCAAAUCUAACGGAGCCGAUCGUCGAUUUAGAAGCCGCAUUAUUGAAAACAACUUGGUAGCACGGAGACCUCUGUGCUACCGAUAGUAUACCAGCCUAGGCUCUACUCUCUCUCUCUUCUCUCUCUCUCUCUCUCUCUCUCUCUCUCGCUAUAUAUAUAUAUAUAUAUAUAUAUAUAAUUAUAUAUAUUAUAUGAGUAGAGCUACUAUACUAUCGGAAUCAUAAAGUGGUUGCUGCUUCUGAUUUUUUAGCCCUUAGAUCAACCCCAUUGAUCAUUUUUAACCAUUGGAUUAAUAUUAUUAACCAAUGAGGACCACUCAACCCUAAGUGAACCGCUAUCAUCCCAACCGUAAAAUCUUUGAUCCAACGGCUAAAAAAUCGGAAGCACCAACUACUUUAUGCUUCCGAUAGCAUAGUAGCUCUACAUUAUAUAUAUAUAUAUAUAUAUAUAUAUAUAUAUAUAUAUAUAUAUAUAUAUAUAUAUAUAGCAAACAGGCUCCGUUGCCAUCCAUUUGUUUUCGAUGAUGGAGCUUUUAAAUCGACGAUCGACACCGUUGAACAUGAUCUAUAUCACUUAAGGUAUUAGAAAUCAAAUUUUAAAUUUUUUCGACAUUAUUGACCUAAUGAUCAAAGAGUUUCAAAAUUUAUAAUUUUAAUGAUCGAUAUGAGGCGUUUUCUCGUUUAACGCUGUAAAACUAUUCAAAUCAAUUGAAUUUUGGUUAGAAAAUUCUUUAAACUAUUUAGAACAAGAUCCAUAUUCUCGAUCUUGAUUAUAAAAUUCCUAUCAUCACCUUUUAGAGGAUAUUCAUUUCAGCCAUUCAUUUUGAUGCCCACUUGAUGAACAAGAGAACAAUAUCGGAAAAAUAUAAAAUUUGAUUUCUAAAUACUUUAAGUGGUAUAGAUAAUUUUCAACGGUACCGAUCAUCGAUUUAGAGGCUCCAUCAUCGAAAACAAAUGGAUGGUAACGGCGUCCGUUUGCUACCGAUAGUAUUCCAGCUCAACUCUUUAUAUAUAUAUGGUAUGUAAUAUAUAUGGUAACAUGAAUAACUCCUAUAUUAGAAAAAAGUGAUAUGUUGGAUCAAAUAUGAAUAACUCCUAUAUUACAUAGGAGUGAUAUGUUGGAUCAAAUAUUCUCACAUGACAAAAUUUUAGAUUUUUGGCUUUUGGAUGAAAGGAUGUGCGGUUAUGAUGAUAGUGGUCCUCUAGAGUUGAGCGAGUAGUUAGUUGAAUAGCAUGAUUUAACGGAAAGAAAUAGUAAAUGAAUAAAUCUAAUGGUAGAAAAUUUAGUGGCGCACCAGGUGCCUUGGUACUAUUAGAAGCACCUCGACAGGACUAUAUAUAUAUAUAUAAAGAGAGAGAGAGAGAAUAAUGUUACUAUACUAUCGAUAGUACAAAACGUUUGGUAUUAUCAAGUUUUCGGCCGUUGGAUAAAAGGAUGUGGGAUAAUAUUAUGAUAGUAGUCCCCUAUAAUUGAGUGGGUUGUUGUUAAAUAGUAUAAUUUAACGGAUGAAAAUGAUCAAAGGAUAGAUCCAACGGCAGAAAACUUGAUAGUACCAAAAAUUUGGUACUAUUGAUAGUAUAGUAGCCGGACUAUAUAUAUAUAUAUAGUCUGGCUACUAUACUCUUAUGAGUAUAGUCUCUUUUAUACUCAUAAAUUUUUUGUCGUUAGAUCUAUUUCUUUAAUUAUUUCUAUCCGUUAGAUCGUACUAUUCAACCAACUACCUACUCAACCCAAGGGGACCACUAUCAUCCUAACCGCACAUCUCUUUAUCUAAUGGUUGGAAACUUAUGAGUACAAAGGAGGCUAUACUCAUAAGAGUAUAGUAGCCCUAGCCUAUAUAUAUAUAUAUAUAUAUAUAUAUAUAUAUAUAUAUAUAUAUAUAUAUAUAUAUAUAUAGAUAUGAAGAGAGUAGAGAGAGGAGAGAAGAGAGUAGUGCUAGCUGUAUAGCUUGGUAGUAACAAGGCCUCCGUACUACCAAAGUGUUUCUACUGAUCCGAAAUGUCCAAAUUGACGAUCAGCUACGUUAACUUGAUCUAAUACUAUUGAAAGUAUUUAAUAAACUAAUAUAUAUAUAUAUAUAUAUAUAUAUAAUAUAUAUAUAUAUAUUAUAUAUAGUCCGGCUACUAUCCUAUUAAUAGGAAGAUUGGGACCUGUUUGUGAUCCUAUGCAAAGUCGAUUUGAAUGAUCGGCUAAGCUCAAGAUUGAUAAUCAACACCUACGUUGAAAUUGAUCUAUCAGCAAUUAGAAUGUUUAGAAACCAAAAUUUUUGUAUUAAUUAAAAAUUCAUUAUCAGGUUCAUCUAUAAAGAGUUGAAAAAUGAACGCGUCAUAAAUGAAGUAAUCUUCUAAAGAUCAGAGGUUAGACUUUCUCAGUUCGUAAUCAGAGUUAUCAAACAUUAUCUAAAUAGUAUAAAGAAUUUUUUAUCAAAAAUUUAAGCAAUUUGGAUUGCUCUACACCGUUAAACAAGCAAACGGCUCAUAUAGGCCGUCAAAAGUUAUCGAUUUUACGACACUUUGAUCACCAUGUAAAUCAGUAUCAAAAUUUAUGAAAUUUAGUUUCUAGAUAUUUCAAAUACUCUAGAUCAACUUCAACGGCUCCGAUCAUCGAUUCGGAAUCUCGAUCAUCAAGAACAACUUGAUAGGACCAGUACUCCUAUCCUAUUAAUAGGAUAGUAGCAUUAGCCUCUAUAUAUAUAUAUAUAUAUAUAUAUAUAUAUAUACAAGUCUAUAGGUUAAUUUGAUGUGAAAAAAUAUAAUACAACAAGUAUAUAUAAUAUCUUUGACUUUAUUAAUGAGCAUAUAAAAAUUGAGCUUUGUGGUCAAUACUGAGCUAAAAUAACGGAAAGGUUAUUAGCUAAUUAUAGCGAAUUGAAAUCCAAUAAAAAAUAAUUAUAUACAAUUUUAAAGUCAAAUUUUGGAUUCAAGCAUUUAAGCCGUACUAACAAUGAUUAAAAGUUCAACAAACGUACAAAUAAAAUUGUGGCCAAUUUGUUCUCAACUUCGUACUGAUAGGAAGGAAAUUGAGAUCGCGUAUAUGUCUAGCUAUACUAUAUUUCAAUAAUUUUUUUAUGUAACUGACCGUUUCUAGAGCAAGUGGCAAAGGACUUGGUGGUUGGUACUCUAAAUCUAAGUUUGAAUCUUAGUUGAUUCACAUUUCUAGCUAAAUUUAUUUCUAAAUGAAAUAAACGAAACAGAUAGUGUGCUACUUAUCUCUCAAAAAAAAAAAAAAUCUCUUAUGUAAAAAACAAAUCAAAUUCAAAGAAUUUACUGUCCCUUUCCAUCAAUUUAAUUUAUGAUAAAUAAGACGACACGUUGUUAGUCCUUUUUAGAACGCACUGUCUCUUUCUAUGAAUAAAUUUACGAUAAAUAAAGACGCCACGUUUCUCUUAUUUAAUUCCAUCAUCAACUUUAUAAAGUUAUGCUGUGUUGGACAGCUAUUCUUGCCAAAAUGUUGUUGAAUCGAAAAAUAAAAAAUAAAAAAAAAAUCUUCUCAUGUUACAAAAUUUUAUUUUCUAAAAUUUAAUUAAAAGAUUUGUCAUCGAGUUUUAAAAAAAAGCUUUGCAUUUUCAUCUUUAAUCGCACACACAAAAUUAUAACAAUAACAGUUGUUUUAUAAGCAAAUAAUAAUAAUAAUAAUAAUAAUUAAAGUGCAAUUGAUUUAUUAAUGAAAGGGGUUUAUUCUUAUUUACGCCUGACUACUAUUCGAAUUUUUAAAUUUAUCCAUAACUUAUCAAAAUAUUCUUCUAAACCCAAAUUUCAUUAGGAAUUUAGGGAUAUUUGAAGGGAUUUUAAAAAUAAAAAAAAUAUUUUGAUCAAUAAGAAAUAUAUUAGAUAUUUUUAAAAUUUUAAAGGGUAUACUAGAUAUAAUUCUAAAUAUUUAUUUUAACAAUUGGUCUAAUAGAGAGUUUCAAAGUCACAAUAUGAACAGUCAAAAAAUAUAUAAUUAAACUUUAGCAAAAAUUAAAUAUAAGUAAUUAGUUAAAAAUAAAGGCCAAUUUGCAUAAAAAUCCAUAAAUUUUGAGCAUUUAUAAAACUGGGCCGUCAUUUUCGAUUUUACAGAUUCGGACCGGAUUUUUAAAAAAUUGAUCAAAAUAUUCUUAUUCUUUUCUCCCUGUCUCCCUUUUUUUUUCCUCUCGUUCUUUCUUUUCCUUCUUCGAGAGGCGGAGGCGGAGACGGAUGCGGCCCGCCUCGCCUCUACCCCCCACGCCCUCACACACGUCCACGCACCACCCGCCCUCCUAGCCGCUAACCCCACCAAAGCUGCACUUGUCGCCACCCUUCGGGACACCCCUCCUCGCAUCCACCCCAUACGCCCUCACUCACGCCCGCUCACCCCCCACCCUCUUCGCCUUCGACACUGCCGAGGUUGCGCCGUAAUACUAUUUUUUCCUCCUUCCAAACCUCCUCCACCGCCUCCGCGGCCCUUCGCGAUGCACCUCCACCUCCACCUCCACCCCUACUACAGCAGGUUUUUCACCCACUAAAUUCACUUCUGGGAACCCGCCGUCCUCACUACCGUCAAUAGCGACAAAGAGGAAGAGCUUUUCGGCGCUAAGAAGCUCGCUCGCUAGGAAGGGGGCAUGCAACCCAUAGGGCCGAUGACAAGCGAGGUGGAGAUGGAGGAGAGCGUGACAAGGCUGGAGAAAAAGGCGAGGCUGUGGCGAGCGCGGCAUCCCAGAGAGCAGCGGCGAGUGCAGCCUCGCGGGGUCGGAGGCAAGGAGGGCGAAGGGUGCAUGAAAGCAUCUCUACUCAAGCACUUUUGUUUGCUUAAAACAAAAUAAAUUAGCUAUAAUUAAAAAUUAGAGAAUAAAAAAGAAGAAUUAGAGAAGAAGGAAAAAGAAGAUAAAGUUGUACUAUUAAUAUAAAGUUACACUAUUUUAGAAGAAUGUUGUAAUAUUAUAGACGUAAGUUGCACUCUUUUAGAUCUAAAUUGUAUCCUUUAAGAGAAAAAUUAUACUCCUUAAACGAAAGUUGCACUGUUUGAAAGAUAUUUAUACUAUUUUUUUCUUCCAAAGAGUUCAACUUUCGUUUAAAAAAUACAGUUUUUAUCUUAAAUGGUGCUCUUUGAAAAAAAAAUAGUGUUAACUAUCUUCCAAAUAGUGCAACUUUCGUUUAAAGAGUAUAACUUUUAUCUUAAAUAGUGCUCUUUGGGAAGAAAAAUAGUGUAAUUAUCUUCAAAAGAAUGCAAUUUUUUUUUAAAGAGUGUAACUUCUAUCUUAAAAGGUACAGUUUAUAUCUCAAAAAGUGCAACUUAUGUCUAUAAUAGUGUAACGUUCUUCUAAAAUAGUGUAAUUUUAUCUUAGCAGUGUAACUUCAUCUUUUUCUUUCUUCUUCUCUAGUUUUUCUUUAUUAUUAUCUAGUUUUUGGUUUCUAGUUAAUUUUUUUUGUUUUAAGAAAACAAAAGUGCUUGACCAGAGAUGCUCUCGUGCACCCCCCGCCCUCUUCGUCUUCGACCAAGUCGAGGCCGGGCUCGCCGCUGUCCUCUGGGAUGCCGCCGCCCCGCCCUCUUCUCUGGCGUCGUUGCGCUGUCCUACGUCUCCACUUCNCUGUGCUCGCCGCUGCCCUCUGGGACGCCACGCUCGCCGCCGCCUCGCCCUUUUCUUCGACGUCGUCAUGCUCUCCUCCGUCUCCACCUCACUCGUCAUCGGCCUCGAAUGGGCGCGAUGAGUCGCAUCACUCCUCCCCCUCCAGCGAGCUUUUUGAUCCCAAGAAACGCUUUCUUUUCGUCGUCGUCGGUGUAGUGAGGACAGCGAGUUCCCAGAAGUGGGUUUGGUGGGUGAAAAAUCUACUGUAGUGGAGGUGGAGGUGGAGGUGGAUUGCGAAGGGUUGCGGAGGCGGUGAGGAGGUUCGGAAAGAAAAAAAAUAAAGAGGACCGCGACGCAGCCUUGGCGGGGUCAAAGGCGAGGAGGUCGGGGGGUGAGCGGGUGUGGGUGAGGGCGCAUGAGGCAGAGGCAAGAAAGGGCGUCCUAAAGGGCGACGGCAAGGGCAGCCUUGGCUAGGUCGGAGGCGAGGAAUGCAGGUGGUGUGCAGACGCGGACGAGGGCGCUGGUGGCAGAGGUGAGGCCGGCCGCUUCCCUCCUCCGCCUCUCGAAGAUGGAAAAACAAAGAACUAAGAAUAAAAAAUAAAAAAAAAAGGAGAAAGAGAAUAGAAUAUAGAUAUUUUGGUCAGUUUUCUGAAAAUCCAAUCCGAAUUUACAAAAUCGCAAAAGACAUUCUAAUUUUACAAGAGCUCAAAACUUAUAAAUUUUUUAUACAAAUUGGCCAAAAUAAAUAUUUAAAAUCAUAGGACAUGACAUGAUAUGAUGGGAUGAGAAGUCGAGCUCCUUUCACUCCGAGUCAUAACAAUAAAAUCAUAUAAAUUUUAUUUUCACUAUCAUUUAUUUUCAUCGAAAUAUUUUAUAUUUAAAAAAAUUUUAUUUUACUAUCAAAUUUUUAAUUUAUUUUACUUUAGUCAUAACUUCAAAAUUUGAACGGACUAUUUAUCUUAUGGAUUUAAUUAAUAUACUUUUAUGUAAUGUACGUAACAAUAAAUUUAUUAAUGUAAGCAAUUAGUUUAAAUUUAGUAUCAAAAAAAUUAUUAGAUUCUUUAAAUUAAAUAAAUUAAAAAAUUAGAUAUUAAAGAUAAAAUUUUGAAAGGUUAGAUAAUCCAAUCAAAAUAGACUAUAUAUAGUUCAAAUAAAUUUUUUAUAUUUUUACCUCUUUUUUUAGAUGACUCAAAAGAAAUACGAUCCAAUUUUACUACAGGUGAGAGAAGAUUGGACCGACAUUAAGGAGUUGUUUGGUUGCAUGUAAUUGCAACUCCACUGUAGUUGCAACUAUAUACAAAUCCAAAUUCGACAUUUGGUUUGAUGUGUUUGAAUCCAACUGCUGCAGUUGAAACUGCAUAAGAGAGCCCAACUGCAGUAGUUAUAACUGCAUCUAAACAGCAGUUCCAACUACAGCAGUUGGGAAGAGUUAUUUUCAACAAGAGAUAAACUUACCACUUUAUAUAUUGGAGGUAAUUUUAUUACAAUAUAAAUAAAUGAUAAAAUUUUAUAAACACGCUUAUCAACUACAUGCAACCACACAAAUUUUUUAUAAUUGAAAAUUUUUCGGCUGCAUCUAUUUAAACAAGACAUAUAUAGUUAUAACUGUUGUAUCUCUAACUAUAUGUAUCUAUAACUAUACUAUAUUUUUAAUUAUAUCAAUCCAAACUGUUCUUAAGAGAUCACAAAAAUUCACUACACUACCACAGAAUUUUUGUCAAGAGAUAAGCGUGCUUUGAUUGUGCUCAGUUUCGGAUGAAGCUCGAGCUUCUUCGGUUUUUGUGGCCUUUUUUUUUUUUUUUUUCCGGCGUUUUUGUAUCCCUUUUUUUCUUGAUUUAUUAAUGUUUCUUUCUUUCUUCUUUUCUUUUUAAUAUAUUUUUACCGUGACUAACUCCCCAUAUCUAUUUUUUGAACUCUUGAUUUAAUUUUUUAGCUUUCAUCUCUUGGAACCAUGUUGUUUCACAUGUCUAUUUAUUCAUUUACCCAAUAAAUUCACUACUUUUCUCAAAAACAAACGAUUUUCUUUAGAAGCUAAAAUUUUUCCUUUCCAAAUUCUCAAUUUUUUUUUUAGCCUCAAUUAAUUCAGCUGAAAAUUAAGGUCUUAGAUUUUUUUUUUUUUUUUUUAUGACACAUGGAACAUACUAAAACUCAGAAACUCGAAACUCAGUUUAGUUGACUCAACGUAGCCAGAUUUUGAGGCUAAUUCGCUACAAAAAUAUGGCAGCACUAAAUUCGGAGUCAAAUAUAGUCAAACUCACCUGGCUCAAUCUAAUUACUUCAAAUUCAGAUGGAGUUCGAAUUAUUUAUUAAAUUUCACAUGAUGAUAACGCAUAAUAAUUUUCUGCUUAAUAGUUAAUAUAUUACGCCACUUGGUAUCCAGAGGUAUGAAACAGUAAUAUUAGAACAUUUUUAUUAUUAAUAAUUAAAAUACAAUAAAUAAAUAAAUAAAUAAAUAAAUAUAUAUAUAUAUAUAUAUAUAUAUUUGUUAGAGGAUUUGAGGAGGAAGGAAAAAAAGUGACACAUCUUCUCUGAACCCUUAGACUAUAGCAAUGAAAAUUUGUAGCUAUUGUCGCGUCCUAUUUAAUGUAGCUUUUAUUUUAAAUUUGUACUCUACCAAUUGUUCAAAUUUUUUUAAAUUUGAAAUUUAAUUGUACUUUUAUUUCUCUCCAUGGCCAAUUUAUUAUCUUUUGGCCAGUCACAGCAUACAUGAUAGCUAGGUACAAAUGCAGGUCCCUGGGCUUAACGAGCAAUUUCGUUUGUUGCUUUCAACAUCACAAAAUGAACUUUUUAGGUAUAGUGCAAAUUCUAUUUACAUUAGUGGAUAUUUUAGAAGAGAUUUUGUAGUGUCUCGGGAGAUUAGUUGUUGAACUCACUGCAGCACCAGUGGCUUGUCGUUAUAUUUGUAAAGUGUUGAGACGAGUUAGAGUCGUUUUGGUGCGAAAGAGAAGCAAAAAUGGACUUGGAGCUGUAAGAGUUGGUAUUCGGACACUGAAAUCUGCAAAAAUAGAAUUUUGAGUGUUGAGUACCAGUAUCUGAGAAGUGUACCGGUACUCCAGAAGGAUUACGCAAAGGGGAACCCUUGGGUUUGUGCAUAUCUGUGUUGAGUACCGGUACCUAACCGGUGAGUACCGGUACUGCACUGAGUCAGUACCGGUAGACGACUGCAGUCCGUGUGCGGGGUACAGGUACCCAAAUUGAGUACCGGUACGUACCCAGGCGGUAGAUUUGAGUUGGUAAGAAAUCUUUUGGUCAUUUUUGUUGUUGGGAUUAUUCCAACCGACCCCAGCUUGUAUAUAUGUAUAGAGAGAGCUUGGAGAACGGGUAGUUCUCUCCUUUUUCUCUGUCUCUAGCUGGUUUUUCCCAAGUUUAGAGGAAUUUGAGGAUUAAACUCAUUUCGAUCUCCUUUGCUUAGGAGGAUCGUUCGCGCGUCGUGGGGUUGCUUCCGGUUGAAGCUAUUCCGGUGCGGGGUUUCUUCUAUCUACUUCUAGCCGGUGUUGGACGAGCGUUCGAGGUGGGUUGAUAUUGACCGAACACUUUGGAGUUCCUUCUUAGUUGUCAGCAUGUGUUACUUGUUGUAGAACCUCAUAUUAGUAGUUCAAAUUUAUGGAUUUACAUGUUUUAUAUGAAAUUUGAAUUUGGAGCAUAGUUUAUUGAUAUUAGAUAAAUUUUUACAUACUGAACUGUGAUUUGACUUAGGAGAAAACUCGGUAAACCUACACCUGUCAGUUUUCAAAAAGUUAACAAUAUUAGCUUUACGAACUGCUUUUCUUUUGUAUCGCUGCUCUUAGUGUGCUAUGAAUACUUAGAUUAGUGUAGGUUGAUAUUGCGCUCAUGCUAAGGGGCUGAGCUGAUGGUUAGUAGAGUUGGGUUGUUCCGUACUGUCGGGUGCCAUCGAGGCUGACGAUGGAUCCAGAUUUCUAUACCUUACGUUAGAUUAUGCCGAGGGCACGUGAGCCUUGAUUGUUAGACCAGUUUAACCCAUUUGCAUUGACUAUAGCCUGAGUGAGCCUCAUUGAGCUCGACACAGAUACGCUUGCAUACUCGGUUGGGUCCCUGCCACGAAUGCCACUCCGAAGUGAGACUUUACUUGCGUUGAUAUCGCAGCAGUCCUGUUUGGACAGUUUUGGACUGGCCACCUCCGUGGGUGGUGUGCGGUAUAAUAGGGUACAAGCUGUACUGGUCAGUCGGCGGUCCUUAAGAUUCGGUCAGUGUGAGUGAUUUGUGGCUAAUGAUGCAUUUUUAUAUUUAUAGAAAGACUGGUUUGAAUAGCAGUAGUAUGGUAACAUAUAGCUGUAGAGUUAUUUUCAGCUUAUUUACUAUCCAUUAUCUAAUUGUUCAGAUUGGUACUGUAGACUUAGUGAAUGGGCCGUUGGGGUCGAUAAUGGUACCCGCUGUGAACUACUUUAUUUUGCAGUAGUUCUCACAUCCAAUUAUUGCCACCAUUUUGCAGAGCCGUCCACUGCUACUGCUGAUUCUGACCGCAGUAAGGAAGUCGCGAACUAGAUCCCUACCUUCCUUGGUUACUGUACUAGAGUUAGUACCCCUUUUAGAGAUAGUUUUGGAAUGUUACCAUGUACAUAUUGUUUUGUUCUGUUGUACUCUCUGAGUCGAGAUUGUAUUUUGGAUAUUAUAUGUACAGUGAGUUUAGUAUAUAUAUAUAUGUGUGUGUGUGUGUGUGUUUGUUUAUGUUUUAGCAGCUCUGUGCUUUGGUUGUAACUCCUAUUUAUUUACAGGUACAGUUAUCGUUUUGUAUACACAAAAAAUUUUUUGGUAUACGACGGAUCUGUUGACGGGCCUGAAAAACGUAGUAAUUCGAGACGUGAUAGAUUUAAUAUAUCAAAUAUCAAAUAUCAAACAUAGCAAAUGAAUCUCACGGUACAACAAGUUUGAGAAAGUUGACCGUGUAGUUGGCUAACUACGUACGUACCAUAAAAUAUAUGCAAUAUAAUUUGAGAAACCCACUAACAAGUAGAUAAAUGACAAGAUAAUAAAGUACAACAAGAGCACAAGUAAUUUACAUUAUUGGACUAAUAAUAUGUCGGUCUAUGUUCAUGGACAAGACCUUCUGAAUACGUUGUUGUUAUUAUUAUUAUUAUUAUUAUUAUUAUUAGUUCACCUCCUGAAUAAAUUUUUUUUAUUAAUUCACAAUAAAUAGAAGGAAUAGUUUUGGAUACAAGUAUCUCUCUUAUAAGAUUCUUCCAUGUUUUCUCUUUCAACUACCAUUUUAUAAUGAAGCUCCGAAUUCUAAAACAAGGAUCACAAUGGUUUAUAAAAUCUAGAAAAUCCAAAACAAGUAGAAAACGAUCACUAGUGUUGAUAUAAGCCUCCAAUUCACCUCUUGCCAUCUAUUUUCGCUUAAAUAAAUUUCUGACAAUUAUAAUUACUACUAAAUAGUUUUGUGGUAAUUAUAAUAAUUUUUAUUAUUUGUAGAAUCGGUAAACAUUAUUGUGACAUUAUUUCUGACAGUUGGUAAAAUUUUAAAGAAAUACCGUUAUAUAAUACACAAUAGUAAUUAUUAUAAAUGUUACUAUAAUUAAUUAUAAUUGUCACAAAAAACAUACUAAAGGAUUGCUAAAUAAGACUUAUAGCGACAAUUACAAUUAGUAUUAAAAUACUCGAUCAACAACUAAAUACUCUAAUGAACUGAAAUAUUAAGAAAUUGUAAUAACCAAAGAGUAGUAAUAAUUCGUAUAACAAAUACUUUUUACUCUCGAAUUAUAAUCUCGAUUUUCAAAUUAAAUUUCGAAUAUGAGUUCCAACAAUAAAAUAUUUGUUUGAAUUUUAGCUAAACAAUAAUAACAAAUUCUAAAUGAUACUAAACACCUAAAAAUUUCAAAUUCUAAAUUUUUAAGUCUCGUUGUUUCGCUUCGAAAGUUUACUCAGAUCGAUGAUAAGGAGUGGAAGAACCUGCUUAGAAAGUAACAUUUGCAAUUAAUACUAAAAAUAAGCGAUAUUAGUAAUAAAAAGUAAAUAUGGAUUACAAAGAUAAUCAAAUUGAGGAUAGAAUCCAAACAAAAUCAAAGCACCAAAAGUUUGCAAUAGUCAUCGCCCUCUUUGAUCACAUUAUAAUACUUCAACUGGAAAUUUAAUCUAGUUAUCGGCUAUGAAUUCAUAUAUAAAGUAAUGAGAUUAUCUCCAACACAAAAAAAAAAUGAUACUUAAAUGGUGAUUAGAUAGGAAUUGUAGUUCUUGUUUAAAAUUACUCUCUCUAACUACUAUAAUUUAAAUUAGCAACCAAUUUAGACAUAAUUUCAAAUACUACAGUUAAGUUUUCUUAUACAGAACUAACUACAACAAUUGAAUUCAAUUACAUCAAAUUGAUGACAUCUAAUGCACAACUAGUUUUUUUUUUUUAAUAAAUAUUAAUAAGUCAAGAGUAAUUUAAGUAUUAAAACUAGUGACUCAAAUCAUGCCAUCCUCAUAGGCUCAAAUUGAUGACAUCUAAGUGCACAACUAGCAUUUUUCUUAAUAAAUAUUAAUAAGUCAAGAGUAAUUUAAAUAAUAAAACUAGUGACUCAAAUCAUGCCAUCCUCAAAGGCUCCAAUCAUGUCAUCCAGCUCCUAUAUCUAGACCUGGCAUAUUUUCUUAAUUAAAAUAUAUUUAUUUAUUUAUCCAUUAUAAAAAUUUUAAUUCUAAUUUUUUAUUGUGUCUUUUAUAUUAUGAAAUUUUUUUACUUUAAGAUUUUAAAUAUUUUUAUUAUAUGUUAUGAUAUUUUAAAUAAUAAGUUAUGUUACACAUUUAAAAUUUAUAUAUAUGUAUUUUGCAUUUAAAAAAAUAUAAGAGCGGAAAUGAAAAAAUUUGCUGGUAACCCGCAUACCCACUCGCCCAUCCGUGGGAGGGCACGGAUAAAAAUGUUGGCUACCCAAAAAUUUAUGGAUAAAUUUUGUCUUGUCCAAGUAAUCUGCGGGUAUAAUGAUUCGUCCGUGGGUUAUCCAACCCGCCCGUUUAUCAAGCCUAUCUAUAUCUGUUAAUUCUCCCAAUACUCUAGCAGAAUCUAAACCUACAGCUUUGAAAAGAGGAAACAAGGGAUUAGCUGCCAAAACAAGUGCUCUAACAAGGCAAGAGAUUCCGAAAAUAACUCCUGUUGCUAAAAAAAAGCCUAAGGAUAAUUACUUUGAUUCGUAGCAUACUGAACCAUUAUAAUUUGAUAUAAUAGUUUAAGCUAGAAAAAUGGCGGAAAAAAGUUGAACCCCAAUCCCCUUUAGUCAUACAGAAGACUACCUUCUCUAUAUUGGGGUUCUACUGUGCUUUAUAAUCUUGAUUCAUUGUAUAUUGAAUCAUAUACGAGAGAGCUAGAGAAAGAGAGAGAGCAGAACUACUUACUCUUAUAAGUACAGAGCCUUUCAUACUCAUAAAUUAUUUUUGAUGAUGAAGCUUCGGAAUCGAUACUGCACUCCGUUAAAUAUGAUCUAAAGUAUUUGAAACCUCUAAAAAAUAAAUUUCGUAAUUUUUCAAAAUCAUAAUAAAGUCCAUCAAACGAGUAUAAAUGAACGGUCAAAAUCAAACGAUAUUCUAAAAAUAGAUGAUCGGAUCCUUCAAUUUAAGAUCGGAAUUGUUGAUCUUUACCUAGAUAGUGAAAAGAAUUUUUUACCAAAAAUUCAACCGAUUCCGAUUUUUUUACACCGUAAACUAAAAAGUACAUACCGACCGCUAAAAAUUAUCAAUUUUGAGAUCUUUUGAUCGUAAGAUAAAUAAUAUAAAAAAUUUAUAAAAUUUAAUUUGUUUAAGUUUUAAAUAAUUUAGAUAAUAUUAACGGUAUGAAUCGUCAAAUCAAAAACUAUAUCAUCAAAAACGACUUAUGAGUAUGAAGACGAUAGUGCUCAUAAGAGUAUAGUGACCGAGCUCUCUCUCUCUAUAUAUAUAUAUAUAUCCGCCUUAAUUAAUUCAGCUGAAAAUUGGGAAUAAAAUAUUAAACACGAACUCCAAUUAAAUAAAAAGGAAGAAGACGAGCAUCAAAUAUAAUACCAGUAUUUAUUUACUUUACUUUUGUUAUACAUAGGAACAUACUAAAACUCGUAGACUCAAAACGCAGCUGAGUUGAUUCAACUCGACCAGAUUUCGCGCUAAUUCACCAUAAAAGCUUGGCAGCACUAAAUUCAAAGUCAAAUAUAGUCAAACUCAACUGGUUCAAUCUAAUUACUUCAAACUCAGAUUGAUUUCGAAUUAUCUAUUAAAUUUCACAUGAUACUAAUGCACAAUAAUUUUUUGCUAAAUAGUUAAAGUAUUAUGCCACUUGCAUGUUGGUAUUGAGAGGUAGAAAACAGUAAUAUCAGAAUAUUUUUAUUACUAACAACUGGAAUAUAUAUAUAUAUAUAUAUAUAUAUAUAUAUAGUUGAUCUAGGAUACUUUUACAAGUAUCAUCACCAUGUUGCUAUCAGGUUUUUAGCCAUUGAAUCUACUUUUUGAUUACUAAUAGCCCUUGGAUCAAACACUAUUCCACCUACCACCACCUACCACCACCUACCACCACCUACCACCAUCAUCUCAGCCUCACAUCUCUCCAUCCAAGGGCUAAAAAUACACAAGUAUCACUUGGGUGAUACUUGUAAAAGUAUUCUAUCCCUACUCUAUAUAUAUAUAUAUAUAUAUAUAUAGUGCGUCCGGUAUGCUUCUGGAAGCACGGAACUCUCCGUGCUUCCAAGUUAUUUUCGAUGUUCGGACUUUCGAAUCGACGAUCGGCUCCGUUAGACUUGAUCUAGAGUAUUUGAAGUAUCUAAAAAAUAAAUUUUGCGAUUUUUCGAUAUCAUUUGCCUGGUGAUCGAAGUGGCUCAAAAUUAACGGCUGAAAAUAAAAAUAUUACAAAAUAUGAUGAUAUGACAUUAAAAUUUUAGAUCAAAGUUAUUGAUCUUGUUUUAUAUGAUAUAAAAAAUUUUCAAUCAAAAUUUCAUGUGAUUUGGAUAUUUUUACACCGUUAAACUUGCAAACGGCUCACCACGGCCUUUAAAAUUAUUUAUUUUGAGCCCCUUCGAUCAGUUGAGAAAUGAUAUCGAAAAUUCACAAAAUUUAUUUUCUAAGAACUUCAAAUACUCUAGAUCAAGUCCAAUGGAGCCGAUCAUCAAUUCGAAAGUCCUUACAUCAAAAACAACUUGGAAGCACAUAGGGCUCCGUGCUUCCAGAAGCAUACCAGCCCAUUCUAUAUAUAUAUAUAUAUAUAUAUAUAUAUAUAUAUAGAAUUAGGCUGGAAUACUAUUAAUAGUAAAACGUUCUUUUUGCUAACAAAUUUUUAACCCUUGAAUGAAAAAUUAUAAGGUCAAGAUGAUAUUAGUCGGUUAGAGUUGAGUGGUCCCCCUAGGGUUGAGUGGUCCCCACUGGGUUAUAGUAUUUAAUCCAAUGGUUAGAAAUAAUGAAAAGAGUUGAUUCAAAGGCUAAAAAACUAGUGCAACAAUGAGAUUUUGCCUACUAAUAGUAGCCCAGUCCAACUAUAUAUAUAUAUUAUAUAUAUAUAUAUAUAUAUAUAUAUAUAUAUAUAUAUAUAUAUAUAUAUUUAAUUUUUUAUUUAAAACUCGGCUUUCUUUGACCGAGUCACUGAAAAAACUCGACUCGAUUUAUUUUAAAGUGGAAUCGAAUUUUUUGAGAUGGCGUAUAGUCCAAACACCUUUUUGUUGGGGUGGGGUUAACAAACCCACCACCACCUCCAAAUGAGAUUUAAUUUAAAAUUUAAAUUUAAGAAUAAAGGAUUAUUCCCUCUUAUUCCCAAACACGUUUUGUAGGGUGGGGUUUGUUAAAUCCACCCCAAAAAGGGUUAUCCGACCACAAAAGGGUUAUCCGAGAUAACCCUUUUCGGGUGGGGUUAACAAACCCCACCACCCCCCAAUAGAGAUUUAAUUUAAAAUUUAAAUUUAUAAUUUAAUUUUUAAAUUUAAAUUUUAAUUUUAAACUUUAAAAAUUUUUAAGUUUAAAAUUAAUAUUUAUAAUUUUAAAUUAAUAAUUUUAGAAUUUAAAUUAUUAUUUUAAAAUUUUAAUUUAAAAUUUGAUAUUUGAUAUUUUUAAAUUUAAAUUUAAUCUUAAAUUUAAAAUUUAAAACUUUAAAUUUUUGAAUUUGAGAUUUAAAAAUUUAAAAUUUUAUUUUAAAUCUUUUUAAUGUUUAAAGUUUUAUAUUUAAAUUUAAAAUUUUAAUUAUAAAAUUUAAAAUUUAAAAUUCAAAUAUAAAUGACAAUAUUAUUAUUUUUUAUUUAUAAUUACCUACCAUUCUUAUUAUUAUAUCUUAUCUAUCCAAAUAAUUUUUUUUUUAAUUCCUGAGAAAACUCAAUUUUCAUCUAAACACAAAAUAAGUCUAUUCCAUCCUAAACUUAUACCUAUAUAUCUCAGAAAUAACUAGUUCUUAUCUAAUCUCGAAUCAAGCGAAGGCUUUAGAUAAUUAAUCCAAAAAAGUUGCAGUUCGGAGAGAAUAGCAUAAAUCCGAAAUUAUCUUAUUUCAAAUAAAUAAUUUGAAGAUUAAAUAUGAUUAGAUAUUUUACGACGCGUCUCUUUCGAUCUCUAUCUGGUGAUGAUAUACAGCUACGUUCCGUCGACCGUGAAUGACCCAAUCGUACGAUUUUUUCCCGACCUUUUUAGAUAAGCAAUGCUGUAUAGUCCAAACAACUGUGCCCAAAGAAACGACAAUUAAUUACAUUCGGAGAGAAAACAAAUCCCACAUCACACCUGUCAUUUAUCAUUUGAGCUAACGGUCAAAUCCACGUCUAAUGUAGUAGAAAAGACGCUUUGUUUAGACACCAGUGAAACCCUUGAUUAAUCUUGUCCGUCAAUAAGAGAAAAUUUUGUGGUGCACGAUACAAAGAUGCUGCACGUCUCUUCCAUAUUCGUAAAGAUAUUAGUGUUGAUUCAUGUAACUUCCAAUUGCUAAGAACAUGCAUUGCGCCAUGUAUUUUUUUUUUUUUUAAAAAAAAAAAUAGAUAGCAAACUACCUGCUUCAUUCAUUAGUAAGCUACCUGCGCCAACUCUUUGUUAGCAGUUAAAAAGAUGGAUCUUAAUUACACCUCCGUGUAUAGAAUGACGAGAGUGUUAAAGUUGUAUUAUCACUUAAGAUCUGAAGGUUAAGAAUAUUGGAGGGAUAGUCCUUAAGAAGAGAACCUCCAAGACAGAUCAUUCAUCUACUUAAGAUCGAGCCAUAAGAACGGUUGAUACUUGCGAGAUUGUUGACCAUCUAUUUGUCAAAUGUGUUUAGUAGAUUUUUACUUAUAGCAAUAUUUAAAGAUCGAGCCACAAAAACUCACAGCGAAUGAUGAUGUACGGAUUAUCUGGGAUAAGUUGGUAGAUUGGAGAAACUCUGCUAUCUAUACAAAGAACUUGAGCAUUCUGACCGAAAUCUAGUGAGAGAUCUGGUUGGAAUAGCUCAGACUUCGCGAGGUUAUCUCAAGAAUGAAGAACCUUGUGAGAAAAGCUUUACAGUUCCUAAGUGGUGCUGCUUUUGUUUUUUAGGAUUUUUUUUUUCUAUCUUUACUUCUUUCUUCUCUGUUCUAUUUCGCCUUUUCUCUUCUUGUUCUUUUUUCUGAAGGCCCAAUUAUCUCAUAUUUAUAGUUAAUUUAGUUCAUUUUUAUGAGUGAAUAAAACGAGCAGGUAGCGUGUUAUUUUAUUCUAAUAAAAAUAAAUCAACGAAUUCAGAUCAACUAAUAUAUACUGGCAUAGUUGGUUAAAACUUGAUGAUUAGUAACCAAGAUGCUAAACUUCAAAGCCAAGUUUCUUUACAUUUCUAGCUGAGUUCAGUUUUAAAGAACAAACGAAACGAAUAACAUGUUAUUUUCCUCUCAAACAAUAAAAAAGAAUUGAGAAGUAGUUGUAAAAUCUCAAAUCCUAUGGCUUCUCCUUUUCGAAAAAAUUGUGAAUUAUUCGGUUCUGAUUUACUUAUUUUAUAUAAUUAUAAAUUUAUUAUGCACAAAAGUGGGUGUGAUAAAUAUCUUUCGGAAUCGCUUUUUGCCAAAUCAUUCUUUCAAAUAAUAAUAAAAAAUUACAUAUAAAUUGUAUAUAUAUAUAUACAUUACAGGGCACCAUUGCAAAAGAUUGAUAAGGAUAAAAACGAAUGUAAUUUAAAAACAUCGAUCAAAUAAAUUGUGGCCGUUCAUUUUCCCCUGUGGUCACGGCUUUUUGGAUAAGCCCUUGGUGAUUGCAAGCCACGUUGAUAGGUACGGAAGCACAUGGUGGGGCCCGAGGGGGCAGCCGUGGUGAUAAGUGAUAAGUUGAUAAGCACGUCGCGACAUACUGUGUGUCCUUUCGUUCGAUUUGUUUGUUUCUUUAAAUAUUUAAUAUACUCUUCAAAUAUAUUCCUAAGUUUAAUUAGGAUUAUUAGCGCACAAAAUAAAAACAAAAAAUAAUAAUCAUAAAAUAGACAAAUCAUAAAACGGUAAAAAUAAUAAAUAAAUAAAAUAUAAGAAUUUACGUAAAAAAAUUUUUACAGGAAAAAAAUCAUAAACAAAAAAGCAAAGACCUUCACUAUAUGAAAAAUAGAUUACACAAAAAAAAUAAUUACAUGUAAUAUUGUGAAAAACAUACAGUAUGAUGUAUUGCUUCUAAGGCGAAAAAAAAAAAUUUCUUAACAAGUCGUAUUUUUUUCAUCACAGGCAUUCCUAUUUUUUUCGUCACAAAUUGUUUUUGAAGCUUUAUUGCACUGCAAAAUUGCUGACGAAUAAUGGGCACAAAAUCAAACUCGAUAACCAAAUUUCAAGCACAUGUAAUAAGAAUUUACUAAUAAAGUUUAAAAUAUAAAGGAAUAUUUUAAAAAUUGAGGAAACAAUUUUAAAAUUUUGAAUAAUAGUAAGAUAUAUAUAAACUAAAAUUCUUUUUUAAUUUUAUGAAACAGUCGAGAGGUAAAGAAUUUAUUAAAAUAUUGGUCAAACACGAUACAAGCUGGUUCUCAAAGCCAAAUCGUGCAGCAACUCCAGAAGCAGCAGUGUCCAGCAAGCUUAUCUGCCCCACCUAACCUAAAAAUGUCUGAACUUCAUCUACAGCCGCCUGCUACGCUUUUUCCUCUCAAGAAAAACUGACAGUUGGUAUCGGCCGGCCAAAUGAUUUGAAUGACAGACUGUGGAAUGGACAAUGGCAUUUUCCUCCCUAUCCAUUAUGACUCGAUCCAAUUAAAAUUAUUAAAAUAUCAUAUCACGUUCUGUUCUGUUUGUUUCUGUAUCUAAUGUUAAAGUUGCUCAUAUCGUGAUGAAUUGUUUUUCUAUAAUUCUAUCAAAAAAUAAAGCAAUAUAUUUCUUUCGUCUUAAUUCUUUUCUACUUUAUAUGUAGUAAUAGAUGACUUUUGAUACCGAACAGGUCCGGAUCGAUAUUAGUAAUUUAAAGCAUUGUUAUUCUGAUUUAUUGAAUUGGAUCGAAUCCAGAGGACAUUAAUAAUUAGAUUUAUUAAAUUUACUUGUUUAUAUUAAAAUUGAUUGAGUUAAUAUUAUUAUGUUUCUUUUUAGAACAGACUAUGUCUUUUUAACAUAAUUGACUUUAAAGUCGAUAAAUAUUUUUAUAAAAUUUGAUCAUUAUCCGCAUAUUGAAGUUAGUCAUAUUCAACAGAUAAAAUAUUUCAUUGUCGAAAGUAGAUUUCAUCUUUUUUGUUUUAGAAGUUGUAGGCUAAAAUUCUAAAGCUUUCUACUAAUUAAUGCGCAAGAUGAGUAGUUGUUAAUAUUACCGACCAUCCCUAGCGUAAGCGACAAAGGUCUGAUGAUUAGUACUCGAGGCCUCAAAUUCGAAACCUAGUGAUUCAUAUUUCCAAUUAAAUUCAUUUCAAAAAAAAAAAAAAAUUAAACGAAGCGGAUAUUAUGCUAUUCUUCUCUCAGAAAACAAAAAAGUUAUUAGUAUUUUUCAAUUAAUUUUCACAAUAAGAGUCGCUUUUGUUUAUGUUAAGACCAUCAUUGUGAUGCUUGAGAAUGUCUGUUUUUAAUUAUACGAUAUUAUGAUUACUCCUAAGCUCUUCUAAACCAUGGGAUUGCAAAUUCAAUUCUCCACAUCUACUAUUUAUUAGCUUCUGUUUGGUCCCAGUUAUGAGCUUCUAUUAUAGUAGAAAUCAUAAGGACGAUAAUAAAUAUUCAAAUACGCAAAAAUUCUUGAACAACACUUUAUCUAAUAAUAGUAAAUUCUAAAGUAAAAUGCGAAAUGGACUCUUAAAUAGUUUAAAUUUUUAUCAUUUACUACUUCAUUAUCUUUCCAUGCGCGACAUGAUUCAGACGACCUCCACUCUUCAUAAAACCCAAGAUACGAAGAUAUUGUUAUACCACUUUCUAGAAGCCAUAUCAAUAGGUUUUUAAGCUAAUAGUAAAACUCCAAGGCCUUGCUAAUUAAAUCUCUAUGCUAAGAACUUCCAAGAGAGGUGGAGAAAGAAUAUCAGAGAAAUUGUGGUGGCACCACAUUCAUUUUCUCAAUUUGUUUUGAUCUCUAAAAUCUGGACCAUAUAUGAUAUAUCUGUUCGUAAUAAUUUACAAAUAUCAGUGGGCCGAGUGAUAAUUUUAGCCCACAGAGGUCUAACUAACUUUGUAAAAAUAUAAUAUUAUUCUCGGCCCAAAUGGAAAGUCCAACUAAGGGCCCACUUUUCAUUCACGUCCAUCUAAGACUUCGUUUGGGAUUGCGGAAAGAUUGCAUUACGUGCGGUGAGAAAGUACAAUAGAAAAAUACAUUAUUUAUUUCGUACAUAAUAUUGCGUUCUGAUUAAUCGGUUACGAUAUAUUUUCUGUGAUCCUACUGAAGAAUGCAGAAGCAUAUCCCUAUAUACUUUUAUCCCAACUCUAUUUUAUCUAAUAGCGUUAGAUAGAUUUCAAUACCAAACUAAGCCUAAUGUUAGUAUGCAAAACAGAGUUGGGGCGAAGUGUCUGGAGAUAUUAAAGUUUCAUUUAAGAUUGUAGAAAAAUUACUUAACAUGUGUGGGAAAGUGCAAUAAAAUAAAAUGUUGUUGGUUUCCGUACAUAUAUUGCGUCUCCCAGUAUAGAUAUGAAAACAAACAAGCCGGGGUAUUUACCAAUUUUGUGAUGUAUAAAUAAAACUUUUUAUUUAUUUUAUUUUUAAUCUAAAAUUAAUUUACAUAUUUACGGAAAAGCCCCUGCCUCGCGGCGAAAGCCGCAGCAUCUCGAUUUUGCCAGAGCUCCAAGAACAAACUCUCUCUCUCUCUCUCUCUCUCUCUCUCUCUCUCACUGUGAUCCUCAUUCCCUUUUCCUCGCUCCAUCAUCUUCCUCUUCGUCUUCGCACCACCAUCAUAUACGCACGAGAGAGAGAGAGAGAGAGAGAGAGAGAGAGGGAGCGGCGGAGGAGGAGCGGAUCGCGGUGGAUGUGAUGGUGCUUGCGGCGGCGGCGGCGGCGGCGAGGUAGAGGAGGAGGAGGAGGAGGAGGAAACGCGCGCGCCGAGGAGACGAGGGAGAGGGGGAGGGGGAGGAGGAGGGCGCCAUGAUUCAGAGGGCGGUAGUCGCGGUCGCGGUCGUCGGAAUCGUCCUCAUCGCGUUCUCCAUCUCCCGCAAGGAGGUUCGAUUUCGAUUUCUCGACCUAAUCUCAUGUUCGAUUUAGUUGGAUUUCUUUGUUCUUGAUCGGUGCGUGGUCGAGCUUGUUCUAGGAGAUGGGGUUAUGGUUGUGGUAGAGUUUUAUUAGGAAAUGUGGGAUUUGUUUUGGAAAAAUGUUGAUGAAAUGUGUUAGAAACAUGAGUGGCCUCCCUCUCACGGUGUCGAAGUUCGAGUCUUGUUUUCUUAUUAGGGUUUUUGCUUAGGUGUGGUUAGAGCACUCUGCGGUAUCUGUGGGUUUUUGUUUCUGUUUGCAAGAUUCUGAAUUGGUAGGAACAAUAGUGGAGUUUCUUGAUGCCAUUAUAUAGUGCUGGUGACAUUUUAUGAGUAAUAUUGAAAGUGUUGUUAUGCCGUGCCGGAAAUUGCCGCCUUUGAUGGCCUUCUCAACAGAAAAGGCAUUGAAACAAAUAUCCCAAGAUGGUUUUUUGGGAUCUGAGAAUGAUCUUAAAUCCACAUAAAUCAAUACUAAUCUGUACUAGUAGCCGAAAACCAAGAAACCAAAUCAAAUUACAAGUUAAAUGUGCCAAUUUUACAUGAAAAUUUCCUCCAAAUUGAGCGGAUAAUUACAAGAACUGAGUGGAGGAGUAUUCGUUGUCAAAACUGAGUGGAGGAGUAUUUGUUGUCAUCGAGUUUUGAAAGAAUUCCAGGGUCUUAUCUGCAUGCUGUGGAAGUUCAAACUAGCAAUCCGGUGAUAUUGAGCAAGAGAUCAGUAUGAAGAAUGAAGGAAAGUGUGACUCAAAAAACAAGCACAGUUCAGACCUAUUGUUUGUUAGGACUCAAUCAUCUGCGUGGUGUACUUCGAUAGCGAAGAUCGUCGAAUUAGUGGCCAUUAAUCUUUUCCUCUUGAUCAUUGCAAUCCGUUAGGAGUUUUCUUCUGUGGAUUCAAGAAAUAGGCUGUGCUCUUUAUUUAUUGCUUUGGUGGAUUCAAGAGAAUUUGGCAACUAGUAAGAGAACAUAAAUUUAUUUGUGAUGCCACUAAUCUAGAAUAUAGAGUAUGAUACUUUAAGUAAACAGACUUAGUUUGUACGACGUAAAAAUUGUGACCAUUGGUACUUUGUGCAGCUAAAAAGGGCCUAGCCAUGUAUCAUUCUGUAACAAGCUUUGUGUCUUCCAAGCUUUAUGAUUGCAAUGCAGACAUUGUCAUUUUAUAUAGAGUGAGAAAUGUUGGUGCAUCUAUGAAAUUUCAUUACUUUGAAAGUACAUAGUUCAAUUUAUCCUCUCUUUCAAAGGACAUUUCAAAAGAUAGAGAAUGGGAGAACUGUACCCAUAGAACAUAAUUACCUUAGUGUUGAUUCGUGUGAAACAUUGCGACAAUUAAAGAGCCAUAUCAGAUUAUUUCUUGGCAGGUCAAGUUCAAGCAUUUUCGGACACUUCUUGAUUAGCAUUUCACUUGCAAAUGUUAGGAAUACUUGAGAAGUUCUCCUGCAAAAUAGAAAUUCGCCUCUUUUUAUUUGCAUAAUGAAGUUAUUUUCAAGAAACUUUAGAGCAAUUAUCCUUUUUUUGGGUGCAGGGGUACCUUCAAAGUCUAAAGUUGCCUGAAAUAACUCAUAGAGUUUAUUUGGAUGUUGAUAUUGACGGCCAGCGUGCAGGUAAAUCUCCCAGAAUGGCCUUAUUUUGAACCAUACGAUAUGAUAUUGCAAGAAAUGAAUGUUUUUUUUUUCACCUGCUCUUCCAUGGUUUUUAGUACGUUUUUUUCUUAUUUUAGUAAAAGCACAUAUCUUUUCCGUUCAUAGAACGUUCUUCAUUCUUCCGGCAAAAUUGCUAAUUUUCAUUCAGAAUACCAUUCUUUGUAUUCUUCAGUAGUUUGGAUUGUGUGUUCUUUUAGUUUCGAGCACUACAUGGUGCUAAAAUCAGCAAAUAUGUGGCCUAGAUUAGUACUAACUUCUGUUUGGUUGGUUCAAGGAUCUGGAUUGCACUGGCCAGGUUUGCUUUAAUGGAUUUCCUAAACCCUUCAUUUACAGGUGUUGUGCUUUAGUUAAAAAAUUAACAGAAGUAUUUCAUGAAAGGUGAAAGUACAAGGGCGUUAUGUUUUAUCUAUAUGAUGUGUUUCUAUUCACUAUUUUUUUUAAUCAGUUAGCAGCAUCUUUUACUUGGCUUUCCAGCUUGGUUGCUCCAGUAAAGAACCUAUUAUUAAGAUUUUUCUAGCAUAUUUUGCCAUGUGAGCAUAAUCCGAAAUUCUAUCGCCUAAUCGUCACAGUACUCUAUGUUUGCUCUCACUGUGAUUUGACUUCACCAAAAUAGUAAAUAUUCUCUCUAUUCGUCCAGUUCCAAUAGCAUUUUUGUAGGUGAACACUAUAAUAUAGGGUGAGUUUCACUAUGAUGUUUGCACCUACUUAUACUCACAAUAGAGGUGCAUUUGACAGUUAUAUUAGGUUUGUACUGCUUCAGUUGCCUCUUGAUUAAUAUGUCAAGUUUCCCUGAAAAGAGAAGUUAAGACAUUCAUUUUAUUUGCUUCCUGAUUUAUUAACAGAUCCUCUAUCCUUCCCUUCCCAUGAAGGGUAUACAUCCUUAACAUUUUUUAUGUGAAUCCUUUUCAGGUAGAAUUGUCAUCGGGUUAUAUGGCGAAGUGGUACCCAAAACUGUUGGUAGGCUUAUGAGCUUUUCUUUCUUAUCAUACAUGCUGAUAAUGACUUGCUGGUUUCUGUAUGAUCUUAGUGAGAACAUACCAAUAUAAAAUAGAGGAUCACAUAGAUUCUUACUAGUUUUUAAAACUUAAUGGGUUGUUUUGAUUAUUUAUACAUGUUGACAGCUGAACUGUUCAUCAACUAGUUUUAGUCGCCAAUUCAAGCAUAAUCUUCAUAAGCAUGUAAACUAUAAUACAAAUAGCUUUUCGUGAUUUCUUGCUCAAGCUGUAGAGGUUUUGCUGAUUUUUACUUCACUAAUGGAGGCGAGAUGAGAAAAAUGAGAUUUACCUUUUGGCAUCAUUUUGUUUUACACUUUAGUUUCUUUUCAUUAUGUUGUAAUCUUGAUCUUCCUUUGCCUUCCAACUUCAAGAAUAAUGUUUUCUCUUCCUAAGCAUUCAUGUGUCAUGAUUCUUUUUGUAGAUAGAAAUUGGAGGACAUACCCGUAUAUGUUAAUAUCUCAUAUUAUGAUGUACAGUUGACCUUUAUGUGCGUAUUUUAGUACCAGCAUUAUAGUUUAUAUAUUUCAUUUAUGCUUUUAUAAUUAUAACACAUCUAAAAUGGCUACUAAUUGUUUCCUACUUCCUGUGUUGCAGAAAACUUCAGGGCCCUCUGCACAGGUACUCGAUUUACAUCUCUGCCUCUUUCUGUUGUUUCUAGCAGAUUCUGAAGCAUAUGACAUAUAAAAGUUCUUUGAAAGUUUCAACAGCAAAAAUUGUGUGAGCUACUUGACUUAAAUGACCAUUUUUAUUGAUUUUAUGUAAUACCAUUUUCCACUCGCAGGCGAAAAAGGUGAGGGGGCCAGUGGAAAGCCUCUUCACUACAAGGGAACGCCAUUUCAUCGCAUAAUACCAGGUUUUAUGAUUCAAGGUGGUGAUGUCGCUCAAGGUGAUGGAAAGGGCGGCGAAUCAAUAUAUGGUGGCACAUUUCCUGAUGAAAACUUCACCAUAAAACAUUCACAUGCAGGUUCAGAUUUUCAACUAAUGCAAUCUUGCUCGACUCUCUCAUAACUCUCCGCAGUUAGACCGUACAGCUUAUUCUGUCAUGAAUUUCAACAUGGCAUUUUACAUAUUGCAAUAUCCAUUUAUUCAUACUCAUUGUAGGCUUCCUGCUAAUAGUUUAUGCAAGUCAUCCUUGAGUGUUCUCUAUCAUUUUAUAUAAAAAUUGUGGUUGAGUUUCACAGAUGCAAAGCCAUACGUUUGCUUGGCUACAACUGAUGCAAAAAUUAUAUGUUCUGAUUAGUAUUAUCAACUGUUUACACAUCUAGGACCAAUUUCAAAAAUUGCUACCAAUUACCACGGAAAACAUACAUUUAGUUCAGAGAUCUUGGAAUUCUUUGUAUACUCCGCCACUGUUUUCCGGAUUCUCGAAGAAACAUUUCUAUUUACUCUGCUACAUGGAUCUUGUCAUUGCUGAGAGUGUUUAUUUUUAUAUAUAGGUAUCGUAUCUAUGGCGAACUCCGGACCUAAUUCAAAUGGAUCCCAGUUCUUCAUAACCACAGUUAAAACAUUCUGGUAAGCAUUGGCUGUGCAAGUGUUAGGAAAUCAAACAAACUAAUUCAUGCGUAGCACACGAAUUUUUGAUUCUAGGUUGGACGGGGAGCAUGUUGCUUUUGGUAAGGUGAUCCAGGGUAUGGAUGUGGUUUACGCCAUCGAGGGGGGAGCUGGGACUUACAACGGGAAGCCGAGAAAGAAGGUUGUCAUUGUCGACUCGGGCGAGAUACCGAAGAGCAAAUGGGACGAGGAGAGCUGAGUUACUUCUUGCUGCAUCAAUCCCAUUCAAAUGCUGAAGCAGCGUGAAUUCGACUGGCCAUUUGAGGUCUGACUCUCACAUGAACUGCAUGAUGUUGUAAAAUCAGAGUGAUUUAGGAGAGUAGUUGAUCAAAGAAACAAAUUUAGGGGGUUGUGGGGGUUUCCUUUCAUUGAUAGCUUGUUUAAGUGUGGAAACCCGUUGUCUUUCCUUUUUUUUCGCCCCUUUUCUCUCACAAAUAGUGGUUGAAAGCCCGGCCAUGCCGGGCUGGGCCAAAACAGGCUAGGGGCUGGCCUAGCCCGGCUUCAAUUUUAGGCCAAGCUGUGCCGGGCCUGAGCUGCUUAGCCUCCGGCCUAGCAUGGCCCUUCGGCCAGAAGGCACAGGCCGUGCCAGGCCGGGCCGGGCUGUGCUUCGGGCCGGCCUCUUAAAGUAUUUAUUUUAAAAAUUUUUUAAAAAAAUUUAUUAAUAAAAUUUAAAAAUAUAAACAAUAAAUAUUUUUAUUUAAAUUAAUAUUUUGAUUAAAUCAUUAAAAAUUUAUAAAAAUAAUUAUAAUAUAGUAAAUAUUUAAUUUUUUAAAAAAAAUAAAAUUGUAUUAUAUCAUUAAAAAAAAUUAAAUGGAAUUUUCGUCCAAACCAAAAUCACUCCUCCCAAGGUUAGAUCUUGGGAGGAGAGCUCCUGGGGAGGAGGGCUCUCUAAGGGCUCGGGCCUAAGGCCCAAGGCACCCUUGGGGGUCCAAACCGUGUUGGCCCGGCUAGCAGGCCGCCUGCCUCUCCUCGGCCCUGCACGGCGUUCAAGCCUAUUUCGGGCUAUGCUGUGCCGGGACGUUGGGCCGCAAAGGAGCAGCCCAGCCGGUCCGGCACGGGUACUACAGUAUUAGUGCUGUGCUGUAGCUCGGCCUGAAACCGUGCGGCCCACAUGCCGCCCGGCCUGUUUUACAUCCGUAAUUCACGGUAAUAUAGUGUAUGAUUACUUCGGCAUCGAUGAGGGAGUGUGUGGAGGAAAUUUUUUUUUCUGGUGUGGUGCUUUGAAAUAUUUGGUUCGAAUCUACUAGCGACGGAGCUGCAUAAUUGACCUUUUCUUCGGAAGAUAGAUAGGUAAACACAGGUUAAACAAGAAAACUGGUACACUUAGUUUUUUUUAGUUUGAAAAAAAAUGCAGUAGCCAGAAAAUGCCGAUAUCCCACAACCUUCAAAAGAAUUUCAACUUAGAUCCAACUUUGUCAGCAGUUAAUUAGAAGCAACUUUUAUAAAUAGCCCGUACAAUGACAACAAAUGACCAUUUCAAACCAAAAAAAACAUAAAAAUAAAUGAAGUAUCAUUAGCAAGAAAAGUUCAAAAUUUAGCAAAGAUAAAUAUAUAAAACCGAGGCAUUAAAUUUUCCAAUUCCUGCCACAAAUUCAAGACCCCACGCCCUGAAAGGAACACUACUUAAUCAUCAUACUAUCAGAUUACAAAACCAAUCAAUUGCGACACAAUAAAAUAAGCAAGAAUUAACCGCAAUUUUUUUUAAAAAAAAGAAGAGUUAAAAAGAAGCAUGUCAUGUGUAACAACUGAUAGGCAACUAUGUUAGCUUGUUUAUGAGAGAGAUACAUGUACCGAGGUUCCAACGGAUGGGGGGAAAUUGCUUUACUAGUUAAACUUGCAUGUAAACAACCAUACCUCCAACAACUACUUUUGCUCAAAUCAAAUAUCCCUAAAUAAUACUCAGAAAUCAAAUUUCCAACAAAUUAUCUAUACUUGGCGUUAUUCACUUUUUACCUAUUAGUAGUCUGUCUGAGAUAGUCGACUUGUCCCAACCUUUUUAGGGGCCAGCAACACUUCCAAUCAUCCCUAAAAUGUUGACAAAGAGAAAGGAAAAAAAAAGGGGGAAAAGACUAUUGUCGAGAUGUGACUUGUUUGUGACCAAAAACAUAAGGUUCCCACCCACAUUCCGGCUCCUUCCGCUUCACGGCCAUCCCCGAAGUAGAGGUAGGAUGCAAGGUGCCUCUCAUCGGCUCUUGAGUCAUACCACUGUGGCCUUGCAAAAGAAAAUCCCUACUCACGCCAUCCAAUGAAGCAACAGUUCCAGAAUUCAGAUCCGGGCCUCGCCGUAGAGACGCGAAUUCUUCCAAGUUGGAGGGGUAAUUUGGAAAAAAUGGCGGCAUUGUUGAUAGUGGGCCGCCGAGUGGCCCCCUGAUAACCUGCGGAACAAUAGCAUUUCCUCUAGAAUCAAACAUGAAAGGAAUGCUCUGAGGUCCAUAUAGUACCGGAGUAGUCAUGGGAUAACCCGGAGGAAAGAUCUGAGUAUAAGGAAGCACAGAUACUGAAGGAAUCUGAGCAGUAUAUGGCGGCAUGGAUACCGAAGAAACUGUGGGUCCCACAUGCCGCUCGUUUCCUAGAAAGGGCGGCUGUUGAAUUUUCUCGGAAUGACCUUUCUUAUCCACAGUCAAUUUUGCGCCCAUAAGCGUAAUUACAGAGGCAUUAGAAGAAAUUUCAUUAGAAUCACCCGAAUCCAAUGACAUUAGAUUGUCGUUCAAAUCAAAAUCCCUCACCGCUGGCUUCGAGUCAAAAUUCUCAGUCCCAAGGCGGUUUAGGUCCAAAUUGGCCCAUUCUUCUGUACUUGAAAUGACUUCGGUUGAAGAAUCAUCCUCACCUUCAGUCACAUUUAGAUCAAUGCCCACGAAAUUUGCCUUCUGCUUAAGGCUUGUAGUUGCCUUCUCAUCGUCAGGAGUUCUUCGAGGAGAAGCUGGUCGAAAAGCACUAGUGGCAGCAGUUCCUUUCCAUCCUUGCUCACCCUCAAAGUGGAUACGAGUAAUCGGCAAAAGAGGAGCUCCUCUUGAAGCUGCUACAUGUAUGGGGAGAGAAGAAGCCGGCUUCAUAUAGAGAUCAUUUUCCUCGUUGCAAAUGUUCGCAUUAAGAUCAAAGCCACAUCUAUCCUUACCAGAUUCACCAACAAAUUUUUUAGCAGAAUUCAACUUGGGUGAUUCUAAAUCUGCUUCAUGUUUUUCACUACAAGAACUGAUGUUCUCCGUAAUUCCUGAACCGCCGUCCUCUCUCAGAGAAGCAUUACCAUCCUCUCUCAGAGAAGCAUUACCACCACCUGGUAGUUCAUUCUUAUCAAUUGCCCUGAUCACUGGUUCAUCCUGCUUAGUUUCUUUGAGAUCAAAAGUAUCAGCAACCUUCGCAUCCCCAGAAUGGGCAUCAGGAGAGCUGCAUAAAGCCUCUCUGUAGUCAACAACUUCCUUUUCAACUUCGAUAGCAACUUGCCUUGCCACUUCCAAUGCAUCGAUAUCCUCAUAGUCAGUAUCAAGUUUCAACUUCUUUUCAGAGGACUCAGUAGCCUUAGCCUCCAAUGCUUCUGAACUAAUGUUUAUAUGGUCCAACUCUAAUCUCUUCAUUGUCAUAGAAUAAGUCUCACAAAGAUCUUUACUGUCGCUAUCACUUUCAGAUGCUUCUUUUGUUGGAAAAAACUCAGGGCUUUGUGCCUUACUUUGGUCUAUAGCAUUAUCAGAUCGAGGCUCGAUAAUGGCAGCAGUACAGGAGUCAUUGCUUCUCUUAGAAUCCAAAUCCAAAGCCUUACUUUGGUCUAUAGCAUUAUCAGAUCGAGGCUCGAUAAUGGCACCUGUACAGGAGUCAUUCCUUCUCCUAGAAUCCAAAUCUGAGUUACUCAAUACAGUUUGUUCAAUUGGAAUUGGCGGUGCAGGUAUUGAGGAAGAUAAACUGCUAGAUGGUGCAACACUGCAUCUUUCUCUUUCAUUAGUUCUGCCUGAAUCACUUUCCAAUUUAUCAAUCUGCAUCUCUUUCACACCAUUGGGUACAUCAUAACUCUUGCCUUUAUCAACCUGUGAACUGCAUGAGCUGGAGGAGGCCAAUCCAGCAGCAGGGGAAGCAGAAGACUCUUCUGCAAUGGACAAAUUAUCCUGACAAGCAUUAGAAGCAAUAGUGGUAUUAGAUGGCAAGGGCGGAACCUGACUCGGUGUAGAAUCCUUUCCAAUAUCCGAAGGAGGUUGUGAACUUUCUGGAUCCUUUUUGGAUACUACCUCAGAACUUAGACUAUUAUCCUUCAAUUGACUCCACUUACCACACAAUGUUCUCACUUUUUCCUUGAUUCGAGUAUUAUUGUGAACAAGGAGUUGUUCAAGAGUAGUUCGAAUUCCAGAAGAAGCUAACCUUUCAUCGUCUAAUGGUAACCUUUCUAGUGAUUUUAACAGUGAGUUUAUCAAUUCCUCGGAAAAGUUAUCGCCGAUAUCAGUACUGCACUUUUGGGCUUCUUGGAACCACUGGUUGAGGAAGUUAAGCCCAUUUAACUGAACAAAAUGAUUAAGGCAUUCCUUGUUCUCUGUAACUGCUAAAGUUCCUGCAACUGCUGACCACUGCUUUAGUGCAUCAUGUAGGUUACUACUAACACAAUCUUUCAGUUUUUUUAUCUCACAAACCAACUCUUCAACUCUGGUGAUAGUAGCUAUACCAUCAUUCAUUUCAGGAGUAGUAAAGAAAUUACCAAGCAUUAUGGCUAUCCACAAUACGCAUAUAGGUGAAAGCUUUAAUUUUGCAAUCCUUGCGAGAAAAGGCUGUUGCCAUCACCACUCUGAAAUGAAAAUAAGUUGAGCUUUAUGACCACCGACAUCAAUCUAUAGCUGCAAAAGAUCAUGUAGCUUAAUCAGUUGUCUAGUCGCACAAAACAUUACAGGCAAUCAUGAGUUGGAUCAGUCCACUAUGUAAUGGAAAUUUAAUGAAAUGUUCAAUGGGAGGUAGAUAUCGGACAGCUUGCGAGUAGGUUCUAAUGGCAACUUAAAUAAAGAAGUGACCAGCCAUGGUUCAUAAUGAAAGAUGUUACAUACUAAUAUGUCAAGAAAUUGAUGCUUACUCUCAAAUGUCUUGCUGGAGUUGCUCACAAAAAGUAACAAAGCAUGUCUAGCAUGUUUCAAUCAUUCCUAAAGCAUCUAAUGUUCGAAAGGAUUCCAGUUGGAGUGUAAACAAGCCAAACAUGAGUGAGCUAAGCUCAAGUUCUGCUCAUAUAUAAUCAGGGUGAGAUCAAUCCAACUCAUUAGAUUCGAAGUCAACUCGAGUUGCUCAAGACAAGCUCAUUUACACAUUUAUCUUGGAAAAAAGAUUCAUUUUAUAUCAUAAAGACUUUGGUCAACUGCAUCCCACAUCCAUGCCCGUCUUUCAUGGUUAAUUAGCUCCAUUAAAUCAGCUUCCCUCGUGAAAAGCACAAUGUGGAAACACUCUAGUACAGCUUACGUACUUGAUCAUGUUAUCCUAAAACACUAUUGUAACAUCAUGCAAUCCAAACUUUCUCUGCAAAUAACAUGAUUCAAAGAAAGCCUCUGUCAUGUGGCAAUGGUUACAAAAACCUAACACUGAAAAAUACCUACUGUAAUUAUCAGCCAAUAUGACAUUCAAUGGUAGAAACUGAAAAACUCGACAAAAAAUGGCUGAAAGGGAAUUUGUAAUGUUCACAAAUGGCAUUUAUCUUGACCUUCCACAUAAUUUCUGAGUUGUUAAAUCUAGUAGGUCUAAAUGAUUGAUAGGAACACAACAGUGCUAUGUAAGCAAAGCAAUUGAAUUUCUAAGUGUAUAUAUCCUGAGUAUUAGAUCACAGCACUUAUGCAGAUGAUCUCCUUACGUGUCUUUCAGGUCUUGCAGAAUUGCUGAAUUUGGACUGCUUACAGAUAACCGAUUGCCUAUUUAUGAAUUUUGUUUAACUUUCUUGCCAUUAUAAUACCAGAACACUUUGAAAGAGUAGAAAAUACAAAUAACGGAAUGUAGAAAAUAAGCUAAACACCAAAACACUUUGGAAGAGUAGAAAAUAAGCUAAACAUAUACAUUUUAGAACAUGCAAGGUAAAGGCCUAAGAUUAUGUUUUUCUGUAAAAAGAGAAGAGAAAUUAAAAAAAAAAAGGACAGAAAAAUCAGAAUUCAGAAGAACGGAAUGUAGGUUGUUCAAUUAGUGAUGACAGUUACGAGGAUAAUGUAAAUUGUGAAAGCAAAAAUAGUAAGCAUUAGUUGUGAUAGAAAUCAUAUUAAGGAACAAAACUAAAACUAGCAAACUGUAAGUACAAUUAUGCAGACAUUAGCAAUGUUGGACAUAAUAGUGAUUUAUGUAGUGGUUGACUACAACCAAACAAGUGCUACAUAUGGUCAGGACAGUCAUGGUCAAGAUGAGUAGCAGAAGCCUUGUUGAUGGUAUCACGUAUUAUCCAAUCUGAUUAAGCAGCAAAUCUCCAGCAUUAAUGAAAUUAAGGCUUGGUAUGGUCUCCUUUAAUUUUUUUUUUUUUUCUUGAAGACAGAAACAAGUGCGUACGUAAAAAAGGUGUCAUCUUUCACCCUCAUCAGGACUAUCAUCCCUAGAAGAGUACAACUUGGAUGACAUGAGCCUAAAAUGCGCCAAAAGGUAGAUUGCAAUAAAACAGCUCUUUAACUUGUGGAAAGUCUAACUGGCUGUUUUAGUUUAGUUGUUUGAGUGUAGUGGGAACACACUCUCUUCAGUAUGCUUUAUAUUAAUAAUAGUGUUGUGAAAUCAAUUGUCAGUUUGAUGUACAGCGUAAGGGACAAGAAAUUGAACUAUUGCCCAUCAAGAACUAUGCUAGAAAACCUAACAGGAAGUGCACGCUUAGUCUUUGCUUCCUUAAAUAACAGCCUAACUAGUAGUAUACAAGGGACUCGAAGGGGGAAAAAAAGAAAAAAGAAAAAAAGAAGAUAUGGUGUACUCUAAAGUUGUAUGCGUGCAAGCAGACAUUCAAAAACCUGUCCCUGCCCCGCAAGCUUCCUCUUCUUUUUUUUCCGAUUUUUUGCACAUUUUUCUGUUUUUGGGCCUUAUAGGCAAGUAGGGCAAGCCAUAAAUUCCUGCAAUCCACAUAUAAAGUGUAUGAUGACAUGCAAAGUCACGUGAAUGCCUACUAAUAAAUCAAGAAAAUAUAGUAAAAAACUUAAUACAGCAUGGCCGAACCAUCAAAUCUGGCCCUUCUACUAGAAAAGGCAUUGAUCAACCAAAAUCAGAUAACAGACACCAAUUAAUAUUCACAUUUCACUAAUUUGCUUUACAAAGGAAGAAGUGGGCAACCAACAUAUCAAAAUUUUGGUGGGAUGCUCAUGAAAUAUUACCAAUUGUGAGCACCAAGCAAUCAACUGAAGUCAGAAUAUCACCUCAUUUUCCAAGAUGAAGAAUAAGGACAAUCAAUCAUGUCAUCAUAUAUUUAUCAGACCAACAAAGUUCAUCUCACUCACCACAUUCUCAAGGAGAUAAAAUAAACAAAUCACACUCCUAGUAGAUCUGGAAUUUUAGAUAGUUGCCAUUGCUAAGCAAGAGCAGCUAAACAUACACAAGAGUUGGCUCUCAUAACUCUAGGCAGCACACAGGCUUAGUGAUGUGGCAACUACAAAAGAUAAACAGAAGUACAAUCCAAACCCAAUUUAACCAUAGAAAUAUCCAAAUCAAACCCAAAAAAAGACCCACUUUGAUGCCAAUGGAGUAGACUUUCAAACUUCGAUUUGUUUGUGCAAAAUGGAACUUUUGUUUCUUUGUGCAACUUGGACACUCAAUCUGUAACACCCCAAUAGUCCCACAUCGGAUGGGAACAGGGUUGUGAUUGGGUAUAUAAGAGACUUUGAACCCUAGCAAUAAUAAUUGGGCUUAAACAUUUUGAGUCGGUAGUUUAGGACCAACGAGUUAUUAUUGUUAGCAGGUCGGAUCGUCACAGUUGAUAUCAGAGCGAAUCACCAGCCGGAAAUGUCGGAUAAGUCUCGGCUUAGCCAGGGUUAUACAGCAAAUAGAGCGUGGCUCCCCAGCUAAUAACCGUUGUGAGUGGAGCACGGCUCCCUACAACAUCGGCAAAAGACUAGCGAGACAAAUCUCACAUCGCAUGGCACUAAUAGGGCUAAAUCUUUUAACCCAACUAUAGCAUUUUGGGCGGUGGCUAGACCCAAGCGAUUUAAGAGAAUCAAGCGUGCUAGGGCUAGAGUAGUCCUAGGAUGGGUGACUCCCUGGGAAGUGGGGCGCCACACAAUCAUACCAAACAAAAUUGCAGAAAUCAGAUUACAUCGCCAUUCACGAGGUAGUCUGGUGGUUUGGAUACCAACAUCUUUCUAUGCAUCCUAUGUUAACAUCUGAGGAAUGAGUCGGUAGGAGCCAUGUUGCCAAAAAGAAAAGCUACAGCACCACCUAGAACACACAGAAUCACACCCCUUCUUGAGCCUGAAAUUCAACUGCAUACGGAGCAGACUGUUGUGAUCAAGGAUUCUCCUUUUUUUUUGCUUUCUAGCGAUACUAAAUCCUAAGAACAUAUGGUAAAUGUGUUUGAGAUAUGGCUAAAAAUCCUGCUACCUUUUAAAUACAGGAUGAGGCUUUUUUACUGCAAUUUUUUUUUCUGAGGGAUUGAAUGUAGUUUCGAUUAUCCUUCCCUGCUUUGUUAUGCCAGAAGAAAGCAGGACCAGGAUCACUGGUUCCAAACAUACCUAGAUCCUAACAUCUCAACUAAGACAAGAACAGCCACCGUCCAAAGGACGAAAUAUACAAGAAAGAGAAACCACCAGAACAUCCCCAUGACAUAUAAAUCAAAGUUCUGAAAAUUAAGAGCUGAUUAUCAGCGGAAGUUACAUAACAACAUGAACUUAACUAAAUAUGGUUUCCUUGUCCAAACAAGAAGAGAUGAAACUUAAAGUAGUUUCACUGUUCUUAAGGGCAUUGCCAUUUAUCAUUCUAAAGUAACUAGAUUUGCCAAAAACGUGAAGGAAAAAGGUAAAGGGUAUUAAAAGACCAAAUCAACCAUUACAACUUAUCAACUAAUCGAUCAGAAAAUGAAUUACGACCUGAAAACAUCAUUAGAGAUCACUAUCACUAUGUUCAUAAUUUAACAAAUUAAUGGCCCCAAGUUACCCAAGAUAAAAAAAAAAUAAAAAAAAUCGAAUUAACAGCAAAGAGAGACAAUAAAUCAAGGAUUUAACUAACUUCAGCACAAACCAAAACCCUAAUCGGCUAAUCUUAGCACAAUUGAGGUCUAGACGAUCAUCUAUUGGUCGACAAACUCUCUACGCCCUAAUUAAAACAACUAUAACCUUAAUAUAUAUAUAUAUAUAUAUAUAUAUAUAUAUAUAUAUAUAUAUAUAUAUAUAUAUAUAUAUAUAUCCUUAAAAUGUUGAAAUCGCGAUCCUUCGCUUGAAGCCGACGAUUAAUAGCAAAAUCUAGGCCCUAAAUCGUCGUCUCCUCGCUCGAAGUGUCAUAAGCAACACAACAAGUCGGAAUCUGGCCCCAAAUGCUCCGAAACACACAAAAUACCAGAACCUUGUACACACAUCACGAAACGGAAAGAAAAAACUACGAAGUCUACGAAGGAUUCGAGAUAGGAUGGCGAAAAGGGUUACCAAAUCUCCGCCGCCGCUGCAGAGUCGCCGGAACCCUAGAAACCGAGGAGGAGGUGCCCCAGCUUUUUGACCGUUUCCCCCACCCCCUCUCUCUCUCUCUCUCUCUCUCUCUCUCUCUCCUCGAAUCUUCGCUUUCUAUAGAGCUCGCUUUACCUAAUUACCUCUGAGCGCGACCCCCCCUCUCUCUCUCUCCCUCUCCCUCCCUCUCUCUCUCUCUCUCUCUCUCGCCUCUGUAAUUGUUCUCUCUCUCUCUCACAUUCCGUUGUGUCGAUUUUAAUUAAUCGAGUUUAAUUCUCGCGAGGGAGAAAGUGGGGCCCACGAGGGGGCCCACGGGGGUGGCACGUGCGGCACCGGUGGUGGGGGAGCUGGGAAGGGGUUUCGCGUGACGGCUCCUGCGUGGCCGACAAGUAUUGCCUGCACCUGGUGCACACGUACAUGCACCGCACUUAAGUGGUGCAAUUUUAAAAUAAGAAAUUCUACAAACUUCAAAUUUCUUUCUAUGUGGUUUAACUCAUUUUUAUUUUGUCUUUACCAAAAAAAUUCUAUAUGAAAUAGAAUGAUAAAUAAAUUUUUUUAAAAAAAUUAUUCACAGGAUGACAAAGUUAAAAAUAUGCUAAAAUAUAAGGAGAGACAAAGGAAAAACGAGCUAAACUGUAAGGAGACAAAGCGAAACUUAUUAAACACAGAAUACCAAAAUGAAAAUAAGCUAUAGCAUAAGAGAGGCAAUUUCAAGUUUAUCCAAAAAUCUAUUAUAUAUAUACUUUACAGUUCAAAUUUAUUUUUAUUCAUUUUUUGAUCCUUUUAUGAAAUUGUAUAAUUUUUUUUUUUUUGGUUUUUGUUUACUAUUAGUUAGAAUAUGCCUAUGUGUAUUAUAUUUACUAUAUGCCAAUUUAUAGAAAAGAUAUGUAUUUCAAAAUCUACUAUCUAAGAUAUCAAGUAGCUCAAAAAAUGAAAACCGGAAAAAAUAAAUUAUUUCAUCCCUAGGAAAGCGAUGUGUAUAAUUUUAUAAUUUUUUUAUCUCCAAAGUGUGUUUAUUUUUUCAAAAGGAGAGAGAGAUAAAAUGGUUCUCGACAGUAUAUAUUAACUUUAACUGUUUAGUUCACCAUAACUUUACAUUUGUUUGAAACUAAAAUUUUUAAAAUAGUAUAAUUGGCUUUUGCCCACCCAUACCAAAAUUAAUUACAAAAAAAUAAAAUAAUAUUAAUUCAUCUAUUAUAUCUUUAGAUUAUACGUCAUUCGUUUAUUACCAAAUGAACUGUAGGUUUAAAAAAACUUUAGUCUAAAGCUAUACAAAUAAAUAACUGAAGAAAAUUAAUUUUUAUCUGAACUUCAGUUCAUACUUAAAACUUGUCCUUUUUUGAGAUAGAGAGAGGAAAAAGUAGCAUGCUAGAUAUUUCGUUCAAAUUUUUUUAGAAAUAAAUUUAGCUGAAAAUAUGAAGUAAUUAGACUUCGAACUUGAAAUCUCGAUUACCAAUCAUUAAGUUUUUUAUCACUUGCGCAAGAGACGACCGGCUAAGCUUUAUCUUGGAAAAACUUCAGAUAUCAUUUUUGUGGUUUCGCAUUUUCUCACUUUAGUAUCUUGUGGUUUAAAGUGUAUCACUUUCGUACUCUGUGAUUUUAUUUUUCUCUUUUUGUUAUUCCUUUCACUAAUUUUUUUCGUUAAAUCAAUGAUAAAGUUAAAACUAAAGGGUGCUAAAGUGAAUAUUCAAUAAACUAAAAGUGAGAUAUCUGAAAUUUUUUAUAUAUAAUUUAAUGAAAAAUGAAUGGAAGAACUGACGAAAAAAAAUAAAUAAAAUUAUAGAAUACAAAAUUGAUACACUUUAAGUUACAGGAUACUAAAAUGAGAACGUGUGAAAUUACAUUGGUGGUAUUUGAAGUUUAUCUUUUUUUAUCUUCGAUAGAAUUUUUGGAAUGCGCACAUUGAAUGAGAUAUAUUUAUACACGCGGUGUAGGUAAUAGUUUGUCGUGAGGAGGGGGAGAGGACUGAACCGGUGGGAGGGGGUGGGGGGCCACCGGGAGCAGGCAGGCGGUAGCGGGCGACAGCGACUGGGAGAGGACGGCAGUCUGGUCCUUGUUUUGGGGGGGUGUGUGGGGUCGGUCAGGCUCGCACCCGGCGCUUUCAGAAAAAGCGACAGCGGGCAGACAGCUGUCCAAUCUGCAACAGCAGACAGCGAUUUGGGGAAGCGGAAAGCUGACACGUUAUGUGUCAACUGUGUCAUUUUUAAGGCUUGCUUGUUCAAUUUAGAUUUAGAUUAAUGUCAUGCUUACUGAUACUUGAAAACAAGGUCGGGGAUGGAUGGAACUAGGGGUGUCGAAUAGCCCAACACGAGCGAGGUUCGGCCCGUGUUCGGUUCGUUCAAUAAACGCAUCGAACACGAGUUGACUUAUUAAAAUAUCCAGUCAAAAAAAUCGAUUUGUAUUCAACUUAUUUAUUAACAAGUCAAACACGAACAAGCUUAGAAGCCAGUAAACAAAAAAUAAGUUAAAUAAGCUAAAUUGAAUAUAUAUAUAUAUAUAUAUAUUUGAUAAAAAUUAUAAAAUCUUGUCCAUUAAAUUUUGAUUUAAUUGUGAAAUUUUAUAUAAAAUAAUUUUUUUUAUAAUAUGACCUCGGCUUUUUAAAUAAUUUUUUUUUUUGCUAAAAAUCAAAAAUUAAAAAAUAUAUUAUAUAUAUAAUUAUUUAUUUAUAUAUAUAAGUAUAUAUAAAUAUAAAUUAAAUAAAUUAUAUAAAUAUAAAAUAUAAUUCGAGCUGUUAUCGAGCUGAACACGUGCGAGUUGACCAAGCUCGUGUUCGGCUUGUUUAUUAAACGAGCUGAAAAAUUCAGUUCGUAUUUGACUUGUUUACUAAACGAGCGACCCGAUCUUAAGCUUAUUUCGAGUUAAACACGAGUUGGCUCGCGAACAACGAGUUGGAUUGCCACCUGUAGAUGGAAUGCCGAGAGUUGUGGGAGCAUCGGAAGUAAAGCCAUUCAAAAUACCCGAUAUUUUAUAUCCGAUCCGGAUUCUAUUUGGAUCAUAUUCAGAUUCGAAUGGAACCCGAUAAAAACUAGAUAAGAUACAAAUAAAAAAAAUAUAUUCAUUAAAAUUUUGGAUAUGGAUCCGGAUAUUUUAUAUCCAUACCCGACCGUUUAUUGGGUAGGAUCUGGAAGAGUUUUCAAAUCCAAAUCCGGACCUGGACCCAGUAAAAUUUCCAAUAGUAAGUAAAAAAAAAAAAAAUGUUGAGAAAUCAAUUUGAAUAGAACUUAUAAAUGAAUGGUCUAUGUGUAUUUUCAUCCUAGUGAAAAUUCUAAUCGCUCUGUUUAUCCCCUUUUUUUUAUUUUACUCCUUAUUUUUUUAAAACCUAAUGCUUGAAUCGUUUUUUUGAAUGAAUUUUAUUGAAUUGGAUGCAGCUAAUUAGAAUGCGAGUUUUCUAUAGUGAGAUAUUUAUUGGUUUGUUCAUAAACUGUUUAAUAAAAUCUAUAAAAAAUAUAUGUAUACCGAUAUACGUAUCAGAUUUAGACCCGAUCUAUAUUCGAUCCGUACUCAGUCUUAAGCGGGUAAUAUACGGGUAGUCGCUAUUCAGAUCCGCUCAAAUAGACCCGACGGGUAUAUUAUUAACUUAAGUAUUCAGAUCCGGACCCGAUUCAAAGUUAAAUUGGUAGAAUAUAUAUAUUUUUCUAUUUAUUUUUUUUUAAGAUACGAAUGUAGUAUAUAAACUAUUCAGAUCCGACUCUGUCGGCGGACACAUUCAAUUGGAAGCGCGAAGACUCUGAUCACCGGCUCCGACUUCAUAUACAGCGCUCGUGUGUUGCAAUUUCAUUCCCUUCACAGGCGAAGUCAAAGCUCGCGACCUUCGGCCUCUCGUAAUCCAGACAAAAUAAACGUGUCCUUACUUUAUUGUAGCUUAUUUAAAUAUAUAUUAUUUUUAUAAGAUGCUGAUAUGUUGACAAAUUGGUAUGAAACCUUUUAUUACAGAAUACACAGGAACUGAUUAAAACUUGUUCAUUAUAGAUGUCGGCACUUCCAAAGAACUACAUUUUGAACUCUCCCACGUAAAAAAUUCUUAGCAAGGGGUUGGAUGUAAACUGUAUCUCGAAUCAAUAAUACAUCCUAGCGUAAUAACCCGCACGAUGCGAUGGAUAGAUAUUUAAAAAAAAUAAAAAAUUAACAUUGACAGAAAAAAAAAAUAAACGAUGAUGAAAAAAAUGAUGAUAAGAUAUGAAAUUUAUCUUACUGAUGAACGAAAAUAACAGCCAAAAGAAGAAGAAGAAAAAGGAUUUGAGCUGAUUCGGAGUAGAGUCUACACUCAACAAUUAAGAAAAAAUUGUCAUGUAACAAUUUUAGAAAAAAUAAUGUAUAGAUAUAAAUAUAAAUAUGAGCAAUAUUCUGAAUGACGUACUUGUAGUAAUUAAUUCUUGUAUAUCAUUAAUCAAGAGCGGCCUAAAUAAAUACAUCCAUUUAAUUCGUGGAUUUGUUAAAAGUAUGCAAGAUGUUUAUAAGUAUAAUAUUACUUGGUCUGAAUAUUUGAAUCGACCAUAGCUUGUUGAACUAGUGGUAAUUAGCAUGACGUCAAAAAUUAUUAUAAAUAAUAUAUUAUUACUUGAACAUAAAUUAACAUAUUAGAAACUAAUUAAGACAAAGAUCAAGGGAAACACCCACCAAUCAAAUUUUAUUUUUUCUCAAUUUUAAAAAAAAUAUUUGAAAAUUUUGAUGUGAUGCAUGGUUUGCCCCUUACAACACAAUUAGUCCUGAAGAAUAUGCCAAUUUAGAUAUUUGCAACUUUAUCAGAUUGUAAAAUGCUAUCAUGUUGUGCCCACAAUAGAAUAGUUGUGAUUGUUGAAAAUGGCAUAGUAGGGGGUUUAGGAGCCUAUCUUAACAAAUGAGUUAAAAUAAAAUAAGUUAUUUUGCAAACAUAGACAAUAUUGAGUGUAGAGCAUUACUAGCUAGAACCAUACCAUAGGAACUAGGAAGAACUAGGGAAAGCACAUUCUCUUUGUCUCAAAUUCCAUUCCUUUCAGAGUAAAAAAAAAAAAAAUGAAUAAAUAGUAGCUCAUUUUCUUUUUUUAAAAGUCCUCCAAUACGAUGAGCAGACCGUAAAAAUCUGGACAUGGGAUGAAUCACAUAGCCAUCGAACUGUCUUAGUAAGAUUUUGUUGAUGAGUAAAAAAAAAACCGACUGUUCCUAGAGCAAGUGGCAAAAAGUUUGGUGGUUGGUAUUCGAGGUCCUAAGUUCGAAUUUUAGUUGAUUCACAUUUCUAACUAAGUUUAUUUCUAAAUGAAAUAAACGAAGCAGAUAGCAUGCUACCUAUCUCUCAAAAAAAAGAAAAAACAAAUUUUUUUUUUUUUUGAGAGAGAGAUAGGUAGUACGAUACCCGCUUCGUUUAUUUUAUUUAGAAAUAAACUUAGCUGCAAAUGUGAAUCAACUAGGAUUCGAACUUGGGUCUCGAAUACCAACCACCAAGUCUUUUGCCACUUGCUUUAGGGAUGGUCGGCAAAAAAAAAAAAAAAAGAUUUUGUUGAUGAGCUCUUCUUCUGCAGUCUAGUUGCUUCUAUUAUUUUGUAGCCUUAUUGCACCAUAUAAUAAGACACUAUAUUAAAAUAAAAACAUUUGAUUGGAAAAGAAAAUGUAUUUUGUUCAAUGUAUCGAAUCGACGCCACACUUCUUCUGCAUUUCUUUUUUUCCAUGUUGUUGGUCUCUCAAAUUUGAUUGAUCACAUUGAGUGGUCCACAAUGUUAGUUAUUUAUUAUGAACAAAAAAUUAAGUAUGAUAUGCAUGACAUGAUUCAAUGAAUGUAUGUAACUUGUUGUGCAGUGGAUGCUACUUUUAUGGCUGCUACUUUUGUGGUUGCAAAUUAGAGAUUAUAGUGAGUAAUCAAUGAGCUUUUUCCCUUUCAAAGGCCUAAGAAAGUAGAAGAACAAUAUACUAUAACUGCUCUUUCUAGCAACAAUUGCAACAGUAAAAAUCUCCCAACCAAAAUGUUCUAAAUUUGAAUCUCUUACUUUUUAGACCAAAAGCUGAUUUCAACUUUCUCUUCCAAUUUUCAUUGACAAGAACAGCGUCAAAUGAAAAAAACCAACAAAGAAAUUAGCACUCAUUUUUUAAAAAUAUCAAUUAAUAUGAUUGUGUCGAAUGUAAAUAUUAAAAAGGGAUAAUUGCCUAUAUACCCCUCAAAACUUCAAAAAUAUCUCAUUUACCCCUACUUUUUUUUUUCUUUCAAAUAUACUCCUCAUAUAUUUCUCUGUUAUUCCAAAAUAUUCCUGCAGUUACCACCGUUAAGUUAACUUGGAUUAAACGUGAAUUAAAUAUCUACCACAGUUACAAAAAUUAAAAUACCACUUUUGCCAUUAACUUAAGAGCAAAUAAGAAAUGUUGAUGAUGGUAGAAGGGUAUAUUUGAAAAGACCAAAAAGCAAAAUACUUUUUAUGCCCCUAACUUAAGGGCAAAUAAGAAAAGUCGGUGAUGGUAGAAGGGUAUAUUUGAAAGGGCAAAAUAGUAAUUUUAUAGAGAUAACAGAAUUUAUUAACAUAUUUUAACAUUAGGGGUAUAUUAAAAAUAGGUUGGAACGUAAAAAGGGCAUUUUCAAUAUUAAUUUUCUAAGAGGGAUAAAUCAGAAAGUCGGAAAUUUUUCAGACGUAUAUAAGCAAUUGCCCCUAUUAAAAAUGUCGUUCUCUCUUAGCUAAAGCUUUUAGAUAAAAAUAAUUAUUUUAUAUAAUUUAAUAUUUAAUAUGAUAUCAAAACAUAAGGUCUUGAUUUUGAAUCCCGCCAGGCUCCUAGUUUUAUUUAAUUCUUCAUAUUUAAUUCAAGUUCACGUCUUACGGCUAUCAAACAAAUCUUAUAAAUAUUAAAAAUACUAUUAUUUUUUAUCUUAAUUUUUUAGAGAUAUAAAAAAAAGAUUAAGACACAUAAAAACUAUAUAAAUUGUGGGUCAUUCUCGAUCUAACAAAUUCCUGCUUAUUUAUAAAAAUCUUCUAAUGUAUGAAUAUAUAGUACAUCAGGCUCCUCAAACUAUCAAUGGAGUGCUGAACCGUCAAUUUAGUGGAAGAGCUGUAAUAAUCACAUGAACUUGCUCUACUCUUAUCAAAUUUUGAAUUAUAUACCAUGUAUCACGAAUAUUUCUAUAAGUCUCGCGUGUCUGUGUCAGACACGUCUUCGGUGUUGACACUUCUUAAUUAGACGUGCGUUAAAUGACAAUCCAUAGCGCAAAUAAUUAAAAAAUAUAUAUACAUAUUUUUAUUUUACUUUUUUUAUAUAUGCAUAUAUAAUAUAAGAUAAUAAAUACUUUAGUUUUUUAAUUAAUGAAUGCAUACAAAUUAGUGAAAAAAUUUUCUUCUUAAAAUAUACGAAUAAUAAAUGAAAAUUUUACUAACUUUCGUUUAUAUAUGAGAAAUAUAACAAUAUAUUACGAAAAUUAAUAUUUUAUAUAUAAUAAAUAUAUAUUAUUAUAUUAAUAAUAUUAUAUUUUAUUAGCAGUGUCUAUGUCGUAUUCCUGUCCAAAUUUUUUGAAAAAUGCUGAGUCGACAUUUUCGAGUCUUAUCUCAUCCCGUAUUCCGUUCAUCCCGUAUUCCGUUCAGUUUCCGUACCGCGUAAGUUUUAUAAAAAUAUCGGCCUUCAUAUCUAAGGCCUUGGUUAGAUAUCAAAACAAACUAGCCGGUGAUCACUCAUAUGCUUUGAGAACUUUUCUUUUUAUUUUUAUGUAAGCUAAGGCAGGUGUUUGGAUAGAAAAAUUAAAAUUUUGAAAGAUUGAAUAGUUGAUUCAAAAUAAUUUAUAGUUUAGAUAAAAAUAUGCUAAGUAAAAUACUCAUACAUUUAAAAAAAAUCCACUAUUCAUAAGAGUAGUACUAUAACAUGCAAAAAAAAACAAAUUAACAAUUUAAAAGAUUAGUAUAUUUUUUAUAGCGAUGGCAAUGAAGGGGAUUCAGUUGAGGGACUUGGGGGACGAUAUGAGAUCCGUAUGGGACAAGUGGAACAGUGCUCCGUCGUCUCGAACCAAAUUAACCGGCCUCUGGGACGUAAGGAACAGUAUCAUUUUUCGAAAGGCUAACGCCUAUUCACUGAUGGCAGUGGAUAAGAUCAAGCGGUUGGUGACCCAGCGAAAGAAAUCUAUCUCGCCAAAUAGCAUUUUUCUUAAUGUUUUACUGUUCCUUACUAUACUAUUUUUUUUUUUUUUGAACUUUCAAUUUUUUUUCAACUUUUUUUUUAUUUGAUAAAGAUAUACUUUCUCAUGCGCGAUACUUAAUUCAUCCUUCUUAUGAAUAAACAGAUAAUAUGCUAUAUUUUCUAAAAAAAAAUAUACGUGUUCGGUGAUGCAUGCACCACAUCCCCAAGACCAAAAAAAAAAAAAAAAAAAAAAAAAAAACUCCUACCAAAAGAGCGAGGCAGAGUUGAGGGAGUCGUCAUUCGUGAGGAAUUCUACAUUGUCACACUUGCACCACGUCAUUAAUAACAAGCCAAUCACAUUUCUUUUUUUCAAAUAAAAAUACAAAAAAAAUAUUUUUAUACAAUCAUGGUAAGACAUAUACCUCUAAAAGAAGACAUUUGAUUAGUUUGUUACGCCACAUCAUCAAUAUAUCCGAUAUAUUGCAUUCUAGAAUUUGUCGGUCGUUCGUUGGGUGGCCCCCACGCGCUAGUCAUCAUAGCCGUCCAUCACAUCGAACGGGGGUUGAUGGGAUAGAACAGGAGGGGAAGGUGAUACAAGUCACAACACAUCACAUGCACAGUCACACACCCUGCACACAUACAUACACAUUCCUGGGAUGAACGUGAAAAGAUGAGGCGUGCGUGGAGAUUCGCGAAAACGACAGGGACCCCGGGGUUGGGACGGGGUGUAGAUAUUAUCGCAUGCACCUGAUGUAUGAGCUCGUCCCAUACACCGUACACUUUUGAAAAACUCUAUCAUAGAAAUUUCGAAAUCAGAAUUUACUUUAGGAUAUGUUUAGUAUUGAGUACUGCUUAAUGUGAUUUGAAAAGGAAAUAAAAAGUGAGGAGAACAUAUGCUUUUUUAUUUUUCAGAAAAAAUAUAGAAAUUUUAUCAUAACUAAACUAAUGCAAUCUGCAUAUUGCGAUUUUACUAUUAAGAUAAAAAUGUACUGAUUUUAUUUGAACUGUGGAUUAUUUUGAAUUGUCGACCUAACAUUUUAAAAUUUUUAUUUUGCCGCUCAAUCUUUCUAUAUGUUUGAUUUGAGUUAGUUAAUAGCAUUUUGGCUUUAAAAUCUAAUGUGUUGUUUAUAUUUAUAAAUUCAGUAUACAUCAUGUAAUUCUCACAACUAUAAAUUUAUAAAAUUAAGAAAUUAAUUUAAAUUUUGAUGUCAAAGUAUUAUUGUUGGCUGACUUUAAUCAAAUAAAUUGAAAAAUUGAAUAGCAAAAUCAAAAAUUUGAAAGAUUAGAUAACUGAUUCAAAAUACUCUAAAGUUCAAAUAAGUUUUGAAUGUUUUUUAUCCACUAUUUAUAAAAGAAAAUAGAGUAUUUUAAAUCUUAUUUUCUUACCAUACACAAUAUAUUUUGCUUGCGAUUUGAAAUGUAGACUUACUAGAUGUGUCAUGUUAUAUUCAAAAGUUCUACAUAUAAACAUUUUAAGAUAUAAUUUAGGAUUUGUUAGGUAGGAAGGGUGGCCUAACUCAAUUGAGAAAUAAAAAAAUUAGGACAAAAGCAUAUACAAGAUAUGCUUCUUCAGUUUCCAGCUAGUAUGAUUCUAAAAAUUAUAUAUACUAUAGUCAAACUAGUAUUGAUAUGUAUAAUAUCUUAUAAUUACCUACAAAUAUAAACAAAAUAUUUUUCUUAUUGCAUUUUCUUACGAUACACAAUAUGUAUUUUGUCUACAAUUUCAAGCUACGCAUCAUUGGUUGGACGUGUUUUUUAGUUUUGAAAAGUUCUGUAUAUUAAAAAUCAAUAGUGUUUAAUGCCAAUUUUGAUGAAGUAGAUUUAACUAAUCUACCUUUCUAUGUACCGUUUAUUUUCAUAGUUAUUAUGCAAAUAAUGCAGCUAGUUGUAUCCGAUUAAGAUUACCGAGUAAGAGGUCGGAGGAGUGAUUCAAUCCUCAGUUUCUCAAAAAUAAAAUUUAUAAAAAGUCUAGAAGGAUUUCAGGAGCUAGCGGCGUACGUCUAUAGGUUUGCUUAAAAAAUAAUAUAAAAAAAAUAAAAAAGAUAAAGCUAUUUUGACGCAUGCAUAUAACUAUUCAUAAAUUUUUUGAACGAAAAUCACAUUUAUGAGAUGCUUUAUUUUUUUAAAACAUAUUAGGUGGUGCAUAAAAUAUACGGAUACACCGGGUGCAUGUGAUUAUUAAUCCUGAGAGUGGGUCCCGCCGUCCGGGUGAAAGGGACCGCAAAUCAUGUAUCCGACGGUGGUGGGCCACGCGAUUCGUUCAACGGUCGCUUCCUCGCACCCCUCCCUCGACCUCCCAACCUUAAAUAGAUAUAAAUAUCGGAUGUUAUUGUUACGUCGUUUUCUUAAUAAUAACAAUAAUAUUAAUAAUAAUAAUAAUAAUAUUAUUAUUAUUAUUAUUAUUAUUAUUAUUAUUUGGUAGCACAAUUAUUAAUGCUCACAACCUAUAACUGUCCAGCUGAAAUAUAUGUACUUCCUCCGCUGAACUCUUGACUGUGUUGUCUUCAGUUUGGGUUCGGAUUCUGUCGUUAUUAAUAGAGUUAAUUUUUACUGAAAAUAAUAAAAUUUUAUAAAUAUAAUAAUUGUUUGUUAUUUCGAUUUAACUAUGUUCACUAUAUCUUAAUAAUUGUGUAUAGUAAGAAGAUGCUGUUAACAUCAUCUUUUUUCACUCAUCUUAAGACUAGUUUAGCCCAAAUUAGUCCCCAAGUUGUUGUGGGAAUUUCGCAGGAUUUGCUGCUUUUUGAUUCUUAAACAUAUUUCAACAAUUUUUUGUGACUUUGAUGUUUUAGUUGAGUUUUUAAUUCUUUUUAUCCUAGAAACCUUAGGUUGGACAUUAAUUUGAAGCUUCAAAAUUUAAUUAGAAUUAGUAGCUUUACUUUAGGGGGCAUUUGAUUCGGCGUAAAAUGAACCGCAAAAUUAUUUUUUGUAUGAACAAUGUUUUUUAACUCGGUUGGUUCAGCGUAAAAAUAUAUUUCUAUAAGAGCAUUUUUACGGAUUUUAAAAAAAUAUUGAAGUUUUCGUAUUCUACUGUUUUUCGGUGAAAAACGAAAAUUCAAGUCGCAUGAAAUUUUUUUCAUUCAUUUUUUUUUCACCGAAUGAAUCAAAUGUAAAUUUUUCUUCUUUCAACCAAAUAAAUAUUGAUGAAAAACUAUUUUUUUUUUCUACAAACCAAACACUACAAAACAUAAAACUUUUUUUUCACCGAAUUUUUUUUUUCACAAAAAAUUAUCUUCCACGGUUUUAUGUUGAAUCAAAUGGGCCCUUAGUUUGUACUCUCGUUUAUUAUUAUACAAAAUCAUUGUUAGGUAAGUUGGGUGUUUGGUGGCCUAACCAUGCCUUCAUAUUUGUUUCUAAUUUGAACAAAGGGUGAUCAAAUAAUUUAGAAAUAUACGUACGAAAGAUAUCCUUAUACAUGCAAAUAUUUUACAAAUAUUUUACAUAUGCAUUGCAAAUACAAAUAUUCCCUAUAAUGACAAGCCAAGUUAUUCUAAACUAUUUUGUUAGGAUUAAGAUGCUAUCGAUUCUUGGAUUAGGACAAGUGUUCAUUAUUAAUUACUUGUAUCACAACCAAUUACAAUAUGAUCAACAAUGGUUCAAUAGGCUAGUUAAGAUCCAAUUCAUUCUACGUAGAUGAUAGUAAAAGAAUAAUAUUUACUAUUUAUUUUUUACCCCUUGGAUACUUUAUAAGGAUUACUAGUGGCUGGUAAAAUAGUGCUGAUUCAAAAGUUAGAAAGUUGAUAGUACACACUAUUCAGUUGCUAUUAUUAAUAAUAUUCUAGGUAAACUCUAUGAAUAACUAUGCUUUUUUUUUUUAUUAGUACUUAUCAAUUGAGUCUCAAUAUUAAACACAAAAAAAGAAAAGAAAGAAAGAAAAAAAAAACAAUGAUUUGUUUGCGAACCAAAAUGUCAUUUCUUUUUUAUGUUGUUAACAAAAAGAUAAGAACAUUUCCAGUCAUAAGCAUCAAAGUACUUUUCUUUUCGUUACUCUCGAGAAUAAGGAAUUGAUUCAUGCUUGAACUUUGACGAAGAAAAGAACUCGUGCUUCUGACUUUUUGGAUAUCAGUAAAUGACUACGAUGACUUUUUGGAUAUCAGUAAAUGACUACGAAAGAGGUUCAGAAGAAGAGUACAGGGAAAAAUGAGAAAAAAAAGAAAAUAGCAUCACAACUAUUGGACCCAUAUGGUCCACUUGGGCCACUAAUUAAUAUGAACCAACAAGUUAUGUUUGGGCUUUUUGAUUCAUGUUUUGUUUUCUUUGUGGCCUUGGUUGUGAUCCUAGUUAGUUAAUUCGCGAUUAAUACGCGAAUUAUACGCGUAUUUUUUAAAAUACGAAUUAAACGGCGAAUUUCGUAUUUUUUCCAAAGGUUUGAAAAAAAACGCGAUUUUUUCGUCAAAAAUUAUUAUGCGCGAAUUAAUCGCGAUUCGCGAACAAUUCGCCCAAAAAAUCGGCGAUCGCGGUCGCCGACUUGCGGCCGAGGGUCGCAUCGUCGCCGCUCUUGUCGCCGCUCGCGUCGCCGCCGGUCUCGUCGCCGCUCGCGUCGUCGCCGCCGCUCUCGUCGCCGCUCGCGUCGUCGUCGUCCUCCGCCGCCCUCGCCGGCGCCGGGAGCAAGGGCCGCGGCGGCGGAUCCCAUCUCCUCGCCCGAGUCGUCUCCAAAAUGGGAAAGAUGAACAGUAAAAAUUAUCGGGGCUUUGGGAGGUUGGGAAUGUGCGCGGUCCACGAGGCUAUUUCAGCCUCGUGGACCGCGUGAGGGGAGGUCCACACUCCACAGUGGACCUCCCUCUCAUAUAUAUAUAUAUAUAUAUAGUAUAUAAUAUAAAAUUUUAUUUAUAAAUAUAAAAAUUUAUUUAUUAUAUAUAUUAUUUUAUUUUUAUAUAGAAAUAUUUAUAUAAUAUUUUAUUUAUAAAUUUGUAAUUAUAUAAUAUAUUAAUUAUUAUAUAUUUAUUAUAUAGCCGAAUUUUUGAUUCUGAAUUUUUAAUUGGUGAACGUAUAAUAUCCGUAUAAAUUACGUAUCCAAAUCAUUACCGAACCCGUUUUUUAACCGUAUUUUUCAACGAAUUUAAAAAUUAAAAAACGAAUUAUAUCCGAAUUAUAUCCGUACCGAAUUUUUGCCGAAUCCGAAUUAACUAACUAUGGUUGUGAUACGUAGGGU
rnacentral:lncRNA from 1 species